CCUUCAUUCACUGCUGAGGGAUUCGAACUCAGUGUUGGGACCAACCAUCUUGGACACUUCCUUCUUUCACGGUUGCUGCUGGAAGAUUUGAACAAAUCCGACUACCCAUCAAAGAGACUCAUCAUUGUUGGCUCAAUUACAGGUACUUGAUUUAAAUGAAGAAGAUAGUUCUUCAAAAUAUGUACUGUUCUUUGUAGAAUGUGUGAUGAAGUUUGUGUUGUUGCUUUUCAGGGAACACGAACACCUUAGCUGGAAAUGUACCUCCAAAAGCCAACCUCGGGGACUUGAGGGGACUUGCAGGAGGCUUAAACGGUCUAAACAGCUCAGCCAUGAUCGACGGUGGAGACUUUGACGGUGCCAAGGCCUACAAGGACAGCAAAGUCUGCAACAUGCUCACAAUGCAAGAGUUCCACAGGCGCUACCAUGAGGAAACCGGGAUAACAUUUGCUUCCCUUUACCCAGGCUGCAUUGCCACAACCGGUUUGUUCAGGGAGCACAUUCCCUUGUUCAGGCUUCUGUUCCCUCCAUUCCAAAAGUACAUCACCAAGGGCUAUGUCUCAGAAGAUGAAGCCGGAAAGAGACUUGCUCAGGUAAGAACUUGUGCUUGACAAUGGUGCAUUAUGUUUUUCGAUCUCUCUUGUGCAUGAACUCAUUUGCUUGCUGCUGAUCACUCUCAGGUUGUGAGCGACCCAAGCUUGACAAAGUCGGGAGUCUACUGGAGCUGGAACAAGAAUUCGGCUUCCUUCGAGAACCAACUAUCCCAAGAAGCUAGUGAUGUGGAGAAGGCUCGCAAGGUGUGGGAAGUCAGUGAGAAGCUUGUGGGUUUGGCCUAAGUAUAGAAGCUUGAUGUUCCCGUUGACCAGCAUUUUGCCUCGGAGGAGGAGGAUGUCACCCAAGAUCAGGUCCAUUUGUGGAGUGCAGAAUUUGAAAUUAAAGCUGUACUGUCAUAGACAAUUUUCUCAUGUGGAUGAUUAGUGUUAGUAACAAAUGAGAAUAAAAUCACUCACCUCUGUUGCAAAAUGCAGAUCAUACUUCUUGUUACAAGUUUAACAUUUUACUCUUAUUUAUUUUAAAUAUUUACAAAACGAAAGUAUCAGAAUGUUGUAAAGAAGUAAAUAUCAACCAUUUACUUCUAGCUUUUUACAUGGCUAGUAACUUAAAGCUCAUAAGCAGGAAACCGUGCUUCAGACGGUUCAGUCAUGUCCAAAAGGAGAUGAGCCAUUCCACCAACACCUUCGAAUAGAGAAUAGGACCGAUCACCUCCAUGCAUCAUACCCUCUGAUAUGAGUCUUAAGGCUCUAUCGUGUAAAAAGCAAGCAAAUGCUUUGGCCCUGUACAAAUAUUCCACCUUACCCGUUAACCGGUAGAGUGAAAGAAACACAUAGGCGUUCCCACUGAUGCCAUGACAAAUGCCAACUCGCUUCAGCAGACCCUGGUUCCACACCACCUCCCCUGCAUCUAUAGCAGCUUGCAGGAACUCCUGAUCUCCAAAAACCUAAUGAAAUCAAUGGACUAAUGAGUAAGCUGCAUUGAAAAUUCACCAUAUGUAUUAUUAAGUUGAAGAAGGUAUCCAGCGCAUAUAACCAUAAAAUGAAAAAGAUCGCAUGUUUUAGACUGCAUAUCAUGUCCAUGAAAGCAAUAAAUUGACGUAUCUUCUUAUCCACUAAAAGAAAAACGUAUUUUACUAAAGCCACGAACAGAAUCUGUUGGCAAUAUACCAACCACUUUCAACUCAUUUUGUAUCAUUUCCAUUUUCAAUAACAUCGACAACAAAGGAACAAAUCUGUAGAUCCAAAAGUAAAGUAACAGUUUCUCAAGUCAUUUUUCUAUGAAGCACCCCGAACCACAAAAGGAGAAUAAAUAAAUAGAUAAAUAAUCCGUUCCAGUCUCAUAAUAAUUAUUGAAAAAUCAGUUAUUCACCUCUAAUUUACCACGAAACUACAAUAUCCAAAUUUUGUCCGACAAGUUUUCAUAAGAAAUAAUUCAGAUUAUAAUUACCUCAGCUGCUCUCAGAAGUGUAAGAGCAACUCCAGGAGCACCAUGGCACCAGUGCACAAGACGGUCUGAUUCACUUCCUUCACUUGAAGGAAAGUUGCCGCUUGGAAAACGAUUCUUAAUCAUGUAACGCAGAGUACCCUUGACAUCCUCCACCUCAGCAGGUUUCAGUUCCGUGCUCAUCAAAACAUACAUAAUACCUGCUAAUCCAUGGGCAGCACCCCAGUAUUUCUUUCCAUGCCACUCGUACAUCAAUGAGCUUCGUCCCUUCUUGGCCAAUUGUCUACCAGCCUUGAUAAUUUCAUCCACAACUGAUCUCUACACAAAUUGAUUGGGGAAUAAAUGGAUAAUCAAUUCAGUCCAUUUAAGACCAAUCUGAAGAACGGUUUAAGCACAAAUGUCUUACCAUGCAAGUAGCAGAAAUUGUCCCAUUUCCAAUAUGCUUGUUCAAAAAGGAACAGGCCCAUAAGAACCCAGCUCUCCCGUAUAAUAACUCAUUUGGAAGAUCACUAGACAGCUUGAUCUGCUCGUAGAGCAAAAUAGAAUGUCAAGACAGGCAAACAUACAAAGGCCCUCUCAAGAAGAACAAGUCUUAAGCGCAGGAAGCAAAUGAUACUAUCAAUCACCUCUUUGAAUUUUGAUAAGUAGAGGUCAAGUAACAUUUCAUCACCAGUAUGCUUUGCAACAACAGCACCAAGGGCACAGACGCCAGCCCGCCCACAUAUGAAUGACACACGCCUGCAAGCCCAUGCAGUACAUAACAAAGCUAUGAAGUCAAAAUUACUCAAUUCCCCAAAGGCUAAGCCAGAACUGAAACAACAUAAGGUAAUUGUACAAGCACACAACUAUUACCCAUGGUCAGUAAGCUACGUUAAACUGCAAUUAGAAGUAUCACUUUCUACAUGUUCUUAAACUUUAAAACUGAUACCAACCCAAAUUUGGUGCAAAACUUUCUUUCUACCAACACAUAUAUUGGGUCUGAUAUUUCCAACGCAUCUGACAUUCAAAUAACAGUUACAGUUGAGAUUACAUGCUUGUGUCCAAAGAGAAGCUAACGAGUAUUGAACCCAAAAUUGAGCACGGGUUUUAAUCCGAUUUUAAAGUUACCACUGACUUACUAAGCUACUGAAGAAAUCAGAGAGAUGAAGAAGACUAUCUUAAUAAGUGAAAUAAUUACUGAUACAAUCAAUAAGAGACAUUGAGGCCGCAACUUCUAUCCACCUCAGUCAAACGAAUUUAACAGAAAUCUAACAACUCAAACAUAAAAACAGUAAGCUCGCAGCUAACUAGUUGUGCUAUGAUUUGGUACUGCUUCUAUGAGGGCAAGUUGGCACGCCGAGUUUAUCGACAACUGAAGCAAACCAACAACUGAAACACAGCCAUAGUUUAUCGACAGUUUGCAUUUCAAACUCGGCAAGCUAAAGUAGAAUCCAGACCUAACUCAACUUCACAACAACUAAAAGAGCCAAAACUCCCUCUACAUAUUUCACAAACAAGCAAGUCAAAUGAGCACGCAUCAUUGCGUGUGUCUACGGAGUGAGACAAAUAUAAAGAGAGUACCUGGAACCUGUAGAAGCAGAAUCACAUGCCUUAACAAUCUCAGAGCACAAUUUAAGAUCACUCUCAUUCUUUGUAACUUGGUAAGCCUUGAAGGCCAGGAAAGCAGUCCCAAGAGCCCCUGUAUACAAACUAUAAUCUUCCACACGUUUUCCACCCAAACCCCACGUCUGCCUCACGACCUACAACCCCAACAAACACAAAACCCAAACCAAAUCACUUACAAAAAAAGUACUUCUCGAUACAUAAAUAUACAAAAACCCAAAAUUUAUUUUUUUAAAAUUCAAAUCUCUCCAAUUACCAACAACCCAAAACCCAAAUUCCAUAAUUCGCCAGAAAUUGAGUGAAAUUAAUCAUCUUUUGUGAGUACCGUUUCUUUGAGGUCCAAAGCGGAGCACUUGAGUAUGUCGGAGAGUGUUCUGUAAGGAAGGUGGAGGAGGCCUGUUAGCGAGUUUUUGGGGCUUUCGGGCGCUGCCGCGUCCGGUGGUGGCUCUGCCAAGAAGUCUGGCAUUUCGUUCGGGAAAAAUCGGUCGGCCAUUUCCCUCUCCGCGCACACAAACAAGCACGAGAGUGAGAGGUCACGUUACUCUGUUUACUCGGGUUCACUGCUGCCGGUGUAAAGCUGUGAUGGACCUCUUUCAAACUAGUAACACGUGUUUAGGCUGCCGCUGCUUAGUUGGCGUUUGGUUCGCGGGUGUUCUGGGAAAGGGAUCGGAUCCCUCUCUAUCAAAUCCAUCUAAUCCGUGAUUCAGACAGUUGAAAUUUGAUCCAAUGACAACAAAAAAGGGUCAUUUAAAAGUUAUAAUAACUGUAGCCAUUAGAUUUUAAUUUGAUCCAACAUCUACAAACAGGGACCCUUUAAAAGUUAUAAUAAUUGUAGCUGUUGGAUCAAAAUACAACGGUCCGGAUCUUGGAUUAGGUGGAUUUGGUGGAAAGGGAUCAUCUCUGGUGUUCUGGGAACAUCUGGUUCUGGGACAAUGGUUGGCUUUUGUUUUCAACUAGAAAUCUUUGUUUAAGUUUUUAUUUUUUAUUUUAUACAAAUUGACACACCCCGACCCGAAUCAGGGCAUGCUGGCCGUCAAGUGAGGAUGACGUAGUCAUAUGCACAGUACGAAAGCAAGAAGGAUAAUAGAGAAUACGAAUAAAUAAAAACCAAUUCAUAAAAGUACUAGCUAAGAUAAGUGCUAGAAAAUGUGUGAAUACACAAUCAGAGCAUGAGUAGCCUAAAUUCAGUCUAGAAAACUAGUACUAAUUAAACGACACCCAAAAAUGUCCUACAUUGUGGUAUUUUGUCAGAACCUCCGUUCAAUCCUCGCAAGCCACUGACGGACAAGCUUACCUAAAACCUAGAGGGACGAAAAAACAGAAAGUGUGAGUGGGCAAAAACAAAGCUUUUCAAAACCAUUUCAUUAUCAAAUGCUUUAACCCAUCGCUGUAAAACAUGUAUAAAUUCCCCAUAAGUGGAAUAUAAAUAUAUAAGUAUAUAUAUAUAUAUAUAUGCAUAUAUUUCAAUUCAUGCUUCACAUAUCCAUUAUCAUAAAUAUGCCAUGCCAAAAUAUAAACAGAAUAAGUAACUCAGGUAAAAAUAAAUUUAUGGAAAAUAACAUAUUAGCAGGAACCCCUGCAGAGGUCUGUUCGCCUAAAUGCAUAGCUCAUUAGUCAAUCUUGCCGGAGUCACUGCAAGUGACCUAUACGGCAGUACACUGCACACGAGUCGGAACCACUGUAAUGGUCUGUAGACUCUGUACGAUAGGACUGGGUGUAAUAUAACUAUGCUCCUUACUACAUUCUCAUUAUAACUGUGCGAUAAAUCGCUAGUCACCUACGAGUCGAAACCAUAUAUAAUGGUCAGUAUGACAAGACUGUGCACCUAAAUUGGAUCCAAUGUGAGCAUAUGGUGCGGGAGGUGACAUUAUAAACAGGCAUGUGCCUUAGCUCUAGCUAAAUCACUAACACCGGGGUGCAGGUUUAUGAGCUAUAUAUUCCUCAAUUAAUCACAACCAUUAUUCACAUUCACAAUUCAUAACUCACUUGAGCUUACAUGAGCGUCCACAGAACCACAAUUAUAUAAAUAUAUAUGCAAACAUCAUGUGCAUAUUCUAAAUGUAAAACAUUUGGCAUGGCAAUUUAAGUCAUAACUCAUUUAAAUGCAUUUUCUGGGAAUUAUACCAACCAUAUACAUAUAUAUUUAAAACCAAAAGCCCACUCACUGGUAUGUCGAAGGGUCGUAGCCCCCGAGUCGCCCUUGAUUGCGCUCGUCCUCGGGAUAAGUCUCCCCUAUAUGCGAAACAACUAUAAAAACGUUAAUUUAAAGUACAUAACCAAUACUGACUAAUAACUUAUCAUACAUUGCUCAAAUGAGGUAUAUAAAUAUACUAUCGUGACCUACACAACUCCAUGAACACGCCCAAAAUUUUAAAAUAAUUUUUGGAGCCGUCACGCGCCGGCAAGGGCACGGCCCUACACGCAAGGAACCCUAACAGAAUCCCCUAACCCCGUUAGGAAUAUUCCGUUAAAAAGCAACAGAAACCGUUAAAACUAACCAACGCCAUUAGGAAUAUUCCGUCGUCUUCUACCUUCGAACUCCGGCGACCGUCGCCGUCACUGGAAACUGGAAAAACUUAAAUCCUUUUAACUUCUUCAUUUUUCAACCAAAUUUCACGAAUUAUAUACCAAAAUGAAGCUUAAGACAAGUAGAACACAUCCUUACCAAUUUUAGGACCUAAAACUCACGGGAUAUCACCGGAAAAAUCCACGAUAAUCCGGCCAAACUUAAAACUCGCCGAUCUCAAGUUCCCGACAUCCAAUUUACUUGGUUUUUCUUCUCUGAGCUUUGUAAGGAUGUUUUAAAGAUUCCUACAAGCUUCAAAUCACCUAAAACAUCCAUAAUUACGACCACAUGAACAAUGCAUCAAAACUGAGAUUCUGAGUUCUCGGGUUUUCGAGGGUUUCACUUACCAAAAAUGGUAUGGAUAAGCUUCUGGACUUGCAAUGGGCACAAAGAUCACUUCCCCAGCUUCGAUCUGCGACUGGAAGUGAAGGUUUGAAGGUUGUCCGUAUAGGUUGUAUGAAAAUGGUAAAAAAUCCGAGAGAGGGAGGAGAGAGAGAGAGUACACGGGAGAGGGAUAGGUAUGUGUGUGUGUGGUCCUAGUUGGUUACCAACCAACAAAACAAAGGUAACAAGCGUAAGUCUUUUUCCAAAAACUUAGGAAAUAUUAGAAUUGUCCAACUUAAGUACAUAAUACACACAACACACUUUAACGUCCAAGGGUAAAAAUCGUCAUUUCACACCAUCGAAACUAAAUAUUUCGGGACAGGCUGUGACACAAAUGGUAGAUUGUAAAUUGUUAAAUAUUACGGGAGAUCGAGAUAGAUACAGAUCGGAUUCGCAUUAGAAUAUAUAAACAUUAUUCCUUUCUGUCUUUGUGAUAAAGCAUCAUUUGAGAACAAUUGGUUUAAGUUGGGGACUAGGGAUUUACCAUGCCAAAAAUGUACAUAGAGCCUAAAACAAGUGUAGAUAAUAAUAAUUAAUUGGAUAAGUAGGGCUCACUAAUUCUUGAUUUAAUGGUGUACUAGAAAAGGUGUUAGCACGAUGUUGUGGGUUUUAAAAUUGUACAAAAUAUGUUGAAAGUAUUAAAUAUAUACUAUAGGCAACACUAUUCAUAUGCAUGAGGAAGUUUAUUACAAUUCUAUCUACAAUAAGGAACAAAAUAGGUGUCCAAGGCAAGCUUCAAAACAUUUGCAAGUUUAGAUCACUGUUAAUUAUAGAGUGCCACUAGUAGCUCCUUUCAUCCUCCCUUAUAUUUAGGAGCUCUUGGAUAAAUCUCUAUCUUAGAAGGUGGAUAGGGAUCAUGAUUGAGGUUGCUUUUUUGAGUCCUCCAAUAGUUAGGAGCUCAAUUGACCCAUUGGAGUUGCUCUUAUUCAUGUAAUUCACUUGAAAUGGUUUGUAGUUCAAAUGAUUGAUAAAGUCUAUUUCAAUCCCUACAUCUAAUAUUGUUAUAGUCUUCUACCCCAAUACAGCUACAGUGUACAAUAAAAAAAAUUGUCAUGUAGUGCACCAACGAUACUGUGUUCUAAUAAUAUUUAUCACUACUUAUAAGUAAAAAUUUCUUAAAUCAAAUCUCAUAAGUAGCGGAUACAAUACGUAACUAUAGUUGGUCGUAUAACGGCUCAACACAAAUCCCCACCCCAACAUCUUUGUAUGUAAAAUAAAAAUUCUCAUAACGAAACACAGGUCAACUUAUUCUAAUAGCUAGGUUACUAUAUACAAAAUUCAUCUUUUAUUGCUCUAAAAAAAAAUUUGUAGCUCAAAUAAUUGAGAGUAUGAAAAUUGACAGGAUAACAUUUCUCGAAGCAAGAUGCUUGGGCUUGGGAUGCCCAACAAAGCAAAACAAGUUUGGGCCAGGCCACAAAGGUUGAGGGUGAACCAAAGAUUGUUGGAUCCGGAAAAGUAACCCAAGCCCAAGCCCAAAACGGAAAACAUUACUUACCCGCCCGCACGCCGUUGCCUCUCCCCGCUCACUCGUCUCGUCACCAUCGUUGUAAACCCUAAACCCUAGUCCUCUCGUUUGCAGAAGCCUCCCGGAGCCCCCGAAUCUCUCUGGUAAGAAAUCGGUCGCCCAAAACCCUAAUUAGGUUUCCAUUCCACACAUGUUUGCUUAUAUUUAUGACUAACUCUAAUUUUUGUAUGGAAGAUUAGAUUUUUCCAGCAAAAAUAAUGGGGAAGAAGAGAAAGCACAGCGAUGCCCUGGCUCCAGAAAAGAAGGAGGAGGAGGUUGCGCCGGAGAGGCGGAAGCGAACGCUUUCCGGUUGGAAGGAGAAGAAGGACGACGACGAAGUAAAAGCGAGUGAAUCGACGGCAGUGUUUAGGAACAAAGAAAAGGUCUUAGUUACUUGUUCUCGUCGCAUUAGUUACAGGUAAAAUUAUUCAAGUUCCAAUUUUUUUCUCUGCUUUGAUCUCGCUCGCUCGGUGUUGUUUUUAUUCGAAACCUGAAAGAUUUUUUUUGAAACUAAUUCUGUAAUAAUUGUAAAGAUGUGAUCUUUAGAUGAAUUUUGGUAACUAUUUUUCGUUUAUAUGAUAUAUUCGUCUAUGAAUUUAUGUACGAGUAUAUAUACUUGCGUGUGAGUGUAUAAAUGUAUAAGUUUUAUAUAAUUAUAUAAAUGGUUAUAAAUUAUAUACGCAGGUAUCGGCAUCUGAUGUUGAAUGUGGUGGACCUAUUGCCUCAUUGUAAGAAGGACAAUAAGGUGGAGUCUAAAUCAAGUAACGGUGCAACUCUUAACGAGCUGGUUGAGCUAAAGAGUUGCUCUUCCUGUAUGUUUUUUGAGGUCAGGUUUUUUUGUUGUUUCUUUCUGACCUUGUUUAGCAUUUGUUAUUCAAUAUUACUUUAAUACUGCCAAAAAUUUGAUGCGAAAUAUAUAAGCACACAAAUUAAACCCUCUUUUUGUCAAUUGUAGUAAAGUUUGUAAGUAGGGAUCGUUCUAGGCCGGGGAUUAGGAGGGAUUGCUAAAUCACUUGGAAACUGACUUGAAAACGUAAAAUCAAAGUUUAAAACACUAAACUAGACUCAAAGAAUGCAAAACUAUACUUUAAAACACUAAAACAAACCAAAAGACUCAAAACAGCACCUAAACACUCAAAACUGCCUUAAAAACACAAUCUGGGCAGUUUUGAACACUAAGGAAGAAUUUGAACGAAAAUAUGUUAUAACUUGACUCAAGACACUUAAAAACACAAACUAAAUUGAUUUCUAACUAAUAUGACUCAACAAAUAAAGGGGGAUUGAUUUUAGACGAAUUUGAAAACAAAACAAGAACUUUGUAAAACAAAAUCGGUUUUAAAACGAGAUUGAUCAAAUUGGAUGGAUGAGAAACUAGCUAAGGGGUUAUUCUCCACACAUGUUAUACUUGCAUACAAAAUGAUUUCCAAUUGCUCUUCGACAAACCAUGAAUACUCAACGCCCCAAAUUAACCGUGAAUUGCACUAAUUAACCCUCAGUUUUUCCACAAGUUAUUAGGUUGGAUGAUUGCAUACGACAACCCAAAACAUUCCCUACAAGUUCCCUACAUGAAUUGCAUAAUAGAGAUACAUGCAAGAAUCAUUAAGUUCUAUGAAAAACAUAAGCAUUGACGAUGCACUCGUUACUAUGAAUUGCAUGAAACUUAUGCCAAAAAUUUACUUAACACGAUUGUGAUCAACAACCUUUACUACUUAUGAAUAUAAGUUCAUAACGAUUAGGUGAAACUUCCUUAUAUCCUAGCAUCAAACUUAUGCAUGAAAAUUAAGCGUGCACUCUCAACCAACAUACACAAAUUAGUUUUAAUUCAUAGAGAUAAGUAAAUUAAAUUCACAAUUCAUGAAACGCAAUUGGAAGUAAUCAAAUCAUAUAGCAAGCAUAAACAUGGUUUUGAAUCCCCCCUAGCCAAGGGGGGUUUAGUUCCUCAUACUCGCAAUUACACAAAGAUAACUUAAUUUAAACAUUGAAAUCAAAGAUAGAAAACACCUAUAAACGCUCCAACACUCCCAAGGCUUGGGCAUAGGCACGGCACAAGAUGUUCCUUCUCUUUCCUUCCUUGCAAGUAGCGGCACUAGAGGUUUUGGACGGUUUUGGGUGGUUUUUAUGGUGUAGAAUGGAUGGGGAAUGGUAUGGAAAGGUUUAGGAUUGAUGGGUGGUGUGGCUAGGGGUGGUUUUUGGCUGAAAUUAGAGAGAAUGGUGGUGGGAAGUUUCGGCUAAGGUAAGGGAUCAAAAUCUGUUCUCUUUGAUGAAUAUGGGAGGUGGUAUUUAUAGGCUUGAGAGAGGACCACUCCAUUUCCUUUGCAUGUGCAGCUUGUGUGGGUAUGAGUUGUCAUGUUUCCCCUUUACAUUUAUACACACAUGCUUCAUCAUUUCAACCACAAAACACACCAAUUUUCUGCCCAUGCCUUGUGCUUUUCUUCCACUUUGCAUGUGGGUUUGCUGCCAUGUUUCUUUGCUUUGCCAUUACACUUGCACACACACAUGUUCUUUGCAUCAUUUCAACCACAAAACGCACACAUUUUCUGCCAUGUUUCUCCUUUACAUUUACACACACAUGCUUCAUCAUUUCAACCACAAAACAACCCAUUUUAUGCCUAUAUGUGUGUGUGUGUUUCCUUUGCCCAUGUGUGUGUGUUUCCUUUGCCUAUGUGUGUGAGUUUUUCCUUUGCAUUUGCACACACAUGUUCUUCAUUAUUUCAGCCAACAAUCCACCCAUUUUCUGCCCAUAUCAAACUGUCCAUGCCUUGCCUUUCUCUUUGUGUAUGUGCUGUCCAUGUUUCUGAAUCUUUCAGUGUUAUAAUGCCCAUAACUUCUUCUUGAAAAAUGAUAUUAACAAUCCGUAAAUUGCUUCAGAAAGUAGACAUCUGUAGCUUUCCACGCAUAUAAGGCACAUUUUCUCAUUCAUUCUGAGCUGUUCGUAACAUACUUUCAAAGUCAGCUAAUCUGCACAGGCAGUUUUGACGAAUUUGUUACUUAAUAAUUCACUUGUGCUACUUUUCUUUUCUUUGCUUGAUAAAUCACACAAAACACAAAAACAUAGUAAAUAGCUCAAAAAUAUAAGGAACUAACUAAGAAAAGACAAGUGAAUUUUAUGUAAAAAAUAUAUAAAUAUGAGCUUAUCAAAUACCCUCACACUUAGCUUUUGCUAGUCCUCGAGCAAAAUAAAGAAAACAAACACAACCUAAACCUUCCAACAUUUGCCUUAGGGAUUUCCAACGCACAUGACAAGUUAAAAAUCAUCAUUCCCACAGAUUUUAGUCAACUUAACACUUGAGCACAUACUUAAUCACAUUCACCACUUACUAGUUCACAUUUAACCAAUUAAAACGAUGUUUUGAAUGUAGUAACAUGCCUUAGAGAAUUUGCUCAAUUCCUUACAAAAUAGCACUCAAUUUUCACUCAGAUUUUCUAACUACACACCCUAUACUAGUUAUAUGUGAGAAGAUUGAUGUAAAGAUGAAAACGAACGCUCACAUAUAUGUAUUACAAAGAAAGCGAUUUCUGGAGUUAUUAGGCAUGUUUAGAUAUGAUCUCAUGAAUGGAAUGUUACUACUUAGAUGCGAGAACCAGUGACAUCAUAUGCUCAUACCAAAUUCAAACUCCACAAAUUGAAACACAUAACACUCAAGAUUGAAGUCAAAGGUUGUAACGGGGCUUGGGGUGUUGGCUAACAAAUGAAGGUAAGGGAAAACAAACGUUCUUAAAGCAAUAGCAAAUAAAGUAAUGAACUUGAACUAAGAAUUCACUUAGAUUGCAGAAAUCAACUUUUAGACAUAAGGGAAAGAUUUAAACAACUCUUAGGGUCAAAUUCAACUUUUUUUUUUUCUUUGCACGAAUUUUUCUUUUCUUUUCUUUUCUUUCCACCCGUGCCUAUGGCGCACUACUUACAUGAGAAACACUUCCCCCACACUUGUUUUCUGCCAAACAUUACUCGAAAGGAAUUCAAUUUGAAUCAUGCUUUACUAUGCUUUAAGAACAAGGGUAUGGAUGGUCCUAAUCUAGGCUAGGUGAGGAUAACGUGGGUUAACAAAGAACGUAGGCUAACAAGGCUCAAUGGGGUUAACUUAAACAUAUAAUGAAGUAGGAUACACGGCAAUUUGGCUUUGGUGGUGGUAACUACACAACUUCAUCUUGAAUAUGUGUUAUGCAAAUCAAUAUCAUGCUUUGAAUGAAAUGGGCAUGAGUUCUAGCAUUUGGAACUAAAUGAUGAAGCGCCUUCUAAGUAGUAACCAAGCAAAGAAUAAUGAGAUCAUGCAACGACUUAGAAAACAAUAAUGCACAGAUUAUCAACUCUCCAAAUAACGUUUAGGCUCAAGUCUCACAAGGUUGUAGCGUUUGUUUGAGUUCCUUCCUUCAAGCAUGUUACAAAAACUAAUUUUUCCUUUAUGAUUGCAUGUGAAUUCAUAAAUUAUAACCACAACCAAGCAUACACCAAAGAGUAAAUCAAAUGUUCAUCCAUGUUUAUAACUCUCUUUAACAGUCAUGUAAUUAAAAACCAAAUCCUCAUCAUUGUGUUGGAAGGUACCCUAAGACACAAAUAAUCAUACAAAAACAACUUUUUUAGGUUUUUCAAAACAAUUUUUCAAAUUUUUAUGAGAUUUUCGGAUUUUUAUAUCAAAACAAACUAAAACACUUCAAAACAGCUUAAAAACACUUAAAAGAGCAAGGAACAACAUUAGAAGUAAUGGGUGAUAAACUCCUACGACUUUCAUGCAAAACAAUGGUUACCCCCCACACUUAAAUCAAACAUUGUCCUCAAUGUUUCAAGCAUAAACUCACACAAAAACAAACAAAUAAACAAACAACGAAUAAACAUGACAAGUAUAGCAAAGUAAACAAAAAAAUAGACAGAGUAGAGUUUAAGAACGCAAAUCUGGUUUUGGAGAUAGAUGAUCUUGUUGACUUUCCACAGCUUUGAUCUCGAACUGGUUUGGAAUUCUGAGCGAGGAAUAUCAGAGUUCCUUGGUUUCAAAUCAGACUCCUUCUGCUGGGAUGAUUUGAUUGUGCAGUCUGCAUUUUUCUCUGCUUGUUUCUUCUACACGGCGGGCAGGCACGAGGUAAAGGUGUUGGUCUGUUUCUUUCUUCAAUCUUUCCAAGUGCCCACCUCUUGCUUUCUUUAUCCUUGUCCCUAGCUGAGGAUGAAUUGGCAAAUUGUCUCCACAUGCUUCGAGGUAUCAUUUUCACUUCCCUUAUGAUGCGGUAGACGAAGCGAAAGCAUAAGAUGAUGAAGAUGAGUACUCGAAAGCAAGGCUCGGGAAGCAAUCAUGAAGGGGUUCCAGGCAGUCGGUUCUAGAUCGAAACAACGACAAGGAGAAGAACAGGGAGAAAGCAUGAUAUGAGAUACUCUUGCUUUCAACCUUCAUGAUAUAAAAUACUUUUGCUUUGGAUGAGUUGUUUGCAGAGGUACCCCAAGGAAUAAGGAACACUGAGUGACUCGAGAGGGUUUGUUGGAAAGGUGUUGGUCUGUUUCUUUCUUCAAUCUUUCCAAGUGCCCACCUCUUGCUUUCUUUCUCCUUGUCCCUAGCUGAGGAUGAAUUGGCAAAUUGUCUCCACCUGCUUCGAGGUAUCAUUUUCACUUCCCUUAUGAUGCGGUAGACGAAGCGAAAGCAUAAGAUGAUGAAGAUGAGUACUCGAGAGCAAGGCUCGGGAAGCAAUCAUGAAGGGGUUCCAGGUAGUCGGUUCUAGAUCGGAAGAUUGAUACCAAGUGCUGGCUGAUUACUCACUUUCUCCUUUUCCUAAAACAAUGACAAGGAGAAGGACAGGGAGAAAGCAUGAUAUGAGAUACUCUUGCUUUCAACUUUCAUGAUAUGAAAUACUUUUGCUUUGGAUGGGUUGUUUGCAGAGGUACCCCAAGGAAUAAGGAACACUGAGUGACUCGAGAGGGUUUGUUGGAAAGGCAUUCUCGGAGAUGACAGAAGGUUAUGUAUGUCUGCCUUGCCAUGGAGGGUGAAGGUCGACAUUUAUAGGAAAUAAUAACCGGUACUGUUCUUUCACUCCUGUCGGCAACCGUUGGAUGAUUGAACAGUAAACUUCACGUGUUUUCUACUUCAACAGAAAUCGUCGACAGAUUUCCCGUGAUUUCCUCAAAGCUGACGAGGCUGAGAAAGACAGAUGGUUGGAAUCGGCGCUUCGACAAAUUGCUCGUGAUUUUCUCAAAGCUUUCUCUGCAUGUGACAAGUGCUGACGAGGCUGAGAGAGACAGGCGCAUCUUCGCUAUCUGAGAUCAAUGCUUCGACAAAUUUUCCGUGAUUUUCGCAAAGCUGAGUUUGCGUGUGACGGGUGCUGACGAGGCUGAGAAAGCUGACACUCUUCGAUAUCUGGAAUCGGUGGUUUGUGAGCAAGCCCAACUUUUGAGAAAGCUGGCCCCUCUUCGAUUUUUGAAUUGGCUUCUUCGAUUUCUGAGCUCGCCUCUUCGAUCUCUGAAAUCCCAUCGCGUGUUGAUUUUUAUAGAGGUAUGCAGGACGUUCAAAGCACACUUGAAUUUCUGCCUAUAAAAACUCCCGUUUGCACUUCUACGAUCUUGACUUGUCCGAUCUCCUCUUUCUUUAACACCUCUGAAAAAUGUCUGGCCCUUCCGACCGUCGUUUUGACUUGAACCUUGGUGAAGAGGCAGCCCCGCCUUCUCCAGACAACAUAUGGCGCCCAUCCUUCAUAUCCCCUACUGGUCCCCUUAUCGUUGGGGAUUCGGUGAUGAAGAAUGAUAUGACUACUGCGGUGGUGGCUAGGAACCUUGUCACUCCCAAAGAUAACAUAUUACUUGCCAAACGGUCUGAUGAGUUGGUUGUUAAGGAAUCUCUGGCUGUCAGUGUGCAGUGCGCAGGUUCCGUGUCCAAUAUGGCCCAACGCCUAUUUACCCGAACCCGUCAAGUUGAAUCAUUGGCGGCUGAAGUGAUGAGUCUCAAGCAGGAGAUUAGAGGGCUUAAGCAUGAAAAUAAACAAUUGCACAAGCUCGCACACAACUAUGCCACAAACAUGAAGAGGAAAAUUGACCAGAUGCAGGAAUCUGAUGGUCAGAUCUUACUUGAUCAUAAGAGGUUUGUGGGCUUGUUCCAACAACAUUUGCCUUCGUCUUCUAGGGCUGUACCGCGUACUGAAGCUCCAAAUGAUCAGCCUCCGCUGCCUCCUCCUUCUGGGGCUCUGCCGACUGCUGAGGCUCCGCCAACUAUUGAGACUUCUCCUAAGCAGCCUUUGUGAAGGCUCCCUCUUGUAAUUUCUUGCUUAAUGUUCCCUUUUUUUCUUUCAUGAAAAUGAAUGUAAGAAUAUCUUGCAUAUCUAUCAAUGUUUCAAAAAUAAACCCACACCCAAAAAUAAUUAAAUAAACAACAAAAAUAAAAAAUGACAAUCAUGGCAAAAUAGAAAUGCAGAAAAGGGAAGGUUUUUAGAAACGCAAAACCGAUUGUGAAGCGAUUCAUAGAUCUUCCUUAUUUGAAUACAUGGGUUGCCUCCCAAGAAGCGCUUGCUUUAACGUCGUGCAGCCAGACGAAGAACGCAAUUCAAAAAUCGAAGAGGCGCCAGCUUUCUCAAAAGUUGGGCUUGCUUACAAACCACCGAUUCCAGAUAUCGAAGAGUGUCAGCUUUCUCAGCCUCGUCAGCACCCCUCACACGCAAACUCAGCUUUGCGAAAAUCACGGAAAAUUUGUCGAAGCAUCGAUCUCAGAUAGCGAAGAUGCGCCUGUCUCUCUCAGCCUCGUCAGCACUUGUCACAUGCAGAGAAAGCUUUGAGAAAAUCACGAGCAGUUUGUCGAAGCGCCGAUUCCAACCAUCUGUCUUUCUCAGCCUCGUCAGCUUUGAGGAAAUCACGGGAAAUCUGUCGACGAUUUCUGUUGAAGUAGAAAACACGUGAAGUUUACUGUUCAAUCAUCCAACGGUUGCCGACAUGAGUGAAAGAACAGUACCGGUUAUUAUUUCCUAUAAAUGUCGACCUUCACGGCAAGGCAGACAUACAUAACCUUCCGUCAUCUCCGAGAAUGCCUUUCCAACAAACCUUCUCGAGUCACUCAGUGUUCCUUAUUCCUUGGGGUACCUCUGCAAACAACCCAUCCAAAGCAAAAGUAUUUCAUAUCUUGAAGGUUGAAAGCAAGAGUAUCUCAUAUCAUGCUUUCUCCCUGUCCUUCUCCUUGUCGUUGUUUUAGGACAAGGAGAAAGUGAGUAAUCAGCCAGCACUUGGUAUCAAUCUUCCGAUCUAGAACCGACUGCCUGGAACCCCUUCCUGAUUGCUUCCCUAGCCUUGCUCUCGAGUACUCAUCUUCAUCAUCUUAUGCUUUCGCUUCGUCUACCGCAUCAUAAGGGAAGUGAAAAUGAUACCUCGAAGCAUGUGGAGACAAUUUGCCAAUUCAUCCUCAGCUAGGGACAAGGAGAAAGAAAGCAAGAGGUCUGUCACCUCUUUCAGCAGAUCCCCUAGCUCGGCGACUUGGGGGACUCCUACUACAUGGUUUGUAUCGCGCUUGACCAAACCUGAAACUACAAGUAAGCGUCAAGUGAAAUUGAUACAUUACCUUGUGCAUCUCCACCAGUUAAAGUUAAAGAUACCACCCCUGGAGGGAGGAAGAGUACUUCCAAAGAAGAUGCCACAUCUACCUAUGAGACAGAUAAGGCAAGUGAAGACGAUACCACACUUCGAUACUUAAAAGUUUCGUGAUUACGAGAUCAUUCUUCCACAAUAUUUCCUAAUGUCAUUUGUAUUAAAUCAUUCACUUGUACUCACUAAAGGAGAGCUUGAACCUAUAUACUGUGUAAACCCUUCACAAUUAAUGAGCUCCUUUACUUCGUAGACGUAGCCAAUCUGGAUGAACCAUGUACAUCUUGUGUUUGCUUCCUGUCUUUAUCCAUUUACAUACUUAUCCACACUAAUGACCGGAGCAAUCUAGCGAAGAUCACAAACUUAAUAUUUAAGAUGAUAUUCUUUGGUGUAUGCUUUUCGCAAACGAUAUAGUGUUGAUAGAUGAAACGCAGGAAGGGGUAAACGCGAAGCUUAACCUUUGGAGAGAAGUGUUGGAAUCUAAAGGUCCUCGCCUAAGCCGAUCAAAGACAGAAUAUAUGGAGUGCAAGUUCAGUGCAAACGGAGGCCAAAAUGAGUUAGGGGUGAGGAUCGGAGAUCAGGAAAUACCAAAGAGCGACCGUUUUCGCUACCUAGGAUUUAUCUUGCAAAAGAACGGAGAAUUUGAUGGAGAUCUCACCCAUAGAAUACAAGCUGGAUGGAUGAAGUGGAAGAGUGCAUCUGGCGUGUUGUGUGACCGUCGUAGGUCACUGAAGCUCAAGGGAAAAUUUUAUAGGACGACAAUAAGGCCGGCAAUGCUGUAUGGCAUAGAAUGUUGGGCGGUGAAGCAUCAACACGUAGGUGUAGUGGAGAUGAGGAUGCUUCGUUGGAUGUGUGGGCACACGAGAAAGGAUAAGAUUAGGAAUGAGGAUAUCCGAGGUAAAGUAGGAGUAGCCGAAAUUGAAGGAAAGAGGAGAGAAAAUUGGUUACGGUGGUUUGGACAUGUGUAAAGAAGGUCUAUUGACGCUCUGGUUCGAAGAUGUGACCACGGGACAGAGGUUCAGGGCCGAAGGGGUAGAGGAAGACUUAGGAAAACUUUGGAAGAGACCCUAAGAAAAGACUUAGAGUACUUGGAUCUAACGGAGGACAUGACACAAAACCGAGCGCAAUGGCGUUCUAGGAUUCAUAUAGCCGACCCCACUUAGUGGGAAAAGGCUUUGUUGUUGUUGUUGUUGUUGGUAGUUUGUUGAUUUUAAUCUUUGUCAUCGUUUACAUAUUUAUGGUUAUUUGUUACCAUUGGUUAAGGAUAUGGUUGAUCUGUUUGUGUUAAAUUUAAGUUGCAUGAUUUUUUAAUUGAGUGGUUGAUGGUUAGGACAUAUUGGUUGUUUGAGAGAGAGAUAAUAGCAAAUUCAGGUUAUUUGUUUUGUGUGUGCUGAUGCGUACUUUAUUUUGGGGGGUCUCUGAUUACAGUGCAGGAAAGGGAAAGAUCUGUAUCUGUGGAUGUCAAAGUGUCCCAAUGGGCCAUCUGUGAAGUUCUUAGUAAAUGCUGGUAAUGUUUCUGUUUUAUUUAUUUGCUUUUCAUGAAGGAUUGGCUUAAUCUCAACUGGGGUUAAGUUUUUUCGAAAAAAUUCUGAUCAAAGAAAAUUGUUUUGUGAUUUAUAGUGCACACGAUGGAGGAGUUGAAGCUUACUGGAAAUCAUCUAAAGGGGUCACGACCUAUUUUGACUUUUUCAUCCAAUUUUGAUAAAGAUGCCCACUGGAAGCUUCUGAAGGAAAUGAUCACUCAGGCAUGUUCAUUUUGCUUCCUCUUUUAUGUAGUUGUAAACAUUCUCCUGUUCAUGCCCUGCUUGAUUCUUGUGAUCAGUUUGCAUCGUUCAUUUAGAUAUUUUUGAACUUUGUGCUACAGCAUAUGUUAUUCUGUUUCUUAUUAAACUUUCGUUCUCAGAUUUUUGGCAUUCCCAAGGAGCACAGAAAAUCUAAACCCUAUCAUGAUCAUGUUUUUGUAUUCUCUAUCGUUGAUGACCACAUUUGGUUCCGAAACUAUCAGGUACUAUUUUUUUUUUUUAAUUUAUAGUAUUUGUUGAACAUAGUUGUGAUAUGACUUGCAUCGUUUCAUUUAAUAUUAGAAUUGAUUUUAGGGGGUAAGCUUUCUGCUCAAAAAUAUAAAUUUUGGUGGCUUUACAUUUUUUAGAGUUUAGAUGCCAGUGUUGCCCUUGUGCUGGCAGUGUAGAUGCUCAAUAAAAGAAAAUGUGUUUCAUGUAUGAUGUUAUACUUCUAAAACUUUUCAUUUGCACCAUACUGUAACUGUAACAUUGUUUUCUCCACUUAGGAUGCUAUAUUAUUUACCAAUCAUUCAUGAAUGUAUGAAGAGUUUGAUAGUUUUCUUUAGAUUCCAGCUCAUUUGUCAAAAUUUGUUUGUGUCUCUUUGCAAUAUCGCUGCCUUUUAGUAGCCAUCUGAAAAUAACAGUUAUUCAAAACCCAGAAAUUAACAAUUCUAGUUACCAUUUUUUUUUGGUCAAGGAUUAGUUACCAAGAAUUGGAAGGUAUGUAGACAUCACCCUUUAAAUUGGUUUGUUUCACUUUUACGGGAUAUCCCAAUAUUCUCAACAAGUAGUCAAAAGGGUUAAUAAGUGGAUGGGGGAGGAAUAGUAAGGGGGGAUGAAGGAAUAUUAUGAUAGUUUAUCUUUUUGGUGGAUAUCUUUUUAAUGGAUGGCUGACCAAUAACAGCCCUAUGAAUUAAAAUUGGUGGCCAUUGGCAGUCCCAAUUGUACUCUACACCCCCACCCCCACCACCCACCAAAUACCACAUUUUUCAAGCCAUCCCCCAUCCUUCCCAUAAUACUCCUAAAUCCCAUCCUAAUCUGUUUAGUUCGCUUUGAAUGGAUAUGAGUCCAUGGUAUAAAUUUUCAUUCAGGGCCGGUCACUAGCCUUCCUUGGGAACCCUUGGAGGCUAAAUCUGGCCUCUUGUGUGAAGCCAGUUAAGGGAACCCAAGGCACAGCCUCCGUUUAUCUUUUGGCUCUUUAAAAGUUUAUUUUAAGGAAAACUAAUGAAAAGGGCUUGAAAACUUUGAGUUUUAAUGAAAAGGACAAAAAUGUGUUGUAAGUGAAUAGUAUCGGAUUGACUUUUUAGAGUAAAAAUGUGGUUUUUCGUUAAAGUGAACAGUAUUGGGAGCUUUUCGGUAAAGUUCCCUAUUUUAAGCAAGUAUAUAGUUGGUUUAUUAGUUUACUGAAGUGUGGUUGGGAAUUGCUUGAUGAGUGCUGACAAUAGUGCCAACCUAAGUUUCUUGUAAAACAGUGAUGAAGCUAAAGCUAAGGUAUAUAUAAUAAUGCUACAUGAAUUUUUUAAAUGACCACCGUAGUUUUCUGGAGGCAUAAUGCAUAUCAAAAUUAGGUUGUGCAGCUUCUGCAAUAGAAAAGGCUUAUAAAAGAGCAUAUGUCAAACCAUCCAUGUUCUAGAAACAGUGUGGUAGUAUUUUCAAGUAACUUCUGAAUUAUGAUUUGCCUAAUAUUAUACUUCGUAUGAUUUUCUAGUACCAUAUUAUGUUUGUGUCUACGCAGAUGCACUAUUUGUUUUCCAUAUAUUUGUAAAAAUGACGUUGUUUCUAGAAAAUAUCGCUGCUUUUUAUCUUGACCUUUUUUGCUCUUUAAAUUGCAGAUAUCAGUUCCUCAUAACGAAUUGGAUAAAAUAGCUCGAGGAGGCUUAGAUAAAAUGACCCUUGUUGAGGUUCGUAAUGGUGCUUUUCUCCUUAGUCUAUAUAUUAGAGUAUCUGUGACGUUUUAACUCUGAACUGGUUGUAUGUAUGUUGGACCGCAAUGUUUCCUCCUUAGUCUAUACCAUUGUAUCUGUGAUGACAUUUUAACUCAGAGAACUGGUUGUAUAUAGGUUGGACCGCGAUUUUGUUUGAAUCCUAUCAAGAUAUUUGGUGGCAGCUUUGGAGGUCCAACACUAUAUGAGAAUCCAUUUUACAUAUCACCCAAUCAGGUUAGAUAUAUACAUAGCACAUUGAAUUGUUGAUUUCGUUAUCUAAUUAUUUGUGUUCAUGGAUGAGCAUUGAUCCUCGUGUCUAACGGUUUGUAAGAGAGUUUGUACUGACAUACGAAAGAAUGGCCUGUCCCGUUAAAUCAAGCCAAUAAAUGACACUAGAUUUUAGUUCUGUGAGAUUGUAUUUUUGAAACGUUUGUUUUGAGGUUCUUGGUAAAUCUAACCAUGUACGAUCAUAACAUCGUUUACUGAUGGAAUCAUUUUGUGAUGCUUUCAGAUUCGAGCAAUGGAGAAAAAGAAGAAGGCUGGGACCUUUGUCAAGAAAGUCAAAGCAAAGACAAGGAGAAAAAUGCAUGAGCUUGAAAAUCCACUGGAGCCUGAUGAGUUUUCUGAGAUGUGGAAGGAAUGAAAUUUUUCGUACUACUAGAAAUCAAAAUUUAAAAUUUUAACUCAUGUUGUAUCGUUUAAUCAAGAAGGCAGAUUUUUUUAUUACAACUGCCCAUGCUCUUUCAAAUUCUGCCUGAACUUGAUUACCUUAUAUAUGCAAGUUGGCUUUGUUUCUUGCACUUUUGUGCAUUUUGGAAUUUUUUUUGUUAACAAUAUUUGCGCAAUUCAGCUAGACUGGAGAGAUGAAGUUGCGUCAACAACUUCAUCUUGUAAAUUGGAUUAGAAUUUUUAAUUCGCCAUUACAAUUUCCGUUUUAAAUUCAAAAUUUCUUGAAUCCAAUUUCUUUAAUCCCAACAAUUUAAAAUAAAUUGUACGUAAAUUGUGAGAUUUUUAAAUUCGAUCCGAAUUUUUGUGAAAUGUUCCAAAUUUACACUAAUCAAAAGAUUCCAGAGUUGAUUACAACUUACGUGCUUUUUUAAAAAUUGCUGUCUAAAGAAGCAUUUCCACAUCAGGGUGUUCUAAAUUUUAUGUUGUCACCCAUGUAUGAAUUAUAACUUUGCUAUCAGAGAUUCAUAAGCAAAAGUGCUUAUGAGUGCUCGUGUUUCCAAGAAAAGCAUUUCCAAACUGGCCUCGAGUAAAAUUUCACUUUUAGGUUAUGCUUCAACAGAAAAAGAAAACUUUCAUAAGCCAAGUGAAAACUUCAAGCUCUACAUAUUGAAAGGAAAAAACUUCUACAAGCUGAAAUGGUAAAAAAUUAGAGAGACAAACGACUAAAUAAGACCAAAGUUAUGCUUGAGCCGUAGUGGUGAGUGACAAAGCAAAGCACCGAUGACACUUUUCGUCCUAAUGGGAGGCCCAAUCAGUCCAGUUGGCCUCACUUCCGACACGUGGUAUGCUGUUGACCCUUGUGUAUUUAUCCACUUUGAAGUUAGCCCCACACAUUGCCCCUUCACUAUCUACCCUUGGCAUUGCCUUCAUCUUGUUCAUUGGAUGCUCAAAGCUCAUCAAUCCUCCCUCACUAUGAAACAUGCAUCCUACACAACAAUUGCUCAAAAAUUACAAGUUAGAAAUUAUAACAAAUGCAAGUAUAUCGUCUAAAUUAUUGCAAUUCGCUAAAACCUCGACCCUACUUGAUGUACAAGUAACAUUGAUCUCAAGUCAGAUUCAUUUUUUAAACAUAGGAUCUCAAAUGCGAGAUAAAAGCGAUAACAAUUUGUUACAAAUCCCCUGUAGACCUAAACGUAGUUUGGUUUACCAUAUAAGCAAAGCUUUUAGCAUGAGGUACCUUUUGGGAAGGGAGCAAAUGAUUUAGCACAACCCUCUUUUAUGACCUCCAAUUCAUCAGAAAUUACCACAGAUCCAUCCGCUGCAAUACCCCAAUAGAGCUGCUCUCCACCAUCAGAACCCUAAAAUCACAGCAUACAAAAUUAUCAACUUCAUAUAAGAUCCUUAAUAGAAUGAUCCAUUUAAUUUUUCCAAUUCAAAAUUUCAAAAAUCUUGCAGAUAAAAUUAAGGUAACUUAAAAAAUGAUUUCCGCAACCCUUGUUACUUUUGUUCAAUAACUUUUCUAUAAUUUAUUCAAUUCAAAGAGAAAAAGGAUGUACAUGAAUUAUUUUCCUCACAUACCAGUGCGGCAAAGACAUUGCCACCUUUGCUGUCAUAGACAACAAAGGCAAAGCUUCCAUCAAGAUCUUUGACAACCUGAUCAGCUGGGUACGGACCGCGAUCUCGAAGGGUUCUAUAAGCUUCAAUCACAAACAUGGCCUCAUUCGUGCAUUUUGUUAGACCAUACUGCUUAUUCAGUGAACACAGAUUGUUCAAGCUCCCCAAAAACAAGCAGUAUAUGUCAUCAAACCCACAAAACAACCUGAAAUUUCACCAAACCCCAAAACAUGUUAAUUGCUUUGAAAUUUAAAAAAAAACGAGGUAAUGGUAAAAUUAAUCAAGAUUAACAUAUUAUAAUUUGAUUUGAUUGGAAUAUUUGUUAGCACUCCAAAACCCUAAUCCUGCACUUUGACACGUGCAAGAAGUGAGUGUUAAUAAAAGCUCCUGAAUCUGUUAGUUUACCUCGGGUGUUUUGAGUAAGAGCCUUGGUCUGGCUUGACGUAAGCAAGGACAGCAGCAUGGCCAAAUCCCAUGGAGAAGGAGUUGUGAGGAUGGUGGGAGAGGAAGUCUGUGAGAGUCUCUUCCGGGUGCUUAGGCUUCUUGCUUCCGUUGUAAGAGGCAGGACUGUUUAGCUCCUCCGGUGGAUGAGCAAAAGCCUUAUGGAAAAUGGCCAACAUUUUUCCCGAUCAAAACUAAAUGCUAAUACCUAGUUUAUGAUCUUAAUAUUUUAUUUUUGUUUUGUCACUUUUAUAAGUGGGGUUUUUGGGAUGCAGUGGAUGCAAUGAGUGAGGCUGGUGGCGGGUUUAUAUAGUUGUUGGGGCGUGGAUCUUAGUGAGUGUGUGAUGGAUAAGAUUCUCGUACUUCUAGGUAGUCUUAUCCUUUUCGGGUGGCGGUAUUAUAUAUACUUUUUAAACUACGAUCAUUCCGUAAGAAAUCUCGUUCACACAUAUAAGUUUAUGUUGACGUAAUGAUAAAACGUUUAAAUGUAAAUAUCAACUUUAUUAGGAUAAUAAGACGUCAUCCAUGUUUUAUUAAUCAUAAUUCUAUGGUCUCGUUUGAUGUUUAAGAUUGGUCUGAUUUUGACAACUCAUUGAUUUUAAUGUACCUUGAGUAUAAAUUUAAGUGUUAAUUUAUAUAUAUUUGUCCAAGUGAAAAUAUAUGUAGUGCGACACUUAUAUUUUUAUUCAACAUUCAUUAAAGGGUAAAUUACAUAAUAGCCCAUCAGGUUUGAGGUCUAUUACAAUCUCAUACAACAUCUUUAAAACAUUUCACUUUCGUACCUCAAGUACUAUUUUAUUUCAAAAUAAUACAUCCGUUAUAUUUUCCAUCCAUUGAUCAGUUAAGUGCUGACGUGGCUGCCAAAUGUAUGCCACGUGGCAAAAAUAAUAAUUUUUUAUUUUUAUUUUUUGAAAAAUCUGAAUCUUCUUAAAAACAUAAAAAAAAAAAAAAAAAAACCAAUACUUAGAAAAUGCAGAACCACCCUCGCAACCUCUCCCUCCCAACCACCUCCCUCUCCUCCACUCUCUUCACCUCCCCUCCCAUAAAAAAACCCACCCCACCCCCACCUUCCCCUAGCCCUUUCUCCUCUUCACCCCCACCCCCUUUCUCCAUUCUUUCAUCUGUAACCUCACCCACAACAUUCCAACAUAUUCAAAUCAUGAAAUUAAAUAACAAUUUUCUCAAUUCAUACACAGAAAUCCAAGAGUUUGACCUUAGGGACAACAACCACCAUUCCUUGAAGCUCUGGAGUGAGGACGACAGAGACUACGACAAACAUCACAGUCGUGAUGCCGACAAAAAGCGAUCGUCAAAGGACUCCGAUUACCACCACCACCACCACCGAUUGGACCGCGAUUCCAAGCGCGAGAUCUCUUGCGAGCCCUGAGACCGCAAAUCUCGUCGUGAACGAUAAGCGAGCCGAGCGACGACGAUCGGGAUGUCUCACGCAACCACCAUGAACUGUCCUACGAGCCGAGGGUCGAUAGGGAAGGGAGCAGAGAGAGGUCUAGGCAUCGGGAAGCGAAGCACAAGAGGUCAAAGGAGCGAGAAGAAUCGAAGUUUAGAUGGGAUUGGGGUUUUUUUUUCCUCUAGGUUGCAGGUACGGGGGUCAGGGGAAGAAGAUGAAGAUGGGGGAGAUGAGAGGGGGGCGAAGGGGACGACGAGAAGAGCCUUUGCGAGGUUGGGUGAGGUGGGUCGUCUGGGAGAGGGGGUGUGUAAGUUUUUGGGUUUUUGUGUGUGGGUGUGGAGGGAGGGGAAGGGGGGUUCAACUUUUGCUUUUGCUUUUAAUUUUUUUAAAAAUUUUUUUUUUUAAAAAAGAUUCAGAUUUUUCAAAAAAUAAAAAUAAAAAAUUAUUAUUUUUGCCACGUGGCAUACAUUUGGUAGCCAUGUGGCACACAAUUGGCAGCCACGUCAUCACUUAAAGAAUCAAUGGAUGGAAAAUGUAAAUGAGGUAUUAUUUUGAAAUAAAAUAGUACUUGAGGUAUGAAAGUGAAAUGUUUUAAAGAUGUUGUAUGAGGUUGUAAUAGACCUCAAACCUGAGGGGCUACUAUGUAAUUUACCCUUCAUUAAAUCUAGUAAAUUGUCCAAAUGGUACCAAUUAUAUACAUAAAACGAGCCUUAUAAUCAUUAUGUAAUAUUGAGUGUAUACCUGGAUGACUAUAUUAUAACCUUAAUUUUUAUUGUAAUCCAUGAAACUUAACAUUUAACUGAGCACCAUAUGAAGUAUGAAAAUAAUUAAAAAUGAUAUGUGAUUUCGCAACCCGCACUAAAAUAUUUACUUUUUUAAUUAAAAUAAGGGCAGAAUUUCCAUAUAUAAAAGCUAUUUUUGGCCCCUGUUGUUUGCAAACUUGCAAUACCAUGGGAGCAGUAGCUGCAUAACUUGACUUGUUGUAAGCAGAAACGAGUAUAUUUUGGACGGUUCUUUGAAUUUAAUAAGUUUUGAGAUAUUAUUGUCUUCACCUUUUCUUUUUCCUUUGACAAGGAAUUGAGUUGCGUGAGAGCUUGGUAAUUGUAAGGAAUAUUUUGUUCCAUCAACUCUCGAGUUACAAUUUUAUAGCUGAAAAUCAGCUAUCAUUGGUUUUUUGGGAGUUUUUUUAGUUUAAGUACUAAUUAUACUAAAAUUUUUAGCUAAAAUAUCAUAUUUUAAUCUGGGUACAAUGGAAAGAUCAACAAAAAAAUUAUAGUUGUACUAUUAUAAUUCAAAAUAAUUACCGGAUUGCUAGUCAAUCCUAUCAUGUUUUCCGACUAGUUUAACUUUUUUCAAAGAUCGACCCAUCAAUUCUUCCCGCGAACGGACGAUCAGUUUUUUCGAUCUAAAGGUCACUGCCCAAUAGUGACUUUCAAAAAAUACAUGUGUAGUAUUGAUUUUUCUCAUUCGUUCUUUUAAUUUUUAUUUUUUGCACCUACAUGUGAAGAAACAAUAAACUCACAUAAUAAACAUAAUUAAAGAUAAAAAAGUUAAAUUUCUAUUUUUUUAUGUAAUUGUUGAACGAUGAAUUGAAUUUUUUUCCGACAUCAAUGAUGGUGAAUUUUGGACAAUGGCGACGGUGCCUGUGAGUCAUGUGUGUAAACCUUACUGUAAUAUAAUGAAGAAGAAGAAGCAAUGAAGAAGAGAAGAACAGAGAGUUUUGAGAAGAAGAAAGAGAUAGAGAGAGAUUUCAAUGAUCAAUACUCAAGAAUUUCAUUACAUUUACUGUUCGAGAUCAUUACAUACUUAUAUUCUUUUUCAUACUAAAACUAAUCUCUUAAGCUGUCUUGUAACUACCUAAUCUAACAACCUUUCUUAUCUAAUGACAAGUGGCAUCUUAUUAAUCAUUGGAUCACUAUCCUCAACAUCCCCCCUCAAGCUCAGGAGAUGAGCAAUCGAGCAUGAGGUUGUUGCAGUGCAUCUGAAAUAGUGGAGCAGAAAGUCCCUUGGUUAAAAUGUCAACAAACUGUUCACUAGACAUAACAAAUUGAACUUGAAGCAACUUUUUAGCAACUUUUUCUCUCACAAAAUGGAUGUCCACCUCAAUAUGUUUAGUUCGCUGAUGCAAAACUGGAUUACAAGAUAACGCUAUCGUAGACAUAUUGUCACAUAAGAGAACAGGUGGAGUAGGAAUUGAAACUUUGAGAAAAUCAAGUAGUUGUUUAAUCCAAUCAAGUUCAGCUGCAAUAGUUGAUAAGGCUCUGUAUUCAGCCUCUGUGGAUGACCAAGAGACUGUUUGCUGCUUCUUAGAAGACCAAGAGAUGAGAUUAUGACUAAGAAAGACCACAAACCUGUUGUUGAUCGCCUGUCAUUGGGGUCACCAGCUCAAUCAGCAUUUGAAAAAGCAUGUAAAUCCAUAGAACCUUUCACAUAUUUAAUCCCAAGCUUGACAGUACCCUUAAGAUAUAUGAGGAUCCUUUUUAUUGCAAUAUAGUGUGAUUCCAUAGGUUUGUGCAUGAAUUGACACACAUGAUGCACUGCAAAUGCUAUAUCCGGCCUUGUAAAAGUUAGAUAAUGUAAAGCACCAACUAUACUUCUGUAAAGUGCAGGAUUGUUGAGUGGUUGCCCAUCAUCCAAUAGCAACCUAUUAUAUGGUAAACAAGGUGUUGCAUAGAAUUUAGAGUCUAACAUCUCAGUUUUUGUAAGUAGAUGAGUAACAUACUUUGCUUGUGAUAGAAGCAAACCAUCUGCCUGUUUGAUAAUCUGAAUCCCCAGAAAAUAAUGUAGAGGGCCUAAAUCCUUGAUUUCAAACUAUUUGGUUAAUGCAGCAAUAACAUCAUUGACAACAGAGAUAACAUUCCCAGUAAUUAUUAUAUCAUCCACAUAUAAUAGUAGAAUCACAACUGAAGAACCAACUUGCUUCACAAAGAGAGAUGAAUCUGCAUAAGUUGUAUCAAAACCAACAGAUGGGAGGAAGCUAGUGAAUUUUUCAUUCCAAACUAUGGGAGCUUGCUUAAGACCAUACAAAGACUUAUGGAGUUUACAAACAUAAUCUGAAUGACGAGAAUCAAGAAAUCUAGGUGGUUGAGACAUAUAAACCUCCUCCUGUAAAAUCCCAUGAAGAAAUGCAUUCUUCACAUCUAAUUGCCUUAGUUUCCAACCAAAAUUAGCUGCCAAGGCCAACACAAGUCUCAUAGUAGUUGGUUUAACUACUGGACUAAAAGUUUCCCCAUAAUCAAUGUCUUCUUCCUGAUUAAAACCUUUAGCAACUAGCCUAGCCUUAUAUCUCCCAAUAGUUCCAUCAUCAUUCUUCUUAAUCUUGAAUACCCAUUUACAUCCAACCAAGUUUUUAUUUGGAGGUAAAGGUACCAAGGUCCAUGUGCCCUGAGAGUAUAAUGCAUACAACUCUUCCUUCAUUGCAUGGAACCAAACUUCACUCUUUAAGGCUCACUUGUAUGUGGCGGGUUUGACCAUUGAUAAAUCUACUCCACCAUUCUCACAUAUUACUGCUAAGAGAGCCAUUUUCUUGGAAAUUCCACUUUUUGAGCGAGUUUGCAUUGGAUGCAAGUUUAAUGGAGGAAUAGGAAGAACCACUUGUAGUCUCUCCGGUUGGAAAUCAGGAGUCACAAGGAUAGUAGAGGAGGAUGAAUGUUCAAUUGCAGUAAUGGAUUGUGGUGAAUGUUGUAGUACUGGAGGAUCGAGACUGGUGAUAUGGAAACAGGUAGUGGAGAAUCUGGUGGUGUUGAAAGUUGUACUAAAUGAGGUUCAUGAGAACUAGAGUAUGAUGACAUGACAUUUGAUGAGUUAUUCCCUUUUGAACCAGAAAAGAUUGAAAUUUUUUUCCUUUGUAUUCACCCCCACCAUCACUUUGUAAUGUUUUAAUGGAUAUAGAAAAUUGAUUUAACACAAACUGAUAAAAGGCAACAAAGAUGGAACAAACAACUGCUUUAUUAUUGAUAGGAAAAAUCCAACAGUAUUGUGUACACUCAUCUAUGAAGGUAACAUAGUAUUUAAACCCUUCUAUAGAGAGACAAGGAGUAGGGCCCCACACAUCACUAUGAACAAUCUUAAAAGGUGUAUUAGAUUUUGACAAGGCAGAGGCAAAAGGCAAUUUACUAAAUUUUACCUCUAAGCAUGUAGAACACAACAUUGGAGAAGAAUCUGGUUCUAUAUGUAUGUUGGAUUUCUUAAGAAUAAGAGAGACUAUAGAGUUAGAAGGAUGACCUAAUCUGUUAUGCCAUAGGCAGGAGCUAAUUUGAUGACCAAGAUAUGCAGCAACUGGAAAAAUUUGUUUGGGGUAUGCAGGUCUUGUAGGUAUAGGAAUGGGGUACAAUCCAUUAUUAUAGAGGCCUUUGAACAGUACUUCCCCUGUGACUUUGUCCUGAAUCCAAAAACAAAAAGCAUCAAAGAUUAGCCAACAGUUGUUGUCAAGGCAUAUUCUAUGUACUGAGAGUAAGUUUUGAGUGAGUUUAGGCACAUAAAGCACAAAAUUCAGCUUUAAUUUGUGAGCAGAAGUUUGUAAAACAGUAGAGCCCACAUGAGACACACUCAGACCUUCACCAUUAGCAGUCUGAAUCAUUUAUGUGGAUGGAUAUGGUGUAGUUAGAGACAAAUUGCUCAGAUCAGUAGUCAUAUGGUUGGUAGCACCUGAAUCAGUAAGCCAUACUUGCUGUGAAUUCACUUGUUGUCCCAAAGUUGGUGUUGAAGCAUUAACAUGAUACACAUUCAUAGAUGGUUGAGAAGAUGGACCAUUUGAAUUCCUGAAAUGGAAAACUGAGCACUAUGGUUUCUUUUUCCACAGAUUUGGCAACCUGAAGCCAAGUGACCAUAUUUACCACAUAUUGGACAUGGUGACACUUGAGAAUUGGAUGAAGAAUAUUGACUUUGUGGAGAAGAACCAAGAAUCCCUCGAGUGGAAUUGUUGUAAAACUGUUUGCCAUUGACAAAUUUAGAAUUAGAACUAUACUGAAAUUUCCCUUUUCCUUUGUUCUUAUUAUAGAAAGGUCUAUAACCAAAGGAGUUAUAACCAGAUGAAUUACCAUCAGAAAAACCACUUGAUUGAUCUCCAGAAUUGGAAUUAGUCCCAAAUUUCGACCCUUUAUCAUUAAAUUGCAUAUCCGUAUCUCGAGCUACCAUAGCAGACAUGAAAUGAGUAGCAGAUACAUUUGCAAGCAUUGCUUCCUUAGCAAGUAGUUGAGAUCUGAGAUCCUUAAGAGAAAUUACAUUAUCUCUUCCUCUAAUGAUAGAACGAAUAAUAUUGAACUCAGCAGGUGAACCAUUUAGAGUAAGGAUUACUAUAUCAUCAUCAUCAAAUUUCACAGCCGCAGCAGAUAAGUAAUCUCUAGUUUUUUUAUCCGUUGCAAAUAUAAAGAAAUUGAAUCAUUACCCUUUUUGAUAUUCUGAAGUUCGGAUUUUAAUUGAAAGAUACUGGUACGAGUCACUGUGGAAAAUUGUUCUUUUAGGCGAUUCUAGAUAUCUUGAGCACUUGUACUACCAAUAACACAUGAGACAACAGGUGGUGAAAGGGUAGCAGUGAUCAAUUGCAUAAGUGCUAGAUCGUGCAUCUUCCAAAUCUUGAAAUCCUCAGAUUUGACUUGGGUGGAUAAAGUGCAAGAAUUGACCUCUGAACCAUUAGAUGCCGCAACAAGAAACCUUGAAGGACAAGGCAUGGACCCAUCAACAAACCCCAUAAUUCCAUGACCUUUGAGCAUCAAUUGAACUUGAAAAAAUCCAAGUCAAGUAGUUGGAUUCAUCAAGCUUGGCUGUCACAGAACUAAAAACUGUGGAGAUGAGAGCCGUAAUCGAAGACUGGACAAUCUGUAGUUGAGAAGAUGUCACCAUUGUUGAACAAUUCGAAUUUCAAGAUCUCAUAAACUUUUUAACAAACACUUGGUGUGCAAGAAAUUAAUUCUUGCCUAAUCAAUGCUGAAGAAUAAAAAAAAAAAAAAUCAAAGAACUCGAGAAAAAAUGAAUUAGGAUCAGAGAAAGAGGAAAGAUAUAGAGCGGAAGCAAUAGAAUCAAGAUCGAUCACCGAGCGAUUAGCAAUUCCGGCGAUGAUACCAUGUAAACCUUACUGUAAUAUGAUGAUGAAGAAGAAGCAAUGAAGAAGAUAAGAACAGAGAUAGCUUUGAGAAGAAGAAAGAGAGAGAUAGAGAGAUUUCAAUGAUCAAUACUCAAGAAUUUCAUUACAUUUACUAUUCGAGAUCAUUACAUACUUAUAUUCUUUUUCAUACUAAAACUAAUCUCUUAAGCUAUCUUGUAACUACCUAAUCUAACAACCUUUCUUAUCUAAUGACAAGUGGCAUCUUAUUAAUCAUUGGAUCACUAUCCUCAACAAUGUGCAGGGAGACAUAUAAAUGUUUUAGCCCCACACAUUGUGGCUUAAGUUAAAUAGAAUAAGUUGAGUUUGAUAGUUUUCUUAAAAUUAGUAUUUUUUUUCGUUAAACCUAUGUUCAACUUAGUAUUUAAUUCUAUUUUUUAUUAUUUUUAGUAGAACGAUAUCAUUAGUAGGUUAGACAAUCAAUUGUUAGAGGAAAAGAAAGCCAUGAAAAUCGAACUCACAUCAAGAUACACAUACAUAUUUACUUUCUGCCACUACGGUACAUACAUCCCUAUUUGCUAGAAAGGCGACCCUUAUGUGGGAUGCUUUGAAAAGCAAUGAUUUCUUGAGAUAUCAGUAGAGAUAAGUGUUCAUUUCUUGUGAUUAUAUUGAGUAUAAAAUUUGGCUUUUUGACAAUUUUUUAUUUUUUUGUCGAACAAUAGAUUUGUUAUAUUAAUGUUAAUUAUAUGUUUGAUGUAUGCUCUUCAACUUUGUGGUUUAUAUAUUGUAUCAUGGGCUAUUACUGUCUUACUGUUGGACUACUAACAUUUGGGAUAGCACUUACAUUGGGUUUUGUCACAAGAAAGCUUACAUAUAAAUUCUCCACCCAUAUGAGUGAUGAUCGAUGAGGUAUGUUUUUUUUGUUUUUUCAAUUUCAUUACUAUUAAGAGGAUGGGAGAGGGUUGAAAAUUAUUAUAAUAAUUUAUAGUAGGGGUGGUUUCAAAUUCGGGAUUCAUGAAGGGAAACCCAACACGCUAUUCAUUAAGAUGUUGGACUACAUGCAGUGGUGGAUUUAGGAUUUGAAUCUGAAGGGUCCCAAUGUUAAAGGUCUAAGUUUUCUAGAUAGAAACAUAGCACAAUACGUACAAAAACAAUUUUAGAGUAUUCACAGAGGCAUUUUAUCGAACAAUUGUUGGGCUUGUUAUCGUCAGUCGAACCAUGUUGUGCAUACGCUAACAGAUAUUGACAUUUGUUGAAGCAAUUUGAUGAGUGCUACCAAGAGCAUUUGUUGAGUGUUGACGACGAGACCUGACGAGUGUUGUCGAGAUAUGCCUAGCAUGGAUUACAUCAAACAUUUGGUGGGCAUGAAAGGGACUCGUACCACACAUUUAGAGGGUCUCCAAGAACCUUCACAUGAUUGGGAUUGGUACGGUUACCAUAUCAAAAUCCUUGUGCCAGUUACCAUACAAAUUUUUGGUAAAGAAAAAUCUAGUACUAUUAUCUAGCACCAUUACCAUACCAAAUUUUGGUAUUGCCAUAAAAUUCGGUUGACAUGGUAUGAUAAUAGUAUUGUACCAAUUUGGUAUUCGGCUAUUUUUGUGGGGGGCCAAAAAUGUUUUUUGUUUCAUUUUUUUGUCAAGCAAUAGCUAGCCCACAUAUUAAGAUGAAGCUCAAUAUCAUCAUUAAUUUUUUCAUAUAAUCUAAUAUACCUAUAACCUAGCACGAAGAUUCAUUAUUAUUUCACACACAUUUAUAAAGUCAAAUUAUUAUUUUAAUUGUGGCCACUCCUACUACUUUACCUUAAAUAUCCUCGUUCUUAGUCCUAUCCUUUUUGUGUGCCCACACAUCCAACGAAACAUUCUCAUUUAUGCUACACUCACUUUUUGCAUGUGUUGCUUUUUGACCGCCCAACAUAUCGUGCCAUAAAGCAUUGCCGACCUUAUUGCCGUAAUAUAUAAAUUUUUCUUGAGCUUUAGUGGCAUACGACGAUUGCCCCAUACACCCGAUGCAUUCUUCCACUUCAUCCAUCUAGCUUGUAAUCAAUGGUUGCGAUCUCCAUCUAAUUCUCUGUUAUUUUGCAAUAUAGGUCCAAUAUAUCGAAAGCGUUCACUCUUUGGUACUUCCUAAUCUCCAAUCCUCACCUUAGUCUCAUUGGACUCUCAUUCCCACUGAACUUGGACUCAUAUACUUUGUUUUUUACCUACUUAGGUGAAGACUUUUAGAUUCCAACACUUCCCACCAAAUGUUAAGCUUCGCAUUUACUUCCUCUUGUGUUUUAUCUAUGAGCGCUAUAUCAUCUACGAAAACAUACAUCAAGGGAUAUCAUUUUGAAAUUUGUCAUGUUAACUCGUCUAUUUUUUGCCAAUGCAAAAAGAUAAAGACUUAAAGUUGAGCCUUGGUGUAAUCUUAUGGUUAUAGGAAAGCUUUCGGUUUGCCUUUCAUGAGUUCUUAUUGUAGUUCUCGCUCCAUCAUACAUAUCCUUUAUUACUUGGAUAUAUGCUAUUUGUACUCAUUUCUUCUCUAGAAUCCUCCAAAGAAUUUCUCUUGGUACUCUAUCAUACAUUUUUUUCCAAACCUAUAACAGCCAUGUGAAAAUCCUUUUUCAUAUCUCAAUAUUGCUUAAUCAAUCUUCGCAAGAGAUAAAUUGCCUCCAUUGUCAAGCACCCUGGCAUGAACUCGAAUUGGUUAUGUGAGACACAUGUCUCUUGCCUCAGUCUAUGCUCAACUACUCUCUUAUAGAGCUUCAUUGUAUGACUCAUUAACUUAAUGCCCAUACAUAAUAGCCUCUUUCCACACGCCUACACAUGCGACAAUUGACUUUUUGUAUUGUCUUAGUUUUAUUUAUUUUAGAUAUUAUUGUUUUUUGUCAUUUCAAAAUGAACUUACUAACCACUUUACAUGAUUUUUUUUUAAUUUUUUUAAUUAUGCAUAUGCUUCACCCUUUUUACUUUCUCUCUUACUAUUAUAGAUAAAUAAUUAAAUACUCAAUAUAUAAAUAUUCUAUAUUGUACAUAAAUACUUUGGGUAUUGGUUUUGAACACCAAUACCACACCAAAUAUCUUCAAGUCAGUACAAUUACUGUACCAUUAUCAUUUGACACAAAAUCGGUAUGGUAUGAUAGAAUGGCAAAAAAAUUCACCCCUAUUACUUGUGCAACACGCAUUAGGGGUGAACUUGCUUUAUAUGUCUGCAAAACCAAUAGUGGAGGAAAAAGAAAUACUCAUAAUCACUUAAGCUACAACUAAGUUGAGUGCAUAGCUAAAUACUUUUACCAAACGUACAACAAAUUCAAAAUAUUGAUUUACGCCUACGGGGGUUGUUUGCAUUGUUAAGGAUCAUUUUCUUUGUUAGAUCAAUGUCUAUGUUUGAGUCCAUUCAUUGGCAAUCCCUUUUGGUGGACGAUUUGUAAAAACCAAAAAGGAGUUAAGACCCUCUAUGUAAGCCCUUAAAGAAACUUAUAAUAUGCCUUGGCCUUUAGAUGGGGUAGUAUCCUCUCACCCUAAACUUUUUGUAACCGACAAAACAAAUUUAAGGAAUGAUCAUAUGGUUUGAUAAAAGAAAAAUAAUACGAAUUUAACUUCUCUCAACACGCCCAUACAUCCAACAAGCUCAUGGAGAAGAAGCCGCUGAUUGAGGCCAAGAGCACCUUUCAUAGCCUGCAUGCCUUGCUGGUGCUGCAAUUGUUCUGCUACUUGUCUAUAAUUGGCCACUUAAACUUUUUUUUUUUUUCCUGGUAAACUAGACAUUCUUGGUUUAACAAAACGCCAAAGCUACAACGAAAGUCCAGAAAGAGGACUAACCAAGGAGAAGAACAAACAUUUCCUACAAAGAUAGACAAAGGGUGAAUAGGGGUUGCAAGGAAACCACGAGCUAGUGGUCCUGUGGUAAAUGACGGAUUUUGAGACUUCAUUUAAACUAAAAACUGGAGGUCUCGGGUUCAACAUCUGCUGCUAGUGUGGAAGCCAGAUUUGUGACCAGCAGGAAGCUGAAGUGCCUCUGUGAGUCUUGUCACCAGUUGUCCCCAUUUUUUAAAGAAAAAUAAAAUAAAAAGAGGAGUUACUAGAACAAACAUCUUUUUUGCCAAUAUCAAUGCAUGCCACGUUCAUCAGUUUCAACACUUAAACUUGGUUAAGUAACAAUUAAUUACCAAUUUAAUAGCUUAAUAAAUCCAAGGACAUAACUCAUGAAUAAAUCCAAGGACAUAACUCAUGAUACAACUCUACAACAAAUUAAUGUAUUUACCAAUUAAAUAGCUUUCCCUUCUUCGUCUCCUGCAUCACUUGUCCUAUAGGCAUGUUUGGCGACAAUUUGUUGCUCAUUUUGGACAAGCAUCUAAUGUCGCAUUUUCAACACUUCAGCUUGAUUAAUUAACAAUUAAAUGCCAAUUCAAUAGCUUAAUAAAUCCAAGGUCAUCACGACUCAUCAUACAAGUUACAAAAAAUUGAUACAGUUUACGAACAAAAAGUACAAAUUAUAUCCGUUCUUUGUCUCCUGCAUCACUACAUCUACAUGCAUGUUUGGUGAAAACUUGUUGUUUAUUUUGAAAAAGCAUCUAAAUGUCACCUUCAGAAUCAAAUGAUAUAUAUUCACUCCCUCAAUGCAGUGCUAAGUGUGACUUCAAUGCUCGGUAGCAUUCAGUGUUACAAAUUUUACCCCGUAAGAUUUUAUUUUCUCAACUAUUUAAAUUUGUAUAUUCAGUCUCUGUCAUUUACUUAAUUUCAUAACAUUUCCCUUCUUCAAGUCCGACUCCAACACUAUGAGACUUCCGUUACAGCUUUCUACAAACUUGAAUGACAAGAGUAUAUAUUGUCACAGAACAGAACCAAAAUUUAUUUCAUUUAAUUGUAGUAUCAAAGAGUAAACAAACAAACAAUUCACACAAAUUUAUCAAAGCAUGGUUUCAACGAACGAUACGAAGACUGGCUCAUUCGUAUUGUCCAACAGGGCUUCGGUCGCCAGAAGUUCAUUUUGUCGGCCAAUUGGUGAUGCCUUAUUGAAUUUACCAAAGAGAACAACUAAUCCAAAUUCAAGGCCUAAACAGGCACGGGUUCGACAAAGAAAGAAACCACAAUAUCCUUGAGAUAGAUCCCAGUAUGAGUAAACCCAUCAUCAUGCUUGUAUAUAGCUUCAAUCAUUCGUGCAAGAUUGACAAUUCGUAACAUUAGCUGUGUUUGUACCAUACUUGACCAAUCCCGAAACUACCGAGCACCGGCCAACGCUAUACUGUCAAGGACCCAGAAGAGUUCCCCUCCGACCAGGAGGCCAAUCACUACUCGACACGUGUCAAGAUUAGAAGCCAAUCAGAGCGCAGCACGUGUCGACAUCAAGAACCAAUCAUAACAUGACACAUGUCAAUGUGACAAAGCUACAAGUUUUUCUAUAAAUAGGGGUCAUUCCCCCACAAUAUGGCCUAAUGCCAUUUUGGAUUAAAUCAUUCACAAGAACUCACUAAAUUGAGAGCUUGAUCCUUUGUACUUGUGUAAGCCCUUCACUACUAAUAAGAACUCCUAUACUCCGUGGACGUAGCCAAUCUGGAUGAACCACGUACAUCCUGUGUUUGCUUCUCUGUCUCUAUUCAUUUACGUACUUAUCCUCACUAGUGACCGAAGCAACCAAGCGAAGGUCACAAAACCUGACACUUUCUGUUGUACCAAAGUCUUCGCUGAUUUUGUGCAUCAACAUUUGGCGCCGUCUGUGGGAACGACACUUAUUCCUACUCUCUUCAGCUGUGUCAAGCUGGUUUCUAUCAUUCGUACACUUUCUUUUGACCAGGCAUCCCUCUCCAACAUGGGAAGCGAAGGAAGCCACAGCACACAGAAUGACACCCCCCUUGCACAUAGUGCGAAGCAACGAAAGAAGGAAGGAAAACGAGUUCUUCUUCAAGCUAAAGUCGAUGAGUUGGAAGCUCAGAACAACAAGAUAGCAAUGAGGAAUGAGGUCCUCCAGGAGCAAUAUGAGAAGCUCUUCGAGACACUCCACGAAGCUAGGCAAGCUCAGACACGCGAGCUUGUUGCCCCCGUGGAAGUCAACCAUCAACUGGGUGCCCUCCAACAUGGAGGGUCACAUGCAUUCGACAUAGAUAUCCCUGAUAGGGAACAGAUUACCCCUCGACUUGAUAAUCAACAUGAGGCUUCUCUUAACCCAGUUGCUUCGACCCGAACCAUGAGAAGUGGAGGGAGACACCUCUUUGCUGAAGGGGCAGAAGGAUCGAAAGCCGUCUUUCGCGAUUGUCGGGAUUUCCUGAAGCAACGUCGAGAGAAUUCCAUCCAUAUAAGCUCAAAGAUCAAUGACCCAAGGAUUUCUGAGAGACUCGGUCCCCUGCCACGGCCCGAGCCGGCCACCAAUUUGGGGAAGGGGCAACAAGUCCUAGAGAGACAUGAGGGUACAGGGGACUCAGAGGUGUUCCGACAGACAUACCCUGGAAGCCAGUACAACGAGUCCAGGGAAAAAUCACAUGCCCUUGAUCAAACCUUCCUAAUUCCAAGAGGAGAUGGAGAUUUACGAAAGAAAGCUCCAGUGGCACAUAACUCCGCUCAGGACCCCCUUGUCCUACAACUUCUUGAGGAAGUAAACAAGUUGAAGGCUGAACGUCAGGCUGAAAUACCUGACUGGAACCAACCCAGGCCUGGCCCUCUUACAAGGAGGAUCCUCAACACCCCCUUCAAGCAAAGACAAAGCAAAAGCUUGGCUUGCAACUUUAUACUGGAAAAGAGGACCCGAUUGAGCACCUUAACCUCUUUGAGUCCACCAUGGCAUACCGGAUGCACACCGACGAAGAGCGAUGUCUUCUCUUCCCCUCCACCCUCUCUGGCGGAGCUCUAAAUUGGUAUUGUCGUCUUACACCUGAGACGGUAGACUCAUUUGAGGAAUUGAGAAAACUAUUUGUUUCCCAACACAUUUUCCAAACCGAUCGCUUGCACUCUGCAGAUGACCUGUACACUAUCCGCCAGAAGCCAGACGAGUCAUUACGUAUGUAUGCUGGCCGCUUCAGCCAUGAAUACUCCCGGUGUGCCGAGGCAGAUGACAAGACUGCCCUCAAAGCCUUCACGGCAGGCCUACGUGAUUGUUUCUUUAAAUACAUGAUCAAUGCCAAUACUUGGAAGACUUACUCUGAGGUGAUGGCGCAGGCUUAUAACCAUGCCUCCGCCGAGGCAAAGACAUAUCAGGAGAAACCCCCUACAACCAUCCUUUAUCAACAAGUGGGAGGUGGAAGCCAGACUCACCUAAAUGAGAAGACCUCGACUUUCCAAACGGCAGUGGCACCUCCCCAUGCCUUGCAUAAUGCUUCACCAGAAAUCUUCGACAGAUACUCCAGAGUCCUGACACGUCUGGGCGAAUGAUCAAAUGGGCGAUAGCAUUGGGUGAGUUUGACAUCUCCUACCAACCAAAACCAGCCGAAAAAGGUCAAGCAGUAGCAGAUUUCAUCGCCGACUUCACAUAUCCUGUUGACAUUGCUUCUACACCUGAAGCAGUAGCUUCAUUACCAUCGGAAGCUCAGAAAGUAGAAUCAACGACCUCAGCAUGGAGUCUGUAUGUUGAUGGCUCAUCCAACCAACAGGGCUGUGGAGCGGGACUAGUCUUGACUACGCCCGACAAAGUAGCAAUGGAGUAUGCUCUUCGUUUCAAAUUCAAGGCAUCAAACAAUGAGGCCGAGUAUGAAGCCCUUCUAGCAGGAUUACGUUUGGCCAAACACCUCGGGGUUAAACAAAUUGAUAUUUUCAGUGACUCCCAAUUAGUGGUCAACCAGGUUACCAACAACUUUGAUGCUAAGGACAGCUCCAUGGCAGCAUAUCUUGCGCAAACACAACUUUUGCUCAAGCACUUCCACUACCAGAUCACCCAAGUUCCUCGAGCGACAAACAGUCAUGCAGACGCCCUGGCUCGCCUCGCCUCAGCUGUGGAAGACAAGAUUGGAAGAAAAAUUCAUGUCGAACUGUUGGCAACACCAAGCACCAUGGCCGCAGAAGUAUGCAACUUACAACAGGGGGAUAGUUGGAUCACCCCGAUCUAUAAUUUCCUUGCUCAUGGCACCCUCCCAAAUGAUAAAGUCCAGGCUAAGCAAAUUUGAUACAAGUCUACCCGCUACCUGAUCAUCAAUGAUCAACUCUAUAAGCGAGGUUUUAGCCUGCCAUACUUAAGGUGUCUUACGCCUGCCGAGGCGGAAAUCGUCCUUCGGGAAAUACAUGAGGGAGUCUGUGGAGAUCAUGCUGGAUCUCGGUCCCUAGCACACACAAGACUUUUCGCCAAGGAUAUUACUGGCCAACACUCCACCAGGAUGCCAUCAAAGUAUCCCGCUCAUGUGACAAAUGUCAACGAUAUGCAACUAUUCCUCAUUCCCCUCCAGAGCCUCUUACUCCUAUGAUCAGCCCUUGGCCCUUCGCCCAGUGGGGACUUGAUUUGAUCGGCCCAAUGCUGGCAGGGAAGGGCAAAGUCUGUUACGCAGUCGUUGCAGUGGACUACUUCACAAAGUGGGCCGAAGUAGAACCCUUGGCAACCAUUACUGAGGCAAAGAUAGAAGACUUCGUGUGGAAGAACAUCCUUUGUAGAUUCGGCAUUCCCAAUGCGAUAGUCACUGACAAUGGGCGACAGUUUGACAACAAGAAGUUCAGGUUAUUCUGCUCUAAGUUCAACAUCAACUUAUGCUUUGCCUCUCCAGCUCAUCCCCAGUCUAAUGGACAAGUUGAGGCCAUCAACAAAAAUAAUCAAGCGCACUUUGAAAACCAGCUUGGACAAAGCUAAAGGCUGUUGGCCAGAAUUUGUACCCCAAGUUCUUUGGUCAUAUCGCACUUCAUAUCGGACUUCAACAGGAGAAACUCCAUUCUCACUUGCCUUUGGCACAGAGGCGGUUGUCCCUGUUGAGCUCGAGCAAGCAACAUUCCGAGUCCAGAACUACAUUCAAAGUGAAAAUGACAAACAACUCACCCUCAACUUGGAUUUAGUCGAGGAACACAGAAACCAAGCUCACUUGAGGAAUGUCGCCUACAAGCAGCGCAUCUCCAACUAUUAUGACUCUAGGGUCAAGCCUCGUUCUUUCAAAAAUAGGAGACUGGGUCUUAAAGAAAAGAUUACUCUUCGACAGAGUCCCGAGUGAAGGCACACUUAGUCCAAACUGGGAUGGACCGUAUGAAGUCAUUGGCAUCAGUCGCCCUGGCUCUUACACACUUAGAAGCUCCGAUGGCAAGACCCUUGGCCAUCCAUGGAACGCUGAUCACUUGAAGUACUACUACAAAUAGACUCACGAUGUACAAGUGUUGAGCUAUAGCCGUUCGGCAUCCUAUGUAAUGAAGGCCAUUUGGCAAUGAAUUCAAUAAAGAGGUAAUUUAGCCAACUCAGCCCUCACUCUUUUACAUUCAUAGCAAGCGAUGCCGGAACCCUUCUCAAUCAGAAAGCAAUCCGUCUUCCACAGUCACUACAAAACAAGCAAAUGAAGACCGUGUCAAGCGCCAAAAAAAAAAAAAAAAAAAAAAAAAAACAGCUUCAUCCAAAAAGCUUCACCCGAAAAGCUUCACCUCCAAAGCUUCACCCAAAAAGCUUCACCCAAAAAGCUUCACCCGAAAAGCUUCACCUCCAAAGCUUCACCCACAAAGCUUCACCUAAAAAGCUUCACCCACAAAGCUUCACCCAAAAAAAAAAACUUCACCCGAAAAGCUUCACUUAAAAAAGCUUCACCUACAAAGCUUCACCUAAAAAAGCUUCACCUAGAAAGCUCCCUCUACAUACUUUCACCAUCAAAGCUUCACCAUCAAAGCUUCACCUAGAAAGCUUCAUCUACAAAGCUUCAUCUACAAAGCUUCACCAUCAAAGCUUCACCUAGAAAGCUUCAACACCAAAGCUUCACCUACAAAGCUUCAACACAAAACAUUGCUCCAAAUAAACAAAUUUUGUUCACAAAAACCCAAGAUGCCCUUGAACUUGUACAAAAACACUUGGGUAAACAUAAACAUUUUUUUGUUUUACACCCACAAGGGCCCAAAAUUUUCCUUCUUAUUUAUUCACUUAUAUAUGUUCCCAAACAUAUUAUAAUAGAUCCAACAACAAGCCAAAGUCCCAAGUUUCAUAAUGGACAAAAGUACAAGCAAUUCAUCAAUAAUGAAGGUGCUACAAAAAUUGGAAUCUACCCCAAAAUAGAAAUCCAACCCAAGAGACUUUUUCUCUCUCUCCCUCUUCCGCCUCCUUUCAUCUAUCAAAUUUCUGCAACCUCUGCUCUUCUCCAAUGGAGCUGAAUUUUAGACACCCUAUAGUUCUUGAGCAUAUGAACAACUUUCAAGAAGGAACCAUUUCUGUUUGAGCGACGGAAAUUACAGUGUUGAAGCUCCAAACAUGAUAGUCGGCUUCUUGCAGAUUUCGAAGCUGUUGUGAUGUUUCGAAGAUCUGGAAAUAUUUAACCGUUAGUUCAUCCUGAAUUUUUGAUAUGUUAUGAAAGAGUCGAUGAGGAACGACUUCAAUGAAGAAAGCAUACCGAUCUGAACAAGAGAAAAUGGAGUUUCGAAGCUCACAACAAAUCUGACGGGUUGACAGAAAAAUAAUAACCAGUCAUUCAUCAUACCUGGAUUUCUGGAGUUAUACUGCUCCGAGGGAUCUCAAAUUUGGAUAUGUUGUAGUUCACAAGCUGAGGAACAACUUCAAUGAAGAAAGCAUGCUGAUCUGAGCAAGAGAAAAUAGAGUUUCAAAGCUCACAACAAAUCUGACGGGUUGACAGACAAAUGAUAAACAGUCACUCAUCAUACCUGGAUUUCUGGAGUUAUACUGCUCCGAGGGAAUCUAUCAAAGAGAUGUAUGGUAGCCAAAAUAAUGAUGCUCGUAUAUUUCAACUCAAGAAGGACCUUGCUAGGCUAAGGCAAGGUGGCUAAUCCUUCGUGCAACAUCUUGGAAGCAUGAAGUCCAUGUGGAAUGAACUCCGAUCACAUACAAUCGAUUUCGUUGCGCUCCUUAAAAGAGUUGAUGAAGACAAAGUGUUUCAACUUCUGGCAAGUCUAGGAGCUGAAUAUGAAGAUCUUCGAAGUCAUUUGUUGAUGACCCUCGAUCAGCCCUCAUUUAAUAGUGUUUGCCAAGCUGUUCAAAGGGAGGAAACUCGAAGAAAAGUCAUGCACAUUGAGCCUAAGUCUAACUCUAAGGCUAGGGCUUUCACUAGCAAUCAUAAACACACCGGUGAAAAAAAUUUCAUUGGAAAGAAGGCAGAUUGGAAAUGUACUUAUUGCAACAUGAAAGGGCAUCUAAGGGAAAAAUGAUGGAUCUUGCACCUGGAGUUAAAACCAAGGUUUGAUAAAGAAGGAAGAAUGAUCAAAGAAGGGAAAGGAACCACUCAAAAGGCUCUCCAUUCAACUAGUUCUUCGAUUGGUGGAAUUGCAAACUUCACUGCAAAUCCAAUAGAUUUGAUAAAUGAAUUUGCUAGUUUUCUUCAAAGAAGAGGAGGCACCAUUGAAUAUGUGGAAGUGACCACUAAGAAUCCUACUGCCAUGCUCAGAAAAUUCGUAGGUUUCUUGACUGAGACCAUAACUCAAGACAAUAUUUCAGGUAUUAUCACUGUCCUCUCCAAUGCACUUAAUGAAAUUACACAUGAUUGUUGUAUUAUAGACUCAGGUGCCACUGAUCAUAUAACAAACAAGUCUUCUUGCUUAGAUAAAUUUCAAAAUAUGCCUAAAUCUACACGUGUGUCUAUUGCAAAUGGGAAAGGAGAACCUAUUCUAGGAAAAGGAAAAUUUAAACUGUUAAGUGAUGAGAUCGAGUCAACAGCUUUGUCUGUACCCUUAUUUCCGUUCCAGCUUUUGUCCAUAGAAAAAAUCACAACCAUUCUAAAUUGCCUUGCCAUAUUCUCUCUUCACAAUGUUGUAUUUUAGGAUCAAGUUACUCGGAAGAAGAGUGGUGAAGGGUUUCUCUCAAAUGGACUCUAUUAUCUUUCCAAGAAGCUCAAACCUGUUAAAAACCUUAUUGCCAGCCUAAGUCUCCUUCAAGAAUACCAAUUUUGGCAUCUUCGAUUGUCCCAUCCAUCAGAACCUGUGAAGACCAAACUCUUUCCUAUUUUUGUAAACCUCCACAUGAGUGUGAGAUAUGUCAAAUGUCAAAAGCAACUAGACUUCCUUUUGUUUCUUCUAAGUCUAGAACUAGUAAACUGUUGUUUACUCAAAUAUCUGGGGUCCUUCUCGUGUAGACUCAUUUGAUGGAUAUAAAUACUAUGUCACUUUUAUUUAUGACUACUCUCGGGUCACCUGGGUUUAUCUCUUAAAGUUCAAGAGUGAAUUUUUUGAUGCUUUCAAAGACUUUCAUAAACUAAUCACAAACCAAUUCUCAUCUAAGUUAAACAUCUUACAAUCAGACAAUGGCACUGAGUACACAUCCAUUAACAUGUCUAAUUAUUUGAGCAAUCAUGGGAUUUUACAUCAAACUAGUUGUGUUGGUACACCACAACAAAAUGGUGUAUCUGAGAGAAAGAACCGUGACUUAUUGGAGAAAACAAGGUCUCUUAUGUUUCAAAUGCAUGUUCCCAAAAGGUUUUGGUCUCAGGCUCUUCUCAUUGCAUCUUACAUCAUCAACAGAUUACCUACUUAUGUUUUCAAUUCAAAAUCAUUUGUUGAAGUAAUGAAGGGAAGAAAUAUUGAUAUCUCACACCUCAGAACCUUUGGGUGCACCUGUUAUGUACAUGUUCAAGCUGCACAUCGAGAUAAGCUCGAACCUAGAGCUGUCUAAAGUGUGUUUAUGGGAUAUUCAAGCUCUCAAAAAGGAUAUAAAUACUACAAUCCUCAUAAUGGAAAGAUUGGAGUCUCAAGAGAUGUUCGAUUUGAUGAGCAUACUCCAUUUUUUCACAAAGGUUGCAGUGAAGAACCUCAGGGGGAGAGUUUUAUGGACAUAUUUCCUUUGCCUACCCCAACACACCUACAUGAAUGCAAUCCUCAAAAUGUUCCUCUCGAAUAUCUCUCAUAGCAACGUGGUGGUGAGGAAACAACUCAUGAUCAAGAAAACUCAGUCACUGCACCAUAACCUGUCUUGGCACCACGAAGAAAUCCUACUCGAGAUAGGCGUCCUCCAUUAAGGCUGCAAGAGUAUAUUACGUACAAUGCAAGACAUCCAAUCUCCAAAGCUUUAACCUAUCAAAAAUUGUCAACAUCAUAUGCAGCAUUUCUCAAUCAGUUGUCCACUAAUGUUGAACCAAGGAACUUUAAUGAAGCUUCUCACAUUCAAGUAUGGCAGGAAGCAAUGUAAGAAAAGCUCAAAGAACUGAAUGACAACCAAACAUGGAGUGUGGUUGAUCUUCCAAAGGGAAAAAGAGUAGUAGGGAGUAGGUGGAUAUACAAGACAAAGUUCCAUUCAAAUGGCAGUAUUGAAAGACUCAAGGCUUGAUUAGUAGCUUGUGGCUUCACACAAACUUAUGGCAUUGACUACAAGGAGACAUUUGCUCCUGUAGCCAAAAUGAGCACGGUACGAGUGUUGUUGUUUAUCGCAGUUAAUCAUGACUGGUCUCUAUUUUAAAUAGAUAUGAAAAAUGCAUUCCUCCAUGGUGAACUUGAAUAGGAGGUAUACAUGAAGCUUUCUCCCGGACAUCCACAUGAGCAUGAACUAACACAGUUUGCAAACUCCACAAGGCUAUAUAUGGACUCAAGCAAUCCCCUAGAGCUUGGUACUCGAAGUUAAGCUCAGUUCUUGAAGCUGCAGAGUUCUAGAGGAGUCAUGUUGAUUCUUCAUUGUUUGUUCACAAUGGUACAAAUGGUAAGCUCAUUGUCCUUAUAUACGUUGAUGGCCUUAUUAUAAUGGGCAACAACAUAGAAGAAAUCAAUGCUCUCAAAUCCUCUCUUCAUCAACAACUUGCUCUUAAGGAUUUGGGGAUCUUAAAGUACUUUCUUGGCAUUGAAAUGGCCACAUCCUCCAAGGGAUUAUUUCUAAAUCAAAGAAGAUAUGUACUUGAUCUAUUGGAUGAAGCUCACAUGUUGGAUUGCAAGCCAGCACGUACCCCUCUUGGGAGCAAACUUCAAUUAGAUGUCCAAAGUGAACCAUUGUCAAACCCUAGUGUCUAUCAACGUAUGGUAGGAAAGCUGAUCUACCUCAUAAUUACACGACCUGACAUUGCUUAUUUAGUAAGCCUUGUCAACCAAUUUAUGCACUCUCCCACACUGAUUCACUGAGAUAUUGUCAAAAGGAUACUUAGAUACUUGAAGAGGUCAAUUGGAAAAGGCUUGCUCAUGAAGAAACAUGGCUCAAAUCACAUUAUGGCAAACACUGAUGCUGACUGGGCAGGUAAUGCCCUCGAUCGCAAGUCUACCACUGGUUUCUGUACAUUUGUCGGUGGUAAUCUUGUGACAUGGAAGAGUAAAAAGCCACACGGUGAUUGAGUGAUCAAGUGCUGAGGCCGAGUAUAGAGCCAUGACAUCUACGGCUUGUGAAUUAAUAUGGUUAAAGAGUCUCCUAGUUGACCUUGGCUACAUCGACAUGGAACCUAUGUCUCUAUCUUGUGACAACCAAACUAACAUGCACAUAGCUUCGAACCUAGUUUUUCACGAGAGGACAAAGCAUAUUAAGGUUGAUUAUCAUUACAUCCGUGCCCAAGUCCAAUCCAAAGUCAUCAACACAGUGUACACUCGAAGUUCCAAUCAACUUGUUGACUUGUUCACAAAAGCUCUCGACUCUACUCAUUUCCAAAGAUUGAUGAGCAAGCUUGGAUCAAUUAAUCCUCUUGAUCCAGCUUGAGGGGGAGUAUUGAAACUGACCGGGUAUGAGCAUGCUAGAGUCUACUUGGGUUUAUGUUGGAAGAUUGCUCAAGGCACAUCACAACUCAUCAAAGUUCAAGUUGCAACUGCAACUUUAGCCCUUAUUCUCGGGUAGAGUUGCAGCUGCUACUAUACUGUCAUUUUUUGUUACCAACUAUCCCUUAAUUCUAGGGUUUAUGUCUUCUAGUAUUUCAGCUCUAGAUUUCUUGUAACUUGCAACUAGGCUAGCCUUUUUAUCUUUUGGUCUCUUCCUUGUAGCUGUUUUGUAAUUGUUCGAUGUGUUCUUUGCCUGGCUCAGUCUCUCUAUAAGAGCUCUCACUUGUAAUACCAAUACAUGAUGAAAAUAUACAAACAUUUUUGUUAAACUGAAUUUCAAUAUAUGAUCUAUGUUCGUGGUAGAUGGAAAAGUAAUGCCUUGCUUCUAGCCUUGGGUUGCCCUUCCAUAAUGGCUGGUACAAUGCAUGCAUUACUUGUUUCGGAAGUGGCACGGGGCUUAAACGAUGUGCUGCUGACUCGAGAUGAGUGGUGGUGGAGCUUAGUGCCUCUUCUAGUAUGUCUUCUCCGUGUACCCUCAGAUGUGUAGCUUGGUACAAGCUUAGCAGUCCGACGACAUCAUUGGUGAGUGAUUCCUUAAAUUUCGCAUCGUCGACGUCCUUGAACUUGUUGAACAUGUCUGCUUCGAAAACAACUAAUUAAUGCAUGCAUUAUGAUACAUAGCUAUAGAACAAGCCAUGAGCACCGAGGGGCCGGGCCAUAGAACUUACCACAUUAAAUAUUAUAACCUUGUUGUCUAAGCAAUCGAAAAUAGAUAGCAGUAGCGUGAAGAUCAUCAUCAUCAUCACUUCUUUGGCGAUAACAGUUAUAUGAGUUGUUGUGAAUUUGCAACAAAACUUCAUCAAUCUCAUUUUCGAAAUGGUGCGAGAUGCCUAAGCGCUGAAUGACAUCAAUCAAUUCCAAUUUUUCCAAAGGAUUACUGAAGAUAGAUGUCUCUUUAUCAUUGCCACAUCAGUCUAGGUUGUUAGAAUGUUUGUUAGGUGGUUAUGUGAUUUGUUAAUUAGUUAGUUAAUUAGUUAGUUUGUGCUUUAGUAAGCUUGUAUUGAUCAAUAUAUAAGGUGCUUCAAUUUACAAAUGUAGUUGGUUAAUCAUUGUUAAAAAUACAAAAAUAUAUAUCUUUUUUUCCCUCUGAAGGUUCUCUCUAAUUCUUCAUAUUUUUCAAUUCUUCAUUGUCCUUUGAUUCUGUCACAAUGUAGUUAAUAUGGUAUCAGAACCACUAGGCUCACGCCGUGGAUUAUGGUGUUUCCACUUCUCAUUAGUUUCAUCUAUUUCUAGUUUUACUUCUCUUCUAAUUUUUCAUUAGAGAUUCCGUUAAUUUCUUUGGUGCUUCUGCGAUCGUUCAGUUCGUUCAGUAAUUUCUGGGUUAAUCUUCAUUCUGGGUUGUGAUCAAAUAUUGUCGGUGAUGUGAUAUCUCAGUCUUUGGAAUUGUAGCAAAUUUUUCUCUAUCUGUAAGCAUGAAUCUUGACCCUUCAUGAAGUGGGAAUUUUUCGGUCUUGAAUAUUGAGGUUCUUGAAAUUGGGAUUUUACAGAUUUUCAUCAAGCUCUUCACCUCCUGAUACAAGGAAAGAAAAUGGGGGUUUCAAGCAAAUUCUUGGAUCCAAUGGAAUGCCUUCAUCUUGGUGGGGCUCGGGAUGGUGGUCCACGACUUGGAGAAAUGGAAUGAGAUUGCAUGAUUAUCCUGGUCAUCAAUUUAUGGUGCAUUUUCUUCGGUCCCUUCAAUCUAUGUCAAAGAUUCAUUUGGGAGUCGCCUUGGUAGUUUUUCAUAAAGAAAAAGUGUAUGAAGUUAACUUUGGAGGAUAAAUUGAUAGGUUUUUAUAAGAAAUAGUGUAAGUUAACUUUGGAGGGUAAUUAGACGUUAGAUUCGCAACCUAUAUGAAAUAUUAAGGACUUAUAGACGAGAAAAUAACGGUAUUACAUUAUAAAGUGUGUCAAGUGCUUUAAAUUGAUGAAAAAAUAAUUUAAAGAUUUAAUUUUUGCUGAGAUAAUAAUUCAGAAACUAAAUCGAUACUUUACCCUAUUAUUUUUUGUCAUAGCAGUACAUCGCUAUCUGUAAAAGUCUAAAAGGGGAAAGGAAAUGCUUAGGAAAACAAUGAUUUCUUGAGACAUCAGUAAAGAUAAUAAAGUGUCUCUGUCUUCCAAAAAAAUAAAAAAUAAAGUGUCUCUAAGUCAUCUUGAAUAAAAAAUCUGGAUUUUUGAGAGACGUGAUAUGGAAGAGAAGCUCCUAUACAUUAGAUUGUGGGCUAUGUGUUGUCUCAUGGGCUUUCACAGUAAGACUGUUGAAGUACUACCAUUUGGGGCUUUGCCACUAGAAGGAUUACAUAUAUAUUAUUCUUCGUAUGAGCGAUGAGCGAUGAUCAAUGAGGUAUGUUGUAUUUUUAUACUAUCACUAGGGUUGAAUUUGGUACAGUUAUCGAAUCUAAAUUCUCGUACAAAUUAUCAUAUUAAAUUGUUAGUAUGAAAAAAAUUAAGUAUAACUAUCAUACUAAAUUUAAAGUUUCAGUAUAUUGAAAUUCGGGAUGCCAUAAAAUUCAAUUGACAUUGUAUAGUCAUGGUAUUGAACCAAUUUGGUAUUAGGGUAUUUUUUGCUUUUUUUUUAUUUGGUUAAGCAAGUAACCCACAUAUUAAGAUGAAGCUUAAUAUAUCUUUAGUUUUUGAAAUAAUCUAAUAUACCUAACCUACAAUCAAGAGUUGGUGGCCCAAUAGUAAAUGACAAAUUACGAGACUUCCUUAAAACUAUAAAUUGGAGGUCUCGGGUUCGAAACCCGCUGCUGGUGUGAAAGUCAGACUUGUGGCCAGGAGGAGGCUGAAAUACUUUUGUUCUUCCCAGCCCUCAGAAGGGAUGGAUAACCGUGGCUUGCCACCAGUUGUCCCCCUUUUUAAAAAGAAAAGAAAAAGAUACCUAACCUACAACCAAGAUUCAUCAUUAUUUUAAACACGGAUUAGUAAACAAGCCCUUAAGUCUUACUAAUAAAGUGUCCCUUAAUUUCACAACCACCGCUCUAUUGCCGGAAAGAAAAUUUCAUUAUAUAAAAAUAUUUACAAAUAAACUUGUAUGAUUAACAUAAAACGUCACAUUAAAAAUAAGAAUUGUUAUUGUCACUCAAAAAUUUUCAUUUUUCAGUCCACGCAAAUUUAUUUUUCUUUCUAAAUUAAAAAAAAAAAGUUUGAAGUGCAUAUGAGAAUUUUGGAGUAUCAACAACAAUUCCCUAAUGAAUACCACAAGACAAAUCAAAUUCCUUCACAAUAGGUAUAUGAACCAGCCUCAUGAUCCAACCACUCCUGUUUUAACACUUUAUUUCACGAUUCAACCCACUGUUUCAUGAGUAUCUUGUUUUUGGCUGCAAUACAUUGUGUUAGUUUUAUUGACCAAGUAAAACAAUAAUCCACUCAAAAAAAAAAAAAAAAGGAGAUGGAUUAUGACAUCUUUAAUUAUUUAUUAAUAAUUAAAAUACAAAGAUUAUGCUUGGGAUUGUGGACUAGUCUAACCUCCAAAGGUUCCAUUGUGAACUCUAGUUUAGCCCACUGUUCUAAAAAUUUCCUUCUAAUAUUGCCUAGGCCCCACCAAGGAGUUAGGCAGCUAACCACUGCUUUGAUUAGUGCCUAGGUUGCGACUCUCACUUAAACAGAAAAUUGAUUUUUAUUUUAUUUCGUCAAUAAAUGUAGGAGACUUGUUGAAUAUUUGGAUGAACACUCAUUAUAUGCUUGUUCCCUAUGUUUUCAAUAUGUUCUAAUACUUUAUAGUCUACAGUCAUUUUAUUUUGCAUUUAUGUAUCCCAAUACAAUUAUUUGUGUUUUUAAGCAUAAAUAUGCAUUUAUUUAUACAAUAUACAAGAAAUUUACUUAAAUCUGUCUAAUCCACCUAGGUUCCCGUCUAGCCACCUAGGUGCUAGGCCCAGCUUGCCGCCCGACUAGCCGCUACCAUCUUUUAGAACCUUGAGCAGCCUCACACUAGCCACUGCCGAAAUUCCUUAAGGGAGUUUCUUUCUCACUCACAAAGGACUCCCAAACAUUCUGUUCACCAAGGAGGGAGCAGAGACUUAAGAGGAAACUCUUAGGAGCAUUCUAAGUAACCAACUCACCGUCCCAUGUCCCAAACACUCUUGUUCGUGUGUGUUCGUGGUUCCUCGCUCAAGGAAGGUUGUGAAAACAAGACGGUUGUUCUAUUUGAGUUAUUUCGCUAGGAAUUCCCUAAACUCGAUUCCUUUUAUACAUGUUUGUGCGUACAUAUAUUUCCAAAGUGGUAUCAGAGCCUAUAGCUCUUGUUUUUUUCUAUUCAACUGAUGUAUGAGCGAAAAACCUUGAAAACCACCGUAGAUGAACAAAACCCAAAAAUCACUUUUCUUUGGAACGUUAUUUUUAUUUAUUUAUUGGUGUAUGUUCAUCUAUAUUGUAUGUAGCCUUCUGCAAAUUUCAUGAGAAAUUAUGCCACGGUUUGAAAGAAAACACAAACCCUAGUUUCGUUCUUCAUGAAAAACUGUUUUGAACAACCACUAUGCAAGCAGUUUUAAAGGUUGUUGGAGUCUCUUUUUUUCUGGAACUUUUUGCAUAAGUAUUGUAGUUUUAAAGGCAUGUCCAGGGCGCAAAGAAUGCAUUCAGACAUUUGCAUUACUUGAUAUAGCAAAGUACACACAUACAUCCUAAUAUAUAUGCGGCCUUGGUAGAGAACCUAAGAUGAGACCUUAUAAAAACAAGGUCAAUCAUGGAGUAAAUUAUUAAUAUUUCAUUUCCAUAACUCCAAGUGGCUUGAUUACAGCCUUACGUGAAUUGUGUAAGACAGGUGCCUAAAGGUAGGCCUGACAAUUCCUGACACGACCCAAUAAUCCGAUACGACAUGACACGAAAUUAACAUGUGUUUGGGUUGAGACGAUAACGAAUUUGGUCCUUAUUAGGUAACUCGAUAAGCAUCUGUUAAGAUAACGGGUUGGUUCGGUUAUACACGUGGGUAACACGAUACACGAUAAACAAAAUAUUAAUUUUAUAAUUUUAUAACCCUAAAAAAAUACUAUAAUUAUAUAUAUAUAUAUUAAAUUAAAUAUUAAAAAUUGGUAACCAUUGGAUCGGCUUAAAUAUACAUACAAUUCAAUUUCUUAAGUGUUAUACAUACAAAAUAAAUAAAUUUAAAUAUACUUAAUAUAUAUAUAUAUAUACUGUUGAACUUGAUGGGAUACGACUACAAAACUAAUUUCAACGAUCCAAACGUCAAACUUGUUUGUAUAUGCUUCGAGAUCGCAUAAGCAAAAACUCGCAAAAAACAAACAUUCAGAGAUCAAGUAACGAGACAAAACUUUUCGACGGUUAUCAAUGAAAAAUCAUGAUUUAAUGACUAAUUUAACUCCGAUUUUGAUGAUUUUUUACAGCUACACUCCUUGACCAUAUAUGAAUACAAUGAAUGAACUAGAUCUUCAAUUUAAAAUAUUUACACUAGUGGAUACCACAAAAUUUAUGUUAUACUUAAUGAAAGUACGAAUAAACUCUUAAGUGUUAGUGAAUCUAUUAUUUUGAUGGGAUACACAUUCUACGAAACUAGUUUCAACAAUCUAACCGUCAAACAUGUUUGUAUAUACUUCGGGAUCGCAUACGCCAAAAAUUGCAAAAAACAAACAUUUAGAGAUCAAGUAACGGGACAAAAAUUUUCGACGGCUAUCAACAAAAAAUCACGAUUUAACGGUUAUUUUAACUCCGAUUUUGAUAAUUUUUAACAACUACACUCCUUGACCCUAUAUGAAUACAAUGAAUAAUUCGAUCUUCAAUUUAAAAUAUUUGCACUAGUGGAUACCAUAAAAUCUUAUAUUAUACUUAAUGAAAGUAUGAAUAAACUCGUAAGUGUUAGUGAAUAUAUCGUUUUGAUGGGAUACGCAUUCUACGAAACUAAUUUCAAAGAUCCAACCGUCAAACUUGUUUGUAUAUGCUUCAAGAUCAUAUACGCCAAAAAUCGCAAAAAACAAACAUUCAGAGAUCAAGUCACGGGACAAAACUUUUUGACGGUUAUCAACAAAAAAUCACGAUUUAAUGGUUAUUUUAGCUCCGAUUUUGAUGAUUUUUUACACCUACACUCCUUGACCAUAUACAAAUACAAUGAAUGAACUUGAUCUUUAAUUUAAAAUAUUUACACUAAUGGAUACCAUAAAAUCUUAUGUUAUACUUACUGAAGGUAUGAAUAAACUCUUAAGUGUUAGUGAAUCUAUUGUUUUGAUGGGAUACGCAUUCUACGAAAUUGGUUUCAACAAUCUAACCGUCAAACAUGUUUGUAUAUACUUCAAGAUUGCAUAUGUCAAAAAUUGCAAAAAACAAACAUUCAGAGAUCAAGUAAUGGGACAAAACUUUUCAACGGCUAUCAACGAACAAUCACGAUUUAACGGUUAUUUUAACUUCAAUUUUGAUGAUUGUUUACAGAUACACUCCUUGACCCUAUAUGAAUACAAUGAAUGAACUCGAUCUUCAAUUUAAAAUAUUUACACUAAUGGAUACCACAAAAUCUUAUGUUAUACUGAAUGAAAGUAUGAAUAAACUAUUAAGUGUUAGUGAAUCUAUUGUAUUGAUGGGAUACGCAUUCUACGAAACUAGUUUCAAUGAUCCAACCGUUAAACAUGUUUGUAUAUACUUCAAGAUCGCAUACACCAAAAAUUGCAAAAAACAAACAUUCAAAGAUCAAGUAACGGGACAAAACUUUUCAACGAUUAUCAACGAAAAAUCACGAUUUAACAGUUAUUUUAACUCCGAUUUUGAUAUUUUUUACAACUACACUCCUUGACCCUAUAUGAAUACAAUGAAUGAACUCGAUUUUCAAUUUAAAAUAUUUACACUAGUGGAUACCACACAGUCUUAUGUUAUACUUAAUGAAAGUAUGAAUAAACUCUUUAGUGUUAGUGAAUCUAUUGUUUUGAUGGGAUACGCAUUCUACGAAACUAGUUUCAACGAUCCAACCGUCAAACAUGUUUGUAUAUACUUCGAGAUCGCAUAUGCCAAAAAUUGCAAAAAACACACAUUCACAGAUCAAGUUACGGGACAAAACUUUUCAACGGCUAUCAACGAACAAUCAUGAUUUAACGGUUAUUUUAAAUCCAAUUUUGAUGAUUUUUUUACAGCUACACUCCUUGACCCUAUAUGAAUACAAUGAAUGAACUCGAUCUUCAAUUUAAAAUAUUAUCUUAUGUUAUACUUAAUGAAAGUAUGAAUAAACUCUUAGGUGUUAGUGAAUCUAUCGUUUUGAUGGGAUACACAUUCUAUGAAACCAAUUUUAACGAUCCAACCAUCAAACUUGUUUGUAUAUACUUCGAGAUCACAUACGCUAAAAAACGCAAAAAAAAAAAAAAAAAUUCAAAAAUCAAGUAAUGAGACAAAACUUUUCGACGGUUAUCUACGAAAAAUCACGAUUUAACGGUUAUUUUAACUCUGAUUUUUAUGAUUUUUUUACAGCUACACUCAUUGACCCUAUAUGAAUACAAUGAAUGAACUCAAUCUUCAAUUUAAAAUAUAUUACACUAGUGGAUACCACAAAAUCUUAUGUUAUACUUAAUGAAAGUAUGAAUAAACUCUUAAGUGUUAGUGAAUCUAUUGUAUUGAUGUGAUACGCAUUCUACGAAACUAGUUUCAACGAUCCAACCGUUAAACAUGUUUGUAUAUAUUUCAAGAUCGCAUACACCAAAAAUUGCAAAAAACAAACAUUCAAAGAUCAAGUAACGGGACAAAACUUUUCGAUGGUUAUCAACGAAAAAUCACGAUUUAACAGUUAUUUUAACUCCGAUUUUGAUAUUUUUUUACAGCUACAUUCCUUGAUCCUAUAUGAAUACAAUGAAUGAAUUCGAUCUUCAAUUUAAAAUAUUUACGCUAGUGGAUACCACAAAAUCUUAUGUUAUACUUAAUGAAGGUAUAAAUAAACUCUAAGUGUUAGUGAAUGUAUCAUUUUGAUGGGAUACGCAUUCUACAAAACUAAUUUCAACGAUCCAACUGUCAAACUUGUUUGUUUAUGCUUCAAGAUCGCAUACGCCAAAAAUCGCAAAAAACAAACAUUCAAAGAUCAAGUAACGGGACAAAACUUUUCGACGAUUAUCAACAAAAAAUCACUAUUUAACAGUUAUUUUAACUUUGAUUUUGAUGAUUUUUUACAGCUACACUCCUUGACCCUAUAUGAAUACAAUAAAUGAAUUCGAUCUUCAAUUUAAAAUAUUUACACUAGCGGAUACCACAAAAUUUUAUGUCAUGAUGAUCGAUGAAAAUUGAGGAUUUUGUAAAAAGAAUGACAUGCAAGCUUUGAGUUCCAUUGGCAAGGUUUAAACUUUUGAAAAAGGCUUUACAACCUUGAAAACAAAAACUCUUUCAUUUUGCAUAUCCUUGCACAUUUAAUAUUUUGUAAUAGACGAGUAGUGUAUGAAUGUUUGUUUAUUAGGCUCUUAUUUUCGAGUGUAGAUGUAGUACUUAAAUGACAAAUGUGUUUUAAUGUUUUGAAGUAAUAUUUAUGUGAUAAUAUGUGGUAUGUGCAAAUUUAAGAAAAAAGAAUACUUUUCUUAACGGGUGUGACAUGACACGACUCGUUAAGAUAACAAGUGUUACACGAACACGACAGACACAGUCCGUUUGUCAAGCCUAGCUAGAGCGCAUCUAUACUAAGAAAUUUGGCUCAGGCACUGACAUAGUGAUUGGACUAAGAUUCAUAUGACGUACGAGUGUCUAUUUCAGACAAAUUGACAUGCUCAUAUUUGAAGUAUGAGAUUACGUCAUAACAUACGUGUUAGAGACUAGAGUCAAACAAUUGUACGUUCUUAAGUCAACCAAAAUAGAGGGAGCAAUGAAUAAGUCCAUUCUUCAUUAUUGUUUGAGCCAGUGGAUUUUUCAAUCCAACAAUUUGCACCCUUUGGACUAAAUACUAUGUCAAAAAGAGGAUACUUGACGAUUGCUAUUUUAGUGUACUCUAUCUGAGGAAGGUCAACAAUCAUUAGUGUCUUAGGGGGAUGUGUCUGGGAAGGCAGUCAAGUCUAGUCGGAUUGACAUGAGUGCUUAGGGAAGACUCUUUGUCAUUACACCAAGUUAGUGUAACUCAUUAACUGUCCAGCAUUCAUAUGAAAGAUGAGAACAUGAAAUGAGUACGUUUAAUGAUUAAGAGAAAAGACAUUGCUUUUCAGGAGGAAUUAAAAAUGUCUUCUUCGGUAUUUUAGAAAAUUAGCUUAGGGUAAUGAUAAAACGCUUUCGAGAGAACGUCUUAAAAGCAACUCUGCGUAACCAACUCACCGCCCUACGUUCCAAACCUGUGCACGAAGGCUCUUGUUCUUGUGUGUUCGUGGUUCUUCGCUCAAGGAAGGUUGUAAGAACUGUUUUGUUCGAGUCAUUCUGCUAGGUAUUCCCAAAACUCGAUUCCUUUUAUAUAUGUUUUUUUUUUUAAACAAACGUUUUAUUUAUGUUUGUACGUACAUAUAUUUCCAACACAUUGCAGAGACUUGGCACCAGAAGCAAAAAGAAACUUAUCCAAAUGAUAUUGAUUCAUGAUUUUUAAUACUGAAAUAGAUAUUUUGAAAGGAUAAUACGCAUAUGAGGGGAUACACAUAUUUUCUCGUUCGUGAAUAACGUAUCUUGAGCAUAUAAACUCAACAAAAAAAAUCAUUUCAAAAUCACUCACACAAAAAAUUUAUUCAAAACAGAAAUUCUUUAAUUAUCAAACAUACCAACUAAAUGAACGAUUCAUCAUGAAUAUGUUACUUGGUACACUAUUAAGUUGUUUUAUACAUUUGAAUAACUAAAUAAUUUCUAAUUGAAAUGACUUUUUCUAGAGAUGAUCUUCAAAAGAAGACUAAGAAAUUCAUUGAAAUUUGUGUUGUGAAUAUUGUUUGCAUGGGGGAUGAGCUCAUCUCUUCAAAAGCAGAUCAUCUCUAGAAAAAGUCAUUUCAAUUAGAAAUUAUUUAGUUAUUCAAAUGUAUAAAACAAAUUAAUAGUGUACCAAGUAACAGAUUCAUGAUGAAUCGUUCAUUUAAACUUGUGUUGUGAAUAUUGUUUGCAUGGGGGAUGAGCUCAUCUCUUCAAAAGCAGAAAAUACAAGUUUAUCUAUUUUGAAAUGGCUAUGAAAAUUGGUGGAUACGACGUACAAAUUUUUGAUCUAAUAGGAAAUGUAUAUGCUUUAUUUUAUUUGAGGAGGUCUUUAAUCAAAUUUCAUAAACAACAUUUGAGGAGGUCUUUAAUCAAAUUUCAUAAACAACACUUGUUCAAUGAAUUAGAGAUUAGAGAAACAUAUUUCGUGCAGCUCAAAAUUUUGGUGGAGGUUGCACUUGACGUUGCCGCAAACAAUUAAUUAGUCCAGAAAUCUAAUCCGCCUAGCACACUAACUAAAUAUUGCAGAUUAACGCUAUGGAUAGUCGGAUACUACCGUUAACUAUUAUGAGGAAAGAGAAUCGUUGAGAAUAGAAUCUAUAACAAAGUGUAUAUAUGCAUGAUUAUUUUCCACCAUUGCAGUAAAAUAUCAUUUGCAACAAAAGCGAACCUUAUAUGAGAUGCUUUGAAAAACAAUUAUUUUUUUAGAUAUCAGUAGCUCUAAGUAUUCGUGUUAAGUGAUUAUAUUGAAAAAAAAUUUGGGUUUUUGGGAGACUUGUGAUGUAGAAGAGAGAGAUUCCUACACAUAAGAUUGUGGUGUAUAUAUUGUAUCAUGGGCUAUUACAUUUUGACUGUAGGACUACCACUAUUCUUUGUCUCUAGAAAGAGUACAUAUAAAUUCUCCACGUGUACGAGCGAUGAUCGAUGAAGUAUGUUAUCCUCUAAUAUUAUCAUCACUUGUGCAUCACUCAUUGGAACAUUUGUUUUAUAUUUUCACACAAUCGAUAGUGGAGGAUGAAAAAAUAAUCGUAACCAUUUAAGUUACAAUUAAGUUGAGUGCAAAGUUAAAUACUUUUAUCCAAACGUACAACUAUUUUAAAAUAUUGAUUUAGAUCAACAAGAGUUGGUUAAGUUGGUAAAGAUCAUUCUCUUCAUUAGACUAAAAUAUAGAUCCUAGUCCAGCUGCUGCCAAUUUAUCUUGGUGGACGAUCUGUAAAAAUAAAAAAAUGGGCUGAAACCAGAUCUGUAGGUUCUCAAAAAGGUUUGUAGUAGUGCCUUGACCAUUGAGAUGGGUGAACUUCUCUCCCCCUAAACAUUUUGCAACCGGAAAAAAAAAAUUAAUUUAGGAAACGAUUAUAUAAUUUCAUAAAAGAGAGAGAGAAAAAUAAAAGAUUUAACAUCUCUGAACACGGCCAUACAUCCAAGAAACUCAUGGAGAAGCGAUAGAUCACAUAGUCUACAAUCCUAAUAUGAACUAUUUAUAAUGUAUGUUUUCUCAAACUCACCAAUUUUUGUACAAAAAUCUGGUGUUUCAGGGUAUAAAAUACCAAAUUGUUAUAAUAGCUAACUUUGAAUAAACUGUUGUGUUGGCUUGUAAUAGUACUAACAGGUAGCUGCUAGCUGAUGGUUGAGUAUCUGUCAUAUAACCUGCAUGCCUUGCUGCUGCUGCAAGUGUUCUGCUACUUUUCUAUAUUUGACCACUUCUCAAUUAUCCAAUCUUCUUUAUUGCCAAUAUCAAUGCAUGCCAUGUUCAUCAGUUUGAACACUUAAACUUGAUUAAUUAACAAUUAAUUACCAAUUUAAUAGCUUAAUGAAUCCAAGGUCAUGACUCAUGAUACAAGUUACAACAGAUUAAUAUAUAGUUUACAGAAGAAAAAAAAGUUGAAAGGCUGGUGGAGGAGGGAAGACAAUUCAAACUUUGCUUUCCGUUUCUUGUCUCCUGCAUCACUACAUGCAUGUUUGGUGACAAUUUGUUGUUUAUUUUUGGAAAAGCAUCUAAAUGUCAUCUGCAGAAUCAAAUGAUACAUAUAAAUAUAUAUAUAUAUAUACACAUAUAUAUAUAUAUAUAUAUAUAUAUAUAUAUAUAUAUAUAUAUAUAUAUAUAUAUAUAUAUAUCCCCCGGGCUUCAAUGCAGGGAAAAGUACUUGCACACUACCUCUGGUCCUGUGUAGUCAUGGAGUGAGUGAAUUAGUUUUAUCCCAACUUGAUUGAGACAACUGAAAUGACAUACAUCAAAUCAGACUUCGUGUUAAACUAUAGAACUUGCAUUAUCCUGAAGAAUUUGGCCAAUUGCAUUUAAGUAAGCUGUAAAUACAUGUAACCACAACAAGUGGCCUAGUGAUAAGGGCACAGACUGCGACUUCCCACUAAGCAAAAAAAUGUUGGAGGUCUCAGGUUUGAUGCUUCGAGCUGGCAAGUCUGCUUGAUUGUGGUCACGGGCAAAGUGAAAUCCUUUUAACAUCUGCGGGCCGAAAGAAGUAGAUAACGGAUACGUGUAAUUACGAGCAAUACUUUAUAGACAAAUGGUGAAGAUUGAUCAAUUAUUUAUCUUAGAUAGUUCCAUCCUUAAUAAAGUUGAUAGUAAAUGACAAAUCUGAUUAAACAAUUGAAACAGAAUUGAAUGUCAAACUAUACAACCAUACUUUUCAUUUCUUCUAAAUAUUUUACUCCUAUAGCAUUUAAGUGAGUUAUGAAUACGUAUAACUACCCCUAAACGAUACCUUAUAAGUAUAUAUAAUCUUAUACUCCAUAGGUAUAUAUAUAGUCUUAUGAUCACACAAAAAAGUGGGACUUCAAAUGAGUGUUUUAGCUGUUAAAUUUUACUUUUACAUUUAUUUAAGGGUAAAUUACAUAGUAGCCCCUCAGGUUUUAGGGUAAAUUACAACCCCAUACAACAACUUUAAAACAUUUCACUUUCAUACCUUACGUACUAUUUUAUUUCAAAAUAACACCUCCGUUAGAUUUUCCAUCCAAUGGUCUGUUAAAUGCUGACGUGGCUGCCACAUUUGUGCUGAUGUGGCUGCCACUUGGCAAAAAUAAUAAUUUUUUAUACAUUAACAAUAUUAUAAUAUUAACCCUAUUAUUUAAAUAAAUAAAUAAACCACAAAAACCCGAACCCAGAUCCCCUUCCCCUUCCUUACAUCCCACCCCCUCAUCUCUCUGCAACUCAACUCAACUCACAUUUACAAAAUCCCUUCCCCCCACCCCUACAGACGACCUACCUGAAAACCCACAUGACCUACUACCCUUUCCCCCCCUCCCGGCGACCGCCUGCCUUCCCUCAACGACCCACCUGCCUUCGUUGGUGAAAUCUCUCCAAUAGAACGAAGCAAAGAUGAGAAUAGGUGCAUUUACAAGCACAGCGCCAUGGCAGGCUGCAAUGAGAUAGAUUCAGUUGUGUGCCCAAAACCACGUCUCCCUUCGUCCUCCCCUCACCGAGCCUCUCUCCCAUUUAUCAUUUUCCCUCUCUUCGAAUCCCAUCACCAACUGGGGCUUUUGCUGCACUGCCAUUUCUUCAAUUUCUUGGUCUUCACCAUUUUGCUAAGAAAAAUCAGAGUUCCAGAAAGCCAAAACAAAGAACGACCCACCUGCCUUUCCCCAUCCCCAGCGCGUGACGACCCACCUGCCUUCUCCACCCAGGAGCACGAUGGUGCUCGGUGACUGGGUCAGUUUCAUCACGGGAGCCCUCCUCCUUCUCUCUCUCUCUCUCUCUCUCUCCCUUUCUCUCUCUCUCUUCCUCUCUCUACUUUCUCUCUCUAUCAAAUGCGCAUCUGUUUGAAUUGGGUUUAUGAAUUGUAUGUGAAAUUGAUCGAAUUUAUGGUUUUUUUGGUAAAUUGGGGGUUUGAAAAUUGUCUCUGUAGGUGGUAAAAGUGCAAUACUAACAGCUCUAUGUGUAGGUGAAGAGGAGAAAGGGCUUUGGGGAAAGUGAGGUGGGGUGGGGGCUUGCGGGGAGGUGGGGGUGGGGGGGGUGUGGGGGAGGUGGGUGGGGUGGAUGGGGGUGUGGAGGGGAUGGAUGGGGGUGGGAUGGGGGUGUGGAGGGAUGGAUGGAGGGGUGGAGGGGAUGGACGGACGGGAAGGAAGAGAUGGGUGAGGGGGUGGGGGUGGGAUGUGGGGUUACGGGGAAGGGGAUCUGGGUUCAGUUUUUGUGGUUUUUUUUAAAAAAAAUAAUAGGGUUAAUAUUAUAAUAUUGUUAUUUUGCCAAGUGGCAGCCACAUCAGCAUUUAACAGACCAUUUGAUGGAAAAUCUAAUGGAGGUGUUAUUUUGAAAUAAAAUAGUACGUGAGGUGUGAAAGUGAAAUGUUUUAAAGUUGUUGUAUGAGGUUGUAAUUUACCCUCAAACCUGAGGGGGCUACUAUGUAAUUUACCCUUUAUUUAAAUUUAUAUUUUCAGUAUCAACUAUUCACUUUCCGUACUACUUAAUGCUACAUACCAUUGAAGAAAAAUUGUAAGAAAAUAAAAAAGUUGUGACUUCUCCAAAUGAAGACAAGCCACGAGAAACAUAGACUAGAAUCCUCAUUGCAAAUCUGUACCGCCGCUAGCCAACGAGAGGCUUCAAGCUUGAAGCCCCGCAUCAAUUUUCCAUCUUCUAUAACUUUUAGAUGAUUUAAAUGAAAUUGAUAUGAUUAGACAAAUGAAGAACCAUUAUCGAAAUAAGAAAAAUACAAGAAAGUAGAAAGAUGUAACCUCGUUUUUCGAAAGAUAAACAUGACAGUACAAUAUGAAUCAACGGUCAUGAUAAUGAGAUAUGCAACAUCCGAAUAGAUAGAUCCAGAGAAGAUCUGGAUCUGAAGAACAUGACUGACUUAACAUAGGCAAAAUAUUUGAACCAUAUAAUUAAGACGAUCAAAUGAAACGCAUCAACGUACAUGGAAAAUUUUUAAUUGUGACGAGAAUGCGAAUAGUACAUCACGUGUUUUUAUGCAAAUGAUGGAAAUUUGUAAUUUUUAAGAUAUUAACCUUUUAACACGUAUAACCCAACAUUUAUAUAGGGACACGUGGUAUAUUACUUCGUGUGAUGGAAACAUUGAAAAAUCUCUCCAACGCCCAUGUGUGAUUGUGAAGGAGAUGACAAAAGAGUCUGACAGUUAGAUAGGCCAUCUCUCAUUUCACCUGUCGUUUUUAUGCAAAUUAUGCACAGUCAAAGUCAGGCACUCACAUCCACAACAGCAUGAUAUAUUCAUGGACAGCGCCUCGCAUGAUGGAGAUUAAAUAUUGUGCAGUCAAAAUGGGUUAAGCUUCUUAGCUGUCUCAAUUAUUUAUUGCACUUGUUUAUAAAUUUAAUUUUAUAAUGAUUGGAUCACAAAAGGUCACUUGCGUUUUAAAUUCAGAAAAUUUGAUCUUUGUAUAUUAGAAUUUUACGCCUAAGUGAAGUUUUGUGCCCACAUGUGAACAUAUGUGUUAAUUUUUUUUUAAUAUACCUUGUGUUAUUGAUAUUGUACAUUACCUUAACUUCUUCUUCUAAAUUCUGUUAAAUAAGGAUCUUCUUCUUCUUCAUUUGUCUACUAUUAAAGUUUUGUGGUCAUUAUCGAAAAAAUCUGUUAAAUAAAGAUCAAAAUGACAAAAUAUUCUCAGUUUAAUAAACACUCGGCCAAAAUGAUUUGACAAAAAUUAAGAGUACUUUUGUCAUUUGAUCCUUAUUUAAUGGAGACUUUUCACCAAAUGAUCAAAAUGAUUGAUAAUGAACAAAUUCAGAUAUCAUUUCUAUUGAUUUUAAAUAUCAGAUAUUAAAAUAAAGAGUUAUAUGAAUCAUAAUGGUCAUUUUGGUUAAAAAAAAAAUUUUCAAGUACAUUAAUGUUUUUAUGUGUACUUAUCUGUCACAUGUAAUAGGUACGGACUCAUGACAGGUCAUAUCCCCUAUUUAAAUCUUAGUAUACGGCGCAAUCCUGUGCACGUAUAUGCAAGGAUUUUUGGAAUCUUUAUGUGCUUUUUGGGAUCUAUUUAUCCCUUUCAGUUCCGGAAGGGCAACAAUGUUGUUGUCUUUUUUGUGGCCAUGGACAAUAUUGUUUAUUUUAUUUUUAGAAUAUUGUUGUUUUUGUUAGGGGCUGGGAAUCAAUCUGACCGAAUGGCUGAUCUGAACCAGUGAUGGGUUUGAUUUGGUUUUGACCUCAUAAAAGGUUAGAUGAUGAUUCAAAAACUGAACUGAACAGUAACAAAUUAAUUUGAUUUGUUUUGAGGUUUUUGUUCUUCUAAAUGGGACAACUGGUGACAAAUCACAGUUAUCCACUCCUACAGGGGUAAAAAAGACUUAUAGAGACAUUUCAUCAUUUCUCUGGCCACAAGUCUGCCUUCCACACUACAGCAGGUUUCGAACCUGAAAUCUCUAGUUUUUAGUUUUAAGGAAGCCUGGUAAUCCGUCCUCACAAAUGUAUUUUUCUUUUUAAUUAUAGAAAGUUUAAGGUGCAAAAUAAGAUAUUUAGAGUGCCAAUAAUAAUUCAUAGUAAAUUAUUGUACUUUGUUAUUGUAAUUGAUCUAAAAAAGUUGAAAAAUAAAAAAGAAAAAUAAUUGGUUUUAUAUCUAACCGUUCAACACUAGUUUGAUAUAAUCUAUUUUUUUAAGGAUAUAUUAUUAAAAAUCCAGCCAAAUUAAACUGAAUUUGUGCAUAUAUUGUUUUUUUUUAAUCAUGAUUUUAAUAAGUGUGAGGAAAAAGGGUUAGUUAAUUUAAACUGCAAAAAAUUAGUUUUUAAUCAAGUGCAUGGCAAACAUGGUUGGAUUGUUUUUUAGCCUAACAUCAAGAUUUAAGAGUUGGCCUACUUGAAAUUGACUUAUUUAUUUUGUUAACCAAAGAAUAAAGUUUUCAACUGAGCAUAUGAUUUACUUGUUUUUAAUUUCUAUCAAGCUUAUUUGAACUCGGGGAUGGGAGAAAAUUUUUGGAGACGAAUCAUCUAGUCCUCUUAGUUGAUCUUACUUUGUCUUCAGUUAUUUGAUUAUAAAUUUUGUGAUCAAACCCAUACAUUUUUUAUUUAUUUCAUGAUGCGUGUUAUUAAACACAAAAAAUGUUAGAAAUUAGAAUGAUUUAAACUAAUCCAUCAUAUAUAUCAUGGAAAAGCUACUAGUUUGAUCGUCUAGUCAUAGACCUAAAAACUACCAAAUUAAAAAACUACACUAUUUACACUAGAAUUCACCAAUCUAAACCGCUUUUCUAGACCUACGUCGUUAUGCUAGAAACAUGGAUGUCUUCCCAAAUAAAAUGAAAUGUGUUAUUAGUUAGCAGGUACUAACAUGGCCUUGUUCCUCCAUUUCGCCUUUUAUUCCAUUAGGUCAGACAAGUGGUUGUUGUCUGUGUCUUCAUAAAUAUCAAAUAUUAAUUGUGAGGAUGUGAAAGUAAAAUAGUCUAACAUCACAUUGAUGAAUGAAGAAAUCGUACAAGGACGUAUAAGAGGUUGAAUUACUUCCCAUAUUGCCAAUUGGUUUUAUGGUGGAAAUUUAAACUUCUUUAAAAGAAAUACGCUGAAUACUUCGUUAAUUUAUUCACCGUCUAGAGUUUACAAUAUAGGCACAUAAGCCUUAUUCUACAAGGAAUAUAAUUACAAUGAUACGAAAACUAAAUACAAGAGAUUACAAAUCCUAAUCCUACCUAAAAAAGGACUCCUAGAAUAUUUCAAUUUAAGACUCAAACCAACAUCUUCAUAAUAUUAGAGCAAGUUGAUCUAUGUGUGAAGCUCAACGACUACACGUGUUUCACGUCAUCUAAUUUAUAUUGUCUACAAACAUCAGUGAAAUACAUCGGUGAAAGAAGAAACUUUACAAAAAUUUAUAAGAAAUUGAACUAUUUCAUAUAUUGCCAAUAAAUUUUAUGAUAAAAUAGAGUAAGAACAUAACUUUUUUAACACGUUCAAAUCAAACUGUUUUAUGAUAAAUACUAUUGGGUAGUGCUAAAUUAACAAAAUGACAAAAACACAUUUCCCAGGGUGGAUCCGAUUGAUCGCUGCAAGUGGUUAUCAACCAACAACAACCGUGACUUUAUACGCGAUUUGACAGAUUGAUUGAAUAUUAUGCUUUGGAUUUUACCUUGAAACAUGUAUAAUGCUGUCUGCUGAUCCAUGUGGCUUUUGAAUAUUAUUCACAUUUCAAAUUUUCACAUUUCAAAUUAAUUAAACUUGAUUAUGUUUAUUUAAUCAGUUGAUUAAUAGACGACAUAUUGUUAUGAUCUGUCACACCAUAUAAACACAAAGACCGUGUCAACUAAUGAGAAGAAUAACUCAUUUGAGGAAUCUUAGAUGUUUGGAUUUAAAUCGAGCUUCAUGUGAAACGUUGAGUGAUAAGCUAUCUGCAUGCAUGUUCUGUUCAUCUUAUUGGACAGAUAAUAUGCCACAGAUCUAACAAAAAUUUGGCGAGCCGGGGUGUUUGCUAAAAUACAUUGAAAUUUGAUGCUACAUAUUGAUAAAUAAAAUUCUAAGUAUCUGCAAUUAAAAUUAAGAUUUGGCUAGAACACUUAUAUAUAUACAAUUAGUAUCUGGAUAGUCAUAUGAUGAUAUUUAGAUAAUGAUUGUAUAAAAUACAUAUACUCAUAUAAAUCAUAUUUGACCUUUAGAUAGUGAUUUUGUAUUGUAAUAAGAUGUCCCUAAGUUAUGAUCGAGUAUUACUCGAAUCAAGCAAUUAAUAACAAGAAUAUACAGAGUCUCUUUUUUCCAUCUCUCUAGAUUGUUUCUUUUGAAGCACGAACCAAUUUCUCAUUGAAACUAGCAGGUAACUACAACCUAUACUUGUGUUAAGCCUCAAAAGUCAAAGGAUCAACCACUUGGUAAACCACUAUAUUUUAAGUUUGGAUUUUUCGUGUGGGUUUUAUUUAUAAUUAAGUAGGUUAAACAUAUAUAUAUAUAUAUAUAUGUAUAUAUUAAAACAACCAUGUUUCAUGAGCACUUUAUAGAUAGUGUUUUUUUUUUCCAAACUUUAUAGAUGGUUUAUUAUCUGUACUUUUGAGAGACUGAAUUAGACAGCUAUCUAACUUAUUGGAACCUAGAUAAAAGAGACUGAGAUUAACAUAACUCUUUAUUUUGGUCUAUGGAAAUAAAAAUGAUAGAAAUGGUUGUCCAUCGUAAAUCAGUUUGGUCAUUACAUGAAAAAUAUGUUCGUAUACUUGGUAAUUGUCACAUGAACAAGUGACCAUCUUUUUAAUGGUAUUUUCGUCAAAUCAACCUUCCACUUAACAAACAUAUAUAUUGACAAUGUGAAGAGUUAUGCCAAUCUUAUAGACUAUUUUGACCAAAAAGCCAUAUAGAUAUUAAACGGUUUGACAUCUACUUUUCCAGUCAACAAAACGAGCUGUUAAGUGCUAGCUCUAUUUGUACAAAUAAUGUCAUUUUGGCUCAUACUUAAGUUUAUAACAUUUUUUUGGUCAGCUGAUAGAAUUUGUUAGAUUAGAUGUUAGAUUAGCCACCAAUGAGAUCUAAACCCACGCCGUCAUGCAAAGCUCAACACAUUUUUACCACUGUAGUAAAUGACCACUUGCAAUAUAACAAUUAGUCCUCUUAAAAAAAACAGUUUAUAAUUAAUACUACAAGUGGGAAACGCAUAAGCUGUUGGAUUGUUCCACGUAUGCGGUUGAUAUUGUUCAUUUGUUUAUUUGGAGUUUUAAGAUCGUAGGAACUGAUUUUUGAAUCAAUCAUCCGCCGGAAGGUAUUGUCAACCACUACGAGAUAACAUGACUUGUUCCCUCGUGAGAAACUCUAAAAUAUAGUAUUUAUUCUUCCUAUUAGUAUAAUUGACCUUCUUAAUCUUAAUUAAUAUCAAUUUAAUUAAACUCUCCUAUUAUGUAGUUUACCUCAUAAUUCACCAUGUUAAUUACAUGUGCAUGUUAUACACGUAAGAAUAUUCUCAGAGGAAUAACAUGUAAGAUGUUGUGUGUGUGUGUGUGUGUGUGUGUGUGUGUGUGUAGUAACAUGCAAGGGUGAGGAGAAAUGGCAAAUAUAUGUUUAACAUUUAUCGAUCCAUCCACUAGUUGCAUGUUGUGGUUUUUCCUUUAAUCGUUAUAUAUUCAUCACAAAAACUGACAUACACCCAAUUACAAACUUGACCAAGGAGGGAAAAUGUAGUACUCUUCCCAAACAUCAUUUUAUUAGACUAAUUAAAUUUGGUAAUCCGGUUGACAAUAGAAAAAUUAAUGGCUACUUUAAGUUAUAUACACUGUUCAUAUGAUUCCCAACUUUUAUAUAAUCAGAAGAUAUUGAUCAGUGUAAGUAGCUUGUUGCUCAGUUGAAUAAGAGCAUUCGCUCAUGCACCCGAGGUCCUGUGUUUGAAUCUCUCUCUCCAUAGUUUAGAUGACUUUAGUGUAAAUUAUCCUACCGUUUGUAAAAAAAAAAAACAAAAGGUACUCAUUCGUAGAUUUUGAUGUACCAGACUUAUAACGCGCGUGUCACCUCGCCUGCAAGUUAAUAAAACUAAUUGAAAAUUAGAAAUUGGCUACUCCAAACACAUAGGUUGAAACAUCCAAGUUAAUUAAUUAGUAGCAUGGACACAGUUAUAGUGGACCAACUUUUAUCCGACGUACCGUGUAAUAUAUUUUCGUGCACCAGCCCAUGAUUCUGACGUACUGUGUAAUAUAUGUUCGUGCACCAGCCCAUGAUUCUGACUGAUCUAUAUAUCUUUAGGAAACAGUGACAUGCAUCUUUAGAGUAAUCCCCACAUCCAUCUCCAUGCCAUUUCCUUUUCUAGUUACCAGACACUAGAUGAAAAUCGAGAAAUGGUUUGGAAAUUUCUUACGCACAUGCAUGGGCUUGAUUUUUGUUCGGUGCCGACAGUGUAUGUUGGGGUUUCCUAUUGUGGUGAUACAAAUCAAUCGAUCACGCGCUUAACAUAUUCUAGUUCUGUCAAAUGGUAACUAUAUAUGUCAUUUACGUGUGCAUAACAACAUUAUAUAGCGAUGUGCAAAUAUCGUGUACUAUAAAAAAUAUCUUCAAAGAUAAAUUGAACCCUUAGAUCAUCUCUAACCCUUGGAGUAAACCUCAAAUUUUAGGUUCUAAACUUACCCUAACUUGCUCCAACCUUUAGGCCAAAUAUGAGUUUAACCCAAAAUUCAUUUCUGCUGCAAAUUUAGCCUAGGAAUCCUUCGGGUUAGUGGAGUUGGCCUACCAUAUAUGUGCACUUUUUUAGUUUUAUAUUUAUAAAUUCAUUUAAUCUAAUGGCUAAGAUCAUAUAUGAUCAAAUCCAACAGUAAAAAAAAUAAAAAUCUAACGGUCCAAAUUUAAAUUCAAUGGCUAAAGUAAUUAAAAGAAAAUUAUCUUGGUUAAAACCUAAAUUUUUUGGGCUAAAAAUUUUAGGUUUUUACCUAAGAGUUGAAGAUGGUCUUGGCAUUUACCAUUACUCAACAAAUUAAAGCAUAAUCCUUUGCAGAAGUUGGCAACAGCAAAGCAAUUAAUCGCCCAAUUAGAUCAUCUCCAAAGGAGAUGUCAAAUUUUAAACACAAAUUUUAAAUUUGAAGGCUUAUGUGGUACAUUGAUAUUUUUAUAAAUUUUGUUCUCCAACCGAUAUGUCAAAUUUAAACUAUUAUUUACUUUUUAUAGUUGUAAUUAACAUUUUAAAACAAAAGAUAACUAUUAAAAUUAUAAAAAGCAUUUAUUAAUUACUAAAAAUAGAUUUAAAUUGCUGUCAAAUUUGAUAGCAACUUUCUCUGUUGCCUUUCCAUGUCAAGCCACAUAGAAAUUGGUAUUUUAGUAGAAAAACACUAAUGAUGUCUUUUAUUACUAUUAUUGCUAAUAUGAACUUUUUGAUAUAUUAUUUGAAGAUGCUCUUAGACGUUAAAAUGAAAAGCAACCAAAAAUAACAAAAGUGAUUGAUAGUUAGCAUAUUCUUUUAAUUGUUUUUGUAAUCCAUAUAGCAUUAAGGACAAAAUGUCCACCGGGAUUGAUCCUCGUGUGUCACUUUUUACUUGGUUCUUAAUUUCUUCUAAGAGUUGUCAAGAAAAUACUUAACAAAGUUUAUUUUAUUGCCAAAGAGGCAACAAAAAUAAUUGAAUGAGCAGAAAAGUGAAAUAUAGAAAUCAGAUACGCAACAUCAUGGAUUUGGAUCCGCUCCGGACCUUAGUGUUCGAAGCCUCGGGAUCAAAUCAUUUGGGUUGCACAAAUUCAAUCCAACGGUCCUCAUUAAUUCAUUUUCCUGGCCCACCACACAAACUAACGACUCUGAUUUCUUUUACACACCAAUCAACGGUCCAUAUAAUUUGAUCCCUAGGCUCCGGACACUAAGGUCCGGAGUGGAUCCAAAUCCCAACAUCAUGAUCUCACUUAGAAUAUAAUGAAUAUAUUUUGGGAAGGUAAUUGCUUUUUUUAUUUCAAUAUAUAUAUACAACCAUCAACCAAAUUUGGGAUGCCUUGGGCCUUGAAUUUCUUUUUAACUUUAUUGCAGAGGAUGUAAACAUUUCAAUUAGAAUCUAAUAAAACUUACCCGUUGAUCAAAAAAAAAAAAAGGGUUAAUAGCUUAAAUUGUAUAUUUAGUUUCAUGGAAUGAAAUCGCAAAUAAUUGUUAAUAUUGGGCACUUUUAGGCCCACAUAAUGGUGCAAGUUCGGCAAAAAAGUCACAAAAAGCUUAAGGUAAGGCCAAAGCCCAAGGUCCAAAGGGUUUAAACAAAGAUUAUACAAACGUUCAACCCAUAAUUAUUAUUUUAUUAGCAUGGUGUGAUUGUAAAUUUCCAUCACGAUUUCGUACCUUUGCAUGUAUUUAAGCUUGGCUUGGAGUAUUUUUACGGCAAUCAGGCUUCGAAACGUGAUUGAGCUUGCAUGUGCGAUUUUUAAGCCCUAACAACAACACUCUAUAGUUAUAGUAAAUAACCAUUUCAGUAGUGUUACAUACACCAAAUUUGUGCACUAUAUGAUGUCACACAUUCUACACCCUUAUAAAUUUUUAUUACAAUUAUUAAUCAAAUUCUAACUUGAAGUAAAGCACAAAUUUAAUUAGUGCCACAUCCAUGCAUAAACCUGGUGUGCCUAGCAUUAUUCUUUGGAAACAAUCAAGUCGGAAAUUUGGAAUGUUGCCAUCUUUAUAUGCAUUCUAAUUUUUUCUCUCCUGUAGCCUCAUUUCUCUCAUUUUCUAAAAUAGAAACUCUAGCACUGUAAGUCUUAGUUGCUGUUCCUUGCUUUGGCUUAGGGCUGGCAGCAGCCUCUCCCCUUUCCUAGUGCCCAUUCUCCUUCUAACCUCUCCACCUUCAUACCCUCUCUACUCCCUGCCUCCCAUCCCCUCUUUUUCCCCCCACCACUCCCCUAUGACCCUCCUUCUCUUUUUCCAUUUCUCCCCAAUUUUUGUGUUGCGUGUUGAGGAUAGUGAUCCAAUGGUUAAUAAGAUGCUACUUGUCAUUAGAUAAGAAAGGUUGUUAGAUUAGGUAGUUAUAAGAUAGCUUAAGAGAUCGGCUUUAGUAUGAAAAAGAAUAUAAGUAUGUAAUGAUCUCUAACAGAAAAUGUAAUGAAAUUCUUGAGUAUUGAUCAUUAAAAUCUCUCUCUCUCUUUCUUUUUCUCCAAGCUAUCUAUGUUCUUAUCUUCUUCAUUGCUUUUUCUUCUUCUUCAUCAUAUUACAGUAAGGUUUACAUGGUAUCAUUGCCAGAAUAGCGAAUCACUCGGUGAUCAAUCUUGACUCUAUUGCUUCCGCUCUACAUCUUUCCUCUUUCUCUGAUCCUAAUUCAUUUAUUCUCGAGUCUUUUGAUUUUGCUUCUUGAGCAUUGAUCGGGCAAGAACUAAUUUCUUGCACACCAGGUGUUUGUUAAAAGGUCUUUGGGUUCUUGAAUUCGAAUUGUUCAAUAAUGGUGACAUCUUCUCAACUACAGAUUGUCCAGACUUCGAUGAUGGCUCUCAUCUCCACAGUUUCUACUUCUGUGAUAGCCAAGCUUGAUGAAUCCAACUACUUGACUUGGAAUUUCCAGGUUCAAUUGAUGCUCGAAGGUCAUGGAAUUAUAGGGUUUGUUGAUGGGUCCAUGCCUUGUCCUUUAAGGUUUCUUGUUGCGGCAUCUAGUGGUUCAAAGGUCAAUUCUUGUUCUUCAUCCACCUAAGUCGAAUCUGAGGAUUUCAAGAUUUGGAAGAUGCAUGAUCGAGCACUUAUGCAGCUGAUCACUGCUACCCUUUCACCACAUACUGUCUCAUGUGUUAUUGGCAGUACAAGUGCUCAAGAUAUCUGGAAUCGACUAAAAGAACAAUUUUCCACAGUGACUCGUACCAGUAUCUUUCAAUUGAAAUCUGAACUUCAGAAUAUCAAAAAGGGUAAUGAUUCAAUUUCUUUAUAUUUGCAACGGAUAAAAAAAGCUAGAGAUUACUUAUCUGCUGCGGCUGUGAAAUUUGAUGAUGAUGAUAUAUUAAUCCUUACUCGAAAUGGUUUACCUGCUAAGUUCAAUACUAUUUAUUCUAUCAUUAGAGGAAGAUAAAAUGUAAUUUCUCUCAAGGAUCUCAGAUCUUAACUACUUGCUGAGGAAGCAAUGCUUGCAAAUGUAUCUGCUACUCAUUUCAUAUAUGCUAUGGUAGCUAGAGAUACUGAUAUACAAUUCAAUGAUAAAGGGUCAAAUUUGGGACUAAUUCCAAUUCUGAAGAUCAAUCAAGUGGUUUUUCUGAUGGUAAUUGAUAUGGUUAUAACUUAUCUGGUUAUAGACUUUUCUAUAAUAAGAACAAAUGAAGGGGAAAUUUCAUUAUAGUUCCAAUUCUAAAUUUGUCAAUGGCAAACAGUUUUAUAACAAUUCCACUUGAGGGAUUCUUGGUUCUUCUCCAUAAAGUCAAUAUCCUUCAUCCAAUUCUCAAGUGUCACCCUGCCAAAUUUGUGGUAAAUAUGGCCACUUUGCUAAUACAUGUAGAUUUCAGAAUACUGAAUCUCCAAUUCCUGAAGGUUGCCAAAUCUGUGGAAAAAGAAACCAUAGUGGUUAGUUUUGCCAUUUCAGGAAUUCAAAUGGUCUAUCUUCUCAGCCAUCUAUGAAUGCAUAUCAUGUUAAUGCUUCAGCACCACCUUUGGGACAACAAGUGAAUUCACAGCAAGUAUGGCUUACUGAUUCGGGUGCUACCAACCAUAUGAUUGCUGAUUUGAGCAAUUUGUCUUCUAGCUACACCAUAUCCAUCCACAUAAAUGAUUCAAACUGCUAGUGGUGAAGGUCUGAGUGUGUCUCAUGUGGGCUAUAUUGAUUCAGUUGUCUUCUGCGUACAAAUUAAAGCUGAAUUAUGCGCUUUUUAUGCCUAAACUCACUCAAAACUUACUCUCAGUACAUAGAAUAUGCCUUGACAACAACUGUUGGCUAAUUUUUUUAUGCUUUUUGGUUUUUGGAUUCAAGACAAAGUCACAAGGAGAGUACUGUUCAAAGGCCUCUGCAAUAAUGGAUUGUACCCCAUUCCUAUACCUACAAGACCUGCAUACUCCAAACCAAUUUUUCCAGUUACUGCAUAUCUUAGUCAUCAAGUUAGCUCUAGCCUAUGGCAUAGCAUAUUAGGUCAUCCCUCUAACUUUAUAGUCUUUCUUAUUCUUAAGAAAUCCAACAUAUAUAUAGAACUAGAUUCUUCUCCAAUGUUGUGUUCUACAUGCUUAAGGGGAAAAUUUAGUAAAUUGCCUUUUGCCUCUACCUUGUCAAAAUCCAAUAAACCUUUUGAGAUUGUUCAUAGUGAUAUGUGGGGCCCCUCCUUGUCUCUCUAUAGAAGGGUUUAAAUACUAUGUUACCUUCAUAGAAAAGUGUACAAGACACUGUUGGAUUUUUCCUAUCAAUAAUAAAGCAACUGUUUGUUCCAUCUUUGUUGCCUUUUAUCAGUUUGUGUUAAAUCAAUUUUCUGUAUCCAUUAAGACAUUACAAAGUGAUGGUCGGGAUGAAUACAUAGGAAAACUCUUUUCUGGUUCAAAAGGGAAUAACUCAUCAAAUGCCAUGUCCUCACACACCAGAAGUCUGGCUGAGAGGAAGCACAUACACAUUAUUGAAACUUCAAUCACUUUACAACAAGUUUAAUUACCUCCUAGUUUUUGGUCCUUUGCUUGUCAAACCUUAGUCUACCUAAUCAAUAGAAAGCCAACUCAAACGCUUAAUCAUAAAUCACCCUUUGAAGUCUUAUAUGGAUAUGUUCCUAAAGUUAACCGUUUAAAAAAUUUUGGCUGUUCAUGCUACCCAUUUUUAAGACCAUUUAACUCCACUAAGUUGCAGCCCAUAACCAGUAAGUGUGUCCUUCUUGGUUAUGCUUCCAAAUACAAGGGAUUUAUAUGUUAUGAAGUGUUUAGGAAGAAAAUCUUUAUCUCUCAACAUGUUAUAUUUGAUGAAAGAGAGUUUCCUUACCCAUCUUUGGCUAGUACACAACCAUUGCCAGUGUCUAAACCACCAAAUAUAACAGUGUCAAUACCUACUCCAAUUCCUAAUUUUCAAAAUGUGCUUAUAUCUCCAGUUUUACCAUCUCUCACAUCACCCCCAUCACAUUCGAGUCCUCAUGAGCCUCAUUUAGUACAACAUUCAACACCACCAGAUUCUCCACUUCCUGUUUCCAUAUCACCAGUACCAAAUCCUCCAAUAAAACAAUAUUCACCACAAUCCAUUACUGCAAUUGAACAUUCAUCCUCCUCUAUUAUCCCUGUGACUCCUGAAUUCCAACCGGAGAGACUACAAGUGGUUCUUCCGAUUCCUCCAUUAAACUUGCAUCCAAUGCAAACUCGCUCAAAAAGUGGAAUUUCCAAGAAAAUGGCUCUCUUAGCAACAAUUCAUGAGAAUGGUGGAGUAGAUUUAUCAAUGGCUGAACCCGCCACAUAUAAGUCAACCUUAAAGAGUGAAGUUUGGUUCAAUGCAAUAAAGGAAAAGCUGUCUGCAUUACACUCUCAGGGCACAUGGACUUUAGUACCUUUACCUCCAAAUAAAAACUUGGUUGGAUGUAAAUGGGUAUUCAAGAUUAAGAAGAAUGUUGAUGGAACAAUUGGGAGAUAUAAGGCUAGGCUAAUUGCUAAAGGUUUUAAUCAGGAAGAAGGUAUUGAUUAUGGGGAAACUUUUAAUCCAGUAGUUAAACCAACUACUGUGAGACUUGUGUUGGCCUUGACAACUAAUUUUGGUUGGAAACUAAGGCAAUUAGAUGUGAAGAAUGCAUUCCUCCAUGGGAUUUUACAGGAGGAGGUUUAUAUGUCUCAACAACCUGAAUUUCUUGAUUCUCAUCAUUCAGAUUAUGUUUGUAAACUCCAUAAGUCUCUGUAUGGUCUUGAGCAAACUCCAUAAGUCUCGCUUAUUUGCAAUGGUUUGAUGUGGUCUCGCUUGUGUAGCGGUGAUAUUAUGUGUGCUCCAGUAUAAGUUUGUUGCAUCUACCAUCAUUGUGGUAGAUUUGGACCAAAAUGCUUAUGCUAGUGUGCAGUGGUGGAUCCAGGAAAUAAUAUUAUGGGGGUUAGUAAGAAUAGCGCGCGCAAUGCGCAAAUUUUUUAUACCAGAAAUAGCAUGCAUAUCACCAUUUCAUUGAUUCUUGGUAGGCCUGAAGUCAUUUGAAAAUGCAUACUACAGACAUAUUAAUGUAUGCAAGGGGCAACACCCAAGGUAUUCAUGGACAUUCAUCGAGUUUUGGUAGGUCUGAAGUUUGUUGAAGGGCAAGUAUGAAGCCAACUCUAAUCUUCAAAAGGGCAACACUCAAGGUAUCCAUGGAUAUUCACCGAAGUUCGGAAGGUCAGUUCCUAAGGUAUCUAUGGACGUUUAUUGAAGGUUGCAAUUGGUAGCCGAUUAGGGGUUUAUCACUAUUGCUUGUUUAUUCGAAUUACCUUCAAAUCAAAUAAAUGAUCAAUGGAGAUUGUACCCAUGUGGCAACCCUUAUAACUGUUACUGUUUAUAGUUUGUAGUGAAAAUUGCUAUCGUUUCUUGCAAAAAAAAUGAAAAUUUUAAUCUUAGAAUAAGAAACUACAAUCCUACUUACGCCUAUCUCUUAAGAACACCUAAUAUUUAUUAGGUAUCAAGCUUUUACAUGUAAGCGACAAAAAAGUUAAUUUCAUGUAAAAUCUUUUACUAUUUUAAAAGUUCUUGAGAUGGUCAUUUUUAUUAAUAAUUAAGGCAAUACAAGAUGUGGGAUGGGCAGGCAAAAGCUUCCUAUAUUCAUGUACAUUGUGGAUUUUGGGUUGGCUUGGGUUUUUGCCUUCAAACAUUGAAGACAAGUUAACUUUUGGUUCGCUUUGGUUUUGGUUUUGGUUUUUGCCUUCAAACAUUGAAGACAAGUUAAAGUCGGGUUGGCUUUGGUUUUUGCCUUUAAACAUUGAAGACAAGUAAAAGUGCACCCAUAAUACGAAGCAGACAGUAGGCAAAGUGUGUGAUGUUUGCGAUGGAGUAUUGAGGUGUGAUUUUUUCAGACUGUUGACUAGUAGGAUUAUCUGUUUCAAUUAGUGAUCUUUUAGGGUGGAGGCACAUAGUUUGAGCUCAAGUGUGUGAAAAUUUGUUUAUGAAACUAGUUGUAAACACAAAAAUUUCUAUAAUGAAUAAGAUAAUAACAUGUGUACAAAACAAUAUUUGUAUUAAUGAGUUUUUAUGUUAACGACACUUUAUCUUAGACGGAAUAUGAUUUUCCAAUAGUUGUGGCUUGAUCUUGAGAUUAAAAUGGUAUUGAAAUUGGUAACCACAUAUAAUAUAGCCAGUCUUCCAAUGUGAAUUAUUCAUAUUUCUACAAGGUCUUAUUUUUUCAAUCAUUUCUUAUGUUGUCACUCAAGAAAGCCGGCCCAAUGGCAAUUAGAGCCACUGUUCUAAAAAACGGCCUAGGCGGUGAUGAGCCGAGGCGUUUUCUUGCAAAUCAGUUGGAAAAAUCGGAUCGGUUCUAGGUGGCCGCCUAGGCGGGGCUAGGUGGUUUUUUUUUUAAUGAAAUUAAAAAAUAAAAUAAAAAAUCCUAUCUAAGUCUAAGUGGUUUAAAAUUGCGAACUUGUUGUACAUUUGUCAUCCUACAAUACUCCUCACUAUGGUUAUAUGACAUAUAUGCUUAAUGUGUUUUUAAAUUUUGGACUUGUUGGAUACUCUUUUUACAUUUUAUCAUUUUUCUUUAUUAUCUUAUUCAUGGAUUUCAUACAAAUAUAAUUUUUUGUAAGUGUCAAUAUGCACUUAUUUACAAGAUAUACAAGAAAAUUACCUAAAUCUGACUAGGCGCCCGCCUAGACCCCGCCGGGCCGCUAGGCGCCAGCCCACCGCCCGACUAGCACCUAACGUUUUUUAGAACCUUGAUUAGAGCAAUUCCAUCCCUAAAAAAAUGUGCCAGCACCCAGCCCAUUUAUCUACUCGGUGAACAGUAAUAGACUCCAAUGAACAGUAAUAGGCCAAAUCAUCUCCAACCCUAAAAAAAAUGCGCUGGCACCCAGUAUAAAAAUGCGUUGGCACAAGCGAUCUACACCCCUACAAAAUGCACUGGCACCCAGCCCAUUUAAAAUAUUUUAAAUUUUUUUAUAAAAUAAUAAAUAAAUAAAAUAGUUUUAAUUUCAUAUAGGAUUUUUAACCAAUCUCGUCAUGCCACGUGUCAUUAGCCGAAUAUACUAUUUUGUGAAUAGAUUUCCGCUAAGAUUUUCAACCAAUCCCAACACGCCACGUGUCACUUCUUGUUUACAAUAAUUUAGCCAAGAUUUCGAUAAGAUUUUCAACCAAUAUUGUGAAGUCACAUGUCAUUAUCCGAACGUACUAUUUUGUGGAUAGAUUUCGAAUAAGAUUUUCAACCAAUCCCGACGCGCCACGUGUCACUUCCUGUUUACAAUAAUUUAGCCAAGAUUUCGAUAAGAUUUUCAACCAAUUUUGUGACGCCACAUGUCAUUAUCCAAACGUACUAUUUUGUGGAUAGAUUUCUGAUAAAAUUUUCAACCAAUAUUGUAAUGCCACGUGUCAUUAUCUGAACGUACUAUUUUGUAAUAGAUUUAGAUAAGAUUUUAAACCAAUCACGUAGUGCCACAUGGCAUUGUCCAAAACCUCAUCCUUUUUUUUGUCCAUAUAAACCCUACAUCCAUCCUCUCACCAAACUCAAUCAUUUUUCUUAGCUCAGAAUCCUUCUUCAUCGUUUUCAAAUCUUGAGUUCUUACAAUGUCUUCUUCAAAGAUAGUGUAUAAACAGUUGCAGGAGCAACAGAAAAGGUUGUUGGCACAACAGGAAGAAUUGGUCAAUCUCGAAGAAGGCGGAGGUGGAGAUGAGGCUUUCGCAAUGGAGGAGGAUGAGGAUGAUCACCAUAGAAGGCAGAGGGCCUCACAUUCCUGCCGUGUCAUGGAAGUUGUGGGUCAGAUAGCCAAACCCAGAUGUGCCGCAAACAUUGAUAGAAGAAGGGAAAUACGAGGUAAAGAUCUUUUGGAAGAUUAUUUUAUUCCCAACAGCUUAUUCCCUAAUCAUGUUUUUAGACGUUGUUUUAGAAUGCAAUGAAGUUUGUUCGACAAAAUCAUGAGUGAUAUUUGCAACCAUGAUCCAUACUUUGAUAAAAAAAGAUGAUGCUUUUCAUGUUCUAGGUCUUCUUUCCGAUCAAAAAAUUACGGCUGCCUUGCUAAUGCUUGCAUAUGGAGCAUUUGCAGAUCAAGUGGAUGAGAUCGCGAGGAUGGGAAAAACAAUUGUUCUAGAGUCCCUGAUACAGUUUUGCUUUGCAAUUAAAGCCCUCUACACCAAUGAGUACCCCCGGAAACCCACGACGAGGGACAUGCGAAGGCUUCUGAGGAAGGGUAAAAUGCGAGGCUUUCCUGGCAUGAUUGAAAGCAUUGACUGCAUGUAUUGGACUUGGAAAAACUGUCCAAGUGCGUGGUAAUGAGCUUAUAGCAACAGAAAAUGAGCCAAAAACAUCAUUUUGGAAGAGGUGGCUUCAUUUGAUACAUGGAUUUGACAUGCUUUUUUUGGUGUUCCAGGAGCUUAGAAUGACCUAAAUGUCCUUGCCCAAUCUCCAGUGUUCGACGAACUGCUGCAAGAAAAAUCGUUGAGAUGCACAUAUUGGGUUAAUGGUAAUAAAUAUGAGGGACCAUACUACCUUGCAGAUGGCAUUUACCCAAGGUGGUCAACAUUUAUCAAAACAGUGCCACAUCCACAGAGUGAAAAAGAAAAACACUUCGCAAAAUGUCAAAAGGGGUGUGGGAAGGAUGUCGAGCGUUGUUUUGGUAUCCUGCAAGCUUGUUGGGCGUUUGUCAGGGCUGCAGCUAGAAUGUUUGAUGUCGAGGCUCUUCGAUCCAUCAUGAUGACGUGUAUUAUUCUCCACAACAUAAUUGUUGAAAAUGAGUAUGAUUAUGAUGUCGUCGAUGAAUACGAGCCGGAUCCGAUGAACAACUCAAGAACACAAAUCUACUGUGCUCAUGAUCGGACUGAAGAUCCCGUGCAACACGAGCUAUUGGAACGUGAUGGACAUUACAAUGAAUUGAUUGUUCAACGGUACACUUCGUUGCAAGAGCCAUACUGGCACGUAACCCGCGAGAAUGACUUGAUUGAGCACCAGUGGGGAUUGCACGAAAGCGAAGAUAAUUAAAAUGAGGCUUGUGGUUGAGAAAUAAAGUGUAUUUUUUUUAAAGUAAUCUUAUUUAGUGUGUUUUUUUUAGUUUAUAUGGUGAGGUUAUGUAAUUUUAUUUGGUGUUUUUUUUUAUAAGUUUAUUUGGUGAGUUUAUGUAAUCUUAUUUGGUGAGUUUAUGUAAUGUUAUUUGAUGUGUUUAAAUAAAGUACAAAAAAAUAUAUUUGAAAUUGCAUAAAGUUCUAAAAAUAAAUAAGAAAUUACAUAAAAAUUACAUAAGAAAUUAAACAAAGUUCAAAUAAGAAAUUACAUAAAAAUUGCAUAAGAAAUUAAAUAAAGUUGUAAAAAUAAAUAAGAAAUUACAUAAAAAUUACAUAACAGUUUAAAUAAAGUACUAAAAAUAAACACGAAAUUAUACAAAGUAUGUGGAGCUAGGAUAUGUGGUGCUACGAUCUUCGUUGCUAGGAUUUCUAUAGCUAAAACCCCCUCGACUUGUUUCGGCAUCUCUUGCACGCCUCCUUCGCACGACCUCUCUUUUUACGAUGUCCAAAAAUAUUUUGAAUUCGAAGACAGUCCUAUUAGAGGCUUGUUCAUAGUGUCACGAUCUACUUGAGCCAUUCUUUCUUCUCUAAGCAUCUGAUUUUCUCGAUGAAGUGCUUCUCUAAUCAUCUCGUUCUGUCGAUUAACUAUUUCUCUUUGUCUCUCAGCUGCUGCAUCACGGGCCUCAGUAGCUGCUAUUAUUGUUGCCAUAUCAGCAUUUUUUUCCUCAUCUCUAGCCUUUUCCUGUGCCAUGUUCAGUUCACCUUGGCGAGCAAGUUCCUCCAUAUAUUUAGUGUAGUCAUUUUAGGAAGAACUACCUUUUUUCUUUAAUGCCUUUUUACCUUGAGGCCUGAGAGACUGACGAGUCGGUUGAGUCUCCGACACUUGUUCAGGCGUCCCUUCCGUGUCUUCAAAUGUGUCGGCUUCUUGUUCGGCCGUGUCUGCUUCUAGCUUCAAAUAUGUAGACCCAUACUGUGCAUGACAACUUCUGGACCAGUUGCCACAAUUUUGUAUCUGGGGCAAUCUUUGACAAUUUGCCAACAUUCCCAUUUGUUGAAUGAUUUGUUCUGGUUCUUUGCAUUGUAGAAUGCUUGUGCUUGUAGUGUCUAUAAAAAUGUGGGAUAAGAUAGUAUUAAAAAAUGCGGGUGUAACACAAAUAAAUAAAUUAAAAUAUUGAAGCGGGUGAAAUGCAUAAAAAUUACAUAAGAAAUUAAAUAAAUUAAAAUAUUGAUGCGGGUGGAAUGCAUAUAAGAAAAUAAAAAUAUUGUCACCUGAUCUGCUAAACUUGUCUCACUACGCAAAUUACCGGAAGCAUGAGAGAUGACAUUUUUCCAACAAGUAAAGGAUGCGUUGAGUUUUUUCCAAUGACCUUGAAGACCUUGACUAGUUCUAGCGUCUUUUUCAUGUACAUCGCAAAACGCUUUCUUAAUUUUACUCCACAUUUCUCGCUUAUCAUCUCAUUACUUGUAAUUGGGUCAUGAGUAGUGUGAACCCAACAUUCACACAACGUAACAUCUUCAGUGAGCUUCCACGAAGUCAUUUUUUUCUCUCAAAGUGUACAAAAUAUUGAAAUGUAGAAAGUGUAGAAAAUAUUGAAAUGUGGUGUAAGGUGAAGAAGAGGGUUAGCUAUUUAUAGGGGAAAAAAUUAUUUUUUUUUUAAUUUUUCUGUAUUUUAAAUUUUUUUUCUUCAUAAUAUGUAAUUUUUUUAAUAAAUUUUAAUGUUGUUAAUUAAUCUGGACCGUUGGAUUUGAAAAAUAUUCAAUUCCAACAGCCAACGGUCAGCCACGUGGCCAACAGUCAUAAUUCUGAUUGUUGGGCCUUUUUUUUGGGAAAAAACGUGGACCGUUGAUCUGUGAUCGGACUGUCCAAUUUCAAAAUGAAAUUCAAAUUUUUUUUAUCGUUGGAAAUCCAACGAUCUAGAAAAACUAGCCGUUGGAAAUCCAACGGCAUAGAGUGGGCCACGUCGCCUAACCCGGGUGCCAUUUGAGUGCACUUGUCAGCAGGCCUCGCCUCUGAUUUCUUGUCUCCUACUCGGUCCCACGCGCGCUUGAAGGCCAUGCACCAGGCGCAAAAAAGCAAAUGGGCCGGUCCCUUGGUCAAUCGAUUUUAGGCUGGCCUGGAGACAAGCUUGGGCUGGGUGCCAGUCUAUUCCAUGGGCUGGGUGCCAGUCUAUUCCAUGGGCUGGAGUGGAUUGGGUAAGUCCCAGCCUAUUUUUUCCACUGGGUGUCGGGCUCUUUUGCUUCCGGUGGAAGUGCUCUUAAGGUGAUCAAGGCCUGUGCUUCGAGCCUCUCACUUUGAAAGAGGUCUCACUUUAUUUUAUACAUUUUUUUACAUGUAUCUUUAAAAUGUCAUCUUCAUAAUAUUCUCGACAAAAAAGAAGGGAAAAAACAAAAAAGAAGGGAAAAAACAAAAAAUUUCUUAUCCUCCUAGUUUCUCUAGUUUAUUUAAAGAAACUCUAUUAAAGUACUACAUUAGGAAGAAGGCUAAAUUGGAUUAAUAUUCCAUGUGGUAAUAGGGUAAUUGGAAGAUGAUCCUCGUGGUGAAAAAAUUCGGAUACAAACCCUCGUGGUGAAGUCUGUUAGGAUUCAAGCCCAUACUUAACAUUUUUGUCAACUCUCCAUUAACAUCUAUGUAGAAAACCAAACUAAGGUGUGAAAGUAUUUCUGGAAGCGUUGAUUUCCUUUGCUUCAUUCCUCUGUAAAAAUAGUUACAUGAGAUUGAUUUACAAGAAUCCUAUUGGGAUGUUAAUUACCCAUUUAUCUAAUACAUGAGAUGACGAUUAUUAACAUCAAAAGCCAGAGUACAAAAGUCUAAUCUAUGUUGGACUCUCGCUCCCACCGGGUCCUACCUGCUUCUUUGCAUCCAUCCUCUCUCUCUCUCAUUGUCUAUCCAGACUUCUCUCUCUCUCGAGCUUUUUAGCUUCCCUUCGUUGGUCAUGGUAUUGUUGCUGAACAAAUAUCCAAACUUUGAAAACUGGUUCCAAUUCCGAAUCACUCCUCACCAACAUUCAAACCAAUCUCAUUAUUACCCAGCUUCUGUUGAUCAAUUCCGAUUCUCCGUUAUCAAUUAGAUUGCAGAAUUGCAGAAUUGUUUUAAAAAAUUUCAGCUAAGAUCUUAAGUUUUGGCGUUCCCAAUAUCGCCUCUAGUUUUCGAUUAAUUUAACAGACAAGCAAUUCAAUUAAAGUUUCCACAUAAAAAGGAUAAUUAAGAUUUUCAAUGUUACUUGAAUUGGCUCAUGCUGGUUUAAAAAAAUCUAGUCGUUCUGAUGGAUAAAAGAGCUUUGAAUGGAAUCGAAGCAUGAGUAAAGAAUUCAUGGCCUUGGAUGAAUGAGUUUUUUUUUCCUUUUAGUUAUGAAGGCUGAAUGAGUUAACAGAGAGUUAAUGGAAAUAUUAAUUUUGAGCUUGAAUCAUAACGGACUUUACCACAAGGAUUUAAAUCCGAAUUUUUUCAUCACGAGGGCUAUCUUCCAAUUACCCUAUUACCACGGAAACCAUUAAUCCAAUUUAACCUUAGGAAGAAUCCAUUUAAUUUUCGUAUUAAGCCUCAUACUGCAUUUGGACGACUCUGAAAUAUAGGUAAAAAAAUUAUUGAAAACAACCAAGUGGGGGAUCACGAUUCACGAAUGCCUUCGCUAAGAUCUCUAUCAGAUAAGAAAUAUAGGUAAAAAGUUCACCAAGAGCAGUUGAAAAAUCAUAUACGAAUCGUAAAAGCCAAAAGUGUAUCUUCAUAUGGCGAAUGAUCUCCCCAGUAAUAACCCAUGCACGCACUUUCAUUACUUUCUGCAAUAUUAAAUACGAUUUAAGUGAACUUUUCACUAAAACACUACUUAAUUAAGAAUUAAUCGCUAAUGCUCUUUCUUAAUUAAAAUAUAUAAUUGUAUUUGUACAUCACAUCAUUACCUUCACACUCAAGCAAUUAAUCCAACAUCAACAGGACCAGGGUGAGUGAGAGUUAGGUUUGCUCAAAGCCUUUGUGUGAGUCGCCAUGCAAAUUAUCUAGACCGUCCGUUCUACAAUUUGAUUAAUCUAUUGAGAAUAGACAGUCCACUACCAUCAUGCUUUAUCUUCAGCCUGAUUAGUUCUUCUAAAACUAAUAGUCCUUAGUGUAAAAUAUAUUUGAGUAAAGAUACGAUAUUAUUCAUUGAUAAGAGAAGAAAAUUACAAUGGGAAAAAAAGAAGAAGUUAUUUCUUUGAUUUACCAAAAAAUAAAGGUUUGAUGAAAGAGAGUUGAAGGAAGUUCAAGCUUCAAUAUAAGAUCAAUUAAUUGAUAAUUUAUAAAGUGGGUCAACUCCUUAUAAGCACAUGUAAUUUUUUUUUUUCAAGUGUGAAAUUCAUACUCUCAAUAAAUUAGGAUUGACAUAUAGAACUUUAAAGUUAACUAUCCAAGACAGCGCCAGCUUCUAAUAAGUUAUCUAAUGCCUUGUUUGAAAAUAAUUUUAAAAUAGUAAAAGAAAUUUCGGGUCAUCGAAAACGAUUUUCAUAAUGUUGGGCAAAAAAAAAAACUACUAUUUUAAAUUGGCUUAUUAUAUUAACACCUCAUAAAUUGUUGAAUAAACCCCACAUACUUAAUACAUCACAAAUUUGUUUUUUCAGUUAAAAAUUAUCUUAGUAUACCCCACAUACUUCCCCAUAAUACCCUCACAUCCCAUAUUUUUAAUAUACACCUUACAUUUUCUAUAUGCACCCCAUAUUUUCUAUACAUCCCAUAUUUCUCAAAUCUUAUAAAGCUUUUAAUUUGGACAAAAAAUGCCGACUGGAAUUUUGAUAAAAGAUGCUGCCUAGGAUUUAAAGCAUAUGUGUGUUGUUUUCAAUUCCACCAUUAAAACACAUGUCGUCUGUUUUUAAUGGUAAUUUUAGGUGUUUAAUUCUUCAUGUGAUAUCUAUGAUCCCUAAAAGAUGAAUAUGAAAUAGAAGCUUGAAUAAUGCAGCAAAAGCAAGAUUAAAUAAUUAUCGAUGUCAUCAAAAUACUAAAACAACAAAAAAUAUGAAGUUUUAACUCAUGUGAAGCUCCCGAAACAUCGAUUUUGUGUUUCAUUUGUCAAAAAUAAUUUUUCUCAAUCAACAUGUUUGUAGUUUCAUUGGUUAGGGUUUUAUUCAACAAUAGAGGAUCAUGAGGUUUUGAUAGUUGAAUAAAAUAUAAAUAAUACGUUAAAAGUGAUUUGGGGUAUAUAUGGAAAUUUUUUAUUUAUUUUUUUAAACCUAAUAAGAUCAAAGUUGCUAUUGCAUAGUAAGGUAAAUAAGUUAUUUAAUAUUAAAAUUUAAUAUGAAAUGCAUUCAACAUUUUGUGGAAUACUAACAUAAAAAGCCUUUUAAGUUCUCUUACAAUACAAACGUUUUUGAACUAAAUUGCUUUUCUAAAAUGCAUUUUCAAAUAGGCCCCAAGUCUCCCCAAGUAAACGAGCGCCUUUCAUGGCUGGCAUGAUGACUUGCCAGAGGCUUCACCAUGUGCCUUAUCUGCUUAAUUAUAAAAUAAAUAAAAAAUCAGAUUAACUGUAAAUCAUAUCAGAUUAAUUGUAAAUCAUAUGUGUCAAUCCAUGCAUAAUACAUAAUAUAGCGGUUGAAAAAUUAUAGGCACCCUGUAAGGCUGGACCACGAGUGUUUUAAAUACUAGGUUUAACCAACCGGAUUCUCUCUGGAUCAUUUUGGUGAGGAUUCUGAGAAUUCGUGAAUCGUAUUCGUUUAUUGUAUAUCGUGCGGUCAGUUUUUUGUCAAGUACAGUUUAUAUUUAUUUUUAAAUAAAAAUAAUUAAAAUGAUUUUUCUGAUUGCACGAUGUAUAAUGAACAAAUACGAUUCUUGGAUAUCCAGAAUCCUCACAAAGAGGAUCCGGACUCCUAGUUUUAAUACAUUCACUGCAUCAUGACAGUAUUCACAGGUAAUAUCUGUCUUUGACAUUUUUUUUUGGUCAAAAUAAAUUACUUCAAUUAUUUAAAAAAAAAAACAAGUAUAACAAAAAGGCAACCCAAAAAGCAGUCCACUACCUAAAUACAAGCCCAACAACAAAUAAGAAAAUACAGUAGAUAGGCCUAAAAGUGGCUAGCUGGACAAUAACAAAAAAUCCCUAAGACUGGAAUGGAAACCAGCAGCCACCAGAUGCGCCUCCAUCGCAAGGCCACUAGCACGACUAAGAGAACGAACCAACUAAACAACUGGAUCAACGAAAAAUGGGGGUGAGCGAGCCACCCACACAGUGAGCGCUCUCAUAAUCAUACCAAAUAGUGCUAAAAGCACUUUGACAACCACCAAACACAAGAGGAGAAGCACACGGGCCGAGUAGAAAAGACUAGUGGUUGAGGACGUGCGAUGAAAAGUAGCAUCGGAGAGGGAGAGGGCCAUGCAGGUCUAGAUCUAAGACCAGCUCAUGGGAAUUGAGACAAAGUUCAACGAACAAAGCUCAAGGCAAGCCAAAACAAAGACCAAAAGAGAAAAUUUUCACAAAUUAAAAGACUAUUUAAGUGGAAGGAUGUGGGAAUGAUGAAGGAAAGAAGGGGGAAGGGAAGAUGCAGAGAGUGAAGAUGGAUGGGAAAGAGAGAAUGAGGGCUAGAAAAAGUUGGGAAGGAUGGGGGAAAGAUGGGAAAAAAUGAGGAAAGAGGAAGAAGUAGAGGAUGGAAAAGAAGAGAAAGAGGGAAGGAAGGCUAGAAAGAGGGGGAGUUUGGUUGCCGCCGACCCCAAGCUAGAGCAAGGAUCGGCGGCGAGAAGGGUUUUGUUUUUCCUGAAGGCAGAGGGUCUCUGACUUUCUUAUGUCUUUUGUAGUUUAUGUGCUUGAUGAUGAGGAUCCUCUUCGGAUUCUCUUUGUGAUGAUUCUAGGAUCAAUUCAUCUUAGCUAUUUCUCGUACAUCGUGAGGCUAGCUUUCAUUAGGUACUGUUUAUGUUCAAUUUUAAAUAAAAAUUCAAAAUAAUUUUUGACCACCGAAUGACUAAUAAACAGAUAUGAUGAACUGAUCUUUAAAAUCCUCAUCAAGAGAAUCCAGAUAGGAUCUUAUUCCCUUAGAUGAAGACCCAAAACUUCAAUCUGCAUUAAAUACCAUAACACGGCUUUCAUUUUCUUGUCCCCAUUUUGAAUAUGUGUAACCACUUAACCCCAAUCUUAAUUUUGUUAACUUUUAAUAAAAUAAAAAAUAAAAAACAAAAUUAGAGAAACUAGCAGCCACCGGGUCUCCAGCGACUCUGACAUCCACAACACCAGAGACCUUACGUGGCUGGCAGCAACCCCGACUCCUAUUCGCCGCCGGCAAUGCCUCAUCUCCUAGAAUCCUAAUAGUAUACUAGACCUAAUUGGAUUCGACCCAUCAUACUCUCACUAAUUGGAUUCUCAAAUGUAGGUGGGUAGCCGCUGUGAAUGGGGCGGCUGGCGUAGGUGACUGGCUAGUUGCUGGCGCGGGGGUCUUGCCUGGAUCAGGGUGGGCUUGGGGGACGCGGUGACUGCUCGUUUCUUUGGUUUUAGUUUUAUUAAAAUUAGCGGGGGUCAAGGCUGGGUUAAAUGGGUAGAUACUUGUUGGAAAAUAAGAGAGGAGACAUGAAUGCGGUACCAAAUUAGUGACAACAUAUAUGUAGCCCUCUCGUCUUUAAUUCGGACCGAUUUUCUUCCUUCUUAGCUGUAACUAAUUAUUUAACACACUAAUACUAUCAGACCAUUAAAAUAGUUUUAGAUAAGUUUGUUUUUGUUAUUCCACAUAUAAAUGCAAUAAGUUUUUAUCAAAAUCGUACCAUACAUCACCAACGUAUAGCUCCGCUCUUUAAGUGGACAACAUCCACGCGAUAAAUUUACUUAGAUGGUUGAGCAGACCUACGGAGCAUGUCGUAAUAACUAAUAAGGCCGUUUCCACGUGUUGUGGACAACGCAUAAGAGUUGUGCUACUAGCCCCUGUUCAAACUCGAGUUAAGUUUUAUGUUUACCAUGCUUUGCUAUGUAUUAUGUAAUACACGAUGAGAAUUCUCGAUAUUCCAAAAUCCUGUCACGUCGUGUUAUAAAUUGUUUUAAAAUGUAAAAUAUGUAUUUAAUUUUUUUCAUUAAUAAAUUUUAAAAUGUGACAUAUUAAUUAUGUCCUAAUCAUGUAAUAACACUAAAAAAUACACCACAUAAUAAACAUGGGUAACAUAGUGUUACAAUUCUAUUCAAAUUAUGAAUACAUUGUUUUUAGGGAACUUUAACGAAAAACUUCCAGGACUAUUCACUUUAACGAAAAACCAUAUUUUUAUACUAAAAAAUCAAUUCUGGUACUAUUCAUUUUACCCUUUAUUUUGUCCUUAUCGUUAAAGCUCAAAGUUUUCAAGUCAUUUUCAUUAGUUUUUGUUUGUUUUUAGAGUAAAUUGUAGCAAUGGUCCCUCAACUUUAAUUAAAUUGAAGCAAUGAUCCCUCAACUAAAAAUCCAUUACCAUUGGUCUCUCAACUUUUCAAAAUGUGUAGCUAUAAUCAUUUUCAUCAAAAUUUUGUCAAAAUAAGUUAUGUUAAAAUAACCAUUUAUAUAAUUAGGGUCUCUCAACUCAUCAAAGUGUGUAAUUAUGGUCAUUUUUGUCAACCACGUCAAAAAAUUUGUCAAAACAAGUUAUGUUGGAAUGACCAUUGCUACAAUUGGGUUAAAGUUAAGGGGUCAUUUCUCCAGUUAGAAUUAAAGUUGAGGGACCAAUGGUAAUGAAUUUUAGUUAAAGGACCAUAGUUGCACGUUUUGAUGAGUUGAGGGAUUAAUGGUAAUAAAUUUUUAGUUGAGGGACCAUUACUUCAAUUGAGUUAAAGUUGAGGGACCAUAACUACAAUUUACUCGUGUUUUUAUAUGAUACUAUCUUCACCCCACCUCUCCCCUUCUCUUAUAAAUACCCCUCUUGUAACCCCCACACUACUCGAACAUCACCACCGCCACAACCAAAAGAGUUCCAUCCCUCCUCCGCCUCCUCCCCGCCACUUCUCACUGAACCUGUAACUGCAUGGCAGUGAGCUUCUUAGAUACGAGGUAUCCGACCUCUGUCUAGCCAAGCCGGCCCUGAGGUCCCUCUCUGCCUCCGCCACCGUCGCCGAUGCCUUGGAAUCCCUGAAGACCUCGCAGGACAACUUCAUCAGCGUCUGGGACUGCAACCACUCCAAACCCAAUUCACCAGACGGCGGUGGUGUAGGUGGUGGCGGCCAGCUCUUCUGCUGCAUUGGCAAGGUCUGCAUGGUUGAUGUGAUCUGCUAUCUCAGCAAAGAUGACAGCUUGACGUCUCCAUCCGCUGCUCUCAAGGCACCUGUCUCUGAGAUUUUAACCAAAAUUCCUGGCCAUGUUAUGCACGUGGAACCUUCCUGCAGGUAAAGAAAAUCAAAACCCAUGUCUUGAAAUUUCUUAUAUUUCUCAAUUUUUUUUGGUUUGAUUUGCGUUUUUGAUGAAUUUGGCAUCUGGGUUUUCUUGUUGUUCCAGUAUUAUUUCAUUGACUGUGCAAAUUGGAGUAUUCUGCUGUCUUUUUUCUCAAAUUGCAGCCAAUUUUUUGUUAAAUUUGACUUAUUGACAAACCCAUCAACACAGUUUUCUAAUUAUUAAAAAAAAAAGUCCUAAUCAAAAAAAUUUCUCAUCUAAGUUUUGUUUUGUACUGUAAUUAGUAACCAAUUUACCCAAAUAAUUAAUCUUUUUUACUUUACUCUGUAAUUUUCAGUCUGCUAGCAGCCAUUGAUCUCAUCCUCGAGGGAGUCCAGAACUUGGUGGUCCCAAUCAGAACCAGAAGCAAUUCAAGAAGAAAGCAGCACCCAAAACCCAUCUCUGCCGCCACCACCACUAUCCACAACGGCCAAGAAUUCUGCUGGCUGACACAGGAAGAUGUGAUGAGAUUCCUCCUUAGCUCAAUUGGGCUUUUCUCCCCCCUCCCAGCCAUGUCCAUAGACUCCCUCGGCAUCAUCAGCACCGAUAUCCUGGCCAUCAACUACCACUCAUCCGCCAGCUCCGCCCUUCAGCUCAUCUCCCACUCCCUCUCCCAGCAGACCUCGGUGGCGGUGGUCGACACCGAGGGGGUCCUGAUCGGUGAAAUCUCACCCUUCACCCUUGCUUGCUGUGAUGAGUCAGUGGCUGCCGCCAUCACCACCCUCUCAGCAGGGGACCUCAUGUCCUACAUUGACUGUGGUGGCCCCCCUGAGCACCUGGUAAAAACUGUAAUGCAGAGGCUGAAGGACAGGAAGCUCCAAGGGGUGUUGGAGAAUUACACACUGAGCUCAUCAAGUAGCUAUGCACAUGCAUUGAUGAUGACAUCAUCUUCUUCCGACGAGGAGUCAUCAGUGUCUCCUAACAGGAGCCUGCGGCGGACUAGGUCCGAGAGGUACACCCGGUCGAGCAGCUACUCGGCGAGAAUGGUGAGGAGGGCAGAGGCCAUUGUCUGCCAUCCAAAGAGCUCACUGGUGGCUGUGAUGAUCCAGGCAAUUGCUCACAGGGUGAAUUAUGUGUGGGUUAUUGGGGAUGAUUGUAGCUUGGUGGGAAUUGUAACUUUUUAUGGGAUGUUGGAAGUUUUCAGGGAACAUUUGGAAACCAUGGGUUAGAGAAAGUAGGAAGGGCUUGCCUACACCCGGCCCUCCAGGACGUCACGGUAGGAUCUGAGGGGUGUAGGAGGGUCUAUUUUCUAGAAAUCUUGUUAUUUAGGAGGAGUCUGUGAGUGUACAAGUUUUGGUUUUGAUCAUCAAAAGCGGUUUGGAAUGAAUAAAACCAUGGGGGUAAAAAAAUCCAAGUAAAAACAAAACCGUGAGAUAUGAAUAGGAAGGGAAUUGUGUGCUCUAAAAAAUUCAUGUUUGGUUCUCUAAUGUUAUUCGGGACUCGGGAAUUUAUAUGAUAUCUAAAAUCAAAUGCGAUCUUUUUAAGAGGAAUUCGAACUUGAAUGCAGAAUAAUAACAUAAGUACUCUUUUACCUAACUAAAACUUGAAUGCAGAGCGAAAACACAAGCACGUUAUUUUAGCCAACUAAUCUAUCUUAAGAAAACACCUCAACUAAAACGCAAUUCCGUUGAGAUGAUUAAUUUAACUGGUUUUUCAAAGGUUUGCCCAUGGAGAGGGAAGAAUUUGUCAAACUAGUAAGAAGACAGCUCAUUGUUGCACUACAUAUUCUACAACUUCAAGGCCAAUUGGCCUCAUAUAUAUUAUUUAUUUAGGAAAAUGUUACUGACAUUCUAAAAAUCUCAUUUUAUAUUCUUCACAAGUGUAUUUUUCUUUCCAAUUAUAGAAAGUUUGAAGUGUAUAAUAAAAUUUUUGGAAUACCAAUAACAAUUGCCUUUAUUUAUUUUCUCUAUUGUAUCUUUUAUUUACUAUUUAUAUAUGAACAUGUCAACAUGAAAUAAAAGCAACCAUGAAAUGGUCAGUUUUUAUGUUGUCUUAUUUAUGGACCAAAACGAAAUACUUUUCGAUUUGGGCAUAAAGGUAGUUUGGUUCUUGAAACAACCCAUUAAUUGUUUUUCUCGUAUAAAAUUUCAUUGGUAAAGAAAGAAGAAAAUUUUAUUCUGAAGAGAAUCCAUCAUAUGGCUGAUUGUAAAUUAUUUUGAGUCGUUGAUAUAAUUGAUAUGCACAAAGAGCUAUACAACUGAGAAUACAGAAUAUUUUCGAUCAAAUUAAUAUUUGCAUAUAAGCAAUUCGAUAAUAAGAGUGAUCGGAAUUUUUUGUACAGUACGUAAGUAGAUUAUGAUUAUGACAUACUGAUCUAAGUAGAUGUACAACAGUUCAAUAAGGGUUUUUAUCAUAAAUGAUCUUUGAAAUUGAUCCAUCCCAUCAAGAUAUUUCCUGAAAUUGAAAAUCAAUCAAUGUAGUCUCUGAAAAUGGGUGAUACAAAUCAAUGUCGUCAUUUCGUUUGAAUUCCGUUAGAAAAUCUGUUAGUAUGCUGACGUGGCACAUUAUAGACCCCCACUUCAAUAUUAUAAUGCCACGUAGAUUAGAGAAAGUUUAUUUUUAAUUAAAAUAAAUAAAUGUGUUUCAAAAACUAAAAAACAAUAAAACUAAAGUAAUCGUCGUCCUCAUCUCCGCACCCAUCUAUAUUCUUCUAACCAAAAAGCAAUCCUUGUAAUUUUGGAAGAAUAAACAUCAAACCCAGGCGUCCAUUUGUGAACUACAAGGUACAUGAGCUUGAAAAUUGAAAUCCGAGGGUGUGGGGUGGGUGUCGACGACAUCAAACCGAGUUGGAGAGACGAACUUCUGAAUGUCCAGAAUGGAUUACAAGCUCUGGAUCUGGAAAAUUUCAAAUGCGAUCUUGAUGAGUUGGAUUGGAAUCCGAUUGUUGGUCUUAGUACUGGCUUGGUAUGAGGUGCUUUUAUAAAAAAUGGGUAUAAAAAAGCUGAGCUCAAAAAUGUGUUUAGUAAAUAUUUAAAAACAGUUUAUUUUCACAAUUUUGAGUGAAAAAAAACUGAAAACAUGAAGCAGAAAAAAUGAGCUUAUUCUCAUAGUACACCAGAAGCAGUUUUUUUUUCAAAGCACAGCAAUACCAAACCAGCCCUUAAACUUGUAGAUUUGAUUGACAACUAUUUUGCUGCUAUUUUGAAAAAAAAAAGAGGAUUUGGAAUUUGUGCUUACUGGAGGACCUAGGCUUAUUUUGGGUCCUUACCUUGUAGUUCACAAAUGGAGGCCUGUGUUUGAUGUUAAUUCUUCCAUAUUUGCAAGGAUUGCUGCUUUUUGGGUUGGAAGUAGAUGGCUGGGUGCGAGGAGGAAGACAACCAUUAUUUUAGUUUUUUUGUUUUUCUUUUUAAUUUUUGAAGUAUAUUUUCUCUUUUUUUUUAAUUAAAAUAAACUUUCCCUAAUCCACAUUGCAUAAAGUGAAGGGCUUAUACUAUGACACGUCAACACACUAACAGAUUUUCUAACGAAAUUCAAACAGAAGGACGACAUUAAUUUGUACCACCAACUUUUAGGAAUCACAUUGAUUGAUUUCAAUUUUAAAGACCAUCUUAAUAGAGUGAGUCAAUUUUAAAAACCAUCUGUGAUGAAAACUCUUUCAAUAAUUAUGAAUCUCUCUCAAACUUAUCUGUAACCAAAAUUGGUAGCGGAAUUGACAUGCUUAUCCCCAGCCACAUAAUAUACAGCAUGCCAUGCAAUAGCAAUGAUGAUCCAAAUUACAAUAAUAUCCAUACAAAUACUACUGGUCAUGUCUGCUUCUCCACCGCUUUUGUUAUGGCUGGUAGCUGGUACAGUAGGCAGGCUUUCACUAAUAUCCACUCCAAACCAGCGAGGCCUAGCCAGUCAAUUCACAUCUUUCCAUGCUGUCCAAUAUACUGCCAUUUAUUUACACUUGAUUGGUGUCUCAAAAUAAUCAUUCGAGAACUGCAAGAACUGCACGAAAAUGAUUUUAAAAUAAUUAAAAAUGUUUUUAAAUUAUUAAAAUUAUUUUAAUAACAUCUGACUACGAAAUAAUUAAAAGUUUUACUAAAUUACAACGAGCACUCCACGAAUGUAGUUUUAUUAAAAGAAUAAUGCUAAGAGAAACUAAAAUUUUAAAAUAAAUUUACAAAUUAAUUAAUAUACAAACACGAUAUUUAAUUCAAUUAUCUAUAAUUAUAUUAUUUGUUUUAUAUAUUCAACUUAAAAAUUUGAUUUCCUUAAUAUUAUUUUAGUAAAAUAUUAAAGAAUUAAAGAAAUGUUAAAAGCAGAUGGAUAUGGAUGGAUGGAGGCCCUUAGAGAAAGAGAUUCUUAUUUUAAAAAGAAUAAUAUUAGAAAGAUUAAAUUUUGUAAAUUAAAUGAUAUGGAAGUUGAUGAUUGAAUUAUUACUUAAUCGUUGUUAAACAUGCUCAUUUUCUAUUAGUGACAUCACAUUUGGUUUGCUAAUUACAAAUUUAGUAUAUCUAGCAUUAUUCUUUUAAAAAAUUAGAGAUUAGUUGUGGGGUCCAUAUUACAUCGAAUUUUAACAAUUCGAACCAUCUAUUUUUUAAGUUGUACCUUAUAGAUCAUUCAUGCAAAAUAUUAGUCAAAUUGAAAAUAUUUGAGACAUCUAUUUGAGUUCAAAGGAAUUGACGAACACUUUAUUAUAUAAGAAACAAUGAAUUUUUUUGUGAUAAUUAAAUAUGCAAACAAUUUUGUUUUGAAUUGAUCUUUUACAAGAAUAAUUUAUGAAUCGAGACUUAUAAAAUAGAUGAUUCAAAUUGUUGAAAUUCGAUAUAGAGUAGAUCUCUCAACUAACCCCAUUUUUUAAAAUGAAUGGGGUCCCUUCUUUUCAAAGGUAUGAUGGAUGGAUAGCAAGCCAGCAAAUUCUUUUUCUGUAAAGUGUAAAGUGCACUGCAAUCAACAUAAAAAUAAACAACAAAAAGGCAAAAGAACAAAUCAAGAGCUGCAGAAUGGGCCAUUUGAAAAAAGAGAGUAGAAUUUGGGAAACAAAAGGGCAUCCCAACUCAUUCACACUUUAAGGUUUAAACACACUUCUGUUAUGAUAAAGUUAAAAUAUGUUUAAGAAAGGUAAUCUGAUCUGAUCCUCUUGGAGUUAACAGUAACUAAAGAAGGGAAGGGGUGAUUAGGGAUUAGUGAUUAGUGAUUAGUGAUUAGAUAAUACAAAGUGUCUUCAUCAAUAAGAGAAUUACUUUUGACCAUUAGAUGUUCUUUACAGCCCCUCUCUCAAAGCUCAGGAGUGCACUAGGCUAGAAAAAAUGUUUCAACAAAUCGUCACGUGAUAAGAAAUCACAUGAGCGUCACAUGUACUAGUAGAAAGACUUAAAUAAAAUGGGGGGCGUCAAGUUGGAGAAAUUUUUUAUUGUAACCGGCACAUGGGUAGUGCAUCAUUUGUUUUUAUAUAAGUUGUGAGAAUUUUUUUUUUCUUCAAGUUAUUAACCUUUUAACAUACAUAUCCCACAAUUUGUAUAAUGACACGUGGUAUACCAUCCCGUGUUCCAGUUACAUUGCAAAACCUCUCAUCAAGUUGGUCGUAUUUCGAACUUAUCACUUGUAGUCACAUAUUUCAAUUUGUUUACAUAGCAUUGCAUAAUUAGUUAGAACACGACCACUUUGACGCUCUUGAUGCAUGCAAGUCCUUCUCAUGGGCAGUAGAAACAUAGCAUAAGUUGCACUUUUGUGGUCGGAAUUUAAAAAGAAGGAAACAUAGCUUGUUGGCCUCCUUUGAUAAAAUUGGAGCAUAGUCUCUGAAUUUUGGCCAAAUUUGAUAUUUGUACCUAAACUAAAAAUCUGUGGUGGUUGAACUUAUCACAACAUGAAGCAAUGGUUAUUUUAGGUAAAUUCAUUAAAAGUUUUAUUCAAAUUAAAAGGUAAUUGCAUUACGUUUGUGACAAACUUAAGAAUCAAUUCUUAUGAUUUUUUUUGUUCAAAUAUCAAAACUCCAAUUAAGCUAAAGCUCAAAACCAAGGCUCCAAUUAUUUCUUCCUCUUACAAACUUCCAACUACUCCUUAACCUAUUUACAACAUUAUACUGAUUUUGUAGCAAGAGUAGCAAACAUCACAGUGAAGGCACAUUCAUCAUUUGAAUGAUGGGCUUUCAUUUCACUCUGCUUCCAACGUCCCAAUUCAGAAGGCAAUUGAUAUUAAAACACCAACACAAAAGAUCAUAAAUAUUACAAAAGUAACUUACAUAAAACUAGUUCAUUGUCACGAGAUAUCAUGUGUCGAUAAACUGUUCCAUGUAAGUACGUCUCUGGAUAUUACAUUUCAGUAGAGUUUGAUGAAAGUUGGCAAGUACAAAGUGGGUAGUGUCUUAUAUAAUAAAUAUUGACAUGGACUGCUAACUAAAUUUGCAUCCUUUCUAUUUUAAAACAAAAAUCCAAAAGAUGUGACUAUACUUAGAAAGUCCAUUCAAACAAAUAUUGUCACCCCUACAGGUAUGAUUUUUGUGAUUUUUUUUAUGUUACCGACAAGGCUACAAAUGGACUAAGAAUUAUGUUACAUCCAUCAUCGCUGCCGACCGCAGAUCCUUGCGGUCUAAGCCAUAAAAAUUAGGGGCGUGCUAUCCACACACUCCAUUUUACUUCUCACACACCUCUUGAUGAUUUCAGUCCGUUGAUCUUCUUCAAUUCAUCCGAUCCGACGACCGAAAAUUAAAAAGGUGUGUGAGAGAAGUAAAAUGGGGUAUGUGGAUAUCACACCCCUGAAAAUUAUGCUAACAUCAACCAUGCACUGACAAUAUUUCACUUACUUAUUAUGAACUCAACUCAACAUAUUAGCAGUUGUGUUGACGUUGUUAAGUUGAUGCUAGGGUAAUCCCGGCGUUAGCGUAGUUUUAUCAGAAAUGAUAAAAUGAAUGAAAAAAACCAAACCUGCACAGGGGGGUGGCUUUUGAGCUUGGUCAAGAGUUAUGGGGUGGUCUUGUCAAUCUCAUCCCCGUGGCCUAAUGCACCACACUAGCCUUUACCCCGAGUAUAUACCAGCAAUUUCCGUACAGAAAGUUACAACUUAUUUUGUUAGAAUUCAAAUGCAUGCUCAGCAUAAACAAUAAAACAUCGAAAGUAUCUUUCGUUUGGAGACUAAAAAAUCCAUUGGAAUCAAGUGCCACGGCAUGCUCGUUGCCUGCAGGGACUCGAACCACCCUCUCUCGCUCUCCUUCAAUUAAAUUUAGGUCACAACAAGGUAACGACAUAUUAAUUAUCACUUUCAAAAGCGGGUGCGGAAAUCACUUUCAAAUACAUAUUAACAUGUCCGUGUUACAUUUAGGUCAACUCCAGCAAGGUAGUGGUGGACGGGUCAUGGGAAACCAUAUACAAAAGCAAGAAACAAUUUUUUAGUUUGAAAGGCAAACAAAUGUGGCAGCCUUAACGAAUCAGUGAUUCUCUUUCUAAUUUUCUCUGGAGCUCAUGGUGACGACCAAGUCAAAAGGAAAAGAAAGCAUCUAACCGAAAAACGAUCAGAAAAGGGCUCUACAACAGCAUUCGGCUUUUAGCUUAGCAUGCAAGUAAUCCUUCUAUAACGAGACUGUAUGUAGCACCGGAUCCCUGGCAUUUAAAAAAAAAAAACCAGGGAAUAAGCUAAUAGUAACAUAUAGAUGCUUAUCGUUCAUUAAUGAGAGGUAAAUCUUAUGAUAAAGAAGAGAAAGGUGAAGAAAUAUAUAGAAGUAUACACUUUAGGCGUCGAUUAAGGAAUUCAGAAAUCAGAUUCGUAAUUCAGUGGUCUUGUAACAAAAAACUCGUAAACUUUACUUACCGAGACUGUUCAGGUGGAACAUGAGACUCGAGAUUGGGUGCCAAUCUAAAUUUUAAAAUCUUUUGAAGGCUCGUAACUGGUUUUACUUGCUUGCUUGGAGAUUGAUUUGGAUCCAUUAUGCAUUUGCCUGCAAAAAGGUUUGCUUCUGAUGGUCCCGUUUCUUCAUGAACUCCAGGGCUAGCAUCUGCAAUAGGGCUUGCUUUAGUACAAGAUAAGGUGCUACUGCUAUUGAUGCAGGCAGAUACAAAAAGUAAAUAAAUGAAACAAUACAAGUUGAUAGGUGGCUUCUUUUUUACUGAUUGAUUGAUUGAGAAACAUAAAAGAAAGGCUAUGACUGGCUUUUGGCUAUCAUGCUCAUAACCACCUUCCGCAACAAUAAGACCAAUUUUUUCAUUUUAAGGCAAAUUCUGCGCCUCAUGAAAAUACAUAGUGAGGUGACAGGUCUUGGGGAGAGAGGGGUUAUCCAGUAACAGAUUCCGGAUUAACAACGGUUUCCAAUGGUACAUCUAUAGAUACCUAAAUAGAAUCUGGAUCUUGGUGCGAGUUAAUCUAGGUCAGGAUUUGCCCCAUAUUCGUAUUCAACCUGACUAAAAGUCAUAGCGAGGCGCUUCGAGUUAGGUAGUGCUGUACUAGCGUCUAAGCCCUACUUUCCAUAGGCAAAGGGAAGUGGUAUAACCUAAGUUUUCUAUAAUCUAUAUCAAAGGUCAAGAUCACCUUUCAAUAUCUAUUCUAGUCCCUCAGUCUUAUCAAAGCAUGUACUAAAAAACCUUCAAUGGACUACAACUCAAAAGGCAAAAUUCAUUGCCUAUUAUGCGCACCUCUUGAUGCCAAUGAACUUUAACCAAUAUUUUCACAUUACACACCCUCAAAUGAAAGUAGAUUCUUGAAUUGGAACAGAACUUUGAACAUCUUAGCUCAGUUGGAGAAGAAUAGAAUCGUAACAAAGUAGAGAAGGAACAAAGAAUGAGGAAGCCCUCAAUUUACUUGCAGAAAGAGAGGACCCUAAUUUAAAGAGGGAUCCAAACACCUUGAUCCGAAAAUAUACGGUACAGUAAAUGUAUAAAGGGCAGUUUUCCAGACAUAGUUUCUUACGGGUGUAUUCUGAGUGUGAGAGAGAAAUGUAAUUUACCUUCUUCUUUGAAUAUAAGGCAUGUUCCAAUCGUUUCUUGAUAUUCUCCUAUCUGUAGGAAAACAAGAAUUAGUGAAAAGAAAUCAUGUCAACACACAACUUCAACCUCCAAGCCUUUCUAGUUACGCAGAACUUGCCCUAGUUCUUCCAAGUAUAACAUACCGAUUACUAAUAAAAAUGAAUGAAACGGCAUACAAGGCUCAAAAGAGAAAAUGUAAGUGGGAAUUAGAGCAAGUACUGAAUAAUAAAGAAAACUACUGCGAAGUAUCACUAGUUAUAAACAAUACAAAGUGCCAGGACAGCACCAAGCCCUCAGCAAGAUAAACAGUAGGAAGAUUGGAGUUCAAACAUUCAAUUUCCACUAAAGCAUUCAAUGCCAAUGUUUUAAAGAGUGAGGCUGAUCCGAAGGUGUUUCAUAUGCUGCGUAAAACAACAUGAGAAUUUCAUAGGCUUGAUGCUGCAAACAAGUCCGAAAGAGACGAAGGUAAAACAAUUCUCAGGGAUACAUUGUCUACAUAAAAGACUCUGCUAACUAUAUAUCAACUAAAAGCCUAAAACCACUCUCAGGGAUAAUAAUUUAGUCAAAUUCUUCUACAAAACACACAAACCGUUCCAGGAUAGCACCAAACCCUCACCACGAUAAACAGUGCAAAGAUUAGAGUUAAAACAUUCCAUUGCCACGGAAGACGUCCAAUGUUACAUAAACCGGCAUAACUUAAGACCAAAUUCAUAUGCUGCAUAAAACAACAUGAACUAAUUUCAUAGCCUAAACACUCCUACCAAGUCCGAAAACAGCUAAAGGUAAAAGAAAAAGGGAAAAUGUGGCAUUGACCGCAUAGAAACACGAUAUCGGUUUUACAAACGGAUUCGAGUUUUCGCAGUUUAAAAGUUAAGAAUCGGCAUAGAAUCACAGAUUACAGAACCACACGAUGGAAUUUGAAACAGAAUUUCGUAUUUACAGGCUGUUAAAAACUUAAAACUCACCAACUUGAGUUUGUCGCCUAUAGUCAAUACUGGAUGCUCCGUGUUUAGACCCUGAAAAUCAACGCAUUUCGAUAUUAAAAAUGGCAUCACACAAAAAAGAGUUUCGAAUGCUGAAAAUUGCGGGGCAAAAUGUUAUAAAACAACGAGAUACUUAGAUUAGAAAAAACGUACGGAAAAAGAAUAGGGUGCGUUUGGUGGAAUUUCAAAGUGCGAGGAAACGGAAUCGAGAUCGAGCAAUACAUAUUCUUCUUCUUCUUCUUCUUUUGACUCCAUAGCAUACGUCUAUAAUACACACACACACACACACACACACACACACAAAUACAAAAAGAAAAAAAAGCAAUUAAUUCAGGAAUCAUGAUAUAAAAUUUGAGAAAUCGAAGUAAAAAUUGCAGAAGAAACCCGAGAGAUAGAGAGAGAGAGAGAGAGAGAGAGAGGAGGGGGGCGGGGGAUAGUGUUUACCUUGAACCAGUGGGGCAAGAGCUGACGCUUUGAGAUGUCCAGCAGCAGCAGCAGCGAGCGUGGUGAAUUAGAAGAAGAAAAAGAAGAAGCGAUACGCAGCGUUUGGAGAUGCGAUAAAUUUGCGAGCCCAACACUGAACGGGCCACUUGAGAAAAGGCUACAAGUGGGCUUCUGUAGACACCCACCCAUAAAAUGUGUAAAAUUUAUGAUAUAAACAAUAGACAGAACAAUGUUUUAUAUUAAAUGAUCAAUUAGAGAUUUAAAUCUGAAAAUUUGGGAGUACACCUCAAAAUGGGCAGUGCCCGGCGGUGGCGACUUCCGCCGGCGACUAGUGGAUGACGGCAGUGUGGAGGGCAACGGCUCGUGGAGGAGGCGGAGGCCCGUGGUUGAGGGGCGUUGGUGUGGACUAGUUGCUAGCUGUUUCUUAGAAGUUUUAGAGGGCGUAUUCAAUUGAGAAUUUGAGAUACUUUAAUGGAUUUAUAAAUCCAUGAAUUUUUAUUGAGUUUAAUUGAUUUGUCAAGAUUCCAUAUAAAAUUUUGAUUCAAUUCCCUCGAAAUCUCUUGGUAAGAUGUGAGAUUUGUGGAUACUUAAAAUACACAAAACUUCGGGAAUUGAUCUAACUUGAAUGUAUAAUUGAGCUUAUGCAUUUUAAUGAUUAAAUUCAUAGAUAUCUCAACCGCAUAUGAAUUUAAUAUUGUAGUAUCUUUUAGCCUCUAUAUUGGCAUCUAUGGCAAAAAAAUGGUACCUUCAUGAGAAAAUUUUGUAGAUCAAUGAAUAUUUUCAAUCUGGAUAUUUAUUAGAUACCAGAAAUUAUAAGUCUAUUCACGAAAGUUUAAGUCAAUGCCACGUACAAUAUUUGUUAAGAUAUAUUUAGGAAACUAUUAUUAGCACUCUAAAAAUAUUAAUUCUACACUCCGCAUAAGUGUAUUUUUCUUUCUAAUUAUAAAAAGUUUGGAGUGCCAAAUGAGGUUUUGGGAGUGUUAAUAACAAUUUUCUAUAUUUAUAUACAUUUUAUUUUAGUUUGGAAGUCGACUUCCUUUUUUUUUUGGAUAAUUCUAUUAACACCCCACAAUCUUAUGAAUACACUCCAUAAUUUUAUUUUUUUUCAAUUAAAUUUUCGUUUUUACCCUGAUGAAUUAAGUUUUGAAGUCUAAAAAAAAUCCCAUCCACCCCCUUAUGUCGACUGCCAACCACCAGAGUGUCUGGGCAAAAAAUCACAGCCACUCGCCAUGCUAUCCCAACCACCACAGUGUUUGGGCAAAAACAACCCUAUUUUUUUUAGCAGUGGCGUAUUUGGAGAACAAUAGCGCAUGGAUGACAGUUUUCGGGUUCAUAGGGGACUGAAUAUGGCUUUAGUCCAUUUUUUCAAUCCAAAUGGCGCUUCUGUUAUGGCUGCUAAACAAGACGAUAUCGAGAUUUUGAUUCGAGAUCGUCAUAUAUUAGGAUUAAGUCUGUCAGCAGUUAGGUUGUUUGCUAGCAAAAUAAGCCUAAACAUGGGGAUUGGGUGGCUUCAGAAAAAUGGAGGAUAAAGUUAGAAUUUUAGAAGCAUAUUUUAGAUGUGGGGUGUAUUAAAAAAGAUGCGGGGUGUUAAUAAAACAACCCUUUUUUUCUUUCUUUAUCAAGUUGGGUAGUAUCAUUGAGUGUGACACUGUGCAACUAGUUGUUGAUUUGUUUUGAAUAAUCAACAUGAUUUCUUACAAUGUCUUGGGCGUAUGAAUAACAGAAAGAAAACGGUCAUGAUCCAAGCCGAUAUCAUGCACAAGUUGUAUUACUAAUAAAUAUCCAGAUUGAAAAUAUUUAUCGAUCUACAAAAUUUUCUCAUGGAGGUACCCAUUUUUUUACCACAGAUACCAAUAUAGAGGCUAAAAGACAUUAUGAUAUUAAAUUCAUAUGCGGUCGACAUAUUUAUGAAUUUAAUCAUUAAAAUGCAUAAGCUCAAUUAUACAUUCAAGUUAGAUCAAUUCCCGAAGUUUUGGUCAACAAUAAAAACUGCUUACCUAUGAGUUCACCUAUAAAACGUGCAAAGACGAUAUAUUUUUUAUCCACAGUUUUAUGUAUCAUUGUAUUGUGAAUUUUUGUCCGCAACUUUUGUGGCAUAUAGAGGCUAAAAGAUACUACGAUAUUAAAUCCACAUGUGGUCAAAAUAUUUAUCAGUUUAAUAAUUAAAAUGCAUAAACUCAAUUACACAUCCAGGUUAGAUCAAUUCCUGAAGUUUUGCUCCACAAUAAAAACUGCUUAGCUAUGAGUUCGCCUAUAAAACAUGCAAAGGCGAUAUACUUUUAAUGUAAUAUGAAUUGUUGUCCGCAACUUUUGUAUCUAAUAAAUAUCCACGGUAAAAAGUAUUCAUUAAUCUACCAAAAGUUAUUAUGGACGUACCCAUUUUUCUACCACAGAUAGGAAUAUAAAGGCCAUAAGUUUUCGUCUUAAUAGAAAGAGGUCACCAUGCUUGCGAAGUCACACAUGGCAAUCAACUUGCAUUGGCCCUUACGUACAUUCCGUUUUUCUUUUUUCACAAAGACUUCGACGAAUGUCAGACAAAGUUAAGCCAAGUGACGGUGAUACUUACAACUUUAUUUAUUAUUAUUAGAUGAGUUUAAAUUUUGAGAUCUAUGGUGUAUAGAUACAAUCUCAAAAUUUAAUUAGACUCAAGUUGUAUUACUAAUUAGUACUAUUUAGAUUGAUUCAAACUUAAGCGAAUAGACUUCUAAUUUAUGGUAUCUAAUAAAUACCUAAAUUGAAAAUAUUCAUCAUUCUACAAAAUGUUCUCUUGGAGGUACAAAUUUGUUGCCAUAGAUACCAAUAUAGAGGCUAAAAGAUAUUACGAUAUUAAAUCCAUAUGCGGUCGAGAUAUUUAUGAAUUUAUUCAUUAAAAUGCAUAAACUCAAUAUACAUCUAGAUUAGAUCAUUUUCUGAAGUUUUUGUCCACAAUAAAAACUGCUUACCUUGACUUCACUUAUUAAACGUUCAGAGGCAAUUUACAUUUUAGCCAUAGGUCAAUGUAUUGUGAUUUUUUGUCUGCAACUUUUGUAUCAAAUAAAUAUCCACGAUUGAAAAUAUUCUUUUUUUUUUAACAAACGAUAUUAUCUACACUAAGGGAAGGGGGUGCGCUUAGCCUCAUAAUGGGUUAGCAAUAAUGUGGUUCAAAUUUGCCUUUGGGGAGAAUCGAACCUAAGACUUGUCACUUACAAGUGAAGAAGAAUACCAGUAGACUGUACCAAAAAAUCUCAUGGACAUAUAGCCAUUUUUCUACCACAAAUAGGAAUAUAAAGGCUAUAAGAUGCAAAAUCAAAGUUAUCUAUUUUUUUAUCUAAGUGAGAGUCGUGACUUAGGAGGGUCUAAGUAGGCGCCUAAACCUUUCUUAAUCUCCAAAUGCUUAGAGAUUAAUUGGGGCGGUGACCAGUCACCUUGCGCCUAGGCGGCGCAAGACAAGGAUUUUUAGAACAGUGUUUAGUAUUCAGUAAUAGUUUUAAUAUUUUCAUUUUUCCAAUUAGGUUAAAGUUGAGGGACCAUUGUUACAAUUUUUCUCAUUUUGUUUUCCAUAAUUGCCCCUUGAUUCAGCCUCACGUGUGUGGCACGUGACUCAUUUUGACGAAAGUUCUAACGGAGUUGGCGAAAAGGACCAUAACUGCAUGUUUUGAAGAGUUAAGGGACCAAUGGUUAUUGAGUUUUAGUUGAUGGACCAUUACUCCUAUUAGAUUAAAGUUGAGGGACCAUUGCUACAAUUUCCUCAAAAUAUAAUGUGAAAGAGAUUAAAAAGAAUAGCCCACAAGUCCUAAGGGUUGGUUUGGGUUAGAGUGCUUAUGAAAAAACAGCUGAUUAAAAAAUUUGGAACACCAAAUAGAAAAGUAGAUGUGGAGCAAAAAAUAAUCAAGAAAAUUAUGGAGGCGACACAUGAACUUUUGGGUGAAAUAGACAAAAUUACCCUUAAGGCACAUCGAAAUUCUCAUGCGCAUGCAACGGACAAUAACAACUCAAUCAAGGAAGAGUCAAAGGUGAUUAAAAUGGUAUUUAUUCAAAUCCCUCUCAUCACUCUUCAUCAAAUCCUUAUUCGAAAGGUAACUCCCAAUUUUCCUAUUCAAUUUAGGUGUAAUUGCCAAGUUAAUUGCAAGAUAUUAUUUCACUUAAUAUCUUGCAAUUACACUCACAAUUUGACCAUAUAUGGCCGGCCCCUAUUUUCCAAAUAAGGCUGGUCACUCCUCUAUAAAUAUCCCUAUUCUCCCACUAAAUUUUAAAGUCAUUUUGCUACCCACAGACUCCUAAACACAUUCUUUUCAAAAUUCUAACUUUGACAUCGGAGAUUCUUUGGGCAAAGCCCCCCCCCCCAAAAUUCAUCGUGAGCUCGUGAGGCUUUUGACCUUAAUCUUAAGAAUUAUUAUUUUGCAGGUGCAUUUUCGUUAAAGAAGAAGACGACGAAAAUUUGCAUCCACAGUAGAAGCAUGGUCUACUAUGCUUAUAAAAAAUUACUUUUUGUUUUUUCAAAACAUAGUAAACGGUCCCUCAAAUGAUAUAUGUACCUCGCAUAUUUUACAAAAUUGCAAUCUUUGUCCAAAAUUAUUCUCGUUGACUUAUUAUAUCACAUUUAAUAUCAUAUCAUUUUUUGUUAUUUAACAUAUUCAUAACAGUUUUACAUACAAGUUUACCAAACACUUAUACACUUUUUUUUGUUGUUAAAAGAGCUUUUACAAAAAAGAAAAAGAAAAAAACAAGGGAACUUUAACGAAAAACACCCGGUACUGUUCACUUUAACGAAAAACCACAUUUUUACACUAAAAAGUCAAUCCUGGUACUAUUCACUUUACCCUUUAUUUUGUCUUUAUCAUUAAAACUCAAAGUUUUCAAGCCCUUUUCAUUAGUUUUCCUAAAAAACAAAACAAAAAAAAAAUUUACCAAACACUCAAUAAUUUUUUUAGGAGCACAUCAAUACAAACUCUAAAAAAAAAUAAAAAAAAUAAAAAAAAUAAAAUAAAAAAAAAGCGUCAUGCAGGACAACAACAAACCCCAUAUUGCGACUUGGUUGUCGUGUGCGCACAAGUCAAAAAAUUAAAAGACUAAUUUUUUUUUUUGGCAUUAAAAAAACAAAAUUAAAGAAAUAAAAAUCAUAAUGUAGCGUCUUAAACUCGAAGUCACACAUGCCAAUCAAUUUGCAUUGUCCCUUACGUACACUACGCUACGAUCCGUUUUUCUUUUCGACAAAGACUUUGACGAGCAGCAUAUGGUAAAAAUCAUGUUGGACAAAGUCAUGGUCAAGUAAUGGUGAUGAUCACUAGUUUUUAUUAUUUUUUUAUUAUUAUUAGAUGAGUUCAAAUUUUGAAAUGUGUGUAGUGGAUAAAUACAAUCUCAAAAUUUAAUUAAACUCACAUAACAACGAUAAAUAAAGGCAUUAUCACAACUUAGGAGUGGUGAGCAAAAAUACACUCCCAUUAAAAUAGAACUUAAUAUAUACAUAUUAAAAACAAAAACAAAUUGAUGCAAAAUCUCUCGACCACUAAUACUAUUACAAGUCAUGCAUGAAACAUACACAUUUGUUUAUAAGCAAACAUCAUGCACAAGUUGUUUACUAAUCAAUACUAUUCAACUUGUAUCAAGACCUUUUUCUUUCUUUUAUUCAUGUGCCCAAGACAUUGAAAGAAAUAAUGUUGAUUCAAAACAAAUCAACAACUAGUUGCACAUGAUUAUAGUCAGUGAUACUCCCAACUUGAUAAGAAAGAAAGAAAAUAAAGGAAGUCGACUUCUAAACUAAAAUACAAUGUAUAUAAAUAUAGAAAAUUGUUAUUAGAACUCAAAAAAUCUUAUUUGGCACUCCAAACUUUCUAUAAUUAAAAAGAAAAAUACACUUGUACGAGUGUAGAAUUAGAUUUUUGAAGUGCUAAUAACAAUUCCGUAAAUACAUCUUAACAAAUAUUGUACGUGACUUAGACUUUCCCGAUUAGACUUAUAAUUUAUGGUAUCUAAUAAAUAUCCAUAUUGAAAAUAUUCAUCGAUUUACAAAAUUUUCUCAUGAAGGUGCCAUUUUUUUUGCCACAGAUACUAUUAUAGAGGCUAAAAGACACUACGAUAUUAAAUUCAUAUGCGGUCUAGAUAUUUAUGAAUUUAAUCAUUAAAAUGCAUAAGCUCAGUUAUACAUUCAAGUUAGACCAAUUCCCGAAGCUUUGGUCAACAAUAAAAACCGCUUACCUAUGAGUUCAUCUAUAAAACGUGCAAAUGCGAUAUACUUUUUAACCACAAUUCUAUGUAUUAUGAAUUUUUGUCCACAACUUUUGUGGCAUUUAGAGGCUAAAAGAUGCUGCGAUAUUAAAUCCAUAUGUGGUUGAAAUAUUUAUUAGUUUAAUCAUUAAAAUGCAUAAACUCAAUUACACAUCCAAGUUAGAUCAAUUCAUGUAGUUUUGCUCCACAAUAAAAACUGCUUAUCUAUGAGUUCGCCUAUAAAACGUGCAAAGGCGAUAUACUUUUUAGCCACAGUUCAAUGUAGUGUGAAUUGUUGUCCGCAACUUUUGUAUCUAAUAAAUAUCCACGGUUAAAAAUAUUCCUUGAUCCAUCAAAAGUUAUCAUGGACGUACCCAUUUUUCUACCACAUAUAGGAAUAUAGAGGCUAGAAGAUUCUCAUUUAAUUGAAACAUACCAAACUCAUUAAAUACUCUAACCAGAAGCUCACUUAAUUGAAAAGAAAAAGGAAUCAAUAUGUAAAAAUUUAACCUGUUCGAGCUUUAAUUAUUCAUUUUCAAGCUGAAAGGAAGAAGACAGGAAACUUUGGAUUAGGUAUGCAAUUAGUUGCUCUAUAUAUACCCAAACUUUGAGAAUUCCGAAUGUAAAGAAACAUAUAUAUGCUAGAGCAGCUUAAUUUCUAACCCAAUGGCUCAUGGCUUCCUUCUCAUACUUUUAUUCUCUCACAUCAUCUCUUCAAGUGUUCAUGCAUGUAACCAAACUGAGCGCGCCUCUCUUCUGUCCUUCUCCUCCACCCUAUCUUCUUGUCCUUUAAAUUGGACUUCAGUUAACUGUUGUAGUUGGAAAGGCAUCACUUGUAAUCAAGAUGGUUUGGUCACCCAUUUGCUCUUAUCCUCCAAAGGUCUCAAAGGAGCUAUUUUCCCCUCAUCAUCAUCACUUGGAAAUCUCACACACCUCAUCCAAUUGAAUCUCUCUCACAAUUCACUUUCUGGAUCACUUGAAACUGAAUUCUUUUUGCCUUUGACUCGUCUUGAGAUCCUAGAUUUGAGCUUUAAUCUUCUUUCUGGAAAGUUACCAUUUUCUAUGCCAUCCCACAAUAUCCAGAAGUUGGAUUUGUCAAGCAAUCACUUCCAUGGUGCAGUUUCAACAUUAUUCUUUCAACAUGCUCGGAAUUUAACUAGUUUCAAUGUCAACAACAAUACCUUCUCAGGUUUGAUCCCAUCCUCUAUAUGUCCUCAUUCGUCUCCCUUGAUUAGGCUGUUGGAUUUUUCCUUCAAUGCAUUCAGUGGCAACAUUUCUCCUGGACUCGGGGAGUGUUCAAAACUACAAAUUUUUCGUGCUGGUUACAAUGACCUCUCAGGGUUACUUCCGAAAGAUAUCUACAAUGCCACCAAACUCGAAGAAAUUGCAUUCGCUUCCAAUUCACUCCAUGGAGCCAUAAGUGAGAAAAUUUUCAACCUCACAAACCUCGCAAUCCUUGACCUUUCUUUUAACCAAAUGAGUGGCAUACUCCCUCUCCAUUUUGGAAAGCUCUCCAAAUUGAAACUCUUGGCUCUUGGUUUUAACCAUUUCGAAGGUUCUUUGCCCCCAUCGUUGAUGAAUUGCACGAACCUUGUAGAAAUACAUAUGGCAACCAACAACUUGGAAGGAGAUAUCUCCAUGGUCAAUUUCUCGAAACUUAGUCAGCUUAGUAAACUUGACCUAGUUCGAAACCACUUUACUGGCACAUUUCCAACAAGCCUUUAUUCAUGCCACUCCCUAAAAGCUAUUCGUUUGAGUAAUAAUGGUACAGAGGGACAAAUCCAACCUGAAAUUCUUUCGUUGAAAUCUUUGUCCUUUCUCUCACUUGGUGGCUUAACCAACAUCACUGGGGCGAUGAAGAUAUUAAUGCAUUGCAAAAGCCUUCAAGUACUCAUCAUUUCGUAUUCAUUCAAAGGCGAGGAAAUGCCAGUUGAUGAAGGCAUGGUUGAUUUCGGUGGGUUCCAAAAUCUUCGAUCGUUGACCUUUUAUUAUUGUAGGUUCAGUGGUCAAAUGCCUUUAUGGUUAUCAAAACUCAAGAAUGUAGAGAUCUUGAUUUUGGAAGGUUGUAGACUUACAGGGCCAAUUCCUAGAUCGUUGGGGACGCUUCCCAAACUCUUCUUCUUGUUCUUGGUAGACAACCAAAUUUCUGGUGAAUUUCCAAAAGAACUUUGUGGACUACCAAGGUUGGUACAUGAACCAACCACAGAUCAAGUAGAAGAUUAUAUUGAGCUACCUAUCUACACUGAUGCAGGCCUAACUUACCCGCGAAGAUUGUCCAACUGGCCACCAACAAUAUCCGUAUCUUUCAAUCACAUUCAUGGUAGAAUACCUACUGAGAUCGGCCAAAUGCACCUUCUCCACAACUUGGGUCUUGCUGGCAACUACUUUUCCGGCAACAUUCCAGAACAAAUAUCCAACCUAAAAAAUCUAGAGAAUUUGAGCCUCUCUAUGAAUCAUUUGUCUGGAAACAUCCCGUUGUCAUUGGCAAACCUUAAUUUCUUAAAAUAUUUCAAUGUCUCGUACAAUAAUCUCGAAGGACCAAUCCCAACAAGCACUCAGCUCCAAAGUUUCAAUGCUUCUGCGUUUGAGGGGAAUUCAGAAUUGUGUGGCUCUCCACUUCAUAAUGAGUGCCUACCAAUUAAGGGCAUUGAUGCAGAUAACAAGAACAACCAAGGUGUGGAUAAUGAGCAUGAUUUUCCAUGGUUGUAUAUAUUCAUUGCACUAGGUUUUAUCGUAGGGUUUUGGGGGAGUGUGUGGUUCUUUAAUUGUUAAGAAGACAUGGAGAUAUGCGUAUUUUAAAUUCUUUGACAAUGUAUAAGAUAGGCUCUAUUUUAUUAUUUCAGUGCGUAUGACAAUGAUGAAAAGAAGGCUUAGAGGAGACUAAAUUGUACUUUUUUUAUCGGUUUUGUUUUCAUACCGAAGAUACCUUUUGCUUUAGGUCUAUGUCCCCUUUUUUUUCUUGUAUUUUCCUUUGUAAGAAGCGUAAGGUUUAUGUCCCCCUUAAUUUCUUAUAUUUUAUUUUAUUUUGUUUUUCUUGUUUUAUGAGGGAUAAUGUUUAUUUCCCUUACUAAUUGCAAGGCUAGAAAAAAUUCCCAAAAAUUCCGAACAAAACCAAAAAAGAACAGAGCAUUGAAAAGAACUAAUGCCUUUCCUGUUAGGAUCAGACCUCGUAAUUUUAGCGAAUUUGCCCUAGAUGAAGACAACCACAUUGAAAAUAACUAAUGCCCUUCCUGUUAGGUAAUUGAAGAAAAGAACAGAGCACUGAAAGGACCAGACCUCGUAAUUUUAACGAAUUUGCCCUAGAUGAAGACAACCACAUUGAAAAGAACUAAUGCCUUUCCUGUUAGGUAAUUGAAAAAAAGAACAGAGCAUUGAAUUUUGGGAAAAGUAUAGCUAAAAUAGAGUGACGUCUAAAGAUGGUUAUGUAGAAAAGUCAACAAAAUUGAAGUGUUGUAUACAGAAAAUGCUAAACAUGGCUUAAGUACAAAGAAAUUUGAAAUAGAUGAUACAUAUCCUCGAUAAUAUUUGAUGAAUUUGAAUGCAAAGGUAAAAGUAAAAAAUGGAAUAGCUUGAAUUGGAUGACAGGAGCCCCGAAGUUUCAGUUAAAAUCAUCUCCAAUUCUUUUGAUCGUGAUAAUGAAUGAUCUGAGAAAGAAUUUGUAAAUUAAUUUUUUUUUAUAAAUAAAAUAAAAAUCUAACAUGAAAAUAUGUGAAUAGUAAAAUAUAAUGUGUAAAAAUGUCGACUUUGAUUAAAAACUAAAAUUCAACAAAUUUUCCGUGAUAGAAAAUUCGUGACUAGGGAUUGAAAAUUCGUGACUCGCAAUCUGACGAACCCACCACUGUACUAUGACCCGCGAGGUUCAUCUGCAACCAAACAGAAUUUUUUAUUUUUUAUUUUUUGGAUUUAAAGUUUGGUGCUUUUUUUUUUUUGGGAACUUUAACGAAAAGCACCUGGUACUGUUCACUUUAACGAAAAACCACAUUUUUACACUAAAAAGUCAAUCCUGGUACUAUUCACUUUACCCUUUAUUUUGCCCUUAUCAUUAAAACUCAAAGUUUUCAAGCCCUUUUCAUUAGUUUUCCUUUUUUUUUUUUUGCUGGUGGGAGAAAUCUGGUUCCAAAUCAGCAAGAGUUCUAGGGAUCGUGAAGGUUGUGCAUAGUAAAUUUUCCUCACUUUGUUCGAAUUCCAAGUCUUAUUCUCUCUAAUUUUCCCUACUCUUUUCGAAUUCUAAGUCUUAUUUUCUGUUAUUCUCUAUAAUUUUUUGCUGUGCAUAAUGUACCAAUCCAAAGGUGCUUUGGUAUUGUAUCAUUCCAGAUAUAGAUCAACGCCCCCGCUGUGAGAAACACUAGGAACCGAAAAUCGCAAGGAAUUUAUAUUUCAUGAGUAAACUGCCAAUUGCCCUUUAAUGUUCACCUAACUUUCGAUUUACUGACACACCCCGAUCCGGAAUAUCCACUAGGACUCCGAAUCGAGCUAUGUUGGCCGCUACCUGGAAGGUGACGAAGCCAUAAAGUGAUGAUAAGGAAAGAUGCGAAUAAAUUUAAACCUAAAGGUGCCUAAAUAACAGAGUGUCCUGUGCGUGGGUAUGAACCCAAAUCACAUGUGAUGUCAGAGCAUAGUCAAGUACAACAAUGUAGGUAGAAACCAUACCCACAAAAAUAGCCACCUUAACAGGGACAUGCCACGAAUCCUUGUCGAUAAGGAACUUUGCUACUAGAACCUGGAAAGGCGCAAAACAGAAAACGUGAGUGGGCGAAAAUAAAGCUUUUCAAGAAUAUCUCAUUUAUCAACAUUUAUAACCCCUCGCUGAAAAACCUGUAUACUUUCCCAGAAAAUAAUUUAUAUAACCAUAUAUAUCAGCAAAUAUCUCAAAUCACAAUCCUUUAACACUUUUCAGAAAAUAUGCCAUGCAAUGCAUCGAAACAGAAUAUGGAUGCAUCAACAUAAAUUAGGUGAAAUAAUAAAUUAACCGGAGACCUGCAGCUGGUCCUGUACGGUUAAUUCUAUAGCUCAAUAUCCAAUCAAAUCGGAGUCACCAACUGUGACCUGUACGGCACUACUCUGCAUAUAAAUCGGAACUAUCUGAAGUAGUCUGUACGACAAGAAUGGUGUAAGAAUAAGCUCUAGUGCUUCUCUCAUCAACAAUUGUAUAAUAAUCUAAAGUCACCUACAGUCGGAACCACCUCUCAUGGUCUGUACGACAUGUUGGAACCCUCUAUUGGUCUGUACGACAUGCACCUACUUGGAUCCAAGGUGAGCGUAUAGUGCGGGGUGAAUAAUAUAAGCACUAACACCAGGGGUGCAGGUUAUGAGCUCUCAACACAAAUCACAUCGUCAUUAAUUCAUAUAAACAAUAUAAACUCACUUGAUACUCACCUGUGCGUCCACAGCACCAUUUCAUAUAUAUGCAUCAAAUACUAAUUCAUAUAUUUCAUGUAUAUGUAUGCAUGGCAUUUUAAAACAUGCUUUCAUUUAAAUCCGAUUUCUGGGAAAAAUCAAUAGUAUAUAGGUAUAUAGAAAACAAAUGCCCACUCACCUGGGGUCCGCGCUAAGACUCCCUAACAUCAGAACCAAGGCGUCCUGAACGCUCGGCGCCUAAAACAGUUAUCAAACCACAUCUCAGAACUCUUAUCCAUAGAAUGUGAAAUUCACAUAACACACAUCCACAAGGGUAUUCAAGAAUAAUGCGAGACCCGUUGAUCAAGGGUCAACCGUUGACUAAGUUCGACGGUAGGGUCAUAACCCCACAUAACUCAAUCUGAAAGAUCCACAACUUAGAUUUCUGAUCCGUCACUUCCCAAGAUACACAUUAAGCUUUAGAACAACAUACUAAAAUUUCGUUACGAUCCGACGGUUGGAUCUCCGCCAAUUUCCAAAACUGAGUGGCGGUUAACCUUUUAUUUUAUGAACUUACAAAUCCAAUUCGGGAAGAUCCAUAUGUCGGAUUUCCAAUCCGUAAGUUCCUACAUUCUUCAAAUAUUACGUACUACUAUGUGUCAAAGUUUGAUGACGAUCCGACGGUUGGAUCGUCGAUUCACCUUUUGACCUAACCAUGAAUCGUAUCGAAAUUAAGUCCAAAUGAUCAACCAACGUUAAGCCACUAUCAAAACUGAACUUAGGAUAUCAAAUAUAGCUUAAAAAUAACAUUGGCGGCCCACUGGCCACGUGCCACCGCACGCGCCGCCAUGGGUGGCGGUCGGCCGCCCAGGCUCGUCGGAAAAUCCAACUAUUUCCAAAAAUUACCAAAAUUUACAGAAAUAAAUAUCUCAAUGAGUAGAGAAACUUUCAUACCUGUGGCCAAGGCCAAUUCGGUCGGCAAGGCCUCCAAUUUCAACAAAACCCGUCGGAAACCCUAGAUUUUGGGUGUGCUCAAUCCGUCCUCAAAUCAACUCCGCCGUCCCAACCAUUGCUUAGGCUUUGUUCUAGCCUCAAGAGGAUGCCUUGGGUGGUGGAAAUUGAAAGAAAUUGCUUCGGGAUUGGGUGAUUCGAAGUCAAGGCAGCCGCACCCCUUUCUUGCGGUUUUCUCUAUUUUUAAAACCAAAUCUCUCCAAAUUUGAGAUGGAAUGGAUAGAGGAAGGGUUCUAGAGUGUUUCCCAUGAGGUUUAUUGAAGCAAUUCGCCGGAAAAACGGGUGGAAAUCAUCGAAAUUACACAUGGUGCCGACCGGGUCAAGAACAGGCCAAGGGGAUCCGACCGAUCCCCCGCGCCACUCUCUCCCUUCUUUCCUCCUUUCCCUGAUUCUGAUUGGUCAGUCUCUCUCUCUCUCUCUUCUCCCAAUUCGGCCAGCUCCCCCUCAUUUCUCUCCCGGAGCUCCUGCAUCUCUUCCUCUGGUUGGGCAGCUUGCCCAAUCUCUUCUUCUUCCUCUUCUUUUUCUUUCUUUCCUUUCCAUCUGCACCAUCCAUUUCUUCUUCUUUAAAUCUGGGCCAUCCAAAUAGCACACCAUAUUUUAUAAAGGAAGAAUCCAUAUUUUCUGAAAAUAAUAAAAUUGAUCAAAUUUCAAACUUUAAUAACUUCUUCGUUAUAGCUCCAAAUCACGAACCGCUUGCGCCCACGCGUUCAUAGUGACGAGUAUUACGAGGAUAGGCCAAGAAAGAAAUUCUUAGGUGACACGACACUGUAAAUAAUCUCAGUCAACACACGUGUCUCGAAAGGCAAUUUCGUAAAAUCACUUAAUAAAAUUAUAAAAAAAAAUCAAUAUUUUCCGGGACGGCCUGUCACAAUCUUCCCCCCUUUAAAAAUUUCGUCCCCGAAAUUUCAAAUAACUUGCUAGAUGUAAAAUACUCAAAAAUAAGAAGAGUACCAUUAUAUAAAAAUACUUACACAAGGAAGAGAUCAAAUUAGAGCGGUUGCAUAAAAGAGAGUGUCAUUUCGUUGCGAUCGGAUUGCAAAUAUUCCUCUUUCAUGCCUCCAAGCUCAUACCUUUUUCCUUCCUCGUCAGUAUAGUAACAUAACAUCCACAAAAUCCGUCAAGUAAGAAUACCACUUACCAUGUAAUGGCUUAAGAAAAGUUUACGGAUAUAAAAAACAAUUAUCAAUAUAGAAACCUUCAGUUCAAAUACUUGUGCCAAACUAAAACCAAAAGUAGAAAUAACUCACUCAACAUUUGCAAAAUCAGAAAUACUCAAAUAAAUAGAAUAGUCUCAUAGAAGAUGCUUGCACACAAAAAUCAAGAUUCAAAAUGAAAAUGGUCCUUGCCAAACAUUUGUCGUGACACGAACUUCGAGAAAGUCUGAAAUAUAACUAAUUAGUAACUACUAUUAAAGAUGAGCCGUCUUGCCUACUAGCUUAGAGAACCCAAAAUUAAGCCAUUGAUAUUACUGUUUGCGGCCUGUAAUGUCGAUAGUUCAAUGUUGUCUCAAUGUUCACUAGCAUUGCUCACCAAAUCAAGAAUAUAACCUUUGAAAUCUAAAAUUUGAGAAUCCAAAUCUUUAUCGACAACAUUCAAGCGAUAAUUGUAAUUUCAAUUUUACAUGGAGAGUGUCGUCAAUAUUACUAGGCUUCAUAUUUUCCCCAAUACUAAGCUGAAAUCCAUUCAAUUCUCAAUACCACAUGAAAUUCCUUUUUGGUAAGUCCAAUAAACUCAUGAGGAGAUUGCACUUCGAGAUUUCUUAUACGCAUCGAUAUAAAACUGGUGCACGCCUUCGCCGAGACAAUGUAUCGAAUUACUCAUCAAUUGAAUGAAAAAAAAAAUCAUGUCAAGAAGACUAAAGCAUACUCGAAAAUCCGAGAACCCCAAACAAGGUCAUCACAUUCAAAGUUCAUGAUAUCCAACUGAUUGGUUGUCCUUACCCUGACCAAAAACAACUUCCAGAAUACUCAAUCACCAACGGUAAUGAUCUAAUCCACAGAGUAAUCGACAGGUGAUUGAGGAAUUAACGAUUUCAACUAGAUUUCAAUAUCCAAGCAAUUCUUCCCGAAUGACUAUCUGUCAUUGAAAAUAGUGUGAACUGCAAUAGGGUAGGCAUGUACCAAAGUUGACCAAAUACACUCAGCACAAGGAAUGAAUAUGAAGUCAUGACCAAAAAUGAUGUUGACCAAAAUGCCAACUAACCAAAAAAUUCGAGAAUAGGUAAUUUUAACAAAUGAUCCAACUGUAGCUCCCUCAGAAUCAAUGAAAGAAUGGAUUGAUUGCCAAGUCAAUCCAUAAACAUCAAGGCAUCACUAUCACUCCACAUGUACCAAAGUACUUCUUACUAGAAGUUUAUAGUAAUUAUCCCGUUUGCAUCUAGAUAUGGUAAGUGAUGUAACUUGUUUGUACUAUACUUGACCAAUCCCGAAACUACUGAGCACCGGUCAACGUUAUACCGUCAAGGACCCAGAAAAGCUUCCCUUCAACCAGGAGGCCAAUCACAAUGCAACACGUGUCGACAUCAGAAGCCAAUCACAGCGUGACACGUGUCAACAUCAGAAGCCAAUCACAACACGACACGUGUCAAUGUCAGAACAAAACUAGAAACUCUCUUCUAUAAAUAGGGAUCAUUCUCCCACAAUAAUCUCUAAUGUCAUUUUGUACUAAACUAUUCACUAGAACUCACAAAAUGAGAGCUUAAACCUUUGUAUUUGUGUAAACCCUUCACAAUCAAUGAGAACUCCUCUACUCCGUGGACGUAGCCAAUCUGGGUGAACCACGUACAUCUUGUGUUUGCUUCCCUGUCCCUAUUCAUUUACGUACUUAUCCUCACUAGUGACCGAAGCAACCAAGCGAAGGUCACAAAACCUGACACUUUCUGUUGUACCAAAGUCCUCGCUGAUUUUGUGCAUCAACAUUUGGCGCCGUCUGUGGGAACGACACUUAUUCCCACUUUCUUCAGCUUUGUCAAGCUGGUUUCCACCACUCGUACACUUUCUUUUGGCCAAGCAUCUCUCUUCGACAUGGGGAGCGAAAGAAGCCAUAGCACACAGAAUGACACCCCCCUUGGACCUAGUAUGAAGCAACGAAAGCAUGAAGGAAAUAGAGUUACUCUUCAAGCUAAAGUCGAUAAGCUAGAGGUUCAGAACAACAAGAUAGCGAUGAAGAAUGAGGUCCUCCAGGAACAAUAUGAAAAGCUUUUCGAGAUGCUUCACGAGGCUAGGCAUGCUCAAACACACAAGCUCGUCGCCCUAUUGAGGUCAACAAUCAUCUGAAUGCCCCCCAACACGGAGGGUCACCGAUAUCCAACACGGACAUCCCUGAUAAGGAUCGAGCUACACAUCAAUGUGAUAAUCAACAGGAGACUUCUCUCAACCCAGCUGCUUCAACCCGAAGCAGAAGAAGUAGAGGAAAGCACCUCUUCACAGAGGGAGUGGAAGGAUCAAAAGCCGUCUAUCGCGAUUGUCGAGACUUCUUAAAGCAACGUCGAGAGAAUCUCAUCCACAUAAGCUCGAAGAUCAAUGACCCAAGAGUUUCUGAAAGACUCGGUCAUCUUCCACGACCCAGGCCAGCAGCCAAUCUAGGGAAUGGGCAACAAGUCCCAGAAGAACAUGAAAGUACAGGGGACUCGGAAAUAUUCCGACAUACUCACUCUAGGAGUCAGUGUGGCGAGUCUAAGGAAAAAUCACGUUAUCUUGAUCAAACUUUCCUACUUAUAAGAGGCGAUGGGGACUUACGAAAGAAAACUUCAGUGGGGCACGACUCCACUCAAGACCCCCUUGUCCUACAGCUCUUGGAAGUAAACAAGUUGAAGGCUGAACGUCAAGACGAGAUACCUGACUGGAACCAACCCAGGCCUGGCCCUCUCACAAGAAGGAUCCUCAACACCCCCUCCAAGCAAAGACAAAGCAGAAGCUUGACUUACAACUCUAUACUGGAAGGGAAGACCCGAUUGAACACCUUAACCUCUUUGAGUCCACCAUGGUAUACUGGAGACACACCAUUGAAAGAAAAUACUUGAUACACUAAUCAAGAUCUUGGUCACAUGACAAGAGUGAAACGUAUCGAGACACGAAGGGAGCGAAAUGCAGAUAUGCUAGGAUAUAUUCAACAAGUAUCAUUCUAUUAUCAUGAGAUCGACCUACUUCAAUAGGAAGUCCGACUAAUUAGUACAUAAUUGGACGGAAUGUAUUACCUCGCUGACAUUUUUACCUUAAUUAAUAUCUUUUAGCUCCUUAGAGGAAAAUUGCAAUUUCCUAGUGAAAUAAAGGAAUUGAUGGCAAGAGACUAUCCAGGGUGCAUCAAUGUAAGAAUUGAAGCAUACAUGUUUUGAGCUUGGGUCAUGCCACAAGUUAUCUUAGGCAUCUUCCAAAGGCAAGCCUAAUAGGUGUGUAAGAGUUUUUCAUAAGGUGAGUAAGUAAGAACAAUCAAUCACUUAAGGAUGGAUAUGUGGACAUACAAGUAAAUGGAUUGACAUUGGUAUUGGACUUAGUAAUGUUUAAACCGGUAUUGAACAUAAUGGAGGGAAAACUAAAGAACUCAAUUUCGAAAUAAGAUGUAGUUACAACCUCUUGGACGCGGAUAGAAACUGCUACCAUGAUAGGAGAAGCAAGUAGAAUCCUAUAAUUAAAGACAUGUCUUGGCCUCUCUUCUCGGUUUUACUUGUUCAUAAAGCUUGUCCUAUUGAGAGCAGAACUAUGUUGAAACUUAAAGAAGAGAAGGUCAGACUCUCCAGACAUUUGUCAUGCCUACAUAUGCAGAUACGAACUGAUAUCAUUUUGGGUAAUUUCUUAUUAUAUGUUCUAACUAAUAGAGUGUGGUUUAAUGGCUUUAUUGUUUUUAAUAAUGCUCAAUUAUGGUUAUGCAUAUUAUGCUUUCAUGUGGUAUCAAAGCAGGUCAAUAAUAGCCUUAAACUCAUUUACAGAUCAAAAUUGUAUUGUUUGAAUUCUGCUGCAUUUGUUUUCAAUAAUUUAUAUGUUUUAGUUUAUACAAUGUGUUGCGAAACCAGAUCUAGAAAGGAAAUAUGGUGUACAACCUGAAAAUGAAAAAAUAAUUUUUUAAGAUUUGGUUCAUUGUCCUUUUCUUAGUUUAUACACAGUGUAGUUUAUACACAUAAACAAGUAGAUUUGUUUCCAAAGGAAUCGCUUAUGAAAAUCAAAGUGUAGUUUAUACACAUAAACAAGUAGAUCUGUUUCCAAAGAAAUUUGUCUACUGGGUUCGUUAUAAACUAAUGUAUAGUGAGUAUCAUUUGCUUUAAGGUUAUAUUAGUAUUGAGAAUGUGAUUUGAGAUUAUACAUGAACUUUGCCUUAUUGAUGAUUAUGUUUAUUAUGGUGGUCAAGUACUUGUGAGACAAAUGUGUGUCGUAUGGGUGUGAUACUCUUGAACUCCAUAUUCCUCAGUCGGCCUACUAAUCCAAUUAUCCAUAAUAUGUUACUAGCAAUACCUAUAAUAGCUAGUUUGGAUUUUAUACAUGCAUUAUUGAUUGAGUUUUUUGUCUUCGCUUGAAAAUUCUGAAUAAAUAUGAACGACACUCAUGUCCGUAUAUGAAGGGAUUUAAUGGUUUUAAUGAUAGAAAGUUAUGAUUUUUGCAUGGUUAAAGAAGUUUGGCCAUCAUAAAGUUAAAGAUUGCUUGGUUUGGCCAAAUGGUUCGGAUAGGAAAUAAUAGACUUGUCAUUUAAUUGACCCAUUAUUGUUAAUGGUCCAUUUUAUCAUAUUGUGAGAAUAGUGAAGUUCAAGAUGUUAACUUGUAAAUUGUGUCUUAUGACUUUACUCAAAUUUUGUUGAUGUUGUUUUGCAAUGACGUUGGAGUUUUAUACUAAUAUAAUCCUCAUUUCUACCAAAUUUCCUUAUUACAUUGAUGAUGAUAUAUAAACUUUGAAACGUUGUCGAUUAAAAGAAAAGGAAUCGCUGAGGUUGAAUGUCAUGAUUUCGGACUUGUUAUUAAGAUGACAAUUUGCCCUUAUUAUUUGUUGUUUUGAUAUUGGUAAAUUAUCAUUUUGCCAAUUUAUAUAUACAAUUUGCUGUAUAAUUGAGGAUGCUUUGUUGCUUUGAAAAUUGCAAGUACAUUGGUUUAUGACUCUCAGCUUGUUCAUGUCUUUGAAAUCCUUAUUUAUUAUUUUUUUAUUAAGUUGACUUGUUGAUCAUAUCUUGUUCAAGGAAUUUUUAGAAUUGGGUCUUCUAGUUUGAUAUCUUAAUUACCAAGGUAAUGGGAUAUUGAUUCAAAUGUUAUGUUUGAUAAGUUGUUUGGAUAUCUACUUAAUAUGGGUUUUUAAUCGUACUGCAAAUACAAUUCCAUCUUGCUUCUCUUUUGUAAUGUUAUCUCUGUAUUGCACAUGCUAGAUAGACUAUUAAGUUUUGAUCUUUGUUUCGAAAUUGAUUAGUUUGAUUUGAUCAUGACAUGACAAUGAUUGAACAUUAUUGAAAUGUUGUAUGAUUGAGGCAAUUUAUAUAUUACGAAAAUUGGAAUGAAGUUAUUUUGCUUGAGAUUGAUGUUUUACGUCAAUAUUUUUGUAGAGAAAUCAAUAAAAGGAUGACACAAUUUAACGUGAAAAGGAAAACGAGAAAUUGGUUAUGUCACAGACUUUUCCUUGCAACACAUCCUUUUUUUAUGCUACUUUUGAUCAACUUCGAAAUUCGGUCAUGUGUGUAGUACAGAAUGGACUGUUUGCAUUGAAAUUUUUUUUUCGUAUUUUUUCGAUAUGAAAUAGAAUUAUGGUAAAAUGUUAAACAUGAAACUAUGUUGAUGGAAUGUUGCAGAUUUAUGCAUCAUAUCCUGUUUGUGAUGUCAUUUUGAUAGACCUACUUGACUCCUAAAUUUAUGAAAUUUUAACAUGUUAUACAUUAGGAUGUGAACUCUAAAUCUAGAAAUUUUUCAAAGCAAUGGUUGAAAAUUAUUUUUUGAUGAAUUUUUUUAAUCGCGGGUCUCUACUACAUAAUACUUUUCGUCUAGCCAAAAAAUCUGCCGUCCGUCCCAUUUGAGAUUUAUUUUUUGACCACUUAUAAAAUCUCAAAAAUUAUGAAAUUUUGUGAAAUAGCAUGUUUAUAUGUCUACUUCACAUCUGUAAAUUUUCAUGACGUUUAAGAAUUGGAUCUUAAACGAAAUUGCAAACUAAGGACAACUUGUUGUUUUUGUGACUUCAAAUUAGUGAUUUUUUUUCUUUCUAAAAUAUUGUUUUCACUAAUUUAUAUACACCUCAGGUACCAAUUCUUAGAAGUAUUUAUUUAUUUCACUAUGUAACUAUUUACUAUACAAUUUCUCAUAGUCUAUUAAGUUUUAGGUAACAUUGAUUAAACUAUACAUGGAUGGAAAUAAGUAUUGGUUUAUUUUGUUCAAACCAAUGAUUUUGUUUGGCCAUCAAUUUUGCUUAUGGUAAUUAUUGUGUUUCAAGAUAAAAUUGAUAAGUGGCAUAAGCGUAGCAAUUAAUCAUGUUUUGAUAAGUGGCAUAAGUAUAUUAAUCAUUUUGGACACAAAUGAUUUUCUUUGUGGUUUCAUGUCUUAGGCACAACUGCAUAGAAUUUUUUUUUUCUGCAAAAAUAUAUUUAUGACUAUAUGUUAGUAACAUGUGCUUUUGCAUAAUUCUAUGUUGCCAUAAAUAGUGAGUGUUUGCCCAUGUGGGAGAAUUAAUAUAUGUUGUGGACUUCACACUCAUUAAAUUUUUUUAGGCUUGGGGAUUUCUGAUUUCCUUGUGAGCAAUAAGUUGAACAACAAGUUGAUCAUCACAAAUUUGGUAUGGAAAUACUUCUUGCUGGUUCAAAAUUUCUUAUUGUUGAGGAGCUUGUAAAUCAUUUUGACUAGUUAGUAUACUUGAUUAACUUGAUGACUAAGAAAGAAGCAUUUCGACUGGUAACUCGUCAUUAAAUUAUGUUGUGGCUUCAUAUUCAUUAAAUGUUAUUAGUGAAUGUUGUCGGUAAAUAUGUUGUGGGCUUCAUACUUAUUUCAGUUGUAGAGAUAAAACUUAUGUUAGUUUGUUUUUGUUUUAUCUAUGGUUUAUAUGUUAUUGAUGAACAAGAAACUUUAUUGGUCAGUACAUUUGGUUGAUCUGAUGAUUGAGAAGAACAUCUAGAGGCAGAUAUAUUCUUCAAUACUGGGAGAACAUCUUUAAUGUGUGACCUUGUGUUUUAUAUUUUAAUUAAGUAAACCGAUUAUAAUUAAUUUUUGUCCAUACAGGAUUCCAGAAUUAUAUGCCUUUUGUUACAUUGAGAAAACAAUCAGUUAAAGUUUUAUGAAUUUUCAGUUGCAUGAAUCAUUUCUCUAUAGUUGUCUCUCAUAGAGAUAAAGUCAGAAAAUCAAUAAACUAUGUUGACCUACCAAAUUUUUUUGUUGUAAAUCUCAUAACUAAUGCUUUAUCAGUGGGAGUGUUUAAAAUGAAUUUGUUUCAUUUUAAAAAGGCAUGUUUCGAGUAUAGGACUGAGGCCUUUUGUUGAUUGGACUUGAAUGUGGGAGCAAGGUACUAUGGUUUUAUUUCAUUCAAGUUUACGGCCUGAAUAUUUAGUUGUUGUUUCGAUUCAAUAUCAUAUUAUUCACUUGUAAACAAAACAAGGUGAAGUUUCUGAUUAGUUAUUUCAUUAAUAAUGUUGAUCUUUGCAAAGUAAUGAUAUGAAGUAUGUCGUUUAACUUCAUGGGACCAAAAGACAUGUGGGAGCAAUAAUGGUAUUGUUAAGCUUCCAUCUUAAAACCCUCCAAUUUGUAACUUUAUAAUUGAUGAGAUAGGUUUUGUGAUUUUAGAGUACGAAUGGAAAUAGCUUGCAUCAUGUGUGCUAAAGUUCGAACUAAUGAAUCAUUAUAGUUAGAUGAAAAGUCGUGUAUUUCUAAUGUUAAUCAACGAUCACCUUUACUUGUAUGGAACAUAUUAGUGAUUAGCUUGAUUAUACUCAUGUGGGAGAAUGUAAGAGUUUUCCAUAAGGUGAGUGAGUAAGAACAAUCUAUCACUUAAGGAUGGAUAUGUGGACAUACAAGUCGAAUGGACUGACAUUGGUAUUGGACUUAGUAAUGUUUAAACCGGUAUUGAACAUUAUGGAGGGAAAACCAAAGAACUUAAUUUCGAAAUAAGAGGCAGUUACAACCUCUUGGAAGUGGAUAGAAACUGCUACCAUGAUAGGAGGAGCAAUUAGAAUCCUAUGAUUAAACAUGUCUUGGCCUCUCUUCUUGGUUUUACUUGUUCAUAAAGCUUGUCCUAUUAAAAGCAGAACUCUGUCGAAACUUAGAGAAGAGAAGGUCAACACCAGACAUUCAUCAUGCCAGGUACGAACUGAUAUCAUUCUGGGUAAUUUUUUAUUAUAUGUUCUGACUGGUAGAGCAUGGUUUAAUGGCUUUAUUGUUUUCAAUAGUGCUCAAUUAUAUGUUUUCAAUGUGUACUUUUGCCUUGCAUUUUUGUCCACCGUACAUAGAUCGGGCCACACACAGGUGAUUGCCAUACAUCCUUAACCGUAUACGCAGACCAGAUAAUCCAUGAGUUCGGUAUUGAGCCAGUGACAAUACCCAGAUCUACAAGAUUAGGGAAGACGUAAGGUAAUCCAUUAAUGAAGAAAACCUUAGAUACAACAGAAACUAUUCAACCAAUUCACUUUUAGUUUCUUUCAUCAAGACCGACCCCAACCAUUGCAAUUUGCAAGACCAUACUUCUAGUAACAUAAGCUUUGGCGCGAUGUUUACAUCAUUGCGAGCAGGCCUCGAAAUGAGAAAUCUCUCUGCAAGUUGGGUAAAGCUCCAUAUAUCCAAUCUUUUUAUAUAGUCAAUCAUAUGAGUCUAAGGAAUCUUUUGUUCUCUAUAAUCCAGAAGCUAGUUAUCACAACCUAAGCAAUCAAAACAUUUGUGAAAGCUUUUCAUUUAGUGACCAACUAUGGUGGAAGCAUCGAUAUGUUAUUGUCAGAUAGGCCCAGCUCAGUGAGUGAACUAAGAUUUUUAAACUCCUGCAUGCCAACAAUAACAAGGACAAUCAAGAAUUCAGAUCGUAAUUAAAUUAACGUACCACAAGAAGGAAAGAAGUUCUUUGAAGUACAUGAUUUAUGAACUGAGAACCAAAAUCUUAUCGAGCCAUUUAGAGGAUUUCCUUGGACUGCCAAAGGCAAGCCCCACAAUUUUUCCGGAGUACAUAAAAACUUAGUUUAUACCAUAUGCAACGUGAAACUUAAUUUAUUACAUGAGACUUGAACCUAGGACCUAAACCUUUACCCAUCUCCUCACAGUGCCACAUGAACAAAGGCUCUUUGGAAAAGAAAAUCACCUUAUUUUAAUGAUGUCGUUUUAAGAAUACAUCCGCUUAUUAAAAUUUGCGUUCUAAAGAAUGCUUAUUGUUUUCUUUUGUACAAACCAAUAUUUUAUCGUUUAACAAAUUUAUGUUCCUUAGUUUUAAAUACUAUAGCAAGACACUAAUGCCCUAAUGACAGCCACGGCUAUGCCUCCGUGCAGGGUGCCUCCCCAAAUGGCAGGCAUGGCUGCAACAAUUAGGUUUUCUUUUGUUUCUGCUUGUCAUAAGUUCACUAACCUUAGGUAAAGCUCCUGCAAAUGUAGUAAGCUAGAAAAUGCGGGAUGCUGUGGUAAUGAAGCCACGUUACCACUUAGAUAUGGAAUCUGAAGCAUAGGAGCUGCUUGAAAUCCUUUUAGUGGAAUCUACAAGUCAAGAAAUAAGGAGGGCACUCACAUCUUUUCGUUUGAUAUACAAUGUUUGAGCCAUUACUUGACAGAUUAAAUUUUUGGAACCACAUCCCUCCUUUGUUUACUAAAAUUCUAAUAUCUCAUGAAUAUGCAUUGACAAGACAAGAAAAAGGCGAUUGUACCAGCUAAGUGUAUUUACCUGUCUUGCUGGAUUACUGUCCAGCUUCAAACACAAAAUGUUAGGAAGCAACCGUAUAAUUGCACCUUAUCAGUCUGUAAUCUUGUUCCUGGAUAAAAUUAAAGUCUGCACAUUUGGACAAAUAUAAGGAUGACUUGCAUUCAGAACGGUAAUUAGCUAAAACUAAAACUUAUAGGAGAAAUCGGCCAACCCUUAUAAUUUAAAGAGGAAAUUGACGAAGACCUCUUUAAUUAUAAUUUAGUUGUCACAUUUUAAGCUCUUCUAAAUUUAGUAACUUUUUGCAAAAUUAAUUUCUCAUUGAUAAUUUUAACUGGAUUUAUUUUGAAAAUGAUACGUACUCGUGUCGCAUGUUCUCACUUCUCGUCAUUUGAUAAUAUAACCUCUAACUUUAUUGGGCCCCUCCAAAAAUAAAGGCCACCGACAAUUGGGCUAAUUUCACUUUGUUAGUCCGGUCCAUCACACACAACGUUACUUUCAAAUCCCAGGGUUUUGCCUCGCCCAUUUUCCCUCACUUUCACGGCAACCAAACAGGCCCUCCACCGCAAAGAUGGUGAAGAAGACGGAGAGGAAAGUGAACGUCUCCGGCAAGCCAAAGCACUCUCUUGACGCGAACCGUUCCGAUGCCAAGGCCAAGAACAAGGACGCGCGCACCGGCGCCACCGUCCACCGCCUCAAGAUGUACAACACCAGGCCCAAAGCGUAACAGCAAGGGAAAGGUCUUGAGGAACGAGUUCCAGUCCAAGGAGCUUCCUAACACUCGUAUCCAGCCUGAUUGCCGCUGGUUCGGUAUGUACAUACACAUGAAUACACCGUAUACGUAUAAUUACACCGUAUACGUGUGCGUAUGUAUUGGAAUAUGUCCAUUUUGUGGGCUAGAUAAGGACUUAAUGUAAAAGAUUAAAAUUUUGCAGCAAUUAAAUGAAUUUUGUCCGUUUCGCUUGUAAUUGAUUAUCGAAAAAGCUGGUGAAUUUGCUUUGUUUAUGAACAGUUUUGAUUGUUUAUUGAAUUUUUAGAGAAUAAUAGGGUUUCGACUCAGCAGGAGCUUGACAUUUUCCGCGAGGAGCACAGUAGGACGGUUUCAAGUAACUACAAUGUUAUUUUAAGGGGGAAGCAUUUGCCAUUGUCCCUCUUGAAUGACCAUCAGAAGGUAUGCUGCUUUUGUAAACUCUAGAAUUUUAUCUGUUUAUCGCUAUCAGAAGGCAUGCAGCAUGCUGCUUUUAUUCAUUUAUUUUUAGGAAAAUGACUUUUUGGUUUUCAAUAUUAUGAAAUAACUAUUUUUGGAUGGGUGAAAUGCUAUGGUGUAUCCCGCAGAUGUUUAAUUUGUGGAUUUUAGUUUGGAUGUCUUGAUCAAUUUUAUGGGAUCUCGAUUGAUUGUGUUUUGUUUAAUUUCUCUUUUGUGUGCACCUUGACACGGUUGCUCAAGGUCAAAUAUGAUCUGUUAAGUCAGUUGUGUUUUAGAUAUUUCUUCCCUUUGACUUGUUUUUAAGUCGUAAUCAUUUUAUGGGUGCAAUGGUACCCAUAUGCUCAUGAUUUUGAUUCAAUCAAUGGAGGAUUUUUAGUUGCAUUUUUCCUAAAUUGGCAUUCCUUACUUCAUUAAAAAGAGACGAAGAAGAUAGCAUGUGUUUAUUUUUUGGCUGAUGGCAUAGUUUGUUGUUGUAUUCUGACCUAUAUUCACGAUUUAACCUCUGAAGCAAACCAGAGUUCAUCUUCUAGAGAGAGAGACAUUUUCUGAUGUAUUUCGACAUAAGACAAAGAGGAAACGCCCAAAGCUCCUUGCAGCAGAUUAUGAGUCUUUAGCCAAGAAGGCUGAUGGUUCUCAGGGUAAUUAUUUCUUUCUUUAGAUUUUAUAUGCUCUUGACCAGUUGUAAUAAAUCAUUUGGCACGGUACCUUCUGCUAACCUUUAUGCCUUUAUGUAAUGUUUCUGUUUCAUGAAAGCACUGGUGAAAGAAAUUUUUUUAAGAAGUUAUGAUCCCUUUUGGACUUCCGUAACUCAAGUUGUAUGAACUCUAACACAUGUAGAUUUCUAUAACUAUAAGUUUACUUGUUCACUUUAUGUGUUUACUUGUUCACUUUCGUAUUCCUACGUUUUCUUGCUUGUUUCCUUUAUAUAUUUCUACUCCUUGCUUUCUGUGCAAUCUGCUGAUUUUGUGUUUUUUUUUUUUUUUUUUUUUUUUUGUGUGUACUUAGGGAACUCUUCUAUCAGUUUUGAGACAAUUCGCCCGUUUGAAAAGUGACAAGCAAGCCAUUUCUGUGGAAUUUGUUGGGUAUCCCAACGUUGGAAAGUCAUCUGUUAUCAACACAUUAUGAACUAAAAAUGUAAUAUCUUCAACACCAUUGCUUGGUGAUUCUGGUUUUUUGAGUGCAUUUCCUUUAAUUUAUUGUAUACAUGUGUGGUAAUUUGCUAAGGCACAAAAAUAAGUGAUUUGGUUUUGCCUCUAUUUGCAAUGUUGCUGCAUUAAACUGAAUCCGGUUAUUCUUCUCAAAAUCAAAAAAUUAUAUUCCUACCGUGAUUGAGAGGAUUUCACUUUAUAUUCUGGUGGUUUUCCUACGGUUGUAGCAUACUGGUUAUGAGACACUGUAGCCUGAUGCAUUUUUCUCAAUAAAUAAAAAUUAUUGUAGUCUGAUGAACUCUGGUCUUAGUUUGAAUAGUUAAGUUGCCACCCAUUGUUGUCGGAGGCAAAGUUCCAUUAGAUAAAUGUUGUUUUUUAACUUUUGGGGUGCGAUAUCACAAAUAUCAUACCAGUACCAAUUUCUCUAUGCCUGUCUAGCAUGAUCUUGUUUCUGUACUUGCAUACGUGUAAUUCAUAGGAUGCACUCUUAGAUGAUACUGAUAGCUGUAAAUCAUAUAACAAGCUUCUUAAUUGUGGUGUUUCUUUCUAGCUAGUCUGUUACUGAAUGACUGACAAUGUGUUCAUUGCUCCAUAGGUUUGUAAAGUUGCUCCUAUCCCAGGGGAGACUAAAGUGUGGCAGUAUAUAACACUCACCAAGAGGAUUUUCUUGAUUGAUUGCCCUGGAGUUGUCUAUCAAAGCUGUGACUCUGAAACAGAUAUCAUACUGAAGAGCGUGGUAUGUUUUUUCUGUUUUUCCUUUUGUAGCUCCUAACAGUGAAUUUAGCUGUCCUGGAAUGAGGGCCAUAUAGUCCCAUAAUUCCAAUUGGAUUUUUGGUAUUGUUUCUGAUUGAUCUUUUAAGUAUCAACUGUAAAAUAUUUUGGGUAUAUUGUGUUUUGGGUAUAUUUAUUUGCUACCAAUGUUGUGAGUGUUGUCUAUAAAUUGCUUAUUGUUUGUGAAUUUUGCUUCUGGUUUAUAGAUAAGUAGUGAUAGGUGUAGUCCCUUUAAACAACAACAGUAAUAUCAAUGUAUGUCUAUACUUUUACCAACAGCCUGCUGUUCAUAGUAUCUCUGAUGCCUGUUUAUUGACGAAAUUUUUUAUUAAAUAAUAUACAAAAAUAUUAUAUAGGGUUUUGUUGUUAGCACUCCAAAAUAGUUAUAAUCCCCUCCUCCCUUCCUUAGUGAUUUUUACAAGGGAGUGCAGAACAACUUUUUAGGUGCGUCAAUAACAUCUUCCAUUAUAUUUAGAGCAUUUGUCGCCUAACCACAUCAGUGAAUUCCUCUCUAUACAUGUACAUAUGCAUAUACAUAGAAUGCCACUUGCUGCAUGCAAAGUCAUAUUCUGCACCUUCCUGCCGUCCGUGCUUUAUCUUUGUCCAAGUUCAGUUUUGGAUUGGUUCAAUUGUAAAAUCUCUCUGCUGCACCUGUUUAAACCCUUUAACAUUUUUGUUUUCUUAUUCUCUGCGGUCUGGGAGCCUGUGCUUGCUGUUUGCCUGAAAUUUUAAUAUUCUAUAUGCACAUCUAAUGGUAAAUAAUUUGGGUCAUUUUCCUAGGUACGUGUCACAAAUUUGCAGGAUGCUACAGAACGCAUAGGAGAAGUUUUGAAACGAGUUAAGAAGAUCCACCUGAAAAGAGCAUAUAGAUAGAGAACUGGUAUGCUGCUUUGUCUUUGUCUUGGAUUUUGAUGUUUAUCCGGGUACUGAGUGACAUGUAACUGUAUCUUAAUGGUUUUAUUUAUCAGGGAAGAUGAUAAUGACUUUUUAUGUCAGCUAUGCAAAUUGUCAGGCAAACUUUUGAAGGUAACUUGCAACUUAAUAAUGCUUUCUAACAAUCCCACUAGUCAUAACAUUGUUGCCCACGGUUCCAGUAAAUGUUUGGGAGAUUUCGUUACUCAGACUUGGUCAUUUGAUAUUUACCAAAUUAUUUACAUUUUACAUGCAUACAUAUAUGUACAUGCAGACACAAAUAUACAUGUUACUUUUUAUAUAUAGGAACAUGUCUUUUGCAUCUUAUUUAACUUUUGCCUGAAUGUGCGACUUAAAUUCAGUCUGCGAUACAAAUCUAGCAACAGAACACUAUAUGUAGAUGUAUAUUAAGGAUGUAUAUUGGGCAGUUUAGAAGGUGAUAUGUUAGUUUUGAAGAUCCUAAAGUGUGUUAUUAUCCCUUUAGGAAUUUGUCUUUUGCCAAUGUUGGUCCCUCAGCUUUGUGAAGCUGUGGUUUUGAGCAUAGGAUCCAAUGGAACAGGGCCAAAUCCAGCAGGGAAAUUGCAUUCUUCAAAGAUUCAAGCAAAAGAGUUGCAUUGUCUCGACAUAAUUGGUGUUUUGUUAUGCAUCCCUUUUAUUCCUCCCUUAGGCUUGUUGAACAUCAUUUACAUCUUAUGAUUGACCAUUAUUAGAUAACAAAUUAUUCUGUCCAUUAUUCGAUGGGUCGCAACUUCUACAAAUGUUGACUGUUUCUUGUACCUACAUUCUUUUUUCCCAUGUUUUUUCAUACUUGUAAAAAAAAGAAAAAAAGAAAAGGAUCUGGUAACGUGUCUACUAAGUUUUUUGGCCUGUGUGCUUCUAGGGUGGUGAACCCGACUUGAUGACUGCAGCAAAGAUGGUCCCCCAUGACUGGCAGAGGGGUAAAAUACCAUUUUUUGUGCCGCCACCAAAAAGAGAAUCACCAAGGGGGGAGGCUGAUAUUGAUCACAAUAAAGAUGACAGUGUGGAAGAUAACAAUCAGGCUGCAGCAUAACGAGCCAUUGGAAAUAUUAUUGCAUCUCAGAAGGUGAGCACUAUCCCCGUGCAAGGGGAUCUUUUCAGUGAAGAAGAGUUAAAGGGCAAUGAGAGACCUGAACAGCUUCCAGCCACUGAAGGAUCUGCAAGGUCUCCAGAGUCGGAUGAUGAAGUAUCAAGCACUGUGACUUUGAGGAUGACCGGGAUGAACAGUCGGGGGAUUCUGAAGACAUCUGAGCGUCCAACACAUAUUUGUGCAAGGGAAGGUUUUUUUUGUAGUCCGUAAAUGUUAUGUUAGCAUGUGCGUUUUCUUUUUGGACGAACUUCAUCUCGAAGCAAGUACGAGUAACUUUUUUUUCUUUUUUUUUUCUUUUUGGUUCUUUUCAAUUGUAAAAUCGUUUGAUAAGUGGUAUAAAAUUUCAUGUUUGUUUUGUGUUUGCUCACCUCUGAAAUCAUUAUGUUUUUUGACCGUGUAAGAUUAGGGCUUGUUUGGUAUUGUGACUCCAAAAAGCACUUGUGCUCGUAGGCACUUUUAAGCUUUUUAAGUGUUUAGUGGUGGUAAUUUUUCUUCAGUGUCAGUGUCUAAAAGAAUGGUACUGUGUUGUUUGGUAACCCUAAAGCCUGUGUGUCAUUAUUGAAACUAAUUUUGUUUAUGAAACCCAGGAGUUUUAACUAAUGUGGUAACGUAAAUUAGUUUCAAAUUGAGUAUCAAACGACCCUUAAUAAUCUCGACACAAUUUCAAGUUGAGUACCAAACGAUCUUUAAUAGUCCCGACACAGGGAAGGGACAGCAAUUUUCAAUCAAUCUAUUAUUGGUCACUCUCCCAUGUAGGGCUCGUGCAAGGCCAUAUAUCUAAGGUCCAACACAUGGUGUGUUGCGACCAAAACCGCCAUAAUAGUUACUUGUCAUUGUAAUGGUAGGCUCCCUUAGGGUUGCAAUUGGGAAAUUCCGAUUCUUAUUUAUUUUUGGUAUCACUGGGGAAUGAUGGUUUCAAUUUAGGACAUGUUCUAAAACUUUAGGAAGAGCAGUACGAACUCAACUAAUCGGUCGGCGCCGGUGAGGAUGCCGGCCAUUGGUGGCGGCCGUCGUCUUUAAGGAAUAGAUAAAUCUCUCGCCAAAUCUCCCUCCCUACCAAUUCGGAGGCUGAUGGGAAGAAAGAAACUUCAUGGAAGCCACGAAAUUUAAAGUCAAAACAUGGUUUUAUGUGGUGUACGUAUGUAUUAUCAGUUUGGUAGGUGUUAUGUCAUGUGAGUGAACGUACUUUCUUUUUCCUUGGUUUAUUUCUGUUGACAUACUUAUCCACAAGAUUUGGAUAAUCAUGCGUACGACUAAUGUCUUGGUUAGGUAUCACACCACAGUGGAUCACGUUAUUCCUUAGGUACUGUGCACACAAGCACAAAGACUCCUCCAUCAAUUGCAUGGAGUGUGAGAGCUUCCUAAAUCAAACAGCUCAACGGAAUAUCUUUGACUAAAACCUUUAUCAGUACUAGUUUGGACAUAGAGCCAAGAACGAAGCCACCUAUAUGGCAUCAGUGUAUUGGUGACUUCUCGAGUUGAUCUACCAUUCUCGUCUGAAGAAUUCGAAAUACGUACUUGAUUGAAUUAGAUAAUGCGACAAUGACAUUCUAGUUGUAAUUGAGUUCUUCUCCUAAGACGGAGUCCUCACGAACGGUUAUGAGCCUCAUAAUCUCAAGAUGAACGUCAAUAUAACGUCUUCAUAUUUUGUUAGUGUUAACAAUUUAAUCAUGUUUAACUAUGUUCGAGCACAUAUUACUAAUUCAAGCUGCUAAUUGUUGGGUGCGAGUAUAUCCUUGUAUUUUAUUAGCAAAUAGGUAAGGGAAUACGUUGGGCCAAGUGGCAACAGCUGGUAACAAUGCAAAUCAAGUUCAAAGUGCAUUUACUCUCUCUAGUCCACCCACCCUAACAAACAAACGCGUUUUUCAGAACGAACCAAUUUGAAAUUCAUAAUUUUCGUUAGUUGGAACUGUGAGAAAUUCAACGUCAUAAAAAAAUAGCAAUAGAACGCGACCUAAUAAUCUUUUAAACUUAAUGAAACAAAAUGCUCAAAACGUCAAUAUGAUAGUAUCUCAAAUCAAUUACAUAUGUCACAUAUGAUUUAUGUUACGUAACAAUGCAAAUUAAGUUGGGAUACUCACAAAGUAUUAUCUCGUCCCGUUGCAUAAAAGUUCUCUUUUAUUGGUGUAUAUGUUGGGAAAGUUACUGAGUUAGAAUUUGGUUUAUUUUUUCGUAUUUAAUGUACUAGAUUAUAUAGCAUGAUAAUGAUUGUGAAAGCUGUCCUGUUAGAGCAUUUCCAAGAGAAGUUCUAAAUUUUUGUUUUUAUUUUUGCGUUUUUUGUUUUUUUACAAACGAUAUUAUCUACACUAGGAGGGUGGUUUUAGCUUUACAAUAAACUAGUAAUAAUACUUUAAGAGUUUAAUUUUAGCUAAUCAGUUUAACUUUCAUUUCCAAUAAUACUCUCUAUUUUAACAAAUUUUGAGUAUUUUAUUAUUAUAAUUCAAACUCAACCUACUCAUUUUCUGAAACCACCUUAUCUCUCUCUUCCUUUUCUCCAUAGUUUAGCUAUCCACCAUUGAGUUUUAUUAAUUUUUUAACAUUUAACAUAUGAACAAUGACUCUAUAAAGUUAAAGAGGAAUUUUUCACUGAACUUCACUUUACUACAGUUGAAUAUCAGAGUGCGCAACGAACAAGAUUACAAAAUAAUAGGAAUAUUAUUAAACUAACGAGAAUGCCGGAACGGCUACAAAACCCUAGAAUAGGCUACAUCUUGAAUGACUUAUUAUUCUACGAGCUAUAAAGCACCAUAUAUAUAGAGAACUAACAUAACCCUAAUAAGCAAGAAAACGAAAUCUUAAUACUAACGGGCUAAGCCCAAAUUCAAAUAAUAAAAUAAUCCUAAAUUCCAACACCCCUCGUCAAACUCAUGGUGGUACACGGCAAGAGUUUGCAACAAGAAGAUGCGGAUGCAAGCUCCAUUAGGCAGACAUACAAGACAAGCUCCGUUAGGCGGACACGACAAGGCAAGCUCAGUUAGGUGGACAAGACAAGACAAGCGGGUGAACAAGCAAGUAAGCGAAAGCAAUCCAAGCGGUGCAAGUUUAAGAUUCCAAAGCUAGUGCGAACUUCCGAACCAAAUUCAUGACAAACUUUUACGCAGCGGACAAACAGAUGAACAAAUUGAUACCCAUCUAGAACAUAUUAAAUUCCGAAGAAUCGAACCUGCUAUGAUACCAAGUUGAAUAUCAGAGUACGCAACGAAUAAGAUUACAAAAUAAUAGGAAUAUUAUUAAACUAACGAAAAUGCUGAAACAACUACAAAACUCCAAGAGGCUACAUUGUGAAUGACUUGAUAAAAUAAAACUAAUACAAUCACUUCUAUAAAUAGUGAAAACUAAAGCAAAAUCCUUGAUGGGCAAGAAACUUUAAUAUCUUUGGCCCACAAGAAAACCAUAAACAAUAAUAAAAUAAUAACUAAUUUUCCAACAACUACUAUGUAAAGUCCUUUAUAGACUCUUGGAGAUGAGUGUUUUAGAUUUUUCUCUUUUAAAUAGAAUUUAGCGGUUUUACAACUUCUGUUGGACAUGUUUCUUAGGAUUUUUGGUUCCUUUUGUAUUUGUUUAGAGUUAUGUCUUUAUAAAUAGACAUUAUAAAUUAGUAUAGGAAUGAAGGUUUUGCAAGAUACAUAUAUUCGUGUUAUGUAGUCGUCUUGUCAAUUAUAAUCUUGUUUUUAAAUUUUCAUAUAUAGGAUAAGAAUCAAAAUUUGUAAUCAGCUUUUUCUUCUCUUCUUUUCGUUUGUUAAAAUUAAGAUACAUACCAGAACUUGCUGCAUGCCAAAGAAGAGAUUUUCUAGGGUACGUACGUACUCUGUAGUGCCCAUACUGAGAGCUUAAUCGUUAGAUUUUUGUUUAAAACACUCAUCCGCUGGAGUUUCCUAUAAUCUAUGGUCAAACAAAAGCAAUAUUCUCCUAGUUUUAUACUGUAGAGUACGUCACUGCAUCUGCAUGGCCCUCGGAGGCUCGUAGUUUCGUAGUGGUUUGGGUUCCUUCAAAAAGUGUCACGCAUAUUCUAUGUCAAAGAAAAAGUUUGAUGACUUGAUCAUGAUUUAUGUAUCCAUGCAUGCAUGCAUAUAUUAUGGAAGAAGAGACCAUCGACCGAUUGUUUUUGUGGAGUCAAAUCCCAAACACGACUUUGACUCUAUUGUUUGACUUUGGCGCCAAUCCCUCCUUGAUGAUGGGGGCGUUGGAAAAAUGAAUGAAAUUACACAAUCAGUUGCCGUCAUCAUCUCCUUUCCACUUGAUUUUGUCAAAAGGGACAGUGCCAUUUUAUGCACUAGCGUGACAAUAUCAAAAUCAGCUUUGUUAGGUAUCACCAACAACUAUGAAUCGUUAAUUGAUUUCAAUCUUACAACCUUAGUCAGAUGUAAUAAGGAGGUUUUAUAUAUAGGACCUCCCUCGUUCCAUAAUCAGCUUAGUUCCAUUGAAAGUUCAAAAAUUGUCCAUUUACAGUUAAAUAUAGAAAAAUGUUAAGGAGAUUAUUUUUAUACUAUAUUGUUGUACCGUAUGAUGGGGCAAGUGAUGAGUAUCACAUCAAUUUAUCAAUUUAUUUCAUUAAAUAUUGCUACAUGAAAUGAUAUCUCAAUGUGGUAUUAGAAGAAAAAAAAGUCUCUGCAUUACCCCUAAAUGUAUGAUUUUAGCCAAAAUGGUCCCUAAAGUUGUCAUAACUCCCCACUUUGGUCUCUGAGAUUUAAAACCAAUAUAAAUGAUCUCUAAGAUUAUUCAUCAUCAAUCAUUUUAGUCCUCUAUGAAAAAUCCUCAUUAAAUUAAAAAAAUCACCAAUAAUGGAUUUAAACAAACAUAAUAGUGCACGAGAACCAAGAGUCAGAAAUUUAUUUUCUAUGAUCAACACUUGCAAUCAACGGUUUAAAAUUGUCUACUUACCGUCAAAUAAUUAUGAUUGGCUCAUAGUUUUCUUUUCUUUGCUCCAUUUAAGCAAGAACGAACGAAUGAACGAAACGUGUUAAAAGUUAGGGUAAUUCCCCCAUUUACACUCGAAGAAGCUAUGCAUAUCAAUUUUUUCCUACUAAAUUACGUUACACUACCAUGUCCUCUUGGCAUCUUGUCAUAACUCAAAAGAUUCAGAAGAAAACAAAUUAAAUGAUUCCUCUCCUACAAUAACAGUCUACUAAUUGUAAUCUGUGGAACAUAUCCUUGCACAUCUGUCAUGAUUCAUGACACUCUCUUUGAUAAACUAUUUUAUUUUAAUUAAUCUGUAUUGUUUAACAUAGAUGGGGAAAUAAAUAUUGCGUUCAGAUUCAUCGCUAAUCUCGAUUAUGUCUAUAAUGCAUGUGAUUUACCUGUUGGAACUUUGGGAAAUUAAAUAAAAUAUAUACGUGAAUUCCUUUCAUUUUCCUUCUUAUAUUCUUUAUAUAUUUUUUAUUUUAUAAUCAACUUGCCAAAUUCAUUGGCUAUGAGCUUAAUUUUGGGAAAUUAAAUCUUUUUAAUUAAAGUUGUCCCAUAUGAUAUCAAGUUAUGAACCACUCGCUAUCUGUAAAGUGCAAAAGCUAUCACACACAACUUGAAUAAUUGUGGAUGUUUAAACAUCACUAUCUUAAUUAACGAGCCCCAGACGAAAAAAAAGGGCAGAUGGACAUUAAUUAAUCGGACCAAUCUCAAAUAAUUAUAUGAUCAGUUCUUAAAUAAUCGCUUGAUCUCUAUAUAUAAAGCCAACAUUAACGUGAAGAGUGCUUUUGGGAUAACAAGCUUCACUAAAAUAAGUGGACAAAAGUGCCCCCAAAACUAAAAAGUUAAAAAACAAUCCAAAAGAAUGCAAGGGUAUUUUCAUCAUAUAAACAAUGUUUUUUUAAUAAUUAAUUCUUUUUGUACAUUUUUUUUUAUAUAAAUGCAUUUAAAACAUGUAAGUCCAUCGUAGCACGCCAUGGUUAAAAAAAUAUCUUUUGCACGCAUAAUUAAUUCUUUUUGUAUAAUUUUUCUUUAAUAUAAAACAUGUAAGUCCAUUGUAGAACACUAUGGUUCAAAAAAUGUCUUUUGCAUGCACAUAAGCGCGUGCAUGAAGGCUAGUUACUUAGAACAUCUUCGACAAUACUAGUCAAAUUUUUGUUAUGUAGCAAGCCAAAUGACCUAAAUGUUAAUUUGGCUACCCGCCACUUUCAACAAUAGUAGCUAUUUUAGCUUAAGUUAAAAUAUUUUAAUAUUUUUUUUUUUUUCUUAAACUUAACAACCUAAGUUGCCACUCAGUACUACGAUUUAGUGGAAAUGAGAGGUCUUAGGUUCAAAUCUCGUGAAUGACCAAUUCGAUAUCAAAUUAGGUUGCCCAUUGUUGGCUUAGCCGAACUUCCCUCAUUUUAAUGUAAAAAUAUCGAUGUACUAAAAAAAACAACCCAAAUCCUUUUUCUUCUCUUAAAGCCGACAAACAAUGCAAUCUAUAGUUUUUAAUGUCUACAUAAAAUUUAACUUUCUCUCUCAUUCUGACUAAAUUUUGGUAAUUACUGUACAAAAUGUUAAGAUAGCUAGACAUUUAGCUAGCCUGUUGGAGGUUUCUUUUUUGCACUUUUCUUAUUAAAGUAGCCAUAAAGCUUCAUUUAGCUAGGUUGUUGGAGAUACUCUCUAGUUAUACCAUUUUAGAUAUUCCCCAUGUAGUUUCCUUCCACUUAUGAUCACAACUCCAAACAUUAUUGUAAAGCGAUUUUGACACUUAAAAUACAUAUUUUCUGGUUUUCAAAUUGAAUAAAUUAGAAAAAUGAAGAGAUCAAAAUAAGGUGAGAAGUAAAUUAGAAAAAUUAAGAGAUCAAAAUAAGUUGAGGAGUGCAGAAAGAGAAGACGAAAGUGUUAAAAUUAAUAUAUUACUACAAAUAUCAUUUUGCCUUUGCUUAUCAAAAGAUCAAAAAUUUCCUCUCCCCAUUCUAAAAGAAGUUGAGAGUUCAAAAUAGCUAGGAACAAUGGAAAAAAAAAAUCAAGAAAGCUUUAUUUACAAAAAUAAAGAAAAUGCACAAUUUUCUUUCACGCUACGUAUCAUUGAAGUGAAGUGGGUGGUCUGAAAAAUUACCAAUUAAAUCUUGAAAAAAAUUAAUACAAUUAAAUUUGACAUGAAAGUCAUGUUACUAAAUAGUACAUAACAUUGUAGCCGGACCCAACUCACCCCACUUAAAUACAAUUGGCGGGGGUAGCAAAAGAGCUUCUAGUAGUAGUAGCUGUCAACAAAAGCAAAAUCUGCCAACAGCGGUUGGAAAACUACAUCGCAGUCAACCUAACCACAUGAAAUACCAUUUCAAUCCUCUUCAAUACUUAACAUUACAUAAUAUGGACAUGUAACAUCAGUUAAUGACACAGUUGCCAGGACAGAGAUGUCAAUACACAAAACACUUUUUCCAACUUCAAAUGCUUUUGCUCCAUAAAAGGACAAGAGAAAGAAACACACAAGAGGGUGGGGAGUGAGAUCUUUUCUGGUGAAGGUCCAGGCAUUUUUUGUUUUUGAUUCAGACAAGGUGUUGUUGCCCAUCAGAGCAUAAAAAAACCCAAAAAAGGAGAAAAAGCAGAAAGUUACUCUCUUUUCGCCAUUUUUGAUCCCGCAUUUUUUGUAUCUUUUUUUAACCCAAUAAAAAUCAUAUUUUUCACGAGGAAACCACCGAGAAAGGGAUUAGAUUUUGGGUUUUGCAACUUUCAAUCAGCAGUGAGUUUUGGGUUUUGUAUGAUCCCUUGAAUCUGCCCUGUUAUGGGUGUUGAUUGAGAUCCAGGCUGAAUGUGGUAAGAAAAAAGUUGUCUUCUUUUGGGCCCUCUGAUCCUGAAUAUUUACCAGGAAGGAUAAAGGCCAGAAGGGUUGGAGGAAGGUUGCGUUUUUGGUCACAACUCACAAGAGUUUACAGAGAGUUGGUAAUUUGCAGAAAAAAGGAAGGAAAGAUUGUUCCUUUUUUGGUGCAUUUUCUGGAUUGUUCCUUUUUUGGUGCAUUUUCUGGGUUUUUCUCUGUUGGUGGGUGGAAAAUGAGAUUGCAAGUUGAAGAGUAAAACUAGCAACAAAGAGGUACUUGGAAUGGACUGAGAAGCAACCAGUUGGCUAUUCUCAGGUUUACUUAAUCAGUUCAUCUUGUAUUGAUUAUUCAAGUUGGUAUUUUCUCCAUUUCUGGAAAAUUGAAAGGGUUUUUUACCGACCCUUUUCUGUUCAUAGUAUGUAGGAUGAUGUGGUUGGAGUAGUUUUUGGUGUGCUAUUGUGUGUAAUCUUGGUUCGAAAUAGUUACAUUUCUGGGUGCAUUCGAAAUGGUUUACAUAGUGGUUGAUUAGAAGAAUAAUUCAGAAUGGCGGAAGACCAACAAGAAAUGCGAUCGUUGGCCUUGACUCCAACAUGGUCUGUUGCUACUGUGUUGACAAUUUUUGUGGCUGUUUCUCUGCUUGUCGAGCGCGGAAUCCAUAGGUUAAGCCAUGUAAGUGAUACUCUACCAGUUUUCAUGAACUUCGUUUUUCUUUAUUGUUUCUUAAGCCAUUGGAUAUUUGAGUGGAAUUAGGAAGCUUAGUUGACAUAAAAUUUCGUAUUCUGUCUUGAUUUACGAAUCAAACUUAAAACGCAUGAAAUGUUGUACUUGACAGUUCGUAUUUUGAACAGCAUUUACAUAUAAUUGUUGUGUGUGUGUGUGUGUGUGUGUGUAUGUUCUGUCGGUUUCAGUGGUUGCGGAAAACUAAUCGUAAGCCCUUGCUUGAAGCUGUGGAGAAAAUGAAAGAAGGUAUAUGACCUAAACACAGUUUCAACCUCCUCAAUGAUCUGAGAAAUUCUUUUUGAUGUGUUUCUGGCUAGACAUUUAACAAAAUAAUUCCAUAUCACACUUCUCACUUAUAAACUUUCAUGUUUUGUCCUGCUGCCUCCAGAGUUGAUGUUACUUGGGUUUAUCUCUCUCCUUUUGACGGCUACCUCAAGCAUGAUAGCCAAUAUUUGCAUUCCAUCAAAGUUCUACAAUAGCAGUUUUUCUCCAUGCUCUAGGUCUGAGAUUACUGAAGAAACUGAAAAUAAACGUAAGCUGUGGAUGUUUACUGUUCUGCCUCACUCAUUCAGAAGAGUGUUAAAUGAGUUGAAUCGUAAUUCCUGCAAAGAGGUGCGUUACUUAUCCGUGUAUAACAGUUAACUAAAGUUCUGUUCUAAAUUUCUAAAUACAUUUUUCUUCAUGUAUGAGUUCUUUUUUCUGGUGUACUAUAUUCACUUGGUUCUUGGAAAUCGUUGAAUAUGAUUGAAAUGCUGAAGGAAAUUAGUUUGGACUUCUUCCUGUCUUAUUUUCCACAAACUAUAAUUUAUGCCUUACUGGACAAUCUUGGUUAAAAUGGAAAUUUGUUUGUUUGAACAGGGUUAUGAGCCAUUUGUUUCAUAUCAAGGCCUUGAGCAGUUGCAUCGCUUCAUCUUUGUCAUGGCAAUAACACAUAUAUCCUACAGCUGCUUAACGAUGUUGCUGGCAAUAGUGAAGGUUAGAAUUUUCUUCAUUUUUCUACUUCUUCUUCGUCUUUUCCACCCAGACCAUAUUAGGUACAGUGGUGAAACCUCAAACCUGCCAUUAUUGUUAAACUGUUUUUCUUCUGGAUAGUGGAUGCUGUAGUUACUACUGAUAAGCUAUCUAAAGUAGAUUGCAUAUUUUUUGGUGACCAAUUUAUGAAAUCAAGUAAACAUAAAAGGUGAAAGUGUCUAGUUCCCCUCAGUAAGAACGUUUCUACUGAACAAAUCAGCAAUAAGAACUUUGGUGUCAAUAUGCUUUUAAUUGAUGUCACUCUAUCAGUUAUGACUACUAUUACCUUGAGAAAAGGCUCGCAUUCUUUUUUCAAUGUGGUUAGCUUUUUAUUUAACAGCAUCAUUAAGCACGAACUGAGCCGUGAAUCUGCAGUGUCGUAUGUCAGGCGUUGUGUUUAUCUAUAUUAUGAACACACAUGGACAUCUACAUCAACCUUUUGCAUACCUUCUUGAAUAUCUAUCUGGUUUAAGGGGAUUUUAUCAGUCUUCAGUUGUUACUUCUCUCUGGUGCACUAAUGUGUUCUAUGCAUGAUGACUUGAUGAUAGUGGGUAUUUGCUGAAACUCAAGAUGAUAAUAUAAUGAAAUACUAUUUUUGUCAUGGAUUACGGUUAAUGUGACCAGAUUCACAGCUGGAGAGUAUGGGAGGAGGAGGCUCACAUGGACCGACAUGAUUCAUUGACUGGUAAGCUGUGACAUUGCGUUAGUAGAAUUUUAUACAGAUCAGCUUAUUGGUCCCCUUAUUGAGAGAGAGAGAGAGACAGAGACAGAGUGUUUGGGUGCUUGAACUUUUAUGAACCGUGGUGUAGAUUUUCAAAUUCCCUAUGAGAUGACUGUAGAUAUACUAUGUAGCAGAGAUCACACGGCAGAUGACAAUGCGAAGGCAGUCUAGCUUUGUAAAUCCAUCAACUCCUGUUGUCAGGAAUAACUUUUUUAUCUGGGUGGUAGGUGCAACUCUCUUUUCUUACUUAAAUACAUAGGUACCUCCAUUUUUUUUUUUAUAUUUUGCAUCCUUAAUUAAUUUCUUAUUGAUGAAACCUUUUAAUGUUUGAUAAGCAUAACACGCCCGCAUUUGGUUUCCCUGAAAUUGCUAUAUUUGUGUGCCCUCUUUCACAAAACCAAGAGAAGAAAAAUGAAAACCGAUGGCUGCUUUCUUCCUUUUAUAUGAUUAUUAUUUAGGUUUCUUUGUGUUUCUUGGUAUUAGAAAGCAGCUGCUUUAAUUCAAGGUUUAUUAAUAGUUGAAUGUUUUGUUGUACAGAGAUGUUUCUUCCGGCAAUUUGGGAAUUCAGUGGUUCGUGCUGACUAUUUAACACUCCGCAUGGGCUUCAUCACGGUAUCUAGUAUUUUCAUUUGUCAGAAUUGUAUAAUGAGUCUUCAACAUUUUGUUUUUCUUUUAUUUGUAUUUUGUUCACUAUAAUAUUCGCUGUUAGCCCUUAAUGAUAUGGUUGGUUUUCACUAUACACCUCAAACUUACUGCUAAUAUGAACUUGCAUUGCUAUGCCUAGUAACUGAGCUUCUGCAUGUUUUAUAACAAUCAACAAACAAUGAUACUACAAACUCAUAACGUCAACUGAGUGAACAACUUUUUCGAAAAUGUUUUUUUUUGAGGGAUUCAAGAAUGUUUUUACAAUAUAAAGGAAUAUGGCGUUCUUUUGUAUCAAAUCCAUGACAUGUGCCUAGACCCAUGGUGUCUAAAAGAUUCUAACAUCGGCGAUCUUUUAUUUUUUGGUAGAAAUUAUUUGAAUGUUGUGCGUAGAAUACCCUAAAAUUGGUUACUAUUUGCUGUUGUUUCCUUAUUAUAUGUAUGUUAGGUAAUCUAAUAUCGUUAGUACCUUUCUGCAUGCCUGUUAAUAUGUUAGGAACUUAGGAAUGCCGAUUUUAACUACUGUUCAAUGAAUUUUUACUCUUUCUUUCUCUCACUCAUGUCAGAACCACAACCUUUCACCAAAGUAUGAUUUUCACAGCUAUAUGAUUCGGUCUAUGGAAGAGGAAUUCCAAAGGAUUGUUGGUGUGAGGUAAGUUAUAAGUUUCCUCUGUUAUGAAUAAUUGUUAGCAAUGAUUGCAACUACUUAUUCUUAGUAUUGUUCAAAUGUGGUGGUGUUGUUUCUCUUGCAAAUGGGAUAAUAAUAUUUGUUUGCGCAAAUAUUUGCGGAAAUUCCUUAUCCAGUGUUUGACAUAUGCGGUGGUGUUGUCUCUCUUGUAGCUUAAUGGUUUUUCCAUACAUGCUCCAAGGAUGGUCCACUGUUUGAACCAGACUACAUGCCUUCAUUUUUGAACAGAAAGAAAGAGUAUAAGUUUUCCAAAAGCGUUAAUUUAAAUGGAUUAUGGGGGUCGUUGAUUUUCUAUAACAACUGCUAAUUUUAGCAGCCCCAAAACUCCUAAAAAAGGUUGUAGCCAUAUAGUUCAAGGCUCUGCUUUCCUUCUCAUUCAUCGCAGAGUGUUGAAUAAAUCAGUUAGAAACAACCUUUGAUACUUUAGGUUGUGAGAAGAAAUGUUAGUUGACAGUAUAUUUGCACAAGUGUUCUCCGUUCUGAUUGCUACUUCUUUAUGGGAAAGACUCUAGUUCGGUGUGAUCUGAAUACUUCCAAAACUUUCAAACUCUCCGUCAGCCUUCAUUGUGCCGUUGUGUUAUGAAUCUUUUUGGGUUUGGAGUUGGAUAACUGUGUUUGGUCAGGUGCAACAAGAAGAGAAAUUUGGAAUAAUAACAAUAAUAUUAACAAGAAGCGUUCAAGUCAAAAUUUUACCUAAUUUAAAUUCUGCUGAUUACUAACUUCUGUUAUUGGAUGUUAGUACUGCUUACGGUUUGGAUAGUUGAAUUCCACAGAGAACAAACAUCUAAAUGCUUUUUCUCAAAUCUUUUGCAGUGCCACACUCUGGGGAUUUGUUGUUGCCUUCAUGCUGUUUAAUGUAAAAGGUAUCCGUACAAUGGAAUAUGAAAUGCAGGGAAUUGGUAGUUAUAAGCAUGAAUAUGCUACAAAACAGUGUUUUUUAUAUUUUUUUUUAUUUUUUAAAUUUGGAUAUUUGCUCUCAAAAGGACUUUUAUCUGUAUUCACCUUCAGUAAUAACUGUAGCUUGCGUGUUUCGUUACUUUGUUACUCUAACUGCCAGUUGGGGGAUCAUAAACUCAUAGUGAUGAUCGGUCUUGAAAGCUUUAAAAUGUGACUUUUUUCUGUGACCUAUGACAGGGUCUAAUCUUUAUUUCUGGAUUGCAAUCAUUCCAAUUACGGUAAGUACAAAGUUUACUCAUCUCCUUUUCAGUUUUGGGUUGUCACCUAUAUGCUAAAAUUGAUGAUCUCUAAGAAGCUUCCAAAAAUUGGAAUCGGAAAACAGACGUUUGUAGAAGUACACAUCACCUCUUCCUUUUAAUCAGUUAUGAACUAUGGGGGAGGGAAUUUGAACUUGGGACCUAUCAACUGGCCAUUGAACACGAAAGAACACAUCACAACUUGAGAUAUUAUAUCCACAUGGUGGGGCUAUAGCAGUAGUGAAUUUCCUGACAAUAAACCUGUUUCUCAAAUGUUAGUCGUGUGCUCCUCGUGUAAUGUGAUUUUUAUUUUAAGUUCCUAACUUCCUAUGCAGCUAGUUCUUCUUGUGGGAAUGAAGCUGCAGCAUAUUAUUGCAACCCUAGCAUUGGAGAAUGCUGGUAUAACUGGAUCCCAUGGAGGAGCAAAGCUGAGGCCUCGGGAUGAUCUUUUCUGGUUCAAGAAGCCCGAACUUUUGUUGUCCUUGAUCCAUUUUUGUUUAUUCCAGGUUUACAAUGGUUAUCGCAAUGCCUUGCGUUUCUUUUAUUAUUGUAUCAUUAUGUUCUUUGACGACUUGUACUCACAAAUCACAACUAUAAAACUAAUGGACGUGUUUUUUUUUUCUCUGUUCCUGUCUGUUCUCAUUUUGCAGAAUGCAUUUGAAUUGGCUUCAUUCUUUUGGUUUUGGGUAAUUCCUUUUCCAUGACUAAAUUUGUACUCUUUGUGGAGUGUUGCAAGUUGAAAACAACUUGUUCAGUCGUUUAGGGCCACUAAAUUUCUUGGUUAUUUGAUUACAGUGGCAAUUUGGGUAUAAUUCUUGCUUUAUCCGAAGGCAUUGGCUCGUGUAUAUAAGGCUGAUUUUAGGGUAUGCAACCGAUUUGAUUGGUUUCGUCAACCUACCAUAUAAUGUAUGUUCUCAAUCACGGGCCGUUUAUUAAUGUAAUUAUCUUAUAGGUUUGCCGGGCAGUUCCUGUGCAGCUACAGCACCUUGCCACUGUAUGCCUUGGUUACUCAGGUACAGCCAGAUAUACAUACAUUAUGCAUAUAUGCCAUCGACUGAAACUCCGACUUAUGUACUUGUAUUUUACGUUUAUUUUCAGAUGGGAACGAAUUAUAAGGCGGCAAUAAUCCCACUACGGAUAAGAGAAACAAUUCAUGGAUGGGGAAAGGCAGCUAGGAGGAAAAGAAGGCUAGGCAUAUACACUGAUGAUUCAACCAUACGCACAGAAACAAGCACAGUAGCAUCACUUGAGGAAGAUGAUCAUCAAAUGAUCGAUUACCCUGCAGAUGAUGCUAAUACGCAUAAUGGAAUUGAGUUGCAACCGGUUUCUAGUUCUGUGUCCAGUCCUUGCCCAGUUGGUAACCAAACCUCAAGUAGGCCAGGUACACCCCUUCUUCGACCAUCGGCUUCUGUUUCUUCUCAAUCAGUUACAUUGACUAUUCAAACAGAAGGUAUUCCAAGAUCCGCUUCACUGCCAGCUAGAAGGGAAUGAAGCAUUGAUCAACAAGAUGGUAAUGAAAAAAUCGCAUGACUAAGAAUUUGGGAUCCGAUUGAAUAAGUAUUAGAAAAGGAAACUGUGUAGAUUUUGCUUCCCUCCAUAUGCAGUACGAAAAAUACUUGAGGUCAUACUAUACUCGCAGGAUGUAACAACGCAUGACACGAUAUUGCAGUAGUUAGAAUGUAAACAUUUGAUGUAAUAGCUACAUAUAUGAAAUCAGUAUAUAUCACUGGCUAAUGAUCAAUGAUGUGGGCUAGUUGUUUAAUUAGGCAGUAAUAUUUUUACAAAAAUUAGGGGUGUGCUCAAAGAAUCAAAUGUAACUUGACAAUGAGGCAUCUUACUGGUGUUAUCAAGGUGAUGGAUGUACCACUGGGUCAAGUUCUUGCCCGGUUUGAUCAAAUAUCCUCGUCUUAUACGCGUCGUCUGUGAUUGUAUGUUGUAAAUUCAAUCAAGCAAAACAUGAGUGAGCUGAGAUUUCAUUAGAAUAGUAUGUGUAUGGUCCCUAUGAGUAUCAAUUUUCUGAAGCUUUUAUUUUGCAGACUUCAUGAGGUUAUCCAGUUUUGAAGCUUUGCAGCAUUUGCUGUGUUGGUUGAUGAAUCUGGCUGGUGGCAUUGGUUCUCCUUGUCCACCCUGGCCUGCUCCGAGGACACCAUUAACUGUGGCAGAUAUGGUACCAAUCAAGGGAGCUAUCUGGGCAGCCACGGCCCGGCGCACCCGGGAAACUGCAUGCUUUGCAAACUUGGUACCAAUCAAUUGAGCGAUCCGGGUCUGGCUCACUUGCGUAACUACAACCGCAACCCGGGAGAGGAACGUAAAAGCCCCCACCGCAAUUGCUUCCAUUACCAGACCCUAUGCCGAUGCCAAAACCGGACCCUAACCAGCUAUCAGCGCUGUGUCCGUACCCAGGUCUUCCUCUCCAUGGACCGUGUUCAGUCUCAUAUCCACCAUGCCAAGUUCCAAUACCAACUCCUCUACCUUAUCGGCUUCUCCAUAUCCACCAUCUGUGGAACUUCACCCAAUGCCAAUACCAGUGCCAGUGCCUCUUCCACCACCUUCACCAAUGCCUUUUCCAUACCCAUCACCUUUGCCAGAGCCUCUGCCAACACCAUAACGCUCUCCAAUCCCUUCACCGUCAUUGCCAUCACCAAUGCCUUUGCCCAUAGCCCUCUCUGAAUCCUUUCCCAUUGCUGCCUUCACCGAUGCCUUUGCCCAUAGCCCUCUUUGAAUCCUUUCCCAUUGCUGCCUUCACCAAUGCCUUUGCCAUUGCCCUCUCCAAUCCAUUUGCCAUCAUCAAUGCCUUUGCGGUAACCCUCUCCGAAUCCUUUCCUAUCACCGCCUUCACCAAUGCCUUUGCCAUAGCCCUCUCCAAACCCUUCACUAUCACUGCCUACACCACUGCUAGAGCCUCUGCCAACACCCUAGCCCUCUCCAAAUCCUUCGCCAUCACUGCCUUCACCAAUUCCAAUGCCAAUGCCAAUGCCUUGGCCCAUGGGCUUUUCCAUUCUCAUUUUCAUUUCAUGCCCACUUGGGUUCUUGACUUUGAGGACCCUAUGGGCGUUGCUCAAGCUGAACAAGCAGACAAGUGCCAACAACGCAAUGCUGCAGGAAGCCAUCUUUUUCCUUCCGUUUGCUUUGCUUUGCAUGGUUAUAUGGCUACAUAUAUAUAGCGAGCCUGGGCUCUGCAGGAAAAAGUGCUUGUGAACGAUGGAAACUAGAAAAGCACCAAAAGCGCUUCUCCGAGGAUUGCCAGUUGUUUUAGAACUCUCUGGAGUCAUGAAGCUUUUGUGAGCAGAGUAUUACCACAACGGAACUUGUUUUCAGCUUCCCUGCCGGGCCACCUCAUUUCAUUGAUCACAUCAUCACACAAUAGAACUAGAACUGACGAACAUGCGUCGUGUGUGUUUUUUUAUUUUGGUGAAUUUUUUGCGCGACCAAUGGUUGAGCGAGGAUUUAAACAAUGAUCGGUUCAAAUCACGGGUUUGAAGUGGCUAAAACAAAUUAAUAACUCCAUAUUAAUAGUCUGGACAAAUAAACACUACCACAUAAGCAUUUAAGGAUGCUACUUCAGUUGCGGGCUGAUCUUGAUUGUUGAUGCAUUUUGAGCCGGCAUGCCAGGAUCAGCCCUGCGCACACAUGACUGACCAUGCAAAGCAAAAAUAGCAAAGAAAAUUUGACAUCAAAGUGGAUUGUUUUGAAUAAAGGACUAUUCAAGCAGUUUUGGGAUGAAACUAAUGAGAGGGAAUGAAAAUGUUGCUAACGCGUUUGAAUGCAUCGCAAAAGAAAUGUCAGAGACUGGACACCAGUCACCAAACAUCGUCAUUCUCAAACAUAGAUUCCUGUGCAGAGAACAGUCUCUGCAACCACUUAUACAUUAUCAUCCUCCAAAAACCAGAAUCGGGAAAUUCUGGUCAGCGGACAACAUUUUACUUGAUCCUCACAAUGGCCAAAAUGACAAAGAUGCGAACUCAGGGAUAUCUGGAAAGCUCUAAGCUAGUCAUUGCCUAUAAUUUAUCAACAGUCAAACAACCUCACCGCUGCCUGAUUCUGCCUCCAUGGCUUUUAACUCUUCAGCCAGCGCUCGUUCCCUGUUCUUUAGUUGUCUGUCCACAGCAACCAUAUAUAGGCCUAAAAAGAAGUAACAAUCCUCGUCAGAAAAACAAGGAGGUUCCAAGAAAUUGGAACAAAGACAAAUGUACAGAACAGACAAUUACAUGAAACGCGGUGUUAUCCAUAGUACUAGUUGGGGGUUUUACCAGUUUGAAACUCCGAUCAACUUAGACGGUACUUUACCUAAUUUAUGAAUUUAUGGUAUAAUUGGGUUUCAUAUUUCUCAUCCAAUCCAAUUGAGGAAAGAGAACAAUUAAAUUGGUUAACCGGUUGGUUUGGCUUGAAUUUUGAAUUUUUGAACACCCCUAUAUUUGUGUUAUGCGCGGCAUAAAUACUAUUCGUGUGGCAGAUUGUAAACCGAAAGUAUUGUAAAACUAAAAGUAGAACAAACAUUUUCGUUAUGAAGACUUGGAAAUCAAGUAUGCUAUUUGAAUCAAGAAUCAAAAUAUGGAGAAGUCGAGAGCUCAUACUGACAGCACUGCCGAUUGCACACGCCCAGAGAAUCCUCAUGGACCAUCGAUCUCCGAUAACUCCUCUGCCUCCCAUAGCUUGCUGCCAAACCCAAUUACACUGCUUUAGCAUUAACAAAUACUGGAUACCAAAAAACUCACUGCUGAUCAGAUAAUCUAGUACAAGAACUGGAAAUGCAAAAUUUCGGCGUUGGCAUCAAAUCUCAACAUUAUCAAACGAUUUGAAGCUCAGUAACUGAAGAGGCAACAAGCUUAGCAACUAUUCCUCACAAAAACUAAUAUGCUUGAUCCAUUGAGAUAGACUACGGAAGCUGUUAUGGACCAGAUAGCAGCUGAUCCAAGCCUAUAACAAGUGUUCACAAUUCAGCUGAUCCCAACCCAAUCAGUAAAAACACAUAAUUCAGCUUAUAUUUCGAUCAAAAAAACAAAAAAAAUCUCUAAGUUAUCAGUAUGUUGCUCUCUAUGUGUUUGUAGAAAUGCGUAGCAGAGAUGUAUAAUUCACCAAACACAUAGCAGAUAUCAAUAAAUUGCAAUUGGGAAAGAAACCCAUUACGCGUUAGGCAUAGCAUGUCAGAAACAAGUAAAAAAUUAAUAUCAAAAUUUCAAACAUAAAAUUAUAAGCAUCGAAAUGCAGACCAAAUAAAAAAGGAAACAUAGAAAUGGAAUCUUACUAGUUUGACAGAGAGAGAGCGAGGGAGAAAGCGAGCGUUUGGUGACGGAGAUGGAGGAGGGAGCGGCGGAGGGAAGGAGAGAAAUGAGAGAAUCUUCACUGGUACGAACAAAAUGUCUGCCUCUUCAGAAACGUUGCCGCAUGCUCUUUCUGCUUUCUCCAAUUUUCAUUGUUUUUCUUCGGUAAGCAAGCGCAAAGCAGGGCUUUUGCUUUGAUAACAACCCAAAGUUCUGUUUUAACAGGAAGCCCAUCUGAACUUGCAGCCCAAGAACGAAGAAUCUAAAACAACCCUGUGUGUAUUUCUAAUAUAUUUAUUUCUUUGUUUUUAAGAACAAUCUUCAAAUUAAAAGUAAGAAAGUUUAACGGUUUAAUUAUGAAAUUUGUAUGAUGGAAAUACAUAUAUACAUGCAUACGUAUGUAUGUAUAUGUAGUUCUAUAUAAUUAAGUAAGGAACCCCUUUAUGUCCUCCAUCCAAAUUAUUGAUCGGAAGAUACAAUGAUGCUCAUGACUACGGUUGAGAAUGAGUUCUACAAUGACAAAAGAAGAGACUUUGCAUGAGCUUAUGAAUAUGAUUGAGCUACUCUUCAUAUUAUCAAUUAGUUUUAUGGUGAAACCUUAACUUUUUUUAUCGUAUCAGAGAUUUAGAGCAACGAAUGUUAUCUUGACUCGCCCUCCAUUUGUGAACGAGUCGUGAACUUUAUGAAUUAGGAGUUCCUUGCGUGAAUUAAAUAAAUGGCAUGCGCUGACCGCGGGAGGUCAAAAGACAGAGUUCUCAACAUCAAGUUUAUCUUGUCAUUUGCAUCUGAAACGUUUUGCUUGUAUUUGGUGUAGAGAUUCCAACCAUGGGAUACAAGUACUCCGGUCAGAAUUUCACUUUGAUUUUAGCUGCUUUGAAGUUUGAACGUUUCAUCUUUGAUUGAAUGGUGCUGGUUUUGACCAUGUGUAUUCUCAAACUGCUCAUAUUAAGUUUGAAUUUCUUUAAUGUUGGAGGUCACUGAUCAGAAUGAAUAAUUAUAAUGCCCUAUUAUAACAUAAGUAGGUUAAUUACGUUAAAUUAAAUGAUGUGCGAUGUCAAAUGAUUGAAUCAUUCUUGACUUAUGAAUCGAUCGACUAUCUAGAACAUGCACUGCAUCGAUCGACUAUCUUCAACAACGUGUAAUUGUGCUAUGAUUUAGAUCAACGUCGUGAUCACUUACUUUCUCAAAUGCUUUCAUAAAAACGUCACCUCUUAUGUCACUCUUUUAUUUAUUGUGUGGUCACAUUUUCUUUAGUCAUGCUUUAAGUACUCUUCAAUUGGAACACAAACACAAACAUCUGGCGCCCGGCAACAUGUUUGAUUUGUAUCACAGGCUAAAAACAAAUUUGUAUAUAUAUACACACACAAAUUAAUUUUCCUUGUUUCAGUUGAAACCUGAAAACCCUCCUUCCUCUCUCUCUCUCUCUCUCUCUCUCUCUAACACAAAUUAAUGGAAGUAUCAGUGGCUGUUGGUGUCGUUUUGGUGGGCAUAAUCGUAAUUACAUGGGCAUGGAAGGUGGUGAACUGGUUGUGGCUGAGGCCAAAGAAGCUAGAACGAUACCUGAGGCAGCAAGGCAUUGCUGGAAACUCAUACAGGUUUAUGUCCGGAGACAUGAAAGAAAUCUCCAUGACGACAGAACAAGCUUAUUCUAAACCCAUGAGCCUCUCCCAUGACAUAGCCCCACGAGUCAUCCCCUUCCAUCACCGAUUAGUAAACACUUACGGUAUGUUAAGUAUAUUGUUUUUGCACGUUUACUUGAAUAUAAUAUUUAUUUAUAAGAAAUAAGAAUUGAAUCAUUCUGAUUUUUCACUUUCUUGCGUUAAUUAACACAUGGAAUCCGAACAAGUGUUAUCACUUUGAAACCUUUAACAAUACUAGUUCUCAUUUUCGUUCUUUUUUUCCUCUCAUUUCAAGUAAGUAAAUAUGUUAGUAAUUCAUACUUUCUUAUGUGUUCUACCAAAUUAUAAAUGUUAUCUAGAUUUGCAAUUUAGAUUCUCUGACAACAUAAAUGUGAUAAGACAUUGUCCACGACUUAUAAAUAAGAGUGACACUCAAGUCUUCAGAGUCAUUAAGAAAGUCUCAAGUUAAAACUCAUGAGCCGAUGAAUAGAUGCAAUUUAUAAAAAUAUAGAUGUGGUUAAAUAUUUGAUAUGAAAUUUACAAUGAUAGUUCAUAAAAUUUGAAUUAACAAUCUACUCCAAGAAAAUAAAAACCGGCGCUGCUAAAUCAAACUAAUCAAACCUCUAUGAGUAGUAAGUGCACUGUUACUAAACAAGCUGUGCACUUAGACAUAUAUGUCUGGUUAUGGUAUGAAACGUAAAAAUAAUUUGACUAUAACUAAGUUGAACCUCUAUUUUCUUUGAAAACCAAAAAUGCAGGUAAGAAUUCUUUUGUUUGGAUGGGCACCAUCCCAAGGGUGAUCAUCACUAAUCCAGAAGAUUUGAAAUACAUCUUAACAAAAAUGGGGGAGUUUCCGCAGCCAGAACCAAACCCACUUGUCAAGUUACUAGCAACAGGUAUUGCACUCUAUGAAGGUGAGAAAUGGGCAAAACACCGAAGAAUUAUCAACCCAGUAUUCCAUUUAGAGAAGCUAAAGGUAUUAUGCACACUCUUGCCAAUAUUCAUUCAAAAUUUCUUAUAAAACCUAAUUUAAUUAGCAUGCGUAUUAUGUUGCCUAUAUAAUUAAUGUUGAUAUAAUUUAUGUUUUCUUUCUUAUUUUUCCUUGUUUUCUAUAGCGAAUGUUACCGGCAUUUUACGAAAGUUGUAGUGAGAUGAUUGUGGAAUGGGAGAGCUUGGAGUUGAAAGAGAGUUCAUGUGAGUUGGAUGUUUGGCCUUAUUUUCAAAAUUUGACGGCCGAUGUGAUUUCUCGAACAGCAUUCGGAAGUAGCUAUAAAGAAGGAAGAAAAAUAUUUCAACUUUUGAAAGAGCAAGGACUGUUAGUUUAUAAGUGUAUUUGCUGAAAUAUAAUAAGAAGUCAGUUUUAAAUAUCAGCCCUUGGAUCAUAGUCCAAGUGUGCAGCUAAGAUGUAAUCUUAGAUUAAUUAAUAUUUCCUCUUGCUACAUGUGCUAAGUGAGAGUGAAUGAAUGAAACAGUGCAGAGUUCGUUUCUUCUUCCAAAAGCUGAAUUCUCUCACUCUCUCUAGAUUUCUUACUCUCUUUCUUUCUUCAGUAUUUUAUACAUUGAUUGAAACAUUCAUACAAGAUCAUAGUCUGUAUGCUAACAUGGCCUCAGAGCUGUGUUCGAUCAAUUGAUACUGGGCGUUUGGAUCUGUGAAGAGAGCUACCCAGCAACUCAAGGCUGCGAUCGAGUUGAUUGCGAUCUGAGUCUAACAUGGCAGGAUCGGGUAGUGGUGAGGUGAGAGCACCAAUUUUCAAUGGUGAAAAUUAUGAGUUCUGGAGUAUUAAGAUGAAGACCAUUUUCAAGUCCUACGGAUUGUGGAAUCUGGUUGAAAAGGGUUUCGAUGAAUCAGAUCUGAAGAAGAUUGAUGAAUCUGAGGCGAAGAAGAAAGACAAAGAAGAGUCUAGUGGUGCUGGGAGGAUGACGCUUGUUGAGGUGCUCAUGAAGGAUGCUAAAGCUCUGGGUCUGAUUCAGGGCGCUGUUUCAGAUGAGAUAUUUCCCAGAAUCUCUCAUGAAGAAACUUCAAAAGGCGCAUGGGACAUUCUGCAGCAAGAAUACCAUGGUGAUAAACAGGUUAGAAGUGUUAAAUUGCAAGGUCUUCGUAGGGAAUUUGAAUAUACCCGAAUGCGAGAUGAUGAAUCACUUUCUGUUUAUCUUACAAAACUAUUUGAUCUGAUAAAUCAAAUGCGGAGCUAUGGAGAGGAAUUAUCUCGAGAGAGAGUUGUUCAGAAAUUAUUAAUUAGUUUGCCAUCAGCUUAUGAUUCUAUCUGUUCUGUUAUUGAACAUUCGAAAGAUUUGGAUGUGAUUGAGGUACAAGAGGUGGUGGCUUCUUUGAAGAGUUUUGAGUUAAGGAUUGAUAGGCAUUCUGAAAAUAAAACUGAGAGAGCAUUUGCUAGCCUUAGUGUGAAUCCCAAACCAGUUAAGUUUACUGGAAAUCAAAAUGCCAAGUACCAUAAGAAUUGGAAGGACAAAGGCAAGAAGUGGGAUAACAAACCCACAGAUGGGGCUAGAAAUUCUUGUAAGCAUUGUGGCAAGCUACAUUUUGGUGAGUGUCGAUUCAAAGGCAAACCAAAAUGUUACAACUGUGAUAAGUUUUGGUCAUCUAGCAAGGGACUGUAAUAGCAAGAAGGCAGUGCAACAGCUUAAUUAUGCCACUCAGACAGACUCUACACCAAUCAUGUUUUAUGCUAGUAAUCAAACUAAUACUAGUGUAAAAGGAUGUGAAGAUGUAUGGUAUGUAGAUAGUGGGUGUAGUAAUCAUAUGACUGGAAGGGAGGAUCUACUGGUUGAUAUUGACAAGUAUGUGACUGCAAAGGUUGAAAUGGGUACUGGACAGCUUGUUGAUGUAACUGGUAAAGGAAGUCUUAUGGUUGAAACUAAAAUAGGCAAGAGAUAUAUCAAGGAGGUUAUGCUUGUGCCUGGAUUGAAAGAAAAUUUGCUCAGUGUAGGUCAAAUGAUGGAGCACGGUUAUUACUUGGUGUUUGGAGGUCAUAAAGUAGAGAUCUAUGAUGAUAGCUCAUAUUCCAACCUGAUUGCCAGAGUACCAAUGAAGGGAAAUCGAAGUUUUCCAAUGAAGUUACAGUCUGGAAUACAUAUUGCCUACAGGGCAAAUGUAUGUCCUUCUACUGCUAUGUGGCACAGAAGAUUGGGUCAUCUGAACAUGAGCAGUUUGAAAUUGAUGCAGGAACAAGAAUUGGUGGUCGGGUUACCGGAGAUCAAAGUAAUUAAAGGAGUGUGUGAAGGCUGUGUUCUUGGCAAACAAUGCAGAGAAGCAUUUCCAAGAGAAGCCACUACUAGAGCAUCAUUUCCUCUUGAGCUUAUACACAGUGACAUUUGCGGACCAAUGCAGACAACUACAACAGCUGGAAAUCGAUACUUUCUCACUUUUAUAGAUGACUGCACCAGGAUGUGUUGGAUUUAUUUUCUAAGGCAUAAAUCUGAAGUUCUCAAUGUGUUUAAAAGGUUCAAAGCUACUGUAGAGUUGCAGAGUGGAUAUAAACUGAAGAAGCUUAGGAGUGAUCGAGGAGGUGAAUACACCUCAAUGGAAUUUAACAGAUUUGUUGAAGAUGUAGGCCUGGAAAGACAACUUACCACUCCAUACACACCACAACAAAAUGGUGUGGCAGAGAGAAAGAAUAGAACCAUCGUGGAAAUGGCUAAGUGUCUUAUGUUGGAGAAGAAGGUUCCACUUGAAUUCUGGGCUGAGGCAGUCAAUACCUCUGUGUACAUUUUGAAUCGAUGCCCAACCAAAGCCUUACAUAAGAAGACACCUUUUGAAGCUUACAGUGGGAGAAAACCAGGAAUUAAGCAUCUAAAAGUGUUUGGUUCUUUGUGUUAUGCUCAUGUGCCAAGUCAACAGAGACAAAAACUCGAUUUGGCAAGCAAGAGGUGUAUUUUCUUGGGAUAUGGUAGUUGUGAGAAGGGAUAUAGACUGUAUAACAUUGAAUCUGGAAAGGUGACUAUUUCCAGAGAUGUUGUGUUUAAUGAAGAAGCAUGUUGGGAUUGGAAUGCACAGAAGGAAAGAAGAGAGAGUAUCCAGAUCAUUGAAAUGUCUGCAGGAGAACAAAACUGUGAAGGAAGUGCUUGUGAUUCUGAAACACAAUGUGAAGUCAGUGAAGAGAAUGUUGGAUCAGAUUUAGUUACUGAGCUAUCUGAUCAAGAAAGAAUGACAGGUCCACAGGAUUUUGAUCACACUCCUCUCAAGUACAGAAACAUUGCAGAAAUAUAUGAAAAGUGUAAUCUGUGCAUAAUAGAACCCGAAUGUUUUGAAGAGGCUGCCAAGGAUGAAUCAUGGCAGAAGGCUAUGGAAGAUGAAAUCUCUAUGAUUGAGAAAAAUCAUACUUGGGAUCUUGUUGAUAGACCAUUUGAUAAACCAAUCAUUGGAGUCAAAUGGGUUUAUAAAACAAAACUAAAUCUGGAUGGUUCAGUGCAGAAAAACAAAGCACGGUUGGUUGCAAAGGGGUACUCUCAGAAGCCUGGAAUCGAUUUCAAUGAAACUUUUGCACCUGUGGCAAGACUUGAUACUGUGAGAACCUUGGUAGCCCUUGCUGCACAGAAAGGAUGGAAAUUAUUUCAGUUAGAUGUAAAGUCUGCAUUUCUAAAUGGAGUGUUGAAUGAAGAGGUGUAUGUGGAUCAACCAUCUGGUUUUGUUAUACAGGGCAAGGAAGACAAAGUGUACAGGCUCAGGAAAGCUUUAUAUGGUUUGAAACAAGCUCCAAGAGCUUGGUAUGAAGAAAUAAAUUCCUAUUUUGCAAAGGCUGGAUUCCACAGAAGUCCGAGUGAAGCUACUCUUUAUAUCAAGACAUCUCACAGUGGCAUUCUUAUUGUGUCACUGUAUGUAGAUGAUAUUAUUUACACAGGGAGUUCAAAGGAGAUGAUAGCUGAGUUUAAAGGUGAGAUGAUGAGACAAUAUGAGAUGACUGAUCUAGGAUUACUUCAUCAUUUCCUUGGUCUUGGAGUAUUGCAAACAGAUAAUUACAUCUUCUUGCAUCAAAAGAAAUAUGCAAAGACUUUGCUUGAGAAAUUUGGACUUAGGGAUUGUAAGCCGGUUGCAACACCAUUAGCUAUGAAAUGAAAAAACUUACAAAAGUAGAUGGAAGUGAUCUGGCAGAUGAAACUUUAUAUAGACAAAUGGUGGGAAGUUUGCUAUAUUUGACAGCAACAAGGCCAUAUAUUAUGUUUGCAGCAAGCUUAUUGGCUAGGUUUAUGCACAAUCCUACCAAGAAGCAUAUGGGGACAGCUAAGAGAGUUCUGAGAUACAUACAAGGCACUGUGAACUAUGGAGUUGUCUAUGAAAAGGGAAAAGGAGCAGUGUUGGUUGGUUAUUGUGAUAGUGAUUGGAGUGGAAGUGAAGAUGAUAUGAGGAGUACAUCUGGCUAUGCAUUCAAUCUUGGUUCCGGUGUGUUUUCUUGGGCCUCAAUCAAACAAAGCAGUGUUGCUCUUUCAACUGCAGAGGCAGAGUACAUCAGUGCAGCAGAAGCUACUGCACAGGCCAUUUGGCUAAGAUUUGUACUCUCUGAUUUUGGGGAAGAACAAGCAGAACCAACUAAGUUGUUGUGUGAUAAUACCUCAGCAAUUGCCAUAUCAAAGAAUCCAGUUCAUCAUCACAAAACCAGGCACAUUAAUCGGAAAUUCCAUUUCAUCCGAGAUGCUCUUCAAGAUGGUGAGAUUGAUCUGGUAUACUGCAAGACUGAAGAGCAGGUUGCAGAUAUAUUCACUAAAGCUUUGGCAAGGGAUCGAUUUGAAGUACUGAGGACAGCUUUGGGAGUGAUUUCAGCACAUCACUUAGAAGGGAGUGUUAGUUUAUAAGUGUAUUUGCUGAAAUAUAAUAAGAAGUCAGUUUUAAAUAUCAGCCCUUGGAUCAUAGUCCAAGUGUGCAGCUAAGAUGUAAUCUUAGAUUAAUUAAUAUUUCCUCUUGCUACAUGUGCUAAGUGAGAGUGAAUGAAUGAAACAGUGCAGAGUUCGUUUCUUCUUCCAAAAGCUGAAUUCUCUCACUCUCUCUCUAGAUUUCUUACUCUCUUUCUUUCUUCAGUAUUUUAUACAUUGAUUGAAACAUUCAUACAAGAUCAUAGUCUGUAUGCUAACAAGGACAACUUGUAACAAAAGUUGUGCAAAGUGUUUACAUUCCAGGAUGGAGGUAAAUCAUAUUCUCUUUCACUCUUCAGGUUGUAAAUAUAUAUCAUCCUGCCAAAUAAUAGGCUAGCAACUAGUUAGUCCAGUUAUUUAUAAUUAAAUUAUGUUCAUUAACCACAGUAAAGAUCGCACUCAUUCAACAAACGAAAGCAUAUUACGAAAAACAUUUUUGUGACAAUUUUACAAAGUUUUGAAGGAAAACCUGAAGAAGAAAACCAAGUGCUUCAAGGCAGCCAAAACCAUUCUAUCAAUAUUUUUCGUGUUUAAAGGAAGCUCAUCUUUCAAUACAACAACCGUAGGGUUGGGGAUGGGUAUCAAACUUGUCAUUCAUGUGAACAUAUAUAAAACUUCCUACUUGAAAGUACAUAAUAAUAUCUCUAAAUCAUAGUGCUAAUCGACGGGAAGCUCAACUUGAUUUUGAAGAAAAUGGAGGGUUCGUAAAAGCACGUAAUCUUCAUAUUACAAACAUGCAAGGACAAAAAAACACAUUAAUGCAUGAAAACAAGCGCACAUUGUCUUCUUCAUAUAUCUUCACAGAACGAUUGGAAUAAUUAAGGUUUUGUGCAUGCAGGUUUCUACCAACCAAGACGAACAAGAAGAUGAAAGGAAUUGACAGAGAGAUAAGAGCGUUACUUAUGGGUAUUAUAAACAAAAGGGAAGAGGCGAUUAAGGCAGGUGAAGCCACAAAAGAUGACUUGUUGGGUGUGCUUAUGGAAUCCAACUUGAAGGAAAUCAAGGAACAUGGCAGCAACAAAAAAGUUGGAAUGAGUAUGCAUGAUGUGAUCGAGGAAUGCAAGCUGUUUUACCUUGCAGGGCAGGAGACCACUUCAGGGUUGCUAGUUUGGACAAUGAUUUUGCUAGGUCAAUAUCAGAACUGGCAAGAUCAUGCAAGAGAAGAGGUUUUAGAGGUAUUUGGAAGCAACAAGCCAGACUUUGAUGGGCUAAUACACCUAAAAGUUGUAAGUGGUUUCCAUUGAGAAAAACAUUUGAGAGAUUGCUUUUACCAAGUGAUUGUGUAGAGUGCAAAACAGUUGAGUUAAAAAUGACAUGGGUUUAAGAAAUGAACUGAUGAUCACACAUCUUCUUUUAGAUGAAUUGUCUUUGACUCACAAUCUACAUGACAAAAAUAGUCCCCAUACAAGUUCGUAUUUCUAUAUAUCAAUCUAUUGUUUGGGUUUUUCUACAAUAACAGUGUAUAGAAAUGCUAAACACCGGCUAAAACUGGAUUGACAAAAUCCAGCCAUGCAAAUCCAACCGUCCAAUGCACUAAAUUAUCCCCUACACUGGUGUAUUCUAUUGUUUACCCUAUGCUAUAGAUUUAAAACUUAACUUGGUUGUAUAUCUAAUGCAUGCUUUCCCAGGUGACCAUGAUUCUGCAUGAAGUUCUUCGAUUAUACCCAGCACUUACUGUGAUGACUCGAACCACAAACAAGAAAACACAACUUUCAAAAUAUUCAUUACCAGCUGGAGUUGAAGUUGCCUUAUCCACCCUCUUAGUUCACCAUGACAAACAACUGUGGGGUGAUGAUGCACAUGAGUUCAAGCCGGAGAGGUUUUCGGAAGGCAUUUUGAAGGCAACAAAGAACAAAUUCAUGUACUUCCCUUUUGGAGGCGGUCCGCGGAAUUGUAUCGGGCAAAACUUUGCAAUGGUGGAAGCAAAAUUGGCCUUAUCGUUGAUUCUACAACACUAUACAUUUGAGCUUUCUCCCUCCUAUACUCAUGCUCCUUCUUCACAUCUAACCAUUCGGCCACAGUUUGGUGCUCAUAUCAUUUUACACAAACGUUGAUUACUUCUGUAUCAGAAGUUCUAUCUAAAUUGUUGAAUAUAUAGUGUGUAGUAGCUAGGAGAAGGAUGAAAGAUAAUUUGAUGCAACGUACAUAUGAUAUGUUAUUUUUGAGAUAAAAGUUGAGCAAAGGGGAACCGCAUAUAUAUAUGCCUUGUGGAUAUAGCGAAGUCCGCAUUAAAGAGGUAGACAAGGAUCCUCAGGGUUUUCUACAAUCUAUACUGCAGAAAUUAGUUUUCAGAGUUUGUAAUGCAUUUAGAAAUAAAUGGAGGAAGAAGAAAAUGUUAUGAAUUGGUUAUUUCCAGUACAAAUCUUCCCCAUAUAUAGAGGGAAAGAUGAUUUUCCGAAUUGCUUAAGUAGUCAUUCAAACAUGCAUGUAUCUCUUAAUUCAAACGUCUACUUCACUCAAAUCAACAUUGGGAAACAAGUGAAGAGGUAAGCUCAGCAGGUUGCACAAAGAUUUUAUUAAGCAUCUGCAUAGCACAUACUCGAUCUUAAUUGAUUUCAAUCAUUUUCUUUCAAAUGUAUCGCAAUCGCAUCAACGAAUAUUCCAAUCUUCUAUGGAUCCGGUAUUUUCCCUCUCGGAUUCCUCUUAACACUUGAAUAUAUACAGGACGUAGAACUGAAAAAUUCAAGGACUAGGUGCACGUACUUGGAGGCUGGAUUAGAAAUAGCACCUCAUAAAGGAUUGAAAGAAUGAUGGUAUCAAUUGACAUGUUCACCACUGUAAAGAAAAUAGUGGCCACCAACCGAGACCCCAGCUGUGAAAAUUUAGAACCCAAAAAGGUUUUGUAUAUUUCUCUGUGAGUUUUUAGAGCUACAAGAGAUGGCUCUAUAUAGAGACCGAACAAUAAAGAAAAGAAGACGUGCACCCUUGGCACACUUACAGUCAGAAAUAAAGAAAACAAUUCACAAGAAAACAUGGGAUAAAGCUGCAGCUAUAUGGGCACACUUACAAUCAGAAAUAAAGAAAACAAUUUACAAGAAAGAUGGACCAAGUGUGACGAUAGUGGCAGUAGCCACUUUACCUGAAAUAUGGGAUAAAGUUGCAGCUAGUUUCAAUACUCCCCCUCAAGCUGGAUCAAGUGGGUUAAUUGAUCCAAGCUUGCUCAGUAGCCUUUGAAGAUGAGUAGAGUCCAAAGCCUUUGUGAACAAGUCUGCAAGCUGAUCGUGACUGCGAGUGUAAAUGGGGUUGAUAACUUUGGAUUGAACUUGAGCACGAAUGUAGUGACAAUCCACUUCGAUGUGUUUGGUGCGUUCGUGAAACACUGGGUUAGAAGCAAUAUGCAUGGCAGCUUGGUUAUCACAAAACAAGGACAUAGGUUCAUUGUCGAUAUAGCCAAGAUCUGCUAGAAGACGCUUUAACCAGAUUAAUUCACACGCCGUGGCUGCCAUGGCUCUAUACUCCGCCUCUGCACUUGAUCGUGCAAUCACAGUCUGCUUUUUACUCUUCCAUGUCACGAGAUUUCCACCAACAAACGUGCAGAACCCGGUGGUAGACUUUCGAUCGAGUGCAUUACCUGCCCAGUCAGCAUCUGUGUAUGCCAUAAUGUGAUUUGAGCCAUGGUUCUUUAAGAGCAAGCCUCUGCCAAUUGACCCCUUCAAGUAUCUGAGUAUUCUUUUGACAAUCUCCCAGUGGAGUAGAGUAGGAGAGUGCAUGAAUUGACUGAUAAGGCUUACGGAAUAAGCAAUGUCAGGGCGAGUAAUUGUAAGGUAGAUUAACUUCCUCACCAUACGUUGAUAGACACUAGGAUUCGACAGAAGUUCACUAGAGUCAUCAAGUUGGAGUUUGCUUACAAGGGGAGUGCGAACAGCUUUGCAAUCCAACAUGUGAGCUUCCUCCAAUAAGUCAAGCACAUAUUUGCGUUGAUUUAAAAACAAACCCUUGGCAGAGGUUGCCAUCUCAAUGCCAAGGAAGUACUUUAGGGUUCCCAAAUCCUUGAUUGCAAACUGUUGAUGAAGAGAGGAUUUUAGAGUAGCAAUCUCUUCUAUGUUGUCCCCCGUUAUAAUGAUAUCAUCCACAUAUAUAAGAACAAUUAAUUUUCCAUUUGGACCACUGCGAACAAACAAGGAGGAAUCGGCAUGACUCAUUUUGAACCCCGCAGCCUCCAGAACCGAGCUUAACUUUGAGUACCAGGCUCGGGGGGAUUGUUUAAGUCCAUAUAUGGCCUUGUGAAGCCUGCAUACUUUGUUAACUUCACUUUCUUGUGGGUGUCCAGGGGGGAGCUUCAUGUAUACCUCCUCUUCAAGAUCACCAUGGAGAAAUGCAUUCUUCACAUCCAUUUGGAAUAGAGGCCAGUUAUGAUUAACUGCCACGGACAACAGGACUCGAACCGUGCUCAUUUUAGCUACAGGAGCAAAUGUCUCCUUGUAGUCAAUACCAUAAGUUUGAGUAAAUCCUCGGGCAACUAGUCUGGCCUUGUGUCGUUCAAUACUGCCGUUGGAAUGGAACUUGAUCUUAUAUAUCCAUCUACUCCCUACUGCCUUUUUCCCUUUUGGUAGAUCAACUACACUCCAUGUGUGAUUGUCAUUUAAGGCCUUGAGCUCUUCUUGCAUAGCGUCCUUCCAUACUUGACUGUGAGCAGCUUCAUGGAAGUUCCUUGGUUCAACAUUCGAGGAUAUCUGAUUUAGAAAUGCAGCAUGGGAUUUUGACAGUUUGUGAUAUGUUAGGGCUUCUGAAAUAGGAUGUCUUACAUUGUAGGUAAUGUAUUCUUGAAACCUUGGAGGAGGAUGUUUGUCCCGAGUUGGAUUUCUUCGAGGAGCUACAUAUGGUUGUGAGGUCGAGGUUGUGCUUUGUUCACUUGUAGAUGUUCCCUCACCCUCAAAUUGUUCCGACUCCGAGUGAGGUUCAAGAGAAUCAUUAUGAGAAUGGGAUUCACAAAAAUUUAUUGGAGUAGGUAAUGGAAAGAUGUCCAUAAUAUCCUUUCUCUGAGGCUCUUCACUGCAGUCUGUAUGAAAGAAAGAAGCAAGCUCAUCAAAUCUUACAUCUCUGGAGACUCCAACCUUACCAUUCUGAGGAUUGAAGUAUUUGUAUCCCUUUUGAGAGCUUGAGUAUCCCAUAAAAACACAUUUGACAGCUCUAGGUUCGAGUUUAUCUCGAUGUGCUGCUUGAAUAUGAACAUAGCAAGUGCACCCGAAAGUUCUGAGAUGUGAGAUGUCAAUGUUUCUUCCCUUCAUUACUUCAACAGGAGACUUUGAGUUUAAAACUCGAGUAGGUAACCUAUUGAUGAUGUAUGCUGCAAUGAGAAGUGCUUGUGACCAGAACCUUUUAGGCACAUUCAUUUGAAACAUAAGAGACCUUGUUUUCUCCAACAAAUCACGGUUCUUUCUUUCCGCUAUACCAUUUUGCUGUGGAGUACCAACACAACUGGUUUGAUGCAAAAUUCCAUGAUCACUUAAGUAAUUAGACAUGUUAUUGGAUGUGUACUCAGUGCCAUUGUCCGAUUGCAUUAUGCUUAACUUAGAUGAAAAUUGAUUUAUGAUGAGUUUAUGAAAAUCUUUAAAGGCAUCAAAAAACUCACUUUUGGAUUUCAAGAGGUAGACCCAUGUAACACGAGAGUAAUCAUCAAUGAAGGUGACAUAAUAUUUAUAUCCAUCAAAAGAGCUUACACGAGAGGGACCCCAGAUAUCAGAGUGAACGAUUUCAAACAGUUUACAGGUUCUAGACUUGGAAGAAACAAAAGGAAGCCUAGUAGCUUUCGACAUUUGAUAGAUUUCACAAGCAUGUAUAGGCUUACAAAAAUUUGGAAACAGUUUGGUCAUCACAUGUUCUGAAGGAUGAGCCAACCGAAGAUGCCAAAGGUGGUAAUCUUGAGAGAGACUGAGGCUUGCAAGGGGGUGCUUAAGAGACUUGGAAUUCUUUGAGAGGUAAUAGAGUCCAUUCAGGAGAUACCCUUCACCAAUCUUCUUCCGAGUGACCCGAUCCUGAAAUACAACACUGUGAGGAGAGAAUAUGGCAAGGCAAUCUAGGGUGCGUGUGAUUUUACUUAUGGACAGGAGUUGGAAAGGGAAAGAAGGUACAUAUAAAGCUGUUGACUCAAUCUUAUCACUUAACAGUUUAAGUUUCCCUUUUCCCAGAAUAGGUUCUCCGUUCCCAUUUGCAACAGACACCCGUGUAGACUCAGGCAUAUUUUGAAACUUAUCCAAGCAAGAAGACUUAUUUGUUAUGUGGUCAGUAGCACCUGAGUCUAUAAUCCAACAAUCAUGACUAAUUUCAUUAAGUGCAGUUUUGAGAGCAGUGAUGAUACCUGAGACAUUGUCAUGAGUUGAAGUCUCAGCCAAAAAACCUGCAAAUUUUCCGAGCAUAGCAGUAGGAGUUGAAGUGGUCGCUUCCUCAAUUUGAGUGUUGCCUCCUCGUCUUUGAAGAAAGUUUGCAAACUCAUUUAUGAGAUCUAUUGGAUUCUCAGUGAAAUUUGAUAUUCCACCCGUCGAAGAACUGGAUGAGUGGAGGGCCUUAGGGUUGAUUCUUUUCCCUUCUUUGAUCAUUCUUCCUUCCUUAUCAAAUUUUGGUUUUAACUCCGGGUGCAAGAUCCAGCAUUUAUCCCUUAGGUGACCUUUCAUGUUGCAGUGAGUGCAUUUCCAAUCUGCUUUCUUACUGGCAAAAAAAUUUUCACUAGUGUUUUUAUGGUAGCUUGAGAAAACCCUAGCCUCAGGAUUUGAUUUUGACUCAAUGUGCAUAACUUUUCUUCGAGUUUCUUCCCUUUGAACAGCUUGACAGACACCAUUAAAUGAAGGCAGCUCAGGAGUCAUCAACAAGUGGCUUCGAAGGUCUUCAUAUUCAGCUCCUAGACUUGCUAGAAGUUGAAAUACUUUGUCCUCAUCAGCUCUUUUAAGGAGCACAGCAGAAUCGGUUGAGUGUGGACGAUACAUGUCAAGUUCAUUCCACAUGGACUUGAUGCUUCCUAGAUGUUGGACGAAGGAUCAAUCACCUUGCUUUAGCCCAGCAAUAUCCUUUUUGAGCUGAAAAAUACGAGCUGCAUUAUUUUGACUGCCAUACAUUUCUUUAAUGGAUUCCCAGAGAGUGAAAGAGGACUCUGAGUAACUGAAGUGUUCAGAUAACUUGGGUUCCAUGGAGUUGAGUAUCCAGGACAUAACUAACUGGUCGCUUGCAUGCCAUGCACCAUAUGACGUGGAUGAUCUUUCAGGCGGUCCGAUGCUUCCAUUGAUAUGCCCGAGCUUUGAUCUUCCUCCUAAGGCAAGUGAAAUGGCACGAGACCAAGGUAGAUAGUUGAACUCGUUUAGUAGCACUGAGCAUAGACGCAAAUUUGAAUUGAUUUCACCUUGAAAGGAGUUUGAGGAGCUUGUAGCCUCAUGAUUUGAGGAACUUUCUUCUGUCAUUGUAGUGAAUGAGGCACGACCGAAGUAAGGUUUUUGAAUGAAUGAACAAACAGAGACAGGACCCUAUGGUUCCUGCUUUGAUACCAUGUGAAAAUUUAGAACCCAAAAAGGUUUUGUAUAUUUCUCUGUGAGUUUUCAGAGCUACAAGAGAUGGCUCUAUAUAGAGACCGAACAAUAAAGAAAAGAAGACGUGCACCCUUGGCACACUUACAGUCAGAAAUAAAGAAAACAAUUCACAAGAAACAUGGGAUAAAGCUGCAGCUAUAUGGGCACACUUACAAUUAGAAAUAAAGAAAACAAUUUACAAGAAAGAUGGACCAAGUGUGACGAUAGUGGCAAUAGCCACUUUACCUGAAAAUAUGGGAUAAAGUUGCAGCUAGUUUCAAUACCAGCAAACCUGCACGAACAUAUGAGCAGGUUAACGAUGGAAUGUAUUUGACUACUGUGCUGUGGUUCUUGUAUGUUACUCUGGGAAUAUAUAGAAGGAACAUAUGUACAGCAUUUAUGUCUGCAAAAGCAAAAUUGAAAACUCGUUUUGUAAUUACUUUUUUAUUAUCAAUUUUCAGUUUUUGUUUUUAAAUUAUUUGAACAAUUGAAAACUCAUUUAAUAACUACUUUCAGUUAUUUUUUAUUUAUUUUUUAUUUUUAACUUUAAUUUUCUAACUUUUGGCUUUCACUUUUUCGUUUUCUUCCUUUUUUUAUUAUUUAAGUAGCUACCAAACAAAUUUUCAAAUUUUUAGAUUUCAAAAAAUUGAAAACAAAUGAUUAUCAAAUAUUCUUUUAAACCAAGUAUAAAGGCUUUAUGGGUUAGCGCAGCCGAAAUAUGUUUUACACCUCAUAUUAUUGAAUCUUAUUCAUGGAACAUACGUGCAGAAGAAAAGGACGUAGACCUUUUUCUAUCUUUCUGUAACCUUAUGAAGAGGACGAAGACCUUUAUUUAUAUUUCUGGAACCUUAAGCAAAGUAGUAUUGUUUUGUUAUGUGACUUCUUUUACAAAGGAAACAUGGGCUUAAAUGUGAUCCUAGAGUUUAGUUAUUAUUUCUUGAAAAAACAAAAAAGUUCAGCCAUUUCGUUUUGGAUCAAGAAGCUGAUAGAAGGAGUGGAUGGCAUCUAGUAGAAGAGAUCGAAGUUUUACGGAAUUGUUUUCGAGGUUUUGGUUGUCAAUGGCAGCCGAGAGCGGCGAACAAGGCGGCACACUCACUUGCUCAAUUCGCGCUUUAGUUGUUACGAGCUCAGGACUUGGAUUGAAGAGGCUCCUGCAUGGCUAGAGCCAACUUUGGAAGAUGAUUUGGAUGACAGAAGUGUAUAAUUUUCAAGUAUAGCAGGCGGCAAGCUUUCCGUGGUGGUGGUUCAUUGCUAAUGAAGAAUGGCCAUCCAAAUGAGAGGUGCAUGAUUGUCUGUUUACUAUUGUUGUUUCUUUCCUUGUCUCUCUCAUUCAAGUUGUAUAAUUGGCUCUGUUAUGAAAUGAAAUCAUUCGUAUUGAUAAAAAAAGUUCAACUAUUCUAUCAAACUAGACUUAAUAAAUCUGAUAAGUGAGAAAUGUGAUAAAAUUAAAAGAAAUUCCUCUGAAACUUUACGACAAAAAUCCAACAAAAUUUGGUUUUCAAAUUGUGUCUCUACUCUGUCCCUGCCUUACAUAAUACAAUCAUUAAACUUAAACAUGUUAUAAUGUAAGUAAAUUAGUUAAACAACGUGACAAUGAUGUGAUAUUUCACUGAAAUUGAAUUCCCUACAUUUAGGUAGGAAUUGAAUUUCAAGUUGUUGGGGAAAUCGGAAUGAAUUUUUCCUUCCUAUUAUACCUUUACUUAUUUCUAAAAUUUCAAGAUUGCCCAUGAGCCCGACACGACCAACUGUUGCCCAUUUUAAUAUAAAAUUAAACAAUAACAAUAACAAUAAUUAACAGAAAAUAAAAUAAUUAAAUUUCAGUGUGUUUUAUAUUUGGUUAAUAGAGCUAUUUAACAAGUUUUCUAUUAAGUAGUAUAUAAAUUUAACCAAAAAAUUAGAAUAUAAAAUCAUUUAAUCAAAUAAGGGUAUUGUAGUAAUUAUAUUAAUUCACAUUCCCAAAUACAUUACUAAACCAUUUAUGUGGAAUUUAUACUGAUUCUAUUCUAAUUUCAUAAAAUCUUAAUAAACAACUUCAUCAAAAAUUUCAUCAAAAAUUUAAUUCUAACGCCUCUUUAUUUCAACUCCUUAUCUAUUUAACUUUUUUUCAUUUGAUUACAAAUUAAUAACGAGGCUAACGAGUCAUAAUACAUCAACCAUCGUUCUCGACUGUUUGCACGGCGUCAGCGUCGUAAUCUGAGUUGUGUCUGCCAUGUGGCCAUGCUUUCAUAAAAAAGGCAUCACCUACUUUAGCUUUAAGUCCCUAAGUCCUAACGUACCCCUAAGAGAAAGACUUUAUUAAAAAGUAGAACUUUUUCUAAAUUUUCUGUCGCUUAUUUCAAUAUAAUAUUUUAUAAUAUUGACAAAAAAAUAAAGUGAGAUGGCAGUAGAGAAUAUAAGAAGAGUUUAUUAUGAGAAAAUCUCUUUAGCAUUUCUCCACCUAAAACCUAAAAUACAUGUAGUUUAAUUUGUGUGUUGAAUGUGAUUUAGAUAAGGUCAUGAUUUAAGGAUGGAGAUUCUCUCCGAAUCUUUUUUGUGAAAAUUAUAGGAAUCUUAACAUCAUAUUUAUUCAUAGUACAUUGUGUGCUUUGUUAUGUAUUGUUUGUUUUUAAUUUUAAAUAAAAAAAUUCAAAAUAAUUUAUGACCGCACGAUAUAUAAUGAACGAAUGGAAUAUGAAGAUCUCUAUAAUCCUUCCAAAAUGAUCCGGUUAAGAUGCAAAUCCAUAAUUUAAUUGAAGUCCUCAUUACCUGCUCCCACACAAAUACAGAUAUCUGGCAGCAGCCGGUAUGAUUGAUAAGGACAAACAAAAUUGAGGACUCCACACAUAUAUUAUUAAAGUUAUAGAGACCGUAAUUAACUGAUGUUAUCUCAAUUUAGUCACUUGUUGAAUUAAAUAAGCGUGAGGUUAUCAAAGGUUGGAUAACUUGGAUUCCCCCCACCCCCAAUUCUAACUGGUGACAAAAAAAAAUAAAAAAUAAAAAAUAAAAUAUAUAUAUAAAAUGAAAAAAAAAAAAAAUCUUCCAUUCAAUUAUUGCAAAGAUUUAACUUUAUGAGGUUUACUAUCAUGGAACAUGUAUGGAUGUACAUGAUGCAAGUUAUGAAAAGCAGAUAUCCUUCUUUCUGUCGAAACCCAUCCUCGCAUCUUUUUCUCUCCGUAAACACACAAAUUAAUGGAAGUAUCAGUGUCUAACAUUGGUGUUGUUUUGGUGGGCAUAAUUGUAACUGCAUGGGCAUGGAGGGUGGUCAACUGGUUAUGGCUGAGGCCAAAGAAGCUAGAAAGAUAUCUGAGGCAGCAAGGCCUUGCCGGAAACUCAUACAGGUUUUUGGUAGGAGACUUGAAAGAAAGAACCAUGAUGCUAAAACAAGCAUAUUCUAAACCGAUGAACCUCUCUCAUGAUAUAGCCCCACGAGUCCUCCCUUUUGAGUACCACUCGGUGAACACUUACGGUACGUUUACUAUAUUUUUAUUUUUAGUCUUCGUAUAUAGUUCGGAAAUGAGUGUUAUCUGAAAUUUGUCGUCCAGAUUCACAAUUUAACAAUAUAAGGGUAGUAAGACAGUGCCAGUGAUGUAGUGGUACACAGUUUGGUAAUGAAGGUCUCGUGGUAAAAACUCAUCGACCCUCGUAUAGUUGCAAUUUAUCAAACUGGUGAUGUACAACAUGCCAACAAGAGAUCACCAAUAAACUAACCUCCAUGAGUAGUGCCUAGUUUGAGAAGUGGAAAUAAUUUGAUUUUAAUUUGAAGUUUUAGUUUUUAAAAACCUAAAAAAAAUGCAGGUAAGAAUUCUUUUAUUUGGGCGGGACCAGUACCAAGGGUGAACAUUGCUAAUCCAGAAGAUUUGAAAGACAUCCUAACAAAAAUUGAGGAUUUUCCAAAGUUGAAAUCAAAUCCAUAUGUCAAGUUGCUAGUAACAGGUACUGCACACUAUGAAGGUGAGAAAUGGAGAAGACACCGAAGAAUUAUCAAUCCAGCAUUCCAUUUAGACAAGUUAAAGGUAUUUAUAAUAUUCAUACAAAGUUUGUGGAAAUUUUACGCUAUCUAAUUAGUUUAGUAUUUAUGUGCGUACGUAAUAUAUAUUUAUCAGAUUAUAAAGAGGUGAUUAGCUACGCAAUUAGUAAAUAUGAUUUAAAUUGCAGCAUGCAUUCGCAAAUGUUUAGUUGUGUUUAAAAAUAAACCAUAUCGAUGUCCAAAAUACGCAUAUGCAAAAUAUAUUUGCUAAGGAAAUAUAUUUUUAUUAGGAAAACCUUGACAGUAUGAUGAAAAUUUUAUUGAGCCAGAAAAAAAAAGAAGUUACAUAUAAUCAGGGAAGAUGUAAACCUUACCUCUUAUAAUAUAAGAAGAAAGUGAAAUAUACAAAAAAAAAAAAGGACCUAAAAAAGGAAACAAAAAUAAGUGAUUAGUUUUUUAGAUGUGUAUUAGGUGCGUUGGCUAUAUAACUAAUUAAUGUUGACAAUUUUUGGUUUUUCUUCUUAUUUUUUGGUUGUUUUCUAUAGGGCAUGCUACCAGCAUUUUACCUAAGUUCUAGUGAGAUGAUUAAGGAAUGGGAGAGCUUGGUGUUGAAGGAAGGUUCAUGUGAGUUGGAUGUCCGGCCUUGUCUUGAAAAUUUGACAGCCGAUAUGAUUUCUCGAUCAGCAUUUGGAAGUAGCUAUAAAGAAGGAAGAAAAAUAUUUCAACUUUUGAGAGAGCAAUUACAACUUGUAACAAAAGUUAUACAAAAUGUUUACAUUCCGGGAUGGAGGUAAAAUUAUAAUUUCUUUUAGUCUUCAACUGGUAAAUAGCAAGAUCAUUCAGCCAAAUAGGUUAGAAACUAGCUAAAUCAAUUUUGUACAAUUAAAUUUGGUUCAUUAAUCAUAUGAAAGAUCAUACUCAUUUAAGUAGUAGUAUUAAAAGCUUGCUAUACAAAGCUUUUUUUGUGUGACAUUCCAAAGUAGACACCAAUAUUAAUAUUAUUUCAGCUGUAAAAUCCCAUGAGGAACUCUGUUUUUUAUUUUAUAGCUUUUGUUGCAACUAUUCAACACAUCACAACUGAAACACUGUAGAGUUAUCCGGUGGUGAUCCACCGAUUAAUUCGAAGAAAAUUUCGGUAGUGAAUUAGUACUCAACAUCAAAAAAAAGAUACUCGGUACACUUCUACUAGACACUCUUCAAGACUAGCUCUUCUUAUCCAAACUUGAAAGCUUCACAUUUUCCAACCAGCUCCAAACAUUACAUCGUCAAUCCCAUACAAUCCAAUCUCAAAACUUAUGAAUAUGGAUUAGCUACAAAUAUUUAAAUAGUUAGAUCUUGCAUAAAACUUGUAUCACUGAAUGAGACAUAGCUUUGUAGUCAGACCCCUUGUUUUCUUCAUAUCACCAUUGGAACUAAUAAUGAUUUUUUUUUUUUGCAGGUUUGUACCGACCAAGAUGAACAAGAAGAUGAAAGGAAUUGACAAAGAGAUAGGAGGGCUACUCAUGGGUAUUAUAAACAAAAGAGAAGAGGGGAUUAGGGCAGGUGAAGCCACAAAAGAUGACUUGUUGGGUAUCCUCAUGGAGUCCAACUUGAAGGAAAUCAAGGAACAUGGGAAUAACAAAGGAGUUGGAAUGAGCAUGUAUGACGUGAUCGAGGAGUGCAAGUUGUUUUACUUUGCAGGGCAGGAGACCACCUCAUUGUUGCUUGUUUGGACAAUGGUUUUACUAGGUCAAAACCAGAUUUGGCAAGAUCGUGCAAGAGAAGAGGUUUUGCAGGUCUUUGGAAGCAACAAGCCAGACUUUGAUGGGAUAAUUCAUCUAAAAGUUGUGAGUGUUUGCUAUCGAUAACUUGAGAAUACGUACUUUAUAGGAGUACAUUUUGAUCUGCAUUGCAUCGAGAAAAUUGCUUAGAGUAGUCAGCAAUGUGAGUCGUGACUCUCAGAAGAUUGCUUAGUGUAUUUGCUUCUUUACACUUUUGGACGUGUUUUCAUCUCUUUUUUUGGCAUAAAUGUAGAAGUUAAAUUGGUUGUAUAUGUACUGCAUGCUCCCCAGGUGACCAUGAUUUUGCAUGAAGUCCUGCGAUUAUACCCAGCACCUCUUCUUGUUCGAACCACUAGCAAGAAAACAGAAUUCCGAAACUUUUCAUUACCAGCUGGAGUCGAAGUUGCCUUACCAAUGCUACUAAUUCACCAUGACAGAGAACUUUGGGGUGAUGAUGCACAGGAGUUUAAACCCGAGAGGUUUUCGGAAGGUGUUGCGAAGACAACAAAGAACAAAUUUACGUACUUCCCUUUCUCGGGUGGUCCGCGGGUUUGCAUCGGACAAAACUUUGCUAUGGUGGAAGCAAAACUGGCCAUAUCGUUGAUUUUACAGCACUUCACAUUUGAGCUUUCUCCAUCCUAUGCUCAUGCUCCUUCUGCAAAACUAAUCCUUCACCCACAGUUUGGUGCCCAUAUCAUUUUACACAAACGCUGAUUCUUCUGAGUUAGAAGUUGUCACUGAAUUGUUGGAUAUAUAACGUGUAGUGGCUAGGAGAAGGGUGAAAUAUAUAUAAUUUACUUCAAGUACGAAUGAUAUGUGUUAUCUUGCGUACAAUAUUUUCUCCGCUAAUUUUGAUAUUUUCUUUCAAACGUAUCGCAAUGCAUCCACAUACAGAGGCACCCUUUUUUCCCUCUCGGAUUCGCCUAACACUAGGAACGCAUGCAGGUGGAACAAAAAUUCAAGGAUACUGGGAGGCUGGAGUAUAGCACCUCUUAAAAGGAUUCUCAAAUUCCAUCAUUAAGCAAAGAUUUAGGAAAUAAAAUUAUACAUAAGCUAUUUGAUUGGGGUCCUUGGGUGACUCUCUGCAUCUCGUUUUGGUCAUAUAAAGAGCCUCGAUCAGAAGUGGCGGAGCAUACUGUGCUGUCACUUGGUGUUCUUCGGAAUCCUGGCAGAAUGAAGGAACAAUGGUAUCAAUUGACAUCUCCACCGCUGCAAAGAAAAGAGUGGCAACCACAUGACCGAGAAUUUCCCACCUUGUCCGAAAUCCCCAAAUGAGAAAAAAUUGUCACAUUAGCGUAAAGCCCACCAAUAGUUAGAAGAAUUGAAAGAUAGAAGCCUCUUAAAAACUUAACUCAAGAGAAAUAAAUUUGAAUGAAGUAUGCAGAGGUAACCUAAACAUGACUAAGAGAACAAAAUUUGGUGAACAGUUCCAAAAGAGGCAGUUGUAAGACCGAAAUAGGACACCGAUUGAAACAGUUCCAAACAUAUUUUGAUUCAGCUAAAAUUUUACCUGCUACAUUCCAAGUGUCUAAGUCGAUAAUGGGACUUGAGUACACAUGCAUAUGUUCUAUUUACAAGCAGUACCUUUCUGCUUCUGUCACUCCUUGCAGCAGCUUUCUCGACGAUAAUGCAUAAAGGUUCAAAUAAGAAGAGAGCAUGUGCACUGAAUGUCUAGGAGGUAAAAGGUAUCCAAUUCACUGAAAUUCUUACUGGUAACACAUCAGAGUAGGUCGCGUGAAGAAAUCCAUCUUCGUCCUUAUUUUCCUCGUCAAUUGCAGACGUCAGGGCAUCUGUAACGGCAGUGGAUGAGUUAGGCUUAUUGUUCCUGAAGUAGACGUAGAAUUCGUCAUCGUGUCCGAUCUUGGUUAUAACAAAUUUGUAUUCCCUCUCCUGUUGGAACAAAUAAUUCCUCUCCUUUUGACAUACCAUGCGAUUGACCUUAAUUUCCUCCGAUUAAGCAUGCAUCUCUUGGUUCAAACCUCUUACUCAUGAACGAUAGUGUUUGAAUGAACUCAUCCUUGUAUGCAUUUGGACUGUCGACUGGUUACUGCGGUAGCCAACCCGGUCAUCAGCACAGAGUCUGCAAUCUGUUGCUCUAUGAGCAAAUCGACGGUCACCUAUUAGGGUCCGACCGGUCGAUCUGUGUACUUCAUUCAACAUGAAUUACAGCAGUCGUCAGAAGAUAAGACACUGCAUAUACUCUACUUGUUCUCACGGCAACGGGGAAAUAAAAGCUCAUUUAUUGACUUCUUUGGAAAAUUAUAGAAAUGUGCAUUUACAUGAGGUAAAAAAAAAAAAAAAAAAGGGAGACUUCACAAAGGUUACUCAUGUAAAGCCUCAGAACUUGGCAGAAUCCUAGAAUGAGGAGGCACUGGAGGUUGUUCACGUGGCGCCUCAGUAUUUGGUGGAGCUACAGAAAGAUGAAGCACCCGAGGUUGACUAUCUGGAGCCUCAACACUUGGUAAAACUCCAGAUGACGAAGGCAAAAGGUGCCUUUGGAAUAAAGCCACAAACCUCUGAUGAUCACUUUGAAUCCGACUUUCGGAUUCUAACAGUUGGUCAAGCUUUCUUUUCAUGCUUGUUGAGUAACUAUUUGCGAGCAUGUGCAACUCUUUGUUUUCGUGCUUGAACCUUCUGAUCUCUUGCCUAAGACUCACCACCUCAGCCAUUAAGGAUUCAACCUGGCGAUUUCGAGCAAAAAUGCGUUGGCCCAUAUUCGAUACAGAGCCCGUGCACUGAACACUAAAAGCCAGAGAGUCUUGAAUAGCUAACUCAUCAGAUCGCUUGGAAGUUUCCUGUUAUCCUUGGGGGCGAGAAAAUUUCUAGCUACCACCGUAGCAGUUAUGUUAUUCUUCAUCACAGAGUCCCCAACUGUAAGAUGACCGUUAGGGGAUAAGAAGGAUGAGUGUCAUAUGUUGUCUUGAGAAGACAUGUCAGCGUCUUCCACAACAUUCAAAUCAAGACGAUGGUUAAAAAGGCAAGCCAUUUGCAGAAAUGAUGAAGGAAGAAGAGGUCGGGUAAAUCGAAAUCUCAUAAAUGCAAAAAGGGGAGUUUCUACAAGCAGCAACUCUUUGAAUGUGUUUUUGAACACAAUUAAUGCCUCUAUAUAAAGAAGAGGCAAAAUGGCUACUUGUUUAGAAAUCGAAGAGGCAACAGUGCCAUUCAGAAAUCGAAGAGGCAACAAUGUCGCUUGUUCAGAGAUCGAAGAGGCACCGCUCUUCGAAUUUCAAAAGCUAGAUUUUCUGGAUCACAUCUUGUCAGCACCUUUCACACGCAAUCUCAACUUUGCAGAUAUCACAUAAAACUUUGUCAAAGAUUUUUCACAAAGUUGAAAACAAGUGAAUUUUACUGUUUCAAUUACCCAACGGUUGCCAACAAGAGUAAAGGAAUAGUACCACUAUCUGCUAUUGGGAAAUCCCUAUAUAUGUUGACCUUCAUCCUAUGACAAGGCACGCAUCCAAAGCGCUUGACUCUUUUUCCUUGCCAAGAGUGCAUCUGCAACCAAACCUCUCAACAUACUCUGUUUUCUUCAUCUCCGAGAAUACCUCUUCAAUCAAGUCACUCAAAAUGAUCAACUCAUUUCCUCAGCAAGAAACCAUUUUUCACUCGAAAAGGUUUACAUCAGCAUCAAAAUCUUAUACUCUUUCCUUCAAAAGCAAAAGUAUCUCAUAUCAUCAGGGUCGAAAGCAAGAGUAUCUUAUAUCAUGCUUUCUCCCUGUCCUUUUCUUUGUCCUUGUUCUCACCUGUAGCACAAGGAGAAAGAGAACAAUCAGCCGACACUUAGAAUCAACCUUUUGAUCUGGAACAGACUGCCUGGAACCUCUUCCCUGAUUGCUUACCUAGCAUUGCUCUCGAGUACUCAUCUUCAACUGCUGAUGUUCUUCCAAAGAAGAUACCACAUCUACCUGGAGCAUAGAUAAGGCAUAUGAAAAUGAUACAUCGAAGCAUGUGGAGACAAGCACAACAAAACAAGUGUUGGUUCAUCCGCUACUUCUUCAAAAGCAAAAGUAUCUCAUAUCGUCAGGGUCGAAAGUACUUUAGAUUUGACAGACUUGUUUUGACCCUCAAAUUCUUAAGUCAGCUCUCUAAGGUGUUAUGAAAUGCACGUGCUGAUUCAUCCCCGAAGGAGUUGAAGAUCACUUGCCACGUAGAGAUGCUCGUGGUCCCAUUUCAUUCAAACUCAAGCCUUGAAGGCCCUUGAACAAAUCACAAGUCUGAUUCAUGAUCAAGUGUCCAUCACCUUUGAAUCGAAUUCAGCUCCAGAUAAAAGGAGUAAAUUCAAACCUUCGAAGGAAAUCAGAAAAUCCUCCAGCCCCAUUCAAGAUUAAGCAUAUGGAAAUCUACUUCUUCAAAAGCAAAAGUAUCGCAUAUCAUCAAGGUCGAAAGCAAAGGCAUCUCAUAUCAUGUUGUUUCCCUAUCUUUUCUUUUGCCCUUUCUCUUACUUGAAGACAAAGAGAAAGAAAGCAAUCGGUUGGAACCUGAAAUCAAACUUUCGAUCUGGAAACUGAUUGCCCAGUACCUUUGCAUGGAUGCUUACCUAAAAUUGCUCUCGAGUGCUCGUCUUUAACUGUUGAUAGGCCUCAAAUUUCCUCAGCAAAUACUUUAGAACAAUUGAUAUGAUGUUGGCUCUUUACACUAAAGUUGCCAAGCAUGGAUGAGUCGCUGAGAAGUGAUGCUCUGAAGGACCAUUCAAAGGCAAAAGGUUGUGCACCACUUCUGCUAUGCAAAAGAAACAAGCAAAGAAUAAUGCAGCAUGAUGAGCUGUAACAGAUCACUAUUUGUGGAUGCAAAUUUCCUCCUCCUUGUUCUUGGACAAGAUUGCACCAAUAAAACAAAUAACACCUUUGGUCAAGGCCAAGAGCCUCAUGCGCCCACGAUGAAUUGGGAGGGGGGGCUUUGGCCAAAGAACCUCUUAUGCCAAAGUUAGAAUAUUGAGGAAAAAGUGUUUAGAGAAUUUUGGGAGUUUAGCAAGAGUAUUGAAGGUUGAGUUUUGGAGAGAAUGAGGUAGUAUUUAAAGGGGUGUGGCCAGCCCCUUUAAGAGGAGGAUGACCGGUCACUUGGUUUUUAUUUUGGGUGAGGUUCAUGAUUUGUAGCUAAUUAGGAAUAAUUGAAUAAUAAAUCAAUUAAUUAGCUAAUUAAUAGAAUAAUUUCCUAAUUGAUUAGCUAAUUACUAGAAUAAUUUCCUAAUUGACUAGCUAAUUAAUAUAAUAAAAGAGGAAUGAUUUAGGAGUUACCGUGUGGAGAGGAUUUGAUGAGGAUGAAUGAAAUAGGUUUUGAAUUGUUACCUAUUUUGGGCACUUUUGACUUGGUUAAGGGAUGAUUGCCCACUGCUCGCGCGUAAGAAUCUCGGUGUGCCUCGAGGGUAAUUUUAUCCUUUUUACCCAAAAAUUCACGUGUCGCCUUGUGAUUAUUUUUAGCUCCACAACUAUUGCACGACGCCUUUCCCUGCAGAACUGCAUAAUCCAGACGGAGAAGUCUAAGUCAAAUCUAAGCUCAACAUCGUUGCUUUAAUCAAAGAGCUCGAGAAGCUUGAAUAACCUUUCGCUGGCAUCGUCACCAAAGAGCAAAGUCUCGCCGUGCAAUGCCAUCAAAUCGCCAUCAUCGCCAGGGAACUUUCAUUUUCCUUGCUCGGAUCUCCAGCCCAGUUCAAGAUUAAGCUUGUGGAAAGUCAAUAAUUAGAGGAAACCAGAAAAUCCUCCAGCCCGAUUCAAGAUCAAGCUUCAACGGCCUUUAAAGAAACUUCCAAUCGAAUUCAAUAUCAAGCCUUAAAUGGCCCUUGAAGAAACUUUCGGGUCAAUUCAAGAUUAAGCCUCGACGGCCCUUAAAGAAAUUUUCAAUCCAAUUUAAGAUCAAGCCUUGACAGUCCUUGGAUCGACAUCUACAUUAAAAGACUUCAAAACGCAUCUCCUACACAUGACAAGUAUAUGUAUAGGGCGCACCUUGAAGUGGGGGCAUUUGUAGACAUCGAAAUUUCGAUGAAAUAAAUGUUGACCAAUAAUUAAAAUUUCACGUGUCACAUAAAUUUUACACGUAGCAUGCGACUCAACGAAAAAUCGAAAAAAAAAUCAGAAAAGUCAUCAAACAGGACACGUGUCAACACUUGGUAGAAAUGAUUUAUUUCAUCUGAAUAUUGUAUUCAAAAUUAGGCCUUGAAAGUUUAUAUAAAUACAAGGCCAUUUCAUUCAUUUGAAAAGACCAAUUCACUAGUACAUUUCUCUACUCCCAAAUUGGAAGAGAAUUCCCCAAAUCCUUCAAGCUUUGAAACUCUAAAGCUUUCAAGCAUCCAACCUCCUAAAUUCCCAACAAUCCCAAAAGAUCGAGAAAGCUAUCUUCGUUCUUCAUCAAAUCCUUGGAGAAACAUUCAUCAAGAUCAAGCCCCAAAGGCCCUUGAAGAUCCGUUCAUCCUCGUUCAUCAAGAUCAAGCCCCGGAGGCCCUUGAAGAAUCCACAUAACUGUUCAUCGAGAUCAAGACCCGAAGCACUUGAAGAUCCGUUCAUCCUCAUUCAUCAAGAUUAAGCCCCGAAGGCCCUUGAAGAAUCCACACAACUGUUUAUCAAGAUCAAGAUCUAUUCAUCCUCGUUCAUCAAGAUCAAGCCCCGAAGGCCCUUAAAAAAUCCACACAACUGUUCAUUAAGAUUAAGCCACAAAGGUCCUUGAAGAUCUAUUCAUCCUCGUUCAUCAAGAUCAAGCCCCAAAGGCUCUUGAAGAUCCGUUCAUCGUUCAUCAAGAUCAAGCCCCAACGGCUCUUUGAAAAACCAUCCAUUCAUCCCCGUUUAUCAAAAUCAAGCCCAACAGCCCUUAAAGAAACCAUCUGUUCAUCCGCGUUCAUCCUAAGAUCAAGCCCUGAUGGCCAUUUGGAUCAACAACAACAAAUCUGCACCAUUGUUCAUCCUUAGAUCAAGCAUCGACGACCUUUUGGAUCAAUAGCCCAUCCACAAAUCUACACCUUAUGAAGAUAGAAUUAGAAGAUCAAAUUGUGAAAGAGAUUGUAACCCCAAAAUUAAUACAAAAUAUUUGUUAGUACACGUGUUCUUGUUUCAGGAAUUUUCGUGUUUACAAGUGUACUCAGUAGGAGAAAGAUAGAGAUGGCUGCCCAAAAAUUGUGAAUCUGGGAAGUGCCUAAACAAAUAUGUUCUAUGAAUGCAAAGAGUAUGGUUUCAAGAAAAGAUGAUCAUUAGUAGGUUAAGUUUCACUUAGCUUCUGGAAAUCAUUUUGUUUUGUUCUUCAUUGAGGCUUAACCAAUAUUCCAAUCAGGUAUUUUUCUUAGAAUACUUGCUUGUUACUGCUUGUAUGUUUGACUGUUGUAUUCUCAGGAUGUUUGAACUCCUGAGUGUACUUGGAGCUUUGUUAAUCCAAUUUCAUAUGUGAUUUAAUAUUCAGUAGACAAACUUGGCAUUUCCUUUUUAUCUUUUACUGAAGUUGUGAAAUGGAUGUAUUAAUUGGGGACUCCAUGCUAAAUAUUGCUCAGUAGGUCAACGCAUACUCUUUAAAAUCUUUCAAAAUCUUAAUUGAAUAUACCUAGCGUAAUGAUUUUGGCCAGGGCAGUGUGUCCAACCCUUUGCUCCCGAGUCCGAUCCCUUCCCCCUAGAUUAGGGUGGUCAAACGAAAAGACCCCAUUACCAUGUGAUUCAAGACUUAUACUCUGCAAAUGAACACCUUUGUUAGAUGUUCCAGCCAUUCAGAUUCCGAUCAAGCUCUAUGGAAUGUGAAGUGUCAUAUUAGUGUGAAUUUACAAAAAUAUUAUUCACAUCGCUUAUUAAGAACACAAAUCAUUUGUGUGAACGAGAUUAUUAAAAAAACAAUAUGGGUAAAUCUCAGUUUACUACCCUUAAGUUUCGUGGUUUUCAACAUUUAGUACAUGAAGUUUUUUUCGUCCCAAACUCAUACCUAAAGUGUUAUUUUGAGACAGUCUUAUACAUCUGUUAGUCUUGCUAUUAACUCUUCUGUUAAAUGAUGAUGUGGCGCCCAUGUGAACAAUGACUAGUCAUCACAUGUCAGUAAAAAAAAUUUUAAAUAUUAAAAUAUUAAAAUAAAUAAUUAAAUAAAAUUAUUAAAUUUAAAAAAAUAAAAAAAUAAAAAACAGAAAAACACACACACACACACACCCAGAACCCCUUCGUCUUCCCUCACCCUCCACCCCUUCUUCCCCUCCACCCCCUCCACGACUCCACCCCUUUCUCGACCUCGUGCUCAUAUAGGAUCGGGCUUUUUCAGCCGUCUGUGGCUGGCAGAGGUGCUUGCAGAUGCUUAAUAAGUGCCUAAACUGCUCCACAGUCCACCACAAAGUCCACAAGCUCCUCUGCAUCCAAAUUACCAAAAAAAAAAAAAAAAACCUAAGCCCCAAACAAUCUCACAAGAUUUUGCUUAGAUUAAUGAUGAACAAACAUUUAACUCCAAAAACACCAGCCAAAAUAAAAGACAACAAUGAGCACGCUACCUUAUUUGGUAGUGAGAGCGAGGCCAUAGGUGGCUUGCUUCGCAAGGAGAUGGUCGAGUUGCGCGGAUGAGAAUAUGGACUCCAGAAUUCGGACCUACUUGCGAACCCGGCCAACGAGAUCUGGGCGAUCGUCUUGCGGUUUGACGACGAUCGGGACUUUCCGGUCUGGUUCACCCUCAAUCCUUUCAUCUCUGAAGUCUUCUUCGAGCUUCUGCUUCAACCUUCUUCUGGUAGUGACAGUUCGCACCUGAGAGCGUUCCAUGGAGGACCGGAGAAAUGGUAAAUUUAGAGAGGGCGGGGGAAGACGAAGGGGUUCUAGGUGUGUGUGUGUGUUUUUUUUUUAAUUUAAUACUUUAAUUUAAUUAAUUUUUUUAAUUUUUUUAAUGACACGUGGUGCCUAGUCAUUGUCCACAUGGGCGUCACGUCAUUAGUUAACGGAAAACUUAACAGCAAGACUAACAAAUGUAUGAGACUGUCCCAAAAUUAGCACUUUAGGUAUGACUUUGGGACAAAAAAAACUUCAUGUACUAAAUGUUGAAAACCACGAAACUUGAGGGUAAUAAAUUGAGAUUUACCCAAAAAACAUAUAUUUCAAUACGUACGUAUGUGUAUACAUUUAUAGUAUCUUAGAGUUAUAUUUCAACGAAUCAUUCUGACGUUUACGAGAAACGGAAGCACGUGAAUUUACUUAUGGGGAUGAAUAAUUAACAAAUAGUUUUAUUAUUGGUCGUAACAGAAGUUCAAACCUCAUUGGAUUUUCCACUUCGUGCAUAUAAAAAUUAAGAGACUUGUUGAGUUGUUUAGGUGAUAAGAAGGGGCAAGAUGCUCUCCGGAUCCUCGGCUAAGGAUCAUUUCUGCUCGUAAUCGGUGUAGACCUCGUAACCCUCGCCCUUGUGACCAGCAAGCCCAUCUUCUUCCCGCCGCCACCAACAAGUGGGUGGGGAUCAGAUUAGCUACCAGAAGGCCAGUCCUUAUCCGUUUGUUUGGAGUCGCAGCGGUAGUGGUGGUUUCCUCUGAGUCGGCAUUGAAGGCUUCGAUGAAUUCUCAGUGUUUGAGACCCAAGAGUUCUUCUUCAUCCUUGAUUUCCAAGAAGAAGGGGAAGGGCAAGAAAGAUUUUUGACCGGAGUAUUUGAAUAGAACGGCCAAGAUAACUUGGUCCUCAGAAUUUGAAGCGCACAGAUUCGAAGAGAAUUGUUACCCGAUAAGAACCAAUUUGUUCAUCUCCCAUGCCACGUAGUAGCCACCACAAGCAUCAUUGGCUGGUCAAAAAUGCCAAUUCGCAACACUAGCAUCUGCUAAAAGAUUAUCACUUGCAGCAACGUGUCAUGAACCAAUUUCCUCUAUUCAAGCAGCGCAGCAGCUUGUUUGCUAAACAUUUCUCUUCCCAACCAAAUUCUCUCGUCACUAAAAGUCAAGGCAAAUUUGUCACCUACCCUUCAACUUCACUGCUACCAACAAUCACUUGGAACUGCACCCCAACUUUAUUAUUUUGUCCCAUCAUCACACACACUAGUGGCUAGUUUAAUGACAGGGAUUGAAACAUAUUGAGAUCAAUAUCAGGUUCAAGUUAGUCCAAUUAGUGUUUCAAUUUAGUAAGACGUCUCAGAUUUGACGCACUUUGACAACAAGGACGUAUUAUAUUUAUGUUAAGUUUAAUACUUGUUAAAUAGUUGAUUCAUUGUAUGGCCUAACCCAACCACCAUUCCCUCAGUAGAUUAUCCCAUCCGCUUAAAUGCAGAAUAUUGUUGUAUCAAAAAGUUCUUUCAGCACCCUCCCUUAGAGAAGAUUAUCCCCUCCGUUUAGACAUGGAAUAUAAUUGUUUAAAAAAAUAGUCUUUUAUGCAACGAAAAUGCUACCUCAAGUUAAUUGUACACUGUCGUGUGGAAGAAUAAUACAGUAACCACUUUUGAACUCAAUAGUGGUCUGUUUACUUACCAAGAAUGAGAAUGCAAAGUGUGGGUAUAAUUCCCACUCUUGACAUCAUGCGUUUACUAAAAUGCAAGGAAUAAAAAGGUAAUGGAAUCCCUUGUUAAACAAAUGUGUUCCGUUUAUAAUUUCAACUAUGUAUCAUUACAAAUAUAGACUUGCUUAUUCCGUACCUGAACAAUAUCAUGUAUAUAUCACUUUCAUAUCAUUAUCAUAUCCACAGAGUAACCAAGCAUGCCCUAAAUUACAACUACAACAAAAGUUAUUUAUCAAUGAAAAUAAUCCAGUCCAAAUCAAACCACAACUCACAGGUAAAGAAUCCAUCCUUCACACUUUUUUUGUACUUAGCCAUUUAAGAUUUACCAACUUCCCCCACUUGCAACAUUGCCUAUUUGGGAAGACAUCCCACCCCGGAGGAUUUAACCUCCUCAUCUACCCACCCACAAAAACCCAAAAAUGAUGACUUGGCUUCACACAAUCCCUCCACUUGGCAGCCUUGAGACGUGUUGCCCCGUCAUCUGGGCAGCCCCAAACAAAACCUUGACGAUAUACAGAGUGGCGGGAAUGAUCAGAUUGAUUACAGGUAAGUCAAUUGCUUGCUUUUACUCGCUUUGGAGUAUUUCGAAACAAAAAUGUGUAACUUUUUUCCGUUGUAUUGUACUAAUCUGUGGAUUAAAUGGCUAUAUUUCCAGGGAAUGGUGUUUGUUUGUUGAAUUGAUGUGUUUGGUGCAGGAAAUUAUGCUCUUGUAAUAACUUCGCGGACGGACGUUGGGACUUAUCUCGGCUUCCCUGUUUAUCGAGUGACCUCGAUGAGGUUUCUGUCCUGCAACGAGGGAUAUUUCACCAGCCCGGGCUGAACCUUUUUCUGUAAGUACAAUGAAUCUUUCAAAGAAAUUGAAGUGCCUGAAUUCCUUGUCUGGUUUUAUAUAUCCCUUUGUUAUCAGUUAUACAGAUCCCGAGUAGGAUUAUAAAAUCUUGGUUCAUCUUCUCGGAACCUCAAAAUUUUAGUGUAUGAUGGUUUGGGGAGUAACCUGAGAAGAGAAUGCUCUUUUGGAAUAAUUGUGUAUGUUAUUCAUCUAUUACGGAGGGGUUUAUAAGCUAUUACAAUCAUAUCAAUAAGGAAAGAAAUAAUUUACAUAAAAUCAUAUUAAACUAAGAAUCCCAAAAUUACAGGUAUAUACACAAAAAGUCAACACUCCCCCUCAAGUUGGUGCAUAUAUGUCACACAUGCCCAACUUGUGUAGGAAACUUGAGAACUUAUGACUUGAAACAGCCUUUGUGAGGAUAUCUGCCAACUGAUAUUCCGUUCUUAUUGUCGGUACCUCAAUUAGCUUCCCUUCCAAUUUCUCUUUGAUGAAGAACUAGUCAACUUCAACAUCUUUUGUUCUAUCGUGCUGUACUGGAUUAUGUGCAAUGUCACAGACAACUUUAUUAUCACAAAACAAUUUCAUAGGCUAAUCAUGUUUUAUACCCAAAUCCUUUAGCAGAAGCUUAAGCCAUAAAAUUUCACAGAUCCCUAAGGCCAUACCUCUGUAUUCAGCUUUUGCACUAGACUGGGUAACCACAUUUUGUUUCUUACUCCUCCAUGUAACCAAGUUAAAUGUAAAGUAACCUGAUGUUGAGCGCCUGUCAUCCACUGAUCAUGCCCAAUCUGCAUCAAUAUAACCUUCAACUCUAAGAUGAUUAUUCAUUUUAAACAAAAUUCCCUUGCCUAGGUUUCCCUUCAAAUAUCUCAAAAUCCUCAUCACUGCAUUCAUAUGGUGUUCUCCAGGAUCAUGCAUGUAUUGACUCACUACACUCAAGGCAUAUACAAGGUCUGGUCUUGUGUGUGCCAAGUACAUUAAACGGCCUACUAACCUUUGAUAUCUCCCUUUGUCAAUUGGUACUUGAUUAGGAUCAACACUAAGCUUCAAUCCUUCCUCUAAUGGUGUAGCUACUGGCUGACAAGCUGACAUGCCGGUUUCAUGUAGCAAAUCAAUAAUAUACUUCCUCUGAGACAAGUAAAUUCCAUAAUUGCUUCUCGACACCUCAAUCCCUAGAAAAUAUUUUAGGGAUCAAAGGUCUUUCAUCUCAAAUUCUGUAGACAAGAUCCUUGUAGGGCUGCACGUUCUUCCAGAUCAUUCCCUGUUACAACCAUAUCAUCUACAUACACAAUGAGUGCAGUAAGCUUCCCAUUUCGUCUCUUCAAAAACAGAGUAUGAUCGGAAUUACUUUGUUUGUAACCAAAUGCUCUCAUAGAUUUUGUGAAUCUUCCAAACCAUGCUCGAGGGGACUGCUUCAAACCAUACAAGAAUUUCUUCAACCUGCAUACCUUUCGUUUGUAUUUAUCCGGAGCACUACAUCUUGGUGGAAGAUCCAUAUAAAUCUCUUCUGUUAAAUCUCCAUGCAAAAAGGCAUUCUUCACAUCAAACUGUUGUAAGGGCCAAUUAAGAUUUGCAGCCAAGGACAACAAAACAGAAACUGUGUUGAUCUUGGCCAUAGGGGGCAAAUGUAUCUGUAUAAUCGAUUCCAUAUUUUUUAGUGUACCAUUUUGCUACCAGUCUUGCCUUAAAAUGAUCCACUGUCCCAUCAACUUUGUACUUGACAGUAUAGACCCAUUUGCAUCCCACAGGUUUCUUGCCAGCUGGCAAGUCUGUGAUUUCCCAGGUAGCAUUCUUCUUCAACGACUUUAAUUCUUCAUUCAUUGCUGCUUGCCAACGUGGAUCAGCUAAAGCCUCCUGCACACUGUUAAGAAUAGAUACAGUAGAUAAUUGAAACACAAAUGACUUAUUUGAUUCUGAUAAGUGGCUGGUAGACACAUAAUUACCUAACAUAUAUAACACAUUAGAUUCUUGGUUGGGUCUAUUCACCGGGUACCUAGUUUUUCAUUUAGGAUCAGCUUCGUAAGUAAGUUUAGGAAUACCUCGAUUGACACGGUUAGAGAGACGAUGUGGUGGUGGUGCAUCCGGGAUCGAAGACGAUUGAUUAAGGUUAUUGGGGCUCAAGAGUGGUGAGACCGACUGUAAGGUAGCUGGCGACAAUGAGCUGUCCAAUGGUGAAGAAGCUGACAGCGAGUUGUCUAAUAGUGAGGAAGACAAUCAAUUUACCGGCGGUGUUGGCUCAUCAACAUUGUUUUCAUGUGAAUGAUCACCACUUAACUCCAAGGCAUUACCACUAAAUUCCAAGUCAUUCACAUCAUUAUUUUCUUAUGAAUCAUCACCACUUGUUUCCAAUACAUCACCACUUAAACCCAAAUGAUUCACAUCAUUAUUUUCUUAUGAAUCAUCAUCACUCGUUUCCAAUAUAUCACCACUUAAACCUAAAUGAUUCACAUCAGGAAUAGUAUAAUCAAGAGUUUGAACUUCUGUCUGAUUCUCCCCCUGAAGUGCAGAUUCAGAAUGGACAAAGUACAUAUCGUUUUCAUGAAAUGCAACAUCCACAAUGACAAACAAAUUUUUCGUCGGAGGAUGAUAGCAGCGAUAUCCUUUCUGAUUAGAGGCAUACCCCACAAACACGCACCGUAAGGCUUGAAGUUCAAGCUUACUCCUCUGCUAUUUGUGGAGAUAAACGAAAGCCACACAGCCAAACACGUGAGGUGGAAGAUUUGGAACUGCAGGAGCAUCAACAUGUGAGGAAAGAGCCUGAAAAGUUGUCUGAAAAUCAAUUGAUCGGGAUGGAACGCGAUUAAUGAGAUACGUAGUCGAGGUGAGAGCUUCUCCCCAAUAAGAUAACGGAAGACGCCCCUCAAGUAAGGAAGCACGGACAACCUCCAGAAGGUGACGGUUCUUGCGCUCUACAACCCCAUUUUGUUGUGGAGUGUAUGGACAUGUAGUUUGAUGAACAAUACCAUGAUGAUCAAGAAAGGCACGAAGUUCAGAGUUCACAUACUCGCCACCAUUAUCACUCCUGAGAACCUAUAUUUGUGACUUAUACUGCACUUGCACCAUUUUGUGAAAUUGCUAGAAUAAGGAAGUAACUUCACUAUUUGACUUCAUCAAACAAACCCAAGUCAUACGUGUGCAAUCAUCAACAAAAGUAACGAACCAAUAAGCACCACCAAAUGUAGCAGUUUUAGAUGGUCCCCAAACAUCAGAAUGGAUUAUCAUAAAUGGAAUAGAACGUUUUGUCAAACUAGACGGAAACGAAGUACGAUGACUUUUAGCUAGUUCAUAAACACCAUUCGUGUGCAAUCAUCAACAAAAGUAACGAACCAAUAAACACCACCAAAUGUAGCAGUUUUAGAUGGUCCCCAAACAUCAGAAUGGAUUAUCAUAAAUGGAAGAGAACUUUUUGUCAAACUAGACGGAAACGAAGUACGAUGACUUUUAGCUAGUUCACAAACACCACAUUUAAAAUUAGAAACGUCAUUCUUAACAAAUAGGCUAGGAAACAACCUCUGUAAAUAACCGAAAGAAGCAUGUCCAAGUCGACGAUGCCACAACCAAAUCUCCGAAGCUUUAUUUUGUUUUCCCUAAGACCCUUCCACAGUAAGAGCUUGAUUCAACAUCUGGGUACUGUUCGAUAUCAACUCUAAGUAGUAAAGCCUCCUUUUUCUAAUACCAUAACCAAUCAUCUUGCGAGUCCGUAUAUCCUUAAAAACACAAAAAGAAGGCCAAAAAAUAACAAGACAAUGUAGGGCGACGGUUAUUUGAGCAACAAAUAAUAAAUUAUAAUCAAGAGAAGGAACAACAAGCACGGUAUCAAGAUUAAGGGUAUCUGAAAGGGAGACAGCGCCUUCCCCAAUAAUGGGGACAAGAUUACCAUUGGCAACAUUUACAACAGUUUUGGUGGAUGGUUUUAGGGUUUGUACUUGUCUAGAAUCACAAGUUAUAUGUUCAGUAGCACCGGAAUCAAUUAUCCAUGUAUUAUUCGUAACAGAUGUAGAAACCUUUAAAGCUUUACCAUUGUUGUUUGUAUGUUCAUAAGCUACCUUAGCUUUGGCAAUCAAUGCACACGACUAAUUACAGCGGGGAUGACGAGUCCAGCGUGUCAUUGCUCUGCGUGAGUUGAGUGCAACGUCUGAGGUGAUUGAUAGGGCCAAGAUUCCAAACCCACUAGGUCAACAAUGUGAGAUCCUUGGAAAAAAAAACAAACAGUAAAACACAAAAAAAAAAAAAGGACAACCUUUUUUUUUCUUCCUUUUUUCUUUUUUUCCUUUUUUUUUUUCUUUUUCUUUUUUUUUUUUUUUUUUUUUUUUUCUUUCCUUACUCCUGGGAAUUCCUUCAGAACACGCAAAGCAAAAUAAAUGCACGUGGGGACUUACUUCAAAACAUGCAAAUCAAAAAAUAAAUGCAGGGAUCAUAUCAAAUCAGUUUGGCAGAACACAGGUUGGGCUGCAGAUGGUAUGAUGAGUCAAAUGCAUAGACGCGAGGAAGAGACAUGUCGGUUUCUGGUGCGAAGAAAUCAUGGUUGUCAACCAGGAUUUGCAAUGACAAGGUUUCUAGAUUAGGAUCUCGGUCUGUGGGUAUGCGAUGCAGCAACUGAUGGUAGUGGGUGAUUGCAGGGAUCGGCUCAGUGAACUCGGAUUAGCAACGACGGCGUCGCUCACUGGUGUGACGGUGCGCUGCACAACUAGCUGCGCAACUGGUGAACUUGGAUCAGCAACGAUGGCGUCGCUCGCUGGUGUGACGGUACGCUGCACAACUGGCUGUGCAACUGGUGGUUCUUGGUUCUGCGCACAACGUGACUUUUUUUCUGUUUUCUAACCUAGGCUCUGGUGCCAAGAAGAGAAUGCUCUUUUGGAAUAAUUGUGUAUGUUAUUCAUCUCUCACGGAGGGGUUUAUAAGCUAUUACAAUCAUAUCAAUAAGGAAAGAAAUAAUUUACAUAAAAUCAUAUUAAACUAAGAAUUCCAAAAUUACAGGUAUAUACACAAAAAGUCAACACCCUGAUGGUUCAAUUGCAUCUCUUGAAAGUAAAUUUAGAAAGAAAUCAUGCCUGCUUUAGCAAACACGAGCGAUAUUUAAUGGAUAUGCUUUUAGUAACGAAAGGAGAAGUAAAAUUCAAUUCUAGCAAACUUGAUGUUUGAUUGGCCGGCUUGGCAUGUAAUCGUCAUUAGUUGUCCGCGAAUGAAGGUAACUUGUGCCACUUUUAAAAUGGCUUCAUCGAAUCUAUAGUCAAGUUUUAAGUGUGAGAACAAACAUUGCAGUAUCUACCGGUGGCAUCAGCUUUGCUAAUCGGAGGGUUGACACUGACAUCCGUCACACUUCAGCAAGGUAUUACUACUAUUUUGGUUUUGCCUGAAAUCUUAGUACAUGGAACUUUGUUCUCAGGUGCGAGUUCUAUUCAAUAUUCACUAAGACCUGAGAAAUUUUGAAAUUCCUGAGUGGCUUCAUUCUCUUAGUCUUGUGCAUGAUGAGAACAUGUCCAGAAUCUGCAGCAUUUCCCAGCCCUACCCUUCUUGGAAACGAAUCUGAUCGCUUGGCUUUGCUAGACUUCAAGAAAAGAAUAACUGAAGAUCCCCUCAGUGUCAUGAGCUCGUGGAAUCAUUCCAUCCACUUCUGCAGUUGGGUAGGCAUUACAUGCCACCGUGCCACCCAAAGAGUCUUGAUUCCGGACCUGGAAGAUAAACAAUUGGUAGGUUCCAUUCCACCUUCCAUUGGAAAUCUUACUUGUCUAAUUGAAAUAAGCUUGGGAAUCAACAAGUUUCAUGGGGAAAUUCCUCAAGAACUGGGUCGACUACGUACCCUGAAAAGUCUAAACCUGUCUUUCAAUUCUUUAGGCGGGAAAAUUCCGAUUAAUAUGUCCCACUGUACACAACUAAGAUUUUUCGAUCUUUUUUCCAAUCCCCAUAAGAUUAUGGACGUUAUGAAAAUUGCCUUCACUAUAAAAGUAUAAAUUGUGGCUUCUUUUUUUUUUUUUUUUUUUUAUAAUUUUUUUAUAAAUAUUUUGGAGAUUGGCUAUUUUCAAGGCUUAUAGUGAAGGUUGUAUAUUGCAUGAUAUCUCUUCUUAUAGAAAGAGAACAAUAUUGAGUAGAAAUUGUUUGAUUUCUUAGAUGUUGCUCUUUCUUUAUGUUCGUAAGAUAUAGUCUCAAUCAUGACAGUGUUUGUGCUUAGUUUUUUACAUUGAUGUUUUAUGUAAAUAGUUCCUACCUAUCUAAGAACAAUGCUUACAACACAUUUAAUCCGUUAUUUUAAUACUUGUAAACAACAAUUAUAAUUCAUUUAACAUUCUCGCAGCAACGCGCGGGCUAAAACUACUAGUCCUACACCUAAAAUAAGACUCCAAGAAUAUUUACAACUAAGACUCAAAUCAACAUAAUGUGCAUUCUGAUUUAUAGGUUUGUCCUCCUACAUGAUGUUUGUUUUUCUUUUUUUGCCCCUAACCUAUUGCUUUUGGUGCUUUGCAACUUGUUUUGAGGUUUUGAUGUGAUUAAAUAGAAUGAAGAAUGGCUUUAAGUGAAUUAAGAACGUUUAAGAGUGGAGUUAGUAAUGGACAAGUGUCAUACUCUAAGAGAGGCCAUAUAGAGGUCAGACACUGCAAAAGAUUUGAACUCAAAGUUGGGAGUCUUCCACUAACUUCAAGUCACCAUUUUGGUGCAAUUUCAAAAUUCUCGUCAAAAAAAGAUUUGAACUUAGAGUUGGGAGUCUUCCACUAACUCCAAGUCACCGUUUGGGUGCAAUUUCAAAAUUCUCGUCCAAUUGAUAAAAUGAAAUGAUAGAACAUAAUGUUUUAGUGGAUGUUAUCAUGCAUAGCAAAGACUAAGAAAUCAAUUAUCUUCUAGCAAGUAUCACACUAAGGAAAAAAUUAAUUACAAUUUAUAAUGAAAUGAUAGAACAUAAUGUUUUAGUGGAUGUUAUCAUGGAUAGCAAAGACUAAGAAAUCAAUUAUCUGCUAGCAAGUAUCACACUAAGGAAAAAAAUUAAUUCCAAUUUAUAAUGAAUAGAAAGAAAUACAAUAAGGAAUACAAGUAAAACGUAUAAAAUGGCUGUGUAUAAAAAAAACAUAUAAAAAAUCUUCUUUACACGGAGGAGUCAUCUCAACUCAAGGGUAGGUUCUCAAUAAGAGAGUCAUCUUAGUGAUUCUCUGUUACAGCUCAAUAGUCUCUUGAGUUUUGUUUUGUCCAAUAAUGCCUAUGUAAAAGAAAUUAUGAAAAAGUCUACUUCUGUUUUUUUUCCUUAAACAUCAAAAAUGGUUACUGGACAAAGGCAGUUGGCUAGACUACCAAGACAUAGGAAACAUAUUGAUGCCCUAAUUCGGUGAACAAAUAUGUUACAAAAGAUUAAAUUUGUGUCCAAGCCAUCACUGAGAUGAGAGCUGGUCUAGUUAAGUAGAGGAGCUUGCCAAGAGUGGGACAAUGAGAUGAGAGAUCACACAAUUCUACGGUCUGCAAUUUAGAACCAUGAAUGGACAAUGCAUUGUAAUGUUUGAAUCCAAAUGUAAAAAUCAGGAGUCGCAUGAGGUCUGAAGCAAAUGAGGUGUGUGAGUGAUGAAAGAACGUAACUAGGAAGCAGAUACUGCAAUGUAGAGUCAGAAUCCAAAUGUAAAAAACAGAAUCAGGAAGCAAAAACUUCCUUGCAGUGUCUAAAUCUGUAUUGACCUAUUCUAAAAUAUAUAAAUAUAUGAGAAAGGGAUGCCAAUUGAAGUGAGUGUCAGUUGUAAUGGAAGAUUUUGUAAUUUUUUUGCUUAUUUUAAAUGCAUUUAAGUAUUACAAUACACGAUUAACUUAUUUAUAAUUAACAUAUUUAUAAUUAACAUAAAUAUUGUAACUUUUUAUUGAUUCUAUACAAAAUCACCCUUUAAGAUACAAUUUUCAUUAAAUUUUGGUACUUAUUAUGGGUAUUAAAAGGGAAAAUUCUUUUAUGCUAUGUAGCUUUAAAUGCUACGAGCAUUAGAUGGUCUGGAUUGGUUUGAAUUAGUUAUUAUUGUGGUCCCAUUAAUCCAGACCAUCCAAUGCUCGUAGCAUUUAGUGCUUGUUUUUUUAUCUUUUAAUAAUCUUAUGCAAUCCAAACAAAUCGACAUUGUUCUGAAUUUACUCCAAAGGUAACAUGAUUUCAACUGGACUAAACACUUAGAAUGCCCUUUUGUAUUUGCUGAUGCAGGUUAAACUCAUCUCUCGAUAGUUGUUAAUUUUGCAAACCCUGACUAGAAAUAACCAUAUAUAUAAACGCAGUAUGAGAAAAUGAUAAUCAUGUUCAAACAUUUAUGAAUGCUUGCAUUGUCUUGAAGGUACCAAAAGCAACCGAUGAAAUCAAAUUACCCUACAACCCCCCUUCCUUUUUGCUCCUAAACCUAUGCUUAUGUGGUUAUAUAUAUUUGUAUAUAUAUGAAAACUAAGUUUAGACAUGCAAGAUUAUGUUAUAAUGUCAAAUUAUGUGCUUGUAUAUAUUGUAUGAAAUAUUAUACUUGAAAGAUAUAAAAGAUUGUGUUGCAAAGAUUAAUGGUAUCUGUUGGUAGGUUUUUUUUGUUGGUUGUUUGAAAGCACUGAAAUUUUCUGUUUUGGUGUGGAGAUUUUGAGUGGUGGAGGAGACCUUUUAAGAUUAGGGUCUAAUAUCUUCGUUGACACUUUUUUUUUUUUAAUUUAUUUAUUUUUUUUUAGUGAAGGUUGUUUAUUGCAUGAUAUCUCUUCUUAUAUAAAGAGAGCAAAUAUUGACUAAGAAAUUUUUUUGAUUUCUUAGAUGUUGCUCUUUCUUUAUGUUCAUAAGAUAUAGUCUCAAUCAUGACAGUGUUUAUCCUUAGUUUUUUACAUUGAUGUUGUUGUUAGCUGAAAUAAAAAGGAACGAAGUUACCCGAAAAAUGUAGAAUCCUUGAGUGGUGAAUGAUUCUUGGGAUGAGUCGCGGACUAGGUCGCUCUCUUUAAGACGUUUCGCGGCUCUGCCCAAAGUGUGCAAGCAGUUCACAAACACCACGUCGUCCCCAAGAUAAAACAGCCCAUAACCUUCCUUCUGAUAAAGUUCUUCCUUGCACAGUGGAAGAACCUUCGAACUUACACCUUUUCGAUAUGUUGCUUUUUAAAUCAAUAUAUUAAAAAAAAUUCUUCAUCUACUUUCUGCUUUUCCAUCGCCUUUCAUACAUCACUAUAAUAUAUAUAUAUAUAUAUAUAUAUAUAUAUAUAUAUAUAUAUAUAUAUUAUAAAUAAAGAAACGUUGAGGGAGUAAUUGGGUUUCAAAACCGUAGUAAAUCAAAACGGCAAAACGGACAAAACUGUUUGAAUAUGCUUAAUAACAUGAUCAUCUUCUCUAUAUAGAAAAGGAAUUCCACGUUUUAUACUUAAGAGGAGAUAACUCCUUAUCUAAUUGAUAAGACCAAAAUAAAUUGGCUGUUUUAAAUAUAUUUAAAUAUUUAAAUAAAAACAUAUUUGUUCCAACAAUCCCCCACUUGUUUUUAUUUAAAAAACUAUAUAUCAAGCAACAUAUCAUAAAGCUAUGCAUAAGUAAAGGUGUUUCUCAACUUGAACCUGUACAUAGUGUUAGUGAUCCAGAUUAUACUAGAGUAACUUAUAGUUUUGAACUCUAUCUCUGACAACACCACACACAUAACUUUAUUAAGGUGAAGUUCAAAAAGCCAGCACAUUACGGCCAUGUGCUUGUAUCCCAGUAUAGUGAACGCUCUAGAAACUUGCCCAAGAUUUCAUAGGAAGCGGCCUCACUUCCACAUUCACAUAGGUAAGACUAUCAAGGAUAUUUCUGUAGCUCGAUAUCCCACUCAACAUAGAGUAUAGACCUUAUUAAGAGAAAAAAAAAUUCUCAACCUAAAAACGCUUCAGGAUGUCAUGCUUCUUAGGGAUGGACAUGGAAUAAUAUUCCAAAUUAAAAUUAGCAAGACUUCACUCAUAUCACUUGUGACUUGUUAUUACCCUUUGAACCUAUUUCUUGGGAUCUCCAGUCUAUAGGUUGGGUUGCUAUCACAAAUGACUCAAUUUUAUACGGGCUUUAGUCCCAUCCCUUUCGAGGUUUUCCAAACAUUUUCUCAUGUUAAUCCUUUCGUCAAAGGAUCAACCAAAUUUUCUUCAGACCGUACAUGACUGGAAUCGUUUUCUCCCAUAAAGGGGUAUCUGAAAGUAGGUUUCUCAACCAUUCUGCUUCUUCUCCCAUAAAGGGGUAUCUGACAGUAGGUUUCUCAACCAUCCUGCUUCUUCUCCCAUAAAGGGGUAUCUAAACCAUCAUGCUUCUUCUCCCAUAAAAGGGGUAUCUGACAGUAGGUUCAUAAAUUUUAGAAUAAUUAUAACCCCCACUAUUUCGAAGAUUAAAAGGAAAUUUAUUCUCAUAAAAAUCAGCAUCAAGAUUUUUACACACAAAUGGAAAUCAAUUGAAAAUUAAGCUAAUAGGUAUCUAAAAAAAACUAAUCUUUAUAAUCAAUUCCAAGAAUCAAAUAAAGAAUCAGAAAGAAAAACCUUGAUCUUGAAGAGGGUAUUGGGUACAUCUAUCCACUGAGGGUGGAUAACAAAAACACAUAAAAGCACUUUCCCCAAACCAAAAGAAAUAGCCCUCAACCAGAAAUCAGAGCUAGAACCAAGAGAAUAACAUUUCAAGAUAAAAGAAUGAAUAAAAACUUGCACCAAAAAAUAUAAAGAGGAAAGAGGAGAGAAAAUAAAAAUCUGAUAUUUAUAACUUAUUCCUUAACCAUCCAAAAGUCAUAAUUGACCUGAGCAUCACAUCAAGUGACUCAAUUAUGACAUUUUAUCAAUAUUCAAUUUAAACAUUCCAUUAGUAGCACAUCCCCAUGAAUAAAUAUGAUAUGCCAGAAACAAUUCGGUUAGUAGAAGGCAUGAUUUACAGAUCAAUUUCAAGUAAAGCUCAGAUCAAUUAGGUUACCACAAAUAUCUGUUCAUUCUAGAACCGAAAACAAAUCGCCAUUUUUCAUGUUUAUUUUAUUUAUUUAUUUAUUUUUAUUUUUUUUUGAAUUGUAAACAUGAUAAUUUUGACAUAUGAUUACAUCGAAGAAUAAGCUUACAAUGGUACACAAAACAGAUUUAAACAAAUCACAGCAGCCACCUAGUCAUCUCCAUCAAAAGACUACUGAUAAUAUCAACACACAUUGCAAAAAGAUCACAAAUAGAUUCAUUCACCAAGUCAAUUCACUCGUCCUACAGCGAAUGCACCUAGGCAGCUCAAAAAGCAUUCACAGUUGACAUACUAGUAACUUGAUAUUAGAUUAUAUAAUCACAAUGAUUUGCCACAUAUCUAAAACAAAGUUCUUAAAGAGUAACACUAACAGCAAUACAGAUAUUUUUCAGAUUCCAUGGCAGAUUGAUCCGUCUUAAAAUUGUUGUUAGCUGAAAUAAAAAGGAACGAAGUUACCCGAAAAAUGUAGAAUCCUUGAGUGGUGAAUGAUUCUUGGGAUGAGUCGCGGACUAGGUCGCUCUCUUUAAGACGUUUCGCGGCUCUGCCCAAAGUGUGCAAGCAGUUCACAAACACCACGUCGUCCCCAGGAUAAAACAGCCCAGAACCUUCCUUCUGAUAAAGUUCUUCCUUGCACAGUGGAAGAACCUUCGAACUUACACCUUUUCGAUAUGUUGCUUUUUAAAUCAAUAUAUUAAAAAAAAUUCUUCAUCUACUUUCUGCUUUUCCAUCGCCUUUCAUACAUCACUAUAAUAUAUAUAUAUAUAUAUAUAUAUAUAUAUAUAUAUUAUAAAUAAAGAAACGUUGAGGGAGUAAUUGGGUUUCAAAACCGUAGUAAAUCAAAACGGCAAAACGGACAAAACUGUUUGAAUAUGCUUAAUAACAUGAUCAUCUUCUCUAUAUAGAAAAGGAAUUCCACGUUUUAUACUUAAGAGGAGAUAACUCCUUAUCUAAUUGAUAAGACCAAAAUAAAUUGGCUGUUUUAAAUAUAUUUAAAUAUUUAAAUAAAAACAUAUUUGUUCCAACAGAUGUUGUAUGUAGAUAGUUCCUACUUAUCUAUGCACAAUGCUUACAACACAUUUAGUCCAAUACUUUGAUACUUAUAUACAAUACUUAUAAUUCAUUUAACAUUCCCGCGGCAACGCGUGGGCUAAAACUACUAAUCCUACCUAAAACAGGACUCCAAGAAUAUUUACAAUUAAGACUCAAAUCAACAUAAUGUGCAUUCCGAUUUAUAGGUUUAUCCUCCUACAUAAUGUUUGUUUGUUUUUUUUUUUUUCUAUCCUAUUGCUUUUGGUGCUUUGCAACUUGUUUUGCAUGUUUAGACCUUCUAGGUUUUUCUUUAGGGGAAUUUAGGCUUAACGACCCUCCUUUUUCUUGUAUUUUUAUUUGUUUUCUUAAGAAGACUCAAGUUUAUGCCCCUGUUUUUUCUUGUAUUUUUUUACAUUUCUUCUUGUAGUAUGAUAUGUGAGGUCUAUGUCCUUGUGAUUAAGUGUAACUUCUUUUUUCUGAUUCUAUAAAAAUUUCCUCGUACCGUCUAGAUUUCUCUAAAAAAAUAAGAAGAAGAAGGCGAGUUUGCAACGAUUUGCUACCCAUGUGUACUUUCCACUUGAAUUUGUAUAGAAAAGUUAAAAGGAAAUGAAAAUAAUUAAAAGAAGGAUUAAGUGACUAAAACGCCCUAAUCUUUUAGUGCCAUUCUAAAUUGGUCUCAACCUUUUUAAACAUUCCAAAUAAGUACCCAACUUAUUAAAAAUGUCACAUUUGUUAAACCCUAGUUAAUUUUUCAAACUUAUAUUAUGUUCAAAAUCCACCAAUUGGGUAUAUCAUGGUCAACAUUGAUAUUAGUCGCCCCAAAAUUUGAAUUUCAAACAUAGAUUAUGUAAAUAUGGAAUCCAAUGAACAAAAGAAUAUUAAAUUGAAUCGAAAAUGGACUCAAAUUGAAAUUAUAUUAGGAGGACAAUUUUCUAACAAAGAAGAGAGUUCAGAAUUUAGAUAAAGUUUCAAGGAGCUUGUUUCUGCUCAUUUGAUUUCCUCAUACGCCGAUUCUCGGCUCGUAAAGCUUUCAGUUCUUCUUUGCGGGCAGUUAAGAUGGUAGUGGCUGCAUCAUGAUAGUUCAUACCAUUUUAGCAACCUCCACGACCUUCUUCUUGAUGCGGUUAGAGUUGUAGGGUGGAGUUAGUGGUUUUGUGUUAGGUUUGGAGGUGAUGGCAUGAUGGGUCUGGUGGUGGCCAUUCCUUGGUGGAUGAUAUGCUUUCAUGACCUUCUAUUGAUUUUGGAGACAAAGUAACUCCUAGGUAAUUUAACAUAGUUUCAACUAGGGCUUAACCGAUGUGACAUUUUCAGUAGGUUGGGUACUUGUUUGGAAUGUUUAAAAAUGUUGAAAUCGAUUUGGAAUGACACUAACAAGAAUGGGGCCCACUGAAAUAAAGUAAAAAAAAAAAACAGUAAUUAUGAUGAAAAGUCUGCAAAUUUUUUCACUUUCCUCUUCCAACAUGGUUACUGAUGCCCGCCAAAACUACCUCAUGAAUGUCCGCAGUCUUGUCAAAUUUAUGGCCGGAAUUCACAUCACUUACUGCCAAAACUGAGUUGAGGUUUCGAUGUGAUUAAAUGGAAUGAAGAAUGGCUUCAAGUGAGUUAACAACGUUUAAGAGUGGAGUUAGUAAUGGUCAAGUGUCAAACUAUAGGAGAGGCCAUAAAUAGGUCAAACAUUGUUUUCCUGCAAAAGAUUGAACUCAGGGUUGGGAGUCUUUCAUUAACUCCAAGUCACCGUUUGGGUGCAAUUUCAAAAUUCUCAUCAAAUUGAUGAAAUGAAAUGAUAGAACAUUAUGUCUUAGUGGAUGUUAUCAUGGAUAGCAAAGACUAAGAAAUCAAUUAUCUGCUAGCAACUAUCACACUAAGGAAAAAAAAGUAAUUACAAUUUAUAAUGAAUAGAAAGAAACAAUUAAUUACAAUUUAAAAUUCUCGUCCAAUUGAUGAAAUGAAAUGAUAGAACAUAAUGAUUUAGUGGAUGCUGUCAUGGAUAGCAAAGACUAAGAAAUCAAUUACCUGCUAGCAUGUAUCACACUAAGGGAAAAAAAAUAUCAAUUAUCUUCUCUUUUGUGCUUUUGUGCAAAUUAAACUUUGGUUUUCUGGUUUUCUAGUUUUCCAUUUGUCUAUGAACAAUGAUGGAGCAUUCGCAUACUAUUCGUAAUCUAGUUUUGUUGAAAUUCUUGCGUGGCUUCAUUCUCUUAGUCUUGUGCAUGAUAAGCACAUGCCCAGAAUCUGCAACAUUUACCAGCUUUACCCUGCUUGGAAACGAAUCUGAUCGCUUGGCUUUGCUAGACUUCAAGAAAAGAAUAACUGAGGAUCCUCUCAGUGUCAUGAGCUCGUGGAAUCAUUCCGUCCACUUCUGCAGUUGGGUAGGCAUUACAUGCCACCGUGCCACCGAAAGAGUCUUGAUUCUGGACCUGGAAGAUAAACAAUUGGUAGGCUCCAUUCCACCUUCCAUUGGGAAUCUUACUUGUCUAAUUGAAAUAAGCUUGGGAAUCAACAAAUUUCAUGGUGAAAUUCCUCAAGAACUGGGUCGUCUACGUACCCUGGAAAGUCUAAACCUGUCUUUCAAUUCUUUAGGCGGGAAAAUUCCGACUAAUAUGUCCCACUGUACACAACUAAGAUUUUUCGAUCUUCUUUCCAAUAAGUUUAUUGGGUCAAUUCCAAGCCAACUCAGUUCAUGGUUGAGUUUGACUGUUCUACAACUUGGAGGAAAUAAUCUCAGUGGAACCAUCCCAUGUUGGAUAGGAAACUUUUCUUCUUUGAGGAGUCUUAGACUUGGCUCCAACAAUUUUCAAGGAAGCAUACCAAACGAGUUUGCGCAUAUAACAACCUUGAAGAUAUUCAUAGUUGGGGAGAAUAAUUUGUCUGGUAUGUUCCCUUCUUCAAUUUAUAAUAUUUCUUCCAUAUACAAGUUAAGUGUUGCUAGAAACCAACUACAUGGACAGCUACCACCAAAUCUCGGCAUCUUGUUUCCUAAUCUCGUAGCAUUUUACUGUGGUAACAACAAUUUCACAGGAAAUAUUCCUGUAUCAUUGUCAAAUGCUUCUAGACUUCAACUGAUUGAUUUUUCUACAAAUGACUUCACGGGAGCAGUCCCUGGAGAAAGUCUCGGAAGCUUGCGAAGCUUAAUUAAGCUAAGCUUUGAUGAGAAUCGACUGGGAAAUGGAAAAUUUGGUGAUAUGAGUUUUCUCAAUUUCUUGACUAAUUGUAGUAGUCUUCAAACACUGGGUCUUGGCUAUAAUCGUUUUGGGGGAGAAAUCCCGAGAUCCAUAGCCAACCUUUCGACCCAACUAAAAGUUCUUUAUCUAGGGGUUAAUUUGUUACAUGGAAGCCUCCCAAGCGACAUUGGAAAUCUUAUAAACCUUACUGAUCUAGAGAUGGGUGAUAACUAUUUGGCAGGUGUUGUCCCUGAAGAAAUUGGGAAGCUUAAGAAGAUAGGGAAACUGUAUUUGUUUGAUAACAAAUUUUCUGGGCCAAUUCCAUCUUCCCUGGGUAAUAUGACUUCAUUGAUAGAGCUUGGCAUGUACAGAAACAAUUUUGAGGGAAGUAUACCUCCAAGUCUUGGAAACUGCCAAAACCUGUUAUUACUUUCACUUUUUAAUAACAAUCUAACAGGCAGCAUACCUAAAAAGCUAAUGGAGCUUUCAACCCUUUCAAUUGGAUUAGACCUGUCUGGAAAUUAUUUGACUGGUUCAUUGCCAAGUGAAGUGGGUGAUUUGGUGCAUCUCACAGUGCUAGGUGUAUCAAACAACAAGUUAUCAGGUGAAAUCCCCAACACCAUCAGCAGUUGUACUAGUUUGGAAGGCCUAUACUUGGACGACAACAAAUUUGAAGGAACAAUUCCUCAGUCUCUUAAAGAUUUAAGGGGCUUGGAAAAACUUGAUAUUUCAAGCAAUAACUUAUCCGGGCAAAUUCCUGAAUUCAUAGGAAAGCUUAGAGCACUUAAGUAUCUCAAUCUUUCGUAUAAUGAUUUUGAAGGCGAGUUGCCUAAAGAAGGAAUUUUUUCAAAUGUCAGUGAUGUCUCAAUUCUUGGAAAUCAUAGGCUCUGUGAUGGCAUCCCACAAUUACAUCUACCUGCAUGCCCCAAAAAUAAACACCAUUCAUCUCGAGGACUACUUUCCCCAGAAGUGGUCAUCCCUAUAUCUUGUUCACUUGCAUUCAUAAUUGCUCUAUCAUGCUUCUUUGGUGCUCGUUCAUUGUUGAAAAAGUCAAGAGAUGGACUUGUAACUUCACGUUCUUAUAAGGAUUGGAAUUUAGGUGUUUCCUACUCACAACUUGUUGAAUCGACUAACGGUUUCUCUGUGGAUAAUUUGAUUGGUUUGGGAAGUUUUGGUUCUGUUUAUAAAGGGGUAAUUCCUAGCAAUGGAACGGUAGUUGCUGUUAAGGUAUUAAACCUUCAACAACAAGGAGCGUCCAAGAGUUUUAAUGAUGAAUGCAAAGCUUUAAGAAGUGUCAGGCACCGAAAUCUUGUCAAGAUCAUAACUGUAUGCUCGAGCAUUGAUAAUCAUGGUAGACACUUCAAAAGUCUAGUCUUCAAGUUCAUGCCAAAUGGAAGUCUUCACUCGUGGUUGCAUCCUAGAGAUGAAGAGCAAUCUCCUCCAAGUAAGAGAUUGAAUUUUAUGCAAAGAUUGAACAUAGCCAUUGAUGUUGCUUCUGCAUUAGAUUAUCUCCACAACCAUUGUGAAACGUCCAUUGUUCAUUGUGAUCUAAAGCCGAGCAAUGUACUUCUUGAUGAAGACAUGGUAGCCUAUGUUGGGGACUUUGGUUUAGCAAGGUUCCUCUUGGAAGCAUCAAAUGAUCCUUCCCUCAAUCAAACAAUGUCAUCACAACUAAAGGGUUCUAUAGGUUAUAUUCCUCCAGGUAUGAGAUUCCAUCAUUCUAAUUUCUUUUUUUGGUUCUUAUUAACUUAUUACUAAAAACCAACUAAUUAAAUAUUAAAGAUGUAUUGAUUUUUUUCCUGGAAACAACAUUAACCUGAAAUAAGAUAUCAAUUUUAAUAGUCAAUUGCAUGUGACAUCUUAUUGUCUAUAUGUAUGUCACGACAGAGUACGGCAUGGGAGGCCAAGUUUCCAUACUAGGAGAUGUUUACAGCUACGGGAUACUCUUACUAGAAAUCUUCACAGGAAAAACACCCACUGAUGAUAUGUUCAUCGAAGGUCUAAGCAUUUACAAAUUCGUAGCCAUGGCUUUGCCCGACCAUGUCAUGGAUGUUGUUGACCCUUCAUUGCUCCUUGACCUCGAAGCUGAUGGUAGUGUUAACGAUGACAGAUAUGAAAGGACUACGUUGCCCAAACGUAACAAUCGCGGAGUGGUGAAAGCAAAAAAGGUAAAGGAAUGCUUGUUUGUUGUGAUGCAAAUAGGACUCUCCUGUUGUGCAAUAUCACCAAGGGAGCGGAUGCUUCUGAAUAUGGUUGUCAGAAAAAUGAGUGCAAUUAGAGACUCGUACCUCAAAGUUCAAGAAGGCUAAAGAAGGAUAAAGAUAUGCUGCUUGUGGUUUUUCUUUUCUUAUUUUUCUCUACUUUUCCUACCAUCGCUUUGAACCUUGCCUCUUUUAUGUUAGCGGUUGUUUUAAACGAACGAAGUUUUCAUUUGUAUGACUUGAAGCUUUCAAAUUCUUAUUUGUGUGGAGCUAUUUGUAAUUGUCUUGGUUAUGUCAAUCUUGUUUAGAAUCUAAUAAACUCUAUGCUUAAGCAGUUUAGAACAUUUCAGUCUCAUAUUUCUCCCAGAUGGUUGCAUGUGCUACACAAGUUUUGUUGGAUUUAUUUUUUAUUUUUUUAUUUUUUUUGUUUUUAGCAUGUGGGUUAUGGUUGUGAUGAAGGAUGAAAGAUUGCUUCAAGGCACGUAUAAAUAUGUUGUCUUUCAUAUUCUAUUCGCUCCUACAUACAAUGUGCAAAAGGGAUAUGCGAAUAAGCCUUGACGUUACGCCAAUUGUAUGUCAAAGAGAUAGACAAAAAUGGCCAAGAUUUAGUUUUUAGGCUUUCAUUAUUCGGUAAUCUUUGCUCUUUUCGCUUCUCGUUCUUCCUCUCUAGUUUUCGCAUAUGUAGAAAAUUGCUGCUGUAUUUUGAUUAUUUCCAUCUAAAAUUCAAAUUUCUAGCCGAGUGCGCAUUCGAUUACCUGUUUUAGGGUUCUUGUUCUGUUCAACUUAUUAAUCAUUUCAUCUAUUUUCACAGCAUGUUUAAUUCCCACAAUUUUUUUUCUGUGAUGGGAAUUAGGUAAACAUCGGAAGCACCCAGAAGUUGAAAGAGUAAUUAGAAAUUAAAAUUUUGGAUUUUUUGGGUUUUUUUAGUAUUGGAGUUAUGGGGCAAUGAACUGCUUUGCAUUGAUGAAUUGGUGUGACAAAAGUAAACCACUUUUAUUAUUUUUGUGCAUAGUUGUAAAAGAGUUUGCAAAUAUUCGUAGCUGAUCGAUAAAUUGCAUGAUUUGUGAAUAUCAACACCCUGCAAUUUGGCUUGAAAUUGUUAAAAAGUAUGCAGAAUUGCAAAUUGGGUUAGUCUCGAAACUUUUGAAUGUGCAUUAGCGUUAUCAGUUGAUGCAGGAGCAUCUGAGGGGCACUCGAAAGCUAAGGCGGCUGCCAGCCAGCUAGGCUAGGGUUCUAGUUAAUUUGGGGAUUCAAGUUUUUAUCAUUUGGAUUCUGUUUCUAGUGUGAUUUGGCCCUAUUUGAUCCGCUGGACAGAAGCUUAUUUUACCCUGUUGUUGCAGGAACAUGGCGAAGCAUCAUCCUGACCUAAUUAUGUGCCGGAAUCAACCUGGAAUAUCUAUUGGAAGGUUGUGUGAAAAGUGUGCGGUAAGUGUGUAAUUUGUGACUCUUAUGUGUGUCCUUGCACACUUGUUCUGGUUUGCGAUGAGUGCAACUAUGGAUCUUUCCAGGGAAGGUGUGUUAUUUGUGGAGGGGUUGGAAUUUCUGAUGCUUAUUACUGCAAAGAGUGUACUCAGAAGGAGAAAGAUUGAGAUGGCUGCCCGAAAAUUGUGAAUCUGGGAAGUGCCAAAACAGAUCUGUUCUAUGAACGCAAAAAGUAUGGUUUCAAGAAAAGAUGAUAAUUAGCAGGUCAAGUUUCACUUGGCUUCUGGAAAUCAUUUUGUUUUGUUCUUCAUUGAGGCUUAGCCAAUAUUGACACACCCCGACCAAAGUCAAGACGUGUUAGCCGUCACGUGAGGGUGACGUAACUAAGUGCACAACAGAAGUGAUAAUAAUAGGAAAAUGCGAAUAAAUAAGAUACCUAACACUAAACUUUUCAACUAGAGAUAAUUUAAGUGUGUGAAGGUGACCAAGUAUAAGUUACACAAAUAUCAGAGCAUAGGUAAACGAAAGUGCAGUCAAACCAACUAAGUACUAAUUAUACAAACAAGGAGGAGAUCCCUACUUAUGUGUGAAGAUGUCAGAACCACUGUGAAGUCCUCAUGAGCCGCCAAGGAUAUGAACAGCUACCUAGGACCUGGAGGGGCGCAAAACAGAAGGGUGAGUGGGCAAAAAAACAAAGCAUUUGAAAACACAUUUCUCUUUUCUGAACAUAAUAACCCCUCACUGUAAAACCCAUAUGGUUUCCAGAAAUAAUACUACAUAUAUAUAUAUGUAAAACCAUGCACACAGGCAGUGAAACCCAAAAACAUUUCAACUCUAAAUCAUGUAAGCUAGGUGUAGAAUCAAUAUAAAAUCACAUGCCAGUCGGAGUCACCUAAUGUGACCUAUAUAACUGGAACUAUAGCUCAUCAACAUAGGCUAGCACACGAGUCGGAGUCACCUAUGUGACCUGUAUGACAAGAUGGGUAUAAAUAUGUACGCUCAAGUGCUACGAUCACGUGAAGGCUAUGCAAUAAAUCGCGGGUCACCUACGAGUCGGAAUCACAUAUUGUGGUCUGUACAACAGGCUGGCACCAAACUUGGAUCCAAGGUGAGCGUGCGGUGCGGGAGGUAAUGAUCAUGUGAAGGUUGUGCCCUAGCCCCGGCAGAAGCACUAAUAUCGUGGUGCAGCCAUGAUAAGCUCUAAAUAAAUAUAUGCAUACCAAUGCAACACAACCCAUUCAAUCACAUAAUACUCACCUGAAGCUUACCUAAGCCUCCGCAGUGUCACACAAUAUAAUGCAAAAGAACAGUGCAAUACUCAAAACGCAACUCAUUUACGACAUGGCAUUCAAAGCAUAAAUCAAUUAAGAAAAACGUUCUGGAAACCAUAUUUUAUAAACCCUAUAUAUAUAUAUAAAAAGCAAAUGCCCACUCACUAAUAAGUAGCAGGAUCGUAGCCCUCUAGCCUUGCUGAUCCACACUCGUCCUUAGGGUACGUCUCACCUAUAUGCGAAAUAACUAAUGUAACGUUAAAUCGAUAGCACAUAAACAAAACCUAGGAUUAAUUCCUCAUACAUUGCUAAAAUGGGGUGUUUGAAUAUACCAAUAUGAUCUACUCGACAACACGAACACCCCCAUAUUUUUAGAAAUUUUUUUCAACGUCUCACACACAGACACGUGCCUGGCACAUUGACAUAAUCCCUAACGAUGUUAGGGAAUAUUCUGUUAAAAUUACCUGACGCCAUUUGAAUAUUCCGUUAAAGUUAACGGAAUAUGCUCCUUCUUCUCCGGUGACUCGUCGGAAUCCGCCGUCGGCCGCCGUCUGUUACGCCGGAAACUAGAAAAUCUUUAAAAUUCAAUAUCUCGAUUAUUUCUCCACCAAAAUUCAUAACUUUUAUAUGACUUUGAAGCCCUCAACUAGAAGAACAUAACCUUACCUAUUAGGGGUCCUAAAAUAAAUGGAAAGUGGUCGGAAUGAAGCCUGGAAAAAUCCGGUCAAACUUGAACUCUUCGAAACCACCUACUCCGACGUCAACUUUGUCCCAAAUCCACUCUAAGGUUCCUAUGGAGUUGUUUAAGAACCUCCCCGAGCCUUAAAACCUUGGAAAAAGGCCUUGAUCACAACGGAGCAACAAACACCUUACCGGAGUUCGUGAGUUCUUGAGUUCCCGUGAUCCAUUCAACGGACAAAAGGUAUCACUCAACUCAUGAGGUCACAAGGAAUACGAUGGUGGACUUCAACAACUCAAUCUGAUUUGGUUAAGAUUGUAGGUGAUGGUCUCUCGGUUGUACGGACGAGAGAAAAAUCGAGAAGAGAAGAGAGAGAAUGUAAGGUUAUAUGUGUGUGCGCGUUUGUGAUUGGUUAGUAAGGAGAGAGUGAGAGAUUCCUUCAGAUUGGGCAAGGGAAAGAAAUGGGUUUUGUAAUUGGUCCUAUAACAAAUAAAAGCCCAACAAUUAAUGGGACCCAAGAAAGUAAGAGUUACGGUGAUUGGUUGUUACUUUGGCCCGCUUACAUUCUUUUAAUAAUUGUAACUUUUUCGUUAGAAAUCCGAUUCGGCCCUAACUCGCGUUAAUGCGCUCAUGACGUCAAGUACGAUUUAAUUACGAUGGCAAGGAAAGAAAAUAAAACUACAUAUGUACAUCCACGUCACUAAGCCACCGAGGGCAUAAUCAUCACUUUACACAUUCGAGAAGACAAUAUAUAAUAAUUUGGGACGGGUCGUCACAAAUAUUCCAACCAGGUAUUUUUCUUAGAAAACUUGCUUGUUACUGCUUUUAUGUUUGACUGUUGUAUUUUCUCAUUCGAUAUGUUUCCAGCUUACUCUCAUUUUGUGGCUAAUCAAGGAAUAUAUGACUUGAGUAUUUCUCACUCGUAAUCUUUGUAUGUGGCAUGCAUCUCGGGAUGUUUGAACUCCUCAGUGUACUUGGAGCUUUGUUAAUCCAAUUUCAUAUGUGAUUUACUAUUAAGUAGACAAACUGGGCAUUUCCUUUUUAUCUUUUAUUGAAGUUGUGAAAUGGAUGUAUUAAUUGGGGACUCCAUGCUAAAUAUUGCUCAGUAGGUCGACGCAUACUCUUUAAAAUCUUUCAAAAUCUCAAUUGAAUAUACCCAGCGUAAUGAUUUUGGCCAGGGUAUUAUGUCCUACCCUUUGCUCCCAAGUCGGAUCCCUUCCCCCUAGAUUAGAGUGGUCAAAAGAAAGGACCCCAUUACCAUGCGAUUCAAGACAUACUCUACAAACGAACACCUUUGUUAGAUGUUACAGCCAUUCAGAUUUUGAUCAAGCUCUAUGGAAUGUGAAGUGUCAUAGUAGUGUGAAUUUACAAUAAUAUUAUUCACAUCGCUUCUUAAGAACACAAAUCAUUUGUGUGAACGAGAUUAUUGAAAAACAUAUAUUUCAAUAUGUACUUAUGUGUCUACAUUUAUAGUACCUUGGAGUUAUAUUUCAAUGAAUCAUUCUGACAUGUACGAGAAACGGAAGCACAUGAAUUUACUUAUGGGGAUGAAUAAUUAACAAAUAGUUUUAUUGUUGGUCGUGACACAAGUUCAAACCUCCUUGGAUUUUCCACUUCGUGUAUAUAAAAAUUGAGAGACUAAUUGAGUUGUUUAGGUGAUAAGAAGGGGUAAGAUCCUCUCCGGAUCCUCGGCUAAGGAUCCUUUCUGCUCACAACCGGCGUAGACCUCGUAACCCUCGCCCUCGUGACCAGCACGCCUUUCUUCCUCCUGCCACCACCGACAAGUGGGUAGGGUUCAGAUCGGAAAGUGACCAGCAGACGCAAUCUAAUUAGACAAAUAAGUGAACUUUCCCAUGCCAAAAUCCAAAAGGCCAACAUAAAUCUCUCAUUACAGCAUAGAAGACAAAACUUAAUAUGAGUCUCCAAUUGCAAGGAAUAUCCUCUCUCUCUCUCUCUCUCUCUCUCUCUCUCUCUCUCUAGAUUUUCUCCAAUGGAAAACAAUGGUGAUAAGUAAUUGAAUUGAAACCAGAAAGAAACACAUUAGAGACUCACCUGAGAAAUCCGAAGAGACGCUUCCUUCUUUCUCCUUUGUGGUGAAGAUUUUAUGAAUAAAAGACACCAUUCUGUUUGCCGAAAGAUCCUUUUUUUUAUCCACAAAAUAGAAAAGAAGAAGAAUUUGGAAACAAAAAUAAGAAAAAGGAACCUUCUUUUUCACGUCUUGAUUGCUGACAGUCAUUUCCGAAACUGCAACUUUUUCAUCAACUGUUAUUAACAGACCUUCACAAACCUACAUAUAACAGAUAAAUACUGCAAUUAGAUCAAAACCCUCCAAACCGGAUAAUUAAAUUGCUCCUAUUUAUUUUAAAUCAUCAAAAAAAAAGAAGGAAAUUUCAUGAAUUGGACAAAAUGAAUUAUAGAUUAAAAACAAAGGACAGCGUGAGAAUAUUGGUAAAAUAUUGAGAUUGAACAAACGAAUACAAUUCCCAGAGAAUAGGAAUCUAGUUACCUACAUCCAAAAAUAGCAUCAAACACAAACACCCAAAUGCAAUUCAGUUUCAGAUGACCGAAUAAAUAGAACAUAAAUUACCAGAACUUGGUGAAGGAUUACAAUGCGACAGUUAAGGUUCCAAGCUCUUUGCUUUCUUGAAUCAAUCAAUUAUUUUCAAAACAAUCUAAGGUCCACAUAAACUUCCAUGCUUCUAUAAUUUAGAGCAAACUUCUUCUUCUUCUUCUUCUUAAGCCUUUUCCCACCAUGUGGGGUCAGGUAACUUCGAAUUACGAAAAUCUAUUUUCUUUUUUCAGUUUACAUGUGUGUGUGAAAAUCCAAAUUCCAAUUCAUACGAUCAUAACUGCAUAAGAGAUAACAAAAUUGAUUUCCCGAAUUCAUCAAACAUUCAGAAUUCAUAACAAAAUUGUGGGAAACAACUUCAACCUCCACUACACCAUUCAAAUUCCUAGUCUUUAAAUUAAAAACCAUAAGAUUCCAACUUUCGUCCAAAAAAGAAACGUAAAAACACAUUGUAAAAGAAAAAGCAUACAUUAUCGAACCCAGCAAUGUUCUUGUUCUCCGCAAAGAACUCCGCCGGCGAUUCUGCAGAAAAAUUGAAAGCAUGGCUAAUGAAUAUUCAAACUAAAACAUGCGUACAGAAAACUCUGUUCGAGAACGCUAUCUUUGGGCUUUCUGGGCAUCUUCGAUUGGCGUUUCUUAGGCUCCGUCUGGCUCUUGCUGCUCCCUCGAGCUUCCAUUUCAAAUUCCCAAUCAAAUCUUCGACCCCAAAAAAAACUGUCGAUCAUCUUCAAAUAGAUCGAUCGAUUCUAGAGACAGAGAAAUGAGGAGUAAGACGACGGAGGCCAGAGAAGGUGUGUACUUGUGCGUCCUCGCACAUAAGAGUCACAAAUUACACACUUGCCGUCGCACUUUUCACAUUUGUGACUCUUAUGUGCGUCCUUGCACACUUGUUCUGGUUUGCGAUGAGUGCAACUAUGGAUCUUUCCAGGGAAUGUGUGUUAUUUGUAGAGGGGUUGGAAUUUCUGAUGCUUAUUACUGCAAAGAGUGUACUCAGCAGGAGAAAGAUAGAGAUGGCUGCCCAAAAAUUGUGAAUCUGGGAAGUGCCAAAACAGAUCUGUUCUAUGAACAGAAAAAGUAUGGUUUCAAGGAAAGAUGAUCAUUAGCAGGUCAUGUUUCGCUUAGCUUCAUGAAAUCAUUUUGUUUUGUUCAUCAUUGAGGCUUAGCCAAUAUUACGAUCAGAUAUUUUUCUUAGGAAACUUGCUUGUUACUGCUUGUAUGUUUGACUGUUGUACUUUCUCGUUCGAUAUGUUUCCAACCUACUCUCAUUCUGUGGCUGGUCUAGUUAGGGGACGUUUGUUGCGCCAGACUAUCUCGGACUGGACUAACUUCAAGGAUUAAGCUGGACUAACUUAGACUAGACUAAGCUGGACUAACUUAGUGAAGCGUUUGGUGCAGUGUUGGACUAAGAAGCUGGAUAAUAACAAAUUCUAAUAUUAUAUUAUUUAAUAUAUAAAUUAUUAAUAUUUUAUUAUGAUCUCGGUGACCGGAGAUGAUGAGGAGUCUAUCGGGAGUGGUUGUUGAGCAUGACAAGGACGAGAGAGGAUAGUCUUAGCUAGUCCCAUGGUUAUUGGGAGGUCUCGUUAAGACCUCUUAGUGAAGGGUUUUGUUCAUGCUAGUCCCCUUUAGUCUCAUUAAUGUUAGUCCCAGCAUGGAACAAACACAGUAUUGGACUAACAGCUAGUCCAGUCCAGUCCAAUCCCACUUAGUGAGGGCAAACAAACGCCCCCUUAAGGAAUUAAUGACUUCCAUAAUUCUCACUCGUAAUCUUUGUAUGUGGCAUCUAUGGAUGUUUGAACUCCUCGGUGUUCUUAGAGCUUUGUUAAUCCAAUUUCAUGUGAUUUAAGAUUCAGUAGAUGGACUUGGCAUUUCCUUUUUAUCUUCUACUGAAAUUGUGAAAUGGAUGUAUGAAUUGGGAACUCCAUCCUAAAGAUUGCUCAGCAAGUCGACGCUAUACUCUUUAAAAUCUUUCAAAAUCUCAAUUGAGUACACCCUGCUUAAUGAUUUUGGCUAGGUAGUGUGUCCUACCCUUUGCUCCCGAGUCCGAUCCCUUCCCGCGAGAUUAAGGUAGUCAAAAGAAAAGACCCAUUACUAUGCGAUUCAAAACUUAUGGUCUACAAAUGAACACCUUUGUUAGAUGAUCCAACCAUUCAGAUUUCGAUCAAGCUCUAGGGAAUGUGAAGAGUCAUAUAAGUGUGAAUUUACAAAAAUAUUAUUCACAUCUCUUCUUAAGAACAUAGAUCAUUUGCGUGAGCGAGAUUAUUGGAAAACAUAUAUUUCAAUAUGUAUGUAUGUGUAUAAUACGUUUUUAGUACAUUAGAGUUGUUAAAUGUAUAUUUCAACGAAACAUUCUGACGUAUACGAAAAACAAAAGCACACAAAUUUACUAACGAGGAUAAAUAAUUAACAAAUAGUUUCAUUGUUGGUCGCCACACAAGUUCAAACCUCAUUGGAUUUCCCACUUCAUGCAUAAAAGAAUUGAGACUUGUUGAGUUGUUGAGGUGAUAAGAAGGUAUAAAUUCGUUUUAAAACAAUUGAAAGCGUUUUUAGAUAAAAUGUUUGGUUUUUAGUUAAAAUGGUCUCUGAAAUUAGCAUAACUCCUCACUUUGGUCCAUAUGAUUUAUAAUCGAUAGAAAUGGUCCAUAAAAUUGCUCAUCGUCAAUCAUUAUGGUCAUUUAGUGAAAAACCUCAAUUAAAUUGCAGGUAUUUUUGUCAAAUCAACCCCUCCACUUGAAUUGGUGGUUUCUUCAAUUUCCCUGAUAUUUUGCAUAGAAAACCAAAAUAAUAGCCGGUUGACAAUCACAUGGAUUACUUUUAUUGAUUUUAAAUCUCAAAUGACCAUUUUGGUUAAAAAAAACCAUAAUGUUUUUAAGUUCUAAAAGUACAUGAAGUACUUGUUUAGGGUUUACUUUUUUUUUUUACUAAAAACUGUUUUCAAAUAUAUUUUCACUAAAAACACUUUUAGUUAUUUGAAAAUCACUUCUAAACGAGUUUUUUUUUAUCUUUGUGCCACAUAGAAGCCACCACAACCAUCAUUGGCUGGUCAAAAAUGCCAAUUGUCCCUUUCCUCCUAAUAGAUGGUCACUUGCAGCAGUUGGUACACGUCAUGAACCAAUUUUCUCAAUUCAAGCAGCGCAGCAGCUUGUUUGCUGAACAUUUAUCAUGGCAGCCAAAUUUUCCCAUCACCAAAAGUCAAGGCAAAUUUGUCACCUACCCUUCAACUUCACUGCAAUCAACAAUCGCUUGGAGCUGCCCCCCACUUUAUUAUUUUCUCCCGUCAUCACACACGCUAGUGACUAGUUUACUGACUAGGACUGGGAAACAGAUUGAGAUCAAGUUCAAGUUAGUCUAACUAGUGAUACGAUGAAGCAAUGUUGAUCUUCAUUUGUAAGUUCGAGGUUCCGGGUUUGAUUCACAUUAAUAGCGAGAACAUAUUAUUUUGUGUUGAGUUUAAUAUUUAGGAAGUGGUUGACCCAUUGUGUGGCCUAAACCAGACACUUAAAUGCAAUGUAAUGUUGUAUCCAAAAAGUUCUUUUAGCCCCCCUCCCUUAGAAUAGAUUAUCCCCUUUAGAUGAGUCUUUCAUGCAACAGAAAUGCUACCUCAAGUAAAUUGUAUACUAUUGAAUGGAAGAACAAUAUGGUUAACCGCUAUCCAACUCAAUAGUGGUAUGUUUACUUACCAAGAACGAGAAUGCAAAGUAUGAGUAUAAUUCUCACUCCUGACAUCAUGGGUUUACUAAAAUGCAAGGAAUAAAAAGGUAACAUAAUCCCUUGUUAACUCAUCCGAAAAGUAAGUACGCAUAUCCUAAAGUACAAUUCAAAAAUGAGUUCCGUCUCCAUCGAAAUGGUCCAAUUCACGCCGAACCAACAAGUGACAACCAAAGCAUCCAUCCUUCACACUUCUUUUGUACUUGGCCAUUUAACAACUUCCCCCCUCUUGCACCAAUGCAAACAUUGCCUAUUUAGAAAGACACCCCUCCCCCGAGGGUUUAACCUCCCCACCACCACCCCCAAAACCCAAAAAGGUUGCAUGCUGAGCAGAUUUCUUAGAGAACUUUAUAGCAUUGCACAUACUCUAAUUUCAAUCAUUUCUUUCAAAUGUAUCGCAUUCGCAUACACGAAUCCAAUCUUUAGAGACACCCUUUUUUCCUCUCGGUUUCGCCUAAUACUCGAAUAUAUACAGGUAGAACUCAAAAAUUCAAGGACUAGGAUAAGUACUGGGGGGCUGGAUUAUAGCGCCUUACAAUAGGAUUCUCAAAUUCCAUCAUCAAGCAAAAAUUGAGAAAGUAAAAUUAUACAUCUAGGCUGUUUGAUUGGGGUCCUUGGGUGAGUCUCUGCAUCUCGUUUUGGUCGUUUAGAGUUUCGAUCAGAAGUGGCGGAGCAUAUUGGGCAGUCCCUUGGUGCUCUUCAGAAUCCUGGCAGUAUGAAAGAAUGAUGGUAUCGAUUGACAUCUCCACCACUCCAAAGAAAAGAGUGGCAACCACAUAACCAAGACCCCAGCAAACCUGCACAAACAUAUAAGAGCUGAUUAAUGACGGAACAUAUUCUACCCGACCAUUGUGCUCCGGUUCUUGUCAAUGGAAAAUAUACUAUGGGCAAUAUAAGGAAAACUUCAUUGAUGAAAGAGGUAUGUUCAUCCACUUUCCUGCCGUAGCUGUAUUUCAUUUCAAUCUUUCAUCAGAUAAUGGAAAAUCGUCACAAAAACACGCUGUCUUAGAUCAUAAACAUACCAACACGGGAAACAGUGGAGAAGUGAUCUUGUUGUGGGCAGAUUUGUAUUUGUGGGUAUCCAACAUCAGGAAAGCAAAGAGGGCUGUUGAGAGGCUGACACAUAAUUUUCCAAGGAAUAGGAUAACAUCUCCAAUUACAUUCACCCUCCCUAUCCGAAGAAUGUUAUUAAGGAUCAAAUCUGUUGCGAUUGCAGAAGCGUUGCAGAAGCUUUUACCUGUUAUGGCAAUCUGCAAAGUACAAGCACAUUUUUAAUAAAUCAGUCAGGUGCACAAACUAUAUAGAACAAAAGGUAUAAAAAAAUUCAGCAACCGGGUCUGAGACCCAGAAUAAAUAAUGAAAUAAGCACAAAAAAAGAGGAAGAACACGACCAUAUUGUCAUGUUUGGCACUCAUGCAGUACUGUGGCCUGUGGGUCACAAAAAAGUGAACAUACUCCGUGGUUUCAUGUGCCUUUUCUCACUCUAAUCUUUCAAGCUUCUCAUAGUUUUUAUUUCAUACUUAUACCCACUCUGACUACGUGUAGCUAGGUCCCAUAGUCAUGUUACACAACACACGAGUUUCAAAAGAGGCAUAUAACUCACACUAGAACCCUGACAUUGCAUACAGGAAACAUGUUUAAGACAUGAGAAUACUAUUGGAGAUGCAUUAUUUAAUCUUGAAAAAUAUUAUUUUCAAAAUUACUGGUUGAGGCAUUUGCAAUCUCGUCAAGCCAACAAAUAAGCUCCUCUUAUGCAUUUUCCAUACAAGGAUGAAUGAAUAUGAACAAACACAUGAGCAAUUGUGAUGGAUACUAGUUAUGUCAAAUUACCAUAAUGUAGGCAUUGCGAUUGGCUGAUCUGAUUGUCCACUCAAUACACAUCAGGCAAAAUCUAGAAGUAUGGUACACUGCCCUUCCGAACCAGUUAUUGGGUGUGGUUCCACCAACUUUUAUUCUGCGACGAAUUGACUCAAGCAUAAAGCGGAUUGAUUCCACAAAUGACACAAUCAGGGAGCCGAGAGCAACCGACCCAAGGUUAUAGCGAGCAAGCCUUCUCAUGGAGGCAAAGACUGGAAGAAAUGGAAUUUCCGGCUGCAUUGAAGAGAAUGAUGAGAAAUUGAAGAAAAAACAGACGCACAAUGAAAUAAAAUUUAACUGGUCCUCAUAAAGAAAAUCUCAGGUAACCCGAUUUGGAGUUACUAAAGACAAGGUCCACAAUAUUCAGACUCCAGUAGCUAUUACCUAUGUUUGGGGUGACAGUUCCCGAACAUAAAUUCAAAUGUAUAGACACAUGCGGACAUAGACAUGCUUGUCGACUAAGGAAUCUUAUGUUUUAAGAAGUAUGAAUAUUACUAAACUAUUUGAUGCUAUAAUAUCAACCUAGCAUUCAACUCCCAAGUACCAUGUUUAUAUACCUAUAUUGUUCAUUCUUGCAAUCCAAAUAACAAAGAUGAAAUCCAGACUUAUAAAAGAGACCGACAAGCAAACUUUGAGGUAAACAUCUAUGCAUACAGCUUAGUAACUUACUGAAGUUUCACCACGAGCCCAAUAAUAAGAGGCAACAGAACCCGCAAUAACUGUGGAAGAGCAUGCUAUAAAAAACUGGGUAGCCCAAUAUCCCCCAAAUAGGUGGAAAAGGAUGGAAACUCCAAUAUGAGGGGUGUAAUGAAUGCUAUAACCGCAACAAUGAUCACAGUUGACUCGUUUUGAUACAAGAUCAUAAGCACAGCAGUUCAAAUUGCAGUCAUUCUGGACUACCUGCCCAGAACUUAACAGAUGGAAAGCAGCUGAAAACCAGAACAUGUAGAAAAUUGCAAGGAUGGUAUAUGGAAUGACUGGAAAUAUUAUGAGCGCCUGAGCUUCUCCUAUGACCUUUGCAGCAACCUGCAUACAGUUUAACGUAUAGAGCCAUUAAAGUUAAAAGUAAAAACUUCUGAUGAAGAAGACUAUUCGGUAUUAUGUUAAAUCAAGCUAUGAGUGCUGGUAUUCCCAGAUGUGGAAGGUGCACAUGUUGGAUGUGCUCCUGGAAACAACAACAAAGCCUUGUCCCAAUAAGUGAGGUCGGCUGUAUCAAUCCUAGAACUUGGCUCAACAGAACCUCUGAUGCAUAAAUAAUACAUAAUUACUUCACUGUCUUAAACUAAUCAGCAUUCUUCCAGAAAUUAAAAAAGUCUAUUUUUGUAAUAGCAGGUAACAUGGCUCAACAGAACCUCUAAUGCAUAUUAGCUACACUCAGUCCUGCUCCAUACAAGUUCCUGACCAUCGUAAAUUUUCUUUAUUUGACAACUUGAAUCUGUAAGACAUCAAAGGAUAAAUAUGGAUUUGUGGAACAAUCCAUAAGAUCUUUCUUUGUACUUCCAGUUUUAGUAUAUUUCAUGCAACUCCAAAUGUGGACUUGUGGCACAAUCCAAAAGAAAAAUCUUAUGCCUAACCAAUCUCUAAAAUAAAUACAUAGAGGUCGCUUGUCCAUUAUUCAUUGUAUACUCUCUCUCUCAUUCUGUAUGUUUCUUCUUAACCAAAAAAUUCAGAGGGAAACAGUAUCCUAGCCUAAAUCAAAGGCAAAUACCUAAAACCUACAUCAACAUUUUACUAUGCAUGUAUUACCUACAACUUCUUGGAGCAGCUCCACCUAAUUGGAGUAUUUAGUUCUCAAAGCAGAGAAACCGUAACAAUUUGAAAUCAAACGGUCCCGACAACUUUAAGUAUCAUCAACUUUUACCAUUUAUUGUUCUUACAAUUUCAAAUUAUUAAAUUGGACAUGACUUGCCUUAAGAACAGAUGUUGCCAUAAGGAUGCGUCGAACUAUGGCUAUUGAUGUAAGAACAGCAACAACCAUAAUAAAGGUCAUAAUAACAGCAACAACACGGAUAUGAUGUAACUCCUGAAAUAUUGAAACCAUUGAGUUAGUUGAAGAUACAUACAGACAGCUUCCAAGUUUAGGAGUGCUCAGUUAAAGACGGUACACACCCUUCCAGUUAUGCGGAUGUAUGGAUCGUGCUCACCAAUAAUUGGGGAGAUGCCAUCAUUUCCUAUCCAUCCAGCUAAAAACCAAACAAGAAAAAUAAAUUUAGCACUGCAUUCUGUUGCAUAUUAUCCACUCUACAAGCAUAAAACUCAAGUAAAGAAAUAGAAAACUAGAAUAUGUGAAACAAUAUGCUUGAGUCUAAAAUAAGUAUCAGUGUUCACAAUGAAACAAAAGUAUCCAACAAGAAUGCUGAAACAAAAAGAUGCAUUUGUAUGAGAUCUCAGGAAAUCUCGGAAAUGACUUUUUAGAGUCCUAGACAUUCUUUCCCAUGUUCACUUCAAAAUCUGCUUGAUGACCAAAGCUAUACUAAUUUUUCCUUCCCCUCUUCCCCUCUUCCUCUCUUCCACUCUCCCUUUCUUGUAUAUAAGAACUGUCAACAUUUGUAACAAACCAACAACAGGAAUAUUGAUAGCUAAUGAUGAAUAAGAUCCAACUGGAAGAAGGGGUGAGGAAGGCAGGACUAAAGGUGAUUGCAACUUUAAAACCUAUAGCAUGGUUUACCAAACAAGAGGAUAACGCACAGUAAGAGAUAGCUCUCAACCUUUCAAGUAAUAGAACAUUGUGACUGCUAUCAUGAGAAUAUUAAAGAGGCCGACUGUAAUCCAAGGCAUUGCAGCAACAAAAUGACGAAUAAGAAGCAGCCAAAUCACAGACAGAAAAAGUGGCAAUAUUCCUCCACAAACAAUCAGCACUGGCCAUGCCUUUCCAAUAUCAGCCAUGUAUCUCUGUAAACAAUGAACUUUUAGAGCUGUCGAAUAUGAAAACAGUAUAUGUACUACUAACAAAAGGAUGCACCUAGGUACUGUCAAUGAGGAUAGCUCUUUCGAGAUAAUAUCAACAACAGCACUAAUAGCCAAAUUUACUAAAUGAACUAUGUAAAUGAUAACGCAACAUGGUGAAUCAAAAACUAGUUUUAGCCACUAAUUAUGUUCUUUGUUAAAUUAUUAUGCCAAUUGCAAACAAAGUCAAAUGCAGAAAACUUUAUACAUUUUUACAGAAUUUAGGAACUAUCCUCAUUAUAAAAAAGUAAAAGUAGUAAACAAACGCUGCUCGACCUUAAAGACAGAUGCCCGAGAAUUGAUGGCCUUGUGAAUAGAUUUGUCUAUAAUAAUGUCCUCGUUGAUAUUCACUCCACCCAUUUGCUGCCAAUGCCUCAAAGAUACGUUGGAGGGACGAGCAAUAAAUUGGCAGGUCCAAUAAACUGUGAAAGAAAGAGUUUGCAUUAAUGUUAAAAUGAAAGAAGAAAAGAUACAUGCAUUGAAUAGGGACUACAGUUCUUCACUAUAUGUCAAAAGUUUUCUCCCACUGAUAAACACAUGUACACAACAAACAUGACAUAUGCAACAGAAAAUAUUUGUGCAGGAACACAAUUAAUAAAUAUAAUACAUGAUACAGUUUACUGGUCCCUAACGAAAGUGAGUUCAUUUACCAUUUACACUGGGAAAUAUGACUGGGUAGCAAGGACCCUGAAGUUGAAGAGAGGUGUUUCUCAUUUCUGGUGUAAGGAACUCAUAAUAAUCAUAAUUCCUGUCGAUCCAAUCACCCAUUUUGAGACGGAUAUCUCCAUCAGGAUAAUCACACACCCAACUUAAUGAAUCUACAGAUGGGGUAGGGCAAUCCAUUAAGCAUAUACUCCGAGCAUUAGCCAAUUUAAAUUGAUUGUCUUUUAAACCACUUAGGUAAACCUGGUUAGGAUUUAACCAAUAUUUGAGUUCCAGUUCAUGAAGACCAGGUUUUGCAUGCUUGUCACCACAAACAUUUCCUUUGUAGUCCAGUCCAUAAGUGAGCCUGAUCAACCACAACACUAUUAAUGAAAAUGACAAAACCAAGUAAAGAGAAUUCAACUAUGUGGAAGAAAUGUAACCGCAGCGUAGCAAAAUGGAGCAAGCAUACAGAAAUUAAACAAGGUAGCGAAAUGUAAACGAAAUUAGUGCACAAAACUGAACGAAAUCCAAAAGGAAUGCAGACCAACCCAAGUAAAAUGCAGUAAUGGUUAUCUAAACAUAAAGAAGGAAACCUGCCAGAAGAAAAUGUACCGAAACUAAAAUAGCAUUUCGACUUUUGAAAAAAGGAAUGACAUCAAGUUUCUCUACUAACAAAUCACAUAUACACAAACUCAGCAUUUCAUUUUUAGCUUCUUACCAACAUUUAUCCAGCAACAAAACUUCACUAGAAAAGGGAAAACAGAGGGAAAUUGAAAACCCAACAACGAUACUAUCGUAAAAACAAACCCAAUUGAGAAGAAUACCAACUUUGCAAAAAACUCAGAACCACCAAACAUCAUCAUAUGUUUAAGGUAGUUCCUUGGUGUUUAAAAAAAAUAGACAAUUGGGGACCAAACCCAAAUAAAUAAAGCAAUUUCCGGUCUCAUUUAUUCCAACAGAGAAGUAACAAUGUGUACAGAGAAAACAUCCCCCCACCCCCAAAAAAUACCCAUUUUGCAAUACCUCGUAUUUCUGAGCUAAAAAAGGAACCAAUUUGAGAGCCGAUGAUUCUUACCUUAAAACCCACAAAAUGAAGAAAAAUUUUGCCAAAAACGAAAGAAAAGGGCAUGGCUAAGUUUCUUACCUUAAAGGGUUUCCUUGGUUGAAUCCAAAGCUGGAGUUAACAAUCAUGGCAACCCAGAAGGCUAUGAAGAUUACGAGGAAGACAAGGUCCCUGCAUUUCCUGUUGUGCCUAAUGAUUGAACCCAUUUGGGCACUCCCAUCACUUGGUGGGUACCUCCCUAUCACUGCCCCCAUAGGACCCCUCAUUUCUCUCAGUGAAUACCACACUCGCCGACACAGAGAUUGUUUCUCUCCCUGUCAGUCUUCUUCAACAAUGAGAGAGCGAGAGAGAGAGAGAGAUGAAAAGACAGCAGGAGGAGGGAGUGUAGGUUGGACUGGGACUGUGUGAAAGGUCCAGAGGGUUUUCAAGAUGUGGAAUAUUUGUUUAAUGAAGUCGUCUCUCUUUCCGACUUUAAGACAAAGAUAUGUUCUUGUCAAGUGGCUCGGCUUACAGCCUUAUACUAUGGCUCAUAGGCUACUAAAUUACUAUUGUCUUUUUCUUUUUUUUCUAUUUAUACAUACCAAAUGAGAGACGAUAAAAUUUAGAAUUUCAGUGCAGAGGUGAAUGUUGUAAAUAAAUAAGUUUGUGGUGUGAUAAUAAUAAGUUUUUAUUUUAUUGUAUAUGGUUGUAUUGAAGUGAAACAAUAGCGUCAGUAAGUUAAAUAUUAGAUUAGCUACUGACGGGAUUCGAACCUACCCCGUUAUGUAAGGGCACAAUACUUUUCCACUACUGUAGUAAAGAACCACUUGUAAUAUGUCAAUUGUCAAUAACCUAACCCAAUGAGUCUCAUGUCACAUCCCGGCUCGGGGCGGACCACUUCCUGGGUCCAAUCUACCACCGUAGCACAAUAUUGUCCGCUUUGAGCCCUAACUACACCCUCACGGUUUUGUUUCUGGGAACUCACACGAGAACUUCCCAGUGGGUCACCCAUCAUGGGAUUGCUCUCGCGCGCUACUCGCUUAACUUCAGAGUUCCGAUGGAACCCGAAGUCAGUGAGCUCCCAAAAGACCUCGUGCUAGGUAGGGAUGGGAAUAUACAUUUAAGAAUCACUCUCUUGGACGAUGUGGGAUGUUACAAUCCACCUCUCUUAGGGCCCGACGUCCUCGUCGGCACACCACGGCCAGGGUUAGGCUCUGAUACCAUUUGUCACAUCCUGGCUCGGGGCAGACCACUUCUCGGGCCUGCUCCACCACCGUAGCACGAUAUUGUCCGUUUUGGGGCCCAACUAUGCCCUCACGGUUUUGUUUCUGGGAACUCACACGAGAACUUCCUAGUGAGUCACCCAUCAUGGGAUUACUCUUGCACGCUACUCGCUUAACUUCGAAGUUCCGAUAGAACCCGAAGUCAGUGAGCUCCCAAAAGGCCUCAUGCUAGGUAGGAAUGAGAAUAUACAUUUAAGGAUCACUCCCCUGAGUGAUGUGGGAUGUUACAUCUAAUGUCGGGUUAGGUUAUUGUUUUUUUAUUUUUGUAAUAUGUCAAUUGUCUUCUAUAUGGUGAAAACUUCAUUGAUCCAGAAAACAAAAAAGCAGAAUAAGAAAAAGCUGCAUAAAAAUUAGAAACCAAAUGAGCCGUUAAAAGUAAAGCAGCUCAGAGUCCUAGCCGCUGCACAAAACAAGCCAGUAUGGGUGGCUAUAUUAAUAUAUUAUUAAUUAAUUAUUAAUAAAGAAUCUAAAUAGAAUUUUGAUUAUAUUUAAAUAAUUCCGCCGCUUAGAGGAUAAUAAAGACACACUCUGUCACAGAGACACUGAUAAGGAAAUGUUAGUGUGCGAUUGCAGGGCUCAGCUAAUGUUCUUGUUCUCACUCUGUUAGCCGUUGGAUUUGGUCCCCCUCUCAUAUCCUGAUGUCCAGAUCCAAAUGAGCAUGUAGCCUGUACUUUAACCCUAUCUUCUCUUUCAAGCUUUCAACAUUCCCCAAUUUACGAAUUAAUUUUUUUUUUUAAACAAGCAAUAUUAUUUACACUAAUGAGGUGGAGUUUAUUCUCACAAUAGGCUAGUAAUAAUUUGUUCAAAUUCUCUUUUGACGAAAAUCGAACCUAAGACCUGUCACUUACAAGUGAAGAAUAAUACUGCUAGACCAUAGUAUUAAAUGACAAUUAAAUUAUUUUAUUUGAAAUGAAAUACUUUUAUGUUUGCGAGUCACUAUUUAUCAAUAAGAUAGCGAUUGUAACGAGCUUGUAAAUUAAAUGCUUAAGAGCAUUUAAUUUUGGCAUCAGUAAAUUCAUUUCACUUUUCUCGAUAACAUUUAGAUAAAAAGCAAAUAAAAUGUUGAAGGGGUGAAACUUUUUUUGUGCUUCAAUAAAUUGUGUCAAUUUCUUUCAAUUAAUAAAUUAUUUAUUCGCACGAUAACAUGUGAAUGUUAUGUAUACGAGUCUCACAUUACAAUCUAUAACCCAUGUCAUAAUAUUGUCAGCCCUCCUACACCCAUUCCUAUAAAGUAACACCCCAUAAGCUGGUUUGAUAUUGUUGUGCUUUAAAAAAAAACUGUUUCUGUUGUGCUAUGAGAAUAAGCAGCUGUGAAUAAAGCAACAGAGUGUUUGGUAAAUUUUUUUGUAAAAGUGCUUUUGAAAAAAAAAACAAUAUUAUAGUAUUUGAUAAACUUUUAUGUAAAACAGAUGUAAAAAAAAUCUAGUUUUUCAAAGCUGGGUUUUGCAGCUUUGUGUUUUUGGGUUUUUUUUUUAACCAAAAACUGUGAAAAAAACUGAAGCUGAAUGUUUACCAAACAUAAAAAAGCUGACCAGGGCUGAGUACUGGUUUGGUACUGAAGUGCUUUUAUAAAAAGUGAGUAUAAAAAAAUGAGCUCGAAAAUGUGUUUGGUAAACACUUAAAAACAACUUAUUUUCAUAGUUUUGGGUGAAAAACAAAAGUUGAAAACAUGUAGCAGCAAAAAUGAGCUUAUUUUCUUAGUUUUGGGUGAAAAAAAAAAGUUGAAAACGUGUAGCAGCAAAAAAGAGUUUAUUCUCACAACACAGCAGAAGUAAUUUUUUUUCAAAGCACAGUAAUACCAAACUAGCCCUAACUUGGAUGGAGGGAAGUCACGAAUCUGAAUAUUGAGGAAUAUAAUAGUAAGUAAGAGAUCAGUGAUCCUAAUGUUUAUUUUUUAUGGCGUGUUUACUAAGGGGUAAUGAAACGAGUGGAAACGGAAUUGCACAGAGUUCGAGCAAUUCCCUUGUUUACUAGUGUGAGAGGAAUGAAAAUCUGGGUGGGACCCAACUCAAUUCAGGAAUCACGUUCCGAAAUUUCCCGGAGUCGGAUUCUCUAACAUUCGGUGGUAUUUGGAUUCCUUGAAUUGAUGUCCUCCAUCAAUCAGACUUUUGUUCCAAAAUUGCCCUCAAUUCGUCUUCUCCAGAAAUCCACCAAUUUAGGAGGCGGUGGGAGGGAUCUGUGAAUAUGGAAAGUUGUUGGGGCUGGGGAAGAAGAUGAUAUGGAGGAAAGGGGGAAGCGUGAAGGACCUAUGAAAACGGGAGUUGAUGGGAAGGGUUGGGAAAGAAAAUGGGGAAGGCGUGGGAGGGCUGUGCAGGUUGAGGAAAGAAACAUUGGGGACCCACCUCUCGCUGAACAAGUCACACCCUUCGUCGGUCUUGUCGACGACAUACGACAACUUCUCUCUCUUCUUCCAUAGCCCCAAAACAAAAGACCCAAUUUACUAAAUUCCAAAGUUUCAAUUUUUUGCAUCGGAAAAAGGGUUAAUUCAGUGGAAUGGGGUGGGUUGACUCACCUGUUUUGAUGACGAUUGGGUCGGAGCUAGAGGUGAGUUGAAGCUGCUGGCCAAAAAUGCAGGUGAGGUCCUCGCCGUAGAGGACGCAGACGAAUAGGAUGAAGACGAAGAGGGUGAAGAAGUAGGGAGAGAGUUGAGCCUUGCGGAAGAUAACCAGAGUAAUUUAUUUUAACAAGGGCAAUUUAGUAAUCAAGUUAGUUUUAAUUCCGAUUGAGGUAAAUUAGUAAACAAGUUAUACGAAACCAAUAUCAUUCUUACUCCGAUUCCAGAUAGUUUAGUAAAUAACUUUAACAAGAAUCCAAUUCUGAUUCCCACUCAAUCCAACUCCUCCUCAAUCCAAUUCCUCUUUAAUUCAAUUCCCUUCAAUCUGAUUACGGAUUAGUAAACAAGCCCUAAGGGAUUACAUAUUGUAAUUUAAGUCUCUUAAAACAAUGUGGAAUAUUUUGAGUUCCUUAAUACGCAAGAAUCGAAUUGCACCAGAAAGUCACUUAAAAGGAAAUUACUUGUUAUUCAAGUUUCAACUCCAUGGUUCCUACUGGGAAAGGAACUCUCCCCUCCACUAUAAAUAGGCCAGAAUUUAGUUUCCAAAGGCACGCCGGGCGCAAGCCUCUGGUUUUCUUUUCUCCAUCUGUUUUAUAGGGUUUCGGCGCGACAGCGUCCAGCGUUCUGUAAAGAGCACUGAUCAGUUUCAAGCCUAAGGGGAUUCUCCAGAAAUUCUGGCAUCAAGAAACGUCGAAGAUAAGUUACCCAGCUUGCUUCGAAUUUCCAGUUUUAGUUUGAUUAGUUCCCCAAUAUCCUCAAACAUCCAAUUCUCGACCAAACCCUAUAACUAUUUUCCAUGAUUCGUCGGAGAACAACCCCAAGAACUCAAAUUUAUGAGCCACUGAAAAAGAAAGCGAGACGAGAAGAAAAAUGAGGAGAAGAAGACAUGAUCACCAGAUUACCGGAGGAUAUUUGCUGCCAUAUUCUCACAUUCUUGCCAAUUACACAUGCCGUGGCCACUAGCGUGCUCUGCAAGAAGUGGAAAAACCUAUGGACUUCUGCUUCCUUCACAAACCUAGAGCUUGAUGACUGGUUACUGCUUCGCCUCGAAAGCUCCAACACCAUGUACAACUACGCUUCCCUAUUCGCCACCUUCGUUAUCAACGUGCUCCGCCUCAUCAAUUUGCCAUGCAUACGAAAACUCGCAUUCUUUUGCUCCGACCCUAACAAUCUGAAUUGCAUAAAUUCUUGGUUUCUUCGUGCAUGCACAUCCAAUACAAUUGAGGUCGAGAUCAGGAUUUCUUACACGAAAACCCGAUUAAACUGCCUCAAAUUUUGUAUGUCAGCACUUCGCUUCUCGUACUAAAACUAAAUGGGAACAUACGGCUGGAUUUUCCUCCAGAUUGCGUGUGUUUUCCGAGCCUCAAGGUUCUCUGGAUAAAGGUUUAUAGCAAAGAUGGUAUUAGUGUCACAGAGAAUCUUUUCCACAUCUGCCGUGUGCUUGAAGAUUUGUUCAUAGAGGGUGACAUACUGUACAAGAAAAGGGAAGUGGUUUUAAAGGUGAAAUCGAAUACCCUUAAGAGGUUGAAGAUUGAAUGUUUGGUGCAUAAUUUCAAUGGUGAUAUCGACUAUAGCUUUGUGGUUGACUGCCCGAACCUCAAGAACCUUGAGCUCUGCGAUGACUUCUUGGCCAAGUACAGAAUCACUGCGGGUUUGAAGGUUCUCGAUUAUGCAAAGAUUUGUAUCGGAGACCCUUCAGCAGAUUACGGUAAACUUGAGCUCUAUUUCGAGGUAAUUCGCUCAAAUCGUGCGUUUGAGCUUCUUGAAACACUCUCCAAUGUCAAGUCCUUAUCGUUGUCCAGAAGUACUACAUGUUAGAGUAUAUAGGAUAUGGAGGGUGUGGAUCAUGACACAUGUAAAUAACCAAAUACGUAAGGCAGUUAAGAGUGUGGCUGUUAGAAUAAUUAGUUAGGAUUGUUGGUAAUAGACUGAGUUGGUUAAGGCAGUUAGCUUAAGACUCAUCUAUAUAGCAACUAUCUCUUGUAACCAUUCAACUAAUCAAGAAAAUUAGAAGUGUGAUAUCUCUCUCUCUCUCUCUAAACCUCUCUGUUAUCUUUUUCACUGUGAUCUCUUGGUUCUUCUUAUGUUGCUUAACAUGGUAUCAUCAUCUUGAAAUCUAUUCGUGAUUUCUCGAUUCUUGGUCUGCUUCCGCUACUAUCUUCUUUCUCAAUAUACUGAUUCUCUGUGUUGUUCUGAAAAUUUUGGGCGUCUCUCUUGUCCCAAUCCUCUGAUCUGUUCUUGGUGAAUUCUAGCACACCAGGUGUUUGAUCUUCUGUCUCACUCAGAUUCUAUCAAGAUGAUCACUGCAAAUCAAUUGCAAAUAUUGCAAUCACCGAUUACCAAUCUGAUUGCAUCAGUCUCUAAUUCAGUUACUGUGAAGUUGGAUGAUUCCGAUUAUCUUCAAUGGCAUUUUCAGUUGCAAUUAAUGCUUGAAGGAUAUGGAAUCAUGGGGUUUGUCGAUGGCACUAAUGUGUCCUACUCAGUUUUCUUCAUCUGGGUCUCCUAAUUCGGAUCUAACCUCUACAUCUUCCACUCCACAAACUGAAACUGAUGAAUAUAAGAUUUGUAAGAUGCAUGAUCGAGCUUUCAUGCAACUUCUUACUGUAACUUUGUCAUCCUCAGCCAUUUCUUGUGCCAUAGGCAGCACUAGCUCUAGGGAUCUUUGGAUUCGGCUUCAAGAACAAUUCUCUACUAUUAGUCGUACAUCCAUUUUUCAGAUGAAAGUUGACCUUCAGAACAUCAAAAAGGGUUCUGAUUCUGUGUCCAUGUAUCUUUAACGGAUUAAAACAGCCCGAGAUUUUCUUGCAGCUGCAGGAGUUAUCUCUGCCGAUGAAGAUAUUGUGAUAUUGGCCCUCAAUGGUCUUCCUGUUGAAUAUAACACGUUCAGAUGUGUUAUUCGUGGAAGGGAAAAUGUUAUAUCUUUUAAGGAGUUUCGUUCUCAAUUACUUGCAGAGGAAGUCACUAUUGAGAACACUGCCUCAAUGCCAUUUAUGUCUGCAAUGAUGACCAAGAACAAUAGUCAAGGAUCACAAAGUUAUGAUGUUGGGAAUUCUUCUUCAAAUGGUCUUCAUAGUCAUUCUCCGACAAUCAACAAUGGUGGUAAUUUUGGAUUUACUGGUCAAUCUCUGACAAUCAACAAUGGUGGUGAUUUUGGAUUUACUGGUCAACAUGGACAAUCCAAUUUUUUCAAUGGUGGAAAUCGGUCGAAGUAUAAAGGGAAAGGGAAAUUUAACAACAAUCAAGGACAGAGAUAUUAUAAGCCUGUGGUCCAUGAUUUUGCACCUGGAAUUCUUGGGACUCCAUCUUCCUAUCAUAAUGGUGCUUUUUCUUCAAAUGUUAUCUGUCAGAUUUGCUCUAAACAUGGUCAUUCUGCUGCCACUUGUAACUAUAGAGAUGCUGAACCUGUUGAGCCUUGUCAAAUAUGUGACAAGAAAAAUCAUACUGCCAGAACCUGUUUCUUCAGGAAUAAAUCUUCCAAUCAAGUCCCACACAUGGCUGCCAUGAAUACUACUCACAUGCUGUCUUCUCAAAUGUCCAACUUUGUCCCUUUGGCUACCACAACACAAUAUUCACUUGAAGUUUGGCUCACGGAUUCUGGGGCCACAAACCAUAUGACUAUUGAUAUGAGGAAUCUAAGCUUGGCAUCACCAUAUCCAGUCACUGAAACUGUUCAGACUGCAAAUGGGGAAGGUUUGCAAGUGUCUCACGUUGCCACAUCUCUCUUAAGGACUUCUCUUUAUCCUUUGAAAUUGAACUCAGUUCUUUAUGUGCCCAAACUGUCUCAUAAUCUUUUAUAUGUGCAUCGAUUAUGUUUAGACAAUAAUUGUUGGCUAAUAUUCGAUGCAUUCUCUUUUUGGAUCCAGGACAAGGCCACAGGGAGAGUUAUAUUCCGAGGAGCUUGCAAUAAUGGACUCUAUCCCAUUCCAUCCCUUCUACCAAACCAAUCUGCAUCCAAUUCUAAACUCAUGGCUUGCUUGGGGAAAUUAGUCAAUUCAACUCUUUGGCACAAUCGACUAGGUCAUCCUUCCAACUCAGUUUCUUCUACAAUGCUUAAGAAGUCGAACAUUGUCACUGUCCAUGAUACACCUUCCACAUUGUGUCAACACUGUUUAGAAGGGAAAUUUAGCAAGUUACCUUUUCAGUCUGUUCAAUCAAAAUAUGUGGUUCCUUUUGAGGUGAUACAUAGUGAUUUGUGGGGUCCAGCACCUUGUCAAUCUGUAGAUGGUUUUAAAUACUAUGUUCUGUUCAUAGAUGAAUGUACUAAAUUCAGUUGGAUUUUUUCCUUAAUCAAUAAAUCUGAUUUUUUCCCUACAUUUGUCUCCUUCUAUCAUUCUGUUUGCACUCAAUUUACAACCAAAAUUAAAACUUUUCAAAGUGAUGGAGGAGGAGAGUUUAUAAGCAAAAAGUUUCAAGCUUUUCUUACUGCACAAGGUGUGUUUCAUCAGCUUUCAUGCCCCUAUACACCUGAACAAAAUGGGUUGGCUGAACGAAAACAUAGACAUAUUGUAGAGACUGCCCUUACUUUGUUGCAAACUGCUCAUUUAUCCCCAUCAUUUUGGACAUAUGCCUGUCAUACUGCAACCUAUUUGAUCAAUAGAAUGCCAACCCCUGUCCUUCACAACAAAUCACCAUUUGAACUUCUAUAUAACGAUGUCCCUGACCUUUCUCACUUAAGGGUGUUCGGUUGUUCGUGUUAUCCUCUCCUUAAAUCAUAUAACAUUUCCAAACUGCAACCUAAAACCUCUCGGUGCUUAUUUUUGGGAUAUGCUUCUCAUUAUAAAGGUUAUAUCUGUUAUCAUUUACAAACCAAAACAACCUACAUUUCGAGACAUGUCCUGUUUAAUGAACUUGAAUUUCCAUUCUCAUCCCUACCAAUUUACCCAACCUCUAAGAUCAUUGCUCCCACUCCAUCACUUGCCACUGCACCAUUACCAACUCCAACCUUUCAAAAUAUCCUUGUCUCACCAAUUUCAACCUCUAGAGUGCAAACUUCAUCUUCGGUUCGGGAUACUUCAUAUUCAUCACCUCAAGGGCAUGCACAGUCACCUUCAUCCAAUUGUCAAUCACCUCUCUUGCAUACAGGGUCACUUCACAGAUCUAUUGAGUCCACAGAUUUGUCCCACUCUUCUAGCUCAUAUAAGACUACUACCCCACCCAACUCACAGUCCAUUAUUGCUGCUUCAUCCUCCUCUACACCUUCUCAUGUGGCCCUUGAUUUCUGUCCUGAGACACUGCAAGUUGUUCUUGAGAUUCCACCUAUGAAUCUCCAUCCGAUGCAGACUCAAUCCAAAAGUGGCAUUGUGAAGCAUAAAGCCUUAUAUGCAUCAGUUUGUGAUUCUGGAGGGGUUGAUCUUACUACAACCGAGCCUGCCACAUAUAAGUCAGCUUUGAAAGAACCAGUGUGGCAUAAGGCUAUGACUGAAGAGAUUGAAGCCUUACAUUCUCAAGGAACCUGGAGUAUAGUCGACCUUCCUUAUAACAAAAAUCUUGUUGGCUGUAAGUGGGUCUUUAAAAUCAAGAGGAAUUUUGAUGGGACAAUUGCGCGGUACAAAGCGAGACUGGUUGCAAAAGGAUUUAAUCAGGAGCAUGGACUUGAUUAUGGUGAAACCUUCAGUCCAGUUGUUAAACCAACCACUGUCCGGUUAGUCUUAGCUUUGGCAGCUCAUCAUGAUUGGCCCCUACAUCAAUUAGAUGUCAAAAAUGCCUUUCUUCAUGGUUUUCUUCAAGAAGAAGUUUAUAUGUCCCAACCUCCUGGCUUUGAAGAUCAUCAUCAUCCUCUUAAAGUUUGUCGGUUACACAAGUCUCUCUAUGGCCUCAAGCAAGCCCCAAGGGCUUGGAAUGCCAGGUUCACGAGCUUUCUGCCUACAUUGGGGUUCCAUAAUACAUAUGCUGAUUCAUCGCUCUUUGUCAAGAGCUCUGGUUCUUCACUUGUGAUUUUGUUGCUAUACGUUGAUGACAUAAUCCUCACUGGCAAUGACCCUAAGCUGAUUACACAAGUUAUUACAGAUUUAACAAAGGAAUUUGAUCUCAAAGAUCUUGGGUCUCUUCAUUAUUUUCUUGGGAUACAAAUCACAAGAACAGCUGAAGGGUUAUUCUUAUCUCAAGAAAAGUAUGUGCACGAUUUGUUGCAGAAGACUGAAAUGCUUAAAUCUAAACCAUGUGCCACUCCCUGUUUACCUUAUAACAGGUUAUUGAAGGAUGAUGGGGACCCAUUUAAUCAUCCCACCCUCUAUAGAAGUAUUGUUGGUGCCUUACAAUACUUGGUUUUUACCCGACCUGACAUAGCCUUUCCAGUUAAUCAAGUUUGUCAGUUUAUGCAGUCUCCAAUGGCUUCUCAUUACUUGGCUGUGAAGAGGAUCUUGAGGUAUCUCAAAGGGACUAUGACACAUGGCAUUCGAUAUACAAAAGGCAGUUUAUCACUUCGAUCGUUUAGUGAUGCAGAUUGGGCUGGAGACCCUAAUGAUAGGCGGUCUACAACAGGUUUGGUGGUGUUUCUUGGUAACAAUCCUAUCUCUUGGGCUUCAAAGAAACAACAAACCGUCUCAAGGUCAUCAAUUGAAGCUGAAUAUCGCGCCCUUUUAUCCACUGCUGCUGAAUUGGAUUGGCUGCAACAAUUGUUUCAAGUUCUACAAGUUCGUAUUCCGCACCCCCCAGUUCUUUUUUGUGACAAUCUUUCGGCCAUCGCACUAUCCUUUAAUCCCGUUCAACAUCAGCGCACCAAACAUAUUGAAGUUGAUGUUCACUUUGUGAGAGAACGGGUUGCAAGUAAGAAACUCUUGGUUCAGUUUGUCUCUUCUUCUGAGCAGGUUGCUGAUAUUCUUACCAAAGGUUUGAGUUCGCCAUUGUUCAAGACUCACUGCAACAAUCUCAUGCUUGGGCCACCAUGAGCUUGCUGGGGGAUGUUAGAGUAUAUAGGAUAUGGAGGGUGUGGAUCAUGACACAUGUAAAUAACCAAAUACAUAAGGCAGUUAAGAGUGUGGCUGUUAGAAUAAUUAGUUAGGAUUGUUGGUAAUAGACUGAGUUGGUUAAGGCAGUUAGCUUAAGACUCAUCUAUAUAGCAACUAUCUCUUGUAACCAUUCAACUAAUCAAGAAAAUUAGAAUUGUGAUCUCUCUCUCUCUCUCUCUCUCUAAACCUCUCUGUUAUCUUCUUCACUGUGAUCUCUUGGUUCUUCUUAUGUUGCUUAACACUACAGGGGUAAGUUUCUAUGCCUUCCGUUAACUUUAUGUUAUUCACAUUCAAGUUGUUGGACUAUGAAUUACGACGACAGAUUAGAUUGAUUCUUGCCUGAAUAUGAGGUCCAAAUUACCAGAACUAAGUCAUAACUACGUUUCAUUCACCAUUUUAGUUAAGUACAACAUAUGCUGCGUAUAGAAACUAACCAUGUUCUUUGCUUUUGAAUGUUUUGCAUGUCAAGGCCGUCAGCUAUUCCUACGAGACUCGGGACAACGUAGAAGAGAUUGCACUGCAGAUCCGGUUGAAAUUUCGCGGUAAGGUUUCCCUUCCUUGCGUGUUUGGAGCUCGUUUUCUGUACUUGUGAGAGCUGGAACUUAUUGGCGUUGCUUCUGCAUAGCUCUCCUAAACUGCUCUACCUUAUCCUGAGAAUUGACUGGAGAUUAUAGAGAGACUUUGCCUUCAGAAGAUUGUUGUACAAAACGCCGGAAGGAUCCACGCCGGAAUGCUUGGUGCUCUGCCUUCAAGAAAUCGAGAUUUGGGGGUUCGAAGGGGCGUUGUAUGAGUUCACAGUGGUAGAGUUCCUUUUAGCUCAUGCCGAAGUUUUGCGAAAAAUGACAAUCCAUGUACAAGAAGAAGUAACACCAGAUGCAGCGAUGAGGUUCAAAGAUCAAGUGUUGCAAUAUCCGAGAACUUCAGAAGCAUGUCAAGUGGAGAUAAUCUCAACUAAAAACAUGGAAAAUUGAAAGAUUAAAUUAUCUUUCAAAUUCAUGCUCAUCUGUCGACUCUGCAAUUUCCGAGAGUAUGUUUCCUCUCAUUCGAGUCUGUUACAUAUAGGGCUGUAAAUCGGUUUGAAACAGCUCGAGCUCGCACCGAGUUUGGCUCAAGUCUUUUACAGCCUAAUAUUUUGGGGCAUCUGAAAUUUAACAUUUGUUCCUUUCUGAAAGAGUCAUGUCAUUAUUCAUUCAGUAAUGCUACCUAGACACACGAAACUACCUCUCUAAUUAAGAUGGAUCCCACAUACAUUGCCUCUUAAUAAUAUCGGUGUUUCUCAAAAGCAUAAAGGAGAUGGGUGACUUUCAUGAUGAUCAAUGUGCUAAGAAAUCAGUAAACAACAUACAUCCUUUACUAUGCAUCUUCAAAAAUGGCUAAAUCGCUGAGGAGAACGACGGUCACCAAAUAUUUCACCCUAGAAUGUAUGACAACCAGGCUAAAGUGGACAGCAGAUACAGAGGGUACCUUAACAGUUCCGUCUAGCUAUGAAUCUAUGCACGGAAGUUUCUUUUUUAUAGUAGAAACCUGACGGAAUUAAACUCUUGAAAUUACAGUGAACCUUUUUCACACAGCAGCAUCAGGGUCCAACCUUCUCUGAAUAGCAGCAGCAGCCUGAAAAUAAGAGGUAAUACCAUAAACAAAAAGCGAGAAAUGACUUUAAGAAUUACACCAAGACUGCUCAGUUACUUAUCCUCACCUCCAUGUUUCCAAUCUUGUACUGGUAAGCCAUCUCUUCCCUGAGUUGAGCUUGCUCUUUCAUUGCUUGUGCCUGAAAAUUGAAAUACUUGAAGGGUGACAAAGUGUAUCUUCGACUUGGGAUGGAUUUAGGUACAAUAAACAAGUUGAACGUUAUAAGAGUGAUGAAACAGAAACAUACCAGUCCACUCUGCAUUGAGCGCUUCAGAGCCUCUACUUCUUCUUCCUUUUGCUUUUCACGCACUCGCAUCAUUUCUUGCCUGAAUAGCAAUGUAUAAUAUAAUAUUAUGAACCAAACCAAAGAAUGAAAAUUUGGUCCUACAGAUCCAAAACGGUAUUAUGUUUCUCCUAUCCUGUAUCAAUAAACAGUUGCCUGAACAUUUUUUUCUUUGCAUGCAAAUCCCAAAAUAAACUUUCUAACACAAGUUCACUUACCAGUACCUUUUGCUAUCCCUUUACAUUGAUUAUAAUAAAAGUUCCUUUUGUUUUUCCCUUUUAUUGCCAAAAUAUUCACACACCUCUUUUUACCUUCCACACACCCCCUGUUAAUUUUUGUCCUUUGAUCGUCCUUAAUUCAUGAAAUCCAGACGGCCGGAAAUUAAGAGGGUGAGUGGAUAGCACCACCCUAUUAUUAAGUAAGUACAGCUACGUGAAUUAUUAAUUGUCCUAUAGUACAAAAUAAAGUUACUAGACAAAAUGUGAAAGCCACAGUAUAAGUGAGUGAUUGAAACAUUUGCUAUUCCAACGAAAACUAUAUGAAUGUAUUGAAAUUGAAGGUUGCUAAAACUCGUCCUACAAUGAAAUAGCAAUAAAACAUACCGUUUCUGUUCUUCGUCAUUGAAUACAAUACGUUCUGUUGGCGUAACCUUCUUAAAACCUCUUUUAAUUUCCUUCUCCAUUUUAUGCCUGUAGUAAUUAUCAAGGCUGUAGUACCUGCAACCACAAAAGUUAAAGUAAUUACUUUUCAUUCUGUGGUAUUACAUUGUACACAAUUUUGUAUACGGCCAUGCACUUUCACAGGAUUUCUAGCGAAGAUGACUAACAAGUAAGGGAAAAAGAAAGGUGAGAACAUACAUCCAAUCUCCUCCUUACAAAACCAUUCCCACCACCACCACCACCACAACCAACAAUGCCUUAUCCCACUAAGUUACACGUGUAAAAUUAAAAGCACACAACCCUUUUUAAUUCAAAUCUUAUCUCCCCAUUUUUUCAUCUCGAUUUAACUGAAGUCUGGCACGUUCUGUUGUCAAAUUGUGAACCAAAAUCAUACAUUGAGACACAAGGUCAACUAAUCACCGAUUCCAAUCUGGCAACACAAAAUAAGGGGUCACACAUAGUUAUGAUAACAACACUUGAAAGAAUUAAGCAAAUCAAGAAGCAUAUUUCACUAAAUAGAACAAACACAGAUUUCAUUCGCCUCUAAAUCCUCAAUACCUAAAGGAAAAGUGUGAACACCACAACCUCAGGUUCAAAAAUAAAUCGCGACCGAUCGACAUAAAGCAGCAUCUCAUUUUAUUAGGCCCAGCCUAAUUUAGGUGCUUAUGCAUAUUAAGAUACAAAAUCUACAAAAAGAAAUAUGCAAAUCUAACUUUCCCCCCUAAAAGGUGAGCACCGCAACCUCUUACAUUACAACGACAAGGACAAAGCUUUAUAACUUUUUCUUUUCGGACAAGUAAAUUGAAGUGCACCAAGAUAAUAGAGUAGAAGCUUACUUUUUCGAAGGGAAGGUAGCUGUAUUGUGAUCUUCCAUGAACCUAUUAAAAGAAAACAAAUUUCUACUGAGAUUGUACGAUUCGAAAAUUAAAAGAAUAACGCUAACAAGUUCUUGUGAUCUUCAUCAUAUAGAUGGUGUCAGUGAAAAAAAACCAAACGAGACGCCAAAAUAAGAUAGAAAAUAAAUGCAAAUCCACAAACACACACACACACACACUUACUGUUUGAACAUCUGCUUCUCUUCCCAAUUUGCCAGAUGUUCCAGGUUCACCUGAUGAAAGAUAAAACAAUCACCAUUAAAACUAUACUAUCAACGACGGCAACUCGGAAAUGGAUCAACGCAUGGCUUCGAAACACAUACAAAUCAAAAGGAAAACUCUACAAUCUUUGAAACUUUACGAAUGAAAUAAUACAUCCUGCAAAUGAAUGGUUUCAUGGGGUGGUAAAAUAAUUGGAAACAAUGAAUUACCUGUUUUACUUCCUGUAACCAUGCUGUGAACUCUGGUCGUUUGUUCCUACACACAACAGUAACCAUCAAAUUCGAAUGGGAAAAGUAAAUUUCUUUUUCCUAAAUUUUCUCAGCAGCCAAACAGAAAGUUAAGACCCUAUAACCGUAGAAUAUUCAGCAAACAUACCACAUAUCAGUUUCUCUGAUGAUCCCAUACUUCCCCCACGAAUUCGUCACCGCUCCUACAUUUCCUUUCUCCUUCUUCUCCUUCCUCUUCUUCUUUCUCUUCUCCUUCUUCUUCCUCUCUUCCUCCCUCUCUCUCCUCCUCCUCUUCCUUUCCUUCUCUCUCUUCCUCUUCUUCCUUUCUCUGUCCUCGUCUUUCUCUCUCCUCCUCCUCCUUUUCCUCCUCCCGUCACUCUCGCUCUCACUCUCCGACUCCGAAUCCGACCCGCUCUCCUCCGAUUCCGACUCGGACUCCGAAUCCGUACCCUCCUCGCUAUUGUACUGCCUCCGGGAUCUCCUCCGUCGUCUAUCCCUUUUCACGUGCUUUUCAUUCCCGGAAUCAGAGAUUUCCCGCUCUUUUCUUGUAGAUUUACUGCGUUUCCUGUCUUCUUCUUCGGACUCGGAAUUCAAAAUUUCGCUCGCUUUCUCGGAUUUUCUCUCGUUUUCUUCCUCUUUCUCGGAACUUCUGCUGCGUCUCUCCUCUUUCUCGGAACUUCUGCUUCGUCUAUUUGAAACGCUGCCGUUUCGAUCUUUACCCAUUUUUCUGUUCGGGGAGAAAGAGAGAGAGAGAGAGAGAGGAAUUUACAGACGACGGAGGUGGAGAGCUAACAGAGUACUUGUUUCUGUGUUUUCUUCUGAUGAGUGAUGAGGUUAAUAUGGGCUUACAGGCCCAAUAUUGAUACGGAUCUGCAGCCCACUCCAAGUGAAAAUCCAAUGGGUAAGGUGAAAUGGGCUAAAAAAAGGCCCUAUAUCGCAUAAAAGAAAAUAGAAAGAACGAACAAACAAAAGCCGCUGCUGAUCAAACCGAUACAAUAUCUUUAAAGCAUUUCACUUUCAUACUUCACGUAUUAUUUUAUUUCAAAAUAAUACCUCCGCUAGAUUUUCCAUCCACUGGUCUGUUAAAUACUAACGUGACUGCCACAUUUGUGUUGAUGUGGCUGCCACGUGGCAAAAAAAAAAAUUAUACAUUAAAAAUAUUAUAAUAUAAACCCUAUUUUAAAAAUAAAAAAAAAUAAAAUAAAACACACACACACACACAAACCUAGAAAUCCUUCCCCGCAACCCCAAAUCACACAAAAUUCAAAUGUCAAAACCCUCGUCUCGAAUCUUCCAAGGCCUGAUAAGAUUUCACCGCAGCCAAAUCUCAAAACCCUCAUCUCCGUCUCCGCCUUUGUUGUCCUCCACUAGGAGGAGCUACCACUCCAACAAUGGGCCUCCUCCCCAAUUUCCCUCUCACUCGAAAACAGUCCCCAAAGGCAGGUUGGCAGAUACUUCAGGCGAGGUGUGGGCCUGAGCAUGAGGUUUUUCUCUUUUAAGCCGUCGAAUUUUAGGAAAAUCAAUGCUAAGAAGGUGUUUGAUAAGCCGCUUUAUGCGGCAUCAUUGGCUUUCUAAUGGUACCAGGAGACCAUUGGAUUGCAGAUUGAGGCGUUCUGGAAGAGGAACAAUUUGGUGCUGUUGGGAAUUGGGGGAAUGCUGGUGUGUGCUUUGCUCUGGAGGAUGAUGUUUGGGAUUGCUAGCACCUUCAUUGGACUCUAUGAAGGCAUGGCCAAGUAUGGCUUCCUCGCCCUUUCUACCGCCAUUGUCGCCUUCGCUAUAAGUUCCUCUCAAUCUUUAGCUGAUCUUGCAAUGACAUAGAAGUAGCUGAGAAUGCACAAACUGCUUGUCAAUCUAAUGAUUUAGAAUUAUAAGUUUAUAAGCUCUAGUGGGGGAUGUAUAAUGAUUGAAUUCAGAUUGCCUUCCGGUGGGUUCAUUUUAUACUGUUCAGGAAUCUAUGUAUGAUCGAAAGUUGAAGUCUUUACUUAUAGGAUAGUAGGAACUAAAGGGGAGGGUAGAAGAUGAAUGGCGUGGAUUGGGGAGGGUUUCAAUGCGGAUGAACCGCGGCCUGAGCGGUGGAUUUUGUAAAUGGGAGUUGCAGAAAGGUGAGGGGGAAGAAAGGGGAUCUGGGUUCGGGUGUUUUGGGGUUUUUUUUUUUAAUUUUUUUAAUAAGGUUAAUAUUAUUAUAUUUUUAAUGUAUAAAAAAAAAAUUGCCACGUGAUAGCCACAUCAGCACAAAUGUGGCAGCCACGUCAACAUUUAACAAACUAAUGGAUGGAAAAUCUAACGGAGGUAUUAUUUGGAAAUAAAAUAGUACGUUAUGUAUGAAAGUGAAAUGUUUUAAAGAUGUUGUAUGGGGUUGUAAUAGACCUCAAACCUGAAAGGUUACUGUGUAAUUUACCCUAUUAUAAAAGAAUGGGGUUUGAUGCAAGGGUGUGAUUGAAUCCGAAUUGGAUUGCUUACAUAUCUCAAGAAAAUGAGACAAUGCGUUUUUACAUUGGGGUUCAUCUUUGAUGAAGAUGCCACUUAGGUAGGUUUUUUAGAUAUUUCUCCUAGUCUACGAGUAUCAAACGACGUUGAGAUUAAUUAUGGUUGGAUCCGUGAUGGACGACCUAUAUAUCUUCUCAUUGUCGAGGAAGAAGCAAACCACUUGUAGUUCAUUUGAGGGCCUUCAGUUAUAUUGGUUAUGCUUGAGGAUGUUCCACCUCAUAGUGAUUGGAGUUUCCUUCUUAUCAUUUUUGUGUUCAUGCACCUCAUGUCCUCCUUAGAUGCAAUUUAUGCUAAGGAUGGGCUUCUAUGCCGGUCGUCGAUCUUCCUCGUCAUCGGUGAGCUCGUACUAAUCUAACUUACCUUGAUUAUUGUUCUCAACGGGCUCCUCUUUCUUGAAUUUGCUUUUAACAAACUCCCAACAAUGCCUCUGAUAGAAUAAAUCCUCAAUAUGAUCCUUGAGCGUAUGACAGUUCCAAAUGGUGUGACUAAUGCACUAAUGGAAGUAGCAAUACUCGUUUGGUUUUUUCUUGGCUAAAUGGUCAAGAAGAGGUUUAGGCAUUUUAAGGAAAGGUUUGUCUUUGAUGCUAUGAAGGACAUUGUUGAUUGUAUUGUUCAAGGUCGUGUGGUUCGACUUGGGGAGAAGCUAGCUUAUAUAAGGCUAUCUCAUAGCAGGUCCUUUCAAGGUAGAGGAUAAUAUUUUGCACAUCCAUGCGUUGUUUAUGCUAUAUAAGGCCAUUACAUUUUGAUAAUGUAAAAUGUGAUACUCUGGAUCAAAAUCUCCGCGGAAGUACUUAAACCUGGGUUAAGAGAACUUCUUUAGAGGUGGUGCAAAUUGGCUUAUCAAGGAAAGAUGACCCCUAACUAUAGCAACAACCUUGCUAGAGAAGCAGUUUACAAGUGUCUCUCAGAGUAUCCCUCUAGUCAUUGUAGUUCAAUGAUCUGUGUCAUUCUUGUUCUUUAGAUGAUUUUGGAACAUUGAAGUCCAGGUGUUGGGGUUCCAUGCGGAAGGCUAGUGCAGUGUCCAAGGGAUCAUAGUCUGUAGUCUAACUUGGAGUCUACAGAGGCAUGGUUGACAAUAUGGCCUUCGUGUUUCUGUGUGCAUGUGUUACGAUUAGCAACCUCAUCUAAAGUUGAAAAGUACAUAGACGUGAUUGGAUGUCCUUCUGGAAUUAUUAUACUUAAGUUCCUAUAACUAAAGACAGGAACUUGCGUUUACGGGGUAGCCUUGCUGGAGUUCUCCAAGGCCUUCAUUUGGCUUUUGAUAUCCACAAAUUUGUGUGGUGGGAAGCCGUGUAGGUCUUCUACAGUUCACCAACAUAAGUGUUGAUAUUUUGUAAGGUCUUCCAUAUGUGAUCCAUGGUGAUAAAGGUUCCAGUCUCGGGCACAUCAUUGUUCCCUUGGAAGGUUGAAGCAUCAAGGACCUGAUUGCUUGCGCCUGAGAUGUUUAGGCCUUAAGAAGUGGAUUGUUUCCCGUUAAGGCAUUAAUGUUGGCAUUAACUGAACUUUCUUUGACAAAUAUGAUUGAGGUAGAGUGAUUUUUGGUGGGGGGAAUAUGAGUUGUCUUUUAAUAAAAGUAACAAUUGUUGAAACCAAAUUCGUGCACCAUUGUGUGUGAAGGAGAUGCACAUACUUGACUACCUGUAAAAUAACAAACAAUUGUAAGAUCACCUUGGCACCGGUGGGAAAUCGGUUCAAGACUCUCCGACGGUCAAGCUAGUAAGCAAUUUUAUACUUAAGCAGUAGGCAAGAGAUUAAGUAUGCGAUAAUUGCAUUACUCGAGAUGAACCUAGAAUGGUGUAUUUAUACUAGUCGAGAGAGAGUCCUUUCAGGAUAUAUAAUCUGUAUUAAACCAGAAGAAUCCAAGAAGAUAUCUAUCUAAGAAGAUAUCUAGGAGUAGAUAUUGCAUCUUCUUAUAAAUGUGAUUACUUGCGACAAACGACAAUCACUAGAUUGUAGAAAUCUCCAAGAAUAUAGGAAACUUAUUUGAUUCCUAAUCGGAUUAGAUUUCCGUAUCUUGCGGAAUAAGAAUGGUCAAUCCAAGGCAUAUAUCAUUUGAUUUGGUGAUGGAUCCUGCGAAAAUAUGAAAGACCUUUUUCUUCUCUCCUCCAUCAGUUGGUUAUGGAUCCAAUGACAACAAACUACAUCCCUUGCUUUUGAUUGCUGUUUAUGGCAUUUUCGUGUUACUUAUCUUUUUUCCUAGGUGAGAUAACCAUGAGGGUCACAUAGAAAGUACGGUAUCACCGCAGGGACCACAAAAAAGGUUUAGCCUAUUUUUAAUUCCUAAUCACAUCCCCUAGGUUAGUUUUUAUUUAUUUAUUUAUUUAUAAUUUAUUUUUUGAACUAACAAUAUUAUCUACACUAAGGAGGAGAGAGUGUGCUUAUCCUCAUAAUGGGCUAGCAAUAAUGUGGUUCAAAUUCAUCUUUGACGAGAAGUGAACCUAAGACCUCCCACUUACAAGUGAAGAAGAAUAAUACUAGACCAUAGUGCUAAGUGGCUACCCUAGGUUAGUUUUAGUUGCAAUGUCAACGCUUCCGCCUUUCUUGGUGUGUCAUUCAAGCACAUGACAUGGCCCAACGUGGGCCCAAAUGGACGAGUUUCUCACCAUAACUUGAGAGAGAAUCCUCCAAUCACAUUCGUUCAUCGUACAUCAUGCGACCAGUUUUUGUCAGGUACUGUUUAUAUUGACUUUUAAAUAAAAAAAAUUUACAAUGAUUUCUGACCACAUGAUGUAUGAUGAAUGAAUGUGAUUUGAGAAUCUCCGGGAUCCUCACAAAGAGGAUCCGACGAGGAUUCAUUCGCAUACUUGACACAUUAAUUUGGAUUUCUACCAAAAUUUGAUACUUCGAUGCCAUAUGUAUUAUAAAAUAAUUAGAAAAAUAAUAAUAAUUAGAAGAAAAAAAAUAUAAUAAUAAUAAUCAUCUUAUUUCCUACUGGUGAUACAUUAUUUAGUUUGCAAAUUUGGUUUAAAAUUUAGCCUUCCUAUUAUUAUCCUAAAUGAAAACUAGCUAUAAUGUGGAAUUCCAAAAUAUAACAUAACAAAUAUUCGAUCCCCAAAUAUUUUUUUAACAAACGAUAUUAUCUACACUAAGGAGGUGGGGAAUUGGGGGCUAAGCUUCACAAUGGGCUAGCAAUUCAAAUUCACCUCUGGCGAGAGAACUUAAGACCUUUCACUUACAAGUGAUGAGGAAUACCAUUAGACCGUAGUACCAAAACACCAAAUCAAAGACACCCAUUUAGUGAACAUAUAGACCCAUAAUUCACCAAAACCUUAACUAGAAGUCAAGUGAGUUGCAGGUUGGAUUGAACUUUUAAGUGUGGAGUCGUCAAGGUUGGAAUUAUGCGAAGACCAAUGAAUUGUAUGCAAUUUCUACCAUAAUUUGAUGGUGGUGAACUAAUUUGGUACUUCUUUUCCAAGCCUUAAUUGCAGACAACUCCACUGCGUUAUCCCUACAACAAUACAUUGUACAUGUAAAAGAAAUUUAAUAUUCAAUAAUAUAGGGUUUUUCUCUUACCUUAUAUGCUUCAGAGAGUUUAACAAAGUGCGUGCCCUAAUCAGUAUAUUUGGCAAUAUAUACCAAAAAUGGAUUUAUUUAUUCUUUCCAUAAAAAAAGAAUUUGAAAUUUUCGUACAUGAAUUUGGGCCGUGCCACCCAAAGCUAUUUCCUUUGGGAUAACCUUAAGCCAUUAAGAUGUAUCAUAGUUUCCUUUCAUGCAUUUUUGUUCUCAGACUAUAUAAGUCUUACAAAGCAUAUAGAAUUUCCCACACCACUCUCAUACUCACAUAGAGCUAGUGGCUAGUACUCUUCACCUUGUUUUCUAUACUCUCUAGUACAUUUCCAAAUCCUAUUCCUCAGAGACUCAUGGCUUUCCCUAGGAACAACAAUGGUAGCAGCAACAUCACUACUAGUUCCCAAAACCCUAAUCUCAUCCCCACUCUUCAGAGGUCAAAUGUUUAUACCAAUCUCCAAAUGCCUAUUUCCAACCGAUACUCAUAUGUCAAUAGCCCUCUCGUUCAUACUCAGAGGGCUCAAUACCAACCACCACUAGCUGGUGUGGCUAACUGGCCUGGAGUGAGACCAUUCCAACAAAAUAUGCAUGUAUUGCAAACCUCAUCAUCAAUCAAUGCAAAUGCAUAUCGGGGUGUAUCGGUGCUCUCCACGGUAACAUUUCAACCACAUCCAUUGACUCACUUUCCAGGCAAUAUUAUAGUGAAUAACACUUUCAUUUUGCCUGGAAUAUUCAAUGCUCGGGGGCUGCCUCAACACUUGGCUAGGGGAACUCAAGUUCCAUUUCAUCAAGUACCAUCAACCCGCCCAUCGCUAAUAACCAAUCUUCUGAGCAUUAGUCCUAAACCCCAUCAUGUCUAGGGCUAGUACUAGACCUAGACUUCCAUCAUUCUCUUCCAAUAUUAAUAUUGGAAGACCAACCUUUAUGAGCAACCAAGCUCAAGUCCAACCCACUAUUACUCGGGCUACUAGCCCCACAACACCUAAUUUUGUCCCAACCCCAGUCUUUCCAAGGAUUCCCCCGAAUCCACAGGCGCCGUCUAUCUCAAGCAAUCAUUCUGGCCCUAGUCAUGUUGUUAGGGAGUUGAAUACUACUACUGUUGCUACUGCUGUUGUACCUACAACAACGACGACGACGAUAGCAUCUCAGCCUCAGCCUCGACCCCAGACCCAAGCCCAGCCUCAGUGGGAGCAUAAGUUCUCUCAGUGUGACAAAAAAAAUUCUACCAGAAGUGCCUUGGGAGGGCAUAUGAGUUUCCACUCAAGAAAAAGGAAACUAGAAGAAGAAACAAGUCGUGGGAGAAGAUUCCAUCCUCUAGGCUAUAGUUCUUUCUUUCCUCUGGUUAAUGAUCUAGCCUUUGAAAGCGGCUCAUCUUCAUGCUUUAGAGCCAAUCCCACCACCGUUAGUGCUAGUGGUCUAAGUGAUCCAAGUACCUCAAUUCGGAGUGAGAAUGCUGGCAUCGAAGGAACUGAAGCACCUUUAAUAAAACGAGAAGAGGAUGAAGAUGAAAAGGGGCCUAGCUAGUGGAGAUCAUCGUUGUAGAAGCCUAGAAGGCAUUCUUUCUGAAGCGUUUUGAUAUUUGCAUCACCUUUGUUUCUUAUCUCGCCCAUUAUGUAUUUUUCUCGUUUAAUUAAUAAUUAAGUCUGAAAUUUCAAGUUCUCAAUAUACAUGUUUCAUCAGAUUUUUUUGACGAUUGAGAGUGAAAAGUAAAUCUGAUAGGCCUCUGUGUGUGUGUAUUACAUGAAUUCUGAAGGAAACUGUUUAAUCUUCUUCAUAACAUCAUAUUACAUUUUUAUUUGUAGAAAUGUUAAUUUUAGUCAUUAGUUUUUUUUUUUUUUUUUUUUGAGGAUCGGGUAAAACAUGGAAGUGUGAUAUGGGUAAAUAUGGAAAAUUAAUUUAUUGUCACCUUUCAAGGUGAGACGUGAUGUAUAUAAUAAAUGCGAUUCAAUGCACUUUCUCUUGAAAGGCUAUGCAAUUUAUCCAGCGUAGAUUGUUAAUAAUUUUUUUUAUAGAUUAUUUAUUUGAAACAAAUGAUGGCAAUUUGCUAAUACAUAUUUAAUAGUCUAAUAUAGUUUUAAGAUAGACUAUAAAUCCAAAUCACAUAAGUAACCUUUAAUCCCCUAAAUGACAUUGCAUGUUUUCAUAUAAUCACAAGACCAAAACCAAAAAGGUUAUAUUGUCACGAGAAAUUUUUCAUUGUGACCGGAACACGAGAGGUAUACCACGUGUUUAUAUAUAUGUAGUAGGAAAUUUUACUUUUUAAGUUAUUAAUUUUUUAACACACAUAUUCCAUCAUUUGUAUAGUAAUACGUGUUGUACCACCUCAUGUACCGGUUACAUUGAAAAAUAUCUCAUAUUGUCACCUGCUUGUUGGAAUGAUAAAACAAAUCUCUUCCAUUGUUUCUUUAAUGUUUUUCUGACAAAGAAAAUGGUUUAAAAAUAAAAAAUUUGUUUGUACCAUACUUAGGGCCUCCGUAUUUAGAUCUCGUAUAAAUACUCGGAUGACUCAAAUAUAAUUAUGUAAUAAAUGAAGGGGCAAAUACGUAAUAAGUGAGGAGCCCUUAUUCUAUAAAAGGACUCCUCACUCUCCUCAUUAAGAGAGGCCAAUUCUUAGGCCUGACUCUCACCCUCUCAAAGCCUCACUCUCAUUACAGAGGCUCUCUCUCUCCCUCACAAUCCUCUCAGAGAAAUACAAUAUCAGUGGUAGCCCAAACAUUGGGGUGAACCACGAUACAUCUUGUGUUCUUUACAUUUCUUGCAGAUUCACGGUCGAAUUUACGUUGUUCCAAGACUUCUGGUUUUGUGCAUCAACAAAAUUAAUUAGCAACAUUUGCAUGCGCAAACUAUACGUAUACUAUAUAUUCAUAAUCCAUGCAGUAUGGUGCUAAGCAAAUAGACGGUUAAUUGGAAUUACUUCUUUGAGUAGCACUAUUUUUAAGACUUUUUGUUGUGCCCCUAUCUCUAAAGGGCGGGGGUGGUGACCUUGAUUUGGUGCCCCUCCAAGAUCCUCCCGGUAAACUCGGGCUCUAACUAGAGUGGCCUUAGUCUUAAUUCGCCCUUAGGGAGUGAAGUGAAUCGGGCGUGAUAGAUUAAGUUGUGAAGAAUCGGUUUAGAACGUAUCUAUUAUUUUAGCCAUAUUCAUAGCGCUCGUUCUUUUUGCUUUGAAUAUCUAUGUAUUGCCGAUUGCCUUUAUUACCCGAUUUUUUUUUUUUCUGAUGGAUCAAGGAUAGAUGGUUAUAUCAUCAAUAGAUAAAAAUAAGAGAUUUUCCCUUAUAUGGAGUGCAUGUGGGCCUCAGGAGGGAUGAGAUGUUGAGGCGGAAAAAUAUUUAAAGUGCUUUCUGAAAGAAGCACAUAUUUAAUUCAAUUUUUGUUAAUAACAAUUUUGCAUAUGCGUCUAGGCUUUUUAGUAAAAAUGGUUCCUGAGUCGGUAUAACUCUCACUUUGGCCAUCGAGAUUGAAAAUCGAUAGAAGUGGUCCUUGAGUUUGUUUACCGUCAAUCAUUUGGUUCUUCCAUAAAAAAUCUCUGUGAAAUUGAGAGUAUUUUUGUCCAAUCAACCCGUUCACUUGUUUUUCCAUUUAAUGGAGAUUUUUCACAAAAUGACCAAACUGAGGAGUUAUGCGAAUUUUAGGGACCACUUCUAUCGAUUUUCAAUGUUAGGGACCAAAGUGGGGAGUUAUGUCAAUCUCAAGAACCAUUUUGGCUAAAAAGCCUAUAUAGUGAGUUUUUGUUUUUUUUUUGGUUAAGAAAAACAUGGCCAAACGAUAGUAGGUUGAGUUUUUAUCACUUUUCUAAAAAUUCUCGUCUAACCCCGCCUAGGCGCUAGGCGGCUAACUAUCGUUUCGAUUAAUCCUUAAGUGUUUGAAAAUUAAGAAAUUGCGCCUGACCCACUUAGGUUGUGAAUCUCACUUCGACAAAAAAUCAAUCACUUUAAUUUUGCUUUUUAUUUUUUCAACAAAAUGUAAGAGACUUGUUGAGUACUUAGAUAAAUUCUGAAGGAAACUGUUUAAUCUUCUUCAUAACAUCAUAUUACAUUUUUAUUUGUAGAAAUGUUAAUUUUAGUCAUUAGUUUUUUUUUUUUUUUUUUUUUUUUGGAGGAUGGGGCAAAACAUAGAAGUGUAAUAUUGGUAAAUAUGGAAGACUAAUUUAUUGUCACCUUUCAAGAAUCCGGUGAGACUUGAUGUAUAUAAUUAAUGUGAUCCAGUGCACUUUUUCUUGGAAGGCUAUGCAAUUUAUCGGAUAAGGAUUGUCUGCCCUCCUAGUUGUGGUGCCCUUCCAUGCCCUCCUAUUUUGUGCGGUCACGGUUAAGCCACGUCAAUAUUUUAUAUUUUUAUUAUUUUUUGUCUUAUUAUCUCAUUAAAAAAUUAAUAUAAAAUAUUGACGUGGCUUAACCGUGACCGCACAAAAUAGGAGGGCAUGGAAGGGCACCACAACUAGGAGGGCAGACAAUCCUUGUCCCAAUUUAUCCAGCGUAGAUUGUUAAUAAUUUUUUGAUAGAUUAUUUGAAACAAAUAAUGGUCAACUUGCUAUACAUAUUUAACAGUCUAAUACGGUUUUAAGAUAGACUAAAUCCAAAGCACUUAAGUAGCCCUUAAUCCCCUAAAUGAUGUUGCAUGUUGUUGGGGCCCAAAAAUGUCACACACCAAUCCAACCGAGUCUCAAGACCUAAUUGUCACGCAAAGCUUACAUUCAAGCCCAAACACAUGCCAAGGCGCGAGAUCUACGAGGAAUAUAUUUAUAAACAUGUCAUGCCACGGUGAUUAAGUCAGAUAUUCAUGCCAUGCCAUGCUCAUGCCUAUUCAUCACGCCAUGCUUCCUUAGUCAUUAUUUAUGCUAAGUCCAAGUCACAUAUUCGGGGCUUGUCAAGUGGGUUGUGGUGUGGAUGGUAACGGAAGGUUAUCGGGCCUAUGUGGAAUCAGGGUCAUUGAAGACUUUAGGUUGUUUGGGGACCCAAAGAUCCAAGCACAUACCUUUUGUAUUUCAUCCAGGCAACAUUGAGAGAGAACUAGCCUAGUUUACCCUUUUCCCUAGCAAGCCAACCCCCUUAGUUAAAGCUAAACUAGAUUUAUGCAUUAAAUGCACGUUAAGCCAGCAAGUCAGGCAUUUAAUGCUGACUUUCCCUUCCCAGCUUGCACAGCCAACCAACACGCGAAAGUCGUGAGGUGCACUACCAAAAGUAGCGCCUGCGGAAAGUCGCAUCUCAGGAAGAAGAAAACUGCAGGUCUCAACAGUGCAUCUAUCUUACAUCAAAAAGGGAAUAAUAGGAGGCCUAAGGAGAAAUAAGGGGAAGACCAAGCCAUAAAUGGAGAUUCUCUUGAAACCUAGAGAAGAACCAUUCAUUUACAUAAGGACAGAGAAACCAUUACAGAAUCGGGAGAAGAACACACAGAGUAACAGAGAGAGAGAGAUAUGAGAAACGCAAGAAGAGAGAACCACCCAGGAAAUAAGCCCAGAGAGUUCCAGUUAGCCCAAAAGCAUACUCCAAGCCUCAAACAUCACCAUCCAUGCAACCUUAGUAAUUCCCACAACCUUCCAUCAAACAUCUCAACCAUUAGAAGCCUUGCUAUCACCCUAGGAAAGCCCAAAUCAUGCAGCUAAGAAUGCCAUCCAACUAUACAAACCCUUUCUCUCUCAUGUUAAACUGAAUCUUCUAGCUUCCACAUGACGCUUCACUUAAGCAAGUCAUUAUCUUGAUCAAUCAUGCUAUCUUCGAGUUGUGGAUAUUACCAGCGUAUUUCUUAAGACACUUAAAACAAGCUAACUCUUUCAAGAUAUCCUGAGACUUGUUACGAAUUUGUACUAAAGGAAACAAAAUGAUGUUCUUAAACCCCAAGUCCACCUUGACCUAAAAGUCCCCCAACAUAAAUUGGCGACUCUAUUGGGGACAUGUCACAAUCUUCAUUCAAUGGCUCCAAGAUCCAGGAGAAACACUACUAAGAGUGGCAAUGACUCAAACACAGGCAAGGUUGAUUCUCGACUUGACAAGUCUCAACGCGAAGGCCAGCAUCAAGAAAGCCAGGAAAAUCCGGACAAAUAUGACAUGUCGGAUAUCAUCGCAGCCAUCCAUCAUUUGGGUGAAGCCCAAAAAGAAAUUGCUGCUUUUAUGAAAGAGUUGAAGAACUCGAUCCCGAAGCCAAGCCAGAAAGCCAGUGACAAGGACUGCACGCCCAAGAAAAAGGCUUCUCAAGAGGAGUCAACUGCUGCUGGUGGUGGCUAAGGUCCUAAGAAAGCACCAUCAUUUGUCAUUUAUGAAGACGUCAUAACUAUGCUCGAAAAGGAGCUGCACAUGAGUUCGAAGGAUUAGAAAUAUGUUCAUGAGCCACCAUAUCCAACCAGCGUUCUCCACAUGCCAUAUCCUGAGGAAUACGAAACUCCCAACCUUGGUCUCUUUGAUGGAAUGAAAGGUAGCCCUAAGGAUUAUAUAAGUCGUUUCAUUUACGCUUUAGAUUCUUAUGUCGGCGACUGCAUCCUCCGUCUCAGGGAGUUUUCAAAAAGCUUAAUGGAUCGUGCCUAUACUUAGUACACCACCCUCGCACCAGGUUCCAUCCGGACUUGGGAAGAACUGGCAGGCAAGUUCUGUAAAAAGUACUUCCAGAAUGAGGAAAAAGUCACGACAACUCAGCUCAACAAUAUGCGUCAAAAGCACAGGGAAGAUGUGGUGACUUUUGUCAAACAUUUUCGAGACCUCGCCAUUGAUUGCUAUGACGAGAAGGAUGAGAAAGCCCUUGUGGAGAUCUGUAUCAGUAACAUUGUUGUUGACUAUAAGGUGUACUUGGAAAACAUCAAUAUCAGCCAGUUCUUGGGGCUCUUAGAAGCAGUGAGGAAUACCAGCUUGUCUAUUAAGCCUUCCACAAGGAAACCCUGGAAAACUGACAAAAAUGAAGCUCAUUAUGCCCUACCUGUGGAUGACGGAUCUGACUGCAACCCGCGAAAAAGGAAGGAAAUAGAGAGCAAUAUGGAAACCUAUUCUCCACUAGCAUGCAACAACGAGGAAUUCCAAGCUAUCCUCGACACCAUGCUCGCAGAUGAGGCCAUUAAGCUGCCCUAGCCAUACAAAACCCUUUCCAGUGAAGAUAGAAAGGAUCCCAAGUACUGUUGCUACCAUAAGCAUGUGGGACAGCCCUCUAUUGUAUGCCAAACUUUUGCAAAAAAUUCUCCAUGCAAGACGCAAGCCAUAUACACUGACCUUUUUCCAAAACGCCGAGAGAAAGAGGUAGCAGCUAUCAUUAUAUACUCUAAAGAUGAUGAUACCUAUCACUUGUGAUCAACGACCCCAAGCCACCGGAAGCCAUCUGGGAACCUUUCGGAAGCAUGGAUGAGACUUUCCGGUGCAAAUACUCAAGCCACAAAGCUGUGACACGCCAUGGUCCCAAGCUGAAGGAUGGGGAGAGGAGAGUGAAGACAUCAUGGAUUUUUUUUCCCAAGCUACAAUGACGAGGACACUAGAAAGACAACAAAUCAACCAAGAAAUGACGGUUGUGACUUCGCACAACCUCUCCGACAUGGAAACUGAUUCCCAAGGGCAAGGACCUAUUGCAACACAGGCCCUCCAGGGAAAUACAAAAUUCAAAUCUCCCUUCAAUCAGCUUGGAUGUAGCUUUCAAAACCCCUUCUUAGGCCUUGGUUAAGCCUUGUACCUUUGAGAAGUGAUCCCUCUUCGGAAUAGGCCUUACUAUAAGAAAAAAAUUCAUUGUGCAAAAAUUCCAUUGUGUCAAUUUCAGGAACCAUUUGUGAUAAAAAAAAUAAAAAAAUAAAAAAAUAAAACCCGUAAAUCUUAUAGGGUCCAUUUAUGUGCCACAUCAGCAUUUAACGGAAUUUUUAACAAAAUUGUGACGGAAUGACCACAUUGAUUUGCGACACCUAUUUUUAGGGACUACAUUGAUUGAUUUUUAAUUUUAAGGACCAUCUUGAUGGUAAGGAUUAAUUUCAGGGACCAUUUGUGAUAAAAACCCUUCUUUUUAUCUCCAAUCAAUGAACUACUGCCGUUGCUUUCAAAAAAAAAGAAAAAAGAAAGAAAUUGACUCUGAAGAAACUUUGACCAUUAUAUUUCAUACUAAAGAUUAAUGGAUAAUCUAAAUAAGUAACUGGAUCUUGCGUUCUAUAGUUUAUGUGUUGAAUGAUUUUUGAGUAAUGUCUUAGCUAGGGAAUAAAGCUUACAAAUUAUUGGCAGAUAAUAAUUAUACAUGCAGAUGUUAAAUUGUUCAUUUCCUUGUUCCCUUUAUAAAUUUGGAUGGGCAAGGAGCUGGACUAUGAAAAUAAGUAUGCACAUUACUGCUGCAACUUUAUACAUAAACUAAGAAAUAAAAAUUCGAAAGAUGAAAUGUCGUAAUUGUAUAAUAUCUUUAUUAAUUUCUAUAUAUAGUUGAAUAAACAUACAAAUAAAAUAAUGAUUCCCAACUUGUUUUGAUGAAUUAGUUAAGAAUGAAUGGUACGUAAGAUCAGAACUGGUUGCGGGAUGAAAAUGUUUGCCCAAACCCCCCAAGUGGAAGGAACAACAUUAGAAAAUACAAUUGCUCUUCCAUCAAUCAAUGUGAGCUUAAACGAGAGUCUCUGGUUUCGAAGGUCGAUGCUGCUUUGCCAAUUUGCACCCCAGUUCCUGUGCAUGGGCAGCCACGUUCCUCUUCUCAUCCUCGACCCUCUAAUCCAUGCAGCCUUCACGUCACCGCUUCCCCCGACGUUGGAGAUCAUCACCAUGUUGAAACUUGACUGUCCCUUCAAGGUGAAUCGGACUCCGCCUCUUCUUUUACACGAUACCCUUUAGUUCAUACACACAUUGCAAAGUGGAUGCUCGAGGUUAUUAAUUAUAAUAUUCGACAAUUAAAAGUGUUGUUAGUUAUAAUACGGAGUUGCUAUUGACAGUCUAAAUAUGUAAUCAUGUAUUUAUUCAUUAUUUUUUUUAUAAAUAAGAAGUGCAGGAUGAUAUUUUUGAAAUGCUAAUUAACAUUUCUCAUAAAAUAUCAAAUCAACACAACGAUCAAUUAAUAAUGUAUAUUUGAAUUAUAAUGCAACAAUCAAUAUAAGGUCUAGACUGCACUCAAGUUCAAAUCUCCUUUAAUGGGGUGAGCUUAGCCUCACAAUGGGCUAUCAAUAAUAUGGUUCAAAUUCGUCUUUGACGAGAAUCGAACCUAAGACUUCUUACUUACAAGUGAAGAUGAAUACAAAUAGAUUGUAGUACUAAGUAGCCUUGUGAAUUAUUGUGUAAUAAAUAUAUAUUGACCACAUUGUUGCUACCUUCUAUAAACGACAGGAACUAUGCCUUCAUUGCCUUGUCGGGCAAUGCGAAGAAAAGCAGGCAUGGACAUGUCAAAGUGUUGGUGAGGAAAAUUGACCACCCUCCGUUGUUGUUUGGGGGGCAGAAAUUGGUGGCGGAAACUGUCACAGAACGACCUCUAAGGCACCACUUCGGAUCUGUGUUGUAGUUGCACAUUACUUGGUAACAAGCCCCACACGCCUCGCCUCCUCUGAAAAGUGUGCUACUCACGGCCGCUGUAUUCACUCCAAAACCCGCGUGGAUGGUACUGUCAUAACCACAAGCACCACCUGCGUACACAUAUGAUCAACAAUAUUGUUAUUAAGAUUUUGUUUCGUUAAAACCAAGAACUAUUGCAUGAGAUUUGAUCCAAAAUUUUCUAUAACAAAGUAAAGACUGCAUGCCAUUACACCAGCCGAUCAUUGGCAAUAAUGUUAUUAAGGUUCAAUUUUAAUUGACAUUAUUAAAUGAUGGCCACCGAGUACUGCACAAACUCAUUUAUAUAUAUCCAAUUCGAGCAUGACACAUCCGCACAAGUUAAUAAAAAAAGUAUGAUUAAAACAGAUUUGAAAAUAUAAAAUGCGUUGUUAUUGACACUCCUAAAACAUAUUUGAUAUUAAAAAAAUGUGAGGUGGCAGGAGGACAUUUUUUAAAAACAUAAUAAAAAAAUUAAUAAGAAAACAUAUUAUCAGCACUCUAGAAAACAACUUUGAAAUAAUAAUAAGAAAUUAACUAGUAAAGUUACACAAAUGAAACAAUAUAUUUUCUCAUCAAGUAAGCUAGGUAGACCAACUUUUAGACAAAAUUUGCAAAUUAAGUGAUGCGUCGCCAAUAACAAAUAAAUAUGUUAAUCAACACUUAAGUAGUAAUCUAAUCAUUAAUAACCAUUUCAUAUAGUUUACAAAUUAAAUUUGGUCUAAAUAGUUGGUCUCUCUAUCAAUAAGAACUUUUUUUUAUCAACCUAGCAUUAAGAAUUCAAGUGACUUACCAAGGGUAGUUGGGUCCUGGUUGGUCCCAUAGAAAGUUGCAUGACCACUAAGCCAUCCAUUGGCUUCAACAUUGGUGAUAGCAAACAAGAAAAUAUUCCAGAAAAAAGCACAAGAAACUGCAAGACUAUGCCCCAUUUUAAUUCUCUCUCUAUACAUACACAAAUGUAAUUUGCCAAAUUUGUUUUCAGACAAACUCUCAAGUACUUUAAAAUAUACCUUGAAGAAGCAGUUUCCAUUUAGUAUUUAUAGACUGAUAAAAAAAGGAUUGCCGGUGACUAAAAUAAAAUAAAAUGCAAAUUAUCAGUAAUGCAUGCAUGAUAUCGUAUUUUACAAAAGGUCUAAUCGGAUAAAUGGUCUCCGUGGUCAUAAGGUAUUCGGAUGAUAACCCCUGUGGUAAAAAAAUUCGGAUUUAAACCCCUGUGGUCACAGUCUGUUAGGAUUUAAACCCAUGUGGUCUAAGUUUGUUAGGAUUUAUGCCCUUCUGUUAAAUAAUGCUGAUGUGGCUGCCACACUGCCACAUAUAUGCCACGUGGCUGCCAAAUGUCUGCCACGUGGUAAAAUAAUAAUUUUAAAUUUUUUUUUAAAAAACCUGAGUUUUUACCAAAAAAAAACCCAGAUCUGCAAGAAGAAUAAGAAGAAGGAAGAGGGAGAGGGAGGAGGGUCGUGCGGGGAGAGGGCUCUGGCGAGGGGGGGAGCUGGUCUCUGGCGGGAAGAAGAAGAAGAAGAAGGAAGAGGGAAAGGGAGGAGGGUCGCGCGGGGAGACCGGCGAGGAGGGGAGCUGGUCUCCAGCAAGAAGAAGAAGAAGAAGGAAGAAGGAGAGGGAGGAGGGUCGCGCGGGGAGAGGGCUCCGGCGGGAAAAAGAAGAAGAAGAAGAAGGAGAAGAAGUCCGAGGGGGUGGGAACGGGCGGAGGGCGGGAGGGCGGGGGGGAAGCUUGUUCUUCUUCUGCAGAUCUGGGUUUUUUUUUUUUUUUUUUUUUUUUGUAAAAAUUCAGGUUUAAAAAAAAUUAAAAAUUAAUAUUUUUGUCACGUGGCAGACAUUUGGCAGCCACGUCAACAUUAUUUAACAAAAUGGCAUAAAUCCUAACAGACUUAGACCACAGGGGUUUAAAUCCGAAUUUUUUUACCACAUGGGCUAUCAUCCGAAUACCUUAUGACUACGGAGACCAUUUAUCCGAUUAGGCUUUACAAAAAUCAGUAUUUGCAAAGGAUACGCGUUUUCCCACGUCUUAUGAAGUACGGAAAAACAUGUACGGUAGAGGGACUGACAUUUUUUAAACAUGAGGGAGCAAGUGCAUGUGAUGGCAGAUAAGUACUGUGCGAUUUUCUGUUUCUUCAGAGUAACAUGUCGGUGAUUUUGUUGGGCAUUGGAAAAUCAAUGAACUGAUACGAUGAUGACCAAAUUCAAGUGCUAUGAACAUGCACGAAGCUACCAAUCUGAGUUUCCAAUUACUUAGUACAAACUCAAAUAUGGACACGAUCGAUAUACUGAUAAACCGAACAAUGAACAUAUUUUGGUGGUGACUUCAAAUGAGUUGGAUUAAUUUAAACUAGUCUUCAUGCACACACAUUUGAAUUACAGUAUGCUACGCACGACUUACACGUUAUAAAUGUAUUUAUAUGUGUGAAUUGCUUUAAUAAAAAAAUUUUAUGACAAAAAGAAAGUCAAAUAGUUGAAGUAAAUGAAUAAUAUUAUGCCAUGCUAUAAGAAACCCCUCAUAAACCAAUUAAAGCAGCUGAAUCCACCCCUUAAUGUAGAUAACAUCGUUUGUUAAAAAAAAAUGACCAUUUGAGAACUAAUUGAAUCACAUUAUUGUGCCCGUGUGAAAUGCUUUUGUUUUUUAUCACCAGCAAUACACGUCUCUUAAGAUGUUUUGAACGUGUUUAAAAAUAGAGAAAAUAAUUUUAAUAAUAUCACAUUAUUGCUAACUUAUUGUGAGGCCAAGCCCACCCCCUCUCCCCUUAGUGUAAAUAAUAUUGUUUGUUCGAAAGGAAAAAAUAAAAAGAAACAAUCCUUUAACAACUAAUUGAAUCACAUUAUGCGCGUGCAAAAGAUUUUUUUAUAACCGACACUACAUACCUCUUAAGAUGUUUUGAACGUAUUUAAAAAUAGAGAAAAUAAUAUUUAAUAAACACCUAGUUGAAUCACAUUAUUGUUAGUCCACUGUGAGGCUAAUCCCACCCCCUCUCCCUUAGAGAACUUCCAGCGUGCUCUUUAGCCCGGUGGACAGGCUCCAUUUGCAAUCCAAUCCCCUCCCAAAGUGGCGCCAGCCCAUACGGGCAAUUAGGCUGAGGGGGAGCCUGUGGGAGAGUACAGGCACAAGUCCAAGGCCCAAGCGCCUGAGGGGGAGUGAUGCAAGGCUGAUGUCAGCAUGAAGUCAGCCACGUUAUAAAAAAAAUUGCGCUAGGCGCGUGCAUAACACGCGCUCGUGGGGGGCACAUUACCGACAAGAUUUCAGGCGGUGGGACCCAUGCUUUACAGGUUGUCUUAGCCGUUACUGGGUGCAACGUGGUACCCUCUCGACCAUUGGAUUUCAACGGCUCUUUUUUUUGGACCGUUCGAUUUCCAAUGGUAAAAAAAAAAAUCAAAACUCCCUUAACGGCUAGAUGACGUGGCACAAUUUGAGUCGUUCGAUUUCAAAUCAAUGGUCCACGUUUUUCAGCUUAAAUUUUUUUUUUUAAAUUCUGAUAUGUUACCGUUAUGCCACGUGUCACAAUCUGGACGGUUGGAUUUCAAAUUUUCUGUAAUCUAACAGUAGAAAUUAAUUAAGUUAAUACAAAAUUUUAAAAAAUGUUAAAAAUUAAUAAAAAAAUCCAAAUUUAAAAAAAAAAAAAAUUCUAUAAAUACCUUAUCAUUAUCUUCCACCUUACACCACACUUUCAUAUUUUCUCAAAUACUUUCAACCACAUUCCAAUCUUUCUCUCAAAGUUUCUAUAUACUUUUUGUUUUCAAAAAAAUGGCUAAUGAUGCAAGUAUGAAUUGGACGCUUAUUGAAGAUGUUACGUUGUAUUCUAGCUAGGUUGAAGUUACUCAUGAUCUGCUUUACGAGUAAUGAGAUACAGUUGUGAGAAAUGUGGAGCAAUAUUCAUUCCCUUUUUCUUGAGAAAAUUGGUGGCAAAAGAACGGAACAAUCGCUCUCAAGUCAUUGGAGAAUACUCAGCCAAUCGUUUAUUCAUUGGAGAAACGUCUUGGCACAAGCUAGUACUAAUAUUCGAAGUAGGAAAAAUUACGUAGAUCAGGUAACAAUAAAUUAUUUAUUUGUUUGUAUUAUACCCAAAUUUACAUUAGCUACUUUGAUUAUAUUUUUUUCUUCUCCUACAUUUUGUAGACACUUCAAGCACAAGCUUGGUAUAAUGCCAAAAACAAAAACAAAUCAUUCAACCGGUAGGAAUGUUGGAAUAUUGUCAAAGAUUGUCCCAAAUUCAGAGUUGUGCCUGUCGAUCAAGAAGUUGUCAUGAACAACACCAUUCUACACUUUACGCUAGAUCACAGCUCGCAUGUUCAUGAAAACGACACAGAACAAGUGCUAGAAGCGACCCUUGAACAAGUGUCGGGGUCGACCCGUUAUCCACUUAGGUCUUAAGGUAAGUAGGCUUCAAAGAGAAAAUGGAGUUCUUCAAAGAAUGAUUAUGCAAAAUAUAUGGAAGAACUUUGCUCGCCAAGGUGAAUUGACUUUGGCGGGGGAAAAGGCUAAAUUUGAGGCUAAAAAUGCUAGAGAUAAGGCAAAAGCUGCAGCUGCUAAGAGAUUAUUUCAAGCUAAUCAGAGAGAAAGAGAACUACUUAGGAAAGAAAGGGAAGUGCUUAAAAAAGAAAGAAGGGCUCAACAAGAUCAUGACAUUAUGAACACGCAUGUAGAUGGGAUGUCUCUGAAUUCUAAAUAUUUUUGGAACUCGAAGAAAGCGGAUGUGGUGCCAAGGAAGCGUGAAAGAGACGAAAGAGCAAGUGGAGAUGGUCCUCGCACCACAAAUUGGUUAGGUGAUGAUUUUCCAUUCACGAGGGACUAGAGAAUUUGUUGUAUAAUCAGAGCCCAUAAUUUUUCAAUCACUUUGGGUUGUGAUUUCGUAUUUAUUUAAUUUGGUACUUUAUAUAAUUUCGUAUUUAUUGAAUUGAGUACUUUAUGUAAUUUCGUAUUUAUUUAAUUUAGUACUUUAUUUAAACUAAGAGUAUCUUUAUUUAAUUUGGUACUUUAUUUAAACUAAGAGAAUCUUUAUUCAAAGAACAUAAACACACCAAAUAAAAAAGCCACACUAAAUGAACUUAAAAAACACACCAAACAAACUAAGAGCUUUCUUCUUCCACCACAAGCUUGUUUUUAAGUUUCUUGAGCUUGUUUCAAUCCCCACAAGUGCCUCUAUUAAGUCACUUUGUCGGGCUUUGUGAUAGUAUGAGGAUUGGAGUGAAGUAUAUCGUCGAAUGAGCCUUUCAUUGUAACAUUCAUCCAUUUCUAACGGCUCGUGUUGCACGGGUUCUUUGUUGGCAUCAUGAGCACAAUAUAUUUGUUUUGGAAUUGUUCAUCAUGUCUUGCUCAAAUUCAUCAAUGGCAUCAUAAUCAUACUCAUCUUCCACAAUCAUGUUGUGAAGAAUGAUACACGUCAUCAUGAUGAAUAGAAGCGACUCUAAAUCAAACAAUCUGGCAGCACCCUUGACAAUUGCCCAAUGAGCUUGGAGGAUACCAAAAUAAAACUCCACAUCCUUCCUACACCCCUCUUGACAGCUUGCGAAGUGUUUUUUCUUUUCACUUCGCAGAUGUGGCAUUGUUUUGACAAACAAUGUCCAUCUUGGAUAAAUGUCAUCUGUUAGGUAGUGUGCUUCGUCGUACUUAUGUCCAUUAACCCAAUAUGUGACUUUCAGUGCUUUUCCUUGUAGCACCUCGUCGAACAUUGGAGAUUGGGCAAGGACAUUGAGGUCAUUUUGAGCUCCUGAAACACCGAAAAAAACAUGCCAAAUCCAUGUAUCAAAUGAUGUCAUCGCCUCCAAAAUGAUACUUUUAACUCAUUUUUUCCCCAUAAGCUCUUUGCCAUGCACUUAGACAGUUUUCCCAGGUUCAGUGCAUACAGUCGAUGGUUCCAAUCAUGCCAGGAAAACCUCGCAUCUCACCCUUCUUCAGAAGCCUUUGCAAGUCCAUUGUUAUAGGUAUCUAGAGGUACUCUUUAGUGUAGAUAGAUUCGAAUGCAAAGCAAGACCUCAUCAGGGACUUAAAAAUGGUUGAUUUUCUCAUCCUCGCUAUCUCAUCCACUUGGUCUACAGAUGCUCCAUAUGUAAGCAUCUGCAAGGCGACAAUAAUUUUUUGCUCAGAAAAGAGAUCCAUGACACCAAAAGCAUCCUUCUUUUGCACAAAGUAAGAAUCAUGGUUGCAAACAGCAAUCAUGAUUUUGUUGAACAAAUGUCGUUGCAUUCUAAAACGACGUCUAAAGUACGUAUCAGGGAAUACACUGUUACGAACAAAAUACUCGUCCAAGAGAUCAUCAGCUCGUCGUUGCCUGCUUCUACCAAUGUUUGCGGAACUCAUAGGCCUAGAGGUAUCAGCCACAACUUGGAUGACUCGACGAGAAUGUGAGGCUCUUUGGCUUCUUGUUUUGUCAUCUCUCCUUUUACUUUCCUCGUCCUCUUCCAUCUCAUUUUCUCCCUCCUGGAUAUUGAACAUUUCUUCCCCUUACUUUAACAAUUCUUCCUCUUGCUCAUCGAUUUCCCACAACAUCCUGGAAGAAGACAUUGUAAGAAGGAAUGAGAAAUUAUGAAUAAGGAUAUAGAUUUUGAGAGAUUUUGAUUUUGGUGUGUGAAUUCUUAGGAUGGAGGUGGGUUAUAUGGAGAAAAAAAAAAGGAUUAGGUUGUAGAAAACACCAUGUGGCACGCUGUGAUUCGUUAAAAAUCUCAUCAAAAUAUAUCCUCAAAGAUUUUAAACAUAUUGUGACAUGUGACGCGACGGGAUUGGUUAAAAAUAGUAUCGGAAAUCUAUCCUUAACGAUUCUAAAAAGGUAACGACACGUGGCGCGACAGAAUUGGAUAAAAAUCUUAUCGAAAUCUAUCAUAAAAAAUUGUACUUUCGGAUAAUGACACUUGGCGUCACGAGACCGGUUAAAAAUCCUAUCCGAAAUUAUAAAUAAAAUUAUUUUUUAUUAUUUUAUAAAAUAAAAAAUACUAAUAUUUUUUUUGCAUAUUAUCAUGGUUAUUCAGUUUAGGGGUGAAGAUGCAAAAUGCAAUUACUGUUCAUUAAACGCAGUUACUAUUCAGUGGAGGGGAUUCAAUUGCCAAUUGCCAUGAGGGGCCUUCCUACACUAGAAGUGCUCUUAGUGUAGAUAAUAUUAUUUGUUAAAAAAAAAACAAUAAUUUGAUAACUAAUUGAAUCACAUUAUUAUGAGCAUGCGAAGACCUUUUUUAUAUCCGGCACUACAUGCCUCAUAAAAUGUUUUGAAUGUGUUUAAAAAAAGAGAAAUAAUAUUUAAUAAACAACUGAUUGAAUCACAUUAUUGCUAGCCUAUUGUGAUGUACUAAUUACAAAAAAAAAUAAAAAAACUGUACAAAAAGACUUAAUUAUUAAAAAAACCGUUUAUAUGACGAAAAUAUCCCUGCAUUAUUUAGUGCAUUAUUUUCGGUUGCUUUUGAAUUUUUUUUGUCUGGGGGGCAUUUUUGUUCAAAAAUUUUUGGUGAAACCCAUGACCCCUUAAAUGACUGUUGGCUUUAUAUAUAGAGAUGUGUUUAAUAUUUUGCUUAUUUUUCCUUCGUGAUAUGUGUUUAUACUUUGAUAUGUAAUUGCCGGAACUCUCUUUCUAAUAACCGUGCGGCGGAAUUAUGAAUUCUGUCAAAGAGGGUGAAUCUUAAAUAACUAUAAGAAUGAGAGCAUAAUUAAUAAGAAAAACUCAUAAAAUUACAAAUAAAUAAUGUCUCAUAAAACAAUAUAAUAUCGUUACAAUUAUUCUCGACAAGUUUUCAUAGUCAAUCUUUCACAAUUCCAAGAAGAAUUUCAAAGAUGGAGUCUUGAUGUCAUGGAGGCACCAACGGCAUUUGCGAAAUGGGGGCCGGAAUAGUCUGAAUAGGAGAGGGCUUAAAAGCUAAUUUACUAAUUGAUCUGUUUAUCUUUUAGGUUUGAUAAUAAUACUAAAUAUUGUAAUAGUGUUAAGGGAUGUUAUUACAAAUAGUCCUUUAUGUUUUGACAACUCAAUAAUUUGAAUUUUUAUGUUUCAAACUCAUCAAUUGUGUCUUUAAUUUCUUACUUCAGUCAUCAAUGUUGUCAUUGUCGUCUAAUUCCGUUAGAAAAUUCAUUCGUGUGUUGAUGUAGCACCCAUUUGAGUCCCACAAAGCCAAUUAGUGAUGCCAUGUGUAUAUAUGUGUGUGUUAGCGAUAUUUGAUAGAUAUCUUUUAAUACCAAUAUGUCAAUAUAAAGUUGAUAUUAAGUACCAAUACCAUCCUUGGAGUCAUUCUGAGUACUCUCAUGGGUCAUUUCAACCCACUUGUAACACAACGGGAACCUUAAAUCAUACGAUAAAGUUGGACGAUUCUUAAAAUGGCUUGCACAUAAGUCCCUUAUUGUCAACCACUUAGGUCUCGUCUGGCAACUCGCAUUUUACUAACUAUUUCAAUCGAAUAAGAUAAUAUAUGCAUCGAAUAGAAGAUAAUCAGUCAGGCAUUUGGUGUAGUAGUAGUUACAAAGUUAAAAUACAAGAGAAUGAAAGAGAAGAAAAAAUGGGGAAUUGCAGAAAAUGAAAGAGAUGAAGAUGAACCAGCGGCGGCCUAGAUGCAAUUGGGUGUUUAAGUAGGCGGGAAAAAGGGGUAUGGGCUGGAUUUGGGUUGGAGAGAGAAAAUGGAGGGAUAAAGAGCAGUUGCUUGGAAAAAGACAAAAAUCAGAAAACGCGCAAGCCUCUCCCUAUUUCUAAUUCAGCGAGUUGAAGAUCCGACUAAUUAUCCUUAAGCUUUUGGACGGUAUUAGUUAGCGGGCAUGAGCCGUAUAAAACUAGUAGGGCCGGGUUACCUAAGCAUGUGACUAUUUAAUACAUAAGUGUACCAAACACCCGGUUUUGUAUUAUUAAUCUUCAGUGCUAUAUACGGUUUGCCAAAUGAGGCCUUAGUAUAGAAGCUUAACCGACUGAUCACGUGCUUUUGGUUUCUUGGCCCGGUUUGUUUUAGCUGAAGUUUGUUUGAAAAGGGCUUUUAGAAUUUAAAAGUGCUUAUAAAUUCGAAAUAACACUUCCAGCGCUUUAUAGAAGACAUGCUAUGUGCUAACACCAAUUUAACAUAAUAAAAAUUAUAUGAACAAAUAAAUAUACAUGUCACAAGAGUUGCUUCUGCAAAACCUCUACCAGCAUAUUGUGUAUAUAUUCUGUAUGACGGUCAUUUCUUACAACUGUACAAGGAGUGAAGCUAUAUAAAGAAUGUGUUCAGAACAAGAGAAGGCACAACAUAAAACAGCAGAAAAGAAAGAAUGUUACUCUAUUGAGAGAUUUGUCAAGCUCUACUUCCUGCCUUCUCAUCCUAGGACUGCUUGGGGUGUACGAAUUCAGAUACGGGUAAGUAAACAAACUGGUGUUUGAGCUCCCAAACAUCCUUGCAAACACAAACUCUCCAACCAUUCCAAUCGUUGGAUUGGAUAAAUUUGUCAUCGUUGUACCCCCGAGAUAAGCUGAUUCUGAGUUUGUGGCAUAACCUCCAUAAGCAGGGUGGUACUGAUCGUGAACGGACUGUGAAUGCCUUUGCAAAAAAUCUGGAUGAAGUUGCUGUCUUGGCGUUGAUGUGGCGGUAGUAGCAGUUAUCAAAGUGUUGGACAUAGGUGGGGGUCUACGUGGUACAACCAUAUCCAACUGAGGUUUCUUUCCGUCAGAAUCUGAAGAGGAAAUGCCUCGGCCGUAGAGGGGAACAACUGAAGAAGGGGAGAUGUUAGCCUUACAGACAGGACAAGUUUGCGGCAUGUUGGAUUGUUCAUCAGAGGUGGAUGGGACCUGAAGCCACUUGUAAAUGCACGGCCAGCAGUACAGGUGACCACAGAGAGUCACCACAGGUUCAUGUGCUGAAUCUAAGCAUAUAUUGCAGUCAAAGGAACCAGUGUCAUUGUCCGAGACUGUAGUUGGGGAUGAGAUUGAAUUCCACUUCUUGACCGAAACAUCUCCAACUGAAACAAAGCGUGUCUCAGGCUCAUAGAAGUUCUGUUCCAUAGCGAGGCGUUCUGUUACAAAGAAAGGUCGUAUUCAUUAGUAAGCAUAAAUUCACAUUAUAAACAAGAAAGACGAAACAAUUCAAAUGUGUGUGAUUGUGUUUUUGCGCAUGUCUGACAAAGAAGAAGAGAUUUCAUUAACUAAUACUACAAGAAAGGAAUUUCAAUACUGCAAAAGAAGUUGUCCCUAAAUAUUAUGACCUCUACAAAAAGCUUUUAUAAUCAACCUCAACAACGCCACUGACGACCAGCUCAACCAGAGUUCUAUCUCUAAACAGACACUAAGCAUCUAGAAAAACCACAAAUGAAUAAAAGAAAAAAUAGUGUAUGGUCAACUUAAAAGUGACGAGGACAAAAGGAUACUAAAAUAUCAAUUAGCACUGGCUUCGUAUUUUUUUUUUAUUGAGGAUGAAAAGGAAAAGGUUUUUAAACCCACUAAUCAUAUAAGAAUAUAAAUGGCCUCUACCUACCUUAAUCCUAAACAAUUGAAAAUAUGAAUAUAACUAAAAUGCCAGCAUCAUGUUCUCCCUCUUUUCCAUCUAGCACCACCAAAAUAACAGUAUUCUCGAUCCCUUAAGUAAUAAAUUGUGUAAUAAGAACUGAACUCUACUGUCUUUCUUCACAAGAUCCACGGCUGUAACACAGGUGAUAGGAAUAUAUUGUAAAAAAAUUGGAGAAUAGAAGCAAGAACUUGUUUACUAGUCUAAAAGAUACAAUGGGUCACCAAAUUCAGUGAAUUACGGACUAAACUUUAUGUUACGACUACAAUGUUUCAUUCCAGUCUCCCAACAAUUCAGUAAAUAAAUAAAACAACUCUCAAGACGGGAUCUCAAGAUCCCAGAGGAUAUCAAGAUCUCAGUAAUCCAGGUUUCAAAACCCAUGGAUCCUGAUUGAAGACUUCAAAUCAAGUCACAAGUAUCCACGAAAAAUGUUUUGGAGGAAGAAACAAGGUUGCAUGAGAGGAUUAUACAAUUGUGAGGGAUCUCGAUCAUAAAAUUGAUAAAAACAAGCUUCAUAUCCAAGAUCAAAGCAAAACCGCAAAACUCUUUUUUUAUUACGAAUGAUAUUGGUGAAUGAUCGUAACCAACUAAGUUACAAUCCCUAGCAAGGAUUGCAAAAGUCAAAAGCUUACUCUCCAAAAAAAAAAAGGUUUACAGAUAUUCAAAGGGAAUUCCGGAGGAAAAUCUAAGUUCAAGUGAACUACUUAGUACCACGAAGAUGAUCAUGUAGGAUGAUUAAUGCCUUUGACAUAAACUUUGGCUUAAGAUGCUCAAUUUUUCAGAAUCUGAGUAGCAAAAGUAAGCCUAACAAAACAUUUGCUUAUUCCUCAAGGAAAAUUUCCAGUUCAUUGAUAUAUAUAUGAGUCAAACAACCUGCUAGCAGCUAAAAUUUAGCAGUUGAGACAUGUUAAUUUAAAGUAUGUAUAUAACAUUUGGAACUGAAAAAUCACAAUUGGGAGAAGAAUAAAAACAAGGGUUUUGUUAGAUGUACAGAAACAAUGGCAGAAAUUAUCAACAUAAGAAUUCCACUGAGAAAUCUAGAGACCAAAAUCCAUGUUAGCAGAAAUCACAUUAAAAGAUACACACUUUCCGUUCCAAACACAAAGUUUCCCAAGCAAAUUAAACGCAGAAGAAGGAUCAAGGAAAUACAGGAAACGGUUCUAUUUUAUAGGAAUCAGAAAUUGCAGAUAAAUGAGAUAAAAUUAUAACACGGCGAUUGAAAACCCAACAAAAAGAAAAACAAAAAGGAAACCAACCCAUCAUUGUUCUAAACGUGAAAUCAAAAUGCAAGAGAAACCCUUCACACAAAACCAAUAAAUUCGAGAACUUUCGCACACAAAUUCCAGAAAUAAAUUAAACGAAAAAGGAAAUUAAGAGAGAGAGGGAGGGAGGAAUAAUGCAUACCAAGGAAGAUAAAAUGCUGGAACGGAUCGAGGUGGCAAUCAAAAGCGACCUGCGAAUCUUACAGGUUACGAGAGAAAGAGGAAGGAGAUAAAGAGAGAGAGAGAGAGGUGGUGGGUUUGAUUGUUGGCGACAGAGAGGAGAGGUGGAAUGGUUGAGAGCGAAAGGAGGAGGGUGAGGGCGUUAUAAAUACAAAAAGAAGAAAAAGAUCGUAUCUUUCGAGAUCGAGUUUUGUAUUUUUGGUAUUCUUGUUUUGGGUCUCGAAUAUGUCAAGAUAUAUAUAAAACUAAUUUUCUUUCCCAUCCCUCUACAACAAUUCAACGUCUUGGACCCUCUUUGUAGAAGUGUAGACUUUGUCUCACAAUAGAUUAGUAAUAAUGUAAUUCGUAUUCGUCUUUGGCAAGAAUCGAACCUAAAAUCUCUCACUUACAAGUGUAGAGAAAUAUCACUAGACCGUAAUACAAAGUGGUUGUUCAUUUUCCCUCUUUAAAUUUCUUUGCUUGCUUCGCCACUUAGUACUACAGUCUAGUAACAUUCCUCUUCACUUGUAAGUGAAAGGUAAGUGAAAGGUUUUAGGUUCGAUUCUCGCCAAAAGUGAAUUUGAACCACAUUAUUACUAGCUCAUUGUGAGACUUAGCUUACUCUCCCACCUUUAUCAUAUAGAUAAUAUCGUUUGUUUAAAAAAAAAAUUGAUUUGUUCGAAAUCUUUUUAUGUGUACCGUCAUGUGUUUUAUAUAAAUGGAUUAUACGAUUGAGAUGUAUUAUUUUUAGAGUAUAUUCCUUGGGAAUAUUUUUGCUUUAUCAUCUUAUUAUCACCGUUAAAUGAGUUUACAUUUCAAGAUAGAUUUAAAUCUUAAAAUUUAAACUCAUCCAACGAUGAUAAAUAAGGUGGUGAGUAUUACCACAACUUGACAAUGAUGAACAAAAAUGCACUCACAUUCUUUAUUGUUCAUCCACUUAUCUUAUGCAUGUGAUGUGUCACUUUGUGUUCCGCUUGUACGGAAAAUCUAUUUGUGUAAAGAGAAAACUACUUAUGUUUUGGUAAGCCUUAUAAAAUCAGUUUCUUAGCUCAAUUUUAUUGUUUGGUAGAUAUAUUAGCUCAGUUUUAAUUGGUCUUGUGACCUCUAAUUUUUGUGUAUUUGAUUAAGGUUACGUACUUAAUGGUCUUUUUGUUGUGGAUGAUAUGAUUUGUCUUGAAUAUAGUCUAUAUAAAUCUCUAAAAUUAAUUUUAAGGUUGAAAAAUCCUCCUUCGACACUAACAAGACAAUAUUUUACUACUUUAAUCUACGAGAAAAAAAGUUUCAAAUUUGAGUGUGAAGGAGACCGCUUUUUCUUGAACUGAUUCCACGGUUAUGGAUCAGAUCAUUAUAUUGGUUCGGCUCCAAUUUGAAUUCUCACAAGGCCGACAUAAUCAAACUCAUAGUAUUUUUUAUAUAUAUAAAGAGUGGUCCGUGCUUAAUAGAAAAUCACAAUUUCACACAUACAAUCUUAACACGGAAUAAAGUAUAAAAAGAAAAAUAAUAUAUAUCUAUAAAUUUUCUUUUUUAUGAACAUAGUGUGAAUUAUUUGCAGAACUGAGCUGGAGUAGGCCCCUAGAAAAAUAAUAUAUAUCCAUAAAUUUUUUUUUUUAUGAACAUAUUGCCCUAGGGGCAAGGGCACAUGAGUCACAAAGCCUUGUAUAUCAAGUAACCACAUCAUUUUUCUUAAGAAAAAAAGAGUGCCUCUUUGAUUAGAGCAAAAUAUGAUCCACGUCCUUACAUCACAUGCACCAAAAAGUCACCGUUUGGGUCACAAAUCUGUGCAGCCCAGCCAUUUGGUGUUCGGCAAAGGGCCGGCAACAAUAGAGGAAUCUUCUUACCCAUGAAUUAGAAGAGAAGAAGCAACUAGAAACUACGAUUAAAUCUGACAUAUUCCAACCCGGAAUGCUCAAUUGGAUUCCGAAUUGAGCUGUGUUGACCUACAUCUAGAAGGUGACGAAGCCAUAAAGUGUAGUGUAGUGGAAAAUGUGAAUAAAUUUAAACCUAAAAGUGUCUAAUUUAAAGAGUGUUGUAAGCGGGAAUGAACGCAUUUCUCGCGUGAUGACAGAGUAUAAGUAAAGUACAGUAAAAUGGAAAGAGAAUUAUACCAUCAAAGGUAACCACCUAUACCAAUAUUUGCCAAGAAACCUCGUCGAUACAAAAACUCAGCUACUAAAACCUGGAAUGGCGAAAAAACAAGGGUGAGUGAGCCUGAAAAUAAAGUUUUAUAAAAACCUUUCUGAAAACAUUGUAACCCCUCGCCGUAAAACAAGUAUAGUUUCCAGAAAAUCAUACUAGGUAUAAGUAUAAAAUCAAAUACAUGCUAACAGUAAAUUUAGAAGUAUGCCACAACACGGUAUCUCAUUAGCAAUAUAAAUAUAGUCAUGUGCUUACUAAUCUAUACUAGCAUGCAAAUCGGAGUCACCUAAUGUGACAUGUACGACUACACAUAUGGCUCAUCAAUCUAUGCAAGCACACGAGUCGAAGUCACCUAAUGUGACUUGUACGACUGGACCUAUUGCCCAUCAAUCUAUGUUAGCACACGAGUUGAAGUCGCCUAAUGCGACCUAUACGACAGGCUAGGUGUAAUAAUAUACGCUCUAGUGCUACGAUCAUGUGAAGGCUAGCGCUAUGCGCGGGUCACCUACGAGUCGAAGUCUCCUAAUGCAACCUGUACGACAAGCUAGCACCUAACUUAGAUCCAAGGCGAACGUGUGGUGCGGGAGCAUUAACACCGGGGUGCAACAAUGAUGAGCACUACAUGAAUAUAUGCAUGGCAUAAUGAUUCAAAGAUUGUAACAAAUAUAAUAAACUUACCUGAACUUACCUGCGCAUCCCGUAAGAUCAUUUUGGCAUUUCACCACAAUGCAACAUUUCACAUAACAUAAUUUAAUCAUGGCAUGAAAUGCAUAAAUCAAUUCAAAAGCAUUUGUGGAAAUUAUCAAUCAUAUAUAUACACUACAAAAAGGAAAAGACCCACUCACCUGAGGUCCACGCUACAACUCCCUAGCACGAAUAUCGAGGCGUCAUGAACGAUCGACUCCUAGAACAAUUAUCAAAUUACAUCUCAGAAUUCUUAUCGAUAAAACACAUGACUUACAUAAGACACAUCCCCAAGGACAUUCUAGAAUGAUUUGAAACCCAUUAACCAAAAGUCAACCAUCAGUCAAAAGUCGAUGGUAGGGUCCACAACCCUACGUAACUCGAUCUAGAAGAUCCACACAUUGGAUUUCCAAUCCGUAACUUCCUAAGAGUUUCAAUAAGCUUCUAGAACAACAUCAUAAAGUUUUGAAACGAUCCAACAGUCAGAUCUUCACCAAUUGCUAAAAUUAAGUGGUUGCCGACGUUUUAUUUUACGAACUUACAAAUCCAAUUCAAGAAGAUCCGUAAGUCAGAUUCCCGAUCUGUAAGUUCCUAUUGUUCUCAAAUGUUACGUACUAUAAUGUAUUAAGGUUUGGAGAUGAUUCAACGGUCGGAUCGUCAAUUCAUAUAAGGAUCAAGUGGCAAUCUCUAUCAAAACUAUGUUCAAACGAUGAGAUUUCAUCAAUCAGACUUCACAUAUAGAAUUAGGGUAUCAAAAUUAGCCUAGGAAGGUCAGGGGGUACCUCGGCCCACGAGCCGCUGCCACGUGCCACUGCACACGGCGAUCAGUGUAAGGUCUCACUUCGCCUAAAAGUGAGAACCCUGUAAGCCUUAUAUGUACAUGCCCACCUCCAAAUAUCACGAAGCCUUUUGAGAGCUUACUGGCUUUGGAUUUCAUCGGAACUCCAAAGUUAAGCAAGUUCGGACGAAAGCAAUCUUAAGAUGUGUAACCCACUGGAAGUUCUCGAAUGAGUUCCCAGAAACAAAACCGUAAGGGCAUGGCUGGAGCCCAAAGCGGACAAUAUCGUGCUACAGCGGAGUCGAGCCCAGGAUGUGGUGGAGCCCGGGUCGAGAUGUGAUAAUUUGGUAUCAGAGCUACUUCUUGGCUGGAAGUGUGUUGACGAUGACGUUGGGCCUCUCAAGGGGGUGGAUUGUAAGAUCCCACAUCGCCCAUGGGUGAGGAUCCUGUAAGCCUUAUAUGUACAUGCUCACCUCCAAAUAGCACGAGGCUUUUUGGGAGCUUACUGGCUUCGGGUUCCAUCAGAACUCCGAAGUUAAGCAAGUUCGGACAAGAGCAAUCCUAGGAUGGGUGACUCAUUGAAAAGUUCUCAUGUGAGUUCCCAGAAACAAAACCGUGAAGGCAUGGUCAGUGCCCAAAUCGGACAAUAUCGUGCUACGGAGGAUUCGAGCCCAGGUCGGGAUGUGACAGUUGGCUGCCCCGACUCGCCGAAAAAAAUCAACUAUUUCUAAAAAUUCUCAAAUUUCACAGAAUUGAAGAUUUCAAUGAGUAGAGCAAGUUUUAUACGUGUGGCCAAGUCCAAUUUGGUCGGGAAAAGCUUCAAAUCGCCACAAACCCGUCGGAAACCCUAGAAAAUGGUGGUUGUCGAUUCAUUGUCUCCGAAGCUUUGCCGCACCAACCAAAGCUUGGGACUUGUUCUUGGGUUCAAGAGAAGUUGAACCAUGGUGAUGGUCGUCGGUGGUGGUUGCAGAAACGGCGGAUCGCUACCGAGACACUCAUGGAACCCACGGGUUCGUUCUUUGCAAAUCAGCUUAAACACAGUCGGGUUUGGGUGGAAAAUGGAGUGGACGUGACGAUUUGGUGAAUGGUGGCGAUAAAUCAACUUAAUUCGUCGGAAAACAGCCCAAAAUAGAGUCGGAAAACAUGGUGGAUGUUGGCUGGGUCACGCACGGGAAACGGGUCAAGGUGGAUAGGUUGGCUGCAUCUCCCACUCUCUCCUUUCCCUCAUGUCCCUUCUCCUGAUUGGUCACUUCCGUUUUUCUCCUCUCUUCUUGAUAGGGCAAUAGCCCUCUCUACAUCUAUCCUUCUUUUCUUUUCCCCACUCAGCCACACACAUGUGGCAUAACAAUUUAGUGAUAUAAAAUAGUAAUAUAAUUAAAAUAGUGAUUUGUAGCUUCGUAAAACUUUGACCAUAACUCUGAUUUCGAUUCCUAUUGUGCCUACACAUUUGUAUCGUUAAGUACUUCAAGAAUACACUAAAAGAAUAUUUCAUAUGUCUCACUAUGCGUUGGUCAAUGAAAGUCAAUACCCUCGCCUCUAAAGUAUUUUAGUAAAUUCACAUUUUUAAAAAAAUGAAUGAAAUCGUAAAAGUUGGGACAGGUUGUUACAAAAUCAGUAAAAAUGACAUCUCAUUCUCUUCACCAAGGUGUGAAGAACAAAAAAAAAAAAAAAAAAAAUAUAUAUAUAUAUAUAUAUAUAUAUUUGUCAAAUCAAGAAAAAUAUUUGGCUGUAAGUAAGCAAAGCUGAUUAGGGUUUUCGUUGGUUUAAAUUUUCAAAGUGCGGAAAAUUGUAACUUAAUUAAGCAAGUAAAAAACAUAAAGUUAAUGAAGAUUAAGGACCAGUUUGGUUUUUUUUUUUUUUUUUACCAAAAAUUGCUUCACUUUAAAAUUAAGCAGUAGAAAAAUAUUUGGUAAAACUAAAAUAUACUACUUUUUAAAAAGUAAUGACCUCCAGACAGCAGCUUUUAAAAGUAGUUUAUAGUAAGCUCAUUAAUUCUAAACAAUGACAUUAUUUAUCCUUCUAAACACUACUUUUAUAUUAUUUCUCAUCCCCACAACACUUUUAAAAAUAAAAUUUAUCAAAUGCUUAAUUACUUUAUUUUGCAGCUGAUUAUUCUUAAAUAACAGCAGAAACAAUUUGUUAAAAGAGCAUAGCAAUCCCAAAUUGGCUAGUAGAUGGAGAUUUUUCUUUCGCAAAACAUUGACCAUCCAGAAGAAUGUGACUAGCCAAAUAAUCAUAUUUUAAUAUAAAAAAAUAUAGGGUUGGAUGUUGCGGCAUAUGCUGACUAGGCCAUUAUCAACAAACCGUAUUUAUCUCUAAUUAGUGAUUUUAAUAAUUAAAAAAACCUAAUUAGUCUUAGUUCUACACGUACCAGGUGGAUUUAGCUGCUAAUUAAUUAUAAUCAGCAGCCUGAUUAUCUUGAGAAGCAAGAAAUGAGUAGUUGCCCUAGCAGACUAUCAGUAGCAGACCAGUGUAUAUUGAAUUGAUAAGCUAACUGCUUGUUUUGGCGCAUGUUUAGACCCGGCAGUUUCUAAUACGAUAUGUUGACAUGAUACGAAAAUAACGAGUUUCGGGUCAACACGAUAACUUAUCGGGUGACUUGUUAAAAACCCGUUAAUAACGGGUUCUUAAGGAGUAUACACGCGAGUAACAAGUGGGUAACCUAUUUCGACCUGUUAAGAAAAAAAUUAUUUUGAUAAUUUUAAAAUUUAAUUACUAAAAGAUUUAUUAUAAAAUACAAUAGCCAUAUUAAUAUAUACAAUAUAUUCUAUAUUAAAUAUAUAGUUUUGUAUUAUUAUUCUAUAUAAGUUUUUUUUUAAAUUGUCAUAUUUAUUUUUAUUAUGAGAGUUCCUUAUUAUCAUUACUAGGAUAAAUUUUACUUAACAUGUUGUUGUCCAAAAUUAAAAUAAACUAAUAUAGUAUUUGUAUAGGCAAGAACUAAGAAGACAUACAUACAAGUAUGAAAAAUGUGAAAGAAUAUAUAAAUACUUGUGAUUCGUCAUUAUUCAUCUACGAGUAGAUAAUGAUUACACUUACAUUAUCAUUUAGAUUUUUAAAAUCCUCCAAACCUUCAUGAAUAAUGUUUUUUAUUUGAGGGAAAAAUUAAUAAAAUUAAUAAUAAUUAUUGUAGAAGUGUAAAAAAUGUAAAAAAAAAAUAUACAAUCACUCAUAGUGACAAACUUUACAACUUUCAUGAAGGGGUUAGCUUCGAAAUCCAACACUAUAAUUCAUAAACCUUAAAUUUAUAUUUAACCGUCGAUUGCCAUUUACGUUUUAUUUUUCUUACUAAAUUUCAUUUUUUAAAUUUUCUUUUUUUUUAAAACAUGAUCAUCUGGCAAAUGUAAGAAGAUGAACGGUUCAGAUAUUUAAUAUCACGUUUCAAUAUUUACGAUUAACUGAAAUAUGAGUCGAUGUUAUAUAGUUUGUAGAAACUUUAUAAACAUCAAGCAAUAUUUUCACUAACCACAAAACUCUUAAUAUAAUAUUAACGAUCCAAACCUUUCAUCUUCUUGCAUCCUCUAAUAGAUCAAGUUUUCAAAAAACAAAAUCUGAAGAAAAAAAAAACAAAAUUUGAUGAGAACAAUGAAGUGUAAAUGUAAACAACAAUCAACGGUUAAAUUUUUAUCUAUGAUUUAUAUGAUUAUAGUGGCGAAUUUCGAAGUUAAGCUCUUCAUGAAAGUUGUAAAAUUUGUCAUUACGAGCGUUUAUAUAUUUUUUUUCUAUAUUUUUUUUACACUUCUACAUUAACUAGAAAACUAUUAAAGACUUUAGGUAAGUGAAAAUAUACUUAAAAGAAAAAUGCGUUUUUAUGUUUUGGAUGUGACAAUAUGGUAUGUAUAUAGUAUUAUGUUUUUCAUUUGAUUAUUUAAUUGGUUUAAAUAUAUUUUCCUUAAUGGGUAACGGGUCGGGUCAUAUUACCCGUUAAUAUUAUCGGGUCGAUUUCGGAUUGGGUCAUUUUACCCGUUUAUUUUAACAGAUGUUGCACGAUACGAUCCGUUAAGAUAUCGAGUAUAACAUGAAAACGACACGAACACAGAAAACACGACUCGAAUGUCAGGUCUACAAUGUUAAAUGUUCAUGUACUAUUCCCAUGCACGUGGAUUGCUUUUCGGACCAAACCCUAAACCUUUGGCUGUGGGUCGUAUUAUUUUCUAGAAAUUUUUUGUGGUUAGAAUUCAAAGUUGUGAGACGUAAGAUUUAUUCAAAUUUCAAAGGUUUGCUUAACGGUGCGAUUAGGUUAAUAGUUCUUUUGUCUCAAUGUGUUAUUUAGUCUAAUAACAUAAACAUCUUAUAUAUUGUCACGUGUUAUUUAGUCUAACAAUAUAAACAUCUUAUAUAUUGUCAAACUAUUUGAUUAUACAACGAUGUUUUACUUGUUUGUGGCAAUACAACAGCCAUCUUUUUUUUAAUAUAUGCCGGUACAGUAGUGAAAUAAAGAUCCUAUAUAAUAUAAGAAGAGAGAUAGCAUCACGCACUACCCCACAUGUAAAUGUAGUGGGACACCGAUUGAAUGUAGAGUUGACAAUUACAGAUCAACUAAAUAACGUACGACAAGUAAAUAAUAUAUAAUAAUUAGUAUGCAAGUUCAAGCGUAAAUCACGUGACAUUGGUCUUGCCUGGAGUUCUGCCAGAAAAUAUUUUGUCAUGCCCAUGUGAUGUGGAACUAUCGCACUUUACAUUGAUGACAAAUUAUUUUUUUUUUUUAUAUAAUUUUGGUAUCAUAUGAGACAGCAUCCGGAUCAAAUGGUACUCCAGAGCUAGUAACCCCAAAAAAUGCAUCAUGACAGUUCAAAUCUGGAUUACAAGUUCGAAACCUUUACUCAUUUUUCACUAAACCAACCAUUGGGAUUAGCUCAAAUAUUGAUCCAGCAUUUCAAUGAAGACGCUAGUUUAUCCUGUUUGGUCACUUGCGAAUUCAUGCAUAUCUAAACUCAUAUGGCGCUUUCAUGCACGUAACUGUAAGCAUUCGUAUUAUGCCAAAUACGAAAUAAUUAAGGACUCUUCCCAUAUAAUGGAUAUGACAGAUCUUUUUCUUUGCAAUUUUCUUGACUUUCUGAGAUGGAUUUAAUCAAACGCAAAUCAGUCGAAGUUGGAAGUUUAUAAUGAUGCUGACUAGACUCAUUCCCUAUGUUGUAAGAAAUUAUAAAUCAUGCGAUAGGCGGGCUGAUUACGUAUCUUAUAAUUUUUAUUUGAUUAUCUAAUAAAAUAUUAAAUAUCAUCAUUUACUUUUAGCAAGAGUCCUAUUGGCAAUAUGUUGAUGCAAUACAAUAUUGACAAAGUAACAGUAAUACAGAUAAUAUGAAAAACACGUUAAUCAUGUGGUCUCUUUCUGAUCCAAGUAAAGAUAGUCAUGUAGACUUCUACUUUUAAAAAAUAAAAAAGAAAAGGAUUAGCGGGUGCCAAUAAUCGAAAUUGGCAUGUAUCGUAUGAAAUAAGGGUUUAGAAAAUGUCUUCAACUCUUGGAUCACCCCAUAGUUGUUACUCAUAGCUUUCAUCACAAUCAAAAGUAAUGUGACACUUGGCAACACCACAGGAGGCCUAUGGUCUGUCGGAUGUUUGUAGAAGAAUUGUUUGUACUUCUAGAAGUCGAGUUAAUCGGAGCUAAUUUCAAUAGACAAAAUCUUGAUAUGGAAGAAAUUUCUACGGUUGAAUAUGAAUAGUCUAAUAAGACUUCCCUUACCCUAUUGACUCCUUUUUCCUGUAUUAUCUUUCAAUUGGGAAGAGUGCAGAGUGUCAAUUACAACUGUUAUAAUGCGUAUCAAAUUAGUUUAUUUUUAUGCACAAACUUAAUAUCUAGCAAACCAAUAAAGAAGUUGAGAAUGUGACUCAAACUCGGAAUCUCUUACAAAGGAAUAUUUGAUAUCAUGUUUUUGAGGACCACUAAACAUAAAAGCUUAAUCUAUUAAUGAGCUGACAAUGUAUGUUAAAUUUACGAUUAUACAUCAUCGUAACGUGUCGGGAGAUAUACCGUUGGAUCAAACUAAGAAACAAGAUGCUGAUUUAUUCGUAUACAUAUUGUGCAAUAUGAAUCCAACUAAUAUACCAGGACCAUGUGAAGCAUUUGACGCUACUUCUUCUUAUGCUAGCCUUUUCGAAAUCAUCACGCUAUGUCUUUUGAAUUUUAUCUGGCUAUAUUUUAGCAAUAUAAUUCAUAAUCUGAUGGGAGGAUGAGGAAAACUAUCCAUCCUGUAAAUUUAGGAGACUAACUUUUAUGGUACGAAGCGCUACGGUGAUGAUAUUUCUGUGGCAUACAAGUCAUUCUCGAAGUUUAAGGCAAUGACAAUAAAGACAGUAAGUCGAGACAAAAUUAAAAAGGAUAAGGUUCAACACGUACGUAUAAGGAUCAUCAUCCAAAUCCGAGUCCAUUUGGAUUUUUGGGAGAUUGUAGUUGAAAUUAAACACCAUCUCUGUCAGAGCCUCAAAGUUAGCUCUUGCGGCAUUAUACAUGUUCACAUAGGAUAGGACUUGAACAAAGAGGUUUGUUUUGUUCGAUAAGGACGACUUUUGCGUUUAAUUCCCACCCUCAUCCGUUUGGGGCACUUCAGAACGCUCACUUGGACUCGUCCUUAUCUUCAUUUGCAGUUAACUUCGUUUGCCAGUUUAUGCAUUCUCAUACAGAAUCACACUUGCAGGCAGUUAAACGUAUCUUUCGAUAUCUCAAGGGCACUCUUGGACAUGGCUUAUAGUUUCCCAAAACUGCUUCACCUCUCAUACUUAAAGCCUUCAUGGUAUCAUAGUAGGUUGUCCCAACGGCCACAUGAGCUCCACCUCACUCUGUUAUAUUGUCCACGUGUUAGGCUCGAAAAUUCGCCACACGUGAGGGGACGUGUUGAGAAUGAUGAGUCACACAUUGAUGGGAGGAGGGACCUUGCAUGAGUUUAUAAGAAAUUGGACUACACCUCAUAUUGCCAAUUAGUGUUAUGGUGGAACCUCAACCCCUUCAAGGACAACACUGCAGAUAUGCUGAAUUUCUUCGGCGGCUGCUAAAGCGUUUUGAGUUCACGUUGAAUGUGCAUCAUGUUAAAAGAGACACGACUCACCGCCUCCAAACUCAUUAAUUUAGGAGUCGUAAUUUCGAACACGACUUGAAAAUGACACGAAAUACAUAAUUUAGGAGUCGUAAUUUCGAACACAACUUGAAAAUGACACGAAAUACACGGGUUUGAGUUGGCCAUAACCGCUUGACAAGGUUUAUUAUAGAGCUCAUGUUUCUGAUCAACCUGUUUAACUCAAAAAAUGACACAUUGUAACACGUUUAUAUGAUUGUGUAAUCCUUGACUUGUAUACGACCCAACCCGAGAUAAACUAUCCAAUUGUGUUGGAUAUUUUGUGGGUUAUGGUUUGGAAGAAUAUGAAAGAUAAUGUUGCUUCAAGGUACGUUUUGAAGGUUAUUUUUUCAUGCACCACCUUGCUCCCCCUUAGUUCAAUGGGGAACUACAAAUAUGCCUUGUGCAUGUAAUGAAGUCCGAAUUCAAUCCACGUUGAACAUUGUAACGCACUACAGAUUGAACCAAACACACGAAACGAUGAACGUCUGUAUAAACUAAAGCUGCAUAAGUCAUCUCCAUACAUAGAGGAAUAAAGUUUCCUCUCUGAAUUGGUAUUCAAAACAGUGAGCAUCUUCAGUUGAUUAAAGGCUUAAAAACAUUUUUCCUUGCACUCGAGGUCCCGAGAUCAAAUCCUCCAUUCCACAAUAUCAAAAUCUAGCUAGUCCUAUUUUUCCCCAAGCCAUUGCUACAUCCAACGCAGGAGAGUUGUAUGGAGUAGGGCAUUUCUUUUUUCGGUUUUGUUGUUGUAGCCUAUGGUAGAGAAUGAUAUUUGAAUUGGCGAUGUCUAACGUGCGGAUAAUAGACAAAAUGAACUCAAAAUUAUAAGUACAUGAACUGUGAGCCAAUUUUUCCUCCUUAAUGCAGCCUCAAACGGCCCCCUGGCCAUUUGAAAGAAGAAUGCACACAUCUAAAUAGCCCUAACACAACUAGAGGUGAUUCUUACUGCCCACUUUCACUCAGGCAUCUUAGAUCGACAAGGAGUUCGGCAUUAGAAAACUUUUAAACCUAAGGACAACCCCACAAAGUAAUUUGAAAGAAAAUUACCUAAAAUGCAAAGGUGAACCCAAGGAGUUGACAUGAAUUUCAGGACUGUUCUUUCCGAAAGAAUGCUUUUAUCCAUUGCACCAGCUCUGAAAGAACCUCCUAACGUAUAUUUUCUAGGCAAUUCUACAUGCAUAGGUUCCUGCAUCACUUACUGGGAUCUUCAAUCACAAGAUAAGAAAACAUAAUUGUAGUAUGUAACAAUGAAAAGUAUGUCAAAGAUAAUCCACAUGUACGAUUAACAUUAUAAAAGAGGCACUAAGUUAAUAAUUAACUAAGUAACUAACAUUCUCGUAAAGGAAAGAAACAGUUACAGCGUCAUCCAGAUAACUAACUAUACAGGAGCAGACAUGAAUUUAUUUUGGGAGAGAAGUAUCUCAACCCCGAGACAUAAGAAUCUCGAAAGAGAAGAAACAGAUACAAGGUGCAGCUUAGAUCCAGAAAGGCAACUAUUACUUACCACCUCUACAAGAACUUCUCUAUGCUGGUGGUUAAUGUGGAUUUGGGAACAGCACCAAUAAUGGCAUCCUUUUUUUCGCCACCCUUGAAUAUGAUGACAGUUGGAAUACUUCGAAUCCCAUACUGGGUUGCAAUUGACGAGCUCUCAUCAGUGUUAACUUUGUAGCAUUUGAGCUUCCCAACAUAUUGCUUUGCCAGUUCAUCAAUUAUAGGGUGGAUCAUACGGCAAGGCCCGCACCACGGAGCCCAGAAUUCAACCAAAACAGGGGUUUCAGAAUCAAGGACAAGUGACUGCCAUGUUGCAUCACCAACAGCAGGCACUGCAAUUUUUCACAAAACAUACCGUCAAAAAUAAAACUUCAUAACAACCAAAAGUAAUAGACAAAAUAUAUGUGAAAGCAGAACUGCAUAACCCUUUCUAAUGCUUUGGACAUUGAUUGUAAAGCAAGCAACAAUCAGUCCUAAACACUGCCUUGUACAUCAAAACUCAAUUUCUCUCAUAAAUUUUUUUGAUAUUUUGAGUAACAAAAAUUUCAACCGCUUUUAUACUUCAUCUAUUGCAUAAUAAACAGGUGUCUUCUUUGUGUACUCUCACAAGUAGAACACUGAAAAGUAAGCAUGUAUGCAUACAUAAAUUUGCUCCAUAUCUACACUUAGUUUUAGUUCCAAAUCUGAAUUACUAAGAUUCAUGCCCAAGUCCCUAGAUUGAUUAUUCACUUCUGUGUUUAUGAUUAGUCACCAUGCAUUCCAUCAACAUUCCACCUGAAAUCGAACAUUUAAUUUUGGAAUAUUUUGGUCAGUCACAAUGAACUAUGUCCCUUGACAGUCUCACCUGUGGCUUGUCUUUAGCUACCGGGUGGUCAUUUCAGCUCAACCAGCCUAACCAAACAAUCACAAGUACCCACAACUUGAAAUCACCAGAUUAAGCUUGCCUACGAAUCUAAACUUCAUCUUCAGAACCAUUUGACUACGCUUCUAAGGCGGGCUCAUCCUCGGUUCCUACUAGCUUCCUUUUACGAGUCUAUCCCAAGUUUUCAAAUGUUUCAAAAACCAAUACAUUUCUUCAGUAUCAUAUCAUCCAUUUCCCAUUUCUUUGCGAUCGGUAACUUUCAUAUUUUAACUUUCUCAAAACAAUACCACUAAUCACAUCAACUUACGCGAUACUCGGAAAUUGAGUAUAAAACUUAAACCCUAUCUUCUCAGCUAAUGCAGAAAUUAGAGAGUAAAGAUCAUUUCUUGGCUGCAAGUUCUAAAAUUCCACCUUUACCAAAUAAACAAUCUCAGUCUAUCACCUUUCAACAAUAUCUACACAAAAUUAAAUCGACUAUGAAACUUAAAUCAUCUGCUGAUUACUAAGAAAGUGAAGGAGAAUUAAACAGAAAAUUUUCCAAACAACCAAACACAAAGUAUGAAAUUUGAAAUAAACAAAAAAAUAAUUGAAAUCAUGACUGAAGAUGGCGAAAUUACAAGACUUACCUUCGACAGCGGUGUCCUGAGCCUCACAGACGACGAGACCACCACGGCGGCUCGCUCGUCCGGAAGCAGGACCGUAACUCAGCGAUCUGGCGGAGCGAGUUAGGAGAGCCGAUCCCACCUUGAGGCCUCUGUAGCGAGGCAACCGAGCGCCGGCGGACAAGGACGAGGGCGAGGAGGGAGCCGAGAUCGGAGAGAGCGCGGCUGAAGAAGGGAGAGCGGAGGAUCGGGGAGCGACGACGGAGUCGAGGACUGUAGCCAUGACCGCAGAGGGUCGGAGCUCUAGAGAGAUAGAGAGAGAGAGAGAGAGAGAGAGGAUGGAGACGGAGUAGUUGAAGGGGACGGAGAAAGCAGUAGCGACUAGCGAGUGGAUUGGGGAGAGGUGGAGAGUGGGCAGCAAAGGUUAAUGGAUGAGUCUGAGACGAUAACUGAGGAGUGAGGACGAGUGCGGAGAUAUCCUGCUUUGAUUCUUUGCAAUUUGCAUUGUGGUAAAGUCACCAAUCAUUGCAAGGAAAACUAAUGAAGACACAUUGAAAACUUUGAGUUUAAUGAUAAGGAUAAAAUAAAGGGUAAAGUAAAUAGUACCAUGAUUGAUUUUUUAGUGUAAAAAUGUGAUUUUUCGUUAAAUGAACAGUACCGGAUGCUUUUCGUUAAAGUUCCCAUCAUUGUAUGGCUGCUCAGUAUUGCUGUCAUUUGAAAAAAAAAAAAAUUGAUUUCUGCUGUGCUGUGAGAAUAAACUUAUUUUGCUGCUUCACGUUGUUAGUUUUUAUUUUUAUUCAAAUUGUGAAAAUAAGCUGUUUUUAAAUGUUUACCAAAUACCUUUUUUAGCUCAGUUUUUUUUACACUCAUGUUUUUAUAAAAGUUCCUCAUACUAAACCAGUACUAUGACACCUUAGUACUAACUACAUUUUUAAUUUUUUAUAAUCUAUAAUAUGGUUAUUUAUUUUUUACAUUUGCCACUGUAAAGUAAGAAUAUGUUAGAAAAAUUAAAUUUUUAAACUAAAUUUAUAAGUGUAACUAAUAAAAAAUAAAAAUGCUAAUCGAUAUUUAAUUAUUAUUAAUUCAAUCAUCUACGACUACAUUAUUUAGUUUGUAAAUUUAAUUUAAAAUUUUAAUUUCCUUAACAUUACUGGUAAAAUAAUAUUUUAUAUUAAUUUACGAAGGAGAAAGAUUUGAAUCAUGCAGUGAAUUGAAGAUGAAUGGUCUAAUCAUCAAAGGUUAUCCUUGCGUUUACCUAGGGGUGGGCGCGGUGCGGUUUGGUGCGGUUUCGAAUGAAACCACAACCGAAACCGAAACAUUUUGCAGUGCGGUUUUGAAGCCAAAACCGAAAUGAAACCAAACCGUUCGGUUCGGUGCGGUGCUGUUUCAAACGGUUUCGGUUUGGUUUUUGAGAAAAAAAAUGUACAAUUUAAAAUAUACACCUAUUUAUGCAUAAUACAGUCUUAUUUUUCUCAUAUAUUAAUUAAUGAAUAUGCAGUAAAAUUGCAGCAAAACAGCAGCAAAAACUGCACAAAACUGCACAAAAUUGCACCCAAAAAUAAUGCAGCAAAACUGCAUAAAAAAACAGUACCAAAACAGCACCAAAAACUGCACCAAAACUGCACCAAAAAACUGCACAAAACAGAACCAAAAAUCUGCACCAAAAGUGCAGCUAACUUGUACCAAACUUGUACCAAAACUGCAACAAAUGACAACUACUAAAAUUGAGACAACAUCCAAUGCAUCAAAGGAUUUAAACUUUAAAUCCUUAUGCAUCACAUCUACUAAAAUUGAACUUGAUCACCAAUCACAAUACUUUACAACCCCAAUUAAAAGGUUAAGUUUGCCAUAAUACAAACCUAUAAGUUAUAACCAAGUUGAAAAGUUUAAAAUAUAAGUUAUAUAACAUUUAUUUAUUAUAUGGUGCGGUUUUGGCUUCGGUGCGGUUUUGAAAACCCAAAACCGAAACCAAACCGUUUUGUGUGCCGCGGUUUGGUUUUGAAACCGAAACCGUUUCAAAACCGCAAAACCAAACCGUUUGGUGCGGUUUGAUUCGAUUCGUGUUUUGGUUUCGGUUUUCGGUUCCAAGUGCCCACCCCUACGUUUACCUGAAACAAUAACACUUGAUGAGCAGUGUAACAAUUUCUAUCAAUUUAAAAUCUCAGAUAUCAAAGUGAAGAGUUAUGUUAAUCUCAAAGACCAUUUUGACAAAAAAAAUCUAAAUCUAAAUGUAAUCUCAAAGACUAUAUAUAUUUUUUUUUUUUGAAACAACAAUUAAUUUAAUAAUUUGACAAAAAGAAUAAAAGUGUAACAAUUUAAAAUUUUACAAGUUAUUUUUCCUAAAUCUAAAAAGGAAAAAAAAAAAACAUGAACCAAAAUACUCCCACCCAAAAGUUAAAAAGGUGCAAAAUGUGACAUAAACAAAUGUAAGGCAUUUUGGCAAAAUAGUUUUAAGAUUGACAUAACUCUGCAUUUUGAUCAUUGAGAUUUGAAAUCAAUAAAACUUGUCCUUAUGUUUGUCCACCGUCAAUCACAUUGGUCAUUCUUGAAAAAUCUCUAUUAAAUAAAUAUCAAAAUGACAUAAAUACCCUGAAGGACGGAAAGUUUUGAUUGUUAUUUUUUUCUUAUUUGACGGAAAUUUUUAAUAGAAUGACCAAAGUAAUUAACGGUGGAAAAACUCAGGGACAAGUUCUAUCAAUUUAAAAUCUCAGAUAUCAAAGUGAAGAGUUAUGUUAAUCUCAAAGACCAUUUUGACAAAAAAAAUCUAAAUGUAAUGAUAACUAUCUUUUGCAGUUUUGUUUUGUUGGAAGAGGAUCAGGUCCGGAUCUCUCCCAUCAAAAGCCUAGGAUCAAGUGAUCCGGACCAUUGAAAUUUAAUACAACGACUACAAACAAAGAACCCCUUUAAAAGUUAUAAUAAUUGUAGUCAUUGGAUCAAAUUUCAACGCCCGGAUCACUUGAUCAUGGGCCCUUGUUGGGAGAGAUCCAAACCGGAUCCUUUUACAUUUUCCUAGGGAUUCUAGGGAUCCAGCAAUCAUUUUCAUUCAUCGUACAUCGUGCUGUCAGUUUUCGUUAGGUACUAUUUAUAUUUGAAUUUUAAAUUUUAAAUUUUAAAUAAUUUCUGACCACAUGAUGUACGAUGAACGAAUAUGAUUGCAGGAUCCUAGAAUCCCUAAGAUUUUCCUAUUUGUGGAAAGCAGGCUAAGGAAAGUGUGGCAGUAAUCUAUUACUUGAAAGAUGUUGGAAAUGGACAUGGCUUCUCUGCCCUCCCAGUUCCCAUACACUCUCAUCUCCUCUUAUUUGUCUUAUUAUCUCUAUAAAAAAAAUGGUCACGGUUAAGCCACGUCAACAUUUUAUAUCACUAAUAUUUUUUGUCUUAUUAUCUCUAUAAAAAAAUUAAUAUAAAAUGUUGACGUAGCUUAACCGUGACCACACAAAAUAGGAGAGAAUGAGAAUGUAUGAAAACUGGGAGGGUAGAAACGCUGGGUCCGUUGGAAAUUGCUCCUUGUCUCUGCUUGAUGCCUUUCACAUCAUUCUUGUGUUGUUACCUUGAAACAUAUUUAUUGUUAAAUCUCAUAUUUCAAAAACUUAGAUUUUUUUUUUAAAAAAAAUGUGUCAUUUCCAAUGUUUAUUAAUUUUUCUUGGUGUUCCAUAUACAACGACAUGUCUUUUUCUUGACCAAUGUCAUCUACUGUUGCACAUUUAAGAUUUAAGAGGAAUGCAAUGGGAUAAUAGCAUUUUACAUGAAACAAAUUUAUUACAAUUGUAACUUUUAGAUCAUCAUACAUUGUCACAUUAAAUAAAAGUUAAAAAUUAUAAUAAAUUAUUAAAUUAGUACGUUACGCGACGGUAAACUCUUUUUCUCCUUCUAAACUCCAUCUCAUCGGAUCAUGCAUCACGAAGUUUGUAAAAGACUGCUAAAAGUAAUGGUAACUCCAUAUCACGAAGAUGGGAAAUAGUAGUGCUGUCGUUCUUGACCUAAUAAAAGUGGAGGCAGAUUCUCUGCCCUCCCACUUUCUGUGCCCUCAUGUUUUGUGUGGGAACGGUUAAGUUACGUCAACAUUUUAAUUUAUUUUUUGAUAGAGAUAAUAAGAUAAAAAUGAAUAGUAAUAUAAAAUGUUGACGUGGCUCAACCGUGAUCACACAAACAGAAGGACAAUGAAGGAUACGGGAAAUGGGAGGACAGAGAAUCUGCCUCCAAUAAAAGUAGUGCUGCCCUUGUUUUAAUGAUGGUUAUUCUUGCAAUUAUAAACAAAAGUUUUUUUAAUUAAUUUAUAAUAUUGGGAAAACCUUUUAACUUCAAUUUCCAUGAAAAAAAAGAAGAGAAGAAUGGAUUAUAGAAGAGGACAAUCGGGUCAACAAGAAAACGCAGACCCUUCUAAAUUAUUUCGAUGCUCUUAUCGUGUUAUAUUUUGCACACGGACUCUCAGAUUGCAGAUAGAUACACCAUGACCAAUAGUUUGCUUCGAAUAUAGGAGUUGCUAAGAGUAAAACUCAAAGAAAAAAAAAGCCGAUUGUAUGGAAAAUAUUUCUGGAAGGCAUAUUUGUCAAUCUUAUUUAGUGGUUUAGUAGGUAUGGGAGAAAAUUUUCACCUUGGCUUGAAUUGACGAAAAUCUACGCACAAAGAAAAGAGACAAACGGAGUAGACAAACAUCAAUGUGGUGUUAGCCAAAGUGCCUAUGAUGCAGCCUAAGUAGUGUAAGAAGUAAUAAGAACGUGUUGAGAGUUCUUGAUUACCAUAAUAAGUGGCUGACCUCGGCUAUUUAUAGAGAACUGAUGAGUUAACUCUAGCACCCCGUUGAACCUAUUUGCAGAGUGUUACCUAGUCUGCACAUCUAUGGGAGAAUAUUCCUUUGAGAUUCCUGGAUUAUGCUUCAGAGAAUCUUGACAUGCUAGGAGAUUAACAGGCAAACCCAUUACAUAUCAGGGUAAUUUGUGUAGCUCGCUUGGGGAUCGGCUUGGACCUUUUGCGAUGAUUGGGCUUAGAGGACUAUUGAUUGUGGGUUUUUAGGACCUUCGUAGAGAAUGUGGCCCGUUAGCCUGUUGGGGUUUAGCUAAUGGUCUGCAUAUUUUGUCAAUGACAUAAUAGUUAUAUAUGAUAAGUUCUACAUGUGGCGUGUUCCUAUUGGUCAAAUAUCUUAUGUUUUCAUAGUAAGUAUGAAUCAUCAAGAUCAACCUCCGAGACUUAUUCUAAAGUUUCUUUCUUAUUCCGAAAUUCGAACCAAACAAAUUUAUUGUUUUUUUUUUCCGCACUCCAUUUGCAUUAGAAAUACAAGAAGAAUUUAUGAGCAAAAAAUGGGUCUUCUUCAUUCACAAAAACUUGGUUUAAGAUUUAUCAAUGUUAAGGGUGAUUCGAAGCUCUUAUUAAUUGCAUUCUGCAUCGCAGUCUAAUUUCUUGAGUCUAUUAGUUUUAGUCAUGUUUGGUGGAAGACUAAUUUUAUCGCACUCUAUCCCUUCUGGUGUAAAUUGUACAGGACAAGGAUUGUCUGUCCUCCACUUCCGGUGCCCUCUCCGUGUCCUCUUGUUUUGUGGUUACGGUUAAGCUACGUCAACAUUUUAUAUUGUUUUUUGUUAUAGAUAUAAUAAGACAAAAAUGAAUAGUAAUAUAAAAUGUUGACGUGGCUUAACCGUGACCAUACAAACAGGAGGGCACAAGGAGGGCACCGAAAGUGGACGGCAGACGAUCCUUGUCCAAUUGGACAUCCCCUCCGGCUAGACAUGUGUUGUUGUAUGAUGCUUUAUGUACAGGAAGCCCUCAUGGCUAUCUUGUUUAGUUGAAGAAAAGUACUAUACACCCCCGAUAUUUACCUCAAACACUUAAUAAUUUUUAUUCAUUCAUCUUCUUCAAUUUUUUUUUGUUAAAAUGACACUUUGUAUACGGUCCUUAGUUGGUAUAAUUAUUUAAUUGAAACCUUAUUGAAUUUUAGUUUUUAAUCAAGGUCCCUAGGCUUUAUACACAUCAACAUUUUAUUAUUCACAUAUUUCUAUGUCAGCUUUUUAUUUUAUUUAUUAAAUUUUUUAAUUUAUAAAUUAUACUUCAUAUCACUCAUUAUCACGGCAAGAUAAUGGGAGAGCAUUGUAACAGAAAUUCCCAAAUUUCAGUCCCCCAAUUCAAGCUGUUAUGUUUUCAAUUAUAGUUUGUAUCCAAUACAGACUUCAUGAACUCUGUCAUUGAAAAGCUGAUGUGAAGUCUCCAUAUAUGCUAACAGAAAAAUGUACCCCAUGCAAUAAGAUUGUACCCCCCACGCAUAUGGCCUUUUUUCUCCAAGUUCCUCUGCAAAUGCAAUGCAGUUCUUCUCCGCUUGAAAUGCCUCUGACUGGGUAGAACUAUGGUACAAAGAUUACCCAUUUAAAAAUCUUAACAAGUCUCUCUGAUGUAAUAAAAAACUGAUGCAGCAUCUUCAAAUAUUCUGCAAAAAUCUGCGUUUGUUUGAAUGCUUGUGGAGAACAUAUGGGUACGGGUCAAAUUUUGACGAAAUUUGAAAUAGCUUGAAUUGGGCAGCUGAAAUCUAGGAGUUUCAGUUACAAUGCUAUUUAAUUAUUUUGAGGGUGCUAAUGAAUGAUAUGAGGGAUAAUUUAUAAAUUUUUAAUAAAUAGAAUAAAAAGCUGACAUGGAAAUAUGUGUAAAUGAUGAUGUGUACAAAGUCUAGGGACCUUGAUAAAAAACUAAAAUUCAACAAGGUUUUAAUCAUAGCAUAUUGGCAACUAGGGCUUGGAUUCUAAAUUUUUCAUAAUAAUAUAAUAAUAAUAAUAAUAAUAAUAAUAAUAAUAAUACACAAGUUGAAAAUAAAAGUAGAAAUCAUUACAUUUUUUGGGUUGAAAUACAAAUCCUAUCGGAGCUUGUGAAAGCCAAUCUAGGAAUUGGAUCCGCUCCGGACUAAGGUUCGGAGUGUAGAGAUCAAUUUAUCUGGACCGUAUAAAUUUAAUCCAACGAUCCUCAUUAACUCAUUUUCCUGGUCCACCACACAAAAUUAAUAACUCUAAUUUCUUUUACACACUAAUCAAAUGCCCAUAUAAUUUGAUCCCUAAGCUCUGGACCGUGGAUCCAAUUCUACCAAUCUAAACCCUGGCACUGUUGUUUAAUUUAACCCUACAUAUGGUUUUUCCUUUUCAUUUAUUUUCUAUAGUUUGUACCUCAUGGUACUUAAAAUCUCAUUUGUACCCAAUAAUAAUAUUGUCAGUCAAAAUUCAAACCCCCACCAACUCCCCUUCUCUCUCUCUCUCUCUUUUUCUGAGUCCUUCCCUUUUCCCUUUUUGUCCUAUUUUCUUCUUCGAUUUUGGUUUAGAGUCCAUUACUUUGAUCACAAGACAUGGAAAAAGCUCUGAAACUCAAAGAGAAGCAAAGCCAGGGCCAAGCCAUGCAAAUAUCGAAGCAACAACGACAAGAACCAGAAGACCAGAUCAAGCUUGCUGUCGCUGCCAUCACCCUCAAUGCACGGUUGAGAUCAUCCGACAUGCCUGCCCACAUGCAAAACCACGCUCUCCGCCACACCAGAUCACUCCUCGACUCACCACCACCACCACCAAACCCCAAAACUCGUCUCAACCCAACACACCUCGCUCGAGCUCUCAAAAAGGUACAUAUGAUACUUUCAAUCUCUUUGUUUCUGGAGAACAGCAACGGUUCAUCAUCACACGUGGAGUUCUGGUCCAAUAAUGUAACGUUAUGUGAGAGAAACUUAUACAUAACAUUAUAUUAUUUGAGCGGAAAGCCACAAGAGCGAUGAGCAUGUUCCAUGUAAGUCUUCGCUGCAGCUAGAUUGGUCUGUUUUUGUUUAAUUAAUCCGGGUUACUUAAUUAAAUUUAAUGAAAACGUAGGAGUUUGACUCGGUGUAUGGACCGGCGUGGCACUGCGUGGUGGGGACGAGUUUUGGAUCGUUCGUGACUCACUCAACCGGCGGGUUCGUGUAUUUCUCUGUCGACGAAUCGCUGUCGGUGCUUCUCUUCAAAACGGAGGUCCAGUUGGUGACGGAACCACGACCACCACAACCAGCUAAGCCUUCAACUUUGAGUCCUUGUUGAGAAUUUUGUGUUGACGCGUGACAGACGUGUUCAUUGUGAUUACUCUCCUUCUUUGACUAGCAUGCACCAUAAAAUAUUCCAUUUCUUUUUUUUUCUUCUCUUUUUCUUUAAAACAAACAAACAUGUACGUAUGUGGUCAUGACCUUUGAGCUUUUAUACAAUUACAAGUAAAGAAAGGUGGUCAACCGUUGGCUGUCCUUUUUUUCAACUUUAAUUGCUCAUUUUGGGGUCUUUCUUAGGAUAUAAAGUUUUGAUUUUUCUGUAAGGGGCUUGUAAGUCAGUUGGUUCGAUUUUGAAUUCGUCAUCCCUCAAUAUCGCUUGUAUAUAAUAACAAAAAAAAAAUUUUGAUUUUUAGUCCAUGUAGUUCAGGGAAAGAAUACACUUACGCAAAUAUCAAUUUUCGCAAUUUUAAACAUGUAGUUUACCCGUCCUUUCAUUUUAAGCACGAAGGCUUGGCUUUGUCUAUUUUUGGACAAAAUUAGCACGUGAAUGACGCGUAAAAUCACCACUUAUGCUACUUUCGUUAGAAAAUUUUGUUGAAAUUGGGUUGUGGUUGAAAGUUGAAUCAAUGAGUAAUCUGUAGGCCAAAAAUAGCAAAAAAUUGAAGGCCAAAUCGCAUAAAUCAUGGGGUCUUAAGAUAUUCAGAACAUAGUCUAUGUGAUAAAAAAAUUCGAAUUUAAACUCAUGUGGUAUAGUCCGUUAGCAAAUUUAGUCCAAAAGUAUUAGUUCCGUUAAGUGUCCGUUAAAUACAUGGAUAGAAUUGUAUUUUCACAAAACCAUGUCUGAGAUCAACCUCAUCACUGAUCUCGAUGCCAUUCCACUCGGAGCCCUGAAUACACUUUCCACAAAUCCAUCUGCUACAACUUUGGCAGGGACCAAUACUGGUGGUGUUUGUAUUGCAAUCGCAACACAUCUUGCUAUCGUUACUGGGCAUAUCAAACUCGCCAGACAAAACCCGCGAGUACCUAAUUUGUCUAUUUGAUCUUAGUAGCGAGCGAUCAGGUAUUCCCUUUGAAUGGCAACAGCCCAACAAAGAAUAAGAAAGCUAGAUUCAUUUUCUUCUUUUAAAUUUCGGUAUAAUCAACAAAUAAAAGCAAAAUCCUCCGCAAUAAAAAUGAUGGAUGAAUUGGUAUAAAAAAGGUAAUUUAUUGGUACUAAAAUAGGGAACUUUAAAGAAAAACUUCUGGUACUGUUUACUUUAACGAAAACUACAUUUUUAUAUUAAAAAGUCAAUCCUGGUACUAUUCACUUUACUCUUUAUUUUGUCCUUAUCAUUAAAACUUAAAGUUUUCAACCAUUUUCAUUAGUUUUCCAACUAAAAUAUUGAUUUUCACAACACCACAUCAAAGUACAAUUUUACCCAUACGUUUAGUGGACAUUUAUCAGGAAAAUUAUUUUUGGACUAAAUUUGCUAACGAACUACAUCAUACGAGUUUAAAUACAAUUUUUUUUUUAUCACGUAAGCUAUCUUCCUAAUAUCUUGUAACCACAUAAACUAUUUAUCCGAUUUGGCCAGAAGUGAAACCACUGAGACUCAAAUGAAAUUGCAGUGGUGAAAAACUUGGUACACAACAGAAUUGAAUGUUGUGAAAAACUUGGCCUCUCUACUUUUGGAUGCUUGGCCGUGAAAAAUGUUGGGAAAUGAUGACUUCCGGCAAGGUUGGUACACAAUGUAAGAUGAGAGAGAGAGAUAGAGAGAGAGAGAGAGAGAUUUGGUGUUCAUUGAGAAGCCAAAUCAAGGUCUUUUCCAUUACAUUUUGUAAAUAAAGAUUAAUGAGUGACAAUUUCAGUCUGCAAAUUCCAAAACUACACGCAAACACGGAAUUGAAACCUCAUAAAUCCAUCCCCUGUGUAUCGUGUUCAUCUUCCCAAAAUUGAGAUCUCUAUUCUUCUGGCUUUUUGUAUAUACAAAAAAGAUAUUUUAUAUCAAUAUUUUAAUUAUUAUUUAAUUGUUAUUUUGGUCAAUUUCUUCUGUUUGUUUGACUAGUCCCCAACUGUCUUGUAUUAUCCACUAUAUCAUCUUGGAAGUUUGUGUCUUGCGUUUACUCCCCUUGGAUCCUCUCCCCUAAUUACCAGUUUACCAUCCCUGUUUUUCUAUCUUCUUGUUUUUCUCCCAAACUUUUAUAGGAGAGUCCGUGACUAGAGAGAGAGAGAGAGAGAGAGAGAGAGAGAGAGUCCAACCAAUAGAGAAUUCUAAACUUUCGGAUAUGUAUACCAAAUCGUCAGUGGAAGAGAAACAGAUCUACAAGGAAUGGCUGGACUGGAAAUAAAUCACUCUUAGGUAUCGUUUGGUAUGCAGAUGGGACGGGACGAAAUGGAACGGGACAAGACGGCACGGGACGGAACAAAGAGGGAGCAAAGAUGCCUUCGGAUGGAAACAAGGAGGAAGAAGAAAGAAACAAAGAGGUUAUAAUUUUGUGUUCCACGGAUGUGGAACGAGUCGUUCCAGGAAGGUGAGGCGGAAUGAAAAUUCACCCAAAACUUGUCCCGUAGAACAGCGCGUUCCACCCGUUUUAGGCGCACCAAACGUGGGACGGAACGCCUCGUCCCACUCCGUUCUGUCCCGUCCCACCUUAAUAUACAAAUAAAUUUGCACAAACCCGGCAGCAUGCCACGGCAAACCCCUUAGAAAACUUAACUAUAAUCACAAUAAUUACGAGUCUACGGAAGACAUACUCUUUUUCCCAUGGUCUGAUACUGCUGCAAACUACAACUCCUAAGACAGGUUCCUUUCGCACAUCAGAGAUUCAAUCUUUUCAACAUCUUCUGGGGUGUCAACACCGUGAGCCUCAUGGUCGACCUUAAUCACCUGCAAACAUAGAACCAUGUCAACUUUUGGACAUCUACAUUUAAGCAAAAGAAACCGUCCACGUAAUCACAUACUGGUACGUUGGAUUUUUCACGUCAUAUUUGAGGAGAUCUACUACCUCAGGCAAAAGAUCUGAAAAUUUAAUUCUUUUUCCUAUUGGACUGAGGGUAGUAGUGUUUGAGAGUGCCAUGAUAGUAACUGAUAGCAUUUUGACGAACUAACUUAUUUAAUCAUCGUACGGUAUUGAAUAUUCAUGCCACCGAGAUAAAGGACUUCAUACCCAUGAAGCAUAGUUAUAUUUAUUAUAUCAAUUUUUAUGACUGCAUCAAUGUCAAAUAUGACUUGAAUAAAAUUAGAAUUAACAUACCGCAAAACAAGAAGAAAAGACGGGUAAGAUCAACAAAAUAGAACAAGAAAGCAAUGCAAUGUCUUGCAAGUAGGGAAGAAGAAACGGAUCUUUUUAUACCUUCAUCUUAUACCCAUUUUCAAGGACCUUAAGCUGCUCCAGAUCCUCUUCUAGUUGCAAAGGAGUAGGUUGAAGUUCUGGAUAUAUCUUUAGAAACUUUGUAUCAUAGCUCUGAAAAUACAGGAGCGGAGAAUAAUAAGCUCACAAGUUAAAAACCAGUACAAAUGGUAUAAAAUAAUAUACGAUCAUGAACAAUGCAGCCACGCACAAUUUAUCACAAAGUAAAAUGUCAACCUAAUACCUGAAUUCCAAGAUGAAGCAAAUAGGGAAACUGUGGAUUGGCCUUUCCUGACCUGUAUCAGAGGACAAUUAGUAAAGUCUAGCUAAGAACCCGCAAAACAUGUUCUAAUUUAUUAUUUUUUCAUUCGCCAUAAAAUAAAAAAUUUCAUGAAAAAGGAAAACCUUUUACCCGAACCACUAUGAUAAAAGAUAGAACACAAGAAACAGAAAUAGAUAAGCAUAAGCUUACUUGUUAAAUGGAAUCAACCCCCUUGAAAAGUAGAUGGCAUAACCACUAUUAUUCACCACACAUUUCACUCGAUUUGGAUCCAUUGCAUCUUCAAGUUUUAAUGACGUGACGGCAGUGCUAAACACUGCAUCUGGAGCUGCCUGACAAGAUAUUAAAAAAAAAACCCAUUAAAUAACGAAGUAUGUCAUCACAUUCGAAAUCAAGAAAGGAGAAAUUACUUACCUGCAAAGCUUUAACAAUUCCAUCUAUUAUCUCAGGUUCAAUAAGAGGUUCAUCCCCCUGAAUAUUGACAACUAUAUCAUACUUCUUCUCGAGCUUCUCAAUUGCUUCAGAACAACGCUCGGUACCUUUAAGUUCAGAAAACAGAAUAUAAACUACCUUAAAAUGUAAUUAUAUAUUUUAUCUGAAAACAAAAACCAAGGUGCAUACCGUUCCGGCAGGAUUCCGAGGUCAUUAUGACAUCAGCUCCAAAACUGCGACAACAUUCUCGAAUCUUCUCAUCAUCUGUUGCCACAACUACACAAAGGAAGGUAAUAAUAAAGUUUUGCACAUAUAAAUAUAGAGAGUUCACUUCACAAAAUUUCAUGAAGCCUUUUUAUCGCUCUUGUAGGCAUUAAGCAAAACUUAAUGCCAUCACGAGUAUGCAAGCGCUAAGGCCUAGAACGGAAGGUCACUUAGGUAUUAAGAGAAUUGAAGAUUGGACAAAAGCCUACAUCACAUCUGGUCUAUUUAAACCAACCUAAGUCCUUGGGGUUGCUUCGGUUAUCGAAGAUCUCCACAAAGGUGAGUGUUGUUCAGAGUUUAAAAAUGCCCCAGCCAGAACAAGCUCUUGAAGCUACAAAAAAAAAAAAAAAAAAAAACCAGACGAAAGGUUUCUGACUCUGGUCUUCCUCUUUCAACCAAAAUCAAGGAUGUUACUUGUACUGGAUACGGGAAUUGGACAAGUACCACAUCGAAUCAGCUGGCAGAGUUCAGAUAGGGUGCUUAAAAUUCAAAAGACGACACGGGGUUUUGGAUGCCUCAAAAAACUUGCUAGAUCUAAUGCAAUGCCUCAACAAUGUAGCUACCGUCUAACAAUGAAAUCCGAGAAUAAAUACGAAACUAAAUAGCAUGGAAAUCAAAUGAGUAGACAUACCAACAUGAUCCAAUGUACUUGCUAGUUUUGCCCUUUCCCAUGUUCUCUGUAAAUACCAACAAAAAUUUAUAUGUCAAAUGUUUCCCGAUCACAAUACCAAAAUCCCAAAUUUUUAUUUAUUAAAAAAAACCCUGCUUUGGAUCCAAGCAGCUUAAGAAUCCCAAUUUUUCAUUAAAAUUGACAACAAAAUUAAAUUUAGACAAUGCCCAUUUCAGAUAUAAAAAAUUUCUUACAGAACAAAGAUUUUCAAGGAAAAAAAACAUUAAAUUACAUGUUUUUAAGGUAAAAUGAGGUACCUGAAUCAUGGGUUUGCCGAGGAUCUGAACGAGGGGCUUGCCCUGGAAACGAGAAGAAGCGAAGCGGGCGGGUAUAAUGCCGACUACCCGGCUCCGGAACUUCCUAGUCGGACCCAAGUAGGCCCGGGCCCCAAUUGCCGCCGCAACCGCAACUCCGGCGACGAUUCCGUGAACGAUCCAUGCCUUGGUGCUGUUCCAAGAUCCAGACGACGACGACAUUGGGAUGAUGUUGAUCUCACUGAACCGAGUGAACGCAGCUAUCGUUUAGUUUGGUAAGAUUUCUGGUUUUCUUGGGGUAUUUAUACUUUUCACCUGUUUGAAACGGGUCGUUUUGGGUAAUUGGAAGUUGGAUCAACCGACUUGCUCUUGAUUCUAAAUGCUCAAAUGUAUAAUCAAUUCUUUAGGGAGUUUGAUCUUAUAUUGUCAUGAUUUUAUUUUACGAUUGUAGCUCCUCUUGUGACUUGUCUAUCGAGAAACGAAUUUGGUUGCUAACGCUUUGGCUCGCUUGGAUUUAUCUUGCAAUUUGACUUUAGUAUUUUUUGAGCAAGUUUCUCUAUUCUGUUCAUGUUUUCUAGUUGUUAAUAUAGCAGAGACUCCUUGUUCUCGUGACAUUGAUUUUUACUUAGAACUUAUUUCGGUUUUUAAUUUUUAAUUCUCAAUUUUAAGUUUUCAUUUUUUUAACAAAGCUGAAAAUCCGAAACCCAACUUUUGAAAACUAAAAAAAUUAACUCUCCAUUUUUUAUUUCAAGUUUUUAACUGAGAAUGGUUAUCAAAUAAGUUUUCAGACUGGAAAGAAAGUAAAAAUAAAAAGCAAAAGGUUAAAACAAAAUUGUUAUCAAACAACCGCUUGAAUUUUCAGUCCCAAUCCUCAAUCCUUGCCCGAAUAUAGAUCUCAAGCCUCGGCCCUAGGGUUCGCAAUACGUUACUAAUGCCCAAGUGUAAAGUUCCCAGUCUCCAAUAUAGGAGUUAAAGUCUAAGGUCCAAGAUUUAGGACUUGAUGCAUAGAACAAGUUUAGCAAUUAGAAAAUUUCCUCACACCAUUCUCCAAGUGGGAUUGAUACCCAAGAUGAGAUCAUGUUAGGCAAUACAAGUAACGGCGUUAAAUUUAUCUUUCCAUUGAGUAAGAUGUGACCAAACUACUUAACAACAUAACAUUAAGUUUCUGUUACAUUUCCGAGCCAAAAGAAAUGGCAACUCAAAGGGCUACAUGUUACACUCGGAUCACUGCACCAUGUCGAAAAAUGAAUAAAAAAUAGUCUCCCCUGCACUGCACAACAUAUUUCAAUGUUCUGCAUUGAGGGUAUGGUAGGUAGGUAACUCAUCGGAAGCUCAACACGCGCCCCGGUUAUGCAAGUAAAUGCUGUAAACGAGCAGUCAAUGUCAGCACAGAUAACAGAAGCCUGACUUAGUACUGCAUUUCCAUUCUGAGUGAACGGCAGCAUGUUGUGUAGCAGCUUUGGUCAAUGAAUGGCAAAGCUCAUCGGACCUCCACUAGCAGUGGAAAAGAAUAACAUGGCAACUUACAGGCACGAGAAGGAUUCUACCGAGUCCAUGCACCACCAUAAGGACCAAAACUAUUGGCACCAUCUUGGGAAUGUCUCCGUCUCCUCAUCUUCUUUUUUCCCUUGUCUUUCCUUGAUCCAUUUUCCUCAUGCCUGCUCCUCUCUCUCCUUGAGCCAUUUUCUUCAUAUCUGAUCUUCUUCCCCACCUCCCAAUAUUCUUUGCCCUUCUUACCGGACUUUUCUUUAAAAGAAGCUUUUCUCUUCUUUCCCGAUGAUUGCCCACUGUCACCUGCAGCAGAAUCAUGUCCCCGUGGCAGGGGAUCAUCUUCAUCAUUGAAUUGCCAAUUGCCCAGUAACUCCUGUGGAUCAUGUUCUAGCUGAACUGGCUCCCCUGCUCCAGGAAGCAAGCUAUUGAAAGUUACCAUUCCAGGCCCUCCUUUGCGUUCCACCAACGCCGAAUCAGGCCUAAUUAUAGUACCGAGAAUGCUCCUGUUUGGCCCUAGGCCCAUAAUGACCUUAGGGUUUGUCAAUGUAGUGUAAGCCAUUGAAAAAGCUGAUCUAAUCUGCAACAUAUAUAAAAAAUGACGUGAGGGAGGAAAUGAUGGGAGCUGGAGUAAGUAAAAGAGAGAUCAGUAAAUUAUAAGAUUUGGAUUCGCAAGUGUUGCAAGCUAACUGUCUAACUGCUUGAAGCCAAUGAAAAUGCACUAGUGCAAGUGUGCAACCACAAACAUAUGGCACUCGGGCACCUCAGACAUGUAUUAACUAUUAACUGACAUGUUUGCUCCAGAACCUUUGAGGCCUUAUGGGCAACAAAGAGCAAUGUAUGCGAACUUUUGUGUAACUGCAUGCGCACAUGCACAGACAAAAGAUCUGUUCGACAGGUACCACUGAACAACAAUAGCUUAACCCGCAGCUGGUCAUCAAUCAAAUCGACACUUUACUUCAUUAAACUUUAUAAAAUGUAUAUUAAGGUACCCAGCGGAAAACUGGAGGGUGAGAGAUCAUAAAUCAUUCAACCAACCUGAAAAUAGUUGAAGGAGUUCUUCCCGACGUCAUUCUCCGGUGCCUAUAUAACAAAACAUAAAAAAUGGUCAAUUAUAUAUCUGAAGAAAGAAGCAAGGAUCAUCACCCCUAUUGAUUUAGGUUCUUUCUGAUCCCUGACACUGUGCUGCAACAGGGCCCAGAGAUGUGAAAGACUGUAAUUUACUAAAACAGCAGGUUCACAUAAAAUUCAUUAUUUUUUACCAUGUCAUUCAACUUCCUUGCAAGCAAAUAGUUCACUAGGGUAGGGAUUAAACCAAUUAUUCAGAGGCCCGCUUGGGAAUGUCAAACUAGCAUUACUUAUAUAUAUACUAACUGAACCAGGCAGCACUUCAAAGAAAGGAGAUAGCAUAAUUAGUUAAGUUCUUUGAUUUUUCCAGUCUCCUACAAAAUAACCAUUCAGAAUGAAAUCAUGAACAGACCUGGGGAUCCUCAAUGGCAAGAAGAAAAGGUCGUCCAUUGGAUAAGAACCUAAGAGAGGACCAAUCAAUUGCAUCAGUCAGCUAUAACCUUGAUCAAAAGAAAUAAUCAAAUUGUACAUUAAAAAGAGAGAGAGAGAGGAGAGAGAGAGAGAGAGAGAGAGAGAAGAAUCCGAGAGAAAAAUAUCAUCACUUUCUCAAGAAGGUUGUUUAUUUUAUACCCUUUUACACUCUUUUUGAAAAAGGUGCCUGCCCCAUUGCACGAUACACCAACAUCUGAAGUGUUCAAUUUCCGUCCAUAUAAAUCAAAGAAGUUUACCUAUUUCAGAAACAAACAGAUAAACGAAAACAUAAGCAACAAACUCACUGACUUUUCAUAUCCCUUAGACAAAUCUAUACUGUGAUAUGAGGUUAAGAACUAGAAAAAUAAAGUGAAUUCUAUGGUCCACCAAAUUCUGGUUACAGUUUACUACAAACCCUGGUUGCUGGAAUAAAGUGCAAGUUAUUUGACUUGUGAUUUUAAGCAAUAAUAAAGGUCCAAAGUUUUCUUCUACUUGAUCUAGAAAAACUUACCAAAAGAACUCCCAAGUUUUGUUCCGGAGGUCGACAUUCCCUGAGGCUCUGUAGCAUAAAUUAAUAUAUAAAUCAGGGAUAAAAAAUUUACUAAUCAUGAGGAAGUUGAUCUAUUUAUCUGAAUUUCACAAUUACAGAAGUUGUUGGUCGCUUAUCUAUCAUCCAAACAAAAGAUCAUAUUUUGUGUAGCACUAUUUCAUUCAAAUUUCAAUAAUUUCUCUUUGGAUCUCAUUUGCGAUCUUAGGUUGAUUGAUUGUCUUCCACUCCAAUACUCAAUGAAGCAGCAUGUUUACAGAUCCAAACAAGAGCCAUGCGUUACAGAUAUAUACAUGGCAAGAAAGAAUCACAUCAAAUCUUAAAAUGCAUAUUUAAGAAUCACUCACAUGCAACAUUGCCAUGAUCAUUGUAAGGAGAGCGUAGGAACCUAAUCCACCAGAGUAUACCUGCAUGUGUUAUCAGAAUCUUGAAAUAGCUCACUGGAAAAAGAAUGAUGACUUAAUCUCUUAGACUGGAAAGUCAUACCUCAUUUAGCUCUCUCUGUUGUAAAAAGACUUUCAAAAUCAAACACAAAGGCCGCAAAGGAGGCCACUUAGAUACUGCAUCCUGAAAAGGGACCACAGGAUAGUGUCAAAGGAGACUGGAGAUAGUUAAGGUCUCUUGCUUUAUAUGUAACCUAUAUACUAUAACUGAUUCCUCACAUAGCUUUUCUGUUUUUCUUUUACUAGGUGAAAGAUAUUGUUUGAUAUUCUCUGACUUUGCAAUGUUUAACUUAGCAAAUUAAUAAAAAUUUUAAUUGCACAGCUUAUCAAGUUAUCAUUUACUACUUCUUGUCACUCUUCUGUAAUCUUCUUUCACUACAAACAUUCUAUAUAACUAUUGUUCAAAAUACCAUAACUACACAUGAAACCAUAUUAAACUGUGAUCAAAGCACAAAGUUGCAAACGACAAGGUUAACAUUGUUCAAAGGCACAUAGCCAGGCUUUGAUCUAUAUUAAAGAAACUACAAUAUUCUUUCAAAUACAUAGUAGAUGACACAAUAUGCAACAAACCUGAAUAAAUUCAGCAGCUUUUGGUCCACCUUCUAUGUCAAAACUGUGAAGGAAGAUAUAAAAUUAUCAAUGUACUUAUUUGAACAUGUCAAUUGAGCAGAACCUAUCACAGGCACUGCUUAUCAAUACAUUGUAGUAUUAUUAACCCAAACUUUAUCGCCAAUGAUAGAAGAGUAAACCUUAUGUCGAAUGCAAUGCCACUUGUUUUCUCUACAAACUUAAUAAUGGGUACACGUGCCUUUCCAAUCACCUGCGGAAUCCACAUAGAACAAAUAUAGAAGCUGAAGUUUGUCCGCAAUAAUAUUUCAAAUAAAACUUGAGGCACACCUGUAUCCUUUUUGCCAAUCCCAUCUGUGACAACGCCCUAGAAAGGGCCUUCAAUCCUUCCUGCGGUGUUUUGACGCCUGACCCCAUAAUGACAGCCUACGAGCAAUACCAAUCAACCAAAUGUGUCACUUAAAUGGACACUUGAGCAUGCAUUAUAGACAAGAAUAACAAAAUUCAAAUGCAAAUUCAUACUUCAGUUCCUAACUUAUACUAGCAUAAAGACCAACAUACUUACAUCAAUAUCACUAGCGGGAAGAUAUAGCCCCGUCUUGAAGGACCCAAAAACUUCAACCUAUAAAGCAACAUUCAUUGAACUUUUUCGUGCUUCAAAUCACACACACCCGCACUUCUGCACCCAAACAAGAAAAAGGAAAGUACCUUGGACCGAGGAAAUAUAUAUUUGAUAAGGUCCGAGACCCGUUUUACUGCUGCACUGCGUGCCUCUUGUUCUUCUGGAGUUGGAGACAGAAAAUCACAGAAAUCCACAAUCUCUGCAAUACCCAAAACAGAUACACCAAUCUGAAGUUACAUAUACACACCAGAUUACAAUUACACAAUUUUCUCCUUAGAAAUACAUUGAAUUUCUAUACAAGUAAAAGAACCAAACAAAAAAAUAUGAGCUUUCUUCUCCGUGUACAAGUAAAUAUAAGUAUGUAUGUAUCCAUGCAGUUAAAAUUGCAGAAAGUACCUUUAUGAAGCUGAACCAUAGGGCUCCUGAAUUUACAAUGGCCGCGAAACCACCCGCUCUCGAGCUUCGGCUCUUGAGGAGCUGGUGUCGUGGGCUCGGAUUGGUGAAGCGACGGCCAUGGCUCGGCUAGGCGGCCAGAAGACGAGGAGGCACGAAUUGGGUCGGGUUCAUCGGCGGCGACGUCGAGUGAGAAGAAAUCGGGGGCGGUGGUGUCGACCGGAGCGCAUUGGGGAGUGGAGAGAGUAAUUUCGUUGCGGAAAACGGAGUAGGGUUCGAGGUCCUCGGGCGGCGGCGGAGAUUGGUUGGGGGUGGGAAGAGAGAGGGCGGGUAGGGUUUCGUAGAGAAAGCUUUGUGUCGGCGGCUCCUCCAUGUUACAGUGGUGGAUACGGCGGUACGGGAAUUGGGGUUUGCGAAUCUUGUGAGUUGUGAGGGUUUAUACUUUGUAAGCUGCAACUAUGUUUCUUCUAACAACACAAAGAAACUUGAACGUUGGUCGAAUAAUGAUUCUGUUACGUACGGGAAGUAUGAAAAAUUGGCCACAAAGAGUUCGAUAUGUUUUUAAAAUGAUUAAAAAUAUUUUGCUGAAAAUGUUUUUGAAAUUAAUCUUUAGUAAAAAUAUAAGUAAAUUCUUAAAAAGCACGUACAGUAUUUUGGAAAUAAAAAAACAUUUUCUCUAAAAGUACUUUUAGUCAUUUUAAAAACUCAUCCAAACGAAUCCAAAAUAACGAACACGAUCAUUUUUAUGGGAAUUGGAUAUGCUCUGGACCUUAGUGUCCAGAGCUUAAGGAUCAAUUCAUUUUCCUGGCCCACCACAUAAAAUCAACAAUUUUGAUUUCUUUUACACACCAAUCAGUCAUCCAGAUGAUUUGAUUCUUGGCUCCGGACCAGAUCCAAUUCCAUUUAUAUGGUGAAGAUAUUGGAGAUUCGUAAAUCAUGCGGUCAGUUUUUGUCAGGUACUGUUUAUAUUUAAUUUUAAAUAAAAAUAUUUAAAAUGAGACUGCACGAGGUACGAUGAACAAAUAUGGUUCACGAAUUCCUAGGAUGCUUACAAAGAAAAUCCGGUGAGGAUCUGAAUUCACAAAAGAAAUACCAUUUUAUCUUUUACGUUUGAAUUUUUUUAUUUUUUGUUUGGAAAACCUCGCCGGUACAAAAAAAUUUUAUUGAUAGGGUUUUUAUCAUAAAUGGUUCCUGAAAUUGACCCUCAUCAUCAAGAUGGUCCCUAAAAUUGAAAAUAAAUCAAUAUGGUCCCUGAAAAUAGGUGUCUAAAUCAAUGUGGUACUUUCGUUACAAUUCAAUUAAAAAUUAGAUUUACGGGUUUUUAUCAUCAAUGGUUCCUGAAAUUGAUUCACGCCAUCAAGACGGUCCCUGAAAUUGACCCAAGCCAUCAAGAUGAUCCCUAAAAUUGAAAAUCGAUGAAUGUAGUCCUUGAAAAUAAGUGUCGCGAAUCAAUAUGAUCAUUCUGCCACAAUUAUGUAAAAAACAUUAUUAUGUGCUGAUGUGGGUUUCAUAAUUAAUUUAAAAAGUUAUCUAACUACUUUUUUGCAGAAUGAAAUUUUUUCUUAUAGUAGGAUCUAGUCCAAAGAGAUAUCCUUUCCAUAAAUUCUCAAAGGUCCAAGGCUUAACCAAAGCUUAAGAGAGAGUUUGGAAAUAGUUUUCAACCAAUAAUAGACGCACCUCGGUUAUAAACUCAUUAUCUCAAGACAGAUCUCGUCGUUAUUUAAGUCACCAGACCACUAGGAAAGCACUGAACAAGCUUUCCAAGAUUAAGGUUGUGAGGAUGUUGAUCACCUAAAUGUUAACGGUGAUGUCCUAGAAGUCGUUGCCAAUUAGACAAGCCGUCACCAAAGGUGAUUUCGAUUCAAGUUCAAUUCGGUUAAGGGUGUCAAAGUAUGUAAAGAUCAAUGUGUUUAUACCAUAUUUAGGGCCUCGUAUUUAGAUCUCGUACAAAUACUCAGGGGACUUAAAUGUAAUUAUGGGAUAAAGGAAGGGGCAAAUAUGUAAUAGAGGAGGAGCCCCUUAUUCUAUAAAAGGGGACUCCUACCCUCAUUCUAGGAGAGGCCUCACUCUCACUCUCACUCUCACUCUCAUAGGCCAUUUCUGAAGCCUCUCACCCCCUCUCAGAAGCUCUCACCAUCUCCCUCUCUAUUCCCUCAAAUAUAAUACAAUCAGUGUGGACGUAGCCCAAACUUUGGGGUGAACCACGAUACAUCUUGUGUCAUUUACAUUUCAUGCAGAUUCACGGUCGGAUUUACGUUGUACCAAGACCAUCCGGUUUUGUGCAUCAACAUUUGGCGCCGUCUGUGGGAAACGAUACAAAAAGUUAUGUCGGUUCUCUUUCAUUUUUUCACCUCCACCGUGAAUCUGCAAACAACUUCCAGUGCUAUCAAAUGGCUGCCUUACAACUCUUCUCACGAUUCUUACUUUUGUGAUUUUCUUCUUCCAUCCAACAACUAUGAAAACAAAAAGAAACUCCAGAAAAUAAGAAAAACCCAGAUCACAAAAAAGAGAAGCAAGAAAGCCAACCCUCAUCAGGCUCAAUGCCGUCCACAAGAGCCUCAGGGUUGUUAAGUCUGAUGCGAAGAAGAAGAACGGGCAAGCCGUCAAGACCCUUGACCGAACAAGGGAAAGAUCGUGUGUUUUGUUUCUCUCUCGGUGCCGCCGGAUCCGCAUGAGACAUUCGACCCGGCCCCAUCUCCCCCGAACCUCCAGGCUAAUCCUCUACCGCAAGGACCCAAACCUCCGGGCCAAUCCUUUCUGGGUUCUCUGCAUCUGCCGCUCACAAGCCUCACACUCACCACCACGGCUGCAGCUACUACUGUGACCAGCAUCAUCGAUUACUCGGUUGCACCUGGUGCUGCGACUAACACCGACCACCACUUCUAUGGUGGCGUCGCAUCUGGUUGGGAUCUUGCAUCCAACCUCUAACUCCGAGCACGUACCACUUUCUGUAUGUGCGACACGACUUGUGGCUCGGUUUCAGGAUGUGCUGCGACCAACACCACCGAUUACUCUGUUGGUGGCGCCGCGGUGGUAGAUCUGGUUCAGAUAUGAGCCUAAGAGCAUCUGUUACCCACUGUAAUGGGGAAAAGGAAAAGAGGCUUUGUUUCCGGUCUAUUUCCCCCAAAACAAUUUCACUCUUCUCAGAUUUUUGGUUCUCUUCACCGCUGGAAGUUGGAAGACGACGAUGAACGCCACAGCUCCGCCUGACAUCAUCCAAGUCAUAGAUUACUAGAACGGAAGCGAUUCUGACACCAACCUCGAUGACGACGACGAUGCACCCGCCGCCGAGUUCUACCAGCCAGUCUCCGCCGUCGACUCCAAGGACGACGAAAACCAGAUCGAAAACGACACCGUCCCGAUCCAACAUCUUGCAAUUAAUUAACCCACUGAGCACUGCAUAUGCUCUGAGGGACUGAGAACGUCAAGCUGAAAAAGAAAGCUUGAAGCUUCCGCCAUAGCCGAUACAUCGUCGUAUUGCAGCAAAACUGAAAAUCGCAACUUAGAAGUUGCAGAAACGCCAGCGAUGGAAUCGAUGUUGUCCGGUUAGGAUGAACUGGAGUUGAAGCAGAGGAAUCUGGCCCUGCAGUGGAAACACUUCUUGGACCGCAUUGACUCGUCCAAGACUCGGUUCGAGGAGCUCUAGGACGGUUUUUACUUGGAGCGGAACUCGCUCCAGACACGGCAGCAGGAGGUUGAGGAGCGUGAGAAGGGGUUGGAGGCCAAAGUUUUAAACUUUAAACUCGGAAAUGGCGUCUAAAGCUCAGGAAUUGCAUGAAAUCGAGAAAGUUGGAAUAAGAGAGAGGCAACCACGUUCUCGCCAAAACUGCGAGGAAGAUCUGAAGAGAGAGGCAGCGACGCCUCCUGAUUCGCCCGGUUGACCCGCUUGCAAUCACAGAUCCGGUCUACACCUAAGGACUCUGGGUUUGUACUUUUAGAGAUGGUGGUCAAAGAUGAGCGGACAUGAGGAAGACAGUAGUGGAAGACAGGCAGAAGAUAAGUUAAUAAUAAAUUUUCUUUAUUAUUAAUGAUAUGAUGACUGUCUGCCAUCUGCCCGCCCCAAUUAAGAAACUGGAGUCCAAAUCCGAAAAGAAGGAUUCCAACAUUUCGUCCAUCCAGAAAAAGCUUCAAGAUUCGGUCUUAUCCAACAAAAAGAAAGACAAAAGCAAAAGAGGUGCAAGCUGUCACCAAUGAGUCAUAUUCAUCGAUUCAAGCAAGUCUAAAGCAACAAAGGUGCGGAGAUAAAGAAAAGCAGAAAAGCAAUGGGGAACAAAGCAGAAAAGAGAAAGCAAAAAGAAAUUAAAAGUGAGGAAUAAACAUCCCAUCAAAAUAAUGUGAUUUACUUUUGAGGAUGUAAUUUAUUAUCUUUCGGAGACAUCUGUAUAAACCCCAUCAGAGGGUAAUAUGUAUAAACCCCAUCAGAGGGUGUCAAAAAAAAAAAAAAAAAAAAAGAAAAAAGAAAAAGGCAAAGCCCAAAAUAAAUGGGCUGACAUGUUGUGGAGGGCAAAGGCCCAUAGGCUUGAAAUAGCACCAACCAGGUCAUCACAAGUACGCCUAGUACUCCAAAUUAUACAUGAGCACUACUCAUGUCAUUCAUACAUAAACAUUCAUGAGCAUCACUCAUGACAAUCAUACAUAAACAUUCAUGACCAUCAUUCAUGUCAACAUUCAUGAGCAUCACUCAUGUUAACAUUCAUGAGCAUCACUCAUGACAACAUCCAUGAGCAUCACUCAUGUCAAUCAACAUAAACAUUCAUGAGCAUCACUCAUGUCAAUCAGCUUCAAAAGCUUCAUUUACAGAGCUCUAGCUUCAAAAGCUUCAUUUACAAAAGCUCCAGUUUCGAAAGCUUCAUUCACAAGAGCUCUAGCUUCAAGCUUCAAAAGCUUCAUUUACAGAGCUCUAGCUUCAAAAGCUUCAUUUACAAGAGCUCUAGCUUCAAAGACUUCAUUUACAAAGCUCUAGAUUCAAAAGCUUCAUUUACAAAGGCUCCAGCUUCGAAAGCUUCAUUUACAGAGCUCUAGCUUCAAAGCUUCACUUGCAAAGCUUCACCUACAAAGCUUCAGUGCAGGGUAUACAAAUACCGCCUCCGAACAACCGCCACUUCGGCCCAUACAUGGAUUCAAUUUGAAGUCUCCAGCCAACAGACUCUAUUGACCGAAGACUUGGGGGACUACAUUAUGUACCAUAUAUUGGGCCUCAACUGGGCCUCAUGAAAAAUACUUGGGAGACUCUAGCCCAUCACUUAUGUAUUGAGGAGCGAGCCCUUAUUCUAUAAAAGGGACUCCUUCACUUUUAGAGAGCACUCAUGAAAAAUAUUUGGGGGACUCUAGCCCAUCACUUAUGUAUUGAGGAGUGAGCCCUUAUUCUAUAAAAGGGACUCCCUCACCUUCAAACGCCACAAGCCAAGCCAACCAAGGCAACAUAAGCUACAAGCAAAGCGGCCUCACAACAUGUGCUACUUCUAGUUGAGCAUCAUUUCGGAUUGAGCACCGCCUCAUAUCGAGCAUCAGUUCAAGAUAACAUCUAGUUACUUCGGCCCACACAUGGACUGAAUUUCAAGUCUCCAGCCAAAAGACUCUCUUGACUGAAGACUUGGGGGACUACUGUUUAUACCAUAUUUAGGGCCUCGUAUUUAGAUCUCGUACAAAUACUCAGGGGACUUAAAUGUAAUUAUGGGAUAAAGGAAGGGGCAAAUAUGUAAUAGAGGAGGAGCCCCUUAUUCUAUAAAAGGGGACUCCUACCCUCAUUCUAGGAGAGGCCUCACUCUCACUCUCACUCUCACUCUCAUAGGCCAUUUCUGAAGCCUCUCACCCCCUCUCAGAAGCUCUCACCAUCUCCCUCUCUAUUCCCUCAAAUAUAAUACAAUCAGUGUGGACGUAGCCCAAACCUUGGGGUGAACCACGAUACAUCUUGUGUCAUUUACAUUUCAUGCAGAUUCACGGUCGGAUUUACGUUGUACCAAGACCAUCCGGUUUUGUGCAUCAACACAAUGUAUUGAGAUUUUUUUUAGAGAAUAAACAGCGUAUGAGGUAGAGAAAUGUGGACUGGGAUCAGAGGUGAUUGUAGGACUAGGCUUUGGGGUUCACAACUUUUUAUUAACUAUUAAAUUAUUAAACCUAUUUGUAAUUUUUUUUAAUUUAAUUAUAUUUGUGUGAUCCAUUUAUGUGUCACAUCAAUAUAUAACAUAAUUUUUGACAGAAUUGUGAUGGAAAGACUACAUUGAUUUGGGACACCUACUUAAGGGACUACAUUGAUCGAACUUCAAUUUCAGUGACCAUUUUGAUGCCACAUGUCAAUUUCAGGGACUAUUUUGAUGUCGUAGGUCAAUUUUAAUGAUCAUUUGUGAGAAAAAAAUGACUUAUGGGACCCAUUUAUGUGCUACAUCCGCAUUUAACAAAUUUUUUAACAGAAUUGUGAUGAAAUGACCACAUUGUUUUGAGACACCUAUUUUUAUGGACUACAUUAACUGAUUUUCAAUUUCAAUGACCAUAUUAAUGAUGAGGGUCAAUUUCAAAGACUAUUUGUAAAAGAACCCUAUAUUGAUAUACAUAUGGAUUUUGUUUUUCUAUUAGACUAAAAUUUUCUUUUGUCUAGUUCUCUUUGCUUCAUACCCUUUUAAAAUAUACUUGAGUUCAUCCCUUUACUUCUCGAGAAAUAGGGUAACAAGUAAAAUACACAGAAGAUAAACGAGAUGGCUCAUCAGCCACUCGAUAUGGGCGGCUUCAGUUGUUGUCGAAGAGGAGAUAUUCUUACUUUUGUUGUUUCGACCACUUCGACCAUACGGAUUACGGCCCAUACACAAAAGAAUACGCCUAACGCACCCCUCCCCGCCGGCCUGAUUUUUAGUCCCACUAAACUCCACUCUCUCUAGUCCCGCCCUCCUCUUUCUUUGCCGUAAUCCGAGUUCCGGGCAUAAAAAUGUCUCCUCCAUGUAGCCUGAAUUUACCUUUAUUUCCAAUCCAUAAAAAAAGGACUUGUACAUGAAGUUAAAUAUGAAAAUGGAUUCUUAAUUUAUUUUUGAUGUUCUUGUUUAAUUUUCAAAUCAAUGUUAUAAUAUAAGACAAGUAAAAAUAAGAAAUUCAUUGUUACCUCAUCUUGAGGUCAAAUUAAACACGUCAUAAGUUUUUGGUUUUUGGUUUAGUAGGGCAUAGCACACAACCAUUCCUCACAUGUCAAAAAAUAAGAUUACUAAAAAAACAAAUUAUUUUUUUCAAUCAACAUGUGUCAAAUAAUAAUAUCAAGCAAUACCUAUAUAUUAAAAAGGAUAUUAAUCAUAGAUUUACUUAGCAAUGAUGGUAUAAUCUUUCUAGUGUUUGGUUUUAACAAAUUGUUCACAAGAGGGAUUUUCGGCAGCAGAACUCGAACCUAGACUUUGAUUUUGCAAAGAGAAUGAUCAUUAUCAACUCAGCCAGCCCUUGUUGGCGGUAUAAUCUUUAUAUUGCUUCAACCAUUGUGGCAAUUAGAGGGGGGAAUUAUAAACUUAUCAAUCAAGUAAAAUUACCUGACUUUAGUUCUUCAAGUACGAUUAAUUACCUUAUUUAACUAAUUCAUCCCCAAAAUUCUUGCUCACAACGUCUCUAACUUCUACUGUUUGUCGUGUGCAACAAUUUUUUUCAUAAAGUGACUUUCAAGUAGUUGCCUAUCUUCAAUUCUUCUAAAAAUUACCAAGUUUUUGUUACCAAAAUAAUUAAGUACAGUGCCAGCCCCUGCCAGGUUAUUCCUAGGAAGCGAGGACUAUUUUACAUAGGCAAUUUAUUUUCUAAAAUUAGAAUCCAAAACAAAUGUAGGUGCAACACCUCUUGCUGCACCAUGUAUAUAUUUUGCUGCUACAAAAUUUAAAAAAUGUGUUUAACCACAACAUAAUCAAUACGUGCGGCGACGGAUUAUACUGUUGCUUCAGUGACGGAAAGUUUUUACCCCUAAAUCUGAAGCCUGAAUUUGAACUUCUACGAUGUCCUCCCCACUUGACCUCCCAAUUGACAAUCAAAGUUUGUUCACACAACCAAUAGUCCUCGUGUACAACAUGUUUUAUGAAGCCUUCGUUUCGGAACCCGGUCCUCCUCUAUUUUCAGAGCUUCCAGCUAAGAUCAUUGCAUGCAUCUCAAUAGUCAUUUUGUUAUUCUUGAUUUUCAAUCACAUUCUCAAUGUGUCCCUUGCCUGGUUCCUAGAAAUGGUCCCAGAACAUGAUCUUGAGGGAGGAUACGUCAUGUACGGGCCUCGAAUAAACACCAUAGGUUCAAGUCCCUUUCGGAUAGCUAUAGUACAAAAUAUGCAGCGGCUGGGAGUGAUAAAGAGACUCAUGCCGGAUUUCGAUGAAGGAAGAGGGCCGAGGCUUAGGGCUUUGAAGAAACUGCCACCAUUAGUGAAUUAUGGAAGCUGUGAAAUAAGAUCAUCAAGUUCAUCAAGGUGUACUGCUUGUGCAAUCUGUUUGGAGGAUUUUGCAGAUGGUGAUUCAUGUCAAAUUUUUUCACUUUGUAACCACAUUUUCCAUUCGAAUUGCAUUGAUAAUUGGUUGAUGAACAAGCCAACUUGCCCAGUUUGUCGAAACUGUAUCAUCGAUACAUGACAAAUUAUUUUUUUUUAAUUUUUUGAAUUUUUAAUUUUUGAGGAUUGUAUGUUGUGAAUCUGUACAGAGGUCGCACUUGGUGCGAUGGCAAGUGCCUUCGCCCAUGAGCGGUAGGUCUCGGGUUCGAGACUUGGGAGCAGCCUCUCCAUAAAUGGGGGUAAGGCUAGCCGACAUUCACCUCUCCCAGACCCUGCGUAAAGCGGGAGCCUUGUGCACUGGGUACGACAUUUGUAUGUUGUGAAUCUGUCAAACAACUGUAAAUACCAACAUUCUUUCUAAGGCAUGUUAACAGUUUGCAACCACUUUAGCAAACACUUUAAGCCAAGCAAUUACCCUAGUUUUGGGUUUUAAAUGGAACCUUGUUCAUAUAUUCGAUUCUUGGUUUGCAAUCAUAUAAUGAAUUUAAAUUAAAGGAAUUGUUAUUGACACUCUAAAAAUCUCAUUUUGCACGCCAAACUUUCUAUAAUUGGAAAGAAAAAUACACUUAUGAAGAGUGAGAUUUUUGAAAUACUAAUAACAGUUCCCUAAAUUAAUUGGAUAGUAAUCAAGGCCUCCAAUAAGGAAAUGCGACAACCCUUUUUUGAACUAUAACUUUCACAACAAACUAUAAACCUUUUGAUCUUAAGUAGAAAUACCAACAUGUUAUUUAUACGAAAUAUGAGAUGCAGAAAAUCUCAACAUAGUGUUGAAAAAUAAGGAAAAUAAAGAGUUUAUAUUAUGAAAAAAAGGUAUUUCCUUUAGGAGGAAAUAGUAUACAGGUUUUCUUGUACAAGUGUAUUUAGAUUUACAUAUUCAACUACGACUUAUUUAUUUCCCUAGUGUAUAAAAGGAAAUUUCUAAAUAAUUUUUUUAGUAAUACUUGGCUACUCAAUUAAUAAUGAGUAGGAGCUUUCUACUCAAAACUGUUCAUUGUCGAUUUAUAAAACUUCGUACUUAUGAUCAGAACCGUUCAUAUUAUAAAUCAUUUUAUAAAGAUGACAUCUGCAAAAAAGUAAUUAAGGACUCGUUUGGAUGUGCUUUUAAAAUGACUGAAAGCGCUUUUAGAUAAAAUGUUUUUUGGUUCCAAAAGCACUUAAAGUGCUUUCUACAAGAAGCACUAGUUAUGUGCUUCUUCUAGGAGGAAACAUUUUAAGUGCUUUUCCAAACUUUACUUGCAUUUUUACUAAGGAUUGGUUUCAAAAACAUUUUCACCAUAAGUGCUUUUAGUCAUUUUAAAAGCAUAUCCAAAUGAGCACUAAAACUAUGGUUCACUUGCAUUUUUACUAAGGAUUGGUUUCAAAAACAUUUUCACCAUAAGUGCUUUUAGUCAUUUUAAAAGCAUAUCCAAAUGAGCACUAAAACUAUGGUUCUUUAGUCAUCGAACUGUUUAAAGACAGAUCAAUGAAAUUGAUAAAAGCAUUACAAACCGUUUAUGUAUUUGCUAUAAUAGAUUGACUAAACGAUCUUAUUUUUAAGGUUUUUUUUUUUGUUUUGCAGAGAUGAUCUUUACAGAGUUAUUCAUAAUAUGAACGGUUCUAAAUACAAGCACAAAGUUUUGUGAUUCGACAUGAAAAGUUUUGAGUAGGAGUUCCUACUUAUCUUUGAGUAGCCAAACAUUGUUCAUAAUUUUUUUAGCACAUAACUAGAGGUCAAGGGUCAUGGAUUAGAGCUCAUUACAGGAACAUUCAAACAACCCAAUCUAUUCUCAUAGCAAGAUUUCAGAGAAACGGGUAAGAACAAUAAAGCAUAUGUGAGAUUUUUAUAACAAAAAAUCCCGAUGGUAGAACCAGUCAAUAUAACACAUAUUUAAUGUUUUUUUUUUCUUCACAAUUUAGGAUUAUUGUAUUCAUAUACAUCGUUAAUACAAGUAUAUGCAUGGUGUGUUAGUUUCUAACACGAGUAAAUUGAAUUUUGACAUGAUAAACCAGUUUAAUUAGUAUUAUAUGAAUAAAAAAAAAGAGUAAUUAAAUGUGUGAGUGUGUUAGACAGUUCUAUUCAAUCUGCAAGUGGAUUAUAGCUUAGUUGGUUAAGAGUAUUAAUUUGUUCUUGCACUUGUGAUCCCAUAUUCGAAUUCCCCUCCUCGUAGUUUAAAUGUACUUAAUAUGAAUUAUCCUAUUGUUUGACAAAAAAAUACAACCUAGGUGAAUGGGAAUGAUAAAUAUCACUAGCUAGAGAGGCCCUAAUCCUACCAAUUUGGGGUAAAUAAAAUUGUUAAGUUUCUAAACUCAAGUUUGCAUCAUCCUUCCUAUAAUUUAGACUUUAGUAAUUUAGAAUACCGUCCUUUAAUAAAAUAAAAUAAGCUCCCAAAACGCGGUUUUUUUUAAAAUUUUUCUCUCUUAGUUAACAUUGAAAUUAAUCGUACCCGAACAACGAAUUUAACGAUCUCCAACGUCUAUACCUGUAACAAAGAGAAAACAACUAACCACUCCAGAAAAGGGGUAGAAACAGAGUUUCAUGUUUAUGUCAUCAAAACAACAUGCUACUUUCUCUACUUCUUGAAAAUGUUUGUUUAAACCGCAAAAUCUGGAAUAUGGGUCUAGCAGUUUUGCCGUUCAACAACAACUUCAUAGACAAAUACCAAGCAAAGCAAAGCAUCCAUGUCAGAUUCCCAAUCCUUCGUUGAUCAUAGAUCGAGCAAACACUAGCAAUCUCAUUCUUCAUCACCAUGAACAUGUUUGAAGCCCUGAAGGUCGUCACCCCACCUCCUGUUUUUUCUCUUCUUUCUUUGAUCAGCAAGAUAAUUUUCGUAUAUGUCUGCAUCAUAGCAUUCUCCAUCAUGCUUUUGUUGAUCGUCAUUGCCCUCCUUUACGUCAUCUGCGAGUUUGUUUGGACGCCCUUUUACGAGAGGAGAAGUAAUCCUGAUCCCGAAGCCGAGGAUCAACAACAAUUAUCUCGCCCAAACAAUGGUGCAGAAUGGAAUGACCAAGCUACAUUUUAUCAAGCAGCCGUCCUUCAUAAUUUGAGGGUUUUGGAAAUUUUGGACUCGAUUGUUGAGGUUUUGGAGGAAAGAAGAGACGAAAGGCAGCAGCGAGUAAGGGAACAAGUUUUGGAGAGCAAAAUGCCACCACCUAUAGCUUAUGGAAGCCAAGAAACUGAAAUUAAUUGCAAGGAUUGUGUUAUUUGCAUGGAGGAUUUUGAGAACGACCAAUUGUGUCAAGUUUUUCCCUCAUGCAAUCAUACGUUCCAUUCCAAUUGUAUGAACACUUGGUUGAAGAAGAGCCUAACUUGCCCGAUUUGUCGUAAUUCUGUAUUGGACUUAUGAGGCUUGCAUAAAUCUAGGUCAAAUUUUUUUGUAGAUAUACAAGAACUUUAAUCAUUUAUUGGUUCACUUGUCGUCUUCAGCAAGAUCCUACCAUGGUGCCGGGCCGAUUCUUCCCUAUGUCGGUAACUUUGAGGUGAUGGAGUUGUGAAAGUAAAAUGCGAUGAAGGUUUUGGUUCUCCGGCGAGGUAAAGUGGACAUGCUGGAGGGUUGUUUGAAACAAAAUUGGUUGUUUGGGGAAAGUUUUCAAUGCCACUUAAGUGCGAAGGUGGGGUUCGAAUAAGAAUUUUCAAGGGGUUGUGUCUCAAAAUGAUGCAUUUGGCUGCAUCUCAUGACUUACAUGAAAGGGAGAAACUGGCACCCUAGCAUCGCAAAUCAAUCAUGGGUCGACAAGCAGAAAAUUAAAACAUAUGGCGAUGUGUAAUUGGUUUGCAGCAUUAAAGUGGCAGUGCCCCCUUUUAUUUAUGCAAGUCUCUAUCCUAAAAGUGAGCCGCUACGUGUGAUUGAGUUUUGAUUUUGCUAGAUUUUUCUUUUAUGCCAUGAUCAUGCUUGAUUAGUAUCUCACUUUUGAAAAUGGAUGUGAACAUUUUCUCUUCAAUCCCAUAUUGUUUGAAGAAAAAAGAAAUUUUAAAUGCAACACCUUUUGUUAUUUGUUAAUUUACUUGAUACUUAAGAGAAUUCGUCCAACUAACGUGUAGGUUUUUGUGUUCAAUUCCCAAAACAAAAAUCAACAUAGAGCAUCCGUGCUUACCGAGAUCAAUUAUUUGAUUACUCCUUACUCAUAGUGGAUCAUGAUUUCUUUAAGGAAAAUAAUUUUUCUUUUUCCAUGCACAUCCAUGCAUGUUUUUGACAUUUGAAUAAAAUAAAUAAAAAUUUUAAGAGACAAAAUAAAAAAAGGUGUGCAAAAAGAAAAAAAGAACUAUAGUGUAUGGAUAUUAUUUCACUUCGUUUAACCUAGUACAUCAACUUGAGUAAUUCCAAAUCACUCUCUUCCCCAAGUGCCCUCUAGGAGGGGCAGUCUACCACAAGAUCGAGUUGGAGCCUGGAGCCAAACCCCUUUUUUUACUUAUAUGAUGAUACACUGAUGUGGUGUUCCAUGUUAAGGAAAUAAAGACAUGUGGAAGUUUGUCGAUAUGCCUUUGUUUUAUUAGGACGGAAAAUCAUGCAAUGGUUUAUUUUGAUGACGUUAUUUCUAUUACUAUUUUCAUAAUACAAUCUCUCAAGACUUCUGUUAACAAAGUAGAACCUAAUCACUAAAGACUCAAAUAUCACACACGUUGAUUGGAAAAACUUAUUUUUGACGAAAGAAAUAUAUGAAAUCGAUUGUUUGGAGAUCCACAUGCGAUAUAACUCUAUACUUUUUUUUCAUUUGUAUCGAUUUUAUGAUGUACAUAAUGCUAGUUGCACACUAUUACCACGAGACAGUUUUGGUAGACGACAAUCGAAAACUUGAAGAUAUUUCGGCGAAACUCUAUCAAAAUAUAUCAUUUUUUGACAUGUAUAUACUGAAAUGAUGUUUUAAGCAAGCCAGUACCGUAAUUGUUUUGAAAACUCAGUAGCUACUAAUCGAAAAUGUGCAAGUUUUCAGCAAUUAUCAAUCGAAAUUGUUCGUGAAGAAGAUGAAUUUGUGUUCUUUUUUUCUUCUAAACAAUAGAAGAGUUUGUGUUUUUAGGGUGGAGAUCGAAUCUUAUGCAGAGAGGGUGGUGUGAAAGUAGUUUGGGUAAGUUAGAUAGGUAUAUUAAGAUAAUUAAUAACGGCAAGAGAAACACAAACUAGAAUACUGAAGAAGUUGAACUUCGGGUUUCACCAUAAAACCAAUGGCAAUGUGGAGAGUAGCUUAGCUUGAGUUUCUCCUCACACUAAUGUAACCAGCCUGCUCUCAUACCAUGAAAAAGUUGGAGUUCUACCAUAAAACCAAUUGGCAAUAUGGGGAGUAGCUCAACCUCUUAUAUGCCCUUGCAAGGUUUAUCUUUUCACUGAUGUGAGACUCUUUUACUUUUACAUCCUCACAAAUAUCAAGUAUCAUUAUACAGUUGGCGGAAGAAUAUAUUUUUCAGUGUCUGCUUAUGUGUAGACAUCGAAAUUUCGGUAAAUAAAUGUUGACCGAUAAAUCAAAGUGUCAACGCUCAUGUAUUACGUAAAUUUUACACGUAGCAUGUGACUCAACGAAAAUUGAAAUGAGUGGGAAAAGUCAUCAAAUAGGACACGUGUCAACACCUGGCAGAAACGACUUAUUUCAUCUGGGAUAUUAUAUUCAAAAUUAGGCAUUGGAAAAUUCUAUAAAUACAAGCCCAUUUCAUUCAUUUGAGGGGAGAGAAAACCAAUUGAUAUUACACCUUGAAGCUCUGAAGCUCUGAAACCCCGAAGCUCUCAAGCAUCCAGGUUCCCGAAGAAUCAAGAAAACCUUCUUCGUUCUUCCAAGAUCAAGCCCCGACGGCCCUUGAAGAAAGCACCGUCGUUCAUCAUCCGUUCAUCCAAGAUCAACCCCCAACGGCCAUUUGGAUCAACAACGUCGACAAAUCCAUACACAUCCAACCGUUCUUCAAGAUCAAGCCCAAAAGCCCUUGAAGAUCUGUUCAUCACUGUCUCUUCAAGAUCAAGCCAAAAAGCCCUUGAAGAUCCGCUCAAAUCCACUCUCAAAGAUCAAGCCCACUACCCUUAAAGAACGUUCAUCCAAGAUCAAGCCUCGACGGCCCUUGGAUCAAUCGCACAUCCACAAAUACACACCUUACGGAGAUCGAAUCAGAUGAUCAAAUUAGAGAGAGAUUGUAACCCAAAAUCUUCAAAAAUACAAAUAUUUGUUUGUGCACGUUGUUCUUGUCUUUCGUUUCAGGAAUUUUCCGUGUUCACAAAUUGGCACGCCCAGUGGGACAAUCUCUGCCUCUCAUCUCUUUCUCCGUUCAAGAAAUUCAAGCGCACUUCCAAAAUUAAUGGCAUCAAGGAAGGCUCAAACUGUUCCCGCAACCGGUUCAAAGAACAAAAGCGUCCUCGUCGCAACUGGUGUCACUUUGGGCAUCACGACUCGAAGCAUGGCAAGAGCUACUUCUGCCGCCUCUUUCACCUCUGCAUCAACUUUUCCAAGGGAACAAAAGCACCCAAGGCACGAGCCUUUGAUCACCUUAGCCUCACUAAGGGCACCAAGGGGGGAAAGCCCAAGGAAAUACUCCGAAUCCAUGCUCUCCGAUGCCAAUUCAAGUGACAGUUCAGCCAUGCAAGUCAUGACCAUUGGAGCAACUUCAAUCGAUGAGCAACUGGCUCAAAUGAAUGAAGCAAUCACAAGGCUAACCCGAACUGUGGAAGAAAAAGACUUGCAAAUUGCAGCACUAGUCAACCGACUGGAGGCGCAAGACGGCGAUAAACCCGACCCAGAGGAUGAUCCACUAAAGGGAGGAGCUGGCGGAUACGAAGAACCCCCGGUGAAGAAAAUCGAUGGGAAGCCGGAGCCAGACCAAGCAGCGGCACUCAUGGGAUCUCUUUUUAUCCAGCAGCUGCAGGAGAUGAUCACCAACACCAUCAAGGCACAGUACGAAGGGAGCUCACAUACCUCAUUGUUCUACUCGAAGCCCUAUUCCAAGAAGAUUGAUGCCCUAAAGAUGCCGAGGGGAUAUCAACCACCAAAGUUCAUGCAGUUUGAUGGAAAAGGAAACCCAAAGCAGCACGUUGCACAUUUCGUCGAAACUUGCAACAACGCGAGGACGGAGGGAGACUACCUCGCCAAGCAGUUUGUGCGCUCGCUGAAAGGAAACGCCUUUGAGUGGUACACGGACCUAGAGCCUGAGUCCAUCAACAGCUGGGAACAGUUGGAAAGGGAAUUCCUCAACCGCUUCUACAGCACCCGCCGCACUGUGAGCAUGCUAGAGCUAACGAGCACAAAGCAGUGGAAGGAUGAGCCAGUCAUUGACUACAUCAACAGGUGGCGCACUCUAAGCCUCGACUGUAAAGACAGGCUCUCGGAAACCUCUUCAAUCGAGAUGUGCAUCCAAGGCAUGCAAUGGGGUUUGCAAUACAUCAUUCAAGGCAUCAAACCACAGACCUUCGAAGAGCUAGCCACCCGCGCCCAUGACAUGGAGUUGAGCAUCGCCCAUCAUGGGAAGAAAGAACCGAUCGCCGACUACAAGAACGACAAAGUUCUUGGGCCAAAGUCGGAGAAGACUGCGUGGAAAUCCACCAAAGAAGCAAUGACAGUAAACACAGCUCCCGUCAAAAUCCCUACACGAGGCAAGGCGAUUCAAGCCGAAGGCUUUCGUGAUCAAGAGAUGCGUAGACGCACUUUGAAGGAGCCUGAGGAGAAAACUUAUCCAUUCCCCGACUCUGAUGUGGUUGCCAUGUUAGAAGACUUGCUGGAAAAGAAGGUGAUUAGUUUGCCUGAGUGCAAACGGCCAGAAGAGAUGAAUCGCACUGACAGUCCAAGGUACUGUAAAUUCCACCGCUUCAUCAGUCAUCCGACAGAAAAAUGUUUUGUGCUGAAAGAUCUUAUCAUGAAGCUGGCUCAGAAAGGAAUCAUCGAGCUAGAUCUUGACGAUGUGGUGAACACAAACUAUACCACCUUCGCUUCUGGCUCUUCCGACUCGAAGUUUUCACCUCAACCGCUGGAGGCAUCCUCCAAGACAAGAAAAAUUGAAUGAUGGACUCAAGUCACUCCUAAGAAAUUGCACAAGAAGCAUACGUCUCCUCCACAAGUCCGCCAAUCGGAAAGGGGGCAAAGCAGCUAUUGUCAACCUUCAAAGCAACAUGAACGUGUUGAAGAUGAUGAAAUUUCGACACAUAGAUCGUCCAUCCCCAUCACGAUGCGCGAUUUCUUUCCUGAAGACUUCUUCAAUCACUCGGUCAAGGCUCCUUGUUAUGAAGAUUGCGAGGAACGACUCUCUCAGAUCGCUUGACGAACCAAUGCUCCUUGUUCGCACGAGCCUAAACUGCAUGAACCAAAGCUCAUUGUUCGCACGAGCCUAAACUGCACGAACCAAAUGCUCCUUGUCUGCACGAGCCUAAACUGCAUGGUACAACGCUCCUGGUCUGCACGAGAAUAAAAGGCAACACCAACGCUCCUUGCCUGCACGAGCUGAAACUGCAACACGGCACCAAAUGCUCUUUGUCUGCACGAGUUGAAACUGCAAACGACACCAACACUCUUUGCCUGCAUGAGUUAAAAUUGCAAACGACACAAAAAAAAAGAGAAAAAAAAAAUAUGUAUGAUUUGAACUACGUUACGACUUGAUCUCUUCUUUGGAGGGGUACGUAGGCAGCUCGAAUGUUCAAUUUUUUGAGUUCAGUCACAUCAAAAAAAAAAAAAAAAAAGAAUAAAUGUUUUAUUAAAAAAGGUCAAUUUUAUUACAAAUUUAUUUUGUUAAGAAAAUUUGCAAUUUCCUUUGUACAAAAUUAAAUUACAAUUUCUUAAAAAAAAAAAAAAAAAAAAGGAAACAUAUAUAUGUCUGUCUCGGCCCAGCAGCAGAAGGACAUGCAGACCAACAACAGGUUCGUCAUCGAGCACAGGCCCAGGAGCCCAGAACCGAUUGAUGCCAUUAGAUGUAGCCCAGGCCCUUCAAAACCAUAGACCAAAUCCGGGCCCGGCUCUUAAAGCCCAUCUUCACUCGUCUCUCCCUUAACACCCAAUCGGAUCUUCCUCCCCUCCAUUGAAGAAGUAGCAGCCAUGCCGUCGCAGGAGUACAUGGAGCUCGAUCGACUUGAACGAGUGCAAAAUGUACAAGACCGAGUCGGUUGGCGAGCCCACUGGUGAAGCCGCCGUCGAUUUAGACUGAUGACAAAAGGUACCAACCCAAUCUUGACCUUCAAGCACCUCCAGAUCUACACACCUUCUCCUCUUCUCUCUCUCUCUCCCUCAGUUGGAGGCCAUGGCGUCUCGUAGAUCCCCGGUAGUCCUGGCGAUCUUCCUACUUCUUGGCGAUCUUCAUACUUCUCGUCCAUGGCGGCCCUAACCCGCCUAUCAAAACCCUCAUUCUCCUCCGAUCUCGGCGACUCGGGUUUCGAUUUCGGUUCAUUUGGUGGAUUUGGAUCGACGAGAAAGACUGUGUUGGCUCUGAAAUCGGAUCCACUGAAGCCCCGACUGGACCAGAUCCGGAAGCAGGCGGACGAUCAUCGGACCCUAGCCCUACCGUACGCGAGCUGUGCGCGGAAGCUGAAGCUCGAGAAAUCGAAGCUGGUUCGAGUCUUCGUCGAUCUCUCACGGAACUACUCGGAUCUCAUGAACAAGCCCGCCUAUCGCGCUCAGUUCGAACCCGACGCUCUCAACAUCGACGAAUCGGUGUUGCGGCAGUUCGAGAAGGAAGUAAAGGAGCGAAUCAAAGUAACUAGACAAAUAAUUAUUGAAGCGAAAGAGUCUUUCGAUAACCAGCUCAAGAUUCAGAAGCUGAAGAACACCACUUUCCAAGUGAAUGAGCAGCUGACGAAGGCUAAAGAAACAAGGGGCUUUCUCGAGCUUGAUUGCCUCGAAAUCAAUCCCUGAGAACUUGCAUUGUGUGGCAAUGCGGCUAAUGGAGGAGCGAAUUGCGCAUCCGGAGAAGUACACUGAUGAAGGGAAGCCGAUCCCACCGGAAAUUGAGGAUCCCAAUCUAUAUCAUUGUGCUAUAUUUUCGGAUAAUGUGAUUACAUCAUCAGUGGUGGUGAAUUCGGCCGUGAAGAACGCCAAGGAGCCAUGGAAACAUGUGUUCCAUGUCGUGACUGAUAAGAUGAACCUCGGAGCAAUGCAGGUUAUGUUUAAGAGCAAGGACUAUAAUGGGUCACAUGUUGAAGUGAAGGCUGUGGAGGAUUACAAGUUUUUGAAUUCUUCAUAUGUGCCGGUGCUAAAGCAAUUAGAGAAUGCAAAGUUGCAAUCGUUUUACUUUGAAAAUAAGCUCGAGAAUGUAACCAAAGACGCAACAAACAUGAAGUGCAGGAACCCCAUAUUCUACGUCGGCGAGAAUCGGAUCUUCUGUUACGGCUUGGAUCUAUCCAAUUUCUUCGGACGCGAGUCUCUGUUUCGGAAAUCGGAAACCGACCCGUAUAUCCUUAGGAAACAAAGAUCAGUAAGCGAGAAAUCGGUCGGUUCGUCUUCGAAUUUCUCACGGCGAAGCUCCUAUAGGCCCAGGAAGCCCAAUUGGCGUUUUUUCCUUCAUCGUGCCUUCAACUUGCAACUCACCAUAUGCCACGGGCCAGCCUAGUGCCGUCAACAAUUACCACCCUCAUGAUCAUCACACUUAUCAUCAUCAUCAUCAAUACAUGGCGCCACAUGAUCAUGUAGAACAUCAUUGUAGCAGAGUCCACUCAGAAGAAGAUGACGGUAGCGAUGACGGCCAGUGUUACUUCUCCGAUGUCUUUGCAGCCGCACCAGCGGAGCAGCAAGCAGCACAGGAGGAAGGUGUUUCUUUGAACUGCCUUGAGCCUCGCUCUUCGCCGUGCAUUAUUUCGGUUCCAAACCUUCGUCCCCGUCAAACGCCGUCACUUCUGAAGAUUCCGACGGUGAUGGUGCCACCAAAGGCUCUGUCUCCUUCACUGUAGCUGCAACUUCACUUGACGAUUUAAAAUGCGACUUUGGGAGUUGGAUACUGUCUUCCUCCGCCAUGGCUGCUCCUUCUGCUCACCCUCCCCCUGCAAAUCAAAUUUCAAUAAAAAAAAAAAAUGAUGAUGCAUGUCGGUCCAGUAGUGCAGCGGACGGCGAGAGUGCAACGGAGCGUAGCAAGGCAGCCUCCUUUGCAGUAGACAGCCACAACCUCAUUGGUGCAUGCUCCAUCUCCGUCGUCUUCAUCCUUGCCUUGCAGCUGCCACCAACCUCAAAGACCGCUGUCAAACGACUAGCCGGCCGAGAAGCUCUUCCUUAAACUCCACUUCCUCCGUCUCUUGCCUCGCAGCUGCCAACAACUUCAAAGACCGCUGUCAAACGACUAGCCGGCCGAGAAGCUCUUCCUCAAACUCGAGCUCCGCUCCCUGCAGAAGUUCCUCUACCCAUCACCCAAACUUAUACAGAAAAAAAGAAAAAAAGAAAAAAAAAAGGGUGGUGGUGCAUCUGGCACCACGUGAAAAAAGGAGAAUGGUGCAUCUGGCACCAUAAUUAAAGGAAAAAUAUAUAUAUAAUAAUAAAAAAAAAAUAUAUAUAUAUAUAUAAUAAAUUAAAAAAAAAAAUUGAUCUUUGGUGCGUCUGGCACCAUGUGACAAAAGAAAAAAAGAGAAAAAAAAAACAAAAGAAAAAAAAGGGAUGGUUGUACAGCGCCAAAAGAAAAAGAAAUAAUAUAUAUAGAUAUAUAUAUAUAUAUAUAUAUAUAUAUAUAUAUAUAUAUAUAUAUAUAUAUAUAUGUGUGUGUGUGUGUACAUAAUAUAUAUAUAGCAAAAAAAAAUUGCAUUGAGAGAAAUAAAGUCCAUUUUAUUUAUUUUUCUGGAAAUUUUGCAUAAAUUUGCAUUAUACAUACCUUAAAAAAAAAAAAAAUCAAAUCAAAUCAAAUUUACAAGAGGGGAUCUUCAAGGACGAUCAGGUGCCGCCUCACCACUCGGCAGAGCUCCAGAAAUGAGAGGCGCUGGGGGUUGACUGUUUGAAGCCUCACCACUCGGAGGAACUCCAGGAAGAAGAGGAGCCAAAGGUUGAUCAUUCGGAGCUUCACUACGCGGUACAGCCCCAGAAGACGAAGGCAAAUGUUGUUGGAACAAACCCACAAACCUCCGAUGAUCAAGUAAAAUCUGACCAUCAGAUUCCUGCAUCUGGUCAAUUUUCCUCUUCAUGUUUGUGGCAUAGUUGUGUGCGAGCUUGUGCAACUGUUUAUUCUCAUGCUUGAGCCCCCUAAUCUCCUGUUUGAGACUCAUCACUUCAGCCGCCAACGAUUCAACUUGACGGGUUCGAGCAAAUAGGCGUUGGGCCAUGUUGGACACAGAACCCGCACACUGCACACUAAGAGCCAGAGACUCCUUAACAGCCAACUCAUCAGACCGCCUGGAAAGUAGUCUGUUAUCUUUGGGGGUGACAAGGUUCCGGGCCACCAUCGCAGCGGUCAUAUCAUUCUUCAUCACCGAAUCCCCAACGGUAAGAGGACCAGUAGGGGAUAUGAAGGAUGGGCGCCAUAUGUUAUCUGGAGAUGACGGGACUACCUCUUCAUCAAGGUUCAAAUCAAAACGACGGUCGGAGGGUCCAGACAUUUUCAAAGGUGUUGAAGAAAGAAGAGGUCGGACAAAUCAAGACCUUAGAAGUGCAAGAAGGGAGUUUCUACAAGCGAAAAUUCAAGUGUGCUUUGAAACGAACUGCGUACCUUUAUAAAAAAAAAAUCGGCACUCGACGGGAUUUCAGAGAUCGAAGAGGUGAGCUCAGAGUUCGAAAAUGCCGAUUCAAAAAUCGAAGAGGCAAGCUCAGAAAUCGGAGAAGCAUCUUGCUUUUCCAGACGCGUUAGCACCCGUCCCACAUAAACUCAGCUUUGCGGAAAUCACGGGCAAUUUGUUAAAGCGCCAAUCCCAGAUAUCGAAGAGGCGCCAAUCUUUUUCAGCCUCGUCAGCACCCGUCACGCGCAAACUCAGCUUUGCGGAAAUCACGGGCAAUUUGUCGAAGAUUUCUGAUAAAGAAGAAAGCACGUGAAGCCAUACUGAUCAAUCACGCAUUGGUUGCCGACACGAGUGAAAGAAUAGUACCUCUACAAGUAUUAAAGGACCUCCUAUAACUGUCCACCUUCACCUUCCAUAGCAAGGCAGACAUACAGAGCCUUUCUUCAUCUCAAAAAAUGCUUUCCCAACGAAACCUCUCGAGUCAUUCAGUGUUCCUUAUUCCUUGGGGUACCUCUGCAAGCCAAUGACUCCAAAGUAAAAGUAUCUCAUAUCACCAGGGUAGAAAGCAAGAAUAUCUCAUAUCAUGCACUCUCCCUGUCCUUUCCUUUGUCCUUGUUCCUACCUACAAAGACAAGGAUAAAGAAAACAAUAUGCCGGAACUUCCACUCAAACUCGGGUAAGGAACCGACUGCUUGGAACCCUCCCCUGAUUGCCUACCUAGCACUGCUCUCGAGUACUCGCCUUCCACUGCUGCUGUACUUUCAAAGAAGCUGCCGCAUCUGCCUGGAGGACAGAUAAGGCAAGUGAAAAUGAUACCUUGCAGCAUGUGGAGACAAGGUGCAGAAGGAACAAGCAGAGAAGAAUGCGGUCUGCACGGUCAACUCAGCAGAAGGAGUCCGAACUGAGGAACUCGAGAAACUGCCACAUCUGCCUGAAGAAACAAGCAGAGAAGAAUGCAGCAUGCACAGUCAACUCAGCAGAAAGAGUCUGAGAUGAAGAACUCGAGAAGAUGCCGCAUCUGCCCGAGGACGGUGAACUCGUUUUGACCCUCAAAUUCUUGGGUCGACUUACUAGGUGUUGUGGGCUGCACGUGCCGAUUCACCACCCUUGAAUCAAAUCCUUAAAGAACAAGUCACCAACUGGAAGAAGAGCCCAUCAAUCUUGAAGAUCAUACCGUUGACCAAAUUGCUCAGGUGUGAAUUAGAAAGAUUGAACAAAGCAACAAGUCGUCACCUUCACCUCGUGCCUGCUUGCCACGUGUUCGAGUCAGCCUUCAAGAAUCAAGCCUCAACGGCCCUUGAAGAAGCUUCCAGCCAAAUUCAAAAUCAAGCCUCGACGGCCCUGGAAGAAAUCACAAGUCCGAUUCAAGAUUAAGUGUCUACCACCCUUGAAUCAAAACCUAGUUCAAGAAUAAGCUGUGGAAAAUCAACAAUUGGAGGAAUCCAGAAAAUCCUUCAACCCAAUUCAAGAUCAAAGCUGUGGAAAGUCAACAAGCGCAACAAAAUACGUGCCGAUUCACCCACUACCGAAGCCAAAGAUCAUCUACCACAUGAAGCUCAUUGUGGUCCAAUUUCAACCUUCAAGAUCAAGCCUCGACGGCCCUUGAAGAAAUUUCAAAUAAAAGUUCAAGAACAAGCCUCAACGGCCCUUGAAGAAAUUUCAAACGAAAGUUCAAGAACAAGCCUCAACGGUCCUUGAAGAAAUCUCAAGCCCAAUUCAAGAUCAAGCCUCAACGGCCCUUGAAGAAAUCUCCAGCCCAAUUUAAGAUCAAGCCUCGACGGCCCUUGGAUCGACAUCUACAGUAAGGGACUUCAAAACGCAUCUCCUAUACGUGACAAGCACAUGUAUACGACGUGCCUUGAAGUGGGGGCAUUUGUAGACAUCGAAAUUUCGGUAAAUAAAUGUUGACCGAUAAAUCAAAGUGUCAACGCUCAUGUAUUACGUAAAUUUUACACGUAGCAUGUGACUCAACGAAAAUUGAAAUGAGUGGGAAAAGUCAUCAAAUAGGACACGUGUCAACACCUGGCAGAAACGACUUAUUUCAUCUGGGAUAUUAUAUUCAAAAUUAGGCAUUGGAAAAUUCUAUAAAUACAAGCCCAUUUCAUUCAUUUGAGGGGAGAGAAAACCAAUUGAUAUUAUACCUUGAAGCUCUGAAGCUCUGAAACCCCGAAGCUCUCAAGCAUCCAGGUUCCCGAAGAAUCAAGAAAGCCUUCUUCGUUCUUCCAAGAUCAAGCCCCGACGGCCCUUGAAGAAAGCACCGUCGUUCAUCAUCCGUUCAUCCAAGAUCAACCCCCAACGGCCAUUUGGAUCAACAACGUCGACAAAUCCAUACACAUCCAACCGUUCUUCAAGAUCAAGCCCAAAAGCCCUUGAAGAUCUGUUCAUCACUGUCUCUUCAAGAUCAAGCCCAAAAGCCCUUGAAGAUCCGCUCAAAUCCACUCUCAAAGAUCAAGCCCACGACCCUUAAAGAACGUUCAUCCAAGAUCAAGCCUCGAUGGCCCUUGGAUCAAUCGCACAUCCACAAAUACACACCUUACGGAGAUUGAAUCAGAGGAUCAAAUUAGAGAGAGAUUGUAACCCAAAAUCUUCAAAAAUACAAAUAUUUGUUUGUGCACGUUGUUCUUGUCUCUUUCGUUUCAGGAAUUUUCCGUGUUCACAUUAUGUUUAUGACAAGUAAAUACCAACUUGUUUGUCGAAUACAUGGAAAAUCUGCCGUAGUAACAUGUUCUUUCCUGAUUGGAGCUGACUCGAUUUCAGUUCUCCAUUGUCUUCCUUAGUUGAGGUUAUAAGUUCCUGUCCCAACCUUGACUAAUUAUUGUACCUAUACGAAUACCAUGAUUCUUAAUUUCGUAUUAGGUGAAUUUCUAGUUAGUAAAUUGGUACACGUACUUAUAUAAUUUUUCGUAACACUUUUUUUUUACACGUUUUAAUGAUUUGUUAAAUUAUACGUUUAUUAAAACUUUAACGUACUAUACAUAUAUUAUACACAUAUACAUAUGUACUUUUUACAUUUAUAAUACACAUUAUUUUGACACAUUUUUCAAUAAUACAUAUAAAAUUCAAUUAUUCUAUAUGUAUUUUUAACAUAUUAUUUAUAAAAAAAAAUUUAUAAUAAAAAAAUUUAAAAAAAAAACCGAAAAUUUUCUUAGUAUUUUUUUCAGCAAAGUUGUCGAAUAAUGCAUUUGCACAUACUGGUUGAGGUCAUUUAAUUUUCUACCUGAACACUCAAUUUCUACUUAUUAUCACUUUCACCAAUUAGAUACGGAAUUCGAAGUAAUCAAUUCGAUUUACGAUAAAACUAAUAAAUUGACAUACGGAUAAACCUCAACAAGAAACUGAAUAGUAAAAGUGUUGGUUAAAACAUAACCUCUUCUCACAACACGCAGGUAGGCACCCACCCAACUGCAAAGCCAUUACUGGCAGUAAUAAAAUAAAUUUCACAUCCGCCGUUACCUUGUUGGUUAAAAAAAAAAAAAAACAGGUAAAAAAAAGAAAUGCACCUCCAUUUUUGGAAUGCAUCCAGAACAAAGUAGAUUUGGGUUUGGAUUGUCCUCGCUCUACCUUGACGUUAAUUAGUUGCAUAACAAAAACAAUAAUUCCCAGAAGGGUUCGGCAGCUCUGGCACAACAACUUCAUGGAAGAACUAAAACCAAACAAGAAACCAAAAAUUCUGCAGGGCUACGAGGCCCCGAUUUUUUCAUAAAAAGUACCGUGUUCGUUAUCAUGAACACUAUGAUUUCUAAUCCCAAUAUUCUUCGUCAAUCUUCUCACAAUCAUCUCAGUUUUUUGUUGUGCAUUUUUGCGCUCGGAAUAGUAGGUUUCUUGUUUCUUCUAGGCCAAGCGAGAUUCACGAAUCUCAGCCGCCUUGUAGUUUGGAUCGGCAACUUAGCGCUCUGCACUGCGGCUUUGUUUCUCAUUGCCUUGAUGCAUCCCAUUAUUGGAAUCAUAUUUUCUUGGCUUCCAAACAGAAGCCAUAGCGAUCGUGAAUUUGAAGGAGCAGACGACCUGUCUCACCACCAUCAUGAUCAAGAUACAUUACCACAAGCACCUGCGCAAGAUAUUGCAACGUUGUUCCACAUGGUGUUAAUGGAAGUGCUCGAUAGAGUUUGGGAGGACUUGGUGAUGGAGGAGGGGCCAGAACAAAUGCCUCAAGCUCUUCAAGUUCAAGCCCUAGAGGCCCUCCCACCGCCUUUGAGGUACUGCACAGGCAGCCGGGACAUAACAUCGAGUUGCUGCAGUGACCGGUGUACCAUUUGCUUGGAGGAUUACAUGGACGGCGAGUCUUGUCGUGUCUUCGCGUGCAAACACAUGUUUCAUUCCAAUUGUAUUGAUCAUUGGUUAAAGAAUCACCUAACUUGCCCAGUUUGUCGAAACUCUGUUGUAGAUAUCUGACAUUGUAAUUCACUUUCAUCUUGUAUAAAUUACUCAAAAUUUCAAACGUAGUUGCUUUAUGAACAAGUUUCCAACUAUUUUCCAGGGGAAAGCUUCUUUUAUGCCAUCAAAUAAUAGCAUGCCUGCGUUUGGUUUUUGAGAUUGGAUAGUUAUAUUCUAUGAUGCAUGGACAUGGAUACGGACACGAGGAUAAGACACGAUACGAUAUGGGGAUACGUCAAAUUUCUAAAAACUAAGACACGAUACGACAAUUUAUAUAAUAAAUAUAUAUUUAAAAAAUAUAUUUUAAAUAACAAUAAAAAUUUAAUUACUCAAAAUUUAAUUUAUAUUAUUCAAACUCAAAAAGAAAGGAUGGUAGUGGUGGAAAUUUGGUGGGCUAUGUAGUUUUGGGCUUUAGUCUCAUUUAAACCCUAAAAAAACAAAAACUGUGGUGUCGUUUUUUACUACAGAAACAAACAAACGGCAUGUCGACCUAGCAAUCAUCUUCUUCGCAAAGCCUCCUCCACUAGAUCGGGUCGUCUCCGUGCGACGCCUUCCUCCAUCAAAUUGCGUCAUCUUCUUCGUGAGGCGUCCUUCCACCAUAUUGCAUCAUCUCCAUCAUGAGGUAAAGGCCAUGGUGCAGAUAUCCGUAUCCAGAUAGUCGGAUACCCGUAUCUAAACCGUCGGAUACUCAUACACAUCUGUCAAACGUCGUCCGUUGAUCCAUAUACGUAUCCAACGUGUAUCCGACCGUAUCAGAGGCGUAUCGUGUCCAUUUGCGUAUCCGACACGCUAUACAUGGCCGAUGUGCCGUGUUUGUGCAUCAUAGGUUAUAUUCAAGGUAGGGUGAAGGAAGAAAUACAAAGAAAUUUUGUUGAGUUAAAGGUAGAAGACAAAUUACUAGUAAAUGAAACUUAUCCCUUGCAAUUCUUAUUAAAUAAUGAUAGGAUUAGAAGAGGUAAGUUUCCGACACAAUGAUAAGACCCACAUUUCAUUUUAUGGUUAUAGGCAAACUGAGGAAAAUAGUGGCAAGGAUUUCCAUUCGGAAGAAUAGAAAUUUUCAAUUAGAAGAGGUAGAUAAUGAUAAGACCCACAUUUCACUUGAUGGUUAUAGACAAACUGAAGAAAUAGUGGCACGGAUUUCCAUUCGGAAGAAUAUAAAAUUUCGCCUAUGUGUAUGCAACUCAUGAUACACGUGGACGGACUAGAUUCCUCGUCGGAUCUUUUUCGUGGGGAUCCUUAGGAUACAAAUAAUCUUAGCCGUUCAUGUACAACUGUGCAGCUGAGAUUACUCUUCCUCUCAACUUUCUCUCCAUUCUCUCUCCGCAGGACCGCAACAUCCUUGUCUUCUCUCCGGCGGUGAUCAAGAAUCUCUAUCAGCAUCAAAAGACCAAAUCCACGUCCCAUAAAAAUUUUCACCACUCACUUGAAACCGCAACCUUAGCCAUCCAGUCAAAACUCUCGAUUCAGUUUCCAUUGGAGCGGAAUUCGGGAGCUUUUGGAGAAAUAAAAUUUCUAAUUAUUUAGUUUUGUUCUCAAUCAUAGAUAUACCUUCCCCCUCUUGUUGUUGAAUCUUGACUUCAGGGGGUGCUGCGUUUGCUAGUUGGAUUUGUAAGCAGGGGACUCUGAAAAUGGUGGAUUUGGGUGGACUGAGAAAAAGGUGAAGUUGAAGCUUCAUAACAAAUCCAUGGUCGUGUUCACCAUAGAGAUGCAUCGUGAGGGAGAGAGUUCUCAGCAGUGGAAGAAUAUUGACAAGAAGGCUAACAGAAAAUCUCGAUUGCCGCCGGUGAAGAAGGCAAGAAUGUUGAAGAGAAAGAGAGAGUGAUAAAAUUGAGAGAAAGACUCAUCUCAGCCGCACAUUUUACAUAAAUGGCUAAGAUGAUUUAAUCCCAAGUAUCCCCAAGGAUGGAGCCGAAGAGAAUCCUAACUUGGACAAUGGAAGUAUUGACAUAAUUUUGUAGAGUCACAAAUUGUCUUGCUGCUCAAGACUCUCUUUUUAACUUAGUGUGUUUCUGGUUUAAACUCUUCUCCCUCUUCUUAAUGUAAUGUAGAACAUCAUUUGUACUCGAAAAAAAAAAACUUCAUAGAGUCAUAUUAUCAUACGGGAGUGAGGUGUGUUGAUGCACAAAAUCAGUGAGGACUUUGGUACAACAGAAAGUGUUAGGUUUGUGACCUUCGCUUGGUUGCUUCGAUCACUAGUGAAGAUAAGUAUGUAAAUGAAUAAGGACAGGGAAGCAAACACAAGAUGUACAUGGUUCACCCAGAUCGGCUACGUCCACGGAGCAGAGGAGUUCUCAUUAAUUGUGAAGGGUUUACACAAAUACAUAGGUUCAAGCUCUCAUUUUGUGAGUUCUAGUGAAUAGUUUAGUACAAAAUGACAUUAGAGAUUAUUGUGGGAGAAUGAUCCCUAUUUAUAGAGGAGAGUUUCUAGUUUUGUUCUAACAUUGACACGUGUUGUGUUGUGAUUGGCUUCUGAUGUUGACACGUGUCGAGCUGUGAUUGGCUUCUGAUGUCGACACAUGUCGUAUUAUGAUUGGCCUCCUGGUUGAAGGGAAGCUCUUAUGGGUCCUUGAUGGUAUAACGUUGACCGGUGCUCAGUAGUUUCGGGAUUGGUCAAGUAUGGUACAAACAGUGCUCCCCUAAGUUCCCGAGUGGGGGAAGCUCCUCGGUUGGGGACUUGCAAGAUCCAAGCCAUUGAGUAAUCACGAAACUUCUAAGUACUGAAGUGUGGUAUCAUUUUCACGUGCCUUAUCUGUCUCAUAUGUAGAUGUGGCAUCUUCUCUGGAAGUACUUUUCCUCCAUCCAUGGGUGGUAUCUUUAACCGAUGAAGAUGCACAAGGUAAUGUAUCAAUUUCACUUGAAGCUUACUUGUAGUUUCGGGCUUGGUCAAGUGCGAUACAAACCCUAUAGUAGGAGUCCCCCAAGUCGCCGAGCUAGGAGAUCUGCCGAAAGAGGUGACAGACAAGGUAAACAGUCAAACUUCCAAGCAAGCAACCCAGGAUCGGAGGUUCGACUUUGGCUUCCGGUUGAUUGUUCUCUUUCUCUUUGUCUCUCAUUCAACUGCCAGGAUAAGGAGAAGCAAAUGGAGAAGAUAUGAUAUGAGAUACUUUUGCUUUUGAAGAAGUAACUUUCCACAGGCUUAUUCUUGAACUGUGCUGGAGGGUUUUCUGGUUCCCUUCAGAGUAUAAGGCCGACUCAAGAAUUUGAGGGUCAAAACAAGUCCAUUAAAUCUAGAGUACGUUCGACCUUGAUGAUAUGGGAUACUUUUGCUGUUGACGGAAUAAUGAAUGUGGUAUGGAAAGGUGUCGUGCUGUAGUGAUCUGUUUCAGCUCACCGUUGAACCUUCUGCUUCAAUCUUUUGCAUGGCAGAAGUGGUGUGCAACCUUUGCAUUUAAAUGGUCCUUCAGAACAUUCCUUCAUAGUGACUCAUCCACGCUUGGCAGCUUCAGUGUAAAGAGCCAAUAUCUGAUCAACUGUCAUGAGGUAUGUGCCGGUGGAAUUCAUGACCUUGAUAGCAGUUGAGGAUGAGUUCUCGAGAGCAAUGCUAAGUAAGCAACCAGGCAAAGGUCUUAAGCAGUCAGUUCCAGAUUGGAGGUUUGAUUUUAGGUUCCGACUGACUGCUUUCUUUCUCUUUGUCCUGCAGGUGUGGACAAGGACGAAGACAAGGACAUGGAGAAAGUAUGAUAUGGGAUACUUUUGCUUUCGACCCUGAUGAUAUGAGAUACUCUUGUUCUUGGUGUGGCUUAUUUGCUGAGGUAUUAUCGGGGGGAAAUAAAGCUGAGUAUUUCGAGAGGUUAUGUUGAGGGUGCAUUCUCGAAUGCGAGAAAGGGUUGAGCAUUUUUGCAGGUUUGCCUGUCCGUUGAGGAGGGAGGUCGAUGUAUAUAGGGAUUUCCCAAUAACAAGUAGUAAUGCUAUUCCUUUACCCUUCUUGGUCACAACAAUGUAGUGGGAGCUGCCAGCUUCAAGUGUUUUAACUUUGUCAGAGCACUUUGAAAAAGUGGUAUGUGGUAUCUGGAAAGCUGAUGUUGCGUGUGAAGAUUACAGACAAGCUUUAUCUAAGGAAAUCUGGCUCUCGAAGUUCUGAGAGCUGUGCCUCUUCGGUUUUCGAACAAGCAAUCCCGUCGGGGAUCUGGCUCUCAAGAUUCGGAAAGCGGUGCCGCUUCAGUUUUUGAGAAAGUAAUUAUGUUGGGAGUCUUUUCUCGAAUAUGAGUAAAGGUUGGACGUUCUUGCCAGCCUGUCUUGCCACAGAACACGGAGGUCGACACACAUAGGGACUUUCCAGUUGUCAAGCAGUGGUUCUGUUCCUUUACCCUUGUGGGUAAUAGUAGGGUAGCUGGAACUUCGAAAUUCUCGUGCCUAAACUUUAUCAGAGAUCUUUGGCAAAGUUAUAUGUGGUACCCGAGGAGUUGAUGGUGCGUGUGGAGAGUGGUGAUUGAACAGUAAGAUUCACGUGCUUUCUACUUCACCAGAAAUCUUCGACAGAUUGCCCGUAAUUUCCGCAAAGCUGAGUGUGCAUGUGACAGGUGCUGACGAGGCUGAAAAAGCAGGUGCUUCUUCGAUUUCUGAGAUCGGCCAUCGUGGUCUCUGAGCAGCUCAGCUUUCGAGAAAGCAAACGCCUCUUCGAUUCCUGAAGCUCCGUCAAGUGUAGAUUUUUAUAGAGGUUGGCAUUAAGUUCCACAGCACACUUGAAUCUCCACCAGUAGAAGCUCCCUUCUUGCACUUCUAAGAUCUUGAUUUGUCUGACCUCUUCCCUCUUCAACACCUUUGAAAAUGUCUGGCCCCUCCGACCGUCGUUUUGACUUGAACCUUGGAGAAGAGACAGCCAUGCCUUCUCCAGACAACAUAUGGCGCCCAUCCUUCAUAUCCCCUACUGGUUCUCUUACCGUUGGGGAUUCUGUGAUGAAGAAUGAUAUGACCGCUGCGGUGGUGGCCAGGAACCUUCUCACUCCCAAAGAUAAUAGACUACUUUCCAAACGGUCUGAUGAGUUGGCUGUUAAGGAUUCUCUGGCUCUUAGUGUUCAGUGUGCAGGUUCUGUGUCUAAUAUGGCCCAACGCCUAUUUGCUAGAACCCGCCAAGUUGAAUCAUUGGCUGCUGAAGUGAUGAGUCUCAAACAGGAUAUUAGAGGGCUCAAGCAUGAGAAUAAACAGUUGCACCGGCUCGCACAUGACUAUGCUACAAACAUGAAGAGGAAGCUUGACCAGAUGAAGGAAGCUGAUGUUCAGGUUUUACUUAAUCAUCAGCGGUUUGUGGGUUUGUUCCAAAGGCAUUUAUUGCCUUCGUCUUUUGGGGCUGUACCGCAUAAUGAAGCUCCAAAUGAUCAACCUCCAAUGCCUCCUCCUUCUGGGGUUCUUUCCAGUACUGAGGCUCCGAAUAACCACCCUCCGGUGCUUUCUCUUUCUGGGGCUCUACCGACUGCUGAGACUUCCCCUAAGCAACCUUUGUGAAGGCUCCCUCUUGUUUGUUUAUUUUGAUUCAUGUAAAUGUACAUAUUUGUAACUUAUCGGGAAUAUCAAUAAACAAGAUUUGCUUCAUUUCAACGUAUUGUGUUAAAUACACCAAGGCCUUCUUCACUAAGUUCUUUGAAUUUUUCCUUUUGUUGAAGCUUGUAUGUUGAAACUUUGUGAGUGAAGCAUGUAGGUUGAGGUAGUGCUCCCUUAAUUUCCCGAGUGAGGAAAACUUCUCGUUUGGAGACUUGAAAAAUCCAAGUCACUAAGUGGUCGUGAGACUUCCGAGUAUCAAGGUGCAGUAGCAUAUGGUAGGAGUCCCCCAAGUCUCUGGUCGAGGGAGUUGACGAUUGAGGCAUUUCCUUUCUAAGUGGUAGCCCAAAACUCCUUCUUCAUAUAUAUUUGUUAUGAAAGUUGUUAGGCCCAAAGAAGAUGAGGCCUAGGCAAUUUUUUUUUAUUUUUGAUUUUUUUUUUUUGAUUUUUUUUUUUUGAAUUUUCAAAUUUCCGGAUUUUUGAAUUUUCGAAUUUCCGAAAAAAAAAAAAAAAAAAAAAAAUAUAUAUAUAUAUAUAUAUAUAUAUAUUUAAAAGCUUUGUUGGUGAAGCUUUGGUGUUGAAGCUUUGUAGGUGAAGCUUUGAGGUUUAAGCUUUGUUGGGCAUCAUGAAUUGAUUUUGCUUCACACUAUCUUGAUGAAGAGUGUGUGAAGCUUUUAUAUGUUUUGGUGUUGAAAUUUUGUAUUGUAGGUGAAGCUUUGGGGUUGAAGCUUGGUAGGUGAAUCUUUGGUGUUGAAGCUUUAUAGGUGAAGCUUUGAUGUUGAAGCUUUAUAGGUGAAGCUUUGGUGUUGAAGGGUUGGAGCUUUAUAGGUGAAGCUUUGGUGUUGAAGCUUUAUAGGUGAAGCUUUGGGGUUGAAGCUUUAUAGGUGAAGCUUUUGUUGGCACCAUAAAUUAAUUUUGCUUCACACUAUCUUGAUGAAGAUCGUGCAAAGCUUUUGAGAUUGAUAUUUGUCCUCCAUUGAUGAAGCUUUUGUUGGCACCAUAAAUUGAUUUUGCUUCACACUAUCUUGAUGAAGAUAGUGCAAAGCUUUUGAGAUUGAUAUUUGUCCUUCAUUGAUGAAGCUUUGUUGAAUUUCCCAAUUUCCAAUUUCCUCUUUUUUUUUGUUUUUUUUUGUUUUUUGGGAAAACUAGAAAUUUGAAAAUGUGGGAGAGACAACGUAUACAAAUUUUGCUUCCAUACUGUUAAGCGAGAGAUUGUGAUGCAAGCCACAUCUUGUAGUAGUCGAAGGUUUGGAUGAACCAUAUAAAUUGAAUUUGCUUCGAACAGUCUUGAUCAAGAGUGUUUGAAGCUUUCUAUGAGUUGUAGUGUUUGCAUUGUUACAGAGGAGAAAUGUCUGAAGCAGAUGCAAGAGGGCUGAAGAGCUUUAUCUUUGUAUACCAUGCACUGAAGCCAUUGUUGGCUUGCAAUAAGACUUUGUUAGUGACUAUAGCUCUUGUUAGGCAUAAGUGCUCCCCUAGUUGAGUUGUAAAGCUUGAUGGUUUUUGAUUAUUUGUGAAUGCUAGGAGUUCACAUAUACAAGUUGUACCACUCGUCUUCUGGUUAAUGGAAUGAAUGGUAGGUUGCUUUCAUCACUUGGUUGGUGGUACGAAUGUGAAUUCCUUAAUCACCUUUCAUCACAUUUCAUCACCUGGUUGGUGACAUGAAGGAGAGUACGCGUUGUACAUUUCAUCACCUGGUUGGUGGCAUGAAGGAAAGUACGCGUUGUACAUUUCAUCACCUGGUUGGUGGCAUGAAGAUGAGUUCCUUCUUCACCUGAUUGGUGAUAAGGGUGGCAAGUUUCCAAAUAAUAUUAGAGUACGGGUUGUACAUUUCAUCACCUAGUUGGUGGUACGAAGGUGAGUUCCUUCAUCACCUAGUUGGUGAGAAUAAGGGCAAGGUGUCGAGGCAUAUUGUGGCAAAUGUCGAAUGACACAAAGUGUGUUGAACCCUUUCGAAGCACAGUUGGCUUAUGUAUGGAUGUGUUGGAAUGUAUGAUGUUUAUGCAUGAAUGUGUUGGAAUGUAUGAUGUUUAUGUAUGAAUGUAUUGGAAUGUAUGAUGUUUAUGUAUGAAUGUGUUGGAAUGUAUGAUGUUUAUGUAUGAAUGUGUUGGAAUGUAUGAUGUUUAUGUAUGAAUGUGUUGGAAUGUAUGAUGUAGAUCCUUUGUAUAGUCUUGUUGACACAUACUUAGAUUUUUGUUUUUGUAUUGGAAACAUUUGCGUUGAAGCUUCAACACUUGAGUGUUUCAUUGCUCAGAAUGGAAAAGAGUUUAUGGCCGAGUUGGCUAAAUCACCUAUUUAUUGAAUUCAUACCAAAUGGUAUUUGUUACAUAGGAUGCCGAACGGCUGUAGCUUAACACUUGUACAAUGUGAGUAUAUUUGUAAUAGUACUUCAAGUGGUCAGCAUUCCAUGGAUGGCCAAGGGUCUUGCCGUCGGAGUUUCUGAGCUUGUAGGAGCCAGGGCGGCUGAUGCCAACGACCUCGAACGGUCCGUCCUAGUUAGGACUGAGUGUUCCUUCACUCGGGACCCUAUCACAGAGUAAUCUUUUCUUCAGUACCCAGUCUCCCAUUUUGAAAGAGCGAGGUUUGACCCUUGAGUCGUAGUAGUUGGAAAUGCGCUGCUUGUAGGCGACAUUCCUCAGGUGAGCCUGAUUUCUGUGUUCCUCGACUAGAUCCAGGUUGAGGGUGAGUUGUUUGUCGUUCUCACUCUGCAUGUAAUUCUGGAUUCGGUAUGUUGCUUGCUCAAGCUCAACCGGGACAACUGCUUCUGUACCAAAAGCAAGUGAGAAUGGAGUUUCUCCUGUGGAAGUCCGAUAUGAAGUGCGGUAUGACCAAAAGAACUUGGGGUACGAAUUCUGGCCAACAAUCUUUAGCUUUGUCCAAGCUAGUUUUCAGAGUGCGUUUGAUUAUUUUGUUAACGGCCUCGACUUGUCCAUUAGACUGGGGAUGGGCUGGAGAGGCAAAACAUAAGUUGAUGUUGAACUUAGAGCAGAACAUCUUGAACUUCUUGUUGUCGAACUGCCGCCCAUUGUCCGUGACUAUCGCAUUGGGAAUGCCGAAUCUACAGAGGAUGUUCUUCCAUACGAAGUCUUCUAUUUUUCCCUCAGUAAUGGUUGCCAAGGGUUCUACUUCAGCCCACUUUGUGAAGUAGUCAACUGCAACGAUUGCAUAGCGGACCUUGCCCUUCCCUGCAAGCAUUGGGCCGAUCAAAUCAAGUCCCCAUUGGGCGAAGGGCCAAGGGCUGAUCAUAGGAGUGAGCGGCUCGAGAGGGGAGUGAGGGAUAGUUGCGUAGCGUUGACACUUAUCACAUGAGCGAGAUAUUCUGAUGGCAUCUUGGUGGAGUGUUGGCCAAUAGUAUCAUUGGCGAAAAGUCUUGUGUGCUAGGGAUCGAAACCCAGCAUGAUCUCCGCAGACUCCUUCAUGUAUUUCCCGAAGGACAAUUUCUGCCUCCGCAGGUGUAAGGCAUCUUAGGUAGGGCAGGGUAAAACCGCGCUUGUAGAGUUGGUCAUUAAUGAUCAGGUAGUGAGCAGACUUGUAUCGAAUCUGCUUAGCUUGGACUUUGUCAUUUGGGAGGGUGCCAUGGGCAAGGAAUUUAUAAAUUGGGGUGAUCCAACUAUCUCCUUGUUGUAAAUUGCACACUUCCGCGACCAUAGUGCUUGGUGCUGCCAACAAUUCGACAUGAAUUUUUCUCCCAAUCUUGUCUUCCACUGCCGAGGCGAGGCGGGCCAAAGCGUCUGCAUGACUGUUUGCCGCUCGAGGAACUUGGGUGAUCUGGUAGUGGAAGUGCUUGAGCAAAAGUCGUGUUUGUGCAAGAUAUGCUGCCAUGGAGCUAUCCUUAGCAUCAAAGUUGUUCGUGACUUGGUUGACCACUAAUUGGGAGUCACUGAAGAUAUCAAUUUGUUUAACUCCAAGAUGCUUGGCCAAACGUAAGCCUGCUAGAAGGGCUUCGUAUUCGGCCUCGUUGUUCGAUGCCUUGAAUUUGAAACGAAGAGCGUAUUCUAUCGCCACUUUGUCAGGGGUAGUGAGGACUAAUCCUGCUUCGCAGCCCUGUUGGUUGGAUGAGCCAUCAACAUACAGACUCCAUGCUGGGGUUGUUGAUUCUAUCUUCUGAGCUUCCGAUGGUAAUGAAGCUAUUGUUUCAGGUGUAGAAGCAAUGUCAACAGGAUAUGUGAAGUCGGCAAUGAAAUCUGCUACUGCUUGACCCUUUUCGGCUGGUUUUGGUUGGUAGGAGAUGUCAAACUCACCCAAUGCUAUCGCCCAUUUGAUCAUUCGCCCAGACGUGUCAGAACUCUAGAGUGUCUGUCGAAGAGGGUGAUUGGUAAGCACGAUGAUGGCGUGUGCUUGGAAAUAAGGGCGAAGUUUUCGAGCAGACAUGACCAAUGCUAGAGCUAAUUUCUCAAUGUUGGAGUAUCGUGUCUCCGCAUCUUGUAGGGCCUUGCUAGCAUAGUAGACGGGCCGUUCGACACCACUGUCAUUUCGAAUAAGAACAGAACUGACUGCUGAAGCCGAAACCGAUAGAUAGAUAAUGAGAGUGUCACCAACUUCUGGUUUGGAGAGCAGAGGGGCUUUACUCAUGUACUAUUUGAGGUUCCUGAAUGCCUUGGCAUAUUCCUCCGUCCAUGUAAUGUACUUCUUAUUUCCCUUGAGUGCUUUGAAGAAAGGAGCACAUCUGUCUGUGGCCUUAGAGAUGAAUCUGGUUAAGGCUGCCACCUUGCCAGUAAGGCUUUGGAUGUCUUUUGAAGUUACUGGCUCUUUCAUGUCGAGGAUUGCUUUGAUCUUUUCGGGGUUAGCUUCAAUGCCUCGUUGGCUAAUCAUGAAGCCUAAGAAUUUGCCAGAGCCCACGCCGAAGGCACAUUUGUUGGGGUUCAACCUCAUUCGAUACCUCUUUAGAAUGGUGAAAGUUUCAGAUAGGUUAGUGAUGUGUUGGUCAGCAUGUUUGCUCUUGACUAACAUAUCAUCAAUGUAAACUUCCAUGCUCUUCCCAAUCUGUUCGGCGAACAUUGAAUUGACCAGUCUCUGAUAAGUUGCUCCUGCAUUCUUUAGACCGAAGGGCAUGACUUUGUAGCAAUAUAGUCCCUUGUCAGUAGUGAAGGCUGUGUGUUCUUGGUCUGAGGGGUUCAUGAGGAUUUGGUUGUAUCCUGAAUAAGCGUCCAUGAAGCUCAAGAGCUCACACCCUGCCGUAGAGUCUAUAAGUCUAUCAAUGAGAGGAAGGGGGAAACUAUCCUUCGGGCAUCCUUUGUUUAGGUCGGUGUAGUCGACACACAUUCUCCACAAGACCUUUUGAAGCAGGAGACUUUCCUUGGUCGGAUUUUUCUUAACAAGGACAACAUUUGCUACCCAUGUUGGGUAAUUGACUUCACGGACGAAGCCUAUGUCCUUGAGUUUUUCAACUUCUACUUUCAUCACCUUGUAUCGUUCAACAUCAUAAGAUCUUCGUUUCUGUUUUACUGGUUUGGUCUUGGGAUCAAUACUCAAGUGGUGACAGAUGAUAUCGGGGAGAGAUGCCCGGCAUAUCUUUAUAUGACCAAGCGAAGACCUCGGUGUUCUCUUGCAAAAAGGAGAUCAGCGACAACCGAAGGGGUGGUGACAAAGUGGUGCCAAUCUUCACCAUGCGAUCUGGAUGGUCUUUAGAGAUAGAGACAUUCUCUAACUCUUCAGCGGGUUGUGCUUGCUGGGUGAAUGAGUUAUCUCGAGGGUCGUCGGGUUGACUGUUGCCAUCAUGAAGAUCCGAGUUGGCUUCAUCUGGACUGGUCUUUACUACCUGGUUGUGUAUAGAGAGGGUCUCCUUGGGGAUAGGCAGGUGUUGUUGCUUAACUGAAAUGUUGUAACAUGAUCGAGCACUAAGUUGAUCUCCCUUGAUGUAUCCAUUGCCGAAAGGGGUUGGAAACUUCAUCAACAACAUAUGUGUGGAUACCAUGACCUUGAGAUCAUUGAUGCCUGUGCGCCCAAAGAUGACAUUGUAUGCCGUCGGGCAAUUGACCACUAGGAAGUUAGUGGUAAUAGUAGCUGUGUAGGGGCCUGUACCAAUGGUGAAGGGUAAGUGUAUACUCCCUAAAGGUUGCACGAUAUCGCCAGAGAAGCUUAUCAGAGGAGAAAUCGAGCUAUCGAGCAAGUGUUCAGCUACAUUAAGUGCCUUGAAAGCUUCAACAAACAUGAUAUUGACUGAAGCACCUGUGUCUAUCAGGAUUCGUUUCACAUCAAAAUUUGCUAUGUGAGCCUCCACGAUCAGCGGGUCGUUGUGAGGGUAGAUGAUACCUCUUUCUUCCUCAGGGUAGAAACAUAUUGGAUCCCAGUUAGGCUUUUGAUACUUGCCUCCCUUGAUGUCUUCCACGUGAAACACUUGAUGGCCAGGUCUCAAAGUUCGUUCACUGUUUUUCAUGGCCCUAUUGGAAGAUUCAGACAUAGGUGUGCUGCCGCUUAUAGAAUAUAUCACAUUCACCUGGCGUUGGUUACGGUUAUCCCUUGGAGGGUGAAGGAGGAACUGAUCAAUUUUUCCUUCACGUGCCAAAGCUUCAAUAUGAUCACGGAGGAUGACGCACUCCUCGCCAUCAUGGCCAUUAUACUCGUGGUAGCAGCAAAACAUGCCCGUGUUUUUCGUGGACUUGUAAUCUGGCUGUCUUGGCUUUGGCUUUGGUAUCAGAUGAGCUAUACUGGGGUAUAUGGCCGCGCAUGUAGCGUUCAAAGGUGUGUAUGUCUCAUACCUCGGGGUAGGGCCUGUCUUGACACGUGAUUGGCCCACUGCAUUGACUGCUUGGGGACGGGCGUUAUUGUGACGAUAUCCUGAGUUAUCGUGAUAGUGCCCCUUAUUCUUUUUAUUAAAAUGAGAUUGGUGAGGAUGGAAAUCUUUCCUUUUGCCCUGUGAUUGAUAUGUCUGCUGACUUGGCGAAGCAUUAAAUGAGGCAGGGGGGUGUGCUGCUACUGUUUGCAAGGUUGAGGUCUUCUCAUUCGGUUGGAUCUGGCCUCCACUCCCUACUUGCUGAUAAGGGGUGACUGUAGGGGGUUUCCCUUGAUAUGUCAUUGCCUCGGCGGAGGCAUGGUUGUAAGCUUGUGCCAUCACCUCAGAGUAAGUCUUCCAAGUGUUGGCAUUUCAUGUACUUGAAGAAACAGUCACGUAAGCCUGCCGUGAAGGCCUUGAGGGCGGUCUUGUCAUCUGCCUCAGCGCAACGAGAAUACUCAUGGCUGAAGCGGCCAGCAUACUUUCGUAAUGACUCGUCCGGCUUCUGGCGAAUAGUGUACAAGUCAUCUGCGGAAUGUAAGCGAUCGGUCUGGAAGAUGUGUUGAGAGACAAACAACUUCCUCAACUCUUCAAAUGAGUCUACCGUCUCGGGUGGAAGACGGCAAUACCAGUUUAAAGCUCCGCCAGAGAGGGUGGAGGGGAAGAGAAGACACCGUUCUUCAUCGGUGUGUCUCCGGUAUACCAUGGUGGACUCAAAGAGGUUAAGGUGUUCAAUCGGGUCUUCCCUUCCAGUAUAGAGUUGUAAGUCAAUCUUCUGCUUUGUCUUCACUUGGAGGGGGUGUUGAGGAUCCUUUUUGUGAGGGGCCCAGGCCUGGGUUGGUUCCAGUCAGGUAUCUCGGCUUGACGUUCAGCCUUCAACUUGUUUACUUCCUCCAGGAGCUGUAGGACGAGGGGGUCCUGAGUGGAGUCGUGCAUCACUGAAGUUUUCUUCCGUAAGUCCGCAUCGCCUCUUAGAAGUAGGAAAGUUUGAUCAAGAUAGCAUGAUUUUUCCUUGGACUCGUCAUACUGACUCCUAGAGUGAGUAUGUCGGAACAUUUCCGAGUCCCCUGUACCUUCAUGUUCUUCUGGGACUUGUUGCCCAUUCCCUAGAUUAACUGCUGGCCUGGGUCGUGGGAGAGGACCGAGUCUUUCAGAAACUCUUGGGUCAUUGAUCUUCGAGCUUAUGUGGAUGGGAUUCUCCCGACGUUGCUUUAGGAAGUCUCGACAAUCGCGAUAGAUGGCUUUUGAUCCUUCCACUCCUUAUGUGAAGAGGUGCUUUCCUCUACUCCUUCUACUUCGGGUUGAAGCAGCUGGGUUGAGAGAGGUCUCAUGUGGAUUAUCACAUUGAUGUGUAGCUCGAUCCCUAUCAGGGAUGUCCGUGUUGGAUAUCGGUGACCCUCCGUGUUGGGGGGCAUUCAGAUGAUUGUUGACCUCAGCAUGGGCGACGAGCUUGUGUGCUUGAGCAUGCCUAGCCUCGUGAAGCAUCUCAAAAAGUUUUUUAUACUGCUCCUGGAUGACCUCGUUCCUUAUCACUAUCUUGUUGUUCUGAGCUUCUAACUCAUCGACUUUAGCUUGAAGAGUAACUCUAUUUCCUUCCUGUUUUCGUUGCUUCAUACUAGGUCCAAUGGUGGUGUCAUUCUGUGUGCUAUGGCUUCUUUCGCUCCCCAUGUUGGAGAGAGAUGUUUGGCCAAAAGAAAGUGUACGAGUGGUGGAAACCAGCUUGACAGAGCUGAAGAGAGUGGGAAUAAGUGUCGAUUUCCCACAGACGGCGCCAAAUGUUGAUGCACAAAAUCAACGAGGACUUUGGUACAACAGAAAGUGUCAGGUUUGUGACCUUCGCUUGGUUGCUUCGAUCACUAGUGAAGAUAAGUACGUAAAUGAAUAAGGACAGGGAAGCAAACACAAGAUGUACGUGGUUCACCCAGAUCGGCUACGUCCACGGAGUAGAGGAGUUCUCAUUAAUUGUGAAGGGUUUACACAAAUACAUAGGUUCAAGCUCUCAUUUUGUGAGUUCUAGUGAAUAGUUUAGUACAAAAUGACAUUAGAGAUUAUUGUGGGAGAAUGAUCCCUAUUUAUAGAGGAGAGUUUCUAGUUUUGUUCUAACAUUGACACGUGUCGUGUUGUGAUUGACUUCUGAUGUUGACACGUGUCGAGCUGUGAUUGGCUUAUGAUGUCGACACGUGUCGCAUUAUGAUUGGCCUCCUGGUUGAAGGGAAGCUCUUCUGGGUCCUUGAUGGUAUAACGUUGACCGGUGCUCAGUAGUUUCGGGAUUGGUCAAGUAUGGUACAAACAAGGUGUAAUGACUAAUUUUUAGUACUAAUAACAAUUGUCUAAAACUAUCAUAAACUCUAAUGACAUUAAGCAUCUAAUUCUUUUUGGUGUUUUUUUUUUUUGAUAAAAAGUGAUAUAUCUAAUUCUUUUUGUUGCUAAUGUGUUUUACCAUAAAAUUAGCUAUUCUUUUUCUUCCGAAAUCAAACUUAGUUAUUCUUUAAAGGAGAAAUUAGGUUCUUAUCCUUCCUUUUGCUACUCAAUUGAUUAAAAUCCUAUUCCUUUUUAAUUUUUAAUCAAGAUCCUUGGUUAAAAAUGUUACAAUUAGUAUAUUUAUAUUUAUGACUAAUUUUUUUAUCUUAUGUUUUUAGUUUUAGUUUGUACCCAUUUUUAAUUUGUACCAAUUUUCUUUUCAAUUUUCUUUCAAUUUUAAUUUGUACCCAUAUAUUAAUUUCUUUUUGUGCCCAAAUUUUUUUAACUUUAUUUGUAUUUGUACCCAUAUAAUUUUUUAUUUGUACUUUUUAUUUUGCUAAAUGUACCCAUGCUAAUUAUAUGUACCCAUUCAUGUAAAACUUUUUAAUCUUAAAAUGUACUCAUUUUUAAUUAUACCAAUUUGUUAUAUGUAAAAUGUAAAAAAAAAUUUGGGUAAAAGACUGUUUACUACCCUCAUGUUUCGUGGUUUUCAACAUUUAGUACAUCAAGUUUUUUUCGUCUCAGAGUCAUACCUGGAGUGUAAAUUUUGGGACAGUCUCAUACAUCCGUUAGUCAAACUGUUAAGUUUUUCGUUAACUGUGACGUGGCGCACUGACUGGGCGCCACGUGUCAUCCACGUUUUUUUUUUCUUUCUUUUCUUUUCUUUUCUUCUUCCUUCUCCUUCUUUUUCUUCCUCCGACUGCAACUUUCUUUUCUUUUUUUUUUUUUCUUCCUUCUCCUUCUUCCUUCCUCCUUCCUUCCCUUUCUUCCCCUUCUUCCUUCUCAUUCUCCUUCUUCUUCCUCCGAAAUCGGGGAAGUUUGUUUUUUUUUUUUUCUUCUUUCUUCUUCUUCCUCCUUAUUCCUUCCCCUUCUUCCUUCUUCUUCCUUCUCCUUCUUCUUCUUCUUCUUCUUCCUCCGAAAUCUGGGGAAGUUUGUUUUUUUUUUUUUUUUUUUUUUUUCUUUCUUCUUUCUUCUUCUUCCUUCUUCUUCCUUCUUCUUCCUUCUCCUUCUUCUUCUUCUUCUUCUUCCUCCGAAAUUUGGGGAAGUUUGUUUUUUUUUUUUUUCCUUCUUCCUUCUUCUUCCCCUUCUUCCUCUGACUGCAAGUUUUUCUUCCUCCUUCUCCUUCUUCCUUCCCCUUCUUCCUCUUUCUUCUUCUUCUUCUUCCUCAAAAAAAAAAAAAAAAAAAACUUUCGUCUUCCCCCAAAUUCGGAGGAAGAAGAAGAAGAACGAAGAAGGGGAAGGAAGAAGGAACGAAGGAAGAAGAAGAAGAAGAAAAAAAAAAAAAAAAACAAAAAAAAAAACUUCCCCAGAUUCGGGAAGAAGAAGGAGAAUGAGAAGGAAGAAGAAGGAAGAAGGGGAAGAAAGGGAAGGAAGGAGGAAGGAAGGAAGAAGGAGAAGGAGGAAGAAAAAAAAAGAAAAAAGAAAAAAGAAAGUUGCAGUCGGAGGAAGAGGAAGAAGAAGAAGAAGAAGAAGAAAAAAGAAAAGAAAAGAAAGAAAAAAAAAAAACGUGGAUGACACGUGGCGCCCAGUCAGUGCGCCACGUCACAGUUAACGAAAAACUUAACAGUUUGACUAACGGAUGUAUGAGACUGUCCCAAAAUUUACAUUUUAGGUAUGACUCUGAGACGAUAAAAACUUGAUGUACUAAAUGUUGAAAACCACGAAACAUGAGGGUAGUAAACAGUCUUUUACCCAAAAAAUUUAUAUAAAAUAUAUUCAAUUUUUUUCUAAUCCAUUUUUAAACUUAUAUGGGUAUAUUUUUUUUUCUUUCAUUUUAAAAUGUAUCCAUGUUAAGUUUAAUCAAAGAAAUUUACUAAUGUUAUUAAGCCUAAUAUCUUCUUCUUCUUCUUUUGUUUUUUGGUGAUUUUGAAGAAUGUACCCAUGUUUUGAUACAAUAAUUUUUUUGGUUAAUUUUGAUGAAUGUACCCAUGUUUAUACACACACACACACACACACACACUAGUAUAUUUAUAUUUUAAUAUUUUUAAACCCACAAAUUAUGGUUUUUUAUUUAAAAUCUCAUUUAUAUAAACAACUAAAAUUUCUAAUUUUUAAUUUAAAAAAUAUAGUAACAUACAUAGAAAUAAGGGCAAAAGACUGUUUACUACCCUCAUGUUUCGUGGUUUUCAACAUUUAGUACAUCAAUUUUUUUUCGUCUCAGAGUCAUACCUAAAGUGUAAAUUUUGGGACAAUCUCAUACAUCCGUUAGUCAAACUGUUAAGUCAGCUGUUAACUGUGGCGUGGCGCCCAUGUAGCCAAUGACUGGGCGCCAUGUGUCAUCCACGUGGAAAAUUUAAAAAAAGUUUAUAAAAUAAUAUAUAUAUAUAUAUAUAUAUUAUAAAAUUAAAAAAAAAAAAAAACCGAAUCUGGGUAGAUUCGGAAGAAGAAGAAGAAGAAGGAGAAGGAAGGAGGAAGAAGAAGGAGGAAGAAGAAGAAAACAAAAAAAAAAAGGAAAAAAACUGGGCAGAUUCGAAGAAGAAGAAGAAGAAGAAGGAGAAGGAAGAAUGAGGAAGAAGAAGGAAGGAGGAAGAAGAAAAAAAAAAACUGGGCAGAUUCGAAGGAGAAGAAGAAGAAGGAGAAGGAAGGAGGAAGAAGGAGGAAGAAGAAAAAAAAAAAAAAAACUGGGCAGAUUCGAAGAGGAAGAAGAAGGAAGAAGAAGGAAGAAGAAGAAGAAGAAGUAGAAAGAAGGAGGAAGAAGAAGAAAAAAAAAACUGGGCAGAUUCGAAGAAGAAGAAGAAGAAGAAGAAGGAGAAGGAAAAAAAAAAAAAAAAAACUGGGCAGAUUCGAAGAAGAAGAAGGAGAAGGAAGGAGGAAGAAGGAGGAAGAAGAAAAAAAAAAAUUGGGCAGAUUCGAAGAAGAAGAAGAAGAAGGAGGAGAAGGAAGAAGGAGGAAGAAGAAAAAAAAAAUUGGGUAGAUUCGAAGAAGAAGAAGAAGAAAAAGAAGAAUGAGGAAGAAGAAGAAAAAAAAAUGGGUAGAUUCGGAAGAGGAAGAAGGAGAAGGAAGAAGGAAGAAGAAGAAGGAGAAGGAAGGAGGAAGAAGAAAGAAAGAAAAAAAAAAAAAAAAAACGAAUCUGCUACCCAGAUUCAGAGGAAGAAGAAGGAAAAGGAAGGAAGAAGGAAAAGAAAAAAAAAAAAAAACGUUUUUUUUUUUUUUAAAUUUAUUUAUUUAUUAUUUUAUAAUAUAUAUAUAUAUAUUUUUUAAUUUCCACGUGGAUGACACGUGGCGCCCAGUCAUUGUCCACAUGGGCGCCACGUCACUGUUAACAGCAGACUUAACAAUUUGACUAACGGAUGUAUGAGACUGUCCCAAAAUUUACACUUUAGGUAUGACUCUGGGAUGAAAAAAACUUGAUGUACUAAAUGUUGAAAACCACGAAACAUAAGGGUAGUAAAUAGUCUUUUGCCCUAGAAAUAAAUUAUCACAUUAAUUUCAGGGAUCUCGAUUAAAAAUUAAAAAUCAACAAGGAUUCAAUCAAAUAAUAUUCAUAGCUAAAGACCGCAUUCAAAGUCUAUCUUCUUUAAAAUAUGAUCAUAUGGCAAUAAUCAAUUAGUCUAAUGACGCUGGAUCUUUACUUUGGUUGAAAAAGGUUAUUAGCUCAAAAUUCAUCAACGACAGUCGUUAACUACUACAAAACAGGGAAUCCGAAUCACAGAUUUCACCGACCAACCUCAAAUUACAUAACACAACACAAUUUCUCAACAUUCACAUUGCUUAACACAAAUGUUUCAGUGUCACUUGCAACAAAAAUUUAAAAAAAAAAAAUCAAAUAAAUUAGUUCAGGGAGAGUUAAAUGGAUCCUUCCUGGAUUGAUUUUUCUUUUCGGAAUUCUUCAUCUUUCUUUUGCUUGAGUCGUCAUCCUGUUUAUAUCUGAAAACAAUAUGACCUCUCGUGGUGUCGUACCGACUGACUUCAACCUUAACUCUGUCGCCGAUCAAAAGCCGAAUGAAUUUCUUUCCGAUUUUCCCAAAAAUGUAGCCGAUGAUGGUGUCCCCGUUGUCUAAUCUGGGUAUGCAAUUAAAGUGAAAACCUUACGAGUGUUAAAGUUUUUACAUCGUAUUGAGCCCUACCGUCUAACGACUCGAUCCACCCUUUUUUUUUCCACACUUCCAUGGCUGACAGAAAUGGCACCUCCUCCCAUUCCACCAUCACCACCCCUCCUACCACCAAUCCCUUCCAUCCUUUCUCCACCGUGGUCCAUAUUAAGCUUGAUAGAACCAACUACCCACCGUCGUUGGCUCAAAUUCUCCCAAUUCUCCGAAGUCGAGAUCUGAUGGGGUAUAUGGAUGGUACCUCGGUGUGUCCUCCAAAACACUUGCUCGGUAUCACCACUGUCAAUCCACAGUAUGCUGCAUGGGUCCAACAGGAUCAAACGAUCCUUAGUUGGAUAAAUGGCUCCUUAACUGCUUCUGUAUUGUCUACUGUGGCGAGCAAGAGGACUGCUCACGCCACUUGGGAAGCCUUGGAGGAGAGGUAUGCCUCGACAUCCCAAAAUCGAAUUUUGUUCUUGCGAAAUGAAUUGUUGCAGACCAAGAAAGGUGAUCUCUCUGUUGCAGAUUACCUUGAUCGCAUGAAUGCGAUAGCUGAUAACCUAGCCCUAGCCGGGCAAACUGUCAAUGAUGAUGAACUUGUACAGAUUGUGCUGAACAAUCUAGGACCUGCCUUGGAAAUGACGGUGAGUGCUGCUCAAGCUCUGGAUUCUCCCAUUACUUAUCCCACACUUGAGGCACUACUGUUGACCAUUGAAUGCAGAAUGGCAGAACAAUAAGCUUCCUUGGCUGAGACUGCUCUUGUGAAUGCCUUUGUUGCUGCUCGAGGUCGUGGCGGUGGAAGGUUGCGAGGAAAUGGGAGAGGUGCGUCUCCAUCCAAUCGUGGCACUCCAUUCAAUCACCGAGGUUACAACCCUCAUACCAAUAAUCAGCGCAACCCGGCAAAUGGUGAUUGUUCUCAUUGUCCUGGUGAGUGCAUUGUUUGCCAAAUUUGUAACAAACCAGGUCAUCCUGCCCUUGAUUGCUACCAACGAAUGAAUGCGGCGUAUGAAGGUAGGAUUCCUACAAAAAAACUCUUAGCUAUGACCUUCUCUCCUAUUACUCUGAACAAGCAACAGAAUGGUAAUUGGCUUUUGGACAACGGUGCUAAUGCACACAUUACUCCUGAUCUUCAAAAUAUUGUCAAUCCUAAAGAGUAUACUGGUAAUGAAACUGUUGGAGGUGUAGGUAAUGAUUCUGGCAUCACUAUUUUGCAUUCUGGUUCCAAUCAAUUAUGUACUAAAGCUUGCUCAUUUAAAUUAAACAAUAUUCUCCACUGUCCCACUGCUUCUCAACAUAUAGUUUCUGCCCAUAGGUUUACAUUAGAUAACUGAUGCUACCUACUAAUAUUUCCCUAUUUUUUCCUUGUUAAGGACCUCAAGACCCAGAAGACGCUUUUCCGAGGGAGAUGUGAGAAUGGGUUAUAACCAUUUCCAAGUGGCAGUGGACAACUCCAGUAUCCAAUUUCAGCCUUUGUUGGAGUCCGGUGUUCUGUGAAAAAAUGGCAUGCAUGUCUUGGUCAUCCAUCCCACUCCAUAAUUAAGUUUUUAAUUUCAAAUAAAAUUGGUACCAAUUCAUGGUACUUCUGAUGUAAGCUUUUGUGAGUCUUGUCCCUUAGGAAAGAGCACUAGAUUGCCUUUCUAUGCGUUUGAGUCUGUUUCUCAAUGUCCUUUGCAACUGUUGCAUUCUGAUGUGUGGUAUUCUCCAGUUAUUUCUAAUGAAGGUUUUCGUUAUUAUGUUUUAUUUGUGGAUGACUAUUCUCGAUAUUCUUGGAUUUUCCCUAUGAAAAACAAAAGUGAAGUCUUCGAAAUUUUUGUUAAAUUCAAAGCUUGUGUUGAGAAAAUGCUUAAUCUUUCCAUUAAAACAUUUCAAUGUGAUGAAUGAGGUGAAUAUAAGAGUCGUGCAUUUCAAAAUUUCCUUAGUACAAAUGGAAUUUCUCAACAAUUUUCAUGUCCCAAACAUCCGGAACAAAAUGGACUUGCAGAAAGAAAACAUCGACACAUUGUUAAAACAAGUAUAGUUAUGCUUUCUCAAUCUCACUUGCCCAAUUGUUUUUGGUUUGAUGCGUGUUCAACUGCAACAUAUUUGGUGAAUAGAAUGCCAACAAAACUUUUGUCUCAUGUGUCACCUUAUGAGAAAUUGUUUAAAAAAAACACCAAAGUAUGACAUGUUGAAAGUGUUUGGUUGUCGAUGUUUUCCUUGGUUGGUACCCUACACAAGCAAUAAACUUCAAUCCCAAAUCCAAAUCUUGUGUUUUCUUAGGAUAUUCACUAAAUCAUCAAGGUUAUAAGUGUUUGGAUUUGUCCACAUGACGAGUGUACUUGUCUCGCCAUGUCCUAUUCGAUGAAUACUCCUUCCCUUUUAAGGGACUCACGUCUUCCUUUGCAGACGUCAUUCCAUCAGGUAACCAUGUCUCACCUGACCUUUUAUUAACCUUUAAUAUGCCUGCUAGGUCCAGUCCUUCACUACCCCACGAACCAAACAGUCGACCAACACUUUCAAAUCCUAAUCCUCCAUCACCUACUCACUUUCAACCUUACCCAACCUCUUCCCGCGACCAAACAUGUUCUCCAAUCACUACUCAGUUACAACCUGAUCCAAUUACCUCCCUCGCCCAACCAAGUCCUAUUUCUACUACACAUUUGUUUUCCCCGCCCAUACAACCAACCUCACCCUUCCCAAACAACCUACCCUCAAAUGAGCAAGUCACGGUAUCCACAGAACCGAUAACAAUGGUGCCUGAGACUCUGAGCAAUCGUAUGACCACACGUUCACAAUUAGGAAUUCAAAAGACAAACCCUAAAUAUGCCAUGCAUGUAACUAUUGACAAGUUUCCUCUUAAACCCACUUGUUUUAGUCAGGCUGUGAAGUCUCAAGAAUGGAGGAAUGCUAUGGUACAGGAGUUUAAUGUGCUGCAGCAAUGUGGGACAUGGACCUUGGUUCCGUUUCAUCCUAGCAUGAAUCUGCUUCCAAAUAAGUGGGUUUUUAAGCUGAAACGACGUGCAGAUCGCACGAUUGAAUGCCAUAAGGCGCGUCUUGUGGCAAAUGGGUUUCAUCAGAAGGCUGGUGUGGAUUACACCGAAACCUUCAGUCCUGUUGUAAAGCACACCACUAUUAGGCUUGUUCUCAGUCUUGCUGUCUCAAAAGGUUGGCAUGUUCGGCAACUUGAUGUCCAAAAUGCCUUUUUGCAUGGGUUUUUACGUGAAGAAGUAUAUAUGAGACAGCCUUCGGGGUUUAUUGACAAGCAAUUUCCCUCUCAUGUUUGUAAGCUUCAGCGGAGUAUUUAUGGUCUUAAGCAAGCACCAAGGGCGUGGUUUGAGAGAUUCUCGGAUUUCUUACUCUAACUUGGUUUUCAGGAAUCAACCUGUGAUUAUAGUUUGUUUGUCUACAAUCACUCCGGUGUUUACUUAAUCCUUCUAAUCUAUGUGGAUGAUAUUUUAAUCACUGGCAACAGUCCUUAUCAAAUGUCUAGGUUGAUUAAAAGGCUCGACACCUUGUUCUCGAUGAAGGAUUUAGGACCCCUUAAUUAUUUUUUGGGUGUGGAAGUCAAGUAUGAUGGCAUGACUAUGCAUCUUUGUCAAGCAAAGUAUGCGUUGGACUUGUUGUCACGUACCAAGUUCACAGAGGCAAAACCAAUUUCAACACCUGCUGUAUCUGGUUAGAAACUCAGUGCACAUGUUGGUGAUCCAUUCGAAAACCCAGAACUGUAUCGUAGUGUGGUUGGGGCCCUACAAUAUCUAACAAUUACUCGUCCUGAUUUAUCAUAUGCUGUUAACCAAGUCUGCCAGUUUAUGCAUGCCCCUACUACUCAUCACUGGAUGGCGGUGAAACAGAUUCUUCGUUAUUUGAAGGCCAUGCCUAGUCAUGGUCUUCUAUACAAACCAGGUUCUGCAUAACUUUCAGCAUAUUCCGAUGUGGACUAUGCAGGGAAUCCCGAUACUCGACACUCUACUAGGGGAUUUUGUAUUUAUCUGGGAUCCAAUCUUGUUUCUUGGAGCUCCAAGAAGCAGAAAACUGUGUCUCGGUCGAGUGCUGAGGCCGAGUACCGGCAGUUAGCCUACACAACAGCCGAGCUUUCAUGGUUAUGAUCUUUGUUCAAAGACCUGCAUUUGUAUCUUAUGUGUCCACAGAUUUGGUGUGACAAUGUCUCUUCAAUUGCCCUUGCUUCGAAUCCUUUGUUUCAUUCACGAACAAAGCAUUUGGAAGUUGAUUAUCACUAUGUUCGAGAGAAGGUCGUUUGUCGUGAAUUGCUUGUUAAUUAUAUUUGUUCGCAUGAUCAGCUAGCUGAUAUCUUUACCAAGGGCUUGUCUUUGUCUAGAUUCAAAUUAUUAGUGUCCAAGUUACCAGUGGUUUCCCCACCUGUUAGCUUGCCGGGGGGGGGGGUGUUAGACGAAGUUAAGAUCCACGCGUGAUUCCCGCGACUUGAGGAAUCCUCUUUCAGUUCAAACUGUGAUCUUUCUGUUGUUCCUAGUUUAUAGGAUUUUUCAGUUUCAAAUGUUUGUUGUAAGUCAAACGCUGAGCAUGUAAUCUUUAUGUUUGUAUUUUGAAAUCUCCUUAUAUCUAGGGUUUUCAAACUCUUGCUAUAAUCUUGAUGCUAAUAUAAAUACAUGCAUCCCAUGUUUAACUGGGUAUGCAAUUAAAGUGAAAACCUUACGAGUGUUAAAGUUUUUACAGACAGUGCCUGCUGCUGUUGGUGGUGAUGUGGAGAUGGAACUAGGGGUUUUGGAUUGGUUAGAAAUUGAGAGUUGAUGGGGUGAGGGUGAGGGUUAGGGUUUUGGAGUGGAGAGGGGGAAUGUGGUGGAGGAUUGGGUGGCGGAGGGAGGAUGAUGGCGAGGUUAACAUGGCUUUUGUUGGUGGUGGUGGUAAUGGUGUUCUUUUUGGUGUCUGGUAUGUGGGUGGAGACAGAAAGGGAGGAGGUAAAGGGAUUGGGCUUGGGCUUAUUGAGGAUUGUCUUGAGUAAAUAUUCUUGUCGAGCGUGAAUUUGUAAUUCAUAAUUUUGGGUCCCAUCUGCUGAUCUUGUUGACCAUCUUGGGAAUAACAUUUUGUUUCGAAUAAUGUUAGGAAAAUCAAAUUUGUAAACAAAAUAAUGUAUCAUGAAUAGAAAAUAAGCACGUUAAUCAACACUUAAAUGAUAAUUCAAUCAUCAGCAUCCACAUCAUUUGGUUUACAAAAUUUAGUCUCCCUAGUACUACUUGUAUGUUUCUUCCACUAAACUUGAGAUUAGUUAAAUUGAUAACAUAACACACGUGUGAACCAUUUUUCAGUUGGCACAACAUGGACAAAAACUAGUCAUAAUAGAGUUUCUCCUCAACAAAUCGCACAUUGUGGUCUUGGCGCAACUUAGAAACGGGUCACAUAUUUACUACAUCAUCAGUUUUACGGAGUUGUCAUAUUGUCAAAUAGAUGAGAGACAUCCAAACCAACAAGAAGAAAGAAAAAUGAAUAGAAGACGAUAUCAAAAUUUCAUAGUAUCAUGUGAGAAAUUAAAACCCCACGAUCCAUUUUGAAAAUUUAAAAAUGUAAUUAGCAACGUACAACUUUGGACGUAUUAAGUCUGUUUUGAUAAAAAGUAACAAAGCACUACAAGGAGUUAAGAUCAUUUAUUCUCCGCUCGAGGGCUUGUAGCUCAAAAAAUCUUUCAAUGCAGAAGAAUUGUGACCAAAAUUAAAAAGUCUAGUGAGGAGAGAUAUAUGUAAGUUCUAUAGAGAGCAAACACUUGUUUAUCGUGUAAAAGUGUUUUGGAAUAAUAAGGAGACUAACAUUAGCUACGUGGAAUGGCUUUACAGAAAUUGUAUAAUAAGGAUAAUAGCCUUAAGCAAUCUCGAUAGAACUAGGACUUUAUUAUAUGAUAUGUUUAUUAGGGUUUUCACGGUGAUAAAGAUAGUUUGAUAAGGAUUACAUAAUGGGAAGUGUCCUUAUUGAACUCCAUCGUUUAUGGUAUAAAACUAGGGUCCCUGCGCUCUCACAAAUACACAAGUUUUCAGAUACUCAAGCCCUAUUGAUUGAGCCUUGUAUUCGGUAGUGCAGAGUUGCACAAGAAUCCUUCUAACUAAAGCAACAAUGUCUUCAUCAGGUAUGUGAUGAAGUUGGUAUCGUGAUUUAGUUUCUAUAAGUUAUACACUUACAGUUGGUAUCAGAGCCUUCACGUAUCAUCUUAAUCCUAUGUUGGAGGCAUGGAGAAUUUUUGUUUUCUUAUUGCUGUGCAGGUUACAGAACUGGUUACAUAUUAUCUGGGAAAAAAAACACGAGUAUGUGAUGGCUAAAGCCAUUCUUAUUCGUGUGGGUUUUUCAUCUUAAUAUGUAUACCAAAAAUGGCACUUGAACACCAAUCGUGAACACUGAUCUUCUAAAGAAGUUCAGAUGUUCAUAUUUAGUUUUUGAGUGGCAUAUCGUUUUGGCAGCCAAUACAUGAAUACAACUAUCAUUGUCAGAACAUAAAGACCUAUAAUCAUAGUUAAAGAAAUUCAUGUAUCAGCUACAAAAGUGAUAUGAACAAAGAAAAUAAUCACAGCUUUCAUCAAUUUAAAGAAUGUUGAUUUUUGUGAUAUAUGGUUUGGGGAUAAGGAUUAAUAUUCGAAAGUUUUAUGCUUUGACAGCCAUGAAUCCUAGCUCCAUGAACCUCAACAUUGUUGAACCACUUACUGGUAUCAACUAUAAGAAAUGGAAACAGGAUCUAGAGAUCGUGCUGGGAGUCAUGGAUUGGGAUUUAGCACUCAGAACUGAAGAGCCUCCUAUGCCGACAGAUGGGAGCACAUCCAGCCAACGGUCCAAGUAUGAAAAAUGGCAAAAAUCAAACAGGAUUUCCCUGAUGAUUAUCAAGAGGAGUAUGACUGAUGUGGUUCGAGGUGGCUUCCCUGAUGCUACUAAUGCCAAGGAAUUUCUUGCAUCCAUCGAAGAAAAGUACAAGGAGUCUCCAAAAUCCAAGACAGGUAAUCUCAUGAACUCACUUACCACCAUGAGAUAUGAUGGCAUUGAAAGCGUACGUGAAUAUAUCUUGAAAAUGAUGGAUGUUGCUGGAAAGCUUAAGGCUCUCGAGGUACCUAUAUCUGAAACAUUCCUUGUGCAUGUGAUAAUGAACUCACUACCUGAUAGCUACACUCAACUGAAAGUAUCUUAUAAUGCUUUGCGUGAAAAAAUGGGAUGUGAAUGAGUUAAUUGCUAUAUGUGUAAGUGAAGAAGAAAGGAUGAAAAAGGAGAAGUAUGAAAAGGAAAAGGUUGAGUCUGUCAACCUUGUGCAUGGUGCCUAUAAAGCACACAAACCUUCGGCUGUUGAUGUUACCAGGAAAUAAACUACCAAAAGGGCUCCAUCUCCUACCUAAAGGAACUUUAAACCUAACAAACCAUCGAUUUUCAAAUGCUAUUUUUGCAAGAAAACAGGUCAUAUGAAGAGAAAUUGUCCAAAAUAUAAGGCUUGGCUUGCUAAACAAGAGUCAAAGAAAGGUAAAAAUAUUUUUGCUUGUUUUGAGUCAAAUUUGAUUGAUAUACCUAGCACUGCAUGGUGGCUUGACUUAGGCUCUUCUAUUCAUGUUACGAAUUCAUUGCAGGACUUCAUAACAAAGAGAACACCAAAUAAAGAUGAAGUCAAAGUCUCUAUUGGCAAUGGAAGAAGAGUUGAAGUCAAAGCUUUAGGAAGUGUUAGGCUAAAGUUAGAAUUUGGUUUUUGUUUAGAAUUGGAAAAUGUCGUUUAUGUACCUUCUAUGAGAAGGAAGUUGAUUUCGGUUUCAAAACUAGUUAUGUUGGGUUUUUAUUUUACUAUUAAUAAUAUUGGCUUCAACAUUUUUUAUAAGUCAUCUCAAAUUGGUUCUGGUUCUUUGAGUGAUAGGAUGUUCCAAAUAAAGUUAAACCUUGAUGAACACAUUUUUAACAUCCAAAAUGGGAACACCAAAACUCAAUCUUCAAACCUAUGGCAUAAGAGACUUUGCCAUAUUUCGAAACAAAGAAUGGAGUUGCUUGUUAAAAAUGACAUUUUACCAUCUUUGAAUUUUAAUGACUUUGAUUUUUGUGUGGAUUGCAUCAAAGGUAAAAUGACAAAUAGUAGGAAAGAAGGAUCGACUAGAAGUAAACAAGUCCUAGAUUCACACGGACAUUUGUGGUCCUUUUCCAACGCCUACCAUAGAAGGAAACAAAUACUUUAUAACCUUCAUUGAUGAUUUUUCAAGGUUUUGUUUCAUUUAUUUGAUCAAUGAGAAAUCUAAAGCUUUUGAAGUUUUCAAAUUUAUAAGAAUGAAGUUGAAAAUCAGUUGGAAAGGAAAAUAAAGAUUGUUAGGUCUGAUAGGGGUGGAAAAUAUUAUGGUAGAUAUACUCAAACUGGUAGACAUCCUGGAGCUUUUGCACUAUUCUUGCAAGAACAUAGGAUUGUAGCUCAAUACACUACACCUGGAACCCCCGAGAAAAAUGGGGUUGCAGAAAGAAGAAACGAGACCUUAAUGGACAUGGUAAGAAGCAUGAUAUGUAGAGCUAAUUUGCCAAGUUCUUUGUGGGGAGAAGCAGUGAAGACUGCAAAUUAUAUUUUAAAUAGGGUGCCAUCAAAAUCUGUUGAGGGUACUCCUUUUGAGCUGUGGACAGGGAGAAAACCCAGCAGGCAAUCUUCUUAGAGCAUGAAACUGAUACUGGUUCUGGGACUGAGGUUGACACUUUUGAAUUUGAAGAAGAAGAAAAAGAAAUCGCAGUCCAACCAAUGGAAACUGAGAUAAGUGUGGCAGCUCUACUUCUUAAAAUUGUUGGGCACAUGGAGGACAGUGAAACUGAUGCAUGUGAUGAGGAUCACGAAGUUGAUGCAACAGUUCAAGAAGUGAUAAAUAAUGAUCAAGGUACCAUAACAAUUGAGGCAGCAGCACCCACCAUGGGUCAGCAACAUCAAAUACAAGAGGGCAGCAUCGACACCAUCACUAAUUUCAGAAGAUCAACUAAGGUCAGGAAACCUACGACACUAGAAGAUUUUGUAUACUUGGCUGAGAGUGACAUUGAUUUAUCAGAAUUUAAUGACCCUAUAAGUUUUAAAGAAGCAAUCUCAAGACCAAAUGCUGACAAGUGGAUAGAAGCAAUGAAUAGUGAGCUGACCUCAAUGGAAAAUAAUCGUGUAUGGGAAUUAGUUGAACAGACAGAAGGAAUGAAACUCAUAGGAAGCAAGUGGGUUUUCAAAACUAAAAAGGAUUCGAAUGGAAAUAUAGAAAGGCAGAAAGCUAGAUUGGUCGCGAAAGGAUUUACACAAAGAGAGGGUGUUGAUUACAAAGAGACUUUUAGUCCAGUUUCAACCAAAGAUGCUUUUAGGGUUAUCAUGGCUAUGGUAGCACACUUUGAUCUUACUUUGCAUCAAAUGGACGUCAAAACAACCUUCUUAAAUGGAGAUUCGGAGGAGUGUAUCUAUAUGAGACAACCAGAUGGGUUCAAAGAAGAAGGGAAAGAUAACUUGGUCUGCAAGUUGAAGAAAUCUAUUUACGGACUCAAGUAGGCAUCGAGGCAAUGGUACCUCAUGUUUCAUCAAGUGGUAAGAGAAUAUGGUUUCGCUGAAAAUCUUUCUGACAACUGCAUUUACAUGAAGGUUAGUGAGAGCAGUUUUAUCAUUUUAAUUCUUUAUGUUGAUGAUAUAUUGCUUGCCACUAAUAGUCAGAGUUUAUUAAGUGAAACAAAGUCUUUCUUGCAAAGAAAUUUUGAAAUGAAAGACUUGGGAGAGGCAACGUAUGUCUUAGGGAUUGAGAUCAAAAGGGACAGGAGGAGAGGUUUGUUGGGACUAUCGCAAAGAGGGUACAUAGAGAAGGUUUUAAAAAGAUUCAACAUGUCCAGUUGUGGAACUACUGAAGUGCCGAUUUCAAAGGGAGAAAAGUUGAGUAAGUUGCAGUGCCCUAAAAAUGAUUUGGAAAGAAAGAUCAUGGAAGAUAAGCCAUAUGCUUCCUUGGUAGGAAGCCUAAUGUACGCUCAAGUCUGCACAAGACCUGAUCUUGCAUUCACAAUAAGUGUACUUGGAAGGUUCCAAUCGAAUGCUGGUGAAGCUCACUGGAAUGCAGCAAAGAGAGUGUUGCGAUAUCUUCAAAGAACUAAAGCACAUAUGUUGGUUUUCAGAAGGACAAAUGAGUUGGUGUUAGAAGGGUACAGUGACUCCGAUUUUGCUGGAUGUUUGGAUGAUCUUAAAUCUACAUCAGGUUAUGUUUUCUUGAUGGCAUGUGGAGCUGUUUCUUGGAAAAGUGUAAAGCAAGAUACAGUGGCUGCAUCUACAAUGGUAGCUAAAUAUUUAUCUUGUUGUGAGACUGUUAACCAAGCUGUUUGGUUAAAGAAUUUCAUAAUGGGACUUAAAGUUAUUGAUUCAAUUGCAAGGCCAAUCCAAAUCUACUGUGACAAUAAUGCUGCAAUAUUCUUCUCCAAGAACAAUAAGAGAUCAGCUGCAACCAGGAACUUGGACAUUAAAUACCUCAUUGCGAGAGAGAAAGUUGUGGCUAGGUUAGUUAAAAUUGAUUAUUUGGAGACAGGUUCAAUGAUUACAGAUCCUAUGAACAAAGCAGUGCCCAAUGCGGUGUUCAAGAAGCAUGUGAUGAGUAUGGGAGUGCUGGAUGAUUUUGAUGCAGUGAAUUAGUGGGAGCCAAGUAUUAAUUUCUUCCUCUGCGAGUUAUCUAGUUCUGAAUGUUUUGAAUAUUAAUAAUAAAGAACACUUAGCUAAUAAAGUGAAAUGCUGAAUGGUUGUUAAAGUUUUCCCAUCAAGCUCAGCAGUUAGUUAUGAAAGUGCAUGUAUUUCUUUAUAAUGCAGGAUGGAUAAUGAUUCUCAGAAUUGUUAUAAGGAACAAACAACUUGAAGACUUCACUAUGAAGUAUUUGGAAUUGAUUGUUUUAUCAAUCUUGUGGAGGACCAAGUGUAAGAUGUGUUACUCGAAUAUACAUGCGAACAUGUCUUACAUUGAAUUACAUAUCUUGUUGGAGUUUCAUGUGUUAUAUAGCUUCAUUACAGUGACUAUGGGGACGGUACUUCUUCAGUGGGAGUGUGAUGCCCUUUGGUUCUUUAUGAAUGCUUAUUAACGACAGGAACUUGUAAUCGAGUUUAGCUGAUAUUAGUCUCUUGGCCAAUCAAGUAUUAUUCCACUUCUGUAAGUGUACAUGAUAAACAAAUAUUAGCUCUAGUGGGAGAAUGUAAGUUCUAUAGAGAGCAAACACUUGUUUAUCGUGUAAAAGUGUUUUGGAAUAAUAAGGAGACUAACAUUAGCUACGUGGAAUGGCUUUACAGAAAUUGUAUAAUAAGGAUAAUAGCCUUAAGCAAUCUCGAUAGAACUAGGACUUUAUUAUCUGAUAUGUUUAUUAGGGUUUUCACGGUGAUAAAGAUAGUUUGAUAAGGAUUACAUAAUGGGAAGUGUCCUUAUUGAACUCCAUCUUUAUGGUAUAAAACUAGGGUCCCUGCGCUCUCACAAAUACACAAGUUUUCAGAUACUCAAGCCCUAUUGAUUGAGCCUUGUAUUCGGUAGUGCAGAGUUGCACAAGAAUCCUUCUAACUAAAGCGGCAAUGUCUUCAUCAGGUAUGUGAUGAAGUUGGUAUCGUGAUUUAGUUUCUAUAAGUUAUACACUUACAAUAUCACCAUUUCAAAGCAAUGCAAAGAACCCUGUAAAUACUGCAAACUAUUCUGCUGAUAUCUCACAUUCAGAACUUAUUCUAAGCAUUAAAACAUACACGUCCGAUUAAAACUUAAAACCCUUUGCGGGAAAAUAUGAACACAAUAAAAUAGCAGCAGAGCAGAUAGAGAAGAUAAUAUUUAUUUCUCUCAACAGUCUGCAUACCUGGAAGUGGCAGAGCCUUCCAAUCACUUUGGAAAUUACCCUUCAUUAACUGCAGCGACCUUCGCAUAUUCACACAACUCUCUCACCUUUUGAGGAAGAAUGCAACGGGCCCCAAACUUGUGCUGCAAGUAAAUGAUGCCGGCAAACAGUAGACCUCCAAAAGGUACGAUGACAUCCCAUGCAGCGGAGUAAAAAUCAUCUGCGGGACUUGCAUAAAUGUAUGACUCGUUUAACUAGUGAUGAGAAUAGCUGUGGCCCCUGUAAAAAUCAUAUGCAUGUGGCAGCACUCGAACGAAAGUUGUUCCAAUGUGGAAUGGAACAGACAUAGCCUUUUCCUUUGAAUUUCUGAUGUCGAGAAGAAUUUGAGGAACCAGAACCCCAUCCAAGAUCAUAUAAGAACUUUAGCACGCUCAGGAUUCACUUCAAUUGCAUACCCAAUCAAUAAUGGGAUGCACGUAUUUAUAACAACUUCAGGAUAACAAUAUUGGGAGGGCAUACCAAAGUACCAUCCACGUACCGCAUCAGAUCUCUACUCUUGAGAAUUGGGAGAAUUUGAGCCAACCACAGUGGGUAGUUGGUUCUGUCAAGUUUGACAUUGACAACAGUAGAAAACGGAUGGAAGGGAGUGGUGGUAGGUGGGUUGGAGGAGGUGGAGUUGGAAGAGUUGACAUUGUUUUCAGCCAUUGAAGCGUGGAAAAAAAAAAGGAUCUAGUCGUUAGACAGUAAGGCUCAAUACCAUAUAAGAACUUUAGCACGCUGAGGAUUCACUUCAAUUGCAUACCCAAUCAAUAAUGGGAUGCAUGUAUUUAUAACAACUUCAGGAUUACAAUAUGGGUUUGAAAACCCUGGAUACAAGGAGCUUUUUAAAAUACAAACAGAAACAUAAGAUUACAUACACAGCUUUGCGUACAACAAAUAUUUGAAAUACAAGUCCUAAAAACUAGGAGUAUCAGAAAGGAUAAGAGUUUGAUCAGAAUCCCAACUCCUCAGAUUGCGGUGAGUACAGCUUGACCUUGACUUCGUCUAACAGAUCAAACCAACAUAAGAUUUCAAGGCACCAAAAACGGAAUGCUUUUGAUAAUCUGAGAGCACCUUAACAUCAUUACCAGUGCCAAUCUUCCUCCAAUCCAUUAGGAACAAUGCGGCCAAAGCCCCCGCAGCAUAUACUAUUGAAGCCACAACGAAAGACUUCUUCCCCAUGACCCAAAGCUCAUUUUGGCUUUCGUUGUGUUCAGAUCUUGCAGUCCAUGCUAACUGCAAAAGACGCAGUUUCAACAAGAAACCUACGAUGGUUAAGGCCCUCACAAUCACCUCAUUAACUUCAAGCCAUCCACCACUUCCGAGGAAUCCUUUUCGGUGCUUGGUGUUAUUUGUGAACAUAGCCUUAAAAUUUAACAUAAGAGGUACCCGUGCAGCCCAGGGUAAAAAUCAGUAGCAUGAACAUGGAAAUGGAGGGAAGGACAUCAGGAUGUUUUUUCACAUGGAAGAGUUGUAAUACCACAAAUACGCAUGCAAGUGUGGCGGACAAAAGAACCAAUGUGACCUCCACAUUCAUCCUCCAGAUUGAUCUACUUACUUCUUUCACAAAACCGGCAGCUGAGGUCAAAUCCAAAUGUUCAAAAUAAAGAGGAUCAUACUUUAUUCGCGUGCUUAUAAUGCUUCCUUUGAUAUAACCAAAAGAUUUUGACGGUCGGAACUGAAAAUUGACAACAAUAUCACAAUCAACCAAAUCAGUUGGUUGCGGACUCUCUGAGCCAAGAACUCUACAUCCUACCAUGCAUAGGCUUCCUUCUGUUUGACCAUAGAUCCCUUCAGCAGAAAUCUGCAGUACUUCAUUUGAAACUGAUGUAUUUCUCAGCUUUGCAUAAGAUACAAGAUUGAUGCUUAUUUUGUAGCUAAUAUUGUAGGUGCUGCUGUUGUUGUGGAUGUAACUCACGGCUGCCACCGUUGGAGUUGUUGGAAAUUUAAGUAGUUUGAGUAAAAAAAAUUUUGUCCGACGUUGGUCAUUCCCAAACGAUUUUCUCAUUUUAUAAGACUUUGUCUUUUAUAGAAAGUGAUUGGAGUAAUAAACAUCGGAGAAUAAAAUUGGGCUCACCCUUGGAGUUGGGCUUUGGGAUGAACUAAUUAAUUGAUAAUUAAUAUAUAUAUAUAUAUAUAAUUAAUAUAUAAUUAAUUAUCAAAAGAUGGGCCUUGGUCCUUAGGGCUCUUGUGCUUUGAAAAUUAAAUUCUUUAAUUGAUUUUGAAUUGAAUUAAAUUAAUUUUUAUUUGAACAUCCUCAUCUUUUCAGAUGAAGUCUGAAAUCAAUGAAAAACGCAGAGAGCACUGCACCUGUCUCCCAACAGUCAUAUCCCAUUCUUAUACCUGUUGCGAACAUGCAUAAUUCCACUAUAUAUAUAUAUAUAUAUAUAUAUAUAUAUAUAUAUAUAUAUAUAUAUAUAUACAUCUGUCUGCAUGACAUUUAGAACACAUAAAAUAUAAAUCUCCUUCUAUAAUCCAUAUCAUUCUUACUGAGAGUACCAUAAGGAAAUUCGCCAAAAGUUAAGUUUUCCGGUGCUGAAAUUCUAACUUGAUCGUUGAAUCCUGGUGAAAUAGACGUCCGAAGAACUACAAGCACUUGAGUAGGGGCAAAAUUUCUGUUUCAAUGACAUUGCGGUACGCAAGCCUGGAUCUUCAAUAUUUCUGUUUAAUAUUAGCUCGUUAUUCAUACACUGUUUAUUAGCAUAUAUAAAUUUAUCACAUAUUGUUGACAUAUAUCCAACAAGAGUCACAUGGAAGUACCCUUCAAUGCUCGCAACUGAGUUUUCAUUCUUCAUUGAAUACCAAUGCUGGUUAUAAAACCGGUUCCCAACAAAGAAAGGGACAGAACUGCCCCAAGAGAUUCCUCCUUUAGAACUUUUUGCUGACAUGUCGAAUCUCAUGUCAUAAGAAAAAGGACUUGGGUAUCUGUUAGCCUUGUUAAUAGCACUAACGCCAGUUUCCUUUCUCGGACAUAGCUUCUUUACUCUGUCAAUUUUCGUGUUCUCGUAUUUCUGGCCUGGAAGUAGAAACCCUCUAUUUUCAUUUUGUGGACUUUCAAAUGUGAUCUUUUCGAAGUAACCUGACUCUGACACAGUUUUCUUGCUCCAAAUCUGCCCCACAUUGCUACUCGUGUUUUGAAUUGUCAAUAUUGCAGGAAAUCUCAAGCUCAAUCUUGUUGAACAAUCACCCACGAGUACUAUUAAUAAUGGAAUCAGUUGCAUUCAAGAUUCGACAAGCAACAACACAUAGUUGAUUGUUCUUUGCAUCCCAUGACGCUUCCCCAACCAAUGUUGUAUUUGUUGGAAAAUAGUUAAUUUAUUUAGUGUUUGGAUUUGAGCUUAGCUCUAUAGAAUUAGGUUUUUUGUUUCCUUGCUUAUUAUGGAUUAUGGUUAGUUUAUCAUACAUAGAGAGAUUUAUUAUUUGGUAGAAAUAAAGUCAUUCAAGAUGUAACAUCUUCGGUUUAUAUGGCCUUCUUGGCAAUUCUGUUUAUAUUUAUUUUGUUCGUUUGUUCAUUGCAUACUCUGAUAUUCAACUGUAUUGGGAUUAAAGGGCCUCUGAUACCAGGGAUUGCUAAUAUCUCCAAAUUCCACUUGAACUCUCAUCCUUUGUGUGUUCUCCGAACACUCAAUAGCCUUCAACGACACAAUGCGAGGCAAAUCAGAAUCAGCAAAUGGAGUGCAGAUCUUUGCAGAAAGGCAAUGGCUAGAAUAUUUGAUCUCAAACUCAAUGUCUUCUUACUGUUGAAAGUACUGAACAAACUUUCGCUAUUGGCAAAGAAAUUGGGUGAAUAUUUCUUCCACCAGAACAACUGUUACCAGAUUUAUUUGACACCAAAGAGUACUUGUAAUUUAUACGAGAAAUCAUCAAAUUGAGACGGGUCCAAAAUACUUUGGAUUACUCUCAGAACUCAUGGAGCUCUCUAAGGUUUCAAUAAUCAAACUAGUAACACUGGUGGAAUUCAUGACAUUAUAAAGCUUAAGAACGGCGGGAUAAUAAAGCCCACGACCAUGUCCCAAGUAAUUAGAACCUGAUCCAACCAUGCAAAUCUUCCCAGAAGAUUCUGACCAGAACCCAUUUAGCUCAAAGUUUACCGAACUAGGUCGAAGACUUUUUGAGACAUUUCCCACAUAGUCAAACACACUGCUUCUUGGAAAUCGAAGACUUCCUUCAAUCAUGAACAAGCCUGGUACAUAAGUUGUUUGUGUUAGGAAUGUCAGUACUACAAGAUAGAGAAUGCAUAAGGUAAAGUAGAAAAUGGACACCAAGAAUUUUAUGUGGUUCGGCAAUUUAUGCCUACGUCCACGAAAUAAGGAUCAAUCUUCACUAUAUGAAAAAGAUGAGUACAACAAGAGUAGUCUUACCAAGCCAAAGACAAGGCUAGAUGGAUACAAGAAAGUAUGACACACACUUUCUAUCACUCUAAACUUCACUCACAAUGUGUAGUGGAACACUCUCACUCUCACUCUCACUCUUGGAGUGGAACUCUAGCUUUGGACUUGAUCCUUUGCUACUCAUACUUGGUUCUUAAUUGGUUGCUUCACUACAACAUCACACCCAUAUUUAUAGGUGAGGGUUUGGCAUUCUACUAGUUCUAGUGUAUUCUUCAAACCUCUAGCAUAGAUAAUUCUAGACUAGCCACAAAAUUGUAGCUUCUAGACCUUUCCAUUUGCAACCAAGGAAGUUAGUACUCUCUAGCUUCUUCCAUCAACUUAAUAACAUGCUAGAAUUGUCUAGCAUGCUCCAGUCACCUCACUUGCUUACUAGAAUAAUCUAGAACAUUCAUUAUGGGCUCGACCAUAUACCAACAAUCUCCCCCUCCAGUCCAUGAGGGAGGAAUUCCGAUCAUGACUCCAAGUUACCUGGAGUCCAUCCCAGUAGCCUUAAUGCAGAAUUCCAACUUUGAUUUUGUGACUACCUUUGUCAACGUGUCUGAAUAAUUAUUAUCGGUAUGAAUCUUCUUCAGCUGUAGCAACUUGUUCUCGAUAACAUCUCUAAUCCAGUGAUAACGAAUAUCAAUGUGCUUAGUGCGUGAAUGAUAUGUAGUGUUCUUGCUCAAAUCCAGAGCACUCUGACUAUCACAAUAAACGCCAUAAUCACUUUGCUUCAAACCCAACUCUUGAAGAAACCGCUUCAGCCAUAACAACUCCUUGCAUGCUUCUGUAGCGGCUAUGUAUUCAGCCUCGGUUGUGGACAAAGCAACACACUUUUACAACUUGGAUUGCCAAGACACGGCUCCCCCUGCAAAAGUAAACAAGUACCCAGACGUAGAUUUUCUACCAUCCAGGUCACCUCCCAUGUCAGCAUCUUUAAAUCCUUCCAAGAUUGGUUUGGAACCACCAAAGCACAAGCACAUCUUAGAAGUCCCUUUCAAAUAUCUGAGAAUCCACUUAACAGCUUCCCAAUGGUUUUUCCCUAGAUUAGAGAGAAACUUGCUCACCACACCUACUGCAUGAGCAAUAUCUGGCCGAGUGCACACCAUUGCAUACAUGAUACUUCAUACUGUUGAAGAGUAGGGAACAACUGCCAUUUUCUCCUUUUCUUGAUAUGUUUUUGGACAUGACUCUUUGCUCAACUUGAUAUGAUUGGCUAAAGGUGAGCUUAUCGAUUUGGCUGCUUUCAUGUUGAACCUUUCAAGCACCUGUUCAACAUACUUUUCUUGUGACAGCCACAACUUCUUGGAUUUUCUGUCACGAAUUAUCUCCAUGCCCAAAAUCUGCUUGGCUGGCCCUAAGUCCUUCAUGUCAAAGGACUUAGAUAACUCUUCUUUAAGCUUUUUAAUUAUAAAAGCAUCUUGACCGACAAUCAACAUGUCAUCAACAUAAAGCAAUAAAAUGAUGAAUUUACCUCUAGAAAAUUGUUUGAUAUAGACACAAGAGUCAGCAUGAGUUCUUUUGUACCCAUUACUCACCAUGAAUGAGUUGAACUUCUUAUUCCACUGUCUAGGAGACUGCUUAAGACCAUAUAAGCUUUUCUUGAGCUUGCACACCAAAGUUUCUUUACCUUUGACUUCAAAGCCUUUGGGUUGCUCCAUAUAUAUCUCAUCUUCUAAGUUGCCGUGGAGAAAUGCAGUUUUAACAUCUAACUGCUCGAGCUCAAGAUCCAUGCUUACUGUCUAGGAGACUGCUUAAGACCAUAUAAGCUUUUCUUGAGCUUGCACACGAAAGUUUCUUUACCUUUGACUUCAAAGCCUUUGGGUUGCUCCAUAUAUAUCUCAUCUUCUAAGUUGCCAUGGAGAAAUGCAGUUUUAACAUCUAACUGCUCGAGCUCAAGAUCCAUGCUUGCUGCCAUACCAAGGAUAACUCGAAUGGAAGUCAUCUUCACCACCAGUGAGAAAAUCUCAUCAAAGUCAACUCCUUUCUUUUGACCAAAACCUUUGACAACCAAACGAGCCUUAUACCUUGUCAUGUUGUCGUCCCUUUUCAAUUUGAACACCCACUUGUUUUUCAAUGCUUUUCUGCCCUUUGGAAGCUCCACCAGCUCAUAGGUAUCAUUCUUUAAUAAGGAAUCCAUCUCUGACUUCAUUGCCUUCAUCCAUUUAUCACUGUCGUUAUGAGCUCUAGCCUCCUCAUAAGUUUUGGGCUCUCCAUAAUUAGUCAACAUGAUAUACUCUGAUGAAGAACACUUGGUAGACGAUCUUCGACUUCUGCUAGAUCUUCUGACCUGAUCUUCAUUCUCUUGUGGGGUUGGAGGCUCCCCCUGAUUGGGUUAUUCUUGAAUCUGCUAUUCUUGACUAGGCUCCCCCUGAUUAGCAAUCUCAUGGUCUGGCACAUAUUAAUCAGGCUCCCACUGAUCAGCAUUAUCUAGUUCUGCAGACACUUCAUUGGCAGCUGCUUCAGGGAUGUCAUUGUGACUUUCUUCAUCUAAAGCUAAUGGAUCAACUCCUCUGACUGCGCCAUAUGGUUGUGUGUCUUUAUCCGAAUCCCUAAUUGUUUGAUCUUCAUAAAAGAUCACGUCUCUACUUCGGAUAAACUUCUUCUGGUAUGGGUCUCAUAAUCUGUAACCAAAAUCUUCACCGCCAUAACCAAGAAAGAUGCACGGUGUAGCUUUGUAGUUUAACUUCGAUUUCUGCUCUUUGGGCACAUGCACAAAAGCUUUGCAACCAAACACCUUCAAAUGAGAGUAAGACACAUCAUUACCAGUCCAUACUCUCUCUGGAACAUCAAGACCUAAUGGUACUGAUGGAGAUCGGUUGAUCAAAUAGCAGGCUGUCCUUACAGCUUCACCCCAAAACUGCUUAGAUAACUUUGCAGUCCUCAGCAUACACCUGAUUUUCUCUAUGAUGGUUCGGUUCAUUCUUUUAGCAACACCGUUAUGUUGUGGAGUUCCAGGAACUAUCUUCUCAUGACGUAUGCCAUGUUUCACACAAUACUCUCUAAACUAGUGAGAUUUGUACUCACCGCCGUUGUCGCUACGAAGGCACUUGAGACGUUUCCCAAUUUCCCUCUCUACCAUGGCAUGGAACUCCUGGAAUGUCUGAAACACCUGGUCUUUGGAUUUCAACAAAUACACCCAAACCUUUCGUGAAGCAUCAUCAAUAUAAGUAACAAAAUAUUUAUUUCUUCCAAGUGACUCGAUUUCCAUGGGACCACACACAUCUGAAUAAACAAGAUCUAACAAAUUUCCUUUCUUUGUAGAUGGAACAGAAAAACUUACUCUUCUUUGUUUUCCGAAUAAACAAUGCUCACAAGAGUUUAACGAUGUACAUUUGGCAAAGGGAAUGUGAAACUUCUUUGCCAAAACUUGUAGGCCUUUCUUGCUCAUGUGGCCUAGCCUCUUAUGCCACAAGUCUAGAGAUGAGUCAUCCACAACAUUCAACUCACCUUUCAAAACCUUGGCAUUUAACCGGUAUAACAUACAACAAAGUCGUGCUCUUGCUACCACCAUUAAGCCUUUAAUAAGCUUCAAUUUUCCUUCGUCAAUAUGGUGAUAAUAACCUUGUCGAUUAAGGGUACUGAUGGAUAUCAGAUUGAGACGUAUAUCAGGAAUAUGUCUCACAGCUUUCAACAUCAACUGGCAGCCGAGAUUAGUUCUUAGGCAAAUAUCACCAAUUUCAAGUAUUUUGGAAUAACUUUCAUUCCCCAUCUUCACUAUGGCAAAGUUACCUUCUUUGUAUGUACUAAAGAACUCCCGUUUGGACGUAGCAUGGAAGGAAGCUCCAUUGUCAAAGAUCCAUUCAAUGUCUCUAUCAGAGUUGCCCAUAUGCAGACAUUCACCAACAAACAAUAUUUCUGGUACAUCACCACAUAUGACAGCGGUGGUAUUGCUAGUAUCAUCUUUCUUCUGAUUGUUUCCUUCCCUUUGCUCUCUCUUCCAAACUCGACAAUUUUUCUUCAUAUGGCCUUCUUUGCCACAAUGGUGGCAUGCACCCCUGAACCUUGACUUGGAUCGGCUAGGACUUCUGCCAUGACCUCUAGACCCUCUACUCUUGCUUCUUUCGCAGUUCUCUGUGACAAAUACUUGGCUGCUAUCUGUGCCAGAAGUUUUUCUCCUUAUUUCUUCAUUGAGCAUGUUAUUUUUAACAUUAUCAAGAGUAAGAACACCAUUAGAAGCAGAGUUGCUUAUACUCACCACAAAGGUUUCCCAACUGUCUGGCAAGGAUCCAGGUAACAAGAGCACUUGUAGCUCGUCCUCGAUCGUCAUUUUCAUAGUAGCCAAUUGGUUGAUGAUAUUCUGGAAAUUGUUCAAGUGUUUUGCUACACUUAAACCAUCCUUGUACUUCACAUUGAUGAGCUCUUUGAUCAAGAAGGCUCUCUUGGCUGGGGUCUUCUUCUCGAACAAAGACUCAAGCUUCAUCCAAAACUCUCGGGCAUUGGUUUCAUUAGACACAUGGUGAAAAACACUAUCGCCCACCCAUUGUCUAAUUGUGCCAAUAGCCUUGCGAUUCAUCUUCUUCCACUUGGCAUCGAACAUGCUCUCGGGCUAAGCGACAUCUCCUUCAAUUGGCUCAUGCAGAUCCUUGCAAUAGAGAAUGUCCUCUAUCCUUGGCUUCCCUGUUACCCAAUUAGAGUUGGUGAGUUUGAUCAUAGUGCCACUUCCUUCCAUCUCGUAAUACGAGCUAGCCUGGUUUUGAUACCACUAGUUAGGAAUGUCAGUACUACAAGAUAAAGAACGCACAAGGUAAAGUAGAAAAUGGACACCAAGAAUUUUAUAUGGUUCGGCAAUUUAUGCCUACGUCCACGAAACAAGGAUCAAUCUUCACUAUAUGAAAAAGAUGAGUACAAUAAGAGUAGUCUUACCAAGCCAAAGACAAGGUUUGAUGGAUACAAGAAAGUAUGACACACACUUUCUAUCAUUCUAAACUUCACUCACAAUGUGUAGUGGAACACUCUCACUCUCACUCUCACUCUUGGAGUGGAACUCUAGCUUUGGACUUGAUCAUUUGCUACUCACACUUGGUUCUUAAUUGGUUGCUUCACUACAACAUCACACCCAUAUUAAUAGUUGAAGGUUUGGCAUUCUACUAGUUUCUAGUGUAUUCUUCAAACCUCUAGCAUAGAUAAUUCUAGACUAGCCACAACAUUGUAGCUUCUAGAUCUUUCCAUUUGCAACCAAGGAAGCUAGUACUCUCUAGCUUCUUCCAUCAACUUAAUAACAUGUUGUUGACCCUAGAAACUACCAAGCCUACGUGGCGCGCAGGCCGAGUAAUCUAUAAGCUAACUACGUCCUUCGGUGAAUGCGGGGCGUGCCAACUCGUCGGCCGAGCUCAGCCGAGGAGUAAAUUUGUUGAUGCUGCGUUGGGUGCGCGGCUGACUUCUGCGUCUCGCGACUGCGGCCGAGAAAGGAACACGUCUCGGCCUCUUGGGCUCUCGAACCUGAAGACAAGGUUACUAUUCUUACGAAGUUCACGAAUCGCCGUCGUCGGAUUCGGUCACCGUGAUGUUAUUCGUCAGAGUAAACUCUCGCCGAAUCGACACCAAAGUGUAAGGGCACAAAUACUCAAAGCAAAUAUAAGUUUUAAUAGUGAACGUGGUUCGGCCGUCCGAAUGCCGAACUCUAAAUCCCACUUGGGAGUAUCCAAUCAUAAAAUAACUCGGCGUGCAAUGCGCCGAGCUCGAUAUACUGUAACACCUCACUUCGCCGAUGAGGCUUAUGAGAUGACCUCAAUCAAUAAGGAUCUGGAAAUCCUUCUCGACCGAGACUUGGAUAGGUAACCAACCGUCCUCGCCGCAGUGCUGUUGAUGCCAACGGAAGAUACUGCGAGAGCGACUGAUUCUACGAUGACAGAACUAUCUAUGCCGACUUAAGAUAUCACCGGUUGCUUCCACAGUGCUGUUGAUGCCAACAGAAGAUGUGUCAGCGAAAAAAGAAGAAAAAUCUCAAGUUGUUGAGAGAGUUUGCGCAUGGCAAUUUUGUGUUGAAUUGCAGGGGGCCUCAAAUGAUGCACAGCCUCUUCUAUUUAUAGCAACGGCUCCCCCCAAGGUCGAGUUAAAACCCCAUUCGGACUAGGACUUCUUCUCCCAAUCAAACACUGACUCGACCAAUCCUACUUUCAUUAUGACUGUGAACCUAGUCCUUUAUUGAGCCGGAUUUGCUCUCGGGUUAUUAAUCCUGCCGAGACUCCUUAUUGCACCAGGACUCGACUUAUCCUACGUCUUGACCUAGCCACCCUAGGUUUGGAGGCCCACGUACUGAAUGAUCCAUGCCGCAAGGCCUUCCGGGCCGAGAAUGAUUCUCUACUCGGCCCAAACUAUUAUUUUGGGCCUAAACACAUGCUAAAAUUGUCUAGCAUACUCUAGCCACCUCACUUGCUUACUAGAAUAAUCUAUAACAUUCAUCAUGGGCUGGACCAUAUACCAACAGUUUGAACACUCGAGGGGGUGAACUCAAUUGAAUUUUCGGGCUCGUGAUAAUGCUGAAAUGAUGAUCUUUGACUAAGAAUUCCACUUCCACCAAUGUAGCAACCUGUAUGGCUCUUGAGAAUUUGAGAACCUACAUAUCCACUUGGCGUUGCCCGGGGAACAAUUGAAUCACAAUGAUCAGAAUAAGUUAUGUGAUCGUAAGGUGGAGAAGGCAAUGAAACUGGGUUAUAGAAGUAAUUAGAAUGUGGUGGAAAGACGAUGAAACGGAGGGCAAAGAAAAUACGGCAAAAACAGAGAAGAACAUGAGAAGUUUUGGCAAUGAGUACCACAUCUUCAAAGAUACGGUAGCAGAAGACUGGUGUUUCUUCAUGUAUAUUGGGAGAAUGAUGAACAAGAAGAAGAGCAAAAAGAAAUUCAAUGUGAAAGUACUGCAAUGUUUCGAUUGUUUUAUGUACUUUCCAUAGUCGGUAUUACUGCAAAUACGGAUUAUGUAUCAAAGUCAUUGUCGUGACAAUUACAAAGAGAACAAGGAGCUAGCUGAUGACUUGGUUUUCAUAGACAACUAGAACAAACAAAACCCAGGACUGUGAAACCCAAGCUGCAUUUUGUUUUUUCUUUUGUGAAUGCUAAAAGGACAAAAAUAAGAGAACAAGGGAAAAGGAAAAUAUAUGAAAUGCUAAUUGCAGUCCAAAAACAAGCUUCUUACUUCUUAUACUCCUCAUACUUUCACACAUGAAGGGUUUGAAUCAAAUUAGUUUUAGAGUGCAAAUAACAGUUUCCAAUAUCUACGGUCUAUAAGCUUACUAGAGGUUAGAAUUUAGAAUCAUGAAAUUACACCUCAUGUAAAAUGCAACCAAAAUUACAAGCAUCUAUAUGCCAGUUGAAGUUUGCAAAAGGUAGCAACUUGUUGCGGCCAGUUGAUUAGUGUGCCCGCCUUCUUCCGAGUUCUAUCCCCAUUCUAGUAGAUUAGACUUAGUUUAGGGUAUGUUUAUAAUUAUUUCGUCUUUAGUUUUUAGUGUUUAAGUUAAUGUUAGAGGUGGAGGGGAAUUAUAUGGGAGAAGGGAUAUAGAAGGAUGACGGAAUGAUAAUAGGAUAGAUGUAGAAGAAAUGAAUAACGAAAUGUACACAAAAUGAGGACUAAAAACCAAAAACUAUUCCAAGUUUUUUUCACUUUCAAGAUUUUAUUUUUAUUCAUUCUUUUUUAUUUAUUUCAUUCUCUCACACCACGCGCUCAUGCUUUUAUAGCGACAAGUACUACAAGAACACGUUAAUAAUGGGUCAUACAUGUCACGAUACGAUGGUCAACAUGGGUCAACAUUCUCGCCUCUAGGGGCAUUUUGGUCAAUUCACACAUUUUAUAUUAUAAAUUCCGUAAAUCAAGGAUGGGUCCUAACAACUAUUGUUGAUGUUAUUUGGACAUACAAAACUAACACUUUGGUUUGCAGACUAUCUAUAUUAGAACUUACAUGCAAUGGUAGAGCUCAUAUGUAUUAGAAAAUGUGUCAACAAGUAUAUUAAUUUUGUUUGUUCGAAUAGUUUUAUUGUACUAUAAUAUAUUAGAAAAAUCAUUACGGCAUGAUGAAAACAAACAAAUAAAGACCGAAAGAGUCAUACUAUUUGAAUACACAAAAUUAAUACAUUUGUUAACACACUCUAUAAUACAAGUGCGGUCCACAUACAGUAGGAAGACUGACAUCUAUUAGAGAGCGUGUCACCAAGUGUGUUAAUUUUGGGUAUACAAAUAAUUUUAUGGAAAAUAAAAAAUAUAUAAUAAAAAGUAGAAUCUAGUCCCUAAAUAUUCUUUUCAUCCUGACCAUGCACAUUGCCAUCUUCACAUAAAACGAAUCUUGUACAUUAUCCACGAACUGAAAAAUGAAUACCUCUAAGUCUUCUUAAGAACUAAAUAACCAAAAAUUCCCCAAAAUCCAACAAUGAAACCUACGACCACAAAGAUAUAAAACCAGGGAAGCUCGUUAUUUUCAUUGUCCACAUCUUGGUUGAUGUUGUUCUCAUUAUCUGCAUCAAUUUCUUUGCACUCAUUUGGAAGUGGCGUACCACAAAGUUUAGGGUUCCCCUCAAAUAAAGAAGCGUUGAAGCUCUGGAGUUGCGUGCCCAUCAAUAUUUGCCCUUUGAGAUUAUUGUACGAGACAAUAAAGUCUGUCAAGAAAUUAAGGCCCGUCAUGGACCAAGGGAUUUUUCUAGACAAAUGAUUCAUAGAGAGGUACAAAUGCUCUAGAUAUUUUAGGUUAGAUAUUUGCUUAGGAAUGCAUCCUGAGAAGUUGUUGUCAUCAAGAUACAACUUGCGAAGAAUCUGCAAUUGGCCGAUCUCAUAAGGUAUACUACCACUAAUGUUAUUGGACAUUAGGUGUAUUGUUCCCGGAAAGUUAUAUAGUCUACGUGGCAUAAAAAUUUGAUUUUUUCUUACGACGCCAAAGAGAGGAAGUUCAAAUUCAUAAUUGUCUGCUUGAGAAGCAUUCAUCAUUAACAUUGGUAAUCUGCAAAGUUGUUUUGGAAAUUCACCUGAAAUUUGGUUGUAUGCUAGAUUCACAUAAAAGAGUUUUGGAAGAGUCCCUAACCAACUUGGAAUUGUACCUAUGAUUUGAUUAUAACCCAAAUCCAACACCUCUAGAUUCUAUAGGUUUGAUAACCACCCAAGUAUCUGACCAUUGAGCCCACAACCAGCCAAACUCAAGACACGGAGAUUCUGAAAUCCAUGAAAAUUAACCAUGUCAUCAACAGUUGGUAUUGCCUCGCGAUCAAAUGAACCGGUGAUGAGGAGUGUAUGAAGACUUUUGCAAUGCAUUAAUAUCUUCAUUGCCCCUGUGAUAUUGGUCAGCCGUACAUAAACAAGUGAGAGAAAGGACAAGGAUUUCAACGAAAUAAUCUCAGGUUGUGUUUGUCCUUCUAGAUAAGGAUUUUCACUCAACCGAAUUGCUUUUAGGGACCUGCAUGAGUAAAUGCUUAUUGGAAAGAUACUAGUGAAGUUAUUCCAAGAUAGGUCAAGUUUACUAAGACGACUAAGUUUGGAGAAAUUAAGCUUGGUGAGGCCUCCUUCCAAAUAAUUGAAUUCCAAAUGUAGUUUUACAAGGUUUGUGCAAUUCAUCAAAGAUGAGGGCAUAUUACCCUGUAAGCUGUUGAAAUCAAAAUUCAUGAAUUUUAACUUGGACAGCUUCCUGAAAUUGAGAGGGAGCGCACCAUUCAGAUGAUUUGAGUUGAGUUCAAGGAUUGUCAGGUGGGCGAGGUUGGCGAUUCUUUCACUAAUGGCUCCAUUUAGUGAAUUGAAAGGUAAAGCAAGUUCCUUAAGUUUGGUAGCAUUAUAGAUAUCUUCUGGAAGUGAUCUUGACAAAUUAUUGUGACCGGCACGAAAAAUCUGUAGCUUGAAACACCCAUUGAACCCAUGGGAACUGUUGCCACUAAAUUCAUUGGAGGAAAAAUCCAAUAAUCUUAUGGAAGGAGGCGAUCGGAGACAGAUAGAUGAUGGGAUAUGCCCAAAGAAGGUGUUGUUGCUGACAUUGAAACUAGUCAAAUUCCAAGCUUGUUGGAAGAAAGAAGAAGGAAUUGGACCAUGACAGUGAUUGCUUGACAAAUCCAUUGUCUGAAUAUUUUUUGGUGGUAGAGAAAAUGGCAUCUCUACGGAAAGAAGGUUAUAGCUCAAAUCAAGGAUCUCGAGGCGUUUCAAGGAUGAGAAAAAUUUAGUUUCAAGUGUGCCAUAAAGUGAAUUGUGCGAAAGGUUCAAGUGGGUGAGAUGUGUGAGAUUCCCAUGUGAUGAGACAAAUAUACCUCCUUUGAGCCCUUUGGAGGGUAAGAGCAAAUGGGUGACCCAACCCUCUUGAUUAUAAGUGAUGCCAUUCCAAUGACAACAAUCAACAGAACUACUCAAAUUUACGGGAAGAGAAGAUAGAGUAUGAGCUAAGGCCAGAAGUAAGGUGUGUUUAGCUUGAUUGCAUGCAUGAAUAUUUGUUGUAGAUAUAAUGCAAGAGAAUAAAAAGAGGAGGAGGAAGCCAUGAGCCAUUGUUUUAACUUAGAUAUCGCUUAAGAAGAGGAAGAUGAGGAGGUCUGCAUAUAUAUAAGCAAUACCAAUUUAUUAUAAUUGGUUGUUUUUUUUUAAUUACUAUUAUUUUCAUUUUUUAGCUUUGAAUUAUCCAAACCGCAAUGUACGUUUGAAGAGAAUUUGCACGGCAUGAAAGAAAUCAAAAUGCGAAGACCUUAGUAGGUCAUGGAAUUGAGAGGGGACUGCACAUGAAAACAACUAAACAAAACUAAAGGGUAAAAAGUUGUUUUGCCACUGAUAUUAAUUGUUACUUAUAAGUAGGAUGUUUUAAGUUUGACUCGUGUAAAUACAAUUCAUUAUAAUCGCAUUGCAAACAACCAAACUCUGAUAAUUGGCAAACAACACCGUAUGAAUCAAGUCAGUUGAUUAAGUCAGUGCGCCCAUUACUUUUCACCCAAGCUCAUAUAUUUUCAUUAACUAAAUUAGAUUAGAAUAUCGCUUAGAAGGGAUGCAAAGAACUUUGUGAAAUGUUGUUGGUUCUGCAACAAUUCUGCAGAUGUCUCGCAUCCAAAAUUUAAUUUUGUACCUGUGCUUCUCUCUUUGUCCUUGUCUUUUACAUUGUCCUAACUAGGUUGUCUUUGUAUUUUCUAUUCGAAAAUAUCUAGAAAGUUUAUGUGCCAACUCAAGUUUUUUAUUAAAUCUUCUCAGAAUCUAAGGGAAUUGUAUUAGUGUUUGAUUUCUGGGUUGAUUCAAUGAAACAGUAAGCACAAAAGAACACACAUACUUAGAAGAGAGCUUUUUUCUUAAUGUUCAAUGUAUUUCAGCUUACUCAAUGAGCAAGAAACAAAUUCACUCUCUCACAACAUUACAAAUUCAUCACAACCAUUCAUUCCUAAGCCAUCAUGUAAGAUGCUAACACUUGUCAUGAGCUAUGACUCAUUACAAUCUAAUCUAAAUACCAAUUGGAAUAUGAUCCAAAGGUUCACAUUAAAUCCUACACAUUGCUUAUAAUGAAACUAUCACAGCAAAUACAUUUAUACUCCAAUACUCCCUUCUAAAUGUUUUGCUGAUUUCACACCAAGAGCAGUUCUCAAGUAUUCAAAUUGAUCCUCUGUGCUGCAAUAGUGUAGUUCAAUUGUCCCAUCUUGAAUGGCAACUCUUAUGAAAUGAUACCUCCGAUUAAUAUGCCUUGUUUUAUGAUGAAACACCGGAUUCUUAGACAUGGCUAUGGCAGAAGUAUUGUCACAUAGCAAAGGUGUAGCCUUUACCUGUUCUUCUCCAAAAUCAGAUAAAACAAACCUCAACCACAUUGCUUGUGUUGUAGCUUCUGCAGCACAUACAUACUCGGCUUCUGCAGUAGAUAAAGCCACACUGCAUUGUUUAACAGAAGCCCAAGAAAACACUCAUAAACCUAAACUAAAUGAAUAGCCCGAGGUAUUUUUCAUGUCAUCCAAGCUUCCUGCCCAAUCACUAUCACAGUAGCCUAUCUACACAGCAGCUUUUCCUUUCACAUAUUCAAUCCCAAAAUCCAAUGUGCCUUGUACAUAUCUCAAGACUCUUUUAGCUGUCCCCAUGUGUUUUCUGGUAGGUUUAUUCAAGAACCUUGCCAGCAAACAUGAUGCAUACAUUAGAUCGGGUCUAGUAGCUGUCAAGUAUAAUAGACUACCAACCAUUUUCCUGUACAAACUUUCAUCAGUAUCCUCACUCCCAUCUUCCUUAGAUAACUUGUCAUCAAUUGCAAGUGGGGUUUUCAUAGCUUUACAAUCUUUCAAUUGCAAGUGACUUGGCAUAUUUCUUCUGACGAAUAAAUAUACUCUUAUCGGUUUGAAUUAUGCCCAGACCAAGAAAGUGAUGUAACAAUCCUAGAUCUUACAUCUCAUAUUGCUUCAUCAUAUCAUUCUUAAAAUUCUUGAAUCAUUUCAUCAGAAUUCCCUGUAUAGAUAAUGUCAUCUACAUACAGAGAUACAAUAAGCACAUUUGCAUCACUGAACUUUGUAUACAGAAUAGAUUCACUUUGGCUUUUCUUAAAACCGGAUCGAUUGAAAUAAUUGUCUAUCUCAUCGUACCAAGCUCUGGGAGCUUCUUUCAGACCGUAUAAGGCCUUUUUCAACUUGUAAACCUUGUCUUCUUGUCCUUGAACUUCAAAUCCCUGUGGUUGAUCCACAUAUACUUCCUCAUGUAGUGUACCAUUUAGGAAUGCAAACUUAACAUCUAAUUGAAACAACUUCCAUUCUUUUUGAGCUGCCAAUGCAAUUAGAGUCCUAAUGGUAUCAAGUCUUGCCACAGGUGCAAAUGUCUCAUUGAAGUCCACUCCAGGUUUUUAAGAAUAGCCCUUAACCACUAGCCGUGUCUUGUUCUUCUGCAAUGAACCAUCCAGAUUAAGUUUUGUUUUGUAGACCCAUUUUACACCAAUUAUAGGUUUAUCAAAUGGCCUUUUGACCAACUCCCAUGUUUCAUUCUUUUCUAUCAUCUUAAUCUUUGUGGACAUAGCUUUUCUCCAAGCCUCAUCUCCUGAUGCUUCUUCAAAACAUUCAGGUUCCAUCAUACAGAAAUUGCACUUUUCAUAGAUAUGGAGUAUGAUCAUACACUUGUGAACUUGUGUGAUCCAUUUGCUCUUCUUGUCUUAAAGAAGAAGCAAUAACUUGCUCAUGUUGCUCCUGUAGUAAUUAUGUGCAUUCAAAUACUGCAUCAUUUUUAGCUGCUUCAACCUCAUUCUCUUCGCUUCCAUAAGCUUCACUUGGAAUUGAGAUGGACAGAGUCUUCUUGUUACCAAAUUUCCAAUCCCAACAAGAGUUCUCAUCAAAGAUUACAUCACUAGAAAUAACCAUCUUGUUAGUUUUAGGAUUGAACAACUUGUAACCCUUCUCACAGGUUUCAUAGCCAAGGAAUAUGCACAUUACACUUGUUACAUCCAGUUUCUGCCUUAUCUGUGCUAGAACCUAUGCAUAACAUAGGGAUCCAAACACUCUUAAGUGUUUUACUCCAAGCUUUCUUCCACUGUAGGCUUCAAAUGGAGUCUUCUUAUGCAAGGCCUUGGUAGGACAUCUAUUGAGAAUGUAGACUGCAGUAUUAACUGCUUCUGCCCAAAACUCAAAUGGAAUGCCUUUCUCCAACAUCAUGCAUUUAGCCAUUUCUACAAUGGUCAUAUUUCUUCUCUCAGCAACACCAUUCUGUUGAGGAGAAUAGGCCACUGUGAGUUGUCUUUCUAGACCAAGAUCUUCACAGUACUGAGAAAACUCCAGAGAAGUGUACUCCCCUCCCUUGUCACUUCUUAAUUUCUUCAUUUUGAAUCCACUUUGUAAUUCAAUAGUUGCCUUGAACCUUUUAAAUAUACCAAAUGCUUCAGACUUGUUCCUCAGAAAAUAGACCCAUCCCAUUCUAGUACAAUCAUGUGUGAAAGUGAUGAAAUACUUGUUUCCAGCUUUGGUAGGUGUUUGCAUUGGUCCACUUAUAUCAGUGUAUAUUAACUCCAAUGGUAGUGCAGUUUUCCAGUUUGUUUCUUUAGGAAAAGCAUCUCUAGAGUGCUUUCCAAUAGCACAUCCCUCACAUACUGUAGAGUUCAUUCUGAGCUCAGGUAAACCAGUCACCAUGUCAUGCUCUUGGAGUUGCAUUAGAGUGUUCAUAUUUAGAUGCUCGAGUCUUCUAUGCCAUAUCUCAGCUGCUUGUCUAACACUUGCCCUCAUAGCAAUUUGGAUUCCUGGUUGCAACUUCAAAGGAAAGCUUCGAUUUCCCUUCAUAGGAAUUUUGACAACCAGAUUAGAGCAUGUAAAAUCUUCAUAAAUUCUGACUUCAAUCCCCUCAAACACAAGGUAAUAUCCAUGCUCCAUCAUCUGUCCCACGCUUAAUAAAUUUUCCUUUAAACCAGGUACUAACAUGAUCUCCUUGAUGUACCUUUUGCCUUGCUUGGUUGCAACCAUUAACUCUCAUUUUCCAACCACAUUAACCAAAUCCCUUGUGCCAAUCUCAACUUUGGCAGUAACACUUCUAUCAAUGUUCUCCAGUAAAUCUUCUCUUCCUGUCAUGUGAUUACUGCAGCCACUAUCAACAUACCAAAUAUCUUCUCCCUUCUUCACUGCAGCAGACAUACACACAUAGAACAUAGUUGGAUUGCUCUCCCCUUGAUUAGCAUAAUUCGCCUGUUGAGUAACCUUUUUAGAUCUACAAUCCUUGGCAAAAUGCCCUAGCUUAUCACAGUUGUGGCACCUUGGUUUCCCUUUGAACCAACACUCUCCAAAAUGAAGUUUAUCACAGUACUUGCAAGCAUUCUUGACACUAUCAAAAGACCCAGUAAAUUUUCCUUGCUGGUGCACAUAUUUGUUAUCCCAUUUCUUACCCUUUGUCUUCCAGUUCUUUAUGGGUUUGAAGUUUUGAUUGCCAUUGUAAUUGUUCUUCCUGGGAGUUGUACUUAAACUAGCAAAGGCCUUUUCAGUGUUAUUUUCAGAGUGUUUCUCAAUCCUUUGUUCAUACCCUUUUAGAGUAGCAACUACAUCCUGCACAUAAACUGUCUCCAAAUCUCGAGUAUUCUCAAUCACAGCUACAAUACUAUCAUAGGAUCUAGGAAGACUAAUCAAUAAUUUCUGCACUAUUCUUUGAUUUCCAAUACUCUCACCAUAACUUUUCAUUUGUGUAAUAAGAUCCAACAAACGCACAAGAUACACAGAAAAUGAUUCAUGUUCACCCAUUCGAGUAUAUUCAAAAUCACGCCUUAAGCUUUGAAGUUUCACAUAUCUCACCUGUUUAUCUCCAAUAAACUCCUGCUUCAGUAUAUCCCAUGCCUCUUUUGCUGUCUCCAGAAUGGCAAUCCUUGGGAAAAUUUAAUCUGACACAGCUCCUUGAAUAAUUCCGAGAGCCUUAGCAUCCUUGAUCAUAUUCUUCUUCAGAUGCUUUAGCUCAGCUGCAGUGAGUUCUUCUUCUUCUUUCUUCGCCGGAGAAUUAUACCCAUUUUCAACCAUAUCCCACAGAUCGUGAGAUCUGAAGAUGGUCUUCAUCUUUAUCUGCCAGAAAUCAAAAUUUUCUCCAUUGAAAAUCGGUGCUCGAAGAUCAGCACCACUCGAUCCAGCCAUAUUAGACUUGUUAUCAAGUUACCCAGAGAUUUUCAGAUCGUUCUUCAAUCGCAGCAAACUCGAUUCUCUGUCGAGUUCCUCAGCUGCGAACCUUAUCACAGAUUCACGCCCAGAUUGAGAUCCAACCUGGCUCUGAGGCCAUAUUAGCGUUUGAUUUCUGGGUUGAUUCAAUGAACCAGUAAGCACAAAAGAACACACAUACUUAGAAGAGAGCUUUUUUCUUAAUGUUCAAUGUAUUUCAGCUUACUCAAUGAGCAAGAAACAAAUUCACUCUCUCACAACAUUACAAAUUCAUCACAACCAUUCAUUCUAUCAGUGCAGAAACAUGAUUGAAAAUACAUCGGGUACUAGGUUUCAUUGUAUCCUCGAGACAUAUUUGCAUUAACUCCGUCUCCGUCACGCACCUAUUUCACUCUCGUGACACAGCAAAUAUUGUUUUCUUAUCUUAUAGAAAAGAAAAAUGAAAGUGCACAUUACAAACAGAAAAAAUUAAAAAAUUAAAAAAAAAAAGUAAAAAAAAAAGGCAUAACUUAUUACAUCCUCAAAUAACAAAAGAGAGAUUAAAAUAUCCUUCAGUAACAGUUGGGACGUUCUCGUAUCACCCAACUCUCUCAACUUUUGGGGGAGAAUGCAACGACCCCAAACUUCUGCUGCAAGAAAAUGACGCCAGCAAACAGUAGGCCCCCAAAAGGAAUAAUCACGUCCCAAGCAGUGGAGUCAAAAUCUACAGCAGGACUUGCAUACAGGUAUGACUCGUUGAGUUGGCGACGAACAGAGUUGUGAACCCUGUAAAGAUCGUAUGCAUGUGGCUGUGCUCGAACAAAAGUUGUUCCAACGUAGAACGAAAUGGAUAGAUCAUUUUCCUUUGAUUUGCAGAAUAUGUUGAGCACAAUUUGAGGCAGCAAAAAACCGUCCAAAACCGAACCGGCGUAAGGUUUGAAGGCAAUGCUUAAAAUUGAGUGCUCGGCAUAGUAGCUCUCCUUACUGAGGCGAGAUCAACUGGCUUUUGGAUUUCAGUAAUUUUAGUUGCCCGAAGUUCUUCCCUUCGUAAUUUUUCCUGCAAAAAUAUCUGGAACAACGUUGUGGUAUCACCCUAAUUCCUGAAAUCAUUUAACAAAGGAAACCCAAAUCCCAAGAAGCUUAGACAAAGUAAUAAAGAAAUGGGUCAUAAAAAGUCAGAUCAUAAGGAUUAGAAAUGCAUUUACAUGAUCAUUAUAAUGGCAUGUGAAUAGAAAUUUGCAAAUGACUACUUGGAAUGUGUCAUUUACAAAUUUCUUUCACAUACCAUUGCAAUGUUCAACCGGUGCAUUUCUAAAUCCUCCUCUUUAAUUUUUUAUUAUCUAUUUCUUCCUUGUUAUCCUAAAUUGCUUUCAAAAGUUCCUCAUCCAAACAUACCCUUAACUUUCCGACUCAUAUCAUCUUCAUGCAGUUGGUUAUAACAUACUAGCAGACGAAACAAUUGUCAUAAAAAGAAUAAUUAAAAAUUAUGACCAUAACCAUUUCAAUGUACGAUCAAAAUUGUAUUUUUACAUUUAGUUGUGUUUAUCAUUUUAUUUUAUCCAAUCAUUUUGUUUAUCAUUUUUUAUCCACUCAAUUGUGAGUAGUCUUCACUGACUUGGAAAAUCUAGCAUUACAAGACUACCAAGUCAGUCUCAUGAGUCACGACGAUAAGACGAUGUUGCCAUUUAGCUUUUAAUUGGGAGGGAGGGACCAAUUAGAAGGCAGGACUUGAUAAGAAGACAAAAUAUUUAUUUCACUCAGUCGACAUCAAUCUUCGCUCGAAAAAAUGAAUGGUCAUGCCAGAUUAAAGAACACGAUAAAAGAAUAAUAAAGCAAAAGCUAUUUACGAGCUUGUCCAAUGAUACUUCUUUUCUUCAUCAUGAAAGAGGUUCUGAAUUCCUAACUCAUUUUUCUAAUCAAUAAGAAAAAGAGAACUUGUUGAGAUUAGUCUUCAUUGACUUGGAAAAUCUAGUCAUUGCAAGACUACAAAAAAACUUUUUGAGGUUAGCUCAAGUGAUGGAGAUAAUUGAAAAACUUGAUAGCCACUUCCAUAGUUUACAUUUCUUUGAAUUCCAACUGCAAAACGUCAUCCAUGUACAAUUACAAAUCCAAUCACCAAGAAUCAGAUGGUAUAUUUAAUUAGGAUGCUGGAUUCAACCGAACCAAUUAUUAAUUAGGGUUAAAUAGGACUAAAUUUAGAUUCGAGUCCACUGCUAAAACACUAUCCCAAAUUAUCAUUGUGAUAAGUCGAAAUUGGACUACCAUUCAAUUUAAUUACUUAUAAAUAAUAAUCAAACACAUCCGUAUGGUUCAUUACAUCCUACGAAAGAGUGACACUUCUCUUUUUUUUUUUCUUUUUUUUUUUUGAACAAUCGAUAUUAUUUACACUAAAAGGGAGGAGAUUGGCUUAUCCUCAUAAUGGGCUAGCAAUAAUUAGUUCAAAUUCUUUUUUGGCAAGAAUCGAACCUAAGACCUCUCCCUUACAAGUGAAGAAAAAUACUAUUAGACCCUAGUACUAAGUGGUAAGUGCCACUUCUCUUUUAGCUUCGCUCAAAAUUGAUGCUCGCGAAGAUUGUCUAAAACUAGUAUCCACAAUUCUACUUUUGAGGAUUCCGAAGACUGGUGGUCUCCGCGGCCGGAUCAUGUAGGAGCAACCCCGCUCAACUCACUUUUCUGCCUCUAUUCGUACGUCGAUUGUUCGUGUACAUUAGGGACCAAAAUGAGAAGGCAGAUCAAUUUUUAAGGACAACAUUGAUUAAUGUUGGAAUUGAGGGACCAAACAGUCUCCAUAGACUCCAAUCGCUCUUUUUUUUUUUCAUUAAGAUUGGAUGACUAUUCUGAAGUAUCGAGCCAAUAAUGACUAUUUUGGUGUGUCAAGCCAAUAACGGCUUUUGCCUUUCAAAAUUGUGUUGGACAUUGGGUGUCCAAAGUUUGGGGUGUGAAACAAUCUCCAUCAAACAAAACACCAUCACAAUAAUCAUCGCUAUUAUACAACAAGGCUCAUUUUUUAUCCCACUUUGACAUACGAAAUCCCACCAAAGUGAAGCGAAUAUAAAAAUAAGAUCAAAAUCGAGUUCCACGGGGCAUUGCUAAAAGUACCACACAACUUACCAGACCUAUCACAUUCUCUUGUUCUUUUCCCUCCCCACUCAAAUGACAUGCAGGCUAAAUGACGAACGAGAGAAACAGAAAUAAGUUAUUCCUAUGAAAGAUUUUAAAGCAUCUGGAAUUUCUACUCCAAUACAAUUAGUUACCGCAAAGUUUGAUAAAAAUUCAGGCCGGAUUAUCAGCUUUACAAUUUCAGUAAAACUAUAAAUUGCAGAAUGGUUGUUUCAGUUCCUGGUAGUUUCAGUUCCGAGCAAUCUCAUCCAUACUGACAUCUAUAUACAAUAUCCCAAAACAUAUUUACGCAGACGGAUGGAUUCCAUGAAAGACGCUCUAAUAAAUUAAGUCUAAACUUUUUGACCAAAAAAACAAGUCUACUGAUUAUUUGCGGUGAACCGGAACCUAAGUCUCACCUCCUAGAUGUCUGACAUAGAGUCGAGUCUUGAAAAAUCAAAUUUUCAGCAUGAAAUCAUUGACGUUGCAGCCUGAGGCAUACUGGCAAUUUGGUUGUUCCCAGAUGUUGCUGGUGAUACGAAUCUCUCACAAUCCUUGACCCCGAUCCUUGUAAACUCUGCGACAAUCAUAGGCACAUGGUCGGCUACAGAAGUUUUGAAACGCUGUGAGCAGCUCUUGUCACCCUCAUCAACAUCUUGAACACCACCUUUGACUAGACACCCCACUUGAGCACCAUCCAUGUAUGCUUUGCAUGCCACCAGAAUGUCACGAGCACGAUUGUAGAAAUGCCCCAGAACAAGAUCCUCAAAAUGCUGCAUGCAGAUGUAAGUUAUAACUGAGAACUUAAAUGUCGCAUGAUGUAGGACAGAGUAGGCCAGUGGAAUAUAGAUAGUUUAGCGGAAGUGAAAAUAUAGAAAAAUUAAAACAAAUAAUAAAGGAUAACUGCAAGUGUGCCAGAUUUGCCUAAAGCAGCAGUUUUGGCUGCCAACUUGGGCAUUAUGACAAAAUGACCACUAAAAAUUAUUUGUCAAUAACACCAAAUAUUAUCCGCUCAUAGGUGAUGCUUGUGUAGUUGAGAACGUCAAUUGCUUAGUUAAAGAUAAUUUUCUAAUUUCUGGAUAGUAUCCAGAAAUUACUAUCAACUGAUUGUAUCAUGAAUUGGCAAACGGAAUCCUUGUAGUUUUGACUCUAUCAUUCAUUAGCAUAAAAAUUCUAUGCAGUGAUUUUCACACAACCUUCUAGCUUCUACACACCCCUCUAUAUUUCUGGCCAUUGAAUUGGAUAAAUCAAACUUAACAAUGGUAAGAAUUAAACAGGGGUAUGUGAGGCUAAAAAGGGUGUGUGUUUCUCAUUUCCUUAUAUUUAUUCAAAAAUGAAGUUCUAACACUUUCUUUCUAUAUGUUCAUUAAAAGCACUGCAAUGCUGCAUUUGGAUAAGUGAGGGAAAAUAUUUAAAAACAGGCUUAUUCUCAGAAGUUGUUAAAGUUUCUUGUUUUGUAACCAGUUGAGCACGAUGGAAUGUGAAGAUAUGUGUCGGUGGCAAUGUGGCAGUGGCGGUGUGAGUAGUAGCAGCAGUGGUUACGGAGGAAGUGACAUUGAGGGUGAUGGGAACGAGGUGAUGAUAAUCAGGUGGGGGCAAGGUUGAGGGUUGUGGCAACGAGGUCAGCAGAAAAGUGGAGACAUGAGUAGUUUUGGUAGUAGUGGUGGCAACAGUAGAGGUGGGGUGGUGGCGAGAUGUGAUGGUAGUUGUGGUUGCUCUGAAAAUUUGUUAAACAUUAAGUGUCUUGGAAUUUUGUAAUAACACCUAUGAUCUGGGAAUUUAAAGCCAGUGUUAAUGACUCUAAUUCCAGAUCUGUUUCCAUAUAGAAUUUCAAAAUUCACUUGAUACCAAACAAGAAAUUAGAGAUAGUCACUUCAGAAACUCUGACUUUCCCCUAAAUACCUAGUUCAGUCCUAUCAUCCUAAGUUCCCAAGACAGAGCAAAAGAAAUUUGAUUCCUUCUCAAACUCCAGAAGGGGCGACAUGAUGAGUUUGAAAUGAAAUAAAAAACUUCUGUGAGGAAACGGUUUUAGAAAAUAAAGGAAAAAAUUUGCAUUUUCAGAAAUUUAAGAUUAUUCUUGUUUAACACUUCAGUGAACCCAGCAUUCAUUGAUAUGCUUAGCCUGAUUAUUCUCAACUUAUCAAAAAGAUUCUACUCCACAUGAACCAUUAUAUAAAAAACUACAGCCAAAAUGUCAAGCAGAUAAUCUAAAAAGCUUCAUAUCAAUCUCAUACUGCAAAUGGACUGAGCAUAGUCUAGAGUAUCAAGAAAAUGGAGAAACAAAUCUUACCUUCGGAGGCCUCCUCAUGCUGUACACCAUUGUCUUCAAUGAUAGGAUGAAUGUAUUCUCAUUGUACUCCUCAGACCUCUUUUCACCAGCUGCUGAACCAUUCGUAUUUGCAUAUCCAGGCUCAUUAAAGUAGGGCUUUGUAUUCAAGAUCAGCCCUUGUAUAGAGACCAACACUUGUAGCAUGGUUGACACACCUGGGAGCCACUUCUCAUUCUUGUUCCCAGACCAGGUGUUAAGAAGGCUGAGGCAUACUUUUCCACAAUUGUACAAAUUUGGAUUUAAUCGAAGGCCACCAGAGUGGUAGUAGACAUUCUGCAUAACAGAGUUCCCAGUUAGGCCAAGGAUGUAAACAGAUAUAAAUCAAUUAUAGGUGUUCAAGAUUAUCACAUACCGGUGGAACAUUGGGAUAGCCACAGGGGAAGCAAACAUCAAAGAAGAAGAGACCAUCAUGGUAAGGAGUACCCUCCGCCCCAACAAUUACAGCUCUCAAAAGAUCCAUUCUUGUCUCAUAAGCUCUAACAAAUAUUGUAUCUGUAGAUGUCAAUAGAAAAGGGGUAAGUGCAUCUAAGUUUCUAUAGUACAAACAACAAUCCAACAACUAUAUUCCAUAUAUUAUAAAAUUCCAAUUAUUAGUACAAACCAAUUAAUUACAGCAGUCAGCAUCAUGAAAUAGUCGGUGCGAAUUAUUAGAGUAAAUUGAAAAGGCUGAGGGAAAACUUCACUACCAUAACAUUCAAAACAGUUAUCUAAAAGAAAAUUAAAAGUAAAAAACAGAAGAACUCACCAGGCAAAUCCUUCUCCAGGAUCUUCCACUCUUCCUGAAUUCUCUUUGCCCAACUCUUUGGUGGCUUCAGAAUGAGUAAAACCAAAGCACAAUAAGAUAGGGAAUUACAAAAGACACCAAAAAAAAUGCAUUAACUAAACCACCCAAAACUUACUUGCUUCGGUGAAUAGCCACACCUACUAAAGUGAUGGUCUGAAUGAUCUUCAACUGUAUCAAAUUUUUUGAAGCCCUUAAACUUCACUAUCAUUUCAUCCAUUUCCAUGGCAGAAAUUUUCCUCCCAGGGCUUGUUGAAAUGCCUCCUGGAGCAAGAUUGUUUUGAAUUUGCGCAUUAGCAAUCCAAGGACUACCUGCUACUUCCCCAGGAGAAUAUAAUGAAUCUAGAUCGUACAAGCUUGAAUUAAAUGGCAUAGUAUUAAAUUUGGAAAUGGGCCCGGGCCACCCAGGAAUGGGCAUGGGUUUAUAAAAAGCACUUGAACCCUUUUUCUUUAGAAUGCUAUGAAAAUACGAAGCAGAAGAUGUGUCAGCUCCGGAACCAAGCUUCAUUGCGUCAAAUUGAUUCGUCGAAGUACUUGAAGAAGCUACCUUCUUUUUUGACUGGAAAGGUCCUAAAAGCCAUUGAGACUUUGAUGACUCCUUCCCAACUGGGAGAUUAGGAGCACUCCCUUGGUGUUGUGAAGCAGGUUGUUUCUUUUUACUCCUGGCAGUUUUCGGAAGAUUCCAUGCAGAUGAUAGAUUCACUUCAGGUGGGUGGGAAAUACUAUCAAUUUGGGUCUUCAAAUUUGAACUACCCCCUAAAAGUGGCUUCUUAAUGAAAUGAUCAGGCUCUUGUUGCAUUUGAAACCUCUUAUUGACAGAACUACUUCCAGAAACUGAAUUAACUUUAUUUUUAGGAGGAUCCGACAACCAAGGAAUAGGUGCCUCUAUUCCAGGGGGAAUAUCCACAUUAUCAAAAUGGGCUUGCAAUUGGGCAUACUCAUCAACAUCCAUAAACUCAUCAAGAAAAGGAUCAGCGAAGUCAUCAUCUUCAUAUGACAAAUCAGAAGUAUGACCAUCUAAGUUGAUCACGUUAGCUGGAACAAAACCCUUAGUAGCUUCAAUCCCAUUCGCUGACUCAGGGGUUGCCAUAACAGAAGGGCCAAAAAGGCUAUUGACCUCAUCUUCCUGAAAAUACUAGUAUAUCAUAAAGUAAAUAUGUUAAGAAUGCUAAAGCUACAAUUGAAUAUUUAUCAUUCAACAAAAUGACAACAGCCAAUUGAUAGAGUGUCAUUCAAGUCAAUCAUACACCUUAUAAUCAUAGUAGCCAUCAGAAGAGUUUUCUAUUGCCUUCCCUUUGGCUUUGUUAUCAACUCUAUCAUCAAUAAGCAUUGCAGCAACUGAAUCUUCAUCUUCAUCAAUUUCAAUCACAUCAUGCCGAAUUACCUUAAGAAGGAUUAAUCAAAACAAAUAUCUGUUCAGAUUGACUGAAUUCAAACCAACAUCAGAAAACAAUAAUUUAAAAAGAAAAAAAAAUCAACAAACAAAAGGCAUCCUACAGCAAAACAAGAAUGUUCAGGAUUAGAAACGGUAGAAAAAAGUCAUUUGGUUGAAAAAUACUAAUGAAAGAGAAAACAAGAAAAUGGAUAGAAUAGGAAGUAGGAGAUAAAACCUCCUAACAAAUCUAUAAGAACCACGUUUAAUUGAAAAGAAAAGCACGUAACAAAUGCAUGAUUUUAUUUCCUCAACCAUCAUCAAGCUUGAACAAGACAUAACAACAGACGUAGUCAAUUCCUAUAAACAUGAUAUGACAUUCAAUAAAACGGAAGAAAGACAAUGCCUGCAAAGACACCUUCAUCCAGCCCUAAAAGAAAUAGAUAAUGGUAGCAGCAAACCCGGCUCUAUGCAUGCAAUUCAAUACACUCUAAACUCAAUUGAAAUCAUGGAAAGAAAAUUUAACAAAAGACAGAUUGAUAACAGGAGACGGAAGUUCAAUGUCCUCAUUAUAAACAGGACUGCCACGAAAUUGUUCAACAACGUAAACAAUAACGGGUGCGAAUGAGCUUGAGACAAUGCUUUAGCAAUACCCAAAAAACAUAAUCUUUCAGGAAAUCGGGAACAAAUGAAUAUCACUACCAAAAAAUUGCUGAAAGCCUAAAACAAAAUUAACAAAACAAAAAAAAAAUCUAAAAUUUGGGCAAUUAAGUGCCAAGAUUUUUACACAAAUGUUCCAAUCAACUCGUAUUAGUCCGAAGUCACACGUACCCUAAAAAACCCAAAAUUUAACACUGAUUACUGAUCAAGACGGUAACUUGAUCAAUCAAAGCAGAUUACCAGCUCCAAAAGAACACUAAUUUCAUCACAAUUCCAUGAUCGAACCAGGUAAAUCACAAGAACCAUCGAAAAAUUGAGUUCUCGAUCGAUAAAACGACAGAGAAACUGUACCUCUUUGAGUUUGAGUUUCUGAAAUUUGGGGGCCCGAGUGAUCGGAGUAGCCGGCGGCGAAAUCUCCACGACGUCGUCGGAAUCCAUGCACCCAGAACCCCUAUCGGAAAACAACCGCUUCUUCCUGUUUGGAGCGAAAGAAAAUCAGAGAAAACAAAAGAGAGAGAGAGAGAGAGAGAGAGAGAGUUUUGUUGUUUUGAAAAUUUAGAUAGAGAAAUAGAGUACUUGGAAUUCCGAGGGGUGUUUGUAUGUAACGGCGGCGGCUCCAUUGGACCGGCUGUUCUGAAUAGCAGUCGGUUUGAUUUGGGGGAAUGCGAAAGGGCCACCAAAUAAAAUUAUAAAAGGGGAUUCAGCGGCUGAGAGAAGCGGCGGCUCGGCAGCUGAGCGGCUGGGGAGGGGGAUUAGGGAGAAAAGCGGGUUUAGGAAAGCGCUUUAGGAGAAAAGUGCUUUUGGCAGAGAGUGGGUUCGCGCGCCUUGUGAAGGAAGAUCAGCAUAAUAGAUUAUUACGACGACCAAAAGAGAGUGUUUGUGUGUGUGUGCGAGCGUUCCUUUUCUUACUAAAUAAUUAAAUGCACACGUUUUGCGCCUGAAUUACCAUUUAUACCACUUCUCCCACUGCACACAACGAAACCUUUUUUUUUUUUUUUUUUUUUGGGUCGAACAACGAAACCAAAUUAUUUCGGUAAUCAGAAAUAAAAAAACCGAACCAAAAUUUUCGGUUUAUAAAAAAUCAGUAAAACCGAAAGGGACAUUUUGAUAUAAGCGCCUCGUUUUUUAAUUUUUUAGACUAAACAUACACUCCUUUUGAAAAUUUGAUCAAACAUUUUCAUAAAAUUUUGGUUAUUAAUUUCAGUUCCUAUUAUCCCUAUAUUUAUGCAUUUAUUAUCCAUCUCUAUGCAUUUUUUUUAUUGUUUGUUAUAAUAUUUACUUUUUUGUGUGAAUAUAGUAGAAUAUUUAUAAAAAAAAAAUUGUCAAAUUUUAUUAUUUAGAAGACCCAACACAUAGUAAAGAUUUGUUUGAUUAUAUACCUACAUCUAGUUAGUUACCUAUAAUAUGGACACAUUUAGUUUUAUAGUGGAUUUGAUUUUUUGUAUUUCUUGGUAAUUUGGAAUGUAAAUGUACCAAAAGGGUUAUCUGAUAUAGACAUUUGGUUUUGUGGUACAUUUGAGAUUUUUUGUUCAUUUGGUCUUUUGGUACAAUAGGAAUCUAAACGUACCAACACGAUUACCUGACAAUGAGCACAUUUGGUUUUAUGGUACAUUUGGUUUCUCUGUAUAUUUGAAAUCUAAACGUACCAAAAAGGUUACAUAACAAUGGGUACAUUUAGUUUUAUGGUACAUUUGAAUUUUUGGUACAUUUGGUUUCUCGGUGCAUUUGAAAUCUAAACGCACCAAAAGUCAAUACUUUUGUUCUCAAAUGUACCAUAAGUUUUAAGUAUAUUUUUAAUAUAUCUAUACAUGAAAAAAAAAUAUGUAUUGAAGACUUUUUAUUGAUACAAUUUUAAUAGAAAGAGUAUUUUUUUUUUUAAAUACUGAUAAUAAGGAAAUGAAGAAUUAAUUAAUUAAUUUUUUAUUUUAUUUUAUUAAAAAAUGUCAUUUAAUGCGCAUAAGGGGAUUGAGGAAAUUAAAUUCCUAUAUUAUAGGCAAUUAGUUGCUAAGCUACGUUAUGCCUCUAUAUAAAUGCAUUUAAAUUAAUGACAUGGAAAUUGAAUAAAUAGAAAAUUAUUGAGGUGGCAAUUGAUUGAAGCACCUUAAUCAAAUCUUUAAAAGGGAUGAAUGUUUAAUCUAAAAACUAUAGAAAAUAUUUAGGGCAUUCUAAUUUUCCCAAAUCGAAAUAAUAUCGGUUUUUAGAUCGAUUUAAUGAACCAUGGAGGAUUCGACAGCAGAAUUACAUUUUUUUUUGUGGGUAGACUAGACUAGACGAUGAAAUUGCAAGAGAAUUUGAUCGAGAAGUUGCAGAGGAGUUACAGAGAAGAAGUUGUAGAGGAGAAUCUUGUGCAAAAUCAGAGUGGUGUGGCAUGCAUGAGUUGGUGUGGUCAGAGAAGUUGCAAAGGAAAAGUUGGGAGAGGGAGGGAGGGCGUUGACAUCGAGGACUCAAGAGAGGUGAAGUGAGAGGGUAAAACUGAGUGAAUACCUAAGAAAGAAAGUGAGUUGAGUGUAAAGGCUGAGAUUCAAUCUCAAUGAAAUCCAACAAUUCAAGCUAAGAACUUGAUCAAAAUAAGACUUUGGACCGGAAUAACUUUAUUUAUCAUUCAUUCCCCAGUAAUGUAAAGUGUUUUUUCUCUUGCAUCGUUCCUUUACAUGUGUUAAAGUGGCUUAAGACUCCUCAAUAAAGCUCAUCCUCUUUCUUUUCUUCUUCGAGAAUGCCUGAAUUGUGAGACUUGUAGGUUCUGGUGGUAGAAUAUUAAUUCAUUUAAUAAAUAAAAACAUUUCAGUUCUGUUCGGUUAUAGUGAACUGUGGAUGCAAAUUUCCGCCUUCUUCUUCUUGGAUGAAAAUGCACUUGCAAAAUAAUUAACAACUAAGAUCAAGGCCAAGGCCCAAAUUUAGAAUAUAAGAGAGAAAGUGUUUAGAGAAUUUUAGAAGAUAAUUAGACUUAGGUUUUUGGAGAAAUGAGGGGCUAUAUAUAGGGGUGUGGCCAGCCCUAUUUGAAGAAAUGCGGACCGGCCACUUAUAGUGGUUUCUUGGCUCUAAUUGCAAGAUAUUAUGUCAAAUAAUAUCUUGCAAUCAAUUAGGAAAUUAAUCAAUUAAUUUUGGUAAUUAAUCCCAAUUUGAAAAGGAUAAUUGAGAGUUACCUUGUGGGUGAAGAUUUGAUGAAGAGUGAUGAAAAGGUUUAAAGAAUUACCAUUUUGAUCGCCUAUGACCUUGAUUGAGCCGUUAUUGUCUGUUGAAUGCGCAUGGGAGUCUUGGUGUGGGUCAAGAGUAAUUUUGUUUUUUUACGCAAAAGUCCACAUGUCGCCUCAAUAUUUUUUUUGAUUAUUUUUUGCUCCACAAAUACCCCACACAUGUUGGGCUGCUCGUAGGAAAUGGUAGCAGGUGUAGAGAUCUUCUUGCUUUAGGAAACAUAGGAUUGUUUCCUAUUUUGAUGUAGAUUCCCUCUUUAAUUGGAAAUUAGAUCAUUAUAGGAAAAAGAAAUAAAUUACUUCUAAAGUCUAUUUAAGUCUACCUUAAGUAGAUUAUUAAAUCAACUUCAAAGAGCAAUUUAUUAUACCGUACAAGAGAGAGAAAGCUAGAGGAUAUUUGUUCCCCAUCUCCUACCAAUCUUCUACACUUGCCCGUGCAAAUGAUCAUCUUUCGUUGCUUUCUUCGUCUUCAUGCCACACCAAGGUAAGAAAAAAUUAAUUUUUCCUCGUCUUAAUUUUUGGGAGCCUCGGGGCUUGAAAUUUAGCUCGAUAGAGGUCGAGAAGGAGUGAAAAAUUGGUUAGGAUGCCACGACAUGGUUGUUGCUGUAGGGCUACUUGGUGCGGCGGUGGUUUGCUGGGCCAGGUUAGUGGAUUGGGCUGAGAAGGCUUAGGCCUUUUUUUUUUUUUUUUGCUAGUCUCGGGCCCAUGCAUGAGAGAAGAAAGAAAGGGGCCGAUAGUUGUUGGGCUUGCGGGCCACUGGCUUAGCCCUCCUAGGGUGCAUGCCCUCUUGCUUCUGAUUUGGGCAGAAAGGCCUAUUGGGCUAAGUGAAGUGGUGCAAUCUAGGCCGUGGGGCAUGGCGCUGCUACUGGGUCAUGCGGUCUUGGGCCGUGGGGCCUAGUACGCUGAGUCUUUUUUUUUUUUUUUUUGCAACCAUCUAACGAAUUUUCCUCAUGUCUUUGUAGAGUUUUUUUUAGCAUGUCUUCUUCAAGCCACAAGGGGGACAAUGAUGUACCACCGUUGUUUCGCCAAGGCAGGUCUUUAAGUAAGGUGGUUCAUUUCAAAGCUACUCACUUCAAAAUUAGCUCUGAUGAUUCAUUUAGAGAUUUUCUUGAGGCAUAUAGGCACACCAUUUCGUCGGGGGUGCAUGUGAAACAUGUCAAGGAAAGUAGUAGCCAUGAGCCAUGUAGUGGGGCCAAGAGCGCCAUCAAGUUUUACCCCUACUACUUCGUGUUGGGAUUUUCUUUCCCUAUGCCGUGUUUCUUCCAAGAAAUGUUAUGCUCCAUGAAGUGUGCCUCCACUCAAUGUUCUCAGAAUGUGGUACGUAUGAUGGUGGGGUUCUUCAAUCUAAGCCAAUUAUUUGACUUGAAUCUGACUGUCAACGAAUUCUAGUACUUCUUUGACAUAGGCCCCAUCGAGGGGGUUGGGCAGAUGCGAUCCCACCAUAGGCUCUUUGACCAUUCGAGGAAGGGCGAUCAUGACUGGGCCAAGGAAACUUUGGAGAUAAAUGGAGAAUGAGAGUCUGAUUCUUCCCCCAAGCUGCGUGUUCCAACGGUUUUCAUCUCCAAUAAGUAGAUUGCUUGGUUCAUCGGCUGCUUUGUGCUUUUACCAAGCCGCUUUCUGAUUUACUAAUUGUCUUCUUUUGCUCUUGUAGAUUCGAAAUUCGGCUCGACACAUAAGACUUCCCCUGAUAUAAUGAAGGUGCAUGUUGCACUAAGUAUCCAUUUUGAGUACCAAGAGUGCUGUUAAUUACUUAGUCCACUUCGCCGGGAGAAAUGUGGGUUGCCCCCGAGAUAAGAGAUAAGAGAUAAAGUCAAUUAAGGUAGAGGCACUAGCUCAUCCGAUUGUCAUUGUAGAGCCCACCGUAAAUAAAGGUGGGAAAAAGAAAUCUUCCCCGCUUACUCAAAAGAUGUCGGUUGAGAAAAAGCUAAAAAUUUCUUCCGUUGUUCGCGAGGGUUUGUCGGCUACCUCCAGGCUUUUGAUUGACUUGACUUCUUCUAAGAGGGAGAAAGACAAGGCUGACAGAUCUGCGCCAGUGACGUCUGCCGUUCCAAAGGUGGCUAGUUCGAUUGCUCAACGUAGAAAUUCUGUUGUGCCCCUAGUGCCAAAAUUUAUGCCAAAACCCCGUCGAUGGCUAAAUCUGGUUCACCUUUGGAUAAACUUGCUACUAUAAAGAGCAACAAGGUGGACUUUGCUGCUAAAGUGGUGCCAAAAUACAUUCCCCUCGUUGCUGAGAAAAAAGCCUACUCGCGUGGGCAAUUUUGAGAAAUAUACCAAGCCUUUAUCCAGGGUGGCUGCUGAGAUUUAUGCACUCUUGAAACCAAAUCUUCUUCAAGACAUAGAUGUGUGUGCUAAGUUUGGUGAUGACGUUAAAAUAGUUGUCUACCCAAGUUCCUUUGCAAAGCAUACAACUGAAUAUAGAAAGACUGCUUUUCUUGCUAUGAUGUAGAAAACGGCGAUUCUAGCAGCCGAGUCUAUGCUCCUUGACUAAGAGGAUACCAAGGUAGCCAAGGGGAUGGCAAAGACUAUGGCAAGCGAAGCCUAUUCUUCGGCUGAGAAGAUCAAGAGGUUGGAAUCUGAGCUUACUGCUUUCAAUAGGUCUAAUAUCUCCGCCCCUACUUCUCUGCAGCUUGAGACCACUCACAAAGAGAUUGUGGAUUUGAAGACUAGGCUUGAUGCGAUCCAAGUUAAGUAUGAAUGUGCAGAGAAUGAGAUUGGAUGUUACAUACCUCAUAUUCAAGACUUUGAGAGUGCCAUCUCUGAGUUUCGCUCUACUGCUUACGCAAAAGAUAGAGAGCUGAUUGCUACUUAUAAUCAAGUGAUCCACUUCAAAAAGGUCAUUGGUAUGCUUAAACCCCAAAUGUUGGAACUCUAAAGUGCUUUGAAGAUCAACGAAAGUCUGAAAAGGGAAAUAGAUGAGCUGCAGCGCAUCCGUGUUAGCCUGCUCAAGGAGAAUGAGCAGUUGAAGGGUGAAAAAGCUGGGCUGGAGACUUCGCUUGCUCAAAGUCAAGCCGAUUUCCACAAGUUGGGUUAUGUAGACCAUCUUUUUGGUAAGCCGUCUGACUUUGAGACCUUCUAUAUUUCUUCGAAAGACUUGCUUGUUUUUACUUUCGAGGCUUCCAUUAGUGAAGUAGUUAGAGAAGUUGGUGCCUAGGCUGGAGUAGCUGAGGGUGAAGCGUCGAAUGGUGCUGUUGUUGAGAGUGUCGUAGCAACUAAAAGUAUGACGGCCGAGUGAUUGUGAGAUGCCCAAGUUGCUGAAGAGUAGUUUUAAGGUAGUUUUUAGGAUUUUCUUUGUUUUCCUUGUUGCUUUGCUUGAACUCUUUCGGCCUUCGCUAGUUGUUUAUUAAUUUUGCUAGAAAAUUUAAUAAACUUGCUUCCUUCGUUUUUCUUCAUCUUCGCUUCUUUUGUUCAUGCCCAACCUCUGACUUCUAGACCAACGAUAGGUGUGCUACUUUUUUUAUAAGCAAAUAGACCAGCGUAGCCUAUGCAAUAAUGGAUGUUGGUGUAGAACUUUUGCAAAGUUGUUAGCCAUAGGGUCGGCAGUCGGACGCCUUACUUACAGAAGCAAAUGAGUCUGUGUGACCACUUAGCUUUCUUCAAUCCAUUGAGUUGCGUGGCCUACUUCACAACAUACUUUAUGUAACCAAUUACAUGGGUUGGGUAACAAGUAUCACAACACUUUAGGAAUUAGUGUAGAUCAUUUCGCGCUUUGGCAGAAAUGAAGCCCAUCGACUACAUAACAUGCCGACAAUGGAUUAAGCUUCGUAUAUGCACGCUAACUUGUUUAACCUUUCACAGAAAUGUGCAUUUGUAUAAGUUUAACAAGGCUUACUGCUCGAAGGGCAAGCCGUAGGCAGUUUUUUGAAAACCGUAAGCUACCUUAAUGCACUCGGUAGCAGCUUUAGGGUUCCAUGGCAGAUGUCUAUAGGACAUACUGCGUAAUGUGCCCCUACGUCUCUAGGGCCUGGUUUUUCCACGGAUUAGGCCAAAAGACCCAAAAUCCUUCAAUUAGCUAAGCCUUGAAAAAGACCAUUGGGCUACUUCUAGGAAUCUCGGCGCAAGCCAUUGUGCACCUAGUUAUACCAAGGCAGCCUGACUCAUCUAUGUCUGGAUAUUCAUAGUGUAAAGUUUAUCCUCUUACAUUGGAGAACGAACCCAUAUAGGUGUCGGGGAAUUGGUACCCUCUCGCACUAGAGAACAUGGUCCUGCGAUGAGUCCCUAAGAAGAGCGCGAUCUUCUUUUGAAGUGUAGGAGUGAUCAGUUGUUGUAAACAUGUAGUCAAGCCAAGUUGUAAAUUCUUCUAAAUUCCUCAUUGAAAAACGAGUGAAACAAACGAAAACUUAGCUAUAAAGUAAAGACUGCAUAAUAACUGGAUAAUCCUCGGCUCGCGAGGUGGUGUUUGUUUAGCUGCUUAAGUCUUCGGGCUUUGAUGUAAUAUGAGGUCACACAUGGUACUUCCUCAUAUUAUAGGUGUUUCACUGUUUUUCGAUCUCUUUGUCGUUAAUGGUGGUGAGGGUGUAACUACCCUUGCCGCCUACUUUGUUGAUCUUGUACGAACCUUCCCAAAUGGGAUCCAUCUUUUUGGAGCCUUCUUUGAGGGCAAUGAUGAAGGUUUUUCUUAUGACCAAAUCUCCAGGCUGGAACUAUAGGAUCUUAGCCCUUUUGUUAUAGCUGAAGAUGAGUUAUUGUUGGUAGGCUGCGAUAUGGGUGAUGGUCUGUUCACGUUUCUCCUCUGCCAGAUCUAAGCUUGUGGUUAUCUCCUUACUGUUAUACUCGACAUUUGGCAGUAAAGUGCUGAUACUUGGCACAAUGACAUUGGGAUGAAUGAUUGCUUCUGAACCACAUGCCAAAGAGAAAAGAGUAACUAGUGGCUCGUCGUUUGGUGGUGUGAUAUACCCAUAGACAUUCAGGGAAUUCGUCUAGCCACUUUCCCUUUUUGUCGGAAAGGAAUUUCUUAAGGCAUUUGAGAAUCGUCUUGUUGGAUGCUUCGACCUGCCCAUUUCCUUGAGGAUAUAUUGGCAUGGACAUGUGCUACUUGAUGUCAUACUUUUGGAAGAACUUUGCCAAAUCUUUGCCUAUGAAUUACAGACUGUUGUCUGUGACGAUGGAUUGAGGGAUGCAAAAUCGACAAAUGAUGUUCCUCCAUAUGAAACGUUCUAUGUUCGUCUAAGUCGUGGUUGUCAUGGGCUUUGCUUCUACCCAUUUGGUGAAGUAAUCGGUUACCACGAUCAUCAUGCAUCUGCCCCUAGUAACAGGUGGCAUAGGCCCUACCAAGUUGAUUGCCAACUGCAUGAAUAGCCAAAGACUCGUAUGUAGGUGUAGUUCGCUGUUAGGCAGUGCGAGUAUCGUCUUCGUCGAUUGAGCUUAGAACCAUUAGGUCGUCGGAAAGUGCUAGGCAGCGAAGAUGUGGUCUAGUGUAUGAUCUUCGAAAGAGAAUGUCGUUCCACAUGUAGUAGUAUGCUGCCUUUAUUUAGAGCUUUCUAGACUUCAACAUUUCCAUGGGAAGUGUGUCAUUGACCAGGUAGUCUAUAAUGGAACUUUGCCAGUUUGGAGUUGUACUAACCUGUAACACCUCAGCUACUGGUUACGCCUUUAUGCUUGGUUUGUCUAGAUACUUCACCAUUAUAGAGCGUUUAAGUUGGUGGUCGAAGGUAGAGCCUAGGCCAGCUAGCGCGUUUGUGUGGGUAUUGUCUGCCCGUGAAACUUGAGUAAGGGUGUAAGUCUGAAAUGCUUCUAGUUACUUUCGUACCUUCUCUAGGUAUUCUGUCAUCAUUGGAUGCUUUGUCGUGUACUUCCUAGUAGUUUGGCUAGUGAUUAGUUGAGAAUCGGAAUGAAUUGCUAACUUUUUCACCGCCAAGUCUUUUGCCAUUCGGAGGCUUGCUAGUAGGGCUUCGUACUCCACUUCGUUGUUAAAUGCUUUAAAGCCUAGAGUGAUUGCUUGCUCAAGCAUUCAACCGUCUAGGGUAACAAGGACCACGUCUGCUCCCGGGCCUUUGUAGUUGGAUGCGUCGUCGACAUGCAAAUGUCAGAAGUCUCCAUUGGGUGGAGCAAGCAUGGCUAAAGUGUGCUUGGCUGCCUCGGGGGCGUCGUUGGGCAGCUCUAUUGCGUCACCUAGGCUAGGCAUGAAUUCUACUAUAAAGUCCACCCGAGCUUGGGCCUUUAUCACCGUACGAGGUCAGAAAACUAGACCAUAUUAACCAAGUUCCAACGCCCAUUUCAUAACUCGUUGAGAAGCAUCUGGACCAUAUAAGAUUGAUCGUAGCGAAUACUAAGUCAUGACUAUGAUUGUAUGAGCUUGAAAAUAUGGUUUAAGCUUUCGAGCCGCAACAACUAGCACCAAAAUUAAUUUCUCAAUCUUUAGAUAUCUGGUUUCCAUAUCGAGAAGAGCUUUAGAAGUAUAAAAUAUCAACAGUUUGGCCCCCAGCUCUUCUUGUAUAAGGGCAAAGCUCACUGCUACCUCUGAGACUGCCAAGUAAAUGUAUAAAUCCUCCACUGCUUCUGGCUUGGAUAGUAAGGGAUAUGAUGUAAGAUAUUUCUUCAGGUCUUAGAAAGCUCUUUGGCACUCAUCAUCCUAUUUGUCUCGUUGUGCCCUCUUGAUAACCUUGAAAAGGGCUUGCAUCGAUCGGUAGACUGUGAGAAAAAGUGGUUGAGGGCGGCUGCUUAUCCGGUCAAGCUUUGGAUCUCCUUCAAGGUAGUUGGAAAUUUCAACUCUACGAUCACUCAGAUUUAUUUGGGAUGUGCUUCGAUUCCUCGUUGGGUUACUAGGUACCCUAAGAAUCUGCCUGAAGAUACUCCAAAUGUGCAUUUGGCGAGAUUAAGCUUCAUCUUGUACUUUCUAAAGAUGUUGAAAGUUUCCGCCAAGUUGCUGAUGUGGUUUAACCGCUGCUUGCCUUUUACCAUGAUAUCGUCGACAUAGACCUCCAUGGUUACUCUAAUUUGCUUCUUGAAAAUCAUGUUUACUAAUCUUUGGUAAAUGGCUUCCGUAUUCUUGAGGUCAAAUGGCAUAACCUUGUAGCAGUAUGUGCUUCGCUCGAUCACGACCGCAGUUUUCUCCUUGUCUAGCUCAUACAUGGUUAUUUGGUUGUAGCUGAAGUAUGCGUCUAAGAAACUGAGCAGCUGGUUCCCAUAAGUUGAAUCUACUAAUAGAUCAAUUCAAGGAAGUGGAUAAGGAUCAUUUGGGCAUGCUUUGUUGAGGUCAGUGUAGUCUACAUAACCCCUAUAUUUUUCCUUCUCUUUCUUCUUCAUUAGCACAACUUUGGCAAGCCAAGCUGAGUGUGAUACUUCUUAUAUGAAUUUGGCCUCCAAUAGCUUGUCAAUUUCCGAUUCGAUGAUUGCUACUCGCUCCGGCUCGAAAUGUCUUCUUUUUUGGAUCACCGGUUUGGUAACAGCAACGUGCAGCUUAUGGUAAGCUAUCUUGGGGUCGAUGUCAGGCAUGUUCGAAGGUGACCACGUGAAGACGUCGUGAUUUUCCCUAAGGAAAACAGUAAGUUCUACCUUUUCCUUUGGGCUCAGACGUGAGCUGAUUCUAGUGGUAUUCUCUGACUGCUGAAAAUCAAGAACGAUGUGCUUGACAUCCUUUUCGAUUUUCCAUUUUAUGUCAUCUGCUGGUGCGUUGGUUUGGACAUCAUCUUUUUGAUCUGUUUGCUGUAAUUGCUAUUUGGUAGCUUCGUCAUCCCCUUGGACCUCAGUAGCCUUUAUUGGGGUAAAGGUCAUCCAUUUUGAUUCCUUUAAUACUUGCACAGUGCAUCGUCAAGAUGUGGCCUAGUCAGACUUGAUUUCUCCAACUCCUCCUCCUGGGAUGCGAAAUCAAAAUUUUUGAUACUUGACGGAAGUGACAGCAUCCAGCUUUAUCAGCCAAGGUUGCCCUAAAAUCUCAUUGUAGGGAAACAAGUCGCUUACUAUUGUGAAAGUCUACUUUGAGACAACUGGCGGUGUUUUCACGUCAAGUGUGAUGUGGCCGAUGGCAAUUGAGGUGUGUCUAUUAAAACCAGUGAGUACUUCUGCUCGACACAUGAUUGUGUUUUCUAGGCCCAUCUUCUGAAUUAUUGAGAGCUGAAGUAAGUUGACUGCACUUCAGUUAACAACCAUCAUUCUGUCGACUAUAUCGUGGGCUAGUUGGACAAAUACCACCAAUACGUCAUCAUGUGGGAAGUCGAUGCCCUCGGCAUCUUGCUCGGUAAAGCCAACGAUAGGUCCAGGUUGGGUGUUGAUUGCCUAGACUUGUGAGACUAGUAGAGCCUGAUGAAUCUUCAUCUUCAUAGAAUUGUUGGUGGCCCCUAAAUGCUCAGAUUCGACGAAGAUGUAAUUAAUUUGAAUUGUCUUAGUUUGCGGUUCUUCGUUAGCGUCUGUGUUCCUUCUAGACUGUGCAACUGGCUUGUCCAAGUAUAUGUUGACCUUGCCUUCCUUCACAAGCUUAUCUAGGUAAUUCUUCCAAGUAUAACAUUCGUCAGUUGUGUGAACAGAAGAUGUCAUUAAUUCAAAUCGUCUUAGUUUGCGGCUCUUCGUUAGCGUCUGUGUUCCUUCUAGGAUGGACAGCUAGCUUGUCCAAGUAUCUGUCGACCUUGCCUUCCUUCAUAAGCUUAUCUAGGUAAUUCUUCUAAGUAUAGCAGUCGUCAGUUGUGUGAACAGGACCUCGGUGGAAUGCGCAGUACUUAGUGUGGUCCAACUUGGAAAUAUCUCCAUUUGAUUGUUUUGGCAGCUUGAACCAUGGUUCACUCUUGAUGUACUAAAGGAUUUAGUGAAUUGGGAUCGAGAACUUAGAGUAGUUCUUGGGCGUCGGGCCUCCUUUAGUUGAGGAUCAAUCCAUACGUUUGACUAUCUGCCUGUUUUUAUUGCUAUAUUGUUUUCCGUCUUCUUUCUUUUAAGCCACUGCCGAUUCUUUUCAAGGCUGCUCGAGUGCCUUGUUUGCUCGCCGAGCCUCGUCCCAAAGUGAAUGCUUAUCUGCUAGAGUGAAAGAGUCUGCCAAAUUUAGAUUUUCUUUCAUGAUCAAUUCUCCAAACAACGAGUGGUCUGUUAGAAGUCAUUUUUGGAAGGCUGCACUUGUUAUCAAGUCGUCACAUCUGAUUAUCUUCACCUUAUCUGUUUUGAAUCUUUUCACGUAGUCGCAUAGCGACUCUUUUAGAUUCUUCUUCACAUUGAACAAAUGAUCGGACUUCUUCUUAAUCGAGCGGUAUGACGAAUAUUCUUUAGUGAAAACAAAAUAAAAAUCAUCGAAACUCCGAAUGGACCAUGGCGGUAAGGUGUGGAACCAAUCUUGCGCCUCGCCUUGUAAAGUGGUGGCGACUAUCCUGUAUAUAAGGGCAUUGUUGUUCCAAUAAAGGACCAUUGUGCUUCGGCAGUGCUUCAAGUGUCUCUUCGGAUCUCCAUCUUCAUCAGUGACCUCAUUGCAUUGAAAAUCAUGCAAUCGCUCAAUCAUAAGUCUUUUUACUUCUUCCUGAAUUUUCCUUUGUUAGGGUACCGGAGCUCUCGACUGCCUUCGGUCUUAACCUGCUGGCCUAGGCUACUUUUCUAUGUGUUCGGCUUGUCUAUGUCGCGGCUACGGUACGUGUGGUAUGUUCUUAGUGGGCGAACGAAUUUCUCAUAGAUUGCCAAUUGAACUUGAGCUGGAUUGAAUGACCGCUUCUCUCCGUCCGUCAUGCUAUUUACUCCGAUGUGAGGGGAAUAUGCUCUUUGCAAGCCUAGCUGCUAAUGAACAUUUUGCCUAGAAGAUUGCUCAUGUUAACUAUCAGAGUGUGGUCCCAACCGUGAGUGUAUGCAUAUCCGUGAGCCUAACCGAAACUACACGUUCUUCCGUGCACUACGACAAGAGUAUACGCUAUCUCGGGGGCCUAGUCGAGAGUUUACACUGCUAGAGCGCUCGGUUCGUGGCUGGUCGAAUAGCUGAUUACUGGGAAGUUGCUGGAGAGGUUCUUCGUCUGCCCUUGUCUUACAUUGGGACACCUCGUCAAGGGCACGUUGCAUCUUGGUGCGCUACAAGAGCUGAUUCACCAAGGUCAUCUGUUGUCCAAGUGCACUCAUCAACUCUAUAACUUGUCAAGAGAAGUGUUGUUCACCAUUUGGGUUGGAAGAGCUUGGAUGAAAUGCGUCUCCUUGAGUAGUGGAAGUGUGGUAGACUCUAGGCGUAAGAUUUGAGUUGGGAAAUGUCAAAUCCAUGGAAAAAUGUCGUGAAAAUGCCCUCGGUUCAACUGUUUGCCUAGAAAUUUGGAGCCAUGACGAUUUAACCAUUCCUAUACUAGUUUGGGCUGCUUAGGACAUCAUAGGAGUGGAUUGGGCCACGAGAGUGGGCAGGGUUGCAUAUGACGCAUGUGGGUGUGAGGCUUGGACUCGGCUCAGGUACACACUAGGCUAGUGCUAGGUCGUGGCUCGGGUCAGCUUUCUUUGGGCAUGGGCCCAUGUGGUUUGAAGUGGCAAAGGUCGCUAGGUUGCAUUCGACGCAACUUGGGCCUGCAUGUCCUGGGUCGUGCGCUGAGCUUGGGUUUGCGCUGCAAGGGCAACAGCUUGGGCUACUCUCUGCGCCUAGGCUUGCUACUCACCAUGAGCUAUGGGCUUGCCAAAAGUUGCCACGAUGGUGGCUACCGUGGUGGUUGCCACUGUGCUGCCCCGUGUGGGUGGCGUCGCUCCACUUGUUGUCGCGUUAAGCCUUGUGGAUCGUCAUGGUCCUAAUUCUUGAACGUUAGAAUUUUCAUUCGUCGUGGUUUCUGAAUCUCUUGCCAUCUGAUAGGAGCAUAUUUAUGCGACUUAGUUAGCUUGUUUUCUUGCAUUUUCGUAGUUAGUUUGUGUUUAUUAUAGUGAUUUAAGCUAUUUUCGUGUUUGUAGGUCCAAUUGACAAAGUUGGCAAGAAAGUGCGAUUUGGAGCAUUUUGAGGCAGUUUUGGGCAUCAAAUGGAUAGCUUAUGAAUGGAGCAAGAUGGAUGGACAAAUUUGAAGUUCAAGAGGUUAGGAAUGUGCUGAAAAGAUGAAGAAAAUAAAUUCAAGACAAAAAAGAUAAGGAAUUAGCUCAAAAAUGAACAUUAUCCAAAACCUUAUCCAACCUUAUCUUAUCCUACCCUAAUCUUAUCCUACCUUAAAUCUAGCUACAAGAGGACCUAAAUAUUUGAUUUCUAGAAGGCCUAUCAUUUCCCUACAUUUAUGCCUCACCUUUAUCCUUUUAGAACCCUUAAAUUGGUGCUGAAACAUCCUUUCUAGACGUCCCUACAAAUCUAGCGCCUCCCCCUCUUCUAGAAGCUCUAGAACUUGAAACCCUAAUCCUUUUCCCUCUUGAAUUAGGCCAAAUUUAUCCCUUUCCUUGCAGGAAUUAGUGAUGCACCUUUCUAACCUAAUCCCCUUUGGUUUCUGAUUGUUUUAACCCAUUCCACUUAGGUUUUGGUUACACAAACCUUGUCCCACUUUGAUUUCAGAAACCUAUCCUAAUCCUUAGGGAUUGUGACACACCUAGCCCUAUAAAUACAUCAUUAUGCGCCUAUUUCAGAUUCACCACUCUCUACCAUAUUUUUCUACAUCAUUCACCAACACACCUCAUUGUGCCGUAGCUUUGCAAGGAGAUAGGAGAGAGGAGCCAUUUGCCGUGCCUUGUCAUUCACAUUGGAUUGCUGGAGCGUUCUUAAGUGUUUUCUAUCUUUUACUUUCAAUGUCUAAUUUAAUGUUAUCUUCAGUUUUUAAAGACAUGUGGAACUAAUUUCUUUAUAGUUAGAAGUGAAUUCGAAGUCAUGAUUAUAUGCUUUAUAUGAAUUGAUUACAUCCAGUUAUUGUUUCUUGAGUCUUGAAUGUGAUUUGCUUAUCUAAGUUAUUAAAACUUGUUUAUGUGUGUCAAUUAAAGGUCGACAAUUAAUUUGCAUGCAUGAAUUUGAUGCUAGAGUAUAAGGGAGUUUCACCUAAUCGUUAUGAACUUAUAUUCACAAGUAGUGGAGGUUGCUAGUCACGAUCGUGUUAAGUAAAUCCUUGGCAGGAGUAUCAUGCUUUUCAUAGUUACGAAUGCCUCGCCAAUGCUUAUGAUUUUCAAAGAACUUAAUGACCUUUGAUAUGUUUUCUAUCAUGCUUUUCAUAGUUAGGGGACUUAAGAAGGAUAAUUUGGUUGUGAUGCGUAUCCAGUCCAAUUCAAUGAAAUAAGGAAAAUCUAAUGGUUAAUUUGUGCUGUCACGGUUAACUUGGGGUGUUGUCAUUCAUGGUUUAAAGGAAUAAUAACUGGAAAUUGAUUUGUUUGCAUAUGUCAUGUGUGGAAAAUGACCCUCUAACUAGCAUUUCACCCUUUUAAAUUCACCAAAUUCGUUAUCUUAAAGUGUUUUAUGCAAAGUUUCUGUUUUAAGUUUUAAAUUCGUCAAAAACAAUCCCCCAUUCAUUAAGUCUAGUUAGUUGAGUCAUAAUAUGUUUUCUUUUAGUCUUUUGAGUUAAGUUAAGUUUUAUUUUCGUCCAAAACACUUGUUAGGUCUGAAUUGAGUCUUUUGAUUGUUUGUUGUUGUUUUGAGUGUUUUAAGUCUGUUUUGAGUCUAUAGAGUCUAAUUUAGUGUUUUUGAGUCUUAUUUGUGUAGAUUAGCAUCCCCAGUUAAUUCCCAAUCUAGAACGAUCCCUAUUUACAUCUUUGCUACAAUUGUCAUCAAUAGGGUUUAAUUUGUGUGUCAAGUUAAUUUUCACAUCACCAUCGUAUUUUUCUUUUACGUUUAUUCAAAGAUUUUUUGUAUAAAAAAAAUUUAGAAAUAAGAACGUACAAAAAAUUAGAAACCUUGAAUGCGAGAGUCUUCUACGAGCAUGUGAAUCAAGACUCUUAAUGAAAGCACCAAUUUGUGGAUGCAAAUUAUGCCUUCUUCUUCUUGAACGAAAAUGCACCUGCAAAACAAUUAACACCUAAGAUCAAGGCCAAAAGUCUCACGUGCCCACGGUGAAUGGGAGGGCUUUGGCCGAAGGAUCUCCAAUGCCAAAGUUAGAAUUUGAGAAAGAAAGUGUUUAGAGAAUUUUAGAAUUGAAUUGGACUUAGGUUUUUGGAGAAAUGAGGGGCUAUAUUUAGGGGUGUGGCUGGCCCUAUUUGGAGAAAUGGGGACCAGCUACUUAUGGUGGUUUCUUGGCUCUAAUUGCAAGAUAUUAUGUCAAAUAAUAUCUUGCAAUCAAUUAGGAAAUUAAUCAAUUAAUUUUGGUAAUUAGUCCCAAUUUGAAAAUGAUAAUUAGGAGUUACCUUGUGGGUGAGAAUUUGAUGAGGAGUGAUGAGAGGGUUUAAAAGAAUACCAUUUUGAUCACCUUUGACAUCGAUUGAGCCAUUAUUGUCCGUUGCAUGCGCAUGGGAGUCCCGGUGUGCCUUAAGGGUAAUUUUAUCUUUUUCACCCAAAAGUUCACAUGUCGCUUUCAUUUAUUUUUUUUAUUAUUUUGCUCCACAUGAACAAACUCAUCAUGGAAACCAAAUACCAUACCAAAAUUUUCAAUUUCGGUUACCAAAUGGUUUGGAGUUAUCGUGUUCAAUUAUUUCGGGUUGGAUUCAAAUUUUUUAUGUAUUUUUUCUAGCCCUACACAAAACACAACCUUUGGGUUGUCUUUGGAGAACUUAAAUGAUUUUUUCUCUUUAAUAAUAUAAUAUCACGUGAAGUGAGAUUAACACAUAACAUUGCCUUGUGCAUUAGAUGGCAAAUACUGUUUAUUUAAGUUGUUGACCUAAUUUAUCACUUAAUUUUUCAGUCUAAUAGUGUUUCUCUUUAUUUGCAAAUCAGAGGACGUAAAAACACGAACACACCAGUGUACAAGGUACAUAGGAAAACCGGGUUGGGUUGUACUAUGCCCUUUAUGUUCUUCUUCUUCUUGGUGGGUCCCACCUGCUGUGAAAAAAAAAUAAACUUAGGCUGUAGAACCGAAUUCCCUCCAGACCCAAAGGAACUGAGCCUACUCAUCAAAAGAUGCGGACCAUUGAAAUUUGGUUCAUUUUUUGCUGAUUUACAAAAGGAGAAAGGUAGGCUUUUUUUAGCUGAUAAGCACAAAGGAAGGAAUUGAUAAAGUAACAUAGUGAGAGAUUUUUACUGUAGCCAUUAUUAAACUCUCGGUUUUCUAUUUUCACUUUUUUUUAUAUAUAUUUUUGUCCAUUAAUUUUGUUUUUGAGCAAUUCAAUCUUCGCUACGAAAAAAAAUAGGUAGAAGAAAAAAAUUGAGUGAGAAAAUCACUUCCUAAUUUUUUUUUUGCUACUGCAAAAGUAUCACCAUACCUGUUACUAUUACACACACUGCAAGAUGAAUAGCUGCUAAGGUUAAUAUGUUUACUUGGAAAAAAAUGAUGCACAUAUUAUAAUUUAAGGUUUUUUUUUUUAAUAAAAGUGUCCAAUUGGUGGCCAAAUCAUGGCAGUUCAUCCUUUUGGGAGCCGAAAAAACUCAUAAAGGCAUUUCAACCUUCCUAUUAGGGAUGGCAAUUCUAACCGUUAAACCCGAUAACCGCCAGAAUGGAUUGGAUUUGGGUAUGAAAAUUCGGGUAUAGUUUGGGUAUGGGGAAAAACCGUGAAUAUUAUUCGGUUAUGGUUUUGGAUAUGGUUAUAGGAGUCCCCAAUCCAUAUCCGUACCCAAAUCCGAACCGAAUAAUAUAUAAUAUAAUUAUAUGUAUAUAUAUGUAUUUCAUUAUUCAACAAAUCCAUUACCUUGAGAAUACAAAAAUUGCAUUGUGUGAGUUUUAUUUUGUGGCAAAGUUCAAAAGUUUUGAUAUGAAUCAAAAUCUAUGAGAAUUUAAUAGUAUUUAUGCGAGAUAUCAAAGAUCAACCAACAUUAUCAAUGUUUAGCUUUAAUUUUUAUGUACCACAAGAUCCAUUAAUUAAAUCAUUUUAUAGAUCGAAUAUUUAAUGACGAAAUUAAUAUUUACUAAAUUAUCAUGCGUCAAUUAGGCGAAUAUAUUUUUUGUAUUAAUGAAGAUGGAUAUAACCGUUAACCGAUGGGAAAUCCAUUAUCCGGUGGGUAUGGUUAUGGAUAUUACCCGAUGGUUAAUUUGCAAUUAUGGAUAUGGUUAAUUUUCGUGGUUAUGGAGAUGGAUAUAGCAUUUCCGUCCCCAAACCAAUCUAUUGUCAUCCCUACUUCCUAUGUCCACCCAUCAUAUGUUUCACCAGCAACAAGAAUCGAGUUUUAUAAUUUAAGUUGGAUGGAAAUAAGAUAAGGAUGUUUGGGAAUCAUUAGGUGUAGGAGGAUGGCAGUGGGUAUGCUGCCCCUUAUUUCCAUGUCUCCUUUGUGUCUCCUUGGGUAAUUUUUUGACAUGUGGCAUUCACCUUAACUCUACAUAAAAGAUGUCAACUUUUUUUAAUAGAAUUAAUAAAAAAAUUAAAGAAAUACAAAUAAACCCACAAGAACUCAAUCACCCCAUCACCCACCAAACAAAUCACCCCGACAGCCACCCGUCGCCCUAAUCGUAGAUCGUUUCGCUCCCGAUCGUCGGUCUCUUUAUUCACUAACCCAUCAUCGUCAUCUUCUUUUUCUGGGCCAAAUUAAUGAAACCCAGUUUAGGCUUCCAUAGCCCACCGGUUCUGGGUCGUUGUCUUCGUCGUCAACCUCAUCCUCCUCAACAUCCUGCUUGCUUCUGGGUUUGUUUGUGUUGAAUUGGCAAUAGAGACGAUUGUGGGUUCUAGGUUUGUUUGGGUUGAAGUAGCAGCAGAGACGAUUUGGGGGGACGUCUUAGGAUUAUGGGUUCUUCUACGUGUUGGGAGAUUGAGGAAUGUGAUUGGAUUCAUUGGGUUGAUAAGGAUGAUAAGGAAGAUGAGUUUCCACUGGGUUAAGGGAUUCUUUUGAGGGAUUGCAGGAGAUUGAGGAAGGAUUGCAGGGAGAUUGGAGAUGAUGAAUUUCAACAGUGUCCUUUCGGGUUUUUUUGAGUUUUUAAAUUUUUAAUUAAAUUUUAUGGAAAGUAACAGUGUUCCAUUUUAAUGUUAAGUGGAGGACACGUGUCACAGGAUUAAGUAAGAGACAUAUAGGAGACACAUUAUUCAGGACAGCAAACCCACGACCAUAGGAGUAUAGAGUUUUGCUUAUUUGGGGAAAAUGGUUAAUGAUUCAAACUCUAUUUCCUUCUCCUCCUUGCGUUGGCGCCUUGAUAUGGAAAGUUGUACAGAACAAAAAUAGAUACAAAUAAGGAAGGUUACAGCUAAAUGAUUGCUUAUUCUAUUUUUUGGUCUAAGGUUUUAAAUUAUAAAUUGCCACUUAGUACUACAAUUUAGUGGUAUUCCUCUUCACUUGUAAGUGAGAGGUCUUAGAUUCGUUUCUCACCAAAGGUGAAUUUGAACCAUAUUAUUGCUAGCUUAUUGUGAGGCUUAGCCAACUCUCCCACCUCCUUAGUGUAGAUGCUAUCGUUUCUUCGAAAAAAAAGUUUUAAAUUGUUGAUUAAAAAGUAGAAAAUUUGGAUAAGGUAUGGGCUAUGUGUCUAAAGAGGAGCGUGUAAAGAGAACCCUUCAACUUCAAUGCGACUCACUUCAAACACAUGGCCCAAUAGAACUUGGGAUAUACAAUAGCUCCAAGAGCAGUUCCGUCGUUGCUAAGCCCCCCCCCCCCGGCAGGCUACUCACUAUUUAAUCCACCUAGUGAACAGUAACUGCCCUUAAUGAACAGUAACUGUCUUUUGCAUCUCCACCCCUACAUUGAAUAGCCCUGGCAAUAGGUAAAAAAUAUAUUAGUAUUUUUUUAAAUAAUACAAAAUAAUUUUAUUUGUAAUUUCGGGUAGGAUUUUUAAUCAGUCUCAUUGUACCACUUUCUAUUAAAUUUUUUUUCCUUUUCACAUGGUGCAACACACCAUUCCAAAACCUUUUUUUUUUUUCUUCUUUUCACAUGGUGCCAACGCACUAUUGUGUGUUUUUUGUUCUUUCUUUUUCAAGCUUAGUAGCUCUCUCUCACUUUGAGCUCCGGAGGCAGGGCCUCAGAUUCUAACAACAUCAAUAGUCGAUGAAGGGGCGCGAAAACAAAUCCCAGUCAUCUUUUUCAAGCUCAGUCAUCUUCUCUCUCUCUCUCUCUCUCUCUCUCUCUCUUUCUCUCUCUCUCUCUCCCAAAAAAAAAUCCCAAAUCGUACGAUCUGGGCACGCGAGUGGAAAGAGGGGGAUCGCGAGUGCGUGGAGGCGAAGGCGGUGUGGGGUGCGACGGAAACUGCGGCAGUGAAGGGACUGGAACCCUUCCAUUUAUCUGUGGGUGUAUCAUAAGUCUCGGCGUCAAACUCCAACGAGAGCCGUUGAGUUCGAAGCUAGAGUUUUACAUUUUUUUUAAAUUUUUAUUAAUUUAUUAAUAUUUUUUAAUUUUUAUUAAUUUUAUAUUAUGGUUGACGUCGCCCGCCCACAUCACAUGGCCUUCGAGCUCUUGGGCUAGCAAUCCCUGCCGAGCCUAUCACUCAGGCCUGUCACUUGAGCCUGGCCCAUCCCUCGGGCUGGCAUACGUUGGACCUUAUCCCCCAACCUAUUUGGCUCUGUUCCAUCCCCAGUCCACCGGGUAAUACACCACGAUGGAACUGCUCUAAAUCGUUGCAACACAUCCAUAUCAAUGACUAUUGAAAUCACAUUAUUUCCCCAAAAUAUCAAAAUAUCUUCAACCUCCCAAGAGACAUCCCAAAAUGGCCACAUCUUCGUCACCAUCAACCGUCGAUUAUGUUGAUCCCUCGGCCAUCGCUUCGGUUGAUCCCUCCUCCGCCAUCAUCGCUAGCCCUCAUCCGCCAUCUGUUACAACCCGCCCCUAAUUUUCUUGUAAAUAAUCUAUUAAUGUGAAAUUGACCACAAUACUUCUAAGAGAGUAAAUUUAUAAAAAUAUUAUAACCUAUUACAGAAAAUAUAUUUUCAAUUAAAAUAGAAAGAAAUAUGAUUUCAAAAUGAAAAAAAAAAAUAUUAGAACCUAUUCUACCAAACCCUAGCCACACAUGCAUGCAACCCGACGAACAUGUCCCUAGAUCCACCCCGACCCCACAUGUUACGGCCCAAGUUCCACCGUCAUAGUCUCAAGAAAUUAAUUUCAACCACCUUGUCUCCGACUGUAUAAUAGAAAAACAAAAUGCAAUUGAGAGAGCCAUAUAUUACCCUUUCUCUUUAUUUAAAUUUAAAUUUACAGAAAAAAUGAAAAUCAACGAGAAAUAACACAUAUAAGAGAUAAAACUUCCAAUCUGAAAAUUAUUAAGGUUGUGACAUAGAAAAUUAGGGGGGCGUUGCAAGAAAAUUGGGAGAAGAGAGAAUGUUGGGAAGGAGGUCAAGGAGUUGGGGGGAGAAUAAUUUUUCUUUUAGCUUUUUAAUUUUAUUUCAUUUUUAACUAUUUUAAAUCAAAUAGAUAAUUUUAUAAAUAAGUAUAAUAAUCUAUGAAUUUUUUAACAAAGAUGGAAUGUCCUUAAUUGGUUAACAGAGAUAAAUACAAAGAUCAAAUUGACCAAAUUGAAAACACGGAAACCAAUUGACCCAAUGAUAAAAAACACAGUGACCACUAUGACAUUUAAGCCAAUUUUCUAAUAAAGAUUUAAUGGAACAUCCUUAUUUGGUUAACGGAGAUAAACAUGAGGACUAAAUUGCCCAAAUUGAUAACACGAAAACUAAAUUUGCCAAAUAGCUAUAACACAGGCACCAUUUUAACAUUUAAGCCAAAAAGAUUUUCCACAUGUAUCAACUUCUUAUUUUCCACCCAUAUUGUGUUCCUAAAGGGACAUCAAACUGUAUUUCUACAAUAUGGAAUUGUUUCUUACAUGUAAGAACCCGCAUUAUCUUUUCAAGGCUCCUAAUGCAAUCCCUUGGUUCCUUAUGGUGGAUUGGAAGAAUUGUUCAUGGCGACAUUUUCAAAUGUGGUUUAUAUGUACACAUAUUUAUCAAGAAGGAAAUUAGGUUGCAGAUCUUUAGCUUCAUUUAGAACAGAUAGGUAUGCUUAUCACCAAUGGUCUACGGUUCCAAAUUUUGUUGCAUCUGCUCAUGCUCGUGACAUUUCAUUUUGUCCUUGUUAUCGGUUUCUUUGAUCAUUUGGUCAUUGUGGGUUCUCACUUUUACGGGAGGAUAGGUGUCUUAUGAACUUAUAAAAAUAAAUAAAUAAAUAAAAAGAUUCUCGUUUCAGUGCACUCAAAACAUAUAGGAGGUUAUUCAUUAUAAUUUAUAAUCCAAUCCUAAAGACCAACUAGGCAAAAAUACAUUAUUUAUGAACCAUUGAUGAAGUCAAGGGAUGAAAGGCCUCAAUCUCAUUUGAGAAUGAGUGGGUUUAGUUGCCCAUGUCAGUUUCCAGUUUUCCAUUUACUACAACCAAUGACAUUGAAAAAUCCAAAAUCCGAUUUCAUAUAUAGCUUUCUCCGCCACGCUCAAACCCCCAUUCUUUCUCCUGUGGUCAAAUUUAUUUGUUCCUUCUAUUAACAAUGAAUCACUUUUCUUUUUCUUUUUUUUAAAGUAUGAUAUUUAUUGAUUAUAUGUAUCAAUAAUUCAUAUGAAGAUGAUAAGAUAUUUAGUGGGCUUUGAUAAAAUCAUGUCGGAAAUUUUAACCAUAAUAAAAUGUUAACCUUAAGAAUUUAAGCCUUUUUUGUUUAUUUCUUUAUUUUUUGGUGAACGUUUAUUUCUAUUUUUUUGUCCCUUUAAAUUCACAAACUACACCUACAAACUUUGAUUUGGACAUGGUUUAAACAGAAGAGUCUUGCUCACGUAAGACCAUUUCCAACCAAAGGGUCCAGAGGGCCAGAGGACUGAAAAACGCCCAAAAAUCGUCUCCAACCGAGGGUUAGGCCAGAGGACUCGUGGGCCCCAUGAAAUCUGAAAGGGCCAAAGGGCUGGCUAAAAAUCUCAUCAAUCCUGUCGGUUAUAUCCGAUAGGAAUUCUAAGCCAAAUUUCAAAUGCAACAGCUAGCUAACGUUAGUUACUGUUGAUUUUUUUUUUUUUUUGGGCCAAUUUUUUUUUUUUUAAUUCUUAAAAAUUCUCAUUUUUUCCCUAUGAAUACCUAAACCAUUCAUUCACCAUUCCUCACAAAUUUUUCACCAUUUCAAUUCUCAUAUUUCUUACCUCUUUCAAAAAUAUUUCCUUCAAUUCUUUCAAUAAUUUUCAAAUGGCCUCGUCUGCAAUGAAAGGUAGGGCUUGGACCCAAAAAGAAGAUGAAGUUCUUUGCAGGACUUAUAGAUGGGUGUCGGAAGAUAGUGUGAGGGGGAGUUAUUUCUCAAACAAGUGAAAGUGUUUGGACUCGUGUGUCCAAAAAAUACUUAGAUUUCUACGAAGGCACUGCUCCACUAAAUAUCCGAAACCACGAGAGUUGUUCUUCAAGAUGGAAAAAACAUCUUCACCCAAGUUUGAACAAAUGGCAUCAAGCACUGUUAGUAGCCGCAAGUAGACAUGAAUUGAUAAGAAAUAUAUGAAUAAUUAAAAACCGGAACUACUAGAGUGCACUAGAAAGCGAGAAGUGUUAGGAGUCAAUUACAAAAGUAAAUACUCCUAAUCAGAGCAUAAUAAAUCUAGGUGCAGUCCAGUAGGACAAGUACUGGUUAUACAGUACCAGGAAUGUCCUACUAUUAUUUAGAUAUGUCAGAACCGUCAAAAUCCUCAACGCUACCGACAACAAGCUUACCUAAAACCUGGAAUAGCGCAAAACAGGAAACGUGAGUGGGCAAAAACAAAUGUUUUACAAAACCAUUUCAUUUAUCAACAUAUUUAACCCCUCGCUGUAAAACAUAUAUAAUUUUUCCCAGAAUCAGGGUAUAUGCAUAUACAUAAAUAUUUAUGUAAUUAUAUCAAUUCAAAUCAUGCUUCACAUAAUCAUAUUCAUAUGUAUGUCAUGCCAAGAUAUAACAGAGUAAGCAAUUCAGUUAAGAAUAAUUUCAUAUAAAUAUAACAUGUUAGCCGAAACCCCUGUGGUAGUCUGUACGGCUGAAUUCAUAGCUCAAAAAAGUCAAUAUAGCCGGAGUCACUACAAUGAUCUAUACGACACUAUACUGCCCAAGAGUCAGAACCAAAUGAAAAGGUAUGUACGACAAUAAUGGGUGUAAUAUAAUCAUGCUCAAUACUACUCACACAUAAUAGCUGGGCGAUAAAUCGCUAGUCACCUACGAGUCGGAACCACCUAAGAUGGUCUAUGCGACAAGACUGUGCACCUAAAUUGGAUCCAAUAUGAGCAUAUAGUGCGGGAGGUGACAUAAUAAACAGGCUUGUGUCAUAUCUCUGGCUAAAAUCACAAUCACCCUAGAUGCAGUUUGAUGAGCUCAACGUUAUUCAAUCACAUAUCACAUCAUUAAUAAUUCACAUAUCCAAAACAUAACUCACCUGAGCUUACCUGAGCAUCCACAGCCCCACAAUUAUAUAUAUAAUGCAUCAUAUACCAAUUCAUAUACGAAAUAUAAUUUCAUAUGCAUGGCAUUGAAGGCAUACUUUUUAAACACAUAUUUCUGGGAAAAUAUCAAGUAUAUACAUAUAUACUGAAAACCAAAAGCCCACUCACUGGUAUGUCAAAGGGUCGUAGCCUUCGAAUCGCCCUUGAACGCACUCGUCCUCGGGAUAAGUCUCACGUAUAUGCGAAUUAACUAUAAAAACGUUAUUUAAAGCACAUAGGCAAAACUAGCUAAUAACUUCUCAAGUUCUCAUACAUAGCUCAAAUUAGGUAUAUGAAUAUACCACAGUGACCUAUACAAUCUCAGGAUUGUCCCCAAAUUUUUAAAAUAAUUUUUCAUCCACCCACGCACGGCCACGCGCCGGCGAGUGCAUGGCAAGACGCGCAACCACAUGCAGGAAACCCUAAUGGAAACAUUAACGGCAAUUAGGAAUAUUCCGCUAAAUCCUAACAGAUUCUGUUAAACUUAAAUGAUGGCGUCAGAAUAUUCCCUCAGAAUUGACAGAAUAUUCCGUCGUCUUCAACCUCAGACUCCGGCGACCGUCGCCGUCGCCGGAAAACUAGAAUUUUCAAAUCGCUAUAUCUCACUCAUUUGUCAUCAAUUUCCUACAAAAUUUGCACCAAAAUGAAGAUUACAACUUGAAGAACAUUUCUUUACCAAUUUGAAGCUCUAAAAGUCACAGAAUCUCGCUGGAGAAAUUCCACAAAAUCCGGCCAAGCUUGAAACUCACAAUCCCGACUCCAAUUUCACCAAACGAACCACUCCGAGCUUCCUUAGGACCUCCUAAAGCUUCCUAUGCCCUUAAAAUUCCCUAAAAAUAAACAUUUUACGUGAGCAUGAAAUCGGGGUUCAGAUUUCACGAGUUUUCAAGGGAGUUCUUACCUGAAAAUGGUACCAUUCAACUCGUAUGGUUCUCACGAACACAAUGGUGUGCUUCACACCCUCUAUCUUCACACUUUCUAUGGGUUUUGGGUGUAGUCUGUACAAGAGAGAAGAAAAAAGAGAGAGAGAGUGCGUCCGAGAGAGAGUGAGUACGGGAGGGUGAGAGAGAGAAAGUUUUGGGUGUGUGUGUGUGGUCCUCACACUAACACAUCACCAAACCCACAUCUACAACCAAACGAACAGUCUAAGUCCCAAAUUAUCCAAAAUUAAGCUAGGGCAACCAAAUAAACCCUAAUAUUAAAUCCCAUGAAACGUUUAAGGGUAUUCUCGACAUUUCCCAUCCAUGAGAAUAAUUUUCCGGGACAGGCUGUGACAUAUAGGAAGUAUUAUUGGCACUCCAAAAAUCUCAUUCUACACUCCUUACAAGUGUAUAUUUCUUUCCUAAUAUAGAAAGUUUGAAGUGUAGAAUAAGAUUUUUAGAGUGCUAAUAACAAUUCCUAUAUAUAUAUAUGUAUGUAUAUAUAUGUAUGUAUGUAUAUCUUUCUUCCCUACUCGUAGAUAAAAAGAUGGAAAAAUAAUGUACAUGGGAAUGUAAGGCUAUACUUCCUCUGAAAAAUGUUUGAAAGCAACGCUGGCUACUCGGAGAAGCAAUUGCUUUGAAAAUUACCAAGAACUUUUUUAUUUUCUUCAUUAAUGUAAAAUCACCUAAAAGAAACAUUAAACACAACAAAGUUGGUAUAUAUUUGAUUGUCUAGUUUUAAGUUAUUCAAGAUUUAAGUUGUUUAAUUUCAAAAACUUUGUGAUAUCGAGUACCAUUUCUAUGAUUGAUCUCUUUCUUAUGUAAAAAAAAUUAUUUUGUAGUACUAGAACACCAUCACAUAACUAACUUGUUAUUUUGUGCUCCAAGUUCCUUAAUUUGAAGAAAAACAAAUGGCUUGUAGCAAAAUUUUGGCCUACAUCAAAGCCCUUUUAUUAUAAGAAACAUACAAGAAUCCAAAAUGCAAAGCUAUUCAAUUCGAAGCUGCGCAUCAAUAUAUGUGGGUCUAUCUUUAUUAAUAAGGAAAACUAAUGAAAAUGGCUUGAAAACUUUGAGUUUUAAUGAUAAGGACAAAAUAAAGGAUAAAGUGAAUAGUAGCAUGUUUGACUUUUUAGUAUAAAAAUGUGAUUUUUUGUUAAAGUAAACAGUACCGUAGGCUUUUCGUUAAAACUCCCUUAAUAAUAUGAUACAAAUAUGAGAUUUAAACUGGGGCAAAAAUAUAUAGCAUUUUUGUUUAAACAAUGGUCAGGAGAAAGAAUCAAUGCGAAUAAGUGAGGAGCAAAUUACCAACUAUUUUCUGCUUAGGCCAGCUUUUGUUGGUUUGUUCCAAGUUAAGCAGAUAUGUUCUCGUCUCUUAAAUUCGAUGCCAAAUUUGGCAAGUUCUCUGGACACUUGGAUGGUGAAAACUUCGUGGGAAUUUGUGCUUUUACAUGCGUAUAAGCCCAUAAGGUAGUACAACCUUUUAAGUUUUAAGAGUAAUGUUAUUCAUACCAUGUUUUUGUACCAUAUUUUCAUACCACUUUAGAUGGCAUUUGAUGUGAAUAGACACAUCAUUUGAAUUAAUCAGAUUUUUAAAUUUAGUUCAUUAUUUAAUAAACUAAUAAUUAAGAAAAACUAAUUAAUUAAAUCAUGAUUGUGGUAUACAAGGAGUCUUUCUCCUUUCUUUCUUUAGGUUUUGUAAAUUUUUCAAAUGAUGUGGCUGUCCACAUCAGAUGCCACCUAAGAUGAUAUGAAAAUAUAGUACAAAAAUAUGGUAUAAAUAGCAUUACUCAAGUUUUAAUAUUCCUGUAAUUUUUAUACUAUAUCUAAUUAGUAAUCACAAUGAACAUUAAGGCUGAUAAAAAUAAAAAAUAAAGCACAAUCAACUAGUAAGUUUUUGGUGCUCCUAAAGCGGUUUCAAUUUGCUGCAUAUAAUCUCUGUCAAUAAAAUACAGAUGAUUCAAUUUCCCAAACCCAUGCCGAAUGGGGAUGGAGUGGGGAGGAUGGGGGGAUGGGGUUAUUUUGGGAGUGAGGACUGCAGGAGGGUAUAUCCGACCUCGCCUUGCCAGUUAUUAUCUCCAAUAAACUGAACAUUUGCGACUAAUUAAGUACUUAUGCAUGAAGCACUUGAAAAUAUUUCCUGAAGAAGCAUGCAUGUGUGCUUCCACGAUAUUUGAUCAUGUUAAAAAAGUUUUAACUCUUUCAAAAAUAGUUUAACAAAACCGAGUCUUUGGAGAUAUUCUUGAUCACUUUAUGAGAGAUUUAGAAUGAGAGAUAUUGUCGAUUACACUCAAGUUUCUCCCAUAUGUCUUUUAUAAGGGCCAAAGUGCAUGCUUAUCUCCAUUAAUUAUACUACAAACUAAGAGCUUUAGGGAUAACAAUUAAUCUAUAAUCUUUUCCCAAUUCAUGAGUUAAGAACUUGAGAGUGAGAGAGAGAUACAUAUCUCAAUUCAUAUCUCAAUAUGCGUGCACGAAGUGAUUUGGUCAUCUUGUAAACAAGAGAACUGAAGUUGACACGAGAGGAGGAUAGCAGACCAAGCCCUCCAUUAUCAAGAUUCCUUCGGACGUUUCUCGGGAGACAUGUGCUUCCCACAUGCCUCGAGGCCCCCAACUACACCUUACUAUCUACUGUAGGCCCCACCUCCCAGCAACUAUCACCCUUGCUCCUUCCCUCUCCGUGCAUCUAUAAAUUCAGGACGAUGGUGCAGAUUGGAGAUACAGCAAGCAAAAUACCCUUCGAGCUAAACCCUAAAACACACUUCAGUUCCAAGUUCUAAGUUCAUCUGCAACAUGUCGGGGAAGUGCGACAACUGCGACUGCGCUGACAGCACCCAGUGCGUGUAAGUAAUGCUUCUUUAUCAGUUUAGUUAUGGAUCUGUAAAUCUUGCAUGGCUAAAUACUGGUUUGGUACUGAGCUCAAAAAGGUGUUUGGUAAAUAAUUAAAAACAACUUAUUUUCACGGUUUUGGGUGAAAAAAAAAACUAAAAACGUGAAGCAGCAAAAAUAAGUUUAUUCUCACAACACAGCCGAAACAGUUUUUAUUACAAUGAUAGUGUAUUUGUGUUAUGAAAGUCUUUCUUCUGUAUAUAGACUACAGAUGGGAAGGCCUUGGAUAUCCUCGUAGGUAUGACACCAUGGAUGUAUCGCUGAAGACUAAACCCUAGCUAUAGUGCUAAUCAAAUCAAGAUACGUGAUAAGUGCUAUAGGAAUAUGGUGAUCUAUCCUCGGUGACACCUAAAUCUUUCUCGAAUAGAAAGGGUUUGAUAAUUGUUUUCGACUAGGGUUACCAACUAGUAGUUUACUCGCUUAAUAACAAGAUUAUAUAGGGUAUUUAAUUGCUUAAUGCGAAUUAAAUAACUGAUGGAGGGCUUAACUGAAAUGAUUUAGCUCUAGUAUGUGGUAUUUCUCUUCUUGACGUUGAAGAUCUGCUGUUUCGGAUUCAUUUUUUUCGAUCUAAUUGGUGCAUACAUGCCUUCAAAGCUUUAAAAUGCCAAUUUUUUAAAUCGCAGGAAGAAGGGAAACAGCUACGACUUGGUGAUCGUUGAGACUGAGAACCGGUACUUUUGUCAUAAACUUCAAUAAAUUUUAAGAAUUAACUUUUCUUCUCUUUGUUUCCUUAAGACUAAUUGUGGAGAGUUUUGAUUAAUUUUGCAGCUCCAUGGACACCGUCUUCGUGGAUGCUCCUGCCGCCGAGCACGACGGAAAGUGCAAGUGUGGCACAGGCUGCUCAUGUGUGAGCUGCACCUGUGGUCACUAAACCCAUACAACCAAAUUAAAGAUGUAAACGAAUAAAGUGUUUGUGGGAAAACAACGUUGUGGCUUUGUCUUUGGUUUGUUUAUAGUAUUUGUGUCUGUUGAGUGACAUGUAGUGUCUGUGAAAACCUGUCACUAUGUUUCUGUGAUUGUGUCAUAUAAUCGCCAUGUUCGUGGUCUUGUGAUGUUAUGAAAUGAUAUUAUUAGAAUACAUGCUUUGGCUCUCUUAAUUCCAUUUUAUUUUCUCCCUAACCAUAAUUUUGCUUCACAUCAUAGCUGCAAUUAAUCAAGGAAUUGCAGAUAGGAAAGUAAUAGAUGUAUUCUUGCAUACAAUAUUGUGGAUAACAAUGGACUUAUAGCUCAAGUAGCUUAAUUUACCCUUUGAUCUGAGGUUUGAUGUUCGAUUAUCCCUCCGUUAUCACCGUUACAUAAAAAUGAAAUAAAAUAUGACGGAUAUGUCCAAUAUGUUCUUAUUUGAAACCCUUUUGGAUCUUGGGAUUGGUAUUAAAUGGGAGACGAUUAGAAUGCUCAAUCAUUUUAUUUAGCAUUUGAAGAUGUUUUGAUUCCUUUUGCUCUUCCUUUGAGCCACCAAAACGAAUGGCACAAAACGCAGAAAUAGAAAUCCCAUUUCACUGUAUGGGUGGUGUGACUAGGCAAAGGGAUUUACAUGAAAUGAAACGCAUAGCCGCAUGACAUCGCUUGAUUCGUUUAAGACAACAACAACUAGGCGUGUAUGUUUAUUUAUGUUAGUCCUCGUGAAUAAGAGGUUAGCAAGGCAUUAGUUCAUCAAGGAAUUUACGAAUAUUUGAAUGAUAAACUAAUUCGAGCGAGCCUUACAAUUAGCCAAGACAAUAGCAUAUAUUAAGCUCACAUGUUGUAAGGGUGUAAGUCUCAGUAAAAUUUAAGUAAAUACAAGUCAAAUAUGGUUGCAGACAGAACUACAGAAGCUCUUCUUUCUUGUAUUAUUCACCAACGUUCAAAUAUUACCAUGUUGUAUGUCUAAACCUAAAGUAAAUGGUUUCCUUUCAAAACUGUUGAGCGUAGCCUUCAAUUUAUUAUCUUAACCAUCCGGAAAUUUCAAACAUUGAAGCCCUCUGCACGAAGGCACUUGAGAUGAGCAUCGAUCCAUUUUGUGCAAGCAUCUUGACCAUGUUCUACAAUGCAUUCAUCUCGCAGCUUCUUAGUAUCCGGGCAAGCACAGCAGAUCUUCUUCUUCGGCUUUGUGUCCAGGGCAGGAGUAGUGACUGCUGAUCCUUGAUUAGGCUGUGACCUUUGCAAAACCAAGGCAGAGGAAGUAUUUUCUGCCGGCAGUCCACCCAUUUCUCAAAGUUCUUCAAGACCUAACAGAAAUAUGCUACUAAAAAACAAGAAAGAAAACAAAGAACAUCAGCUUCACUCAGAGCAGCCUCAAUGAUCAACAUGUAUUCAUUAAGGAUGGUAUGCACCAUAUCAUACCUAAACAGAUUGAAUGGAAGAGAGAGAUAUGGCGUCGUAACUUAUAGAAAACACCCCGUAAAAUACGUUAAUCACGGAUUACCCUAAUCACUAGACACUAGCUCAUGUAAAAGUGAGGAAAUCAACCGAAAAGCAAAAACCCUAAACCCUACUUCUCCAAACGAGCACAAAUCCACAGGAUCCCAAAACAAAAAACCCAGAUGAAGAAAUAAACUUUUUCACCAAGGUUCCGGAUUUCAAUCAAGAUUCAAGACACGUCCUUUAUCCAACACCCACUCGGGCAUUUCUUCAAACAUACGGUGGGCACUUUGUUACUACAAGCAAACUCCCGCAUAAAUACUACAUAUUCACCAAAAGCGGCAGAAACUAUAAAUAUUAAAUACAAAGGCAAAGCAGAAAACCCAGAUGAAAAGUAAAGCAACCCAUCUAAUCAAACAACAACACAGCCAUAACCACAGAGAUUUUGGAACUUUACAUACAUUUAUUGGAUGGACAAGUAAAUAUGUCUCAGAAGAGUAACGAAAUUGGUAACAGAAAUGUAUGAGACAAGGAAGGAAUUACUUACCGCGGAAAAGGAAGGAGGAGGAGAAGCUGAAAGGAAGAAGCUUUGCGUUUUCUUGAAGGCAGAAAGUGGGAGCAGAGAAAAGGUGUUUGUUCUCUGUAGACGAAAUUGGCCGCUCAAAAUUUCAAGGCUAAAACUGGGGCGCGUAUGAGUCGAAGGGUCAACCCUUGUCUUGGGCUCUGCAGGCCUACAAAAAAUAUGCUGAAAACUUUCGGGCUUGUUUGGUAUUUUAUUUGAAAUUUUUUAUAAUUUCUCAAAUUUUUGCUGAAAAUAAUUUUCUUUAAAACUCAAAAACUUGUUUGGUAUGCGAGUUAAAAUUUUUAAAUCUUACAACUUAAACAGGACAAAGAGAUCAAAAAGAGGGGGUUGAGAGAGAAAGAGGAAAGAGGAGGAAAGAAAGUAAGAGAUGAUUGGAGGAAAGAAAAAGAAGUGAGAGGAUCGGUGGAGAUAGAGAGAAAGAAUCAGGAGAAUGGAGAGAGUAGAUUAGAGGAGAGACGAAAAAUGUAAAAAUAAAAAUAAUAAUAAUAAGAGAAAGUGGAGAGAGAAAGAAGAAAAUGGAAAGAUAGAUUUGGAGUGAGGGGGUAGAAGGGAGAGAAAAGAAAUGAUUGAGUUUAAAUUUAAAAAUUCUAAAAACUCACUUUUUUAGAUAAUAGACUACAUUUUUUUAGUUAGUCUUGAGUUAAGUUUUUAAAAAUAGUUCUACCAAACAAGUUUUUAAGGCCUAAAACAUAAAAAUUGUUUUUUAGUUUAAAAAGUUGCAUUCAAGUAAAGUACCAAACAUGCUCUUCAUUUUUUUUAAUUUUAAAUAUUUUUUUAUAGCUUUUAUCAAAUUGACUCUUUUUUUUUUUUUUUAUCUUAUCAGACAAAUUAAUCUAACGUCAAUAUAAAAUUGUAGCACAAACUGCCAAAACAAUGUUAAAAAUGGCCUUCUAAUUGUAUGUUGUACUCUAUUUACAAAUUCUAAAAAAUGUAGAUGUGAAUUACAUUAAUUUGUCACACGUUGUCGUAAAACCAAAUGAAAGACAUAAAUCGUAAAACCAAGUUAAGGACAUAAGUAAAUGCAUUUCCCAUCAUUCUAAAAAAUCUAAUAGCAAAUAGAAGCAGACCGGAUAAGGAAUCCGCAGUUCGGAUCAAAAGCCAGUCGUGAGGCAUUGAUCCUUGGAGCUUGCUUGCUAUAUCAUGGCCAUGGAUGAACACAGAGAAUUCAUUCAUAAGAGCAAAACAUCAUCAAGUCUCCACAAAUCAAAGCAACAACAGAGUGGAGCAUACAUAUUAGGAAAAACCCAGAUAACCCCAUAGCUUAAAACCCCAAGUAAAACCCUAGUCUUUCUUCUCUACACACAUAAACUUCAAGACGUGAGCGUAGUCACAUUAGCAAGAUAAGAUGUGCUCUCUUAUGUACCGAGUUUAAAUCCUCUUGUUCGCAGUUUAGAAUAUCGCUUGUAUCAUAGAACAAAACAAAAUUCCAUUAUAUUCAACCACAAUUUGCUCAAUAAAAUACUCUGAAAAGAUCACAUAUAUAUCAAAAACCCUAAACCCUAAAGUCUCACUUUACAAAUCCCAGAAACCAGAGCAAACUAAUCAGAAGCCAACCUUACUUAUUGUCAGUGGAGGAAUGGAUCUCGAUUGAGAUAUUUCAGCAACUACAACAUGCUGAAUAGCUGAUUGUCAGUGGAGGGAUUUUUCUAUUUGUGGUGAAUUUCAACUACAAACAUGACCUUUUAAAAAUUAUAAUAAUUGUAACUGUUGGAUCAAAUUUCAAUGGUCUGGAUCAUUUGAUUCUUAGGCUCAGUUCCUUUGGGUCCGGAAGGGAUCCGGUUCCCUUAGGCUGCACAUUUCUUCUAACUGCCAAUGGGAAUUUGACAUUUGAGUGAGGGUGGGUCAUGGUGUUGACGUGGCGGCUUUUAAGGGAAAGAACUGUGAGGCUCAAGUGUAGGAUGAGUGUAGAGGAUCCCAACCACUUUUGGGAUUGAAGCUGAAAAAGAGCUUUUUUAAAUAAAAAGAAAAUAUUACCUACUGAUUAGCAAAAAGAAAAGGGUAGGCAUUUUUUGCUGAUUUACAAAAUGAAAAAGGUAUGCUUUUUCUGCUGAUAAGCACAAAGGUAGGAAUUGAUAAAGUAACAAAGUGAGAAAUUAUUACUGUAGCGAUUCUUAAACUCUCGGUUUUCUAUUUUCACUUUUUUUUUUAAUAUUUUUGUCCAUUAAUUUUGUUUCGAGUAAUUGAAUCUUCGCUACGAAAAACAUAUGUAGAAGAAAAAAAUUAAGUGAGAAAAUCACUUCCUAAUUUUUUUUUUGGCUACUGCAAAAAGUAUCACCAUACCUGUUACUAUUACACACACUACAAGAUGAAUAGCUGCUAAGGUUAAUAUGUUUUCUUGGAAAAAAAAAAUGAUGCACAUAUUAUAAUUUAAGGUAUUUCAACCUUCCAUGUCCACCCAUCAUAUGUUUCACCAACAACAAGAAUCGAGUUUUAUAAUUUAAGUUUGAUGGAAAUGAGAUAAGGAUGUUUGGGAAUCAAAAGGAGUAGGAGGAUAGAGUUUUGCUUAUUUGGGGAAAAUGGUUAAUGAUUCAAACUCUAGUUCCUUCUCCUCCUUGCGUUGGCGCCUUGAUAUGGAGAGUUGUUCAGAACAAAAAUAGAUACAAAUAAGGAAGGUUGAUAGCUUAUUCUAUUUUUUGGUCUAAGGUUUUAAAUUAUAGAUUGUCACUUAGUACUACGGUCUAAUGGUAUUCAUAUUCACUUGUAAGUGAAAUGUCUUAGGUUCGUUUCUCGUCAAAUGCGAAUUUGAACCAUAUUAUUGCUAACUCAUUGUGAAGUUUAGCCCACUCUCCCAUCUCCUUAGUGUAGAUGCUAUCAUUUCUUUGAAGAAAAAGAAAAUGUUUUAAAUUGUAGAUUAAAAAGUAGAAAAUUCGGAUAAGGUAUGGGCUAGGUGUCUGAAGAGGAGUUUUGGGUGUAAAGAGAGGAGGCAGAUUCUCUCCUCUCUCACUUUCUGUGCCCUCCUGUUUUGUGUGGUCAUGGUUAAGCCACGUCAACAUUUUAUAUUAUUUUUUUUAUAGAGAUAAUAAGAUAAAAAUGAAUAGUAAUAUAAAAUGUUGACGUGGCUUAACUGUGACCACACAAACAGAAGGGUACGGGAAAUGGGAGGGCAGAGAAUCUGCCUCUGUAAAGAGAACCCUUCAACUUCAAUGCGACUCACUUCAAGCGCAUGGCCCAAUGGAAGGAUAUACUAUAGCUCUAAAUCGUUGCAACACAUCCAUAUCAAUGACUAUCGAAAUCACAUUAUUUCCCCAAAAUAUCAAAAUAUUUUCAACCUCGCAAGAGACAUGCCAAAAUGGCCACAUCUUCGUCACCAUCAACCGUCGAUUAUGUUGAUCCCUCGGUCGUCGCUUCGGUUGAUCCCUCCUCCGCCAUCAUCGCAAGCCCUCAUCCACCAUCUGUUACAAUCAGCCCCUAAUUUUCUUGUAAAUAAUCUAUUAAUGUGAAUUGGCCACAAUACUUCAAGAAGAGUAAAUUUAUAAAAAUAUUAUAACCUAUUACAGAAAAAAUAUUUUCAAGUAAAAUAGAAAGAAAUAUGAUUUCAAAAUUAAAAAAAUAUGUAUUAGAACCUAUUCUACCCAACCCUAGCCACACAUGCAUGCAACCCGACGAAUAUGUCCCUAGAUCCACCCCAACCUCACAUGUUACAGCGUAAGUUCCACCAUCAUAGUCUCAAGAAAUUAAUUCCGACAGCCUUGUCUCCAACUAUAUAAUAGAGAAACAAACUGCAAUUGAGAGAGCCAUAUAUUACCCUUUCUCUUUAUUUAAAUUUAAAUUUACAGAAGAGAAAAAUGAAAAUCAAUGAGAAAUGACACAUAUAAGAGAUAAAACUUCCAAUCUGAAAAUUAUUAAGGUUGUGACAUAGAAAAUUAGGGGGGGGGGGCGUUGCAAGAAAAUUGGGAGAAGAGAGAAUGUUGGGGAGGAGGGUCGGGGAGUUGGGAGGAGAAUAAUUUUUCUCUUAACUUUUUUAUUUUAUUUCAUUUUUAAUUAUUUUAAAUCAAAUAGAUAAUUUUAUAAAUAAGUAUAAUAAUCUAUGAAUUUUUUAACAGAGAUGGAAUGUCCUUAAUUGGCUAACAGAGAUAAAUACAAAGACCGAAUUGGCCAAAUUUAAAACACGGAGACCAAUUGAGCCAAUGAUUAAAACACAAUGACCAUUGUGAAUUUUAAGCCAAUUUUCUAAUAAAGAUUUAAUGGAACAUCUUUAUUUGGUUAACGGAGAUAAACAUGAGGACUAAAUUGCCCAAAUUGAAAACACGAAAACUAAAUUUGCCAAAUAGCUAUAACACAGGGACCAUUUUAACAUUUAAGCCAAAAAGAUUUUCCACACGUAUCAACUUAUUAUUUUCCACCCAUAUUGUGUUCCUAAAGGGACAUCAAACUGUAUUUCUACAAUAUGGAAUUGUUUCUUACAUGUAAGAACCCGCAUUAUCUUUUCAAGGCUCCUAAUGCAAUCCCUUGGUUCCUUAUGGUGGAUUGGAAGAAUUGUUUAUGACAACCUUGUCAAAUGUGGUUUAUAUGUACACAUAUUUAUCAAGAAGGAAAUUAGGUUGCGAUCUUUAGCUUCAUUUAGAACAGAUAGGUAUGCUUAUCACUAGUGGUCUACGGUUCCAAAUUUUGUUGCCUCUGCUCAUGCUCGUGACAUUUCAUUUUGUCCUUGUUGUCGGUUUCUUUGAUCAUUUGGUCAUUGUGGGUUCUCACUUUUACGGGAGGAUAGGUGUCUUAUGAACUUAUAAAAAUAAAUAAUAAAUAAAAAGAUUCUCGUUUCAGUGCACUCAAAACAUAUAGGAGGUUAUUCAUUAUAAUUUAUAAUCCAAUCCUAAAGACCAACCAGGCAAAAAUACAUUAUUUAUGAACCAUUGAUGAAGUCAGGGGAUGAAUGGACUCAAUCUCAUUUGAGAAUGAGUGGGUUUAGUUGCUCAUGUCAGUUUCCAGUUUUCCAUUUACUACAACCAAUGACAUUGAAAAAUCCAAAAUCCGAUUUCAUAUAUAGCUUGCUCCGCUACGCUCAAACCCCCACUCUUUCUCCUGUGGUCAAAUUUAUUUGUUCCUUCUAUUAACAAUGAAUCACUUUUAUUUUUCUUUUUUUUAAAGUACGAUAUUUAUUGAUUAUAUGUAUCAAUAAUUCGUAUGAAGAUGAUAAGAUAUUUAGUGGGCUUUGAUAAAAAUCAUGUCGGAAAUUUUAACCAUAAUAAAAUGUUAACCUUAAGAAUUUUAAGCCUUUUUUGUUUAUUUCUUUAAUUUUUUUGGUGAACGUUUAUUUCUAUUUUGGUCCCUUUAAAUUCACUAACUACACCUACAAACUUUGAUUUGGACAUGGUUUAACAGAAGAGUCUUGCUCACCUAAGAUCAUCUCCAACCGAAGAGUCCAGAGGGCCAGAGGGCCAAAAAAGGCCCAAAAAUCAUCUCCAACCGAGGGUUUGGCCAGAGGGCUCGUGGGCCCCACAAAAUCUGAAAGGGCCAAAGGGCUGGCUAGAAAUCUCAUCAAUCCUAUCGGUUAUAUCCGAUAGGAAUUCUAAGCCAAAUUUCAAAUGCAACGGCUAGCUGACGUUAGUUACUGUUGAUUUUUUUUUUUGGGCCAAAUAUAUUUUUUUUAAUUCUUAAAUUCUCAUUUUUUUCCUAUGAAUACCUAAACCAUUCAUUCACCAUUCCACACAAAUUUUUCACCAUUUCAAUUCUCAUAUUUUCUUACCUCUUUCAAAAAUAGUUCCUUCAAUUCUUUCAAUAAUUUUCAAAUGGCCUCGUCUGCAAUGAAAGGUAGGGCUUGGACCCGAAAAGAAGAUGAAGCUCUUUGCAAGGCUUAUAGAUGUGUGUCGGAAGAUAGUGUGAGGGAGAGUUCUCAAACAAGUGAAAGUGUUUGGACUCGUGUGUCCAAAAAAUACUUAGAUUUCUACGAAGGCACCGUUCCACUAAAUAUCCGAAACCAUGAGAGUUGUUCUUCAAGAUGAAAAAAACAUCUUCACCCAAGUUUGAACAGAUGGCAUCAAGCACUGUUAGCAGCCGCAAGUAAACAUAUAAGCGGCGCUAACUACUACGACGAAGUAAGUGUUUUCACAAUUUAUUUUAAAUAUUUAAUUAUAUUACAUUUAAUUUCAUGAAUUACUUUCCCUUAGUUUUUGUAAAUAUAUUUAAUUAUAUUACAUUUAAUUUCAUAAAUUAAUUUCCUUUAAUUUUUGUAAUUAUAUUUUCUAGGUACGGCAAGCGGAGGAAUUGCAUAUGGAGGGCAGCUUGAAACCCUUUCAGUUUCACAGUUGUUGGGAAAUUUGUAAAGAUUGGGUGUUAUUUGAAGAUCCACCUCAACAUAGAGUAGCUCCUACACCAAUGUUCGGAACUACAUCCUCAGCUGCAGAUAUGGAUGAAGAUGGAUCUCCUGCCAUUAGGGUAGAAAAUUCGUCUUCGGGUGAAGGUUCCAUACCUAGGGCUAUGGGACGAAACAAAGCUCGAAGGUUGAAGGAAAAGGGUAAGGCAAAUGAUGAUUACGCCGCUCAAUAGGAAGUGGCAGCCUCAUUGCGAUUAAUGGCGGAGCAAAAUGCCAUUGCCGCGGAAGAAAGGAACCGUAGGCAUGAAGAACAGGCCAAACAAAUAUAAGAAGAGAUGGAUGAUAAGAAUAUGGAAAUGAACACUUCGAAUUACACUCCAAUGAGUAAGGCCUAUUUUGAUAAAAAAAUAUAUAUAUAUAUUAUGACCCGGCGACAGUUGUUUACCUCUGACUAUACUCCUACAAUGGCAGAUGAUGAAGAUGAUGUUGAUUAUGGAUAUUAAAUUUAAGUUCUUGUAGUUUUAAAUUUAAGUUAAUGUUGUUUUUAAAUUUAAUUUUUAGUUUUUAAAUAUAAGUUGUUGUUGUUUUUAAAUUUAAAUAAUAAUUUAUGUUUAGCCUUCAGUUGGAGACGAUUUUUUGUGACAGGGCUAAAAAGAGUCCUAUGACGCUUUGACCCUCGGUUGGAGAUGGAGGCAAAUAUGACCAUGUACUGUUCAUUAAAAUAUUAAUAUCUUAGAAGGCCAAAGGGCUAAAACGAACCCUCUGGCCCUUGUUCGGUUUGAGAUGGUCUAAAGUCCUCAUUUUUAAGGCUUAGGCGGAACCAAAUGCAUAUUAGCUACAAGAUUAUACUAGUUUACAUCCAAAGACUUAAAUUAUUUGAUAAUUUAAUAAAGCAAAACCAACUUAAAAUAUUAGUUUAUUAAGUUGUCAAAUAUUUUAAGCAUUUGGACAUAAACUAAUAUGAUUUUGUGGCCAAUAUGCAUUUGAUCCUCAUAGAUUUUCAAAAUGAUGACCUUAGAAGAGCAAGACUGUUAAACAGAAAGUAGAGUAUGAGGAGGACAGGUGCAAUGAUAUAUAUAUAUAUAUAUAUAUAGUGACACACCCCGAUCGAGAUCAAGGCAUGAUGGCCAUCACAUGAGGGUGACGUAGCCAUGUGCACAAUGCGGAAGCAAUUAAGAUAAGAAAUAUACAAAUAAUUAAAAACUAAAACUACUAGAGUGCACUAGAAAGCGAGAAGUGUUAGGAGUCAAUUACGAAAGUAAAUACUCAUAAUCAGAGCAUAAUAAGUCUAGGUGCAGUCCAGUAGGACAAGUACUAGUUAUACAGUAUCAAGAAUGUCCUACUAUUGUUUAAAUAUGUCAGAACCGUCGAAAUCCUUAAGGCCACCGAUAGCAAGCUUACUUAAAACCUGGAGGAGCGCAAAACAGGAAACGUGAGUGGGCAAAAACAAAUGUUUUACAAAACCAUUUCAUUUAUCAACAUAUAUAAUCCCUCGCUGUAAAACAUGUAUAAUUUUUCCCAGAAUCAAGAUAUAUGCAUAUACAUAAAUAUUUAUGUAAUUAUAUCAAUUCAAAUCAUGCUUCACAUAAUCAUAUUCAUAUGUAUGCCAUGCCAAGAUAUAACAAAGUAAGCAAUUCAGGUAAGAAUAAUUUCAUAUAAAUAUAACAUGUUAGCCGGAACCCCUGUGGUAGUCUGUACGGCUGAAUUCAUAGCUCAAAAGUCAAUCUAGCCAAAGUCACUAUAAUGACCUAUACGGCACUAUAUUGCACAAGUGUCGGAACCAAAUGAAAAGGUCUGUACGACAAUAAUGGGUGUAAUAUAAUCAUGCUCAAUACUACUCACACAUAAUAUUGCACAAGUGUCGGAACCAAAUGAAAAGGUCUGUACGACAAUAAUGGGUGUAAUAUAAUCAUGCUCAAUACUACUCACACAUAAUAGUUGGACGAUAAAUCGCUAGUCACCUACGAGUCGGAACCACCUAAGAUGGUCUAUGCGACAGGACUGUGCACCUAAAUUGGAUCCAAUAUGAGCAUAUAGUGCGGGAGGUGACAUAAUAAACAGGCAUGUGCCAUAUCUCUGGCUAAAAUCACAAUCAUCCUAGGUGCAGUUUGAUGAGCUCAACGUUAUUCAAUCACAUAUCACAUCAUUGAUAAUUCACAUAACCAAACAUAACUCACCUGAGCUUACCUGAGCGUCCACAACACCACAAUUAUAUAUAUAAUGGAUCAUAUACCAAUUCAUAUAUGAAAUAUAAUUUCAUAUGCAUGGCAUGUAAGGCAUACUUUCAUUUAAACACAUAUUUCUUGGAAAAUAUCAAGUAUAUACAUAUAUACUGAAAACCAAAAGCCCACUCACGGAUAUGUUGAAGGGUUGUAGCCCCCAAGUCACCCUUGAACCCGCUCGUCCUCGGGAUAAGUCUCACCUAUAUGCGAAUUAACUAUAAAAACGUUAUUUAAAGCACAUAGGCAAAACUAGCUAAUAACUUCUCAUACAUAGCUCAAAUUGGGUAUAUGAAUAUACCAUAGUGACCUAUACAAUCUCAGGAUCGUCCCCAAAUUUUUAAAAUAAUUUUUCAUCCACCCACGGGCGACCACGCGCCGGCGAGUGCACAACAAGAUGCGCGGCCACGCGCAGGAAACCCUAACGGAAACAGUAACGACAGUUAGGGAAUAUUCCGCUAAAUCCUAACAGAUUCCGUUAAACUUAACUGAUGACGUCAGAAUAUUCCGUCAGAAUUGACGGAAUAUUCCGUCGUCUUCAACCUCAGACUCCGGCGACAGUCGUUGUCGCCGGAAAACUGGGAAUUUUUCAAAUCGCUAUAUCUCACUCAUUUUUCAUCCAUUUCCUACGAAAUUUGCACCAAAAUGAAGCUUACAACUUGAAGAACAUUUCCUUACCAAUUUGAAGCUCCAAAAGUCACGGAAUCUCGCCGGAGAAAUUCCACAAAAUCCGGCCAAGCUUGAAACUCCCGAUCCAGACGUCCAAUUUCACCCAAUGAACCAUUCCGAGCCUCCUUAGGACCUCCUAAAGCUUCAUAUGUCCUUAAAAUUCCCUAAAAAUCAACAUUUUACGUGAGCAUGAAUAGUACCUCAAAUCGGGGUUCGGAUUUCGCGAGUUUUUAAUGGAGUUCUUACCUGAAAAUGGUACCAUUCAACUCGUAUGGUUCUCACGAACACAAUGGUGUGCUUCAUACCCUCGAUCUUCACACUUUCGAUGGGUUUUGGGUGUAGUCCGUACAAGAGAGAAGAAGAGAGAGAGAGAGAGAGAGAGUGUGUCCGAGAGAGUACGGAAGGGUGAGAGAGAGAGGAAGUUUUGGGUGUGUGUGUGUGGUCCUCACACUGACACAUCACCAAACCCACAUCUACAACCAAACAAAAAGUCUAAGUCCCAAAUUAUCCAAAAUUAAGCUAGGGCAACCAAAUAAACCCUAAUAUUAAAUCCCAUGAAACAUUUAAGGGUAUUCUCGACAUUUCCCAUCCAUGAGAAUAAUUUUCCGGGACGGGCUGUGACAUAUAUGAAGUAUUAUUGGUACUUCAAAAAUCUCAUUCUACACUCCUCAUAAGUGUAUAUUUUUUUCCUAAUAUAGAAAGUUUGAAGUAUAAAAUGAAAUUUUUAGAAUGCUAAUAACAAUUCACAUAUAUAUAUAUAUAUAUAUAUAUAUAUAUAUAUAUAUAUAUAUAUAUAUAUAUCUUUCUUCCCUACUCGUAGAUAAAAAGAUGGAAAAAUAAUGUACAUGGGAAUGUAAGGCUAUACUUCCUCUGAAAAAUGUUUGAAAGCAACGCUGGCUACUCGGAGAAGCAAUUGCUUUGAAAGUCACCAAGAACUUUUUUAUUUUCUUCAUUAAUGUAAAAUCACCUUAAAAGAACUAUUAAACACAACAAAGUUGGUAUAUAUUUGAUUGUCUAAUUUUAAGUUAUUCAAGAUUUAAGUUGUUUAAUUUCAAAAACUUUGUGAUAUCGAGUACCAUUUCUAUGAUUGAUCUCUUUCUUAUGUAAAAAAAAUUAUUUUGUGGUACUAGAACACCAUCACAUAACUAACUUGUUAUUUUGUGCUCCAAGUUCCUUAAUUUGAAGAAAAACAAAUGGCUUGUAGCAAAAUUUUGGCCUACAUAAAAGCCCUUAGAUUAUAAGAAACUUACAAGAAUCCAAAAUGCAAAGCUAUUCAAUUCGAAGUUGCACAUCAAUAUAUGUGGGUCUAUCUUUAUUAAUAAGAAAAACUAAUGAAAAUGGCUUGAAAACUUUGAGUUUUAAUGAUAAGCACAAAAUAAAAGGUAAAGUGAAUAGUAGCAGGUUUGACUUUUUAGUGUACAAAUGUGGUUUUUCGAUAAACCAAUGGAGUUCUUACCUGAAAAUGGUACCAUUCAACUCGUAUGGUUCUCACAAACACAAUGGUGUGCUUCAUACCCUCGAUCUUCACACUUUCGAUGGGUUUUGGGUGUAGUCCGUACAAGAGAGAAGAAGAGAGAGAGAGAGAGAGUGUGUCUGAGAGAGUACGGAAGGGUGAGAGAGAGAGGAAGUUUUGGGUGUGUGUGUGUGGUCCUCACACUGACACAUCACCAAACCCACAUCUACAACCAAACAAAAAGUCUAAGUCCCAAAUUAUCCAAAAUUAAGCUAGGGCAACCAAAUAAACCCUAAUAUUAAAUCCCAUGAAACAUUUAAGGGUAUUCUCGACAUUUCCCAUCCAUGAGAAUAAUUUUCCGGGACGGGCUGUGACAUAUAUGAAGUAUUAUUGGUACUUCAAAAAUCUCAUUCUACACUCCUCAUAAGUGUAUAUUUUUUUCCUAAUAUAGAAAGUUUGAAGUAUAAAAUGAAAUUUUUUAGAAUGCUAAUAACAAUUCACAUAUAUAUAUAUAUAUAUGUAUAUCUUUCUUCCCUACUCGUAGAUAAAAAGAUGGAAAAAUAAUGUACAUGGGAAUGUAAGGCUAUACUUCCUCUGAAAAAUGUUUGAAAGCAACGCUGGCUACUCGGAGAAGCAAUUGCUUUGAAAGUCACCAAGAACUUUUUUAUUUUCUUCAUUAAUGUAAAAUCACCUUAAAAGAACUAUUAAACACAACAAAGUUGGUAUAUAUUUGAUUGUCUAAUUUUAAGUUAUUCAAGAUUUAAGUUGUUUAAUUUCAAAAACUUUGCGAUAUCGAGUACCAUUUCUAUGAUUGAUCUCUUUCUUAUGUAAAAAAAAUUAUUUUGUGGUACUAGAACACCAUCACAUAACUAACUUGUUAUUUUGUGCUCCAAGUUCCUUAAUUUGAAGAAAAACAAAUGGCUUGUAGCAAAAUUUUGGCCUACAUAAAAGCCCUUAGAUUAUAAGAAACUUACAAGAAUCCAAAAUGCAAAGCUAUUCAAUUCGAAGUUGCACAUCAAUAUAUGUGGGUCUAUCUUUAUUAAUAAGAAAAACUAAUGAAAAUGGCUUGAAAACUUUGAGUUUUAAUGAUAAGGACAAAAUAAAAGGUAAAGUCAAUAGUAGCAGGUUUGACUUUUUAGUGUACAAAUGUGGUUUUUCGAUAAACCAAUGGAGUUCUUACCUGAAAAUGGUACCAUUCAACUCGUAUGGUUCUCACAAACACAAUGGUGUGCUUCAUACCCUCUAUCUUCACACUUUCGAUGGGUUUUGGGUGUAGUCCGUACAAGAGAGAAGAAGAGAGAGAGAGAGAGAGAGUGUGUCCGAGAGAGUACGGAAGGGUGAGAGAGAGAGGAAAUUUUGGGUGUGUGUGUGUGGUCCUCAUACUGACACAUCACCAAACCCACAUCUACAACCAAACAAAAAGUCUAAGUCCCAAAUUACCCAAAAUUAAGCUAGGGCAACCAAAUAAACCCUAAUAUUAAAUCCCAUGAAACAUUUAAGGGUAUUCUCGACAUUUCCCAUCCAUGAGAAUAAUUUUCCGGGACGGGCUGUGACAUAUAUGAAGUAUUAUUGGUACUUCAAAAAUCUCAUUCUACACUCCUCAUAAGUGUAUAUUUUUUUCCUAAUAUAGAAAGUUUGAAGUAUAAAAUGAAAUUUUUAGAAUGCUAAUAACAAUUCACAUAUAUAUAUAUAUAUAUGUAUGUAUAUCUUUCUUCCCUACUCGUAGAUAAAAAAGAUGGAAAAAAUAAUGUACAUGGGAAUGUAAGGCUAUACUUCCUCUGAAAAAUGUUUGAAAGCAACGCUGGCUACUCGGAGAAGCAAUUGCUUUGAAAGUCACCAAGAACUUUUUUAUUUUCUUCAUUAAUGUAAAAUCACCUUAAAAGAACUAUUAAACACAACAAAGUUGGUAUAUAUUUGAUUGUCUAAUUUUAAGUUAUUCAAGAUUUAAGUUGUUUUAAUUUCAAAAACUUUGUGAUAUCGAGUACCAUUUCUAUGAUUGAUCUCUUUCUUAUGUAAAAAAAUUAUUUUUUGUGGUACUAGAACACCAUCACAUAACUAACUUGUUAUUUUGUGCUCCAAGUUCCUUAAUUUGAAGAAAAACAAAUGGCUUGUAGCAAAAUUUUGGCCUACAUAAAAGCCCUUAGAUUAUAAGAAACUUACAAGAAUCCAAAAUGCAAAGCUAUUCAAUUCGAAGUUGCACAUCAAUAUAUGUGGGUCUAUCUUUAUUAAUAAGAAAAACUAAUGAAAAUGGCUUGAAAACUUUGAGUUUUAAUGAUAAGCACAAAAUAAAAGGUAAAGUGAAUAGUAGCAGGUUUGACUUUUUAGUGUACAAAUGUGGUUUUUCGAUAAACCAAUGGAGUUCUUACCUGAAAAUGGUACCAUUCAACUCGUAUGGUUCUCACGAACACAAUGGUGUGCUUCAUACCCUCGAUCUUCACACUUUCGAUGGGUUUUGGGUGUAGUCCGUACAAGAGAGAAGAAGAGAGAGAGAGAGAGAGAGAGAGUGUGUCCGAGAGAGUACGGAAGGGUGAGAGAGAGAGGAAGUUUUGGGUGUGUGUGUGUGGUCCUCACACUGACACAUCACCAAACCCACAUCUACAACCAAACAAAAAGUCUAAGUCCCAAAUUAUCCAAAAUUAAGCUAGGGCAACCAAAUAAACCCUAAUAUUAAAUCCCAUGAAACAUUUAAGGGUAUUCUCGACAUUUCCCAUCCAUGAGAAUAAUUUUCCGGGACGGGCUGUGACAUAUAUGAAGUAUUAUUGGUACUUCAAAAAUCUCAUUCUACACUCCUCAUAAGUGUAUAUUUUUUUCCUAAUAUAGAAAGUUUGAAGUAUAAAAUGAAAUUUUUAGAAUGCUAAUAACAAUUCACAUAUAUAUAUAUAUAUAUGUAUAUCUUUCUUCCCUACUCGUAGAUAAAAAGAUGGAAAAAUAAUGUACAUGGGAAUGUAAGGCUAUACUUCCUCUGAAAAAUGUUUGAAAGCAACGCUGGCUACUCGGAGAAGCAAUUGCUUUGAAAGUCACCAAGAACUUUUUUAUUUUCUUCAUUAAUGUAAAAUCACCUUAAAAGAACUAUUAAACACAACAAAGUUGGUAUAUAUUUGAUUGUCUAAUUUUAAGUUAUUCAAGAUUUAAGUUGUUUAAUUUCAAAAACUUUGCGAUAUCGAGUACCAUUUCUAUGAUUGAUCUCUUUCUUAUGUAAAAAAAAUUAUUUUGUGGUACUAGAACACCAUCACAUAACUAACUUGUUAUUUUGUGCUCCAAGUUCCUUAAUUUGAAGAAAAACAAAUGGCUUGUAGCAAAAUUUUGGCCUACAUAAAAGCCCUUAGAUUAUAAGAAACUUACAAGAAUCCAAAAUGCAAAGCUAUUCAAUUCGAAGUUGCACAUCGAUAUAUGUGGGUCUAUCUUUAUUAAUAAGAAAAACUAAUGAAAAUGGCUUGAAAACUUUGAGUUUUAAUGAUAAGGACAAAAUAAAAGGUAAAGUCAAUAGUAGCAGGUUUUACUUUUUAGUGUACAAAUGUGGUUUUUCGAUAAAGUGAACAGUAUCAUGAGCUUUUCGUUAAAACUCUCUUAUUAAUAUGAUACAAAUAUGAGAUUUAAAUUGGGGCAAAAAUAUAUAGCAUUUUUGUUUAAAGAAUGGUCUCAAGAGAAAGAAUCAAUGCGAAUAAGUGAGGAGCAAAUUACCAACUAUUUUCUCUUUAGGCCAGCAUUUGUUGGUUUGUUCCAAGUUAAGCAGAUAUGUUCUCGUCUCUUAAAUUCGAUGCCAAAUUUGGCAAGUUCUCUGGACACUUGGAUGGUGAAAACUUCGUGGGAAUUUGUGCUUUUACAUGCGUAUAAGCCUAUAAGGUAGUACAACCUUUUAAGUUUUAAGAGUAAUGUUAUUCAUACCAUGUUUUUGUAUCAUAUUUUCAUACCACUUUAGAUGGCAUUUGAUGUGAACAGUCACAUCAUUUGAAUUAAUCAAAUUUUUAAAUUUAGUUCAUUAUUUAAUAAACUAAUAAUUAAGAAAAAUUAAUUAAUUAAAUCAUGAUUGUGGUAUACUAGGAGUCUUUCUCCUUCCUUUCCUUAGGUUUUGUAAAUUUUUCAGAUGAUAUGGAUGUCCACAUCAGAUGCCACUAUGAAAAUGUGGUACAAAAACAUGGUAUAAAUAGCAUUACUCAAGUUUUAAUAUUCCUGUAAUUUUUAUACUAUAUCUAAUUAGUAAUCACAAUGAACAUUAAGGCUGGAAAAAAAAAAUCACAAUCCACUAGUAAGUUUUUGGUGCUCCUAAAGCGGUUUCAAUUUGCUGCAUAUAAUCUCUGUCAAUAAAAUACAGAUGAUUCAAUUUCCCAAACCCAUGCCGAAUGGGGAUGGAGUGGGGAGGAUGGGGGGAUGGGGUUAUUUUGGGAGUGAGGACUGCAGGAGGGCGUAUCCGAGUCGGAUAAUCCGACCUCGCCUUGCCAGUUAUUAUCUCCAAUAAACUGAACAUUUGCGACUAAUUAAGUACUUAUGCAUGAAGCACUUGAAAAUAUUUCCUGAAGAAGCAUGCAUGUGUUCUUCCACGAUAUUUGAUCACGUUAAAAAAGUUUUAACUCUUUCAAAAAUAGUUUAACAAAUCGAGUCUUUGGAGAUAUUCUUGAUCACUUUAUGAGAGAUUUAGAAUGAGAGAUAUUGUCGAUUACACUCAAGUUUCUCCCAUAUGUCUUUUAUAAAGGCCAAAGUGCAUGCUUAUCUCCAUUAAUUAUACUACAAACUAAGAGCUUUAGGGAUAACAAUUAAUCUAUAAUCUUUUCCCAAUUCAUGAGUUAAGAACUUGAGAGUGAGAGAGAGAUACAUAUCAACUCAUAUCUCAAUAUGCGUGCACGAAGUGAUUUGGUCAUCUUGUAAACAAGAGAACUGAAGUUGACACGAGAGGAGGAUAGCAAACCAAGCCCUCCAUUAUCAAGAUUCCUUCGGACGUUUCUCGGGAGACAUGUGCUUCCCACAUGCCUCGAGGCCCCCAACUACACCUUACUAUCUACUGUAGGCCCCACCUCCCAGCAACUAUCACCCUUGCUUCUUCCCUCUCCGUGCAUCUAUAAAUUCAGGACGAUGGUGCAGAUUGGAGAUACAGCAAGCAAAAUACCCUUCGAGCUAAACCCUAAAACACACUUCAGUUCCAAGUUCUAAGUUCAUCUGCAACAUGUCGGGGAAGUGCGACAACUGCGACUGCGCUGACAGCACCCAGUGCGUGUAAGUAAUGCUUCUUUAUCAGUUUAGUUAUGGAUCUGUAAAUCUUGCAUGGCUAAAUACUGGUUUGGUACUGAGCUUAAAAAGGUGUUUGGUAAAUAAUUAAAAAUAACUUAUUUUUACGGUUUUGGGUGAAAAAAAAAAACUGAAAACGGGAAGCAGCAAAAAUAAGUUUAUUCUCACAACACAGCCGAAAUAGUUUUUAUUACAAUGAUAGUGUAUUUGUGUUAUGAAAGUCUUUCUUUUGUAUAUAGACUAUACAGAUGGGAAGGUCUUGGAUAUCCUCGUAGGUAUGACACCAUGGAUGUAUCGCUGAAGACUAAACCCUAGCUAUAGUGCUAAUCAAAUCAAGAUACGUGAUUAGUGCUAUAGGAAUAUGGUGAUAUAUCCUCGGUGACACCUAAAUGUUUCUCGAAUAGAAAGGGUUCGACUAGGGUUACCAACUAGUAGUUUACUCGCUUAAUAACAAGAUUAUAUAGGGUAUUUACUUGCUUAAUGCGAAUUAAAUAACUGAUGGAGGGCUUAACUGAAAUGAUUUAGCUCUAGUAUGUGGUAUUUCUCUUCUUGACGUUGAAGAUCUGCUGUUUCGGAUUCAUUUUUUUCGAUCUAAUUGGUGCAUAUAUGCCUUCAAAGCUUUAAAAUGCCAAUUUUUUAAAUCGCAGGAAGAAGGGAAACAGCUACGACUUGGUGAUCGUUGAGACUGAGAACCGGUACUUUUGUCAUAAACUUCAAUACAUUUUAAGAAUUAACUUUUCUUCUCUUUGUUUCCUUCAGACUAACUGUGGAGAGUUUUGAUUAAUUUUGCAGCUCCAUGGACCGUCUUCGUGGAUGCUCCUGCCGCCGAGCACGACGGAAAGUGCAAGUGCGGCACAGGCUGCUCAUGUGUGAGCUGCACCUGUGGUCACUAAACCCAUACAACCAAAUUAAAGAUGUAAACGAAUAAAGUGUUUGUGGGAAAACAACGUUGUGGCUUUGUCUUUGGUUUGUUUAUAGUAUUUGUGUCUGUUGAGUGACAUGUAGUGUCUGUGAAAACCUGUCACUGUCUCUGUGAUUGUGUCAUGUAAUCGCCAUGUUCGUGGCCUUGUGAUGUUAUGAAAUGAUAUUAUUAGAAUACAUGCUUUGGCUCUCUUAAUUCCAUUUUAUUUUCUCCCUAACCAUAAUUUUGCUUCACAUCAUAGCUGCAAUUAAUCAAGGAAUUGCAGAUAGGAAUGUAAUAGAUGUAUUCUUGCAUACAAUAUUGUGGAUAAUGGACUUAUAGCUCAAGUAGUUUAAUUUACCCUUUCAUCUGAGGUUUGAUGUUCGAUUAUCCCUCCGAUAUCACCGUUAUAUAAAAAUGAAAUAAAAUAUGACGGAUAUGUCCAAUAUGUUCUUAUUGGAAACCCUUUUGGAUCUUGGGAUUGGUAUUAAAUGGGAGAAGAUUAGAAUGCUCAAUCAUUUUAUUUAGCAUUUGAAGAUGUUUUGAUUCCUUUUGCUCCUUGAGCCACCAAAACGAAUGGCACAAAACGCGGAAAUAGAAAUCCCAUUUCACUGUAUGGGUGGUGUGACUAGGGAAAGGGAUUUACAUGAAAUGAAACGCAUAGCCACAUAACAUCUCAUGAUUCGUUUGAGACAACACCAACUAGGCGUGUAUGUUUAUUUAUGUUAAUCCUCGUGAAUAAGAGGUUAGCAAGGCAUUAGUUCAUCAAGGAAUUUACGAAUAGUUGAAUGAUAAACUAAUUCGAGAGAGCCUUACAAUUAGCCAAGACAAUAGCAUAUAUUAAGAUCACAUGUUGUAACUCUAUAACGUUUGAAGGUGUAAGUCUCAGUAAUAUUUAAGUAUAUACAAGUCAAAUAUGGUUGCAUCUAACAGUAGACAGAACUACAGAAGCUCUUCUUCCUUGUAUUAUUCACCAACGUUCAAAUAUUACCAUGUUGUAUGUCUAAACCUAAAGUAAAUGGUUUCCCUUCAAAACUGUUGAACAUAGCCUUCAAUUUAUUAUCUUAACCAUCCGGAUAUUUCAAACACUGAAGCCCUCUGCACGAAGGCACUUGAGAUGAGCAUCGAUCCAUUUUGUGCAAGCAUCUUGACCAUGUUCUACAAUGCAUUCAUCUCGCAGCUUCUUAGUAUCCGGGCAAGCACAGCAGAUCUUCUUCUUUGGCUUUGUGUCCAGAGCAGGAGUAGUGACUGCUGAUCCUUGAUUAGGCUGUGACCUUUGCAAAACCAAGGCAGAGGAAGUAUUUUCUGCCGGCAGUCCACCCAUUUCUCAAAGUUCUUCAAGACCUAACAGAAAUAUGCUACUAAAAAACAAGAAAGAAAACAAAGAACAUCAGCUUCACUCAGAGCAGCCUCAAUGAUCAACAUGUAUUCAUGAAGGAUGGUAUGCACCAUAUCAUACCUAAACAGAUUGAAUGGAAGAGAGAGAUAUGGCGUCGUAAUUUAUAGAAAAACACCCCCUACAAUACGUUAAUCACGGAUUAGCCUAAUCACUAGACACUAGCUCGUGUAAAAGUGAGGAAAUCAACCGAAAAGCAAAAACCCUAAACCCUACUUCUCCAAACGAGCACAAAUCCACAGGAUCCCAAAACAAAAAACCCAGAUGAAGAAAUAAAAUUUUUCACCAUAGUUCCGGAUUUCAAUCAAGAUUCAAGACACGUCCUUUAUCCAACACCCACUCGGGCAUUUCUUCAAACAUACGGUGGGCACUUUGUUACUACAAGCAAACUCCCGCAUAAAUACUACAUAUUCACCAAAAGCAGCAGAAACUAUAAAUAUUAAAUACAAAGGCAAAGCAGAAAACCCAGAUGAAAAGUAAAGCAACCCAUCUAAUCAAACAACAACACAGCCAUAACCACAGAGAUUUUGGAACUUUACAUACAUAAUUUAUUGGAUGGACAAGUAAAUAUGUCUCAGAAGGGUAACGAAAUUGGUAACAGAAAUGUAUGAGAGAAGGAAGGAAUUACUUACCGCUGAAAAGGAAGGAGGAGGAGAAGCUGAAAGGAAGAAGCUUUGCGUUUUCUGGAAGGCAGAAAGUGGGAGCAGAGAAAAGGUAUUUGUUCUCUGAAGACGAAAGUGGCCGCUCAAAAUUUCGAGGCUAAAACUGGGCCGCGUAUGAGUCGAAGGGUCAACCCCUGUCUUGGGCUCUGUGGGCCUACAAAAAAUAUGCUGAAAACUUUCAUUUCUUUUUCUUUUUAAUUUUUUUUAUGGCUUUUAUCAAAUUAACUCUUUCUUUUUUUUAUCAGACAAAUUAACCUAACGUCAAUAUAAAAUUGUAGCACAGACUGCCAAAACCAUGUUACGAAUGGUCUUCUAACUAUAUGUUGUACCUUCUUUACAAACUCUAAAAAAUACAAACGUAAAUUAACUUAAUUGAUCACGCGUUGUGUCGGAGAGUCAACUCUUGUGUUGGGCUUAGUGGGCCUACAAAAUAUAUGCUGAAAACUUUCAUUUCUUUUUCUUUUCUUUUUUUAUUUAUUUUUUAUAGCUUUUAUCAAAUUGACUCUUUCUUUCUUUUUUUUUGUAUCUUAUCAAACAAAUUAACCUAACGUCAAUAUAAAAUUGUAGCACAAACUGCCAAAACCAUGUUAAGAAUGGCCUUCUAACUGUAUGUUGUACUCUUUUUACGAAUUCUGAAAAAUAUAAACGUGAAUUACAUUAAUUUGUCACACAUUGUUGUCCAACCAAGUGAAAGACAUAAGUCGUAAAACCAAGUGAAAGAUAUAAGUAAAUGCAUUUCCCGUCAUUUUAUUCGAUCUAUAGUGUGAGGAAAUUUACAAGAGGGGCACAACUGAAUGUGCAAAAUUGCAAAUGAACAAGGGAGUUUGUAGAACAUGUUCAAGAUUAACAAGAUCCAAGCAACCUAUAAACUAACCACAAGUGUGAAAUCUAAUCUUUGUUUUUCUUUAUUUGCAAUUCUUGGAGUUACCAGAAUUCAACAUCAUUUGUUUUGUUAGACAUGAUGAUUCCCAUUUCCAACAUCAUAUGACCAAGAAGCUGAGGAACGAAAACCACAAUUCCAUUUCCAACAAAUGAAAAAUGUGCAACCCUGAAAUAUAAGAAACUUCGGAGCACCAUGGAAUUUCAAGCAAGGCAACUGCAGUUCUUUGCUAAUCAUACUUCUCCCUCCAUGAGUACACAAGAAGUAAUGCCCACGAAAGCGCCAAUGUGAUAUCGCCGGCGACCUGUUUGGCCAGUCUCCGGCUAGGUCUUGAAUGUCCCUUUCAAAGUAAACUCUCCAAAUGGCCAUAGAAAUGUGAAGCAACACACAACCCUUGGCAAAGAAGCUCUGGAACUUGUUGUCCUUGACAAAAGCAACCAUGAAUAGAAGGAAUCCAAUGGCAAAUAGGAGCAGACCGGAGAAGGAAUCUGCGGUUCGGAUCAAAAGCCGGUCGUGAGGUGUUGAUCCUUGGAGCUUGCUUGCUGUAUCAUGGCCAUGGAUGAACACAGAGAAUUCAUAAGAGUAAAACAUCAUCAAAGCUCCACAAAUCAAAGCAACAACAGAGUGGAGCAUACAUAUUAGGAAAAACCCAGAUAACCCCAUAGCUCAAAAUCUCAAGUAAAACCCUAGUGUUUCUUCUCUACAUGUACGGAUAAACUUCGAGACGUGGGCGUAGUCACAUUAGCAAAAGAAGAUGUGCUCUCCUAUGUACCAAGUUUGAAUCCCCUUAUCCGUAGUUUAGAAUAUCGCUUGUAUCAUAGAACAAAACGAAAUUCCAUUUUAUUCAACCACAAUUUGCUCAAUAAAAAUCUCCGAAAGGAUCACAUAUAUAUCAAAAACCCUAAACCCUUAAGUCUCACUUUACAAAUCCCAGAAACCAGAGCAAGUAAACUAAUCAGAAGCCAACCUUAAUUAGCUUCCACUCUAAAACUCGAGAAACCCAGAUGACAGAUAGACCAACAGACCAAGAUUUCAAGAUUUUAAGGUUUGAAAUAAAGAAUCAAACCUCAAACAAGGAAAACCCCAACAAAACCCCAAACCUUAUUUAUCAAUGUUUUUCACAUGAAUCAAAUCUUGGGACUCUGAUAGGAAAUGAAAUUGGAAAAAAGGGGGUUUUACAGUUUUGACAGAGGGGAGAGAGGAAAGAGGAAUGAAUCUCGAUUGAGAUAUUUCAGCAACUACAACAUGCCGAACAGCUGAUUGUCAGUGGAGGGAUUUUUCUAUUUGUGGUGAAUUUUUAUUUUAUAUUAAUUGAUUUGAUUAGCUGUAGAUAUUUAAAGAUGCUUUAAAUGGAAAAGAUCAUACAUUUAAACAUAACGAAAACUACAUUUUUUUUAUACUAAAAAGUCAAUCACGUUACUAUUUACUUUACUCUUUAUCUUAUCUUUAUCGUUAAAACUCAAAGUUUUUAAAACAUUUUCAUUAAUUUUCGUUUUAAACAUUGCUUUUGAUUCCCUGUUCUGCAAAGCAAUUGAAACAUUUGUGGAGUCAGGGUGCGUUUGGUACGCAGACGGGACGGAACGGGACGGGACGGGACGGAAUGGGACGGGACGGAACGAAGGUGUAAUUUUUGAAAAAUACAUGGGGUAUAUUUGUCUUAAAAUGGUAAAACAGUGUAUUCCACAGACGUGGAACAAACCCGUUCCAGGGGGGAGGUGGAACGCAAAAACACCCAAAAUCUGUUCCGUGGAACAGCCCGUUCCACCCAUUUUUGACGUACCAAACGCGGGACGGAACGUCUCGUCCCGUUCCGUCCCGUCCCGUCCCACGUACCAAACGCACCCUCAUGGAACCAUUGGGGGUCUACAUUAUUUUUCUAAUUUACUUUAGGCUAAAUUUAUUACAUGGACAAAAAAAUACUAUAUUCAAGAAAAUAUUUUCUCACGUCCUUUUUUAAAAUUAUGAUCCGUCAAAUUUAAAAUCGUCUGAAGAAAAGAAUAGUUACUUACUCAGCAAAAUCUGUAUAAGAAGUAGGACUUUGAAGGGACUUCCACUUCAAGUUGUGAAUCUUUCAAACUUUUCCACAUGGAAUUAGGAAACCCGCUUCACACUGUGAGCUGGUGCUGACAGGAUCUUCUGCAUCUGCACAUAAAACCAAAAAACAACUACAAAUCUUCUGCACCCAAAGGCAAAGGCUUUUAGAUGGAUGGUUGUAAAUCCAUGUACAAGCAAGCUGUCCUGCUUUGUUCUCUCCUAUACCAACCCAAUGACAGCAACUUUACUAUAUCUUAAUGCAUUGAGAUUUACAUAACAUAGAAGAAAUCACCAUCAAAUGAGACCACCACCUCACUUGCAGGCUACAGCUGUGGAAGUGGAACUGGAAGUGGAAGUCGAAGUGGCCUUCUUUUUUAUUCAAAAGGCUUAUCUUUGUACAUUUGCUUAUUAUUAGGGAUUGAAUCAUUGAAUGUAUCGAGUUAACUUACUUAUAUUUAUGUCGUGUUCGUGUCAAUCCACAGGUUGAUUAGUAAACAAAAUAUAUAAAAGCAAUAAUUUAAUAAUACAAUAUCCCAUACUUUAAAAAAAAAUUGAGAAAUUUUAUGUUUAAUCCUAUUCACGUGUUUUAUACUUUUAUAUUCAUGCGAAUUGCAAAUCGUGUAACACGUCAUGUCCGGAAAUCGCCACUCUUGGUGUGUUGCUCAAUCCCUCAAACUCAUCGGGCACAUUUACCAAUGCAUAGCCAAGUAAUGGCCAGAGUACGGGAUCACAUGAUUACAGCUCCUCUCCUUCCAUCUUGCAAAAGCAAACCUCCUCGCAUCUCCUCUCCCACCUUCAAUGGCAUGUGCAUCAACAACCUCCGUUUUCUCUGCACAAUUUGCUUUCCUUGUAUGUUUUAGCUUUCCCAGCCCUUCACAUUAAGAGCUCAAACGAUGAACGAUUGAUCGUUUUGUGUCAAUACGAAAAAAUGAACAAAAUCAACGUUGGUAAGACAAACCGUAACACGUUGAAAAAGGAUUCUGAAAUGGGACGUCAAACAAUAUUUAUCUGUCACUAGUUUUCUGGAGGAAGCAAGAGGAACAUGGCAAAAGAUUAUACACAGCUACUUGAAGAAAAAGGAACAAAAACUUGAAUGAUAUCAACAAUUCCAACACAAAAAUUUGAGUUUCUUUUAUCUGUCCUUUCCUAUCCUGCACAUAUCUAACCAAAUCCUCCUACCCCGCGACAUAUAAUUUGUGACAAGGGGGGAGGAAGAUUACAUUUUUCCUAUAGUCAAAGAUUUCUCAAGGGGAAAACAAGAGAAAGAAAAAUUAGAAUGUCUUGCUGUCUCUACUACCACCAGCAACCUUACGAUGGCGCUUCUUAUCUCCUCGAACACGCUUUUGAGAAAUCUUCUUCCCGAUUGGAGUCUUUACAGAUGUGGUACCAUGAGACAAAGAUGGCGGACGACGAACAAUAACCCUAGGAGGUGGGGGAGGAGGCAUGUGCUCCAGUAACUCUCUGUGGUAUGCCUGUACAUUGCAAUCACUAUGAACAUAUAAUAACAUGUAAAGCUUAUGCAUUCAAAGGAAGAGAACGAAAAAGAGACAGGAGGACCUUAUAGCAUAGUUCGGCACAUUGACAUCCUAGUAAACUUUACCAGUUACCAUUAGUUAAUCUACUUUGACUAGUACCUUCGUGCUGAGGAUAAGCUUUUACCUUCAUAUGCUAUGAAGAUGAAAAGAACCGUUCAAACAGCACACAAUUUCUAUUUGGGAAAAAUGAGCCAUUUUCCAAGUAAUUCCCGGACUCUAAACAGAGCACCGUUAGCACAACAAAGCAUCUAAAUCGCCAAGAUUGCAAAACACAGAUGCAAGCGUUGGUGGAACUAAAUAAAAAUACCUAAUCGCUCAACAGAACCCUGCGACUCUACAACAUCCUGACAAACCUAAAAUAUUCCAAAUAAACAAAACAUGUUGAAUGAAAUACAGUAAUUUUUCAAACCACAGAUAUUACCUGUAUUACAAAAUUCCGCCUUUCACAAUCCAAAAACAUAUUAAUGCUCCAAUCAACUUUUCUCAUGAUUCUAUCCCUCACUGUGGAGAAGCUUAACUGAUCCCUGGAGGUAAAUCGAUCAACUUCGUUGAACCAAUUGCAGGUAAAUAAAUUUGUGAUGGGAAUGUGUUCCUUUAUUAUAACACAACCUUCAGGAACAUCUGCAGAAAGUCACAGAACAAAGCACCCAUUCCAGAUCAAAGAGAAAGAUAAUGCUACUACAUGCAAACCGAAGCAGAAAAACAUACACUGCCAUAUGUAUGCAUAAGCUUACAUAUGACAGCACGUGAAUAAAUGACCUACCACUGGUUAUUGGAAACUUAGCCUCUGAAUAAGGUUGCAAACCCUCCUUAAUAUAGAAGUCAAUCUGCUCAUUAAUGGUGGAAUUAUCAUACUUUCCAGCAGCUUUGUUAGCUUCAGCUUCUACAAACACAUCAUACCGUUUAUAGUGCCUUGAAAUUGCAAAGUUUGCAUUCUGACGCCACAAGAACCUGUAACAUUAUUUAAGUACUCAAAAAUCAAGGUUUAUUUAUGUAAAACUCAAAAACGAAUGAAUUUGCACAGCAGCAUAAGAACUGGUUGCAAUAUCACAUUGUUACAUAAAGUGCAUGCUGGAUUAAAGAAUCACAGUUAAAAUUACUGAUAAUUAAGCAAACACCCGGUUGUUGUAUGAGGCAGGGUAGUAAUUUCAGAUUCUCAACUACACUACUACAGGCGUGCACAUGGCAUUAGUCAGAAAAGAAGUGUACCUCUCAAGGACUUGAAAAGGAUCCACCACGAGCCGAAGCUUUCCAUCAAUCCAUAUAGAAUAUCUGACAUUGGGGAAAAUCCUAUGCAAUAGAAGCUUCGGAAUCUGCCACAAAAACAUUAAGUGUCAAUAACAUCUAAAAACUUCCCCAACCCCUUUUAAUCCAGAUGGAGUAAAUUCUGGAUAGCACGCCACUAUUUAUUAAUUUAAAUUAAAAGCACCACCUGAUAUAAUAGAUUGACAAUAACUUUUCCUAAAAUCCAUACACUGCAUAAAGGGAACACCAAAACCAAGGUUAGGAGUGCCAAUUUGACAACAGACCAAACUCCAGUUGCAAAGCCCAACAUCUACAGGUUAAAGGUUCAACUACAACUUGGCAAGCAGCACUUGGAACAUAACCAAGACCAGAAGUUGAAUGUGAGCUGGAUGCUGCAGCCAGAUCGGUCAAAAAUAUUUUUCUUUUAAAAGGGCCAGGCCGGUUUGGUAUAGGAAUUAUGCUCAAAUUAUACCAAUCUCUGUAUGAUUUCAGCAUCCUCAUACAUGCUUGUCUAUGUGUGUUUCUUUGCAAUGCUUCUAUCAAUUCCCAUGAAUCAUAUAAACUAAUCUUAAAAAUACCAAAUCUCCUAUCUAUAAAUGCAGCAUGGAAGAAACAAAACAUUUAAAAGCACCAGUAAAUCCUUGAAACCAAAAAUAAAUUUUAAAUAACAACUGAUCCAAGCUACAUUGUGGGAUGUGGCCAAAAGGAUGAACCAAAUCAAUCAAAACAAACUGACCUUUCCAUUACGCCUUGCAUCACUGUAAGGAACGUUGCGGACAACAAUAAUUCUCCACAACCCUAUCCUCUUACUGUCUCCCAGGACACUAUAAUUCUUCAUAUAAGCUUCUGUCUCUUCAUCAAUAAACAAGUAGAAUGGAACAUUUUUCCUUGAAAACUCACUGAUGUUCUUUGGCUGUUGUAUUAUGUCAUAGUUUCCUGUCAAGGAUGCAGAUGCAACCAUGAGAAAAAGUAAACCAUAUGCAUACGGUUAAGCAAACAUCCCACGAUUUCUUAAGCUCAGAUUUACCAAAGACAGCUGAUGCAACAAUGACAUCAUGGUACAUCUCCAACUCCAUAAGGUCAGCUUCAUCAACAUCAAAUCCAGACCGGUGACCAGGUUUGCUUGCGUUCACAAAUCUGAAAAGCACCAAGAGAACACAAGUAAGGGUCAAUGCAAUCAUCGAUAGAAGAACAAACUGAAAAGGAUCACAAAAUCAUUAAUUAAUAAAAAGCAACAAGGCAAAACAAAUGAUGAGAGUAAACAUACCCACAGUGGACCAUCAUGGAUUCUUUUAUAUCAUAAGAGUCAUUUCUCUGCUUUAGAGUUGGAAAUCCACCAAAUUCAGAACCCCUAUGUGGUUCAACUCUAGUAGGAUUUUCAUCAUAAACAUAUGUCAAAUUAUGUAGGACAGGUGAUUCUGAGGGGUAGCUUGGCAUACUAGCUAUAGCCUGCUCCACAGGUAGAUAGCAUACUGGGCAUGCUGAAAGAAAUUGAACAAUAAAUUCAAUGGUUCAGCAACAGGAUAUGCAUCACCUCAGAACGUUUGUGAUAACUUCUCAAGUUCAUGUAAAGAUGUUAAACCAUAUUGAAUAUCAUGGUAUAUUACUGAAAGAAUAGGCGACCGAAAAAAUCACUGAAAGAAUGUGUAACCCAUAAAAAAAAAACACUGAAAGAAUAAAGAAAAAUACAAAAACUUACGGCGUGGUCCAUAGCGUUUUCGAUCAGUUGGAGGAGGAGGCGGGGGAAAUGCAAAAUUUUCACAGUGGUGAGGCAAUAGAGGGGCAUUUCCACGAACAGCAAAUGGUUGAGUAAGGGAAUGGGGAGAAGGAAGUUUAAUGUCAUGUCUGUCUUCCACGUCUUCAAAAGUUACGGAACUACUUGACAUCUCCUCGCGAUAAGGUAUUACGUUUUCACUAUGUUGAGUCAUAAUGACAUUAGUGCUUUCUGGUCCAUCAUCAUAAAAAAAAAAAAAAUGCAUUAUCUUACUUAAAAGAAUUGUAGAGAACAAUAAAUGAAUUUGUACAGAAAAUGGGAAAACAUUCUACAAAAUCAGAAUUCGUUCCGACAUCAACAAGCAAGGCUCAAACAUACUAGCUCCAAUUAUGAAGAAAUAGAUACAGCUAGGUAAACUCAAUUGAGUGAUAUUUCUUACAAUAUAUCAAGGUGUAAACAAUAAUCAUGUUUGUUCCAUACUUUCAAUCACAGCCAAUAUCAAGACAGCUUCUGAUUAUGCAAAAUAAUACUAAGCUCAGACAAUCGGUUACUUGUAAAGUUUCAACUGGUAUAAACUCAUGCAUGUACUCUUACGAAUUCCUGUUUUAAAAAUGAAUACAUUACUGUGGAUUUAAAAGCAGCAGGGAUAAAGAAAACAAACCUCUAUUUACAGUGAAGGAAUUGAAUACGAAAACCAAAAGAGCAAGGACAACCAAAAGAAGCAUUGUGACUCGCUUUCGACCCAAGAAUCUACAGACAAAGGGCAAAACUCUUUCCUUCUCCCUUGAACCGGAAAGAAGCAACUUUGAAGACUUGCGGGUAAGAAUAGGUGUUGGCUGAUUAUGUGAAAGACCAUUCUGUAUCGGUUGUUGUUGUAGUAGUGAUCCAUAACUCCCUGUACGUAGACCGAAUGACCCUCCAGUCAUUGUACCUUCAAAUCCACAAAUUCUUUAAGUUUUAUUUCCUUCUCCUUCGACUAGAGCCUCUCAUUCAGGAAACCCAGAUUCUUUUUCCAAAGUCCGAAACUUGAAAAACGCUAUGCAGAAACAGACUUAACUUCUUACACUUCCAAAUUCACAUCAACAAACCCACAAUUCUUUUGCAAAGAUAUCAUCGAAAACACCGCCCCCACCUCGAAAUCAUACUUCAAAUCACCAGAAAAUCCUCAAUGAAUUACACUUCGAAGCUGCAAAUCCAAAUAUGCAUUGAAAAUCUCCAACUGAAUCUCCAAAACACAAAGAACCGAAAGGAUCCCGAAAACCAACACGCACUUAAACAACUCCAAAUAUAAUUAAUUGCCUACGAUCUGAAACACCAAUGCGCUCGAAUACACUGAACCAAAAGCACACAAACCACAUUCUAUGCAAAACCCACUUCCUAAAAGCACUUUUCCUUCCAAUCAACCAAACAUGCAGUCCAAUCCCCAAUCCAACCAGAAACCCCCAAAUCAAAUUACCACUGCAAAUUGCAAACAAACCCAAAACCAAAAACUGACCUGGAUCAAUGCCAGCACAAAAUUGAAUUCCGAGUAGAGUUUUAAUUACAAAAAGCUUCCAAUUACGUACCUCUAUCGGAAAAAGCGCUCCAAAUUCGAACUCAAUUAAAAAGGUUUGUAGGGGUUAUCCACAUCAAGAUGUCUCUGUCUCUAGGGUUUCGGUGGCGAAUAUUUUGGGGAUUACCAUCCGCGCUGUACCGCUGUUGUCUCAUUAAUAUUUUCUUUUAUUACUCUUAUUAUUUAUUAGAAACAUUUAUUUUUGUGUGUAAUUAUGGAAUUUGGACCCAAAUUAUAACCCAUUAAUAUUAAAUCCUCUUAUUUUCUAACAUGGAAGUUAUUAAGAUUCCAAUUUCCAACCAUCACUUCAUUGCUUUUUGGAAACAUUAUAAUGUUCUUGAACAACCAUUAUGGUCAAUUGGUAAAGCACUAAUCAAUUUUCCAACUUUUAAAAUGUUUCCCAACAAAUAAAAAGGUUAAAAAUGAGCUGAAAUAUCUUUAACUUUUUCGAGUUCGAAAUUAGUCAUAUAUUUGGAGUUGUGGGGUACUUCAGAUUUUGGCAAAAAAAUUGUUUCCAAACAAAAAAUAAAAUUUUAAAUGAACUCAGGUCGCAAAAGGCUUAUAGGUCAACAAAAUUUAGAAUUUUUAUCUCUAUAUUCGAGGUUCUAGGUUAAUUUUCCUUUCUCACACUUUUCUUUUGUUUGUUAAAUGGAUAAUAAAAAUAAUAUAUUUUCUUUGAUGAGUUUGAGCUGUGAAGUUAACCAUGAGAGGAGAAAUACUACUAAGAUGAACGCAAAUAUAAUUGAUUUUUAAAUAAUAAGUCAUACGAGAGUUAACUGAGUUAGUAAAAGAGAUUACAAAAAUAUAUUUAGGAAAAAUAAUUAAAGAGUUCAAUCAUUUCUAAUGUAACAGAAAUAUGAUUUUUGUGAGAGAAAUAUGUUAGGGCAAAAGAAAUUUAGAGGGUAAGAUUGGACAAUUUGAAGUAAACUUGGGAGUUGGCACCAAGCUAUGAGCUAUCUUGAAAACACUUGUAUUACUGAACUACAAGUCACAUGUAUUACGACUCCCUAAAUUAGAGAGUAUGAUUGGAAUAGAAAUUGUUUAGAGCUCCUAAAAUAGCUUCUUAGCCGUUUUGGCUAAAAUUUAACUAAAAAAUAGAGAAAAUGAUUAAACAUGCUCCUUUUGCAAAAAAAAAUGAUAAAUAAAGUAAUGAAAACAAUUACGGGUUAAACUAGCUACUCAAUGUAGUGUGCAUUUCCACUUGUACGCCAGUUUGAACGCCCCUACAACUUUAAGAGAAAAAGUCAAAGAAAAAUUAGAAGUCCCUUGACUAAUCAAAAUUAAUUCUGUAAGUCAUUAAAAACUCACUUUCAGUCGUCCACCAUUUUUUUGGUGCCAUUGCCAUCAACUUGAUGGUGAAUCGACUUUAUAGGUUCCUCAUUGGAAACUGACUUAUCCACCCUGUAGACUUGUAGUUGUUGGUACUUGUCACUACCAUCAACUUGAAGAAAAUCCCCAAUGGUGAUCUAACCAAAUCAUACAACAUUUGAACACUUUAAAAUAUGACAAAUUUAUUUAUUUAUUCAUUUUUUGCAUGAUUCAAUUAAAGUUUUGACAUACCUUUAACUUCUGAAAAUUCAUAGGUCAUAACAUAUAUGCUCUAACCAAUGAAACUUCGUUUCAUACCUUAAGCUUCUUAAAAUUCAUAGGUCAUAACAUAUAUGAUCUAACCAAUAAAACUCUGUUAUGGUAUUGUUUGGGACUCGCUACAAUUUCUUAUUAAUUUUUCAUUUUCUCAUCAAAAAAUUUAAUAAAAUAAAUGAUUUAUUUGACUCAAUAAAUGGUAUGGCUGCUUUUCUAACUUAAGUGUUAAAAAUUACAUGGGAAAAUUAUAAAUAAUCAUACAAAUUAUUUAUUAUAAAACGAUCAUCAAUACAAGUUAGGGAUUUGGCUACAAUUCUUACAUGUAAUUAAUAUAAUUACCAUCUCGACGUUCAGGUGGUGAUUAUACUAAGUACUGGUUUGGUACUGAGGUGCUUUUAUAAAAAGUGGGUAUCUAAAAAAGCUGAGCUCAAAAAAGUGUUUGGUAAACACUUCAGCUUAUUUUCACAGUUUUUGGUGAAAAGAGCUGAAAAUAUGAAGCAGCAAAAAUGAGCUUAUUCUCACAGCACAGCAAAAACAAUUUUUUUUCAAAGCACAGCAAUACCAAAUCAGCCCUAAAUACAUGUAUUCACAUCACAUAAGUUAUAUAUAUGACUGUCAAAUGGUGAUUGUAUUUAGGGCUGGUUUCGUAUUGCUAUGCUUUGAAAAAAAACAGUUUCUGCUGUGCUGUGAGAAUAAAUAGCUAUGAAAUAAAGCAGCAGAGUAUUUGGUAAACUUUUUUGUAAAAGUGCUUUUGAAAAAAAAAAGUUGUAUUAUAGUAUUUGAUAAACUUUUAUGUAAAACAAAUGUGAAAAAAAAGCUGGUUUUUCAAAGCUGGGUUUUGCAACUUUGUGUUUUUGGCUUUUUUUCACCCAAAACUGUGAAAAAAAAGCUGAAGUUGAAUGUUUACCAAACAUAAAAAAGUUGGGAGUUUUUUUUUAUAGCCACUUUUUUCAGAAUCACCUCAGUAUCAAACAAAGGCUUAAUACAUGUAAGUAUUAUAGUCAAACAAACUAGAUGAACUUAAACUCGAGUUGAGGAAAGUGAUCGACACUUUGACUUUGAAAAGAAUUACGCAUCACACUAGUGUUAAUAGUUAUUGACACUCAUCUCCCAUAAUACGAAGCAUUGCAAUUUCACAAGGCUCCUUUGAACCGGAAUGUGCAGAAACUCACUGACAUAACAAAUAAAUUUUACAGUAGACUAUUCUAUUUAUAGAAGCAGAAGAGGCCUACGAUGUCCGCGGGUUCAAGGUAUAAUCCAAGUCUGGUUCGAGCCCUUCAUGUAUGAAGUUGGAAGCCAAACAACAAUUGAAAGUUGCAGUGCUUUGAAUAGUUGAAUAUAACUUUCAAGAGGCAAACCAUAUUCUACGUUAAAAGCUUAUAUAUAUGCAUGACUAAACCGUUGGUGUUCAUUGCGAUUUGUCACGGAUCUAUGGAAGAGGGAGUAGAGUUUUGGUUCGGAUGUUCGCAUCACCACUUUUGUUGGCCCUUGUUGGUCCUUCCUGGUGUUUGCCCUUGUCAGCGAUGUUGCUCGUGGAAUCUUUCUUCUCGCUUGCUUUCUUGGUUUUGUGGCGGUGGUCGUUGUGGUGGUCCUUUGAGGAUGAUGCGGCCUUUUUCUUUCUCAAUUAUGGGGCUCUUGCUGGCGUGAUCUCUGGUGCUUGUGGGGGGCCUCAAUCAAUUUCAGUUGUGGCACCAACAAAGCUGCAAGGAUUUUUGCUUUCUGUGUGUUUGUUGUGGGCUCAAUCAUUUUUUUUCUUUUUUAAAAGGGAGCACAACUAGUGAUAAGCAACUGUUAUCCAUCCCUUUCGAACCCUAACUUUGGGAAGCUAUAGAAAUUUUCAUCAUGUCCAUGGCCACAGUCAAGCAGACUCACUAGCUCGAAGCAUCAAAGCCAAGAUCUCCCAUCAUUUUUUAUUUUAUUGAAGAGCCGCAGUCUGUGCCCUUACCAUUGGAUUACUUCUUGUGAUUUGGGCUCAACCAUUGGGUUGGGUUUUUUUUGCUUUGUGGGUCUAUCUUUUAGUCUUAUGUUUUAUUUAUAAUUGGGCCUAUGUUUGUGUAUAUUUGGUUUGUUAGUAAUGAAUUUUACCUUUGUCAAAAAUAAAAAUGAAAACUAAUGAAAAUGACUUGAAAACUUUGAGUUUUAACGAUAAAGAUAAAAUAAAUGGUAAAGUGAAUAGUAUCAAGAUUGACUUUUCAGGGUAAAAAUAUGAUUUUUCGUUAAAAUGAACAGUACAUAGAUCUUUUCGUUAAAGUUUCCUAAGACCACAAAUUAUCAAAUUAAUUAACCACAAAAUUUUGUUUAUGAACAAAGCAAAAAAUUGAGGCUCAGCCCACUCUCUUUCAAAAUACUAAUAUAUUGUAAGGCUCAACCUACCCCCUCGUCUUAAUGUAAAUAAGAUUUUUGAAAAAAAAAAAAAAAAGGCAAAGAAUUGGUGAGUAGCUUUGCCUUUUGCCUAAUACAUGUAAGAGUCGCCUGCAUGGAGACAAAUCAAAAUACAGAGCCCAAGAGCGUGGGGCCCCAAGCUAGAAGUCUAAAACUUGAGGGGUGUCGGGUGGGGUUGAGAUUCUCUCCGAAUCUCACAUAAUUUAAAAGGAAAACUAAUGAAAAGGGCUUGAAAAUUUUGAAUUUUAAUGAUAAGGACAAAAUAAAGGGUAAAGUGAAUAGUACCAGGAUUGACUUUUUAGUGUAAAAAUGUGGUUUUUCGUUAAAGUGAACAUUACCAGGUACUUUUCGUUAAAAUUCCCUAAUUUAAAACGUUCAAGUGAGAGAAAAAUUUAGGGGUUUGAAAGAAAAGUUGUUCAUAUAAUUGGUGGUAAAAUAGACAAUUGGGACUACAAAAUUUAAACCAAAUUACUUGAUCCGUAGAUUCCAAAUAUUUAUGGCCGUCUCUAAAUCUCAAUCCGUUCGAUUGACUGCCACGGACAAGUUUAUUUGUCCGAGCAGGAGGAGAGACGGCCAUAAAUUUCAUGGAUGCAGAUGACGUGGCAAACUGUUGGUAUAUUAAAUAAGACAGGAGCCAGCUGUCGUUGGGUCAUUCAUGGGUUUUGUAAUCUAAUGCACCAUUGGUGGACCCACCCAUUAAUGAUUAUUAUUAGCAUCCAUAUUAUUAACUUAUUUACAUGUCUCCUCGCACUAGCUUUUUUAUAUGUCUCGUAUCACAUCAAAUGGGUCCAAUUAUUAUGAACCCUAAAUUUCACACAUAGAAUCACUUCAUAGCGCGCGACACAGAUAAUCGUAGAUCUAAACGCAUUGACGUGGAAUUAAUGUACGUGCUGGUAACACAACGUUACGUGUGUACUUUAUUUUAUGAAUUUGUCAUAGAAUGAUAUAUUCACAUUAUCAUAUUUAAAAUUUGCACAUAUGACCGCGGCAUAAAUAUUAUGAUUUGAAUGAAUUCGUAAUGUAUUUACAUUCUUAUGUUUAAAGUUUGUAUAUGAAUGACUGUAACAUACAUGAUAUAUAUUGCCAAAAAUCGUCUCAAAACCUGGUCUAAAAUCAUCAAUUCCAAACUUUUUUUUUUUUCAAGAAAUCUUACCUCUCCAAUUCUUAAGUGGCAUCAGAUUGGUUUGUCAAUGAUUGAUGGCCGAAAUCAUGAACAUGCUUAAUUUGAAAAUAAAAUUGUCGUUAACGUACUUUAGUGUAUAAAUUUUAUAAUCGAAUUUGUUCAAUUUUUUUAUUUUCAUUUGAAGACCAUAUCUAAAGUAUUCAUUUGAACAUAAGAUUGUUUAGUCAUUCAAAUGUAUCAAAUAAAUAGACCGUGCAUUGUAAAUAUGUUAUUUGGUACUCACACCGAUUUAGCCCAUACAUUUAGAUGCAAAAUGAUCUUUGAUUCAAUUAUUUUUCUAGGGAGGGAUAAUAAAUUGAGCAAAUUUGAUUUAAAAUUUAUACAGUGUCUGCUAUUUUUAAGAUAUGAGAUAUGCGCGCAAUCUUUCAUGUGGAUGCAAGUAAUAUCUGUACCAACGUAAUAAGGUUCAUAGAACUAUGCGAAAAUUUACAAUACGUAUGAUUAUUGAAUAAUUCGUCACUUAUAGGCCUACAAUCCAAUCUAACGGUUGUAAAAAUUGGAUCUACCUCACUCAAAAAUAUGAAUCCAAAUUACCAUGUUUUUGUUGCACUUCUUUUGAAAAAUGAUUUCGACAUUCGUUGUUUUUCACACACUAUUGUAUAUUUUGAAAUUGGGUCGAAUCAAACAAAAAACAGUAAUAAACAGAAGUGCAUAAAAUGAGAAAAAGAAAAACUAAUCUUAAAACUGGAUAUGAGAGAGAGAGAGAGAGAGAGAGAGAGAGAAGGGCUCAGGUGUAUAUCACCCUCGCCCUUGUACCUUCAUUAUAUUAAUCAUAAUGAGUUUUCUUGCCUUACACAUAGUACAAAGCUUAUUAGGAUUUGAAAAUUGAUUUCAAAUCCUAUUGAGAUUAUACUUUAAAUUUACACAAUCACAUUCCUAAAUAAAACAUUCUAAUUACAAUACUCUCCUUGAGUGUGUACAAAUUAAGAAGUAGUCCCAUUAGGUUUUCAUGAUUAAGAGAUGGUGGUUGUUGUCACUAGUUCUCGGUAGUUACAAUAGUUACUAACACAAGUCUCUUAGUAGGGGCGCGUAUCAAAAGAAAAUUUCACAAAAUCCAGCUAUGGUAAUUAAACCAGCGAGACAAACUUAUAAUCAAAGGAGAAAAGUGAGUUAAUGCAGGCUACCAAUGUUUCACAUUUUCAAAAUGAUUAUUAACACACACAAGGUUAUGACCAGCCCAGAGUAGGUGUCUCAUCAAAACCUCCUCAGGCUAGCAAAAACUCAAUGGGAAAAAGUGCUCCUAAUUGUAAGGCUACUUAUUUAUAAGCCUAUGUAAGGUCCCUUAUUUCAUCAAUGUAAGAUUCAUUAUCAACACACCCCUUCACGUAUGACGAAUUUUCAAGCCAAACACCUGGAUAACACAAACGAGAUGACGUGGAGCGCGUGUGGCCAUUUGCUUCAUAUGUGAGACAAUCUGCUCUGAUACCAUGAAGAAAUUGAGAUGCCACUAAGAAACCAAUUGACAAUAUGAGAAGUAGUGCAACUUUUUUAUUAGCCCAUGCAAGUUCCUUUCUCCAAUCAAUAUGGAAUUCAUUCUCAACCGUAGCAGAUUAGAAGGUAGGGGACAUGACAACUGACAUGUCGUUCAUGACCUGGGCUAGGUGAUGACUCAGCGGCUCAUGUGAUUCAAGGUUUGGAAUCCUUCAUUUUUAUCCUUUUUUGAUAAGGAAAACUAAUGAAAGAGGUUUGAAAACUUUGAGUUUUAACGAUAAGAACAAAAUAAAGGGUAAAGUGAAUACUACCAGGAUUGAAUUUUUUGGAUAAAAAUAUGGUUUUUCGUUAAAGUGAACAGUACCGCGAGUUUUUCGUUAAAACUUCAUUUUUGAUAUGCUUGUACAUAUUCAUCAAUAACAUGCAUAUACAUGGACAUGGUCUAAUCACUAGGGUAGUAUUUUAUCACACACUAUUGUAGCCUCACUAAAAAAUAUGAAUCCAAAUUACCAUGUUUUCGUUGCACUUCUUUUGGAAAAUGAUUUCAACAUUCAUUGUUUUUCAUACACUAUUACACUAUUGUAUAUUUUGAAAUUGGCUCGAAUCAAACAAAAAACAAUAAUAAACAGAAGUGCAUAAAUUGAGAAAAAGAAAAACUAAUCUUGAAACUGGGUGAGAGAGAGAGGGUCAGGAGAGAGAAAGAAGGGCUCAUAUGUAUAUCACCAUCGGCCUUGUACCUUCAUUAUACUAAUUAUAAUGAGUUUUCUUGCCUUAUGGGUAAUACAAAGCUUAUGAGGAUUUGAUUUCAAAUCCUAUUGAGAUUGUACUUUAAAUUUACACAAUCACAUUCAUAAAUAAAAACACACUAAUUACAAUACUCUCCUUGAGUGUGUACAACUUAAGAAGUAAUCCCAUUAGGUUUUCAUGAUUAAGAGAUGAUGGUUGUUGUCACCAGUUCUCGGUAGUUACAAUAGUUACUAACACGAGUCUCUUAGGAGGGGGAGCGUAUCAAAAGAAAAUUUCACAAAAGCUAGCUAUGGUAAUUAAACCAGCAGGACAAACUCAUAGUCUAUAGAGAAAAGUGAGUUAAUGCAGGCUACCAAUGUUUCACAUUUUCAGAAUGAUUAUUAACACACACAAGGUUAUGACCAGCCCAGAGUAAAUGUCUCAUCAAAACUUGGAUAAAACAAACGAGGUGACGUAGAGCACGUGCGGUCAUUUGCUUCACAUGUGAGAUAAUCUGCUCUGAUACCAUGAAGAAACUGAGAUGCUACUAAAAAAUCAAUUAACAAUAUGAGAAAUAAUGUAACUUUUUUUAUCAACCCAUGUAACUUCUUUUCUCCAAUCAACAUGAGAUUCAUUUUCAACGGUAGCAGGUUUUAAGGUAGGGGACAUGACAAUUGACAUGUCGUUCAUGACCUGGGCUAGGUGACGACUCAGCGGCUCAUGUGAUUCAAGGUUUUGGAAUCCUUCGGUUUUUUCCUAUUUUGAUAUGCCCACACAUAUUCAUCAAUAACAUGCAUAUACAGGGACAUGGCCUAAUCACGAGAGUAUUGUUUUAUCAUGGUCUCGAACUUUGUGAAGAACUGCAUUCUAUCUCUCCCUCGUUACGAACAAAAAAGUGGUGGUGUUGUACACUGGCAGUUGCACACCACCUCGUAGAACAAUAAUUAUAGCAUGUCAUAUAUUAAAUUGGAACCAAAUAUAUUAGGGUUUAGGAUUAUUUGAAUUUUAAGAUGGCAAAAAGCUCUCGUGGGGUUCCCUUCGGAAUCCUCUCCUUCUCAGAUAUAUACGAUAACGUAUCGUAAAACUAACUUUGAGAGUAGGUGAAAUAGAGAAGGUUUAUUGAUGAUGUAUUAGUUCAUUUAUUUAUAUUAAUCAUGAUCGGUUUUUUUAUCUUACAAUUAAUACAAAACAUAUAAAAAUUUGGUCUCCAAAUCCUAUUGGAAUUCAAUAAAAUUUACACAAUUACAUUCCUAAAUAAACAUGCUAAUUACAUUUUUUAUGCGAUUAAGUGAGGAGUGAUUUUAUUAGGCGAGUGAGAGGAGUUAUUUGGUUGUAUGGAGUUUUACGGUGUGAGCGGCGAGUCGGACAGUAAUUCCGUCAGUUAAACGGUUUUUUUUUUUUGAAAUAAAAAAAAAAAAAAAAAAAAAACUGUUUAACUGACGGAAUUGACGAAGCUGAGAAAGCAGUGGAAAGGCCAACGAGAAUUCUUGAAACGGCGAAAAACGUUAACAUCGCGCAACCCAGAUGUUUUCUCUACGGACUACGUUGACAGUAGACACAGACCAAGUGUAUUUGCAACAGUUUCACUCUCCUGGAAAGCAUGUGAGAUGCACUCGCGUCUUCUGAAAAGUGCUGCUCUGCCAUCACGCACCCCAAAGGAAAUAAUUUAUUCAUGCUUAUUUUUGUUUCUUAAUUAUUCCUUAAUUUAAGUUAACAUGGUCUGAACUUGGACGUUGUUUCAUUACAUAAAAAGAUUAAUAAAACUUUCUUUUUUAUAAUAACGUAAGAAUCAAACUCGCACUAUAAUAUAUUGGUAAGAAUCAAAUCUGCACUAUAAUGCAUAUGUAUUAUUAUUUUUUGAAAUAGUUUUUGAAAUAGUAAAGCGCUAUCUUUCAAGUUUUUGAAAUAGUUUUCCCCACUUUGGCAAAAACAUAUCUCUAAUUUGAAUCCUCCACUCCUAAGACCAUUUUUAACUCUGGCCUAUAACCUAUUUUUUGGUUUCUAUUUCCCUCCCCCCUUGGACCUAAAACCUAAAACAAAGCCAAAAAUAGCUCAGGAUUUAGCCCAAAAAAUGGUAUGGGCACCACCAGCGGGACCUCACCCACAUGGGCAUGUCCCCCAUGAUUGAUUGUAUCCAACGACUGAGAUCGAAUAUAAUCAAAUCUGUAAAAAAAGAUCUAACGGCCCAAAUUUAAAUCCAACAGCUAAAAUAAUUAAAAUUUUAUUUAACUCAAAAUUCAUCAAAAUUUAAUGAUUUUUCAAUAUUUAUCGGAAUCUAAAUAUUUUUAAGUUAAUUUUCAUAAAAUUAAAUUAGGAUAGUGCACAUAAUCCGCGAUCGAAUAUAAUCAAAUAUAACGGUGACAAAAAAGAUCUAACGAUCCAAAUUUAAAUCCAACGGCUAAAUUAAUUUAAAAAAUUAUUUAACUCAAAAUUCACCAAAAUUUAGUGAUUUUUCAAUAUUUAUCGAAAUUUGAAUAUUUUUAAGUUAAAAUGUUCAUAAAAUUAAAUUAGGAUAGUGUACAUAAUUUGUUUUUAAAAAAUUUACUUAAAAGAAACAAUUAGCCUAAAUUUAUUUUUUAAUAAUCUCGGGCUAAAAAAUUUAGGCCAUACAUAAGGUUUAGAGCAGAAAAACUAUUUUUGUGUUAAAAUCUAAAUUUUCUGGACUAUGCCAAGGAUUAGAGAUAAUCUAAUAGAAAAUAAAUAAUCUUUCUUAAAAUGAUAAGAAUAAUUACUUAAUUUGUUUAAGGUAGACGGCGCGUGUAAAAGAUGGUGAAAGAGAAUGUCAUUUUUUAUGUGUUGGGACUCUACAAACUACACAGUCAGUCUUUUCUCUUUCACUGAAAGCUGCUGCUACUGCGAGGGGACACUCCCCCCUUCUCACUCUACCAGUUUUUUCUUUUGUUUUUUUUUGCUCAAUUUUAUUAUAUUAUUCCAGAGAUUUGAUGUUAAUUUUUGUUUAAUUUUUUUAAUUCUCUGAAACUCUCCAACUUUACGUGUCUCUCUGCAUCCCCUGAGAGCCCUUUGAUCCAUGUCCUUCUUCUCCAAAAGCCCUAAAUAAUUUUCUAGGGUUUCAGUAAAAGAGGUGCUUUGUCUUCAAGGUUCUCAACAUUCUGCAGAUUCUGCAAAAAGGUUUGGACUUUUUGGAAAUUGGGGUUUUGUUUGUUUUGAAUUUGUGGGUAUUGUUGUCAUUGAGAAUUUGCAUUCUAUAUUGAAGAACUGGCAUUUUUGAAGAUUUUAUGUGCUGAAUUUGAACUUACUCUGGUGAAAGCUUGAAGAUUUUCAAGAUUUCUAGGGUUUGGGUUUCUGAAAUUGCGGGUUUUUGCUUCUGGCAAAAUGUAUGACUUUGGUGGGUUUGUGAAGGGGUUGGAUUCAUACAUUUGGUGCUUGUUGGAUUAUAUAUAUUUGAUGAGUUGAAUUCUGGGUUUUUGUUUUGAGUAUUUAUAUUUUGAAGUUUUGAACUUUUUGUAUCUGGGUUUUGGUGAUGAGGAUUGUAUUGUAAAAAUGCAAGAUUUCUGAGGGUGUGGGCAUUGGUUCGAAAGGAGGGGAUUGUUGGGGGUGGUUUUGGUGCAUAAUGGGUUGCAUUUUCUGUAAGCCUUCUGCAAUUGAGGAUAGCAAGGAGAGCCCCAGAGAGAGAUUGUCAAACAAGGGGGCAUCAGACUCGCGGACGACAAGGGUUGCUUCAUCCAGGAGGGAGGAAUCUUAUCGAGCGAAAGAUCGAUAUGAUGGCAAUGAUGGGAGAGCAAUGUUGAUUGAUAAGCAAGUGAAUGGGCCUGUUCGAUUGCACGGGGAGAAUUUUGAAAGGAAGAGGGAGAAGAUGGAAUAUGUUGUUGCUCAACAUCCUGGGAUUGGUAUCAUUCCGAAAGCUGCAGAAGGGGAACAGGUUGCAGCAGGGUGGCCCUCCUGGCUAGCUGCAGUGGCUGGAGAGGCCAUCAAAGGAUGGGUUCCGCGACGUGCAGAUUCAUUUGAGAAGCUAGAUAAAGUAUGCUUCUUUUCUUGUUUAGUUCUCAAGUACCUUUAUGGUGCAAAUCAAAUCUUCAUUCUUUCCUUGUCUUUGUUGUUAUUUAAUCUUUGAUUUUGGGUUAUCCUAUUUUUUAUUAUUGAGAUUGAAUUUGGUAUUUUAUAUUCUAUUGAAACCUGUUUCCUUACGCAUCAUAACUUAUUGAGGAACAAUUUUUUACUUAGUAGUUUGGGGUAACAGGACAGUUUUACUGUUAUUACUUUAUAGUUAUUUUGGAGUUUAAGAAUGUUGUGUCAAGGUAUACUUAUGAAUAGGCACAUGGAAUUCUUGUGGGGCAAAAUUCGCUCUUUACUUUCCUGUGAAAGCAUAAGAAACCACAUUCACUAGACUUUGAGACAAGAAUAGGUGUUACAUUUGCUCCUCUUCUUUACGGGCAUGCAAUUAAAUCAGUUGACAUGGAUAAGUAGUUUAAGCAUAACGGUUUUACAUUGGGAGUCUAGACUUUAUGUUGGUGGAGUAGUUGGGUGUGCAAGUUAUGAACUGGAUUAUCAAAACUUAGAGGAUUUUGUUGAUUUGCAUUUAAGCAGAUUUGCGUUUCUUGUUUUUUUAAACUCUUCCAGUUUUAUGUUUUGGGUGCUCUAUUGGAUGCUACCUAGAAUCAUCUUCCUCUUAUCUGUUUUUUGCUUGUUGGUUACUAUGCUUAUAUACCCAACUGGUUUUGACGAUAACACUGAGAAAAGCAAUAGGUUUGUGGCAUUCAAUAAAGACUAUAUCGUUCUAUCGUGUUCUUGCAUCUGGUGAUACGAUAUUUCUGGUGUUUUUGUUUAUUUUUCCUUAGCACUAUCCUCUUUCGAUUUCCAUAACUGUUGGCUGGCCUUGGUUGUGUCCUUAUAUUUAUAUUUUGCAGAUUGGUCAGGGUACUUACAGUAAUGUUUAUAGGGCCCGUGAUCUUGAUCAAAAGAAAAUUGUUGCUUUGAAGAAAGUGAGGUUUGAUAACCUAGAGCCUGAGAGUGUUCGCUUUAUGGCAAGGGAAAUUCACAUUUUACGAAGGCUUGAUCAUCCAAAUGUGAUAAAACUAGAAGGUCUAGUUACUUCAAGGAUGUCUUGCAGCUUGUACCUUGUUUUUGAGUACAUGGAGCAUGAUUUGGCAGGGCUUGCUUCACACCCUGGUCUGAAGUUUACAGAAGCUCAGGUAUUUAGUGGUCGGUUUUGCCUCUUAGACUAAACAUAACAAGUUACUGGGGGUUUUCGUCAGUUCUUGCUUCCUGUAUCUGCAGUUCAUGAUGUUCCUAUUAUGAACUUUCUCUCAUCAGCACCCAUUAUGCUGCUCGUGUAUUUUGUUUAAUUAUAUAUAUAGGCAAUAUAGAGAUUGUUCAGUUGGAUGGAGGAUUGAGAUUCAGUUGAUUUAUUGGCAGGUUAAAUGUUACAUGCAGCAACUGUUAUGUGGACUUAAUCAUUGUCAUAGUCGUGGUGUUCUGCAUCGUGACAUUAAAGGUUCCAACCUUUUAAUUGACAACAAUGGCAUGCUGAAAAUCGCUGACUUUGGUCUGGCAAGUUCUUUUGAUCCUUGUCAAAAUCAGCCUCUGACAAGUCGUGUUGUAACUCUAUGGUAUCGUCCACCUGAGCUUUUGCUUGGUGCUACUUACUAUGGGACAGCUGUGGAUUUGUGGAGUACAGGUUGCAUAGUUGCUGAAUUGUAUUCCGGAAAGCCUAUUAUGCCUGGAAGAACCGAGGUAUUUAGAGUUUUUUUUCCUUGUGGGCAUGUAGAGUUGAUGCUCUUCACUAAUUUUUAUCUUCCAACUAUUUGGUGGCAAAAACACACACACACACACAUAUUUCUGCAUUUAAAUUGAAUACUUUCAAGUUGGUGGAAGAAUAAGAAAUCAGCUAGGAAACUUUUUUAUUUAGUGGAACUCACCAUAAUGAAUCAUCUUCAUAAAUAUGUCCCAUACACAUGUUCCCAUCCGUACUCCUAACCUGGUCUGCUGUGAUUUUACAACAUAACCCUAGGGGAUGCAUGUUGCAUGUCUGUCUUGUGGCUCUCUAAAUUAUUGUUCCUUUUAGAUUCGUUAUACACUAUGAAGUAGUUUGAGUGUAAAAUUUCAGUUAUUCUUGCCCUUUCUUAGAAAUGGUUUGUUAGAUGUGAGAUGGCUCUUUAGAGGUGGCUUUGUAAGUAACCUCAUUGGGCCAUGCAGCCAUGAAAGAUUUGUGGUUAUUAGCUGGUAGGUUAGGGAUAGUUUACGAACUGUUUCUAAUUCCAUUCAAAUUGCUUAAUUUCUCUGUUCCCUAUAGUUGUGCCGACUUUGUAAUUAUUAGGGUGUCCCCUUUCUGAUUUUACAUUCAGAUUCUCUUUUGCUUCUCUCCGAUUUAAAGUGUUGUGCAACUGAAUAACCGGAGUUUGUGGAUUUUUUCCUUGUAGGUGGAGCAGUUGCAUAAGAUUUUCAAGCUUUGUGGCUCACCUUCUGAAGAGUAUUGGAGAAAAUCAAAGUUGCCUCAUGCAACCAUAUUCAAGCCUCAACAGCCUUACAGACGCUGUGUUGCAGAAACUUUUAAGGACUUCCCUGCACCAGCUUUAGCACUUAUGGAGACCCUUCUUUCUAUAGACCCUGCAGAUCGUGGAUCUGCAGCUUCUGCUCUCAAGAGUGAGGUUUGGAUCUUAAAUUAAUUCCUAUAUCAUUUCGUUAUGCUGUCAUUAUUUUGCUGCAGUCUUUUAGUUUUUCAUUUAACACCAUUCUAGAUCUGUGUGUGUGCCAGUGCAUGCUUACAUGUGCAGUAGAUCUUUUUUUUGUGCUUUUAUUCUGUUGCCUAUGUUGCUUUGGAAACUUCAACUUAACUAGUUGAGUCCUUUUCAUAAUGUUCUCUUAUAGAAUCUCUUCUCUUUUUCUGCCAUUAACGAUGGUAGCUAAUUACUAGCUCUGAGAAUCAUGUCAACCAAACCACCAGAUUGCAGCAAGUUUCUUUUGGUUUUCUUAUUCUUGACUUGACUAUAAUUUGAAAAUUGUUAUAGCCCACAUUGAUUAUUUCAAUUGGCAGGAACAUUUGUUAACUCUCUUCAGUGUUAGCAACUAUUUAGAUUGAGAAUGAUCAUGUUUUCAUUAUGACUUUUUCUACCAAAACUUUGCUUUGGUGUUUUCUCAUGUGUUAUCAUUUUGAUCCUUUGUUUUUCACAGUUCUUUACAACUAAACCUCUUCCUUGUGAUCCGUCAAGUUUGCCAAAGUAUCCUCCAAGCAAAGAGUUUGAUGCUAAAGCGCGUGAUGAGGAAGCUAGAAGGUGAAUAUUGUUACACAAAAUAGUACCUACUUAUUUACUCUUUCUCAAUUUAUAGUUGGAAGGCACUUGCACCAAUUUACAUUUACUUAUAUGUACCAUUUAAACUACUUAUAUUUGCAGCAUGAAUGGUUCAAGUUCCCAAAAGACACAAAAAUAUAUGCCUAAUGAUACAUGCACUAUGAAAAUUGAACAAGUCAGGCACAUUUGAUGCAUGAUUCCUUUGGGUGAAGCUGUGCUUUUGUGAUUUAGCUAUGAGCUUCUGACAAGGGGUUGUUGGGCCUUGACAUCAAAUAAAGGGAAACUAAAAAACUUAUCAGCUGUUUGUGCUUAGCACACAUCAUGGCAUGGUUUAAGCUUGGUAAUUAAUAAGUGAGAUCAUAAGAGUCUGGACCCUGGAGUUUGCCUAAAGCAACCGAGUUUGUACAUAUUUUUCUGGUUGGGGUUAUAUAUGGUUAUGAUAGUCUCAUUUCUGAAGUGCAUUGGUGUAAAACCAUUAAUUAUUUCUGAGUACAUGUUCGUACACUGAUGAUUAUUUGUUGAAUUCUGUCUUCUCAUUUUCUUAAGAUUUAAUUUGAGUAUUGUGAAUCUGAUAUCAAUUUUGGUCCUGUAUGUGUAGUUUUUUCCUCUUUUAUUUUUACCACUGAAAGUGUGGGUGAUGUAUAUAGUAAUAAUCUUUUUCCACACAUUGGUAGACAAGGAGCAGCAGGGAAGGGCCAAAGGCUUGACCACGAAAGGAGAGGAACAAGAGAGUAUCGAGCUGUACCAGCACCUGAUGCCAAUGCCGAAUUAGUCAUGUCAAUGAAGGUAACCUGAGGUUAUUUUAACUAAAAACACUCACUUAACUCCAUCCAUCAUUGAUUUAUGUUCUAAUCGUUAAGCAUGACGAUUUUUUUUUUUGACAAACAAUAGCGUUAGUGGGUUAAAUUGUUAAAUAUUAGGAGGGAGGGGGAUCGGUGGGGGUCAAACCAGCACCAGGGUGUAUAUGCGUUUAGCAUGAUGAUAUUUAUGCGUUGCCCUUUUGCUUUUUGCAUGAACUUGCGGUAUUAAAAUGACAUAUUCAAUGCACUGUUAUUGCAAGGAAUCUGUUGGAAAUUAUCCUCUCCUUUCCUCUUCGAUUUCUUCUUUAAAAAUCAAGGUUUUUUUUUUUCUUGUCUUUUACUAUGAAAAGGGGCUUUUACGGUCCACCCAAAUUUUCCCUUGAGUUAUAUAUACCCAAGGCUUGUGUUUUCUACCAAUACAAUAACUCCACAUAACAUUGAUGGUCUUGUUAAUUACAGACUUGCUUUUCUUCAACUAUGGAAUAAUGUAUUUUUCCAGUCAGCUGUGAAAUAAUUUCUUUCACUUAUAAUCUUGCGUGGUCUCGGGUUCGAGACUUGGGAGCAGCCUCUCCAUAAAUGGGGGUAAGGCUAGCCGACAUUCACCUCUCCCAGACCCUGCGUAAAGCGGGAGCCUUGUGCACUGGGUACGACCUUUUAUAAUCUUGCGUGGUCUACGUUGCAUGUUACAGAAAAGACAAGACAGUUCUAAGAGCCGGAGUGAGAAGUUUAACCCUCAUCCAGAAGAAGUUGCUUCUGGCUUUCCAAUUGAUCCACCUAGGCCAUCACAAGCCGUAGACGCAAGUGUAGCACAUCAUGGACAUAAUCAUAAUCGAGCUUCUCAUUCAGGGCCAUUGGCUCACCGGGCUGCAUGGGCCAAGUCUACUAAGAACCCAGAUGAUCCUCCAAAGGUUUCAACUGGGGUUGACUUGUCAGCAAUGUCAGGUUUAGUGGUCGCAAGGAGGAGUAUGUUAUCUGAGGAACGCAGAAAAAGGUCUAGUUCUUCUCAAAUGGAAGUUCCAAAAGCAAUAGGCAGGUUUCCAGGCUCCUUCAAGGAGGCAUCAGAUCCCUUACAACACAAUCAAAAGCAGGCCAAUGCAGGUUCUCGUCAAAAAGAAGAUAUUAGAAGCAACAAAGAUCCAAUUAUUGUGAGUAGUUGAACUCAUGCCUUUUCCCCUAUGAUGGGGAUUCCUCAUUGAUUUAUAAUUUUCUACAAAUAACCUUAAGGGUGUGCCUACUGUUUUGAUUGUGAUUUGUGGUUCAGAAGCUAUUCUUUUUGGUUUAUGUUUCUUUUUUAUUUUUGUUUACUCUUAUUGCCUAAUACAGCAUUCCUUAUUUCUGGUUAUUUUAGGUUGGUUACGGAUCUAAGGGUCACAAAAUGCACUACUCAGGUCCGUUGCUAGUACCCUCUGGCAACACGGAUCAGAUGCUGAAGGACCACGAUCUCCAGGUCCAAGAAGCUGUUAGACGAGCACGCCUAGACAAGGCAAAGGUCAGAAAAUUCCACGCUGAGGCGAACCAAAUAUCCACCAAUUCAUUAUUUGUUUCUGGUCGUUGAGGUGGCAUAAGUAGAACUGAAAGCAGAGCAUCAGCAGCAGAUAAAAUUGCUGGUUUUCUCUUGUGAAAUAUGAGUCAUACAAAGGUGGGGGUGCUUUUCUUUUUCUGUAUAGGAGGGGCACCCAUGGAAGAAUAGCUGGUGCCCAUUUUUAACUAAGUUUAUAGCUUAGAACACACGCUCGCUUACUCUCUCACCUGUAUCGUUAUCAUUGUCCCCCCCUUGCUACUGAAAAACAUAGCCCAUUCAUGCAGAGCUUGUUAUAAGCCAUAAGCUGUAGAGUAUGUGGGAAAUAUGAAAAUUGUGUUUUGUGAUGUAAAAGCGUAAUUUUCCUUGUACUGUUAAAACACCUUUCCCUUUAUUUGUUUACUUUUUUGAAGAAAAAAAGAGGGGAAAGGAUGAAUCUGUUUACUCUUUUGAGUUCAGAUUUGUCACUUCCACAUGUAAUUAUGAUUACUCCCAUUUCGUACGGCUUGACUUGAGUGCUAUAUGCAUCAAUAACAGUUGCUGCAGAAUUUCCUAGUCCUCCUUUGAUUUUAAAUAAUAUUUGAUCUUGAGACUACCCUGAUGAGUACGUCAAGACUAAGAGUUGCCUAAAUUGUUGGGGAGAUUGGCACUUUAAGGUUGAAAAUUUAUCUGGUUGUGUUUGACUAGGCGUUUGCAUUUUCCUUUAAACGUUAUUCUAAUCUAAUCUAAAGUACAGGAAGGGAAAAUUUUGAACUUCAGUGGGAAAUGAGAAGCAUAUUACUCUAGCCAACUUGGUUACGUUCAGGUCUACUCUUAUUGUAGACAUUGAAAGACUAAACUUUAUAAGGAAAUGAUUUCCGCACAACAUUUUUUGUACCUUGAUUCUCCUUCGAUUUUUUAAUCUAAAGAUCAUAAAUGAAUUGGAGUGUGUAAAGAAAUGUGCGGAAAUCAAUUCUCUAAGUCUCUAUGUUUGUUCACUCCCGUGUUUUACCACACAAAUGUUGACUUGAACAAGUUGGGUUUAAUUUAAUUUUGUUGCUUUUGGAAGGCAAGGCAAGUUGUAAAUAUUGACUGCAGGAUGAUGCAGAAAACUCAAAGCUUGGUGCAGGUGCCAUAGAAUUCAAUGGAGUCCCUUCAAUUACUUGUACUAUUCCUAACGAACCUCUUUCUCCUCCAAUCGAGUUUUGCAGUUGAUUUCUCCUUCACUGGUUUCAACUCAUCUGAUAUCUUGCUCUUUGGAAAUGCAACAACAGAUUCUGGUGUUCUUUCUCUCACAACCAACACCACAUUUUCCAUUGGCAGAGCUCUCUACAACGCCAAAGUCCCCACAAGGUAUCCAAACUCCUUAAACCUUCUGCCUUUCACAACCUCCUUCACCUUUUCCAUAACCCCAUACAAGGACUCUCUCCCCGGCCAUGGGUUCGUCCUUGUUUUCGUUCCCUCUCCCGGCAUCCAAUCCGCCUCUCCAUCCCAACAUCUCGGCUUCUUGAAUAAAACCAAUGACGGUAACCCCAACAACCACGCUUUUGGCGUCGAAUUUGAUGUGUUCCAAAACGAAGAAUUCGGUGAUAUCAAUGAUAAUCACGUAGGCGUUAACGUCAAUUCUCUAACUUCUCUGGCUUCUUACAAAGCUGGAUACUGGCUUGGUGAGGGCAGUAACGACACUAACUUGUCUUUCAAGGAAAUAAAGAAUAGUGGAGACAACUAUCAAGCUUGGAUUGAGUACUGGAAUUACGAGCUCAGAAUAACAUUGGCUCCUGAAAAUGUGAAGAAGCCUGAGCAACCUUUGAUUAGGGCUCCUCUUGAUCUCUCUGAAGUUUUUCUUGAUGAAAUGUAUGUUGGUUUCACUGCAUCAACUGGCCAACUCAUUGAAGAUCAUAAAAUUUUGAGCUGGAACUUCAAUAAUUGAAGCUAGUAUAAUUUUGAGAGUAGUUCGUCGAUAUACUCCCUGAACUUGUUGGUCGCUUUCGAUUUUCCCCUUGACUGUUUUUAAGAAUAAUUGCGACUCGAACUAUAACAAAAAUAGCCAAUUAUCUCUCUGCUGUUGUAUUUCCUACCGUUACAAUCAAUGUUUAUCAUGAAUUUGUGGGUUGGAAGAUUUGUACCUUCAUAAAUAAGGUUCAUGACAUGCCUCAUCAAGUUGGCUUAAUGGAGGCAAGAAAUAUUUGUUUCUUGUUUUGAUUUUGAUUAAGUAAAGUUGAUGGUAUUGUAAGACGAUUAUAUUUCUCAGUUCCUUUUGUGAAUGAUUUUGUGACUUUAUAUUUGACAUUUUCUUAUUAAAGACUAUAUACUAUUAUAAAUUAUUCUAAUUUAUUAGCGAAUUGUUAUUAGCAUUCCAAAAAUCUCAUUUGGUAGUCCAUACUUUUUAUAAUUAGAAAGAAAAAUACACUUAUAAAGAGUGUAAAAUGAAAUUUUUAGAGUGCUAAUAACCGUUUCCAUUUACAAAAAAAUAAAAAAAAUAAAUAAAAAAUCAAAUUCGGUGCAAGAAGAUGUGAUCGCACUACGUUAGUCAAACUGUACAAAUUCAGAUUUGUUAUGUCUGCCAUAUUCCAAAGAAGCAUUUGUUGCAUAUGGCCCAAAGGCCACAAAACAGAAGAUUUGAAUGUUUAUGUGUCCAACUAGGGCAGACAUGUCCACCACAUAUAAUUCAAACGUGUGUAGUAGGGCAAACAUGUAUGUCCACCACCCACCUACAAUUUUGUUCAUCAAUUUGAUCAAUAAUGUACACACACAGAAGUCCCUACCAAAAGACCUUUCAUUCAAAAUAAAUAAAUAGGAGAAAUAAAAAGACCUAAAAUGAACUGAAAAAAGACCUAACUGUAAGACCAAAGUCCCAACCUUAAAUCCUAUUUUUGAUCUACAUACUAAUAUUUUUGCAUUAAAUUUGACUGAUUAAAUGAAAUAAUGUUGUCACGGUUGAUCUUAAAUCAACAAUCGAUCACAUAACAUGUCACACGAUAUGAUUAGAGAAUAUUAUUAUAUGGGAUAGGAUCAUUAACAAAUUCCUUUUGGUGCUAAUUUUAUGCUUAUAUCCAAAACAUUAUUAUAGGUUGGAUAAUGUUAGGUAGACCAAAUUUUUAAACCAAAUUUGCAAACCAAAUAAUGUGUCACCAAUAAGAAAUAAGCACGUUAAUCAACACUUAAAUAAUAAUCUAAUCAUCAAUAAUCACAUCAUUUGGUUUACAAAGUUUGGUAUAAAACUUUGAUCUCCCUAGCAUUACCUUUAUAGGUUUACGGGUUAAACAUUUUUUUAUCGUAGAAUGCAAUCAAACUUCUCAUUCUAUCUUCUCAACAUGCAAUGAUGUACGAUGAUUCGAACUGUUCAUUUUCUUGGUCACCUCUUUAAACAUCAUCUCUUCAAAACUUAAUUGAAACCAAAAUUGUUUACUCACUUAGCAGUUAUCCCAAUAAAUAGACGAUCCAUUUAUCACUUAAAUAUUGAAAACAUUGUUCAAACAGUUAAAUGAUUUCUAAUUAGGUUUUUUUUUUUUUUUUUGCAAAGUUAAUCUUAAAAGGGUUAGGCUUCAAUGCUAGAGGAGACUCGUUCGAGAUGCAUUUGACCGACUGCGAGGGUUAUAUGUUGACUUGUAUGCUUCAGUUCCCACAUAACCGACCUUAUUUCCUUGUAUUUCAAUGAAAAACUUCUCGUGUUUUCUUUGCCCUUUUUUUUGCUAACGAAAUUAUAGGGUGAUCUAGAAAUUAAAGAGUUUUAAUCAUCAAUAGCAUUGCAAGAUAAAAAGAAAGUCGAAAACAUACAAUGAGAAUGUUCGAGUGAAAAAAUUGCUAGCAUAUCCUUUUUCGAUACACUUCUUCCUUUAAUAAUCCCAAAUUUGGGUAACUUUAAUAAUCUCUAUGAGACCUGAGUUAGAAUAUGAUUUAUUUUUUUUAGGUUGGAAGUUCAAAUUUGAUGCUUAAACAACAAACAGUUAAAUGGAUGGAUUACUGACUACUGAGCUCUAAAUCUAAUCAAAUUAUCUACAUUAUCCGUUCUAGUAGGUAUCUAGAAUUUGAGGACAUGUACAUGUGCCAAACAUGUUAAAUGUUGGGUACCUUUCAAGAGAGGCUCUGUGGUGGGACAAAAUGUUUUUUCAGUUUUUAUAUUUUUGUAAAUUAUUUAUGAAAUCUCAUUUGAUAAUUAUUUUUAGCUUUAAAAAAAAUUGAAAACCAAAUCUUGAAAACUCAAGUACAAAUUUUGAAAAUCCAAGAGAGUAGUUUUUAGUUUUUAUUUUUUUAUUUUUUUAUUUUUAAUAACCAAAAGUAGCUAUUAAAAUAAUAUUUCGGUUUUUUAUUUUUUUAAAUGUAAAAAUUGAAAACGAAAUGGUUUCAUUAAGGUAUAAUUUUUCCUAAAGAUAAAUCACACACAUGCAUGCUUUUAUAAUCGUGAUAUUUCCGUUGCGGUUUGCAUAGUGUAAGAGUGAUUAAAUAAAAUAUGGACACACAUAUGCUUUAUAAUUUUUUAAUACAAUAAUUAUGUGUAUCUUUAUAUUAAGGAGUAAGAGUAUGAAAAUACAGAAUGACUAUCUAUAAUAAUUUGGUUUAAACUCGUCAUUCCUAAUAGUAGAGUUUAAGAUCUCCCACUUAUAUGCUUAUAAUUAACAUUUUCAUUCCAAAAGUGAGAGUGAUUAAAUAUGGACAUCGUUUGGUCAUUUCUCUUUUAAUGACGGUGUGACAUUCUUUCAUCGUACAAACAUUAUAAUCAAAUUUCAAUAUAUCACAAGUGACGGUUCAUCUUGAGAAUGUUACUUGUUAACAUAAUCGUCGAUUUGUUGGACACAUGGAUGACUACAUGGUCUCUAAAUUGAAUGAAUCUUCUAAAGAUGAUAUGCUAAUAAAGAUAAUGAACAAUUUUGAUUAUAACGUUUAUACGAUAAAAUGAUGUCACGUCAUCAUUAAAGAAAGAGUAGCUCAAGCCAUAGUCUAAGCUAAUUAUCAUAAAGGGUUGAGACUACAAGUACGAAAAUAUGGUAAUGACAAUAUAUCAUGAAUUUCCUACUAAAACCAAGGAAUCUGCAAUGUUUGAUAUAUGCAUGAAUAUGGGAAGAUGACAAUAUGCAAUUACUACCGAUGCAAAAAGGGCCACAACUCUCAGUCUCAGCCAACUUACAAGAAACAAGUAUUUCUCAUUCAAGUGCUUUUACAAUUUGUCACAGCAUAACUUUCUCCAAAAAGCAUGUACUUUAAGAUAAUAUCUCACAUAUAUGAAGAGAGGCUUCAAUUAAUGACAAGUAACACAGCACAGAAAACUUCAGUGAUGAUAAAAAACUUGCUACUUUGAUUCCACCACACAAUUUAUAUCUUCAUUACCAAAAAUAAAGCCCAUAACUUCAAAUUCAACUUCUACAAAUGCAAGCAUAAAUAUCUAGAGUGAAGAACAAACGAAAGUAUUAAUCAAGUAUACAGAUUUGAAACAUGUAUUAGAUAUUCAUUGAAGAAUGCUAACAAUACUCAACAUUUCCGUCAGGGGGGUCCAAAAUGCAUUAUGAACCCUAAAUGCAUCAACAGUCAAAAUUAACUCAUGCAUGUGUGGACGUCCCAAUCUUAUAUUUAGUUGUAUUAGUUGUGAACAUGUUGAGUUUUGUGGUGGUUAUGGUCUUUAGGAAUAGUAAGGCCAUCUCCAACUGAGGAUUGGCUAGAGGGCUCGUUUUCGCUCUCUGACCCUCUAAGAUAUUAAUAUUUUAAUGAACAGUACAUGGCCAUAUUUGCCUUUGUCUCCAACUGAGGGCCAAAGGGCCAUAUGGCUUGUUUUAGCUCUGUCACAAAAAAUCGUCUCCAACCGAAGGCCAAAGGGCCAAACAUAAUUUAUUAUUUAAAUUUAAAAACUACAACAACUUAAAUUCAAAAACUACAACUUCUAUUUAAAAACUACAAUUAAAUUUAAAAACGACAAAUUAAAUUUAAAAACUACAAAUAAAAUUUAAAAACAACAUUAACUUGAAUUUAAAAACUACAAAACUUAAAUUCAAAUCCAACGGCUAAGUGACAUCAUGGUGGGCAACACUUGUCCAAGCAAUUCCAAACCCUAGGAAUGACGUAGAAAAGUUGUUUACCUUACACCAAGAGGCAUACCGGAAAGAUGUUGAGAGAGCUUUUGGUAUUCUACAAGCACAGUGGAAGAUCAUUAGCAAACUGGCAAGAGGGUGGAGUCGAGAAAAUUUGGACUCCAUCAUGAUGUCUUGCAUCAUAUUACACAAUAUGAUAGUGAAGGAUGAGCGAGAUGAGUAUAUUGAUGAAGAGUCCGAUGACGACCAAGAAGAUCCAAAUAGGUCAAAAAGGACUCGUGCAAAAAUAUAUGAUGUGCCUAAUUUGUCUUUCAAUCCAAGAACUGGUAGUAUCUCUAUAAAUGAGUACAUGAAGCGCUAUAGAAUGAUACGUUAUCGUGCCACAAACAAGUACCUACAACAGGAUCUUGUUGCAUAUCUUUGAGCCAAAAGAAGCAUGGAGUAGGCGUUUAAGUUUUAUGUUGUUAAAUGUUUUUUUAUGUUCUAUAAUUUGUAUGUUGGUUAAUGUUAUUUAAUGUUGUUUCAUAUUGUUUAAUGUUGUUUCAUGUUACUUAAUUUAAUUUAAUGUUGUAUAAUGGAUUAGGAAGUUAUAGGAAAAAAAAUAUAAUUUAAAAACAAUAUGAAACAAAUUUUGUAAAAUAGAAGUUAUAGGAAAAAAAAUAUAAUUUAAAAAAAUAUGAAACAAAUUUUGUGAAAUAGAAGUUAUAGAAAAAAUAGAAUUUAAAAUAAAAUAAAACAAAUUUUGUGAAAUAGAAGUUAUAGGAAAAAAUGGAAUUUAAAAAAAAUAUGAAACAAAUUUUGUAAAAUAAAAGUUUUAGGAAAAAAAUAGAAUUUAAAAAAAAUAUGAAACAAAUGUUGUAAAAUAAAAGUUAUAGAAAAAAAUAGAAUUUAAAAAAAAUAUGAAAAAUAGAAGUUAUAGGAAAAAUUUUGUAAAUAAAAAAUAAUAAUAAAACUGUAAAAAAAAAAUCAAAUGCAACGGCUAGCUAACGUCAGCUAGCCGUUGCAUUUGAAUUUUUUUCUUAAGCAUUCUUGUCGGUUAUAACCGACAGGAAAGAUGAUUUUUCUGGCCAGCCGUCUAGCCUUCUUCGAUUCCGUGGGACCCUCUAAGAUUCCACAGCCCCUGGCCUAGCCCUUAGUUGGAGACGAUUUUUGGACUAUUUUCGACCCUCUGCCUCUUUGGCCCCUUCGGUUGGAGAGAUGGUCUAAUAUCUAAGAGUUAGGUGUGUUGAUUUAUUAUUAUAUUUACAAUUCGUGCAUGGAUAAGUGAGAAUGGAAGGGUUAGGGUUUUCUGAGAUUUUGGGUGGUGGGAUGGUGUGUAGCUUUUGGGAGAUAUGUCCCUUUUGAUUUGAGGUUAGGGAUUGUGUUAUAGUUUCUACUUUAAUCUUUAAAUUAUUAGGGUUUAUGGGGCAGAUUAGGGUUAGGUACGCAGAUGGCACCUUCAUUAAACAUGGAGUAUGAUUCUUUCGUAUCUUUUUUUUCUUCCUUUAUAUCUUCUCCUUCUAUUUGAACGGUCAUAGUUAAUCCAUAUCUAUUAUAAUUUUUUAUAAAAAGAGAAAGACAAAAUAAAGAAUGUAAAAUGAGGGGAUGAAAGGAGAUAGAAAGAGAAGAAAAAAGAAUCCUAGUUCAUAAAACAUGGUCCAUAAGAUUGAUAUUUCUACUUUAAUCUUUAAAUUAUUAGGGUUUACGGGGAAGAUUAGGGUUAGGUAUGCAGAUGGCAUCCUCAUAAAACACACUCCAUAAGAUUGAUUGACAGGCCAACCACUCCUAUAUAAACUGUGGCUUUUCCAAUUAGAUUAGAUCAAUUGUGUUGAGUUUUCUGCCUUUGGUUAAAAAAAAAAAAAAAUUGUGUUUAGUUUUUAUAGUGAGAUCUAAGUAAUCAUUUGUUUAUUUAAAAACUACUUAAUCUUGUCCCUUUCUUUCAUUUGUUUAUUAGUCUUGUCCCUUUCUUUCAUUUGUUUAUUAGUUUAUAAACCCAUUGUUUAUUGCUUUGCUUUUCAACCUAGAUGGCUUACAACCAAGGGAUUAAAUAUCGAUGAUAUCGGAAAUAUCGGUAAUCCAAAAACACGGAAAUUUCGAUGGAAAUAUCGGGAUAUUAUCGAUAUCGAUAAAAAUUGAAUAAAAACCACGGAAAUUGUAAGAAAAACUUGGAAAUUUUUAUUGAAACUUUGCAUGAUGUUUAUUUAGUCAAUUAUCUAUUAGUUUAUCACAAAAAAUUGGAAGGAAAUACAUUGCAUGAUAGAUAUAACUGAUUUAAGUUGAUUAUAUAGCGAGCUGGCAAACAUUGUGAGUGUAUAAAAUAUGUAGUAAUUAAUGAAAGAAGUUUAAACACACCAUAAUCAUUUAUAUAUAAUGAAUUAGUACAAUAUUUUACACUUUAUACAUUGCAUGGUAAGAUACAUAAGUGAUUUAGCAAGGUCUAAAAUAUCGAUGAUAUCGGAAAUAUCGGUAGUCCAAAAACACGGAAAUUUCGAUGGAAAUAUCGGGAUAUUAUGGAUAUUUUAGACCAUGCUUACAACUUUCUCCUUUGGGAAAGAAAACGUUCGUUUUUCGAUUUUGGGUCAACGAUUAGCCGUUUCUUGGUAAAUUAAUCAAAAUUAACUCUACUAACGAAAGCAAUUAAAAAUUAUUGUGACCAAUAUUACGAAUUUUGAUCAUUUGAGUUUUUUUUUACAAGAAAUGAUAACGAGAUCAUUGCCGUUCUACCGAGAGAUGAACUAAGGACCGGCAACCCAUCUCUGAACGACCGAACAAGGCUUCUUUUGGCCGUUAAGGAUCGCUUUGUGCCUAUUUAGGAGUAUGGUCUAGUGGUAUUCCUCCUUACUUGUAAGUGAGAGGUUUUAGGCUCGAUUCUGGCCAAUGCGAAUUUGAACCACAUUAUUGUUAGCCUAUUGUAAGGCUUAGCCUACUCCACCCAUCCUCUUAGUAUAGAUAAUAACAUUUAUUCAAAAGAUAAUGAGAUAAUUUGAGUGAAUUUCAAACAUUGGAUUCGUUUAAAAGGUUUUUUUAAAUGAUUGAAAUCGUUUUUAAAAAAAAAACUCUUUGGUAUCAAAAAUUCAAAGGUACUUGAAGCAUUUCAUUCAAGAAUACGCUUUCAACCAUUUAAAAAGCACUCACAAACAAGAUCAUUAUUUUAUCACGUAAAAUAUGAGAAACACGUACAUAUAGGGUGCUAUUAUUUGGACUCUACUUACUGCUAUUUUUUACUAUCACCUCUUGAAUACAAGUAGAUCUCACAUACAUAAGUGAAAUUUAUCGGGAUCAGCAAUAAAUUCCAAAUAUUUUUAUGCUGUAUGUUCUAACUUCAGAUUCUAUUUGGAGAGAUUUAAUUAAUUCCUAAUUAAAGAAUUCAAAAUGAACGAAUUCGCUUAUUUUUAAAAAUAUUUAGACGUGCAAGAUAUAAUUAUACUGGAUAUUCCGUACUCUGACCUCAUUAGAAGAUACUAGCAAUCAGCACACUAUUUCUGCAUGUGCAACUAAGUAUGUUUUUUAUUUUACUGCAACUUAUCAUGAGUAGGGAUGACAAUUGAAAAAAAAACAAAAAACAAAAAACAAAAAAAAAGAGAGAGAAAAAAUAAAAAAAGGCAGUGCACAAACUGAUCAUCCCCACUUCUCUUCUCAUCGCCCCCAACUAUACCGGUUCAUGUAAAAAACAACCCAUAAUAUUUAUUUUUAUUAAGUUUUGAUUAGAGGGUUAGAAUGAUAAUUUUAUGAAAUUUUAGUUGAUAAUCAGGGUUAUAUCAAUAUAUAACUAGCAUUUACUUACACGCUUUGUGUGUAUGAACACGUGUUCUAGAAAAUGAGGAGGAGAGAGGGAAAGAGGGAGAGAGGGAGUGAGUGGUUUUUGUUUUUAGUUUUUUUUUACUUUUUUUUUUAUUAUAAAUAUUAGAGGUAUUUUAAUAUCACGUGAGGCUUCAUUAAAAAUUGUAAAAUUUGGACCUGUAAAAUUACAUUAUUGCUCAUUAUUAUUUUUUUUGCUCAUUAUUAUUUUUUUGUACGAUGAAUACUAAUUUGUUUUUUCACUAUUUUUUAGUUGAUAAAGGGAAUUUGAUUAAUUAGUAAAGACAAGUACUGAGUUUGCAGCAUAGUUUUAGGUAGAUGAUUGCAGUUUAUGAUAAAGUAUCCUCCACCGAUGACGGAGUGAGUAGCAACCGUUUUUAAUUUUUCUUCCCCAUUCAAGAAAUAAUUUAAACAAAACUCGGUAAUACUCAUUACUAUUUAUAACCGUUGGAUACCUAGGGACUAGGGCGGUGAAAAAUAUCACCAAGCGUGUUGAACAAAAAUCCAACAGGAUCCUCUCCGGAUAUUUUUGGUCAGAAUUUUGGAAUCUGUAAAUUGUAUAUCGUAUGAUCAGUUUUUGUAGAUAAUGUUUAUAUUUAAUUUUAAAUAAAAUAUUAAAAAUAAUUUCUGAUUGCACGAUGUACGAUGAACGAAUAUAAUUCACGGAUCUUCAGAAUUCUCACAAAGAGGAUUCGGCGAGGAUCCGGAUUCAACAAAAAUGCACUAAAAAUAUAAUAUAAUAUUUUUCUUCUGUUUCCAAGUUUAUAAGUUGUUUUAUAAUUCCAUCAUGGCCCGCAAAGGUUUAUAGGAUGUGCUAUCCACACAUUAUAUUUUACUUCUCACACACUUCUUGACAAUUUAUGUUAGUUGAUCUUCUUUAAUUCAUCUGAUCCGAUGGUUGAAAAUUAAAAAGAUGUGUGAGAAGUAAAAUGAGGUGUGUGGAUAUCACAUCCCUAUAUAUAUUACUGUUCUGAUCUCUGAUAGGAAGAGGUCUUUGUUGAGCCACGUUGGUAGUUUGGAAUAAAGCGGGAAGAUAAAGAUGGUAAUGCAGAAAGUUGAAAGAGUGGCCUCUCUUAUAGCUCUCAGCACGCACAAAAAAGUAAUGUAAUAGGGAACUUGGACAAAAAUUAUAGAAAUAUAUAAUCUUUUUUUUAUUUAUUUUUCUGGGUUUCUAAUUUUCAAACGGUCUGUGUUUUUUCUGGGGAGAUUUUGUAUGUUUUCUUGUUGAGAAUUAUUGGGGAAUUUAUAAGGCUGUGGAGGUUUCGUUUGAGCAGUGCUGCUGCUAAAAGUUCUGUUUCUCUUCAGGUUAAUAACCUAGCAGAACACGGAACUCCGUUUUCAUUGUGAUGGUAACUCUCUCUCUCUCUCUCCUCUCUCUUUCUCUCUCAUGCAAUAUAUUGAAUUGUCUCUGUGUUUUGAGUGUUGGGUAAGAGUUUUUUCUUUGUGGGUUUUUGUUGGUGAUGGUGGUUGAGAUUGUUUGUUCGGAGAAAUUUCAUGUAUGUGACUGUGUAUAUGAUUAUGAAUUAGGUUUUGUAAAACUGUUCUUACUUUUUGUCAGAUCGUUGUUAUUGUGUUGGUGGUGGAAAACCUUUUCAUGUUUUCUGUGUUCAAAUUUGCAUAGUUAAGGUAAUUAAUUAGUUUCGUAAUUGUGGGCAGCUGGGAAUCUAUCAUUUGUUUGUGAAGUUAAGAACUUGCUGUGCCUGAUGAGAGACUCGAUUUUCGCUUAUCUGUUUACGCUGCGGAAAUGAGCUUCUGAUUCAAGAUGGUAAUGGUGGAAGUGAGAGAGUGCAAUACAAGUCGGAGAACUCCUCCGUUUAUUGGAUGUGUGUGUUUUGGCUUUCAUGCUGCUAUAGGAGGAUAACAAUGGAAGGCUCAUCUGAGUCUGCUUGGCAGAAUUCUGAUAGUUCUAGAGGAUUGAAUAGUUCCAGAGUUUCAAACCGGAAUCCAAGGCUUCAUCGUGCUGGAAGGUUUGGCUUGUCGGGUGAGGCAUCUCAGGAUUUGGACUUACGAAAGGAUAGAGAUAGAGUUGUGGUGGCACACAAUGAUGACCUUACAAACCAGGGUGGGUUAUCAGGGGUUUGUGAGGAUGAGGUGGCGGUUGACCGUUUUGUCGGAGCUAGUGAAUGGGGCGAUGUUAGCUUGAGGCAGUGGUUGGAUAAACGGGAUCGAUCUGUUGAUGUAUUUGAAUGCGUGCAUAUAUUUAGGCAAAUAGUGGAAAUUGUUAAUGCAGCACAUUCCCAAGGGAUUGUUGUUCAUAAUGUGCGACCUUCAUGUUACGUUAUGUCAUCUUUCAACCACGUCUCCUUUAUCGAGUCUGCCUCUUGUUCGGAUUCUGGCACUGAUUCUCCCGAGGAUGGGGUAAACAGCCCAACUGAAGAAAUUAAGGAUUUUCCCUCUUUCUUGCGUCGUAAUUUGCAUCAGCAAAGACGGAACUUAGGAAGAGAAAAUUUUCAGUCUAUGACAACUCCAAAUGCCUUGUCGGAAACGAGUUGCAUGCAGUCAAGUUCAAUCUAUGCAGCACGCGAAUCGUUGGUACAAGAGAGUGAAAAUAGAAUCAGAGACCGAAAUGUUGAACUAGAAGAUACGAGACAACCAUUUCCAAUGAAACAGAUAUUGCUUAUGGAGACCAGUUGGUAUAAUAGUCCCGAAGAGGUUUCUGGUGGAUCAAGUUCAUGUGCUUCAGACAUUUACCGAUUAGGGGUUCUUCUUUUUGAGGUUCGUAAAUAAAAGCUUUCAAUUGUUUAUCUGUAGUAUAAGUUAAAUAAGAUCUUCAGAUGCAUUCAAUUAUCGUUUUAUAUAAAUGGUAAAAGAUGAUUUUGUUCGGAGUUGUUUUGUUUUUGUUUUUGUUUUUGUUUUUGUGGACUAACGUGGUUGUGCUUGUGACCAGUUAUUCUGUCCUUUCAGCUCAAGAGAAGAAAAAAGCAGGACAAUGUCUAGUCUUAGACAUCGAGUUCUUCCUCCUCAAUUGCUGCUGAAAUGGCCGAAAGUGGCUUCGUUUUGCUUAUGUCUACUGCACCCGGAGCCAAAUAGCCGGCUAAAAAUGGGGUGAAUACUUCUUACAAAAUGGGCUUCUAUCUCAGACUUUGAUUUUUCUUUUCAAAAGUUAUAUAUUCAGCCUAAAAAUACUGUGCAUAAGUGCCAAUAUAUCUUGAAAGUGGAAUUCCAUGCCCAAAGAAGCCCGUGCAUGUCAAACUUAGGUUAGGUCAGUAGGAAGGUUUCCGGAGAUUUUCCAACGAGUGAAAUUGACAUAUUCGAUUGGUGUUGGCAAAUAAAGGAUUAGAAGCAUUAUGAGAAGAAGCCACUAGAUUAGUGUGUCUAUAUAACUGGAUGUACAUUUUUCAACUUCACCGAGAAGUUGGUUGGUUAACUAGAUGCUUCAAAUUUUCUCGCAACGUAGGAUAUCUAGUUAGCAACUCCUUACAUAUGCAGGUUUAUCUUGUAUGGUGCAAUAGGAAUUCUGUCCCACGAGUUUCAUGCAGUAGUUGCUGUAUAUUUAAACUCCAUAACAUGUUUCUGCAAUUCAUUAGGUCAUGAUAUACUCCAUUUAUGCCACUUUUUAUAAUUUGGACUUGUAGUUCAUAUAUCCCCUUGUAUCUUUCGCUUUGUUCCGCAUCUUUUCCUCUUCUAUUGACUUGUAAAAUAACUCUCACCUGUUUCUUUGGUGUUAUGCACUAUACCUCCAGCGAGGUCACAAUUUCUAAAUCUACUUUGUCAUUUGUUUCAGUGAGUUGCAACAAAGUGAACUUCUGAAUGAACCACGAGAUGAUUUAGAAGAACGUGAAGCAGCAAUAGAGCUUAGAGAGAAAAUAGAGGAGCAGGAAUUAUUACUGGAAUUCUUGUUGCUUAUACAACAAAGGAAACAGGAAGUUGCAGAUAAGUUGCAAAAUACUCUUUCGUUUCUGUGUUCUGAUAUUGACGAAGUUAUGAAGCACCAAAUAACUUCUAAGAAAAAGGGCAGUUCAAUCCCACAACUGGUGAAGGAAGAUGAUUCGACAUCAAGUUUCCCAUCUAUGAAUAUUUUUGACGAUGAUGAUUCUGCUAGUGGGUCCAGAAAAAGGUCCAGACCAGGCACCCGGAUUCACAACGUAGAUGAAAGCGAUGAUAGUUUGGAAGGUCAGAAGACAGAUACUGAAAAUAAAGAAGGUGUUCUCUUGAGAAGUUCUAGAUUGAUGAAGAACUUUAAAAAGCUCGAGGCGGCAUAUUUUUUAACGAGAUGGAGGCCCGUAAAGCAGUCAGCCAAACCGGCUAGACAUUCACCAAUAAGCAGUUCUGUUGUAACUGAAAGAAGUUCGGUCAAUAAUUUGCAAUCAAAAGAACAUAGUGAGGGUAGACGAAGUGGUUGGAUAGAUCCAUUUCUUGAGGGGUUGUGCAAGUAUCUGUCUUUCUCUAAAUUAAAAGUCAAGGCAGAUUUGAAGCAAGGGGAUCUUUUAAAUGCUUCAAAUCUAGUAUGCUCACUUAGUUUUGAUCGUGAUGGAGAAUUUUUUGCUACAGCCGGUGUUAAUAAGAAAAUUAAAGUAUUUGAAUGUGACACAAUAAUAAAUGAGGAUCGUGAUAUCCACUAUCCCGUGGUUGAAAUGGCUAGCAGGUCAAAGCUAAGCAGUAUAUCUUGGAAUAGUUAUAUUAAAAGCCAGAUUGCUUCAAGUAACUUUGAAGGUGUGGUGCAGGUAAGUUAAGCCUUACUUGUGAUUCAAGUUACGACCUUUUAUUAGCUUGUUUUAACUAAAUUGCUUAACAUGUUCAGGUAUGGGAUGUUACGAGAAGUCAAGUUCUUACGGAGAUGAGAGAACAUGAAAGGCGUGUAUGGUCCAUUGACUUUUCAUCAGCAGACCCAACAAUGUUGGCCAGCGGGAGCGAUGAUGGUUCUGUAAAGCUAUGGAGUAUCAAUCAGGCAAUUCUACUUUUGCACUUGGUGGAUGUCAGCUUUGAAACUAAACGUACUGCAUUGAUCUAUAUGCAUGAUGUGUAUGUCUAAUUCUGGAUGUCUGAUUAGCUGAUUCUUUUUGUGGGUUGCUUCUGCAGGGAGUAAGUAUUGGUACAAUUAAAACAAAGGCGAAUGUCUGCUGUGUACAGUUUCCAUUGGACUCUAGUCGUUCCCUUGCCUUUGGUUCAGCGGAUCAUAAAAUUUACUACUAUGAUCUUCGUAACUCAAUGGUUCCUCUGUGCACAUUGACCGGACAUAAUAAAACCGUGAGUUAUGUCAAGUUUGUAGAUGGGACAAAUCUCGUUUCUGCAUCCACUGACAAUACUUUGAAGCUUUGGGAUUUGUCAAUGUCCUCAUCUCGGGUCAUUGACACUCCAGUUCUAUCAUUCACCGGCCACACGAAUGUGAAGGUACUGCCACUCAUUUAUUAUAUCAUAGCAAUUCUAGGCAUACUUUAUGAGAUUGAUGUGAGAUUAGUAUAUGAUAAUUUUGUGUUCUACUAUAUGCAAAAUAUUUCAGAAGCUUAAAUACAUGAUAACAUUUGCAUCAAAUGUUUUCGUGUCAAUGUUUCAAACCCUCCAAGAUAGGCUGAUUCUAUAACAUAACCCGUGUGGUGAACAAUGAUAUAUUGUUCUCCAUUGACCAAUAUACUAAUUUAAAACUUUUGGACCCUUUCGGAUGACCAAAGUUUUCCGCCACGAGUUCUUUAACUGCAUAAGCUUCUCAUUCAAUUCCAAUCUUCAUUGUUAUGGAUAUUUAUGAAGGAAAACGGCUAAAGAGCAUCGUCUGUAAACGAGUAAAUUCUUUUAUACAGUUUUUCGAAGUUAGUCAUUUGCAUCUACACAAUGUUAUUUUUAGCCCUGAUGCAUUAUUUUUGUCUAUUAGAUGCAAGUUUAAUAUGGCCGUAGUGGUCUAUGAUUUAUAGCUUAGAUGUGUUUUCCUUGAUGCAGAACUUUGUGGGGUUGUCAGUUUCUGAUGGUUAUAUUGCUACAGGCUCAGAGACUAAUGAGGUAAUUUAGACAAACAUCUUUACUUUACCCCAUGCGCAGGUUGUUCACAUCUUGCUUCUAUCAUGCUACGACCAGUGAACCCAAAUUUCAAUUUCUUACAUUCACCGAAAAAUGUAUUGUUAGAGGUUUCCAAAGCUUUGUUCUAAAAAUUUAAGAAAAAUGACCUCUUAUAGUUGUAAAAAUUAGGAAGAAACAUGCUUUGAGAAUAGCAAAUCAGCUAGCUACGUAGUUUUCUUUGGUGUCACUGUUCUAGUGAGUAGUGACUCGUUUAAAAAGAAUGUGAUGUGGUGGUUGAAAAGAUAAGGUAAAUUGCAGAAGUUACCUAUGCAAGCCUAAGAAGGAUCUUACCUAUCCGUUUAGUAAUCAAAUGUCUCGUACAAAAACUGUCAUACGAAUUUUGAACAGACAAUGCAAUCUGUUUUUAUUCAUAUUUAAUGAACAAUGAUUAUGUGCUUGAUUCAUCAGGUUUUCAUCUACCACAAGGCUUUUCCAAUGCCAGCAUUGUCGUACAAGUUUCAGAACACAGACCCACUUUCCGGCCAGGACACAGAUGACGCUGCACAGUUUAUCUCUUCCGUUUGUUGGCGAGGCCAAACCUCCACUUUAAUUGCUGCAAAUUCGACCGGGAAUAUCAAAAUUUUGGAGAUGGUUUGAUGGUCUCCAAGGAAAUUCUUGAAUCUGGCAGGAUAUAUGGGGUGUUGAGAAGAAAAUGAGGUAAAAGAAUGUUAUGCCAGAGAAGCUUGUUAGCUCAUAGGGGCUUUAGAAGGUGAUAGGAAUUCAAUGUUUGCAAGCAAGAUUGCAAAUUUUGGUAUUAGAUGAUGGCGGGAUAAGUGGUUAAUGUGAAAUGUGAGAAUGUUCUUGUUGAAAUGCAAUGUGUAGAUAGAAAUUUAAGGGAAGUAGGAAGGUACAAAAAUUGGUAUUUCUGUAUAAUUCGUAACACAAUUCAAAUCAAUUUAUAUACUAUAAGAGUUUUCGAAUUCUUCUCUUUCGUUGUUUGUCUUCUAAAAUGGUGAUCAAAGGCACCAUUUGGUAUUUGUAAGCGAAUUUAUUUGAACUUAUAUAACCUCUAUGUUUAUAUAAUUAUAUUGCAUGAUAACCAACAAGUACAAGAUACAAUUAACAAUAAAAAUAAGGUUUAUCAAUAAAUCCACACCCAAUAAUCAAACCCUAACAAAAAAUGACAGCAUCCAAUACAAAUCAUGUUAUUAAAAAAAUGAUCGGCAAUACAAUUUUUAUGUUUAUGUUCAUACUUCUUUCUCUUAUACCAAAAAUUAAAAUAUUCAAUACAAAUAAACAAGAAGUUUUCUCUUAUACUAGUUAUACAAUUUAGUGGUAUACCACUUUACUUUCAUAGGUUUAAUGUUCGGUAAUGGCAAAUUCGAAGUAAAUUAUGUUGUGUGACUUAACUCAAGUCCAACCCCCCCCCCCAAAAAAAAAUUCUUAAAUUAUGCAGUUCAACAAAAUUCUUGUAUCAUAGUUAACUUAUUGUGUGAAUUAAUGCAAAUUACCUACCUUUAGUGUAAUAAUAAUUAUGUAUUUAGACCAAUUUAAAGCAGUAAGCAAUUUACUCUCCAUUUGUUCAGAAAAAAACAGAAAGAAAAAGAUUCUCCCAAAUGGACCAAUUCUUUUUCAUUUCGGUUAAUGAGGUUUUGGUCAUGCAUAUUCAUGUUUUUAUUACCAGUUCUGUCCUUUUAAAAUUUGAUUUUGUUUUAAAUUUAGUAAAAAAUUAUUCAAAUGAAAGUUUUAUUUUUUAUGAUUUAUAAUUUUUUUUACAUAUCUAUGUUUAUUCUUGGUUAUUAAAUUUAAUAAAUCAACUGGGGAACAAAGAACAAACAUAAGUGUGCAUAAGAAGAACAGAAGUGUAUAAAAAUCAUUUCUCUUUUCUUACGAGAUUAUUGUUUUGUUUGGACAUGCUUUUAAAAUGAUUAAAAUUGCUUUUUGUGAAAUUGAUUUUGGGUUCUGAAAACAUUUUAAGUGUUUUUUGAAAUAAGCAUAAAGCAUGAAACACUUUAAAAUACUUUCUCAGGAUCCUCUUCAAUUUUUACUGAGAAUUGGUUUCAAAAGUAUUUCACCAAAAACGUUUUUAGUUAUUUUAAAAACACCUCCAAACUAGGGAAAAAGAAAAAUCAAAUUUGAACGCAAUACAUCGAUUAACAAACCUAAUUCACUACAACAUUUACAUUUUUAAAAUGGAGGCUCAAUGAUGGAAGUCCGGCCACCCAUUUCUUAAUUAAAACUGAUUUGUUCUUGAUUUCUUUUAAUCUGGAUUCUGGAAGGGUCGGUCAAAACCGUCGAUAUCUUCUGCCACCCAAUUUGAUGUAAACACCACAAUUAAAGGUAUAAUAAUUAUUUUAAGAUUUGGUUAACAAUAGAAGAUUAUCCUCACCUACCUUAGAGUCUAGUCAGCACUAUGUCACUAUCAUUCGUCACCAUUCACUACUAAUGCUUAAAUUGCUUUUGUCAAUUUCUCAUUUUCAUUGCCCAACAAAAGUUAGGUAAAUUUCAGAUACGUCAAUGACAUUUUAGGUCAAGCAGAAGGAGUCGGUCUUGUGAAAGCGAGUAAAAGUUUGGAAUUCGUAUGUCAUUUAUUACUUUUUGAGUCUGCUUUGGGGUAGUGUUUAACUAGGAGACCGAAAGACGAUAUUACCUCACGCGUUACUGAAGUUGCAUGACGAAAGAAAUUAAUAUGUCAUUUAUAUGUGGUGACAUACACCUCCUAUAUUCAAAACGACUUACCUAAAACUUCGAGAAUUUGAACCACUCGACAGGUGUUCGAGCAACACAAGGGAGUAAAAAAAAUAACGACGGAGGAGGUAAUCACCACAAAGAACAUCAAAGUUGUGGAGAAGAUUUAUCCAAAAGGAUAAGAGAAGCAGGGUGGAGGAACAGUAAGAGUAUACAACAUAUAAUAAUGUAUGAUUGUAAAGUUGCAGAUAUAGAUCAACCUACAGAAACAAUGACAACGACCAAACACCUGUUUGCUUUCAACAAUGCGACAACCUAUGGAUACGCUCAAGGGGACACUAAUCUUAAUCUUCCUCAUCAACCUUAAUUCCAUCAAACUUAAGCAUAAAAAAUGGACGAUCCCUUUAAAUUCCCAACUGCUGUCUUAUACUGUUGAUACAAGUAUGACUCUUCUUUUUCGUUCACUAAUUCAAUUUCCAAGAAUGUCAACACAAUCUAUUUACACUGGUUUUGACCAAACUUGGCUGUCAAGGUAAGCCUACCCACGAGGUGGCGAAGCCUGUCGGCGCCUGGACUUGGUUUGAUCUUGUUCGGGUUACCAACCCUGGAGCAUUUCGGUUUGCCAGCACACCAACCACCGGGAGUGAAGCUCUCUUUUCUUCGGUGAAGUAAUUCCUUGUCGAUCCUGUCCAGGACGGGGUCGUCGUGCCUGAAUUUUCGAGCAAAGGCAGCACCACUUGCAAUCAUCUUGUUUGUGUCAUUAAUGUUGAGGGUAUGAGGAUGCUGCUUGGGAGGAAUGUCCCAAGAAAUGUAGUGCAAAUCAUGGUUGACGGCAGUCUUAGCAAACUCCGGCUCAUUGCAUAAAACAGUGUGAAAGUAGCCUUCUGGCGAAGAAACAAAGUUUGUGUAGUACAUGAGAAGGGUCCUCGGAAGAUUGUCCCAACCCCAAACGCAGUACUCAACGAACCAGCGUGAUAAGACCAUCCAUGCCGAACCUGCAACAGAGGUGCAUGUUAAUUGAUUGUCCAAAACAAAGACCAAAACUGGCAAUGCAGGAUGAAAUAAUAUAUCCGAAGUUACAGCCAACACUAUCGGUUUUAUCCGGAGAGAAAACAAACAACUCCAUAUCAAUAGGAGAGCUACGGAUCUGCUAAUUUAGUCUGCUCACUAAAAUUGUUCGAAGUAAAAAUAUCUAGUUUUCAAAUUGGUUCGCUGAUCCAAUGUGAAAUAUCAAAAUUACAAAAUUUCAUCCCCUGAAAAUAACCCCUAGGCUUUCCAGUAAACCUUUGCCUUGGACAAACGCAGUUACAAGUUACAAAAAAGGUUACAAACAAUGAGAUUAUUGCAGCAAGUUGCAUGCUUACGUAAAUCCCCCAAACGGUUCACUAAGUAUUCCAGCAACCAGGCUAUUUCUUCUCAGCAGAAGAAAGAACAAACUAGGCAACAACAUACAAUAUCAUUAAUCAAAACAUACAGUUCACUGAAUUUCCCAUGUUCAGAUUCAUCAGUUAAGUCUUCUCUACAUGAAGAUUUUGAAUUUGCCAGGUUAAAAAUUUUGUGAGUGACCAGAAAACUAAUUAAAAUACUCACCAGUAAACAAUUUAAACGAAGUGGGCAAUGUUCGCCGCGGUGUAACCCAAAAUACAUCUUGUUUUUUCGAUGAGUAGAGACCAGGGUCUAAAAUCAAAGGCAUUGCUCGUUUAUCCCUGGAAGACAAAAGUUAAAAUAGCAUUAGUGAUAGUAAUAAAUAUGUAAACAUUCUGUAUAUGUCCACAGAGAGAGAACUCACUCCUUCCAGCCAAGUUGGCUUGUGUGCUCAAUGAAAUUCAGAUUUCGGUUUAAAGUUGAAAAAGUGUUAAUAAGAUCUGCAAAAAACAAAUCAAACAGUUUCUUUUAGCACAAAAGCUCACAUUUUAAGAAAAGUUUACAACUGUAAUUGAUAUGGACUUACCAUCUUGAGUAACAAGCGGAUAAUCUGAGGCGCUGAGAUUGAUAAACCAAUCCCAAUCCUUACUCCUCCUGAGAAGAAUUGCGCAGGCAUGAAGAGUAUUAGCAACCAUUGUUGGUCCUCUGUAAGUUACCAUAUUAGCUUUCUUGAUCAUGAAAACAUUCCCAACUGUAUUAAAGAGAGUCUCGUUGUCCACUCGCGAAGCAAGCUCCAAUCUUUCUGCUAACGGCGACUCAAGGUCUAAAUGAAGAACAUAUUGAUUCAAUGGAUGGUAAAGCGCUUUGAGAGUUCUCCAAAGCUUUUCCAAAUCCCCCUUUGACCCGGAAAUUAGAUAAGCAAAGCGGGGAAUCGAUGGCACUGGAGGAGGGGGUGGACCUUGUGAAACUAUAGUCUCAGCAAAAGCUGGACUAGAUUGGUUUGUUACCACCCUAGAUGGUAAAAAGGAAAAGAUCGAAUUGAUUGCUUGUCGUGAAGAUACGAGACCCAAGUUCAUGGAGGUGGCUAGAAGGAAUAUGCAUAUGACAGAACUUAUGAGAAGAGGGAAUAGCCAUUUCUUCUCCAUUGCGGACCCCAUUAGCAGACCUUAAGAUGGGUUGUUCCAAUCAAAAACUAUUGCUACAUAAUCAUUUUGCUCAACUGACCAAGCACGCUCGCGGAUUUAAACAACGCCGAUGAGAUGCAGAUUGAGACUCCUUUCUCAAUAAUAUUCCAAAAUCCAGACUUUUGAAACGGCUGUUGAAUCAAACACCAAAUAUUAAAACGUAUGCAUUUGAUUCAUAAGUUGUAGCUUAUAACUCUGGUAAAACAAAGAAUAUUGGAGCUUUGCCGUAUCAAUUUAGCAGAAGAAUUAGUGCUAAAAACUGCCAAAACAACACUUAUUUUAUAAAAUUAUAAUCAAGCAAGCAAAAAGCAAUAGCAGAAGAGACACAAUUGAAGCAUAAGAAAAUCGGCAAAGGAACAACAGAGGAUUCAAGCAAACAAAAUCAGAAAUAUAUAAUUAAAGAAUUGCUUGUAACCUUGUUUCCAAUGAGUCAAUACCAAAAAAAACCAUCAGAUAUGUGCGUUGACAAUGACACAAUCAGCUGCAAAAAACUGUGUCUAAUCAGAAGAAAAUUCCUAAUUUUGUAUCCCAAAUAACAGAAUGCAAUAUCGGCGGAGAGUCAAAGAAAAACACAACCCUAUUGAUUCAGUCAUGCAAAACAAAGAAACCCCAGAUCAGAAUAUUGCAGUUCUGUGUAAUCCAACCAAAACAGAGAAUCAGAUGUCACAUACCAGGGCAGCUGAAUCGUGAGCUCAAAAAUAGAAAAUAAAUAAAACCCAGAAAAGUUGGUAUGCGUUUCGAUACAAAGAUGUAAACUUUAGUGAGAGAGAGGGAUGUGAGAGAAGGAGUGGAACCUGUUGAUUCUUUUUCUGGUGGAGAAGAUGAAGAGCGUCCGUGCACGUUGAGGAAUAAAUAAAUGGAAAAACAAAAACAAGAUUUGGAGAGAGAGAGAGAGACAAAAUCAUGCGAGAGGAGAGAGAGAGUGGGGAAGUGGGGGAGAUUGAUUGUAUUUUAUAGGGAAUGAAUGUCUUUCUCUCUCCCCUGGGCUCGGAGACUCAGGGGCUUCGGUUUUGCUGGGUCUCCUGUAUCUGGGAUUCACCAACACGGCAACUGAUUUCAACUGCUUUCCAUCUCUUAUUUUAUCUGCUGUUGUUUUUGUUUCUCAGUUACAAUCUCUGCGGUUUCAUUCUGCUCUCCCUUUGCUGUUUUGCUGUUUUUUUUUUUUUUUUUGGAGAAACGGUAGCGUUUUUAUUAGAUUGCUAAGAACAACUACAAUCUUUGUGAAUAACGUCACAUAUAAUAUCGGGAGGUUCAUCAAACCAACGAAAAUCAGUUUUUUGUUUCAAUAUUUUUCUCAUCAAUUUGUAAUUUUAAGUUGUAAUUGCUAAUUAGUGUGGUGAUUCCAUGUGGGGGAAAGUAAUGCUGAUCAAGGGCUGUCGUUUGUCAUGAAUUGAGUGUUGGAUUUAAUUUGUUAUAUUUGCCAUAAAUUUCAUCUAUCUUUCAUAUGGUAAAAUUAAGGAGGAUAAAUGAUUGUUUAUUUGGUCAAACCAAUAUCAUUAAUGAUGAAAGAAGGCAGUUACAAAUAAUGACCCAUUUAAGGAGAAUUAAAGGUAGAAGCAUUUUUAAUGGAGAUGUUAAAAUUUAAAUAUAAAAUUUAGAUUUGACUGUCUAUAUAAUAUUUUGAUACCUUUUAAAGUUUUGAUAUUCAUUUGAUAUAUCAAAUUAAACUAUUAUUUUAUUACAUUAAACUAUUUUAAUUAAUGUUUUAAAACAAAAAAAUAAUAAUAACUAAUAAAAAUGUAUUUAAUAACCAAUUUAAAAAAAUUGAAGUUGCUAUCAAUUUUGAUAGAAACGAUGAGAGUUGCCAAUCCAUAUCAUGCCACAUCCGAUUUGGCGUUUCUAUUGAAAAACAUUGUUGUUGCCUUGUUUUUACUAUUACUGUUGAUUUGGACACUUCGACGUCUCAUUUGGAAAUACUCUAAUUUGUUUGAUCAAACUAAAAUCUUUAAUCUCCUAUUAACCUGUUUGCGCUACAUUUGUAGCGAGUGCAUCUUUGCUGACCUUUCCUCUUGGUUACCAUUAGAUUAGUUUGGUUAAUUAAUCUAAGACACGAAUUUUGAAAUUUAUAUGUGGAGCAAAAAAUAAUCAAGAAAAAUAUGGAGGCGACUCGUGGAUUUUUGGGUUAAAAGGACAAAAUUACCCUCGAGGAACACUGAAACUCCUACGCGCGAGCAGUGGACAAUCAUCUCUCAAUCAAGUCAAAAGUGCCCAAAAUAGAUAUUUAUUUAAAACUUAAUUUCAUCCAUCCUCAUCAUAUCUUCUCCACAAGGAAACCCCCAAAUAUUUCCUUUCAAAUUAUAUUAAUUAGCUAAUUAAUUGAUUUAUUAUUCAAUUAAUUUAUUAAUUAGCUACAAAUCAUGAAUCUCACUCAAAAAACCAUUCAAGUGGCUGGUCCAUCUCCUCUCAAAGGGGCCGGCCACACCCCUAUAUAAACACCCUCAUUUUCUCCGAAACUCAAUUUCAAUUCUCUUGCUAAACUCUCUAAAUUCUCCAACCAUUUCUCCUCAAAAUUCUAACUUUGACAUCGGAGGUUUUUUGGCCAAAGAUUCAUCGUGGGCGAGUGAGGCUCUUGGCCUUGACCUAAGGUGUUAUUUGUUUUGUAGGUGCAAUUUUGUCCAAGAGCAAGGAGGAAGAAAUUUGCACCCACAUCAUAUUAAUCUAAUGGCAAUCAAUGAGGGGGGGGGUGAGCAUCACCUUCACUGUAGGGGUGAACAAAAAUUUAUAAGUGUUUUUACUUUUAGUAUUUUUACUAUAAACAUGACGAAAUUUAACUAGAAAUUCAAGCACUUCUGGAAAAAAAAAAAUUUGGUUGACAUAUAAAACCUCUAGUCCUGAAGGAACCAGGGUGCAUUUAGAAGGUUUGGCUUCAAUCUAAGGGAUUUAAUGAAGAAAUAUUGGGGUAUCUCUAAAGUUAAAGAGUCAAUAUAACUUUUUUACUUCAAAUUUAACUCAACUUCUCUGCAAUGCAUCAGAACAUUUGUAGUCAUAUAUAACUCAGGGUCAAAUAUGAUUCACAGAAUUAAAUGCAAUGUCAUAUUUAAUUCUUUAUGUGACUCUAAGCUCUUCUAUAUUAUGCUGGAAAAAAUUAGGAUAAGUUGUUAACGAUAUAUACUUUGUAUAGAAAUAGAUAGUGUUCAUACUAUUGAUUGUUUUGAGCCAUUUUAAACCCAAAUUAGUUUACCUAUUUGUUUAUAUCCAAUGAUAGAAAUAUUUUUUCAGAAAAAAAAGAAGAGAAAAUGAUAGAAAUAUUUUGUUUGGUGGUUUUCCAAUAUCUGCCACUAGGAGCAAAGUUUAUGCAAUGAUUUAUGAAGUUUGGUAAAAUUGCAUAUAAUGUCACAUCACGGCUCGGGGUGGACCACUUUUCAGGCCCGCUCCACCAUCGUAGCACGAUAUUGUUCAUUUUGGGCCCCGACCACGCCCUCACGGUUUUGUUUCUGGGAACUCACGAGUAACUUCCCAGUGGGUCACCCAUCAUGGGAGUGUUCUGGCCACCUUCUCGCUUAACUUCAGAGUUUCGACGGAACCCAAAGCCAGUGAGCUCCCAAAGAGUCUUGUGCUAGGUAGGGAUGAGAAUAUACAUUUAAGGAUCACUCCUCUGGACGAUAUGGGAUGUUACAAUCCACCUCCCUUAGAGGUCCGACGUCCUCGUCGGCACACUUCCGACUAGGGAUUGGCUCUGAUACUAUUUGUCAUAUCCCCGCCCAGGGCGGACCAUUUCCCGAGCCCGCUCCACCACCGUAGCACGAUAUUGUCCGUUUUGGGCCCCGACCAUGCCCUCACGGUUUUGUUUCUAGGAACUCACGAGCAACUUCCCAGUGGGUCACCCAUCAUGGGAGUGUUCUGGCCACCUUCUCGCUUAACUUCAGAGUUUCGACGGAACCCAAAGCCAGUGAGCUCCCAAAGAGUCUUGUGCUAGGUAGGGAUGAGAAUAUACAUUUAAGGAUCACUCCUCUGGACGAUAUGGGAUGUUACAAUCCACCUCCCUUAGAGGUCCGACGUCCUCGUCGGCACACUUCCGACUAGGGAUUGGCUCUGAUACUAUUUGUCAUAUCCCCGCCCAGGGCGGACCAUUUCCCGAGCCCGCUCCACCACCGUAGCACGAUAUUGUCCGUUUUGGGCCCCGACCAUGCCCUCACGGUUUUGUUUCUAGGAACUCACGAGCAACUUCCCAGUGGGUCACCCAUCAUGGGAGUGUUCUGGCCACCUUCUCGCUUAACUUCAGAGUUUCGACGGAACCCAAAGCCAGUGAGCUCCCAAAGAGUCUUGUGCUAGGUAGGGAUGAGAAUAUACAUUUAAGGAUCACUCCUCUGGACGAUAUGGGAUGUUACAAUCCACCUCCCUUAGAGGUCCGACGUCCUCGUCGGCACACUUCCGACUAGGGAUUGGCUCUGAUACUAUUUGUCAUAUCCCCGCCCAGGGCGGACCAUUUCCCGAGCCCGCUCCACCACCGUAGCACGAUAUUGUCCGUUUGGGCCCCGACCAUGCCCUCACGGUUUUGUUUCUAGGAACUCACGAGCAACUUCCCAGUGGGUCACCCAUCAUGGGAGUGCUCUGGCCACCUUCUCGCUUAACUUCGAAGUUCCGACGAAACCUGAAGCCAGUGAGCUCCCAAAAGGCCUCGUGCUAGGUAGGGAUGAGAAUAUACAUUUAAGGAUCGCUUCCCUGAGUGAUGUGAGAUGUUACAUAUAAAGUCAGAUUUUGGAGUGGAAAAGUAUGCUGCUAAUAAUAUUAUGAAUGAUUAAACUCUAAAAUUUGACAAAUAAAUCAAAUAACCAAUGAAAUUUUAUUUUUAAGAAAAUGAACAAGAUAACUAAUCAGGCAGUGGGAUAUUGCUAACUCUUCAUUGACUUUCUACUUAUUUGAUUUAUGAAUUUCUUUUCUUUUCUUUUUUUUUUGCCUCAAAUAUGACAUAUAAAAGUAGGACCGCCACUUUUUUGAAUCAACACCUACCAUAAUGCUUGACCUAUAUGCGAAUUUGUCCCCUAAGUUUUAGACUUUUUCACUUCGGUCCUUCCACUAUUUUUCGUUCCAAGUUUGUUCUUAAACAUUUUAAAGUCUGUUUAACAUGAACUUAUUUUGCCACUUAAUACUACAGUCUAGUGAUAUUCAUCUUUAUUAGUAAAUGAGAGAUCUUAAGUUCGGUUCUCGUCAAAAGUGAAUUUGAACCAUAUUAUUGCUAACCCAUUAUGAGGCUUAAUCCACUCUUCCACCCUUAAUGUGGAUAAUAUUAUUCAUUUCAAAAGUUGCCACAUCAUUUUGAUGACACCUCUAAUUUGACCAAAAUGCCCUCAAUCAGACAUUUUAAAAGAAGAUGAGUAAUGUCAUCGGCUAGCCAAGUGGGCACUUUCAAUUGGUAACAUUGUGGAAAGAGGCUCCUUCUGAUGUUAUCUAGGAUGUCCUCCUGCAAGUAAUGUUAUCGUCUCCUUUUUCACCCAAAAAACAAAAAGUGGCUAAAUUGUUUUAUUCUUGCGUGUCAUCGUUUACAACUGACAUCAUUAUUGUCCUUAUUAAUUACAUUCAAAAUAGAGAAGUGUUAUGAGCGCUCCAAAAAUCUCAGUAUACACUUUUCACAAGUGUAUUUUUCUUUUUAAUUAAAAAAAAAUUAAGAGUGUAACAUGAGAUUUUUUUUAAUGACAAUAACAACUCCCUUAAAUAUUUAAAGACGUUUAUGUAAAUGUUAAAUUAUCCUAAUUAUAAAAUAUUUUUCUAUAAUUCACCACGUCCUGAAUUCAAAAUAUUUGUUUCCUCUUUUAACUUUAUAUCGCUCGUUAUCUAUAUAUAAAACCAACGAUAGACUCUAAAAAAUUUGGAGCUCAAAGUGGAAGAAUCACCAAAAGGCCCGAAUUUAUAUUUAAUUACAAGGAUUCACCGUGGACCCGACAACAUUGCAUCUGAACUCCAUCAAUUAAACUAGAACCAAACCUUCUCAAAGAGCUUUUAUGGUGGUCUACAUAUAGAGAGAUCGAAAACGUAUGCUCUCAAUUACUUGCGUUUAUAGUGGAGGCUGUUCCAAUUCUGAUUAGAUUCAACGUCAAGUGCAACGCAUUGAAUUUAAUGCAGUUACAAACUUUGUGGACUAUUGUUGAAUUUUUGUUUUCGAUACAAACGACAACCUUGAAGGAGAAAUCGAACCUAAAAUUUUAGGUGCAUGACCAUCGUUCACCUUUCUCUAUCUGUCUCUUCUCCAUACCUCUAUUCGUUAACAUAAAACGAAAAACAAAAACAAAACCGACAUAGAGAGACAAAGUACUGAAGCGGAAGACAUAAAAACACCAAGUACAUGGUACGUUAUUGUUUCAGUCCUAAUUUUGCAAAUGCACACGCACUAGUCUUUUAUGCUUUUUUGAAAAAUGUUAAAGAGAUUAUAUGACUACGUGUCAUAUUUGUAUUAUCACUUUAAUAAAACUUGGACCCACUAACCUAUGUGUGUUUCAUCUCUAUUAAAAAGACAUUACAAUUGUAUGUAGUAAUAUAACAUUUUUUUAACUUAAUUUGUUACAGAAGCAAGUACUCGAGUAAAUUGGCAAAAAUAAAACAUUUCAAGCCAUGGGAAAAAAAUAUGUUAGGCCAUCUCCAACCGAAGGCUGGCCAGAGGGCUCGUUUGAGCCCUCUAGCCCUCCAAGAUUCCCCAAGAUAUUAAUAUUUUAAUGAACAGUACAGGGCCAUAUUUGCCUCCGUCUCCAACCGAGGGCCAGAGGGCCAAAGGGCUCGUUUUAGCCCUGUCACAAAAAACCGUCUCCAACCGAGGGCCAAAGGGCCAUAGGGCCAUAGGGCCAAACAUAAUUUAUUAUUUAAAAACUACAAUUUAAUGUUGUAUAAAUGGCCUAGGAAGUUAUACGAAAAAAAUAGAAUUGAAAAAAAAUAUGAAACAAAUUUUGUGAAAUAAAAGUUAUAGGAAAAAAAAUAUGAAACAAAAUUUGAUUCAUAUGAAAAGGAAAAAAAAAGGGGAAAAAAGAAGUUUACAUUCAUUAAAAAAAAAAAAAAAAAAAAGAAGUUUAAAUUCAUUAAAAAAAAAAGAAAAAAAAAGAGGCCUAAUAAUACAACGGCUACUAGCCGUUAUAUUAAAAAACAUUUCAAACUAUUAGUGUCGGUUAUAACCGACACUAAUAGUAGAACUAUUAAAAAAAAAAAGAAUAUCUUUAAUGAUGUCGGCUAUAACCGACAACAAUAGGAAAUCAUUAAAAAAAAAAAAUAGCCAGCCCGGGGCUGGCUGGCUGGCCGAAAGCAGCCAGCCCUCUCCGAUCCCGUGGGGCCCUCCCAGAUUCCAGAGCCCUCUGGCCUAGCCCUCGGUUGGAGAUGGUUUUAAGGCUAUUUUCGGCCCUCUUGACCCUUCGGUUGGAGAUGACCUUAUUGCGUGUAAACAUGGACCGCGUUUAACGCAAUGAACAUUCUUUGCAUUGAAUGGCCAAAAGAUUCCACGUGGUUGUCACGUUAAUCAACUAUCCAAUCAUUACGUUUGCGCCAGAACGGCACAAAACUUUCUGGCCGUUCGAUCAGCGGACCAAAUGAGGAAGGAAAAGUAUUUUAAACAUUUUUUUUAUGUUCUUCUGGAAGAUAAACUAUAAUAACAUGUUGGAAAAUUCAAUAGAAAUAUUUAAUACCAAGUAAGAAAAUGAGCGUUGGUCUGGAAUUUAAAUAGGCCUCAAGUUGAAAUCUUACAUCUUCUGGUGAGUGCAUUUUGCUCACACCUUCCACUUCCACUGGUGGUAUUGUCCAUUGUUGAUGCAUAAAUCGGUAAGGUCUUGAAACAACGUAAAUCCGACUGUGAAUCUGCAAUAAAGUAAAUAACACAAGAUGUAUCGUGGUUCACCCCAAUGUUUGGGCUACGUCCACACUGAUAUUGUAUUUCUCUGAGAGGAUUGUGAGGGAGAGAAUCUCUGUAAUGUGAGAGGGGAUGUGAGAGGGUGAGGGGGCUUCAGGCCUAAGAGUUGGCCUCUCCUAAUUGUGAGGGUGAGAGGUCAUUUUAUAGAAUAAGGGCUCCUCACUUAUUACAUAUUUGCCCCUCCAUUUAUUACAUAAUUACAUUUGAGUCCCUCGAGUAUUUAUACGAAGUCUAAAUACAGAGGCCCUAAGUAUAGUACAAACAUCCAUCAUCUUAUUUAUUACUGUUGAAUGUGUUAAAUUUGGAAGGUUGUGUUUAUACAGUUAUAAAUAGGGUAAGAGAAAUUUUAUUUGAACCCUGCAAUCUUAUCUCUACACCCAUUGUUUUUUUGAAAAAAAUUAUAUUCCAAUUUUGCCCUAAUAAAAAAUAGGUGUAGAGAAAAAAUUAUUGAAUUAACAACCGGCAAAUGGGUGGGUCGCCGGAAAUCAAGAGGGAUCGUGGAGUUUGGUUGCUGGAAUAGGAGGAAUGUUGCCAGAGUUUGAUUAGAUUCGUAAGAGAAAAGAGAGCAGUUAUGAUGUUGCAGACGACAGCAGGCUGCACCUCCUCCUCGUCAGCUGUCGUCGAGUAGCGGGUCACCACUAUUUCUCUUUCAAUUUUGGUCUCUCAUUGUAACCAUAAACCCUAAUAGAAAAAGGUACGGUGCAUACUCAAAUUCACCGUUGCCACCCCCACCCAAAUUCUCUAUUUUUCCACUCUCCUUCAUCAUCAAACCCAAAUUCACCGUCGACGGCAGUUGCUGCUAACGUGCUAAGUGAGUUUCUUUGUCUAUAUAUUUGAAGUUACUUUUUAGGGUAAAAUAGGAAGUUCAUGAGACAAAACUUUUAAGUUGGGUGUUGUGAGAUAAUAUUUGGGUUCAAAUAAAAUUGGGGUGUGCUAUCCACACACCCCAUUUUACUCCUCACACACCCCUUGAUAAUUUAUGUCCGUUGAUCUUCUUCAAUUCAUCCGAUCCGAAAGCCGAAAAUUAAAAAGGUGUGUGAGACGUAAAAUGGAGUGUGUGGAUAUCACACCUCAUAAAAUUUCCCAUAGGGUAAUGAGCAAAAUUAUUCUCUUUUACAAUUAUUAGUGUGACAACUUUAUGUUUGUUCUCAAAUUCUUUUAUUCUUUUUUUUUUUUGAAAUUUUUGUCACAAAUGAUCAUUUUGGUCUGUGAAACAAUUGAUAACACGUCGCCCUUGAAUUUGAUUAAGGACAUCGAUGUCGUCAUACGAUUUAACUUCUGUCAAAUAUUCUAUUAGUGUGAAACUUACAAGUACAAUACAUUUGUGCUUGGUGUGGGAUGAGAGUCCGAUGGCCAAGUUUACGCCCACCCAAUCCUUCAUAUCUUACCAGUUGCUGUUUGCUUCAAGGUUUCUUCUUUUCAUUGGAUUGCUAAUUUUCUUCAAUAAUAUCAUAUCUACAUUUCCUUCAAAUAAAAAACUAUUUAUCUUGAUUAUGUUUAAAUAUUAAAAUUUUCAGUUACAUACCAUAUACUCAGUACUACUUAAAAAGCAUAAAAGUAGUGUCACGCAAAUAUUUCAUUCGAGUAUUGACAGAUAUGCAUAUAAAUUAUAUCAGCUAACCCAAUAUAGAUUGUGUUUAAUACUUACAAGAAACAAAAUUUCCAAUUGAUUUUCCAUUUUUUGAUGAUUUGUCUAUCCGAAAAUUAGGGGAGAUAAUACACAUAUUACCCCCACUAACUUAGUAAUACAUUUGGUAUAUACUAUAUGUGUUGUAUACGUUAACAUGGUUAGCGAUAUUGAAAGAGAGAAGUGUUGAUGCCAAAAUCACAUUGGGUUGGCCAAGGAAGGUUAGAAGGAUGGUCUAAGCCAAAGGCUUCACCAAAGGGACUAGAAGAUUCAAGUGUGGCGGAGAUCCGGCCUCACAAUUCAUGUGCGACCAACACUUCGGUGUUGCCCGGCGACAUCUUGCACGCAGAGAUCAAGGCUUUUGUCACUCUAUGUGAGGUCGAUAGAGAAUGUCGGGUGGUAGAUAUUAGUGGUGUAUCUUUUGUCACUCAUUGACAACCACCUCGAAAGACAACUACGAAGAGAGUGCAUAAAAACUAAUUUCCUUCAUCAAAGUACAAGAACACUGCUUCCAAAAACAAUCAAGGUUACAAACCCCUUGCACGAAAAUACUAAGUUUUAAUAUGCAACACCUUUAACAUUAGAGAUACAAGUUGGAUUGGAAAUUCCGACUCCAAUUCAAAAUAUCCAACUUUAGCAAAUCAAAUUAUACUUCCAAAUUCUGAAAUAUAUAUUUUGAAUUUGGUGCAUAUUGGUCCACUAGUGAGUGCUGCCCAACCUGACCUAGAUAUAAAGUGUAGAGCAUGGACCGUCUAUUUUUUUGGUCACGGCCCGUUUCUUGUGCAGCUUUAUACGCGAUAAUAAGGCCCAAUUGCAACUUGGGUGUUCCAAAAACAUGCAAAUUUGAUAAACACGUUCAAUUUUUCGUUUUGCAAAGUUUGAUUUUUAACUUAAUUUUAUUCACGAAUUAGUGAGAAUAUGUAUGAUUUUAUUUGAUAUAUUACAUGAACACCCUGCUGAAAGAAUAACAGUAGCUGCUACUGAACACUAAUCACAGAUGAAUCCAAAUAAUUGAAAUUGAAAACUAUAAUUGGACACAUGUCCAUAUGUGAUCGGGAGUUCAGUAACAGCAAUUGCUAUUCUUUCAGCAAUGGCUGUGAAGUAGUGUUCUAUUUAUAUAAGGAAUACUUUUGGUUUAUUCUAAUAGAAAUACAGUGCACUUGAUAUAAAACAAUAUGUAUUGACUAAAUUUUACUUAUAUACAACUUGCAAACGACCGUAAUUUUUUUUUUUUUGGUUGGUAAGUCCACUCAACAAAAGAUAAAAAUUAAAUAAAACCUAAUGCAAAUUAGUCCCUAAAAAAGCAAUAAAUCCACGAAUACCAUAAAUAGCGAAUCAUCAUCAAGAAUCAAGAUUCUAAACCAACAGCCUAGAGGUGUAGGAUGAGGUUGCGUCACUUGAGCAAAGGUAAGAGAAACAACAGAAUGCGUAGCAACAUAAUCAAUUAAUAAUCUAACAAAGUGACCAAGAAUAUUUAACGUACCCAUGAUUAAAUCAGGAUUGUUCUGAGCAUCCUGCAGAGUCAUAUUGUGGAUACGUCCCUGAGCCUGCUGUCAUCCACCACGACCUCUGUUAGCAUGAAUACCUCGUCCUUGUCUUGGCUAACCCGAUUGUCUCGAAGAUCCUGCACUGCUAGCAGCAAUCUCUACCUGAUGGGGUUGUCCCCAUGGUACCACUGGGAUUCACCUGCUGAAUAUUCUAGGGAUAAUUCAUAGCUCUAUGUCCCAUCUACCCAUUGUUGGAAAUGUGCCCUAAAACCAAUCAUAUGAUGAUACUUUACGGACAUUUCACAUGUUAAACUAAUCUAGUUUAAUAUCAAGGGCAAAGAUUAUUGUUUUAAGCCAUCUCAUAUAAAUGUUAUAUGCUUAAAUGAUAAGUCCAAGGAAUAUGUAAUUAGGAGAAUGUAAUUUAAACAAGUUAGAUUAAUGAGACCAUUCUCUUUCGUAUACAUAUCCUAAACGUUCCUGAUCAUAGGAUUGUCAAUUGGGCAUUGACAGUCCGUUAAGAUCAGUACAUGCUAUGUCUUCUCUUAGGGAGAAUGACUAGUCUCAAGUCAUUGGUGUGAUUGACACCAAGACAAGCAUGUAGGUGCUCAAUAGAGAAUGAGUUCACUGAACACGAUCAAUGAAGAGUUCUCAUAUUCAUGUCACAUGAGAACUUAUGGUUGGGAUAAUGCAAAGUAGUCCUUUGACCUGAGGCAUUAUAGUUGUCUUGUGGUUAGGUACUUGAUCUUUGAUUAUGUCAAAGUCACCCCAUCCACGGGUGUCCACGGCAUCGUCGGGGUUAAGCCACUUAGCCAUGGAGGCAAGUGAAUGCGCAACAAGGGAUCUCUAACCUUCAAACCGUUUGUGGGAGAAUACUCUAUGAUAUGAUUAAGAAUCUCUGGCCAGAGUAUGAAUGAGAUUUAGGAAGUCGUUCCAAAUCAUAUUCAAGGUAAUCAUAUAAGCACAACGAAUCACAUUGGAUAGUAGACAUAAAUAAACUAUCAAACCAAACAAUGUGGUCAAGAGUAUUGUAUUAGAGAAAAGACCGUAUUGCAUUUGUAAUCCUAAACUGAAUAGGUUCUACACCUCUUCUGAUUAGCUUGGAUAACCAUGAUAUGCUGCUAGGUGUCACCCAUGGUUUGUGGAAGCCCUAAACGUGUAUAAUCACUAAAGGGAGAAUUGAAAGUAAGUUUCAAUUCACAAUCGAUUUGAAAUGGUUUUAAUCACCCACUGCCUCGCUAAAAGGAACCUAAUUGAUCGUACACCGUGUAAGGUGGAGAUUGAAGAAACAAUGGAGAUGAGUAAGAAUAAUUAAAUGGUUUAAUUAUUUAUGGCAAGGAUUAAUUAAUAUGUUAAUUAAUCAAAUGAAUAAGUUCGUUAAAGACCUCGGGAUAGUUUUUGGACUUUAAGGCCCAAUGGGCUUCGAACGUCAAGCCUAUUGACUUAAGUUGUAUGACAACUUAAUGAAUAAUGAUUCACAAAGGCCUAAUUAGCCCAAUAAUACCCUAAGGCCGGCCAUUUAGAGAUGGAGUGAGUUUUGGACUUAUUUACAAGUUUGCCACUCCAAUGAAUUAAGGUAUAAAUAUGACUUUAUAGCCAAAAUUCAUUUAAGGUUUUCUUUUGGGGAAAGGAUGAGAACAUAAUCUCUCAUUUCUCUCUAAAGUGGCCGGCCUCUUUGGAGGUUUAGCUAGCAAUCCUACUACUCCAAGGUCACUCAUUUCUUCUCCAAUCUAACCUUGGUGAAGAGACUGAGAGGUUCUCAAUUUUGGGAACUUGGAGAACCAUUUCAUCCAUCCAAAUCCAUAGAUCUAAGAUGCAAGGAAUGAAGGCCCUCUCUUUGGGUGAUUAGCCUUUGCUUAUGCAAAGAGGAAUCUACAAAGGUAUAAUUUCUCAACUAACAAAUGUUGUUUUAAGUUGAGUCAAGGUUCACCAAUCUACUAGGCUUUGAAUUUCAUGGUUAAUGUUUUGUUUUUAAGUGCAUACAAGUAUGAUUCCGCCUUUUAAUUGUUAAUUGCAUGUUAUAGAUGUUGCUUAAAUGAACAUGUUUUUCACAUAAUUUUGUUCACCCAUAAGUAAAACAUCCACUGCUACCCCGUUUACACUCUCCAAAAUGCCUAUUAUUACAUAUGCGGCACAAAUGAGCACUUCCUUUUCCAGAAUCUCCCUGCCUCUGGAAUGUAGGACCUUCUGAAAAUCUACCACCUAUCAUCUGACCAGUGGCACUAAAACCUCCGCUGGAAAGAACUGGAACUAGUUCCACUUCUCUUAAAGCUCUGAGUCUUACGAGGUCCUUGAGAAGACUGACCUUUACCUUUAUCAUCUCUCAUUUGAUUCCCAUCAUUUUCUUCCUUCUUACUAUCGCUGGGCAUAUUCUCCAAAUCUUCAAUUCACAGCAGAACCUCAUAAAACUCUUGAUAAGUAGCAUAGGAAGCUGUGGUCACCAUAGAACAUCAUUUCUUUUUAGUACCCAAUCUGAAGUGACGAAACAUCUCAACCGGAUUAGCAGCAACCUCUGGGUGAUAGUGAGAUAAAUUAGUAAACCUCAUGUAGU
rnacentral:lncRNA from 1 species